rnacentral:lncRNA from 1 species
GGAAUUUGACAAUGACACUCCUUACACAAUUAUGUUUGGUCCUGACAAGUGUGGUUCAACGAACAAGGUUCACUUCAUCCUGAAGCACAAGAACCCCAAGACUGGCAAAUAUGUUGAACAUCACCUUAAGUCCCCACCCUCUGUCCCAUAUGACAAGCUCUCUCAUGUCUAUACGGCUAUCUUGAAGCCGGAUAACGAGGUCAGAAUUUUGGUUGACGGGGAGGAGAAGAGCAAAGCAAACUUCCUGUCCGCUGAUGAUUUUGAGCCAGCACUUAUUCCAUCAAAGACUAUUCCUGACCCUGACGACAAGAAGCCAGAGGACUGGGACGAGAGAGCUAAAAUCCCUGACCCAGCUGCAGUGAAGCCCGAUGACUGGGAUGAGGAUGCCCCAACAGAAAUUCUGGAUGAGGAGGCCACCAAGCCAGAAGGAUGGUUGGAUGAUGAGCCUGAGGAAGUUGAUGACCCAGAGGCUGCUAAGCCCGAAGACUGGGAUGAUGAGGAGGAUGGUGAAUGGGAGGCACCGAAGAUUGACAACCCCAAGUGUGAAGAGGCACCUGGAUGUGGUGAAUGGAAGAGGCCAAUGAAGCAGAACCCUGCGUACAAGGGCAAGUGGCAUGCACCCAUGAUUGACAACCCUGCCUACAAGGGAAUCUGGAAGCCCCAAGAAAUCCCCAACCCUGAAUACUUUGAGCUUGACAAGCCUGACUUUGAUCCGAUUGCCGCUAUUGGAAUUGAGAUCUGGACAAUGCAGGAUGGCAUCCUUUUUGACAACAUUCUUAUCGCCGAUGAUGAGAAGGUAGCCACCGCCAUCUUGGAGAAGACAUGGAAGCCCAAGUUUGAUGUUGAGAAGGAAAAGCAGAAGGCUGAGGAGGCUGCAGCAGCCGAUUCAGAGGACCUUUCUGAGUUCCAGGUAAUUCAUCCUUCUGAUGUUUUCCGUACAUUAUAUUUGCCCUUCAUUGUAUCGCUGCAUGCAUGUUAUAGCUAACUAAUUUGGUAUGUGUAAUGCAGAAGAAGAUCUUCAGCGUUUUGUACAAGAUCGCCGACAUUCCAUUCUUGGAACCUUACAAGAUCAAGAUCAUUGUAAGGACCGAAGAACCUUUACCUGUCUCCUCUGUUCAAGCAGUUCUGCGUGUUCUCUGAAAAAUGACAUAUAAUCUUUCUUUGUCUCUCAGGAUGUUAUUGAGAAGGGAGAGAAGCAGCCCAACAUUACAAUUUCGAUCUUGGCCUCAGCCGCUGUCAUCCUUGUGACUGUACUCUUCAGAACCCUUUUCGGUGGCAAGAAGCCAGUGGUAUGUUAUUUUCGACGCCUGCCACUGCUAUUUUCGACGCCUGCCACUGCUAUUUGCUGCUUGCCUAAAACCUGAACCAAAUGACUGACCCUAUCUUCUGCCUCCUGCAGGCACCUGUGAAGCCCAUUGCCGAGGUCAAGAAGCCCAGUGCCACGGAAGCCGAUGCCGCUGGAAGCAGCGGCGACAACGAGAAGGAGGAUGACACAACCGCACCACGCAGAAGGUCGCGAAGGGAGACGUAGGAUCUUCACAUUUCGGACGGUCUCGGUCCUCGCCUUUUUGUGAACUCCUCGAGUGUAUAAUCGAACAGUCUUGCUGCCCUCUGCUGCUACCCCUAGUUUUUAAGUCGCUAGAAUCUACGAGCCGGUGAAGCUUUGUGUUGUUUGUGUGCUGUACGGAAUCAGCUAGAAGUGAUCUUCUUUUCCUUUUGUAUCAAACGAAACUUGAAAGGAUCUUUUGAUAUUUAGAUGCUGUUCAUUUACUGGUUAAAUCAGGUUUGAGCCUGGGGCGGCUCGGUUCUUGCUUUACUGGAUGCGCGCAUGGGUCUCUUUUUGUGGGGACCAUGGAGGGUGUCUUUGAUUCAUAGCAUUUUCGAAACACAAAAAUACAAAAACGGGUCACGAACUCUUGAAUUCUGCAGGUUAGAUAUGCGUAUAGAUUUCAGUGAUGAAAAUUAAUUAUGGAUUGAUUUGAGGAUGGAAUUUUUCAUCAACAUAGUACGAAUCCUCCCCCGGUAGUGAAAACUGGGACCUCCUAUAUGACACAUUUUGCGUCAUGCAGCAGCUCGACGCACAGGGGCGACGCGCUACUGGGCCGGCCCAAUCUGUUUUCUGUCGCAUGACACCAAAAAGGCUAUAAAUAAAAACAAUAGAGUUGCGACGGAAUUUGAUACCACGACCUCCUGCAGCGAGCCCCUCGCCACUACAUCAGACAACAACAGCUGACCACCAAGGUGCAAAACAUUAUAAGACCACACAGAAAGCGCUGAGAUUUCGAAAACAUUUCUUAAAAAUAGUGAGAAGUUUUGAAAUGCCACAAUUUCGUUAUAUUCCUUUUUUUACAAGUGAAGAUUUUUUUAAAUCCAACUUCAAAAUUAAACACGAACAAAUCCUGCAAAUCCCGAACAGUUUUCCAAAGCGCAAACAAUUUUUCAAAAAUUUAACCAUUUCUGAGAAAACGAACAAAUUAUGAAAAAUGUGUACUUUUUUUUUCAAAUUUCUGAAUAUUUCCUGAGACCACGAACAGAUUGUAGGUUCUGAAUUUUUUUGGAAAACAUGAACAUUUUUUAUGUUCAGAACAAAAAAGUUAAAACAGAACAUUUAAUUGCAAACAAAAUUUUUAUUGUAUUCUUUUUUUGGAAAUGCGAACAAAAUUUGAAACCUGGGAAUGUUUAUUGUAAAUUGCGAACAAAAUGAUGAAACCGUGAACAUUUUUUUAAACAUGAACAUUUUUCUGAAAUGGUUCACAAAUUUUGAAAAAGAAAAUAUUUUUUGAAAUUACUAAACAUAUUUUGGACAUAUUUUCAAGUUCAGAACAUAUUUUAUGAAAAUGUGACCAAUUUUCGUAAAUGCGAACAAAAUUUUGAAACUCCUGAACAGCUUUGAAUUUGUGAACAACAUUUGGAACAUUUUUUUUGAAAUUUCCAUACAUUUUUGCAUUUGCAAACAAAAUUUAAACAUGUGAACAGUUUUUGUAUUUGUGAACAAAUUUUGGAAAUGGGAACUUUUUUUGAAACAAAAUGAUUUUUGUUUUGUGAAUAAACCAUUAAUAGGUGAACAGUUUCUGAAACGAUGCAAACAAUUUUUUAAAGCACGAACAAUUUUUGAAUGUUGAGAACAAAUUUUGAAAUGGAGAACAAAUUUGGAAGCUCGACCAAUUUUUUAAAGCACGAACGAUUUUUGAAUGUUGAGAACAAAUUUUGAAAUGGAGAACAAAUUUGGAAGCUCGACCAAUUUUUGAAAGCACGAACAAUUUUUGAAUGUUGAGAACAAAUUUUGAAAUGGAGAACAAAUUUGGAAGCUCGACCAAUUUUUGAAAGCACGAACAAUUUUUGAAUGUGGAGAACAAAUUUUGAAAUGGAGNNNNNNNNNNNNNNNNNNNNNNNNNNNNNNNNNNNNNNNNNNNNNNNNNNNNNNNNNNNNNNNNNNNNNNNNNNNNNNNNNNNNNNNNNNNNNNNNNNNNNNNNNNNNNNNNNNNNNNNNNNNNNNNNNNNNNNNNNNNNNNNNNNNNNNNNNNNNNNNNNNNNNNNNNNNNNNNNNNNNNNNNNNNNNNNNNNNNNNNNNNNNNNNNNNNNNNNNNNNNNNNNNNNNNNNNNNNNNNNNNNNNNNNNNNNNNNNNNNNNNNNNNNNNNNNNNNNNNNNNNNNNNNNNNNNNNNNNNNNNNNNNNNNNNNNNNNNNNNNNNNNNNNNNNNNNNNNNNNNNNNNNNNNNNNNNNNNNNNNNNNNNNNNNNNNNNNNNNNNNNNNNNNNNNNNNNNNNNNNNNNNNNNNNNNNNNNNNNNNNNNNNNNNNNNNNNNNNNNNNNNNNNNNNNNNNNNNNNNNNNNNNNNNNNNNNNNNNNNNNNNNNNNNNNNNNNNNNNNNNNNNNNNNNNNNNNNNNNNNNNNNNNNNNNNNNNNNNUUUUUAAAGCACGAACAAUUUUUGAAUGUUGAGAACAAAUUUUGAAAUGGAGAACAAAUUUGGAAGCGCGAAUUUGAAAUGGGAAGAUUUUUUGAAACUCCCAAACAUAAUUUGAAAUGUGAACAAAAAGAAAAAAAAAGAGAAGAAAAAGGAAUUGAAAGAUGAAAUAAAGAAACAGAAAAACAAAGAAAGAAAAAGAAAAAAACAGGAAAAUAACGAAGAAAAAGCAAACAGAAAAAACCAGUGAAAACCCGGUUCAAGAACCUUCUAGAAGGUUCCCAAAACCGUUCAGGAACCCUCCAGAAGGUUCCCAAAACCGGACACUGCAGCGCUAGCGCUACCUCCUAACUGGGCCGGCCCAUCCAGAUCGCUAUCGCUAGCUCUCUCUGUGCGAAGCCUCGACAAGUCAACGCAGCGAGCGUCCAAUAGGAUUUUCCGUGAAAACUUGCCUCCUUCGAGACCAAAUGCGGGCCGUAUGCCGGCCCUCCCAAUUGUGCAGACGCGCCGUGGACAUGCUCUUCCACCACCCACGGGCUGCUUGGUUGGACAGAGGGAGAUGGGCUCGGAGAAGAUAGCCUGGUUUAUUUGUCUAGAUAUCCAUGAAUGAAUUAUUUGGCGACUUGUCUGGUUUGAAGACAUCGUCAUAGCAUUUUCUCUUCUUUUUUGGUUAAUUAACUAACGGUCUGUUUACGUUUCAGUUGUUCAGAUUUAUGAGCGCUAAAAUUAUUUUAUUUUUGGAUGGAUUAUUUUUUCCAAGUUUCUAUAGGUCUCAUGUUUCCCCCUUGGUAUUUGUAAGUUCCCUUUUGUUUUAUUUUUAUAUGGUUAUUUUUCUUAUGGUUUUGGCGAAUUAACUGAUUUUAAAAUAUUGUCAUACCAUUUUUUUGAUUCUACCAAUUAAUGGAAAUUUUAGUUUUAGGUAUUGGAAUUUACGAAUAACUUCUUUUAUUAGGGGAAGAAAUAUUUUAUAAGUUUCUAAAGUACUCCUGUGCGUAAUUCUAUUUAUACCUUCUUUUUUCUUGAAGUUUGAACGACAUCCCUCCAUUCCAAUGAAUAAUCCGUGCACGCCUCCUAGAAUCCAACUUUGCCCAUAAAUUAGAUUAAUAAUAUAUAUUUUUGUGACUUCGAAAUUGUACCUCUAAAAUUCUUUUCAAUACGAAUUCAACAGUAUAAUUUUUAUCACAUAUAAUCCAAAAUUUGCUAGGUCUAAUUUAUGGUCAAAGCUUAAUUUUAGGGUGUGUACGUUAUACAUUGAAAUGGUGGGAAAGGGGAAAAGAGGGAGAGGGAGAAGGAAAGAGGGGAGUCGUGCCACUUCCUCUUGUCCAAUUCGGAUUGGGGCAAGGGGGGCGCGCCCCACCUCCUGCGGCCUGCCUCCUCUCCUCCACUAUGGCCCAUUAGGCCCAAUAACUUUCCCGGGGGUUCCGAUAGCCUCCCGACACUCCGAUAAAUCCCCGAACCUUAUCGGAACCAUUCCGAUGUCCGUAUAUAACCUUCCAAUCUUUACCUCUCGACCAUUUCAAGACUCCUCGUCAUGUACGUGAUCUCAUCCGAGACUCCGAACAAACUUCGGUCAUCAAAUCACAUAACUCAUAAUACAAAUCGUCAUCGAACCUUAAGCGUGCGGACCCUACGGGUUUGAGAACUAUGUAGACAUGACCGAGACACGUCGCCGGUCAAUAACCAAUAGCGAAACCUGGAAGCUCAUAUUGGCUUCUACAUAUUCUACGAAGAUCUUUAUCGGUCAAAUCGCAUAACAACAUACGUCAUUCCCUUUGUCAUCGGUAUGUUACUUGCCUGAGAUUCGAUCGUCGGUAUCAUUAUACCUAGUUCAAUCUCGUUACCGACAAGUCUCUUUACUCGUUACGUAAUACAUCAUCUCGCAACUAACUCAUUAGUCACAUUGCUUGCAAGGCUUAUAGUGAUGUGCAUUACCGAGAGGGUCCAGAGAUACCUCUCCGAUACACGGAGUGACAAAUCCUAAUAUCGAUCUAUGUCAACUCAACAAACACCAUCGGAGACACCCGUAGAGCAUCUUUAUAAUCACCCAGCUACGUUGUGACGUUUGAUAGCACACAAAGUGUUCCUCCGGUAUACGGGAGUUGCAUAAUCUCAUAGUAAGAGGAAUAUGUAUAAGUCAUGAAUAAAGCAAUAGCAAUAAAAUUAACGAUCAUUAUGCUAAGCUAACAGAUGGGUCUUGUCCAUCACAUCAUUCUCUAAUGAUGUGAUCCCGUUCAUCAAAUGACAACACAUGUCUAUGGUUAGGAAACUUAACCAUCUUUGAUUAACGAGCUAGUCAAGUAGAGGCAUACUAGGGACAGUUUGUUUUGUCUAUGUAUUCGCACAUGCACUAAGUUUCAGGUUAAUACAAUUCUAGCAUGAAUAAUAAACAUUUAUCACGAUGUAAGGAAAUAUAAAUAACAAUUUUAUUAUUGCCUCUAGGGCAUAUUUCCUUCGGUCUCCCACUUGCACUAGAGUCAAUAAUCUAGUUCACAUUGCCAUGUGGUUUAACACCAAUAGUUCACAUCUUUAUGUGAUUAGUUCACAUCGCCAUGUGAUUAACACCCAAAGGGUUUACUAGAGUCAAUAAUCUAGUUCACAUCGCUAUGUGAUUAACACCCAAAGAGUACUAAAGUGUGAUCAUGUUUUGCUUGUGAGAGAAUUUUAGUCAACGGGUCUGUCACAUUCAGAGCCGUAUGUAUUUUGCAAAUUUUCUAUGUCUACAAUGCUCUGCAUGGAGCUACUCUAGCUAAUCGCUCCCACUUUCAAUAUGUAUCCAGAUUGAGACUCAGAGUCAUCCGGAUCGGUGUAAAAGCUUGCAUCGACGUAACUCUUUACGACAAACUCUUUAUUACCUCCAUAACCGAGAACUAUUUCCUUAGUCCUCUUAGGUAACUAAGGAUAACUUUGACCGCUGUCCAGUGAUCCACUCCUGAAUCACUAUCGUACCCCUUUGCCAAAUUCAUGGCAAGGUACACAAUAGGUCUGGUACAUAGCAUAGCAUACUUUAUAGAACCUAUGGCUGAGGCAUAGGAAUGACUUUCAUUCUCUUUCUAUUUUCCGCCGUGGUCGGGUUUUGAGUCUUACUCAACUUCAUACCUUACAACGCAGGCAAGAACUCCUUCUUUGACUGAUCCAUUUUGAACUCCUUCAAAAUCUUAUCAAAGUAUGUACUCAUCGAAAGUCUUAUCAAGCGUCUUGAUCUAUCUUUAUAGAUCUUGAUGCCCAAUAUGUAAGUAGCUUCACUGAGGUCUUUCUUUGAAAAAUCCUUUCAGACACUCCUUUAUACUUUCCAAAAAAUUCUUCAUCAUUUUCGAUCAACAAUAUGUCAUUCACAUAUACUUAUAAGAAAUAUUGUAGUGCUCCCACUCACUUUCUUGUAAAUACAAGCUGCACCGCAAGUUUGUAUAAAACUAUAUGCUUUGAUCAACUCAUCAAAGUGUAUAUUCCAACUCUGAGAUGCUUGCACCAGUCCAUAGAUGGAUCGUUGGAGCUUGCACACUUUGUGAGCACUUUUAGGAUUGAGAAAACCUUCUGGUUGCAUCAUAUACAACUCUUCUUUAGUAAAUCCAUUAAGGAAUGCGGUUUUUGACAUCCAUUUGCUAGAUUUCAUAAAAUGCGGCAAUUGCUACCAUGAUUCGGAUAUACUUUAAGCAUAGAUACGAGUGAGAAACUCUCAUCGUAGUCAACACCUUAAACUUGUCGAAAACCUUUUCCGACAAUUCGAGCUUUGUAGAUAGUAACACUACUAUCAGCGUUCGUCUUCCUCUUAAAGAUCCAUUUAUUCUCAAUGGCUUGCCGAUCAUUGGGCAAGUCAAUCAAAGUCCAUACUUUGUUCUCAUACAUGGAUCCCAUCUCAGAUUUCAUGGCCUCGAGCCAUUUUGCGGAAUCUGGGCUCAUCAUCGCUUCCUCAUAGUUCAUAGGUUCAUCAUGGUCUAGUAACAUGAAUUCCAGAACAGGAUUACCAUACCACUCUGGUGCGGACCGUACUCUAGUUGACCUACGAGCUUCGGUAGUAACUUGAUCUAAAGUUUCAUGAGCAUCAUCAUUAGCUUCCUCACUAAUUGGUGUAAGAAUCACCAGAACUGAUUUCUGUGAUGAACUACUUUCCAAUUCGGGAGAAGGUACAAUCAAGUUCUACUUUCCUCCCACUCACUUAUUUUGAGAGAAACUCUUUCUCUAGAAAGGAUCCAUUCUUAGCAACGAAUAUCCUGCCUUCGGAUCUGUGAUAGAAGGUGUACCCAACAGUUUCCUUUGGGUAUUCUAUGAAGACACAUUUCUUCGAUUUGGGUUCGAGCUUAUCAGGUUGAAGCUUAUUCACAUAAGCAUCGCAGCCCCAAACUUUAAGAAACGACAACUUAGGUUUCUUGCCAAACCACAGUUCAUAUGGUGUCGUCUCAACGGAUUAGAUGGUGCCCUAUUUAACGUGAAUGUAGAUGUCUCUAAUGCAUAACCCCAAAACGAUAGUGGUAAAUCGGUAAGAGACAUCAUAUAUCGUACCAUAUCCAAUAAAAUACGGUUAUGACGUUGGGACACACCAUUACGUUGUGGUGUUCCAGGUGGCGUGAGGCCAAACUCGUAACUCAAAUAUUCGCCUCCGCGAUCAGAUGGUAGAAACUUUAUUUUCUUGUUACGAUGAUUCUCCACUUCACUCUGAAAUUCUUUGAACUUUUCAAAUGUUUCAGACUUGUGUUUCAUUAAGUAGACAUACCCAUAUCUGCUCAAAUCAUCUCUGAAGGUCAGAAAAUAACGAUACCCGCCGCAAGCCUCAACACUCAUUAGACCGUAUACAAUUCGGUAUGUAUUAUUUCCAAUAAGUCAUUGGCUCGCUCCAUUUUUCGAAGAACAGAGUUUUAGUCAUCUUGCCCAUGAGGCAUGGUUCGCAUGUAUCAAAUGAUUCAUAAUAAAGUGAUUUCAAAAGUCCGUCUGCAUGUAGUUUCUUCAUGCGCUUUACACCAAUAAGACCUAAACGAUAGUGCAAUAAAUAUGUUGCACUAUCAUUAUCAACUUUGCAUAUUUUGGCAUCAAUAUUAUGUGUAUCACUGCGAUCGAGAUUCAGUAGACCAUUUACAUUGGAUGUAAGACCAUAGAAGGUUUUAUUCAUGUAAACAGAACAAUAAUUAUUCUCUGACUUAAAUGAAUAACCAUAUCACAAUAAACAUGAUCCAAUCAUAUUCAUGCUCAACACAAACACCAAAUAACAUUUAUUUAGUUCCAAUACUAAUCCUGAAGGUAGAGGGAGUAUGCGAUGGUGAUCUUAUCAACCUUAGAAUCAUUUCCAACACACAUUGUCACCUUGCCCUCAACUAGCCUCUGUUCAUUUUGUAAGUCAUGUUUCGAGUUACUAAUCAUAGUAACUAAACCGGUAUCAAAUACCCAGGGGCUACUUUGAACACUAGUAAAGUACACAUCAAUAACAUGUAUAUCAUACAUAGUUUUGUUCACUUAUCCAUCCUUCUUACCCGCCAAGUAUUUGGGGCAGUUCCGCUUCCAGUGACCAUUUCCUUUGCAGUAGAAGCACUUAGUUUCAGACUUGGGUCUAGCUUUGGGCUUCUUUAUGGGAGUGGCAACUUGCUUGCCAUUCUUCUUGAAGUUCCCUUUCUUUUCCUUGCCCUUUUACUUGAAACUAGUGGUCUUAUCAACCAUCAACACUUGAUGCUUUUCUUGAUUUCUAUCUUUGCUGAUUUCAGCAUCGAGAAGAGCUUGGGAAUAGUUUUCGUCAUCCCUUGCAUAUUAUACUUUAUCACAAAAUUCUAGUAACUUGGUGAUAGUGACUAGAGAACUCUGUCAAACACUAUCUUAUCUGUAAGAUUAACUCCCACUUGAUUCAAGCGAUUGUAGUACUGAGACCUUCUGAGCACAUGCUCACUGGUUGAGCAAUUCUCCUCCAUCUUGUAGGCAAAAUACUUGUCAGAGGUCUCAUACCUCUCGACUUUGGCAUGAGCCUGAAAUACCAAUUUCAGCUCUUGGAACAUCUUAUAUGCUCCGUGGCGUUCAAAACGUUUUUGAAGUCCCGGUUCUAAGACGUAAAGCAUGGCGCACUAAACUAUCAAGUAGUCAUACUACCGAGCUUGCCAAAUGUUCAUAACGUCUGCAUCUGCUCCUGCAAUAGGUCCGUCACCUAGCGGUGCAUCAAGGACAUAAUUCUUCUGUGCAGCAAUGAGGAUAAUCCUCAGAUCACGGACCCAGUCCGCAUCAUUGCUACUAUCAUCUUUCAACUUAUUUUUCUCUAGGAACAUAUAAAAAAUAAAUGGGGAGCUACAUCGCAAGCUAUUGAUCUACAACAUAGAUAUGCAAAUACUAUCAGGACUAAAUUCAUGAUAAAUUAAAGUUCAAUUAGUCAUAUUACUUAAGAGCUCCUGCUUAGAUAGACAUCCCUCUAAUCAUCUAAAUGAUCACGUGAUCCAUAUCAACUAAACCAUGUCCGAUCAUCACGUGAGAUGGAGUAGUUUUCAAUGGUGAACAUCUCUAUGUUGAUCAUAUCUACUAUAUGAUUCACGUUUGACCUUUCGGUCUCAGUGUUCCGAUGCCAUAUCUGCAUAUGCUAGGCUCGUCCAGUUUAACCCGAUUAUUCUGCACAUGCAAAACUGGCUUGCACCCAUUGUAUGUGAACAUAGAUCUUAUCACACCCGAUCAUCACGUGGUGUCUCGGUACAACGAACUGUAGCAAUGAUGCAUACUCAGGGAGAACACUUAUACCUUGAAAUUUAGUGAGGGAUCAUCCUAUAAUGCUACCGCCGUACUAAGCAAAAUAAGAUGCAUAAAGUAUAAACAUCACAUGCAAUCAAAAUAUGUGACAUGAUAUGGCCAUCAUCAUCUUGUGCCUUUGAUCUCCAUCUCCAAAGCACCGUCCUGAUCUCCAUCGUCACCGGCUUGGCACCUUGAUCUCCAUCGUAGCAUCGUUGUCGUCUCGCCAACUGUUGCUUCCACGACUAUCGCUACCGCUUAGUGAUAAAGUAAAACAAUUACGUGGAAAUUGCAUUUCAUAUAAUAAAGCGACAACCAUAAGGCUCCUGCCAGUUGCCGAUAACUUUUACAAAACAUGAUCAUCUCAUACAACAAUUUAUAUCUCAUCAUGUCUUGACCAUAUCACAUCACAACAUGCCCUGCAAAAACAAGUUAGAUGUCCUCUACUUUGUUGUUGCAAGUUUUACGUGGCUGCUAUGGGCUUCUAGUAAGAACCGUUCUUACCUAUGCAUCAAAACCACAAGGAUUUUUUGUCAAGUGUGCUGUUUUAACCUUCGACAAGGACCGGCCGUAGUCAACCUCGAUUCAACUAAAGUUGGAGAAACAGACACCUGCUAGCCACCUGUGUGUGAAGCACGUCGGUAGAACCAGUCUCAUGAACGCGGUCAAGUAAUGUCGGUCCGGGCCGCUUCGUCUAACAAUACCGCCGAAUCAAAGUAAGACAUUGGUGGUAAUGAAGGAAAUAUGCCCUAGAGGCAAUAAUAAAGUUAUUAUUUAUUUCCUCAUAUCAUGAUAAAUGUUUAUUAUUCAUGCUAGAAUUGUAUUAACCGAAAACAUGAUACACGUGUGAAUACAUAGACAAACAUAAAGUCACUAGUAUGCCUCUACUUGGCUAGCUCAUUAAUCAAAGAUGGUUAUGUUUCCUAACCAUAGACAUGUGUUGUCAUUUGAUUAAUGGGAUCACAUCAUUAGGAGAAUGAUGUGAUUGACAUGACCCAUUCUGUUAGCCUAGCACUUGAUCGUUUAGUAUGUUGCUAUUGCUUUCUUCAUAACUUAUACAAAGUUCCUGCAACUAUGAGAUUGUGCAACUCCCGUUUACCGGAAGAACACUUUGUGUGCUACCAAACGUCACAACGUAACUGGGUGAUUAUAAAGGUGCUCUACAGGUGUUUCCGAAGGUACAUGUUGGGUUGGCAUAAUUCGAGAUUAGGUUUUGUCACUCCGAUUGUCGGAGAGGUAUCUCUGGGCCCUCUCGGUAAUACUCAUCACCUAAGCCUUGCAAGCAUUGUAACUAAUGAGUUAGUUAUAAGAUGAUGUGUUACAGAACGAGUAAAGAGACUUGCCGGUAACGAGAUUGAACUAGGUAUUGGAUACCGACGAUCAAAUCUCGGGCAAGUAACAUACCGAUGACAAAGGGAACAACGUAUGUUGUUAUGCGGUUUGACCGAUAAAGAUCUUCGCAGAAUAUGUAGGAACCAAUAUGGGCAUCCAGGUUCCGCUAUUGGUUAUUGACCGAGAAUGGUUCUAGGUCAUGUCUACAUAGUUCUCGAACCCGUAGGGUCCGCACGCUUAACGUUACGAUGACAGUUUUAUUAUGAGUUUACAAGUUUUGAUGUACCGAAGUUUGUUCGGAGUCCCAUAUGUGAUCACGGACAUGACGAGGAGUCUCGAAAUGGUCGAGACAUAAAGAUUGAUAUAUUGGACGACUAUAUUCGGACACCGGAAGUGUUCCGGGUGAUUUCGGAGAAAACCGGAGUGCCGGAGGGUUACCGGAACCCCCCCCCGGAGAGUUAAUGGGCCACAUGGGCCUUGGUGGGAAGAGAGAGGUGCGGCCAGGAAGGGCCGCGCGCCCCCUCUCCCUCUGGUCCGAAUUGGACUAGGAGGGGGGGGGGGCGGCGCCCCCCUCUUUCCUUCCCCCCCUCUCCCCCUUCCUUCCCCUCCUAGUAGGAGUAGGAAAGGAGGAGUCCUACUCCUACUAGGAGGAGGACUCCUCCUCCUGGCGCGCCCAACAAGGGCCGGCCGGCCUCCCCCUCCCUCCUUUAUAUACGGGGGCAGGGGGCACCCCAUAGACACACAAGUUGAUCUACGGAUCGUUCCUUAGCCGUGUGCGGUGCCCCCCUCCACCAUAUUCCACCUCGGUCAUAUCGUCGCGGAGUUUAGGCGAAGCCCUGCGCCGGUAGAACAUCAUCAUCGUCACCACGCCGUCGUGCUGACGGAACUCAUCCCCGAAGCUUUGCUGGAUCGGAGCCCGGGGAUCGUCAUCGAGCUGAACGUGUGCUGAACUCGGAGGUGCCGUACGUUCGGUGCUUGGAUCGGUCGGAUCGUGAAGACGUACGACUACAUCAACCGCGUUGUCAUAAUGCUUCCGCUUACGGUCUACGAGGGUACAUGGACGAACACUCUCCCCUCUCGUUGCUAUGCAUCACCAUGAUCUUGCGUGUGCGUAGGAAAUUUUUUGAAAUUACUAUGUUCCCCAACAAUGGCAUCCGAGCCUGGUUUUAUGCGUUGAUGUUAUAUGCACGAGUAGAACACAAGUGAGUUGUGGGCGAUACAAGUCAUACUGCUUACCAGCAUGUCAUACUUUGGUUCGGCGGUAUUGUGAGAUGAAGCGGCCCGGAUCGACAUUACGCGUACGCUUACGCGAGACUGGUUUCACCGUUGCGAGCACUCGUGCUUAAAGGUGGCUGGCGGGUGUCUGUCUCUCUUACUUUAGCUGAAUCGAGUGUGGCUACGCCCGGUCCUUGUGAAGGUUAAAACAGCACCAACUUGACAAACUAUCGUUGUGGUUUUUAUGCGUAGGUAAGAACGGUUCUUGCUAAAAGCCUGUAGCAGCCACGUAAAAUUUGCAACAACAAAGUAGAGGACGUCUAACUUGUUUUUGCAGGGCAUGUUGUGAUGUGAUAUGGUCAAGACGUGAUGCUAUAUUUUAUUGUAUGAGAUGAUCAUGUUUUGUAACCGAAGUUAUCGGCAACUGGCAGGAGCCAUAUGGUUGUCGCUUUAUUGUAUGAAAUGCAAACGCCCUGUAAUUGCUUUACUCUAUCACUAAGCGGUAGCGAUAGUCGUAGAAGCAAUAGUUGGCGAGACGACAACGAUGCUACGAUGGAGAUCAAGGUGUCGCGCCGGUGAUGAUGGUGAUCAUGACGGUGUUUCGGAGAUGGAGAUCACAAGCACAAGAUGAUGAUGGCCAUAUCAUAUCACUUAUAUUGAUUGCAUGUGAUGUUUAUCCUUUAUGCAUCUUAUCUUGCUUUGAUUGACGGUAGCAUUUUAAGAUGAUCUCUCACUAAAAUUAUCAAGAAGUGUUCUCCUUGAGUACGCACCAUUGCCAAAGUUCGUCGUGCCCAGACACCAUGUGAUGAUCGGGUGUGAUAAGCUCUACAGCCAUCUACAACGGGUGCAAGCCCGUUUUGCACACGCAGAAUACUCAGGUUAAACUUGACGAGCCUAGCAUAUGCAGAUAUGGCCUCGGAACACGGAGACCGAAAGGUCGAGCGUGAAUCAUAUAGUAGAUAUGAUCAACAUAGUGAUGUUCACCAUUGAAAACUACUCCAUCUCAUGUGAUGAUCGGUUAUGGUUUAGUUGAUUUGGAUUACGUGAUCACUUAGAUGACUAGAGAGAUGUCUGUCUAAGUGGGAGUUCUUAAGUAAUAUGAUUAAUUGAACUUAAAUUUAUCAUGAACUUAGUACCUGAUAGUAUUUUGCUUGUCUAUGUUUGUUUGUAGAUAGAUGGCUCGUGCUGUUGUUCCGUUGAAUUUUAAUGCGUUCCUUGAGAAAGCAAAGUUGAAAGAUGAUGGUAGCAAUUACACGAACUGGGUCCGUAACCUGAGGAUUAUCCUCAUUGCUGCACAGAAAAGUUACGUCCUGGAAGCACCACUGGGUGCCAAGCCUGCUGCUGAUGCAACUGACGACGUUAAGAACGUCUGGCAGAGCAAAGCUGAUGACUACUCUAUAGUUCAAUGUGCCAUGCUUUACGGCUUAGAACCGGGUCUUCAACGACGUUUUGAACGUCAUGGAGCAUAUGAGAUGUUCCAGGAGUUGAAGUUAAUAUUUCAAGCAAAUGCCCGGAUUGAGAGAUAUGAAGCCUCCAAUAAGUUCUACAGCUGCAAGAUGGAGGAGAAUAGUUCUGUCAGUGAACAUAUACUCAAAAUGUCUGGGUAUAAUAAUCACUUGAUUCAACUGGGAGUUAAUCUUCUGGAUGAUAGCGUCAUUGACAGAAUUCUCCAAUCACUGCCACCAAGCUACAAGAGCUUUGUGUUGAACUAUAAUAUGCAAGGGAUGAACAAGACUAUUCCCGAGCUCUUCGCAAUGCUAAAAGCUGCGGAGGUAGAAAUCAAGAAGGAGCAUCAAGUGUUGAUGGUCAACAAGACCACUAGUUUCAAGAAAAAGGGCAAAGGGAAGAAGAAGGGGAACUUCAAGAAGAACAACAAGCAAGUUGCUGCUCAAGAGAAGAAAGCCAAGUCUAGACCUAAGCCUGAAACUGAGUGCUUCUACUGCAAGCAGACUGGUCACUGGAAGCGGAACUGCCCCAAGUAUUUGGCGGAUAAGAAGGAUGGCAAAGUGAACAAAGGUAUAUGUGAUAUACAUGUUAUUGAUGUGUACCUAACUAGAGCUCGUAGUAGCACCUGGGUAUUUGAUACUGGUUCUGUUGCUAAUAUUUGCAACUCGAAACAGGGACUACGGAAUAAGCGAGCACUGGCCAAGGACGAGGUGACGAUGCGCGUGGGAAACGGUUCCAAAGUCGAUGUGAUCGCGGUCGGCACGCUACCUCUACAUCUACCUUCGGGAUUAGUUUUAGACCUAAAUAAUUGUUAUUUGGUGCCAGCGUUGAGCAUGAACAUUAUAUCUGGAUCUUGUUUGAUGCGAGACGGUUAUUCAUUUAAAUCAGAGAAUAAUGGUUGUUCUAUUUAUAUGAGUAAUAUCUUUUAUGGUCAUGCACCCUUGAAGAGUGGUCUAUUUUUAUUAAAUCUCGAUAGUAGUGAUACACAUAUUCAUAGUGUUGAAACCAAAAGAUGCAGAGUUAAUAAUGAUAGUGCAACUUAUUUGUGGCACUGCCGUUUGGGUCAUAUCGGUGUAAAGCGCAUGAAGAAACUCCAUACUGAUGGACUUUUGGAAUCACUUGAUUAUGAAUCACUUGGUACUUGCGAACCGUGCCUUAUGGGCAAGAUGACUAAAACGCCAUUCUCCGGAACUAUGGAGCGAGCAACUGAUUUGUUGGAAAUCAUACAUACUGAUGUUUGUGGCCCAAUGAAUGUUGAGGCUCGCGGUGGGUAUCGUUAUUUUCUCACCUUCACAGAUGAUUUGAGCAGAUAUGGGUAUAUCUACUUGAUGAAACACAAGUCUGAAACAUUUGAAAAGUUCAAAGAAUUUCAGAGUGAAGUGGAAAAUCAUCGUAACAAGAAAAUAAAGUUUCUACAAUCUGAUCGUGGAGGAGAGUAUUUGAGUUAUGAGUUUGGCCUACACUUGAAACAAUGUGGAAUAGUUUCGCAACUCACGCAACCUGGAACACCACAACGAAAUGGUGUGUCCGAACGUUGUAAUUGUACUUUACUUGAUAUGGUGCGAUCUAUGAUGUCUCUUACUGAUUUACCGCUAUCAUUUUGGGGUUAUGCUUUAGAGACGGCCGCAUUCACGUUAAAUAGGGCACCAUCAAAAUCCGUUGAAACGACGCCUUAUGAACUGUGGUUUGGCAAGAAACCAAAGUUGUCGUUUCUUAAAGUUUGGGGCUGCGAUGCUUAUGUGAAGAAACUUCAACCAGAUAAGCUCGAACCUAAAUCGGAGAAAUGUGUCUUCAUAGGAUACCCAAAAGAGACUAUUGGGUACACCUUCUAUCACAGAUCCGAAGGCAAGACAUUCGUUGCUAAGAAUGGAUCCUUUCUAGAGAAGGAGUUUCUCUCGAAAGAAGUGAGUGGGAGGAAAGUAGAACUUGAUGAGAUAACUGUAUCUACUCCCUUAUUGGAAAGUAGUUCAUCACGAGAACCAGUUCCUAUGACAACUACACCAAUUAGUGAGGAAGCUAAUGAUAAUGAUCAUGAAACUUCAGAUCAAGUUUCUACUGAACCUCGUAGGUCUACCAGAGUAAGAUCCGCACCAGAGUGGUACGGUAAUCCUAUUCUGGAAGUCAUGUUACUUGACCAUGAUGAACCUACGAACUAUGAGGAAGCGAUGAUGAGCCCGGAUUCCGCAAAAUGGCUAGAAGCCAUGAAAUCUGAGAUGGGAUCCAUGUAUGAAAACAAAGUAUGGACUUUGGUUGACUUGCCUGAUGAUCGGCAAGCCAUUGAGAAUAAAUGGAUCUUUAAGAAGAAGACUGACGCUGAUGGUAAUAUAACUGUCUAUAAAGCUCGACUUGUUGCAAAAGGUUUUCGACAAGUUCAAGGGGUUGACUACGAUGAGACUUUCUCACCCGUAGCGAUGCUUAAGUCCGUCCGAAUCAUGUUAGCUAUUGCUGCAUUUCAUGAUUAUGAAAUUUGGCAAAUGGAUGUCAAGACUACAUUCUUGAACGGAUUUCUAGAAGAAGAGUUGUAUAUGAUGCAGCCGGAAGGUUUUGUUGAUCCAAAAGGUGCUGACAAAGUGUGCAAGCUCCAGCGUUCCAUUUAUGAACUGGUGCAAGCAUCUCGGAGUUGGAAUAAACGCUUUGAUAGUGUGAUCAAAGCAUAUGGUUUUAUACAGACUUUCGGAGAAGCCUGUAUUUACAAGAAAGUGAGUGGGAGCUCUGUAGCAUUUCUAAUUUUGUAUGUAGAUGGCAUAUUAUUAAUUGGAAAUGAUAUAGAAUUUCUGGAUAGCAUAAAAGGAUACUUGAAUAAAAGUUUUUCAAUGAAAGACCUCGGUGAAGCUGCUUACAUAUUGGGCAUCAAGAUCUAUAGAGAUAGAUCAAGACGCUUAAUAGGACUUCCACAAAGCACAUACCUUGACAAAAUUUUGAAAAAGUUCAAAAUGGAUCAGGCAAAGAAAGGAUUCUUGCCUGUGCUACAAGGUGUGAAGUUGAGUGAAACUCAAUGCCCGACCACAGCAGAAGAUAGAGAGAAAAUGAAAAAUGUUCCCUAUGCUUCAGCCAUAGGCUCUAUCAUGUAUGCAAUGCUGUGUACCAGACCUGACGUAUGCUUAGCAAUAAGCUUGGCAAGAAGGUACCAAAGUAAUCCAGGAGUGGAUCACUGGACAGCGGUCAAGAACAUCCUGAAAUACCUGAAAAGGACUAAGGAUAUGUUUCUCGUAUAUGGAGGUGACAAAGAGCUAGUCGUAAACGGUUACGUCGAUGCAAGCUUUGACACUGAUCCGGACGAUUCUAAAUCGCAAACCGGAUACGUGUUUUUAUUAAACGGUGGAGCUGUAAGUUGGUGCAGUUCUAAACAAAGCGUCGUAGCAGGAUCUACAUGUGAAGUGGAGUACAUAGCUGCUUCGGAAGCAGCAAAUGAAGGAAUCUGGAUGAAGGAGUUCAUUUCCGAUCUAGGUGUCAUACCUAGUGCAUCGGGACCAAUGAAGAUCUUCUGUGACAAUACUGGUGCAAUUGCCUUGGCAAAGGAAUCCAGAUUUCACAAGAGGACCAAGCACAUCAAGAGACGCUUCAAUUCCAUUCGGGACCAAGUCCAAGUGGGAGACAUAGAGAUUUGCAAGAUACAUACGGAUCUGAAUGUCGCAGACCCGUUGACUAAGCCUCUCUCACGAGCAAAACAUGAUCAGCACCAAGACUCCAUGGGUGUUAGAAUCAUUACUAUGUAAUCUAGAUUGUUGACUCUAGUGCAAGUGGGAGACUGAAGGAAAUAUGCCCUAGAGGCAAUAAUAAAGUUAUUAUUUAUUUCCUCAUAUCAUGAUAAAUGUUUAUUAUUCAUGCUAGAAUUGUAUUAACCGGAAACAUGAUACACGUGUGAAUACAUAGACAAACAUAAAGUCACUAGUAUGCCUCUACUUGACUAGCUCAUUAAUCAAAGAUGGUUAUGUUUCCUAACCAUAGACAUGUGUUGUCAUUUGAUUAAUGGGAUCACAUCAUUAGGAGAAUGAUGUGAUUGACAUGACCCAUUCUGUUAGCCUAGCACUUGAUCGUUUAGUAUGUUGCUAUUGCUUUCUUCAUAACUUAUACAAAGUUCCUGCAACUAUGAGAUUGUGCAACUCCCGUUUACCGGAAGAACACUUUGUGUGCUACCAAACCUCACAACGUAACUGGGUGAUUAUAAAGGUGCUCUACAGGUGUUUCCGGAGGUACAUGUUGGGUUGGCAUAAUUCGAGAUUAGGUUUUGUCACUCCGAUUGUCGGAGAGGUAUCUCUGGGCCCUCUCGGUAAUACCAUCACCUAAGCCUUGCAAGCAUUUUAACUAAUGAGUUAGUUAUAAGAUGAUGUGUUACAGAACGAGUAAAGAGACUUGCCGGUAACGAGAUUGAACUAGGUAUUGGAUACCGACGAUCAAAUCUCGGGCAAGUAACAUACCGAUGACAAAGGGAACAACGUAUGUUGUUAUGCGGUUUGACUGAUAAAGAUCUUCGCAGAAUAUGUAGGAACCAAUAUGGGCAUCCAGGUUCCGCUAUUGGUUAUUGACCGAGAAUAGUUCUAGGUCAUGUCUACAUAGUUCUCGAACCCGUAGGGUCCACACGCUUAACGUUACGAUGACAGUUUUAUUAUGAGUUUACAAGUUUUGAUGUACCGAAGUUUGUUCGGAGUCCCGGAUGUGAUCACGGACAUGACGAGGAGUCUCGAAAUGGUCGAGACAUAAAGCUUGAUAUAUUGGACGACUAUAUUCGGAAGUGUUCCGGGUGAUUUCGGAGAAAACCGGAGUGCCCGAGGGUUACCGGAACCCCCCCCGGAGAGUUAAUGGGCCACAUGGGCCUUGGUGGGAAGAGAGAGGGGCAGCCAGGAAGGGCUGCGCACCCCCUCUCCCUCUGGUCCGNNNNNNNNNNNNNNNNNNNNNNNNNNNNNNNNNNNNNNNNNNNNNNNNNNNNNNNNNNNNNNNNNNNNNNNNNNNNNNNNNNNNNNNNNNNNNNNNNNNNNNNNNNNNNNNNNNNNNNNNNNNNNNNNNNNNNNNNNNCUUCCUUCCCCUCCUAGUAGGAGUAGGAAAGGAGGAGUCCUACUCCUACUAGGAGGAGGACUCCUCCUCCUGGCGUGCCCAACAAGAGCCGGCCGGCCUCCCCCCUCCCUCCUUUAUAUACGAGGGCAGGGGGCACCCCAUAGACACACAAGUUGAUCUACGGAUCGUUCCUUAGCCGUGUGCGGUGCCCCCCUCCACCAUAUUCCACCUCGGUCAUAUUGUCGCGGAGUUUAGGCGAAGCCCUGCGCCGGUAAAACAUCAUCAUCGUCACCACGCCGUCGUGCUGACGAAACUCAUCCCCGAAGCUUUGCUGGAUCGGAGCCCGGGGAUCGUCAUCGAGCUGAACGUGUGCUGAACUCGGAGGUGCCGUACGUUCGGUGCUUGGAUUGGUCGGAUCAUGAAGACGUACGACUACAUCAACCGCGUUGUCAUAACGCUUCCGCUUACGGUCUACGAGGGUACAUGGAUGAACACUCUCCCCUCUUGUUGCUAUGCAUCACCAUGAUCUUGCGUGUGCGUAGGAAUUUUUUUGAAAUUACUACGUUCCCCAACAGGUAAGUAGUAUGACUAUUAUCGCCCACAACUCUUUGUGUUCUACUCGUGCAUAUAACAUCUACGCAUAGACCUGGCUCGGAUGCCACUUUUUGGGAACGCAAUAUUUCAAAAAAAAUUUCCUACGAUCAUGCAAGAUCUAUCUAGGAGAUGCAUAGCAACGAGACAGGAGAGUGUGUCCACGUACCCUCGUAGACCGAAAGUGGAACCGUUUAGUAACGUGGUUGAUGUAGUCGAACGUCUUCACGAUCCAACCGAUCCAAGCACCGAACGUACGGCACCUCCGUGUUCAACACACGUUUAGCACGAUGAGGUCCCUCAAGCUCUUGAUCCAGUUGAGGACGAGGGAGAGUUCCGUCAGCAAGACGACGUGGCGACGGUGAUGAUGAAGUUACCGGUGCAGGGCUUCACCUAAGCCCUACAAUGAUAUGACCGAGGUGUUAAACUGUGGAUGGAGGCACCGCACCCGGCUAAGAGAUUGUCUGUUGUGCUUUGGGGUGGCCCCUUGCCCAUGUAUAUAAAGGAGGGGGGAGGAAGAGGCAGACCAAGGAGGAGGCGCGCCAAGGGGGGGGGGAGUCCUACUAGGACUCCAAACCUAGUAGGAUUCGCCCCCCAUUUCCUUCCAACAGAGAGGGGGAAAGGGGAAAGGAGGGAGAGGGAGAAGGAAAGAGGGGAGUCGUGCCACUUCCCCUUGUCCAAUUCGGAUUGGGGCAAGGGGGCGCGCCCCACCUCCUGUGGCCUGCCUCCUCUCCUCCACUAUGGCCCAUUAGGCCCAAUAACUUUCUUGGGGGGUUCCGACAGCCUCCCGGUACUCUGAUAAAUCCCCGAACCUUACCGGAACCAUUCCGAUGUCCGUAUAUAACCUUUCAAUAUAUCAAUCUUUACCUCUCGACCAUUUAGAGACUCCUCGUCAUGUCCAUGAUCUCAUCCGGGACUCCGAACAAACUUCGGUCAUCAAAUCACAUAACUCAUAAUACAAAUCGUCAUCGAACGUUCAGCGCGCGGACCCUACGGGUUCGAGAACUAUGUAGACAUGACCGAGACACAUCUCCGGUCAAUAACCAAUAGCGGAACCUGGAUGCUCAUAUUGGCUCCUACAUAUUCUAUGAAGAUGUUUAUUGGUCAAACUGCAUAACAACAUACGUCAUUCCCUUUGUCAUCAGUAUGUUACUUGCCCGAGAUUCGAUCGUUGGUAUCAUCAUACCUAGUUCAAUCUCGUUACUGGCAAGUCUCUUUACUCGUUCCGUAAUGCAUCAUCCCGCAACUAACUCAUUAGUCACAUUGCUUGCAAGGCUUAUAGUGAUGUGCAUUAUGAUACGUCUUCGUCGUAUCUAUAAUUCUUGAUUGUUCCAUGCCAAUAUCAUUCAACUUUCAUAUACUUUUGGCAACAUUUUAUACUAUUUUUUGGGACUAACAUAUUGAUCCAGUGCCCAGUGCGAGUUCCCGUUUGUUGCAUGUUUUAUGUUUCGCAGAAACCCCAUAUCAAACGGAGUCCAAAUGGGAUAAAAACGGAUGGAGCUUAUUUUUGGAAUAUUUGGGAAAUAUGGGAGGAAGAAUCAACGUGAGAUGGUGCCCGAGGUGGCCACGAGGUAGGGGCGCGCCCCUGACCCUCAUGGGCCCCUCGUAAGGCGGUUGCUGAUAUUCUUUUGCGGCAAGAAAGCUAAUUUUCGGAAAAAAAAAUCUUGGCGAAGUUCUCAGUCCAAUCGGAGUUAUGGAUCUCUGGAUAUAAAAGAAACGGUGAAAGGGCAGAACCUAGGAACGCAGAAACAGAGAGAGACAGAGAGACAGAUCCAAUCUCGGAGGGGCUCUCGCCCCUCCCAUGCCAUGGGAGCCAAGGACCAGAGAGGAAACCCUUCUCCCAUCUAGGGAGAAGGUCAAAGAAGAAGGGGGGCUCUCUCCCCUUGCUUCUGGUGGCGCCGGAACGCCGCCGGGGGCCAUCAUCAUCACCGCGAUCUUCACCAACACCUCCGCCAUCUUCACCAACAUCUCCAUCACCUUCCCCCAUCUAUAUUCAGAGGUCCACUCUCCCGCAACCCGUUGUAUCCUCUACUUGAACAUGGUGCUUUAUGCUUCAUAUUAUUAUCCAAUGACGUGUUGCCAUCCUAUGAUGUCUGAGUAGAUUUUCGUUGUCCUAUCGGUGAUUGGUGAAUUGCUAUGAUUGGUUUAAUUUGCUUGUGGUUAUGUUGCUAUCCUAUUGUGCCCUCCGUGUCAUGCAAGCGUGAGGGAUUUCCGCUGUAGGGUGUUGCAAUACGUUCAUGAUUCACUUAUAGUGGGUUGCUAGAGUGACAAAAGCUUAAACCCGAGUAAGGGGAUUGUUGCGUAUGGGAUAAAGGGGACUUGAUGCUUCAAUGCUAUGGUUGGGUUUUACCUUAAUGAUCUUUAGUAGUUGCGGAUGCUUGCUAAAGUUCAAAUCAUAAGUGCAUAUGAUCCAAGAAGAGAAAGUAUGUUAGCUUAUGCCUCUCCCACAUAAAACUUGCUAUCGGUCUAGUAAGGUAGUCAAUUGCUUAGGGACAAUUUCACAACUCCUACCACCACUUUUCCACACUCGCUAUAUUUACUUUAUUGCUUCUUUAUCUAAACAGCCCCUACUUUAUAUUUACGUGUUCUUUAUUAUCUUGCAAACCUAUCCAACAACACCUACAAAGUACUUAUAGUUUCAUACUUAUUCUAGGUAAAGCGAACACUAAGCGUACGUAGAGUCGUAUGAGUGGCAGAUAGGACUUGAGAGAAUAUUUGUUCUACCUUUAGCUCCUCGUUGGGUUCAACACUCUUACUUAUCGAAAGAGGCUACAAUUAUCCUCUACACUUGUGGGUUAUCAAGACCUUUUUCUGGCGCCGUUGCCAGGGAGUCAUAGCAUGGGGUGAAUAUUCUCGUGUGUGCUUGUUUGCUUUAUCACUAAGUAAUUUUUAUUUGCUGUUCUAAGUUGUUCUCUUUCUUUAGUUAUAUAUAUGGAACAAGAAAUACCAAAAAAAUUAGGUGUAGUUGCUACUCAUGGAGAUGGGGAACCUCCUAAAACCCUCAAUGCUCGUUAUGUGAAAGAAAUUAUGUACUACUUUUAUAAUCCUAAGAAAACCCCAUUCAAUUAUGUUAUGGGAGACACGUUGGAUCAACAUGAAUACUUUAGGGAUUAUCGCUUGACACAAAAAGGGAAACUAUUAUGGGAUCAAAUUUAUAUGUUGUAUUGGUAUGCUAGGCAACUAUGCUUGAGAUAUGAUUAUACUUGUUGCUCUAGGAUGAAGGCUCCACACCUUCCCUUUUCAUGGAAAUUUAAUGAUAAUAAAACCUUAGCUUCUUAUGCCAACGGUAUCUAUGAUUACUAUGAUGUGGAACAAAUAGAAGAAUCCGUUGCUUUUAUGGGUGCUUAUGAGAUUGAAUCUAUGUCUAAAGAGUUUGAUGAUUUUGAUGAUUCAGUUUAUAGACCUAAUUUUUUUUGCUAUACUUAGAUAUUGCUAUGAAAAUUAUGAAUACAAUUCCGAUAUUGAUGCAUUUAUUGAGAAAGUCUCCGCUGUCCAAGAAGAGACUAAUAUUUUGCAGGAAGCUAUGGAAGAAGAAAUUGAUGAAACUGUGAGCUCAUUGGAUGAAAAAGAUGAUAAGGAGAGCGAAGAACAAAAGGAGGAAGAGCGGAUUAGCUACCCGUGCCCACCUUCCAAUGAGAGUAACUCUUCAACUCAUACAUUGUUUAAUUCCCCUUCGUGCUUACGGAAGGAUGAUUGCUAUGAUGAUUGUUAUGUUCCCAUUGAUUCUUUUGAAAUAUCCCUUUUUGAUGAUGCUUGCUAUGCUUGUAGCCAAGAUGCCAAUAUGAAUUAUGCUUAUGGAGAUGAACUUGCUAUAGUUCCUUAUGUUAAACAUGAAAUUGUUGCUAUUGCACCCACACAUGAUAGUCCUAUUAUCUUUUUGAAUUCUACCGACUACACUAUAUCGGAGAAGUUUGUGCUUAUUAAGGAUUAUAUUGAUGGGUUGCGUUUUACUACUACACAUGAUGAUUUUGAUAGAUAUAAUAUGCAUGUGCUUGCUGCUCCUACUUGCAAUUAUUAUGAGAGAGGAACUAUAUCUCCACCUCUCUAUGUUUCCAACACGAUAGAAUUGCAAGAAACUGUUUAUACUAUGCAUUGGCCUUUACUAUGUGUGCAUGAAUUGUUCUUUUAUGACAUGCCGAUGCAUAGGAAGAGAGUUAGACUUCGUCAUUACAUGAUAUAUGUUAGUUUGUGCUCACUACUAAAUUACAAAUCAUUGUUAAUUAAAAUUGGCUUUGAUAUACCUUGGGAUUCGGGUGGAUCCAUUAGUUGAGCACUAUAUGCCUAGCUUAAUGACUUUAAAGAAAGCGCUGCCAGGGAGACAACCCAGAAGUUUUAGAGAGUCAUUUAUUUCUGUUGAGUGCUUUUAUAUAGUCUAAAAACAAAAAAAAAUAAAGUGGAUAAUCCAAAACUUUUCAUAAAGGAAAGUGAAAGUGAGAAAGACAAGCAUUGUUGAAGUGGGAGCUAGCCUUGAACUUUGUUCAUGCUCACGGAAACUUUGUGAAUCUUGAUUACAGAAACUUAUCAUCAAAAAUAAUUAUCACCUUGUACAAUUCCAUUGUAUUAUAAAAAUAAUGUGCCAAGGUUUGCCUUUAGGAUGUUUACAAUGCUUGUUGGUUUGUACGGUGUAGGACAGAAACUUCGGCUGUAGUGCGCGAUUUUACAUUGUUUACUGGAACGCCAAAUGGUUCUGAUUCUUUUUGCACUGUCUUUAUGUACAUAUUUUUUUAGUUUUCUUAAUUCUGGUAGAAUUUUGGGGGUACCAGAAGUAUGGUGGAUGUUCAGAUUGCUACAGACUGUUCCGUUUUUGACAGAUUCUGUUUUUGAUGCAUAGUUUGCUUGUUUUGAUGAAACUAUCAAUUUAUAUUAGUGGAUUAAGCCAUGGAAAAGUUAUAUUACAGUAGACACAAUGAAAAAACAAAAUAUGAAUUGGUUUUCAAUAGUACCUAUAGUAGUAAUUUGCUUUAUUAUACUAACGGAUCUUACCGAGUUUUCUGUUGAAGUUUUGUGUGGAUGAAGUGUUUGAUCGAGGAGGUCUCGAUAUGAGGAAAAGGAAGAGAGGCAAGAGCUCAAGCUUGGGGAUGCCCAAGACACCCCAAGUAAAUAUUCAAGGAGACUCAAGCGUCUAAGCUUGGGGAUGCCCCGGAAGGCAUCCCCUCUUUCUUCAACAAGUAUCGGUAUGUUUUCGGAUUCGUUUCGUUCAUGCGAUAUGUGCAAGUCUUGGAGCGUCGUUUGCAUUUAGUUUUUACUUUUCUUUUAUGCACCAUGCUGGUAUGAGAUAGUCCUUGGUUGAUUUAUAGAAUGCUCAUUGCAUUUCACUUAAAUAUUUUGAGUAUGGCUUUAUAGAAUUCUUCAUGUGCUUCACUUAUAUCUUUUGAAGUUUGGAUUGCAAGUUUCUCUUUACAUAGAAAACCGCCAUUCGUAGAAUGCUCUGUUGCUUCACUUAUAUUUGUUAGAGCGUGGGCAUAUCUUUUGUAGAAAGAAUUAAACUCUUUUGUUUCACUUAUAUAAAUUUAGAGAGAUGACAGGAAUUGGUCAUUCACAUGGUUAGUCAUAAAACCCUACAUAAACUUGCAGAUCGCUGAAUAUGAUAUGUUUGAUUCCUUGCAAUAGUUUUGCGAUAUAGAGAUGAUAAUAUGUGGGAGGUACUAGUAUAUGGUUGUGUUUAGUGAGGAUAUUGGCGUUAAGGUUUGUGAUUCCCGAAGCAUGCACGUAUGGUCUACUAACUAUGUAACCAAAUUGGCGCGCAUUGUAUUUUGAUUGUUUAUCUUUGCGUGAAGGUCGGGGGCGCGCGAUGGUUAACUCCUACCAACCUCCCCCUAGGAGUAUGCGUGUAGUACUUUGUUUCAAGGGCUAAUAAAUUUUUGCAAUAAGUAUGUGAUUUCUUUAUAACUAAUGUUGAGUCCAUGGAUUAUACGCACUCUCACCCUUCCAUCAUUGCUAGCCUAUUCGGUACCGUGCAUUUCCCUUUCUCACCUCAAGAGUUGGUGCAAACUUCGCCGGUGCAUCUAAACCCCGUGAUACGAUACACUCUAUCACACAUAAGCCUCCUUAUAUCUUCCUCAAAAUAGCCACCAUACCUACCUAUCAUGGCAUUUCCAUAGCCAUUCCAAGAUAUAUUGCCAUGCAACUUCCAUCAUCAUCAUAUACAUGACUUGAGCAUUCAUUGUCAUAUUGCCUUGCAUGAUCGUAAGAUAGCUAGCAUGAUGUUUUCAUGGCUUGUCCGUUUUUUGAUGUCAUUGCUAUGCUAGAUCAUUGCACAUCCGGGUACACCGCCGGAGGCAUUCAUAUAGAGUCAUAUCUUUGUUCUAGAUAUCGAGUUGUAAUAUUGAGUUGUAAGUAAAUAAAAGUGUGAUGAUCAUCAUUAUAGAGCAUUGCCCCAUAAAAAAAGAGGCCAAAGAAGCCUAAAUAAAAAAAGGGGGCCAAAGAAGCCCGCAAAAAAAAGAAAAGGGGCAAUGUUACUAUCCUUUUACCACACUUGUGCUUCAAAGUAGCACCAUGUUCUUCAUAUAGAGAGUCUCCUAUGUUGUCACUUUCAUAUACUAGUUGGAAUUUUCAUUAUAGAACUUAGCUUGUAUAUUCCAACGAUGGGUUUUCUCAAAUGCCCUAGGUCUUCAUGAACAAGCAAGUUGGAUGCACACCCACUUAGUUUUCAGGUUGAGCUUUCAUACACUUAUAGCUCUAGUGCAUCCGUUGCAUGGCAAUCCCUACUCCUCGCAUUGACAUCAAUUGACGGGCAUCUCCAUAGCCCGUUGAUUAGCCGCGUCGAUGUGAGACUUUAUCCCUUUUUGUCUUGUCUACAUAACCUCCACCAUCAUAUUCUAUUCCACCCAUAGUGCUAUAUCCAUGGCUCACGCUCAUAUAUUGCGUGAAAGUUGAAAAAGUUUGAGAAUACUAAAGUAUGAAACAAUUGCUUGGCUGACACCGGGAUAGGCAUGAUUGGUACCUUGUGUUAAGAAAAGGGAGCAUACAAGACUAUAUGAUUUUUUAGGGAUAACGUUCUAAAGCAUUGAUAUUUUGAAAGACAUGAUUGUUUGUUGGGAUGCCCUAAGUAUUAUUAUUUUUAUGUCAAAUGAUAGACUAUUACUUUAAAUCACUCGUGUCUUAAUAUUCAUGCCAUGAUUAGAUAUAUGAUCAAGAUUAUGCUAGGUAGCAUUCCACAUCAAAAAUUAUCUUUUUUUAUCAUUUACCUACUCGAGGAGGAGCGGGAAUUAAGCUUGGGGAUGCUGAUACAUCUCUGUCGUAUCUAUAAUUCUUGAUUGUUCCAUGCCAAUAUUAUUCAACUUUCAUAUACUUUCGGCAACUUUUUAUACUAUUUUUGGGGACUAACAUAUUGAUCCAGUGCCGAGUGGCAGUUCUUGUUUGUUGCAUGUUUUAUGUUUCGCAGAAACCCCAUAUCAAAUGGAGUCCAAAUGGGAUAAAAACGGACGGAGCUUAUUUUUGGAAUAUUUGGGAAAUAUGGGAGAAAGAAUCAAUGUGAGACGGUGCCCGAGGUGGCCACGAGGCAGGGGGCGCGCCUACCCAUACUGGGCGCGCCCCUGACCCUCGUGGGCCCCUUGUAAGGCGGUUGCUGCUAUUCUUUUGCCGCAAGAAAGCUAAUUUUUGGAAAAAAAUCUUGGCGAAGGUUUCAGUCCAACCGGAGUUACGGAUCUCCGGAUAUAAAAGAAACAGUGAAAGGGCAGAAUUCAGGAACACAGAAACAGAGAGAGACAGAGAGACAGAUCCAAUCUCGGAGGGGCUCUCGCCCCUCCCAUGCCAUGGGAGCCAAGGACCAGAGGGGAAACCCUUCUCCCAUUCAGGGAGAAGGUCAACGAAGAAGAAGGGGGGCUCUCUCCCCCUUGCUUCCGGUGGCGCCAGAACGCCGCCGGGGCCAUCAUCAUCACCGUGAUCUUCACCAACACCUCCGCCAUCUUCACCAACAUCUCCAUCACCUUCCCCCAUCUAUAUUCAGUGGUCCACUCUUCUGCAACCCGCUGUACCCUCUACUUGAACAUGGUGCUUUAUGCUUCAUAUUAUUAUCCAAUGAUGUGUUGCCAUCUUAUGAUGUCUGAGUAGAUUUUCGUUGUCCUAUCGGUGAUUGGUGAAUUGCUAUGAUUGGUUUAAUUUGCUUGUGGUUAUGUUGCUGUCCUAUUGUGCCCUCCGUGUCGCGCAAGCGUGAGGGAUUCCUGCUGUAGGGUGUUGCAAUACGUUCAUGAUUUGCUUAUAGUGGGUUGCUAGAGUGACAGAAGAUUAAAUCCGAGUAAGGGGAUUGUUGCGUAUGGGAUAAAGGGGACUUGAUGCUUUAAUGCUAUGGUUGGAUUUUACCUUAAUGAUCUUUAGUAGUUGCGGACGCUUGCUAAAGUUCCAAUCAUAAGUGCAUAUGAUCCAAGAAGAGAAAGUAUGUUAGCUUAUGCCUCUCCCACAUAAAACUUGCUAUCGGUCUAGUAAAGUAGUCAAUUACUUAGGGAUAAUUUCACAACUCCUACCACCAUUUUUCCACACUCUCUGUAUUUACUUUAUUGCUUCUUUAUCUAAACAGCCCCUAGUUUAUAUUUACGUGUUCUUUAUUAUCUUGCAAACCUAUCCAACAACACUUACAAAGUACUUAUAGUUUCAUACUUUUUCUAGUUAAAGCAAACACUAAGGGUACGUAGAGUCGUAUGAGUGGCAGAUAGGAUUUGAGAGAAUAUUUGUUCUACCUUUAGCUCCUCGUUGGGUUCGACACUCUUACUUAUCGAAAGAGGCUACAAUUAUCCCCUAGACUUGUGGGUUAUCACAUUACCGAGAGGCCCAGAGAUACCUCUCCGAUACACUGAGUGACAAAUUCUAAUCUCAAUCUAUGCCAACUCAACAAACAUCAUCGGAGACACCUGUAGAGCAUAUUUAUAAUCACAUAGUUACGUUGUGACGUUUGAUAGCACACAAAGUGUUCCUCCGGUAUUCGGGAGUUGCAUAAUCUCAUAGUCAGAGGAAUAUGUAUAAGUCAUGAAUAAAGCUAUAGCAAUAAAACUUAACAAUCAUUAUGCUAAGCUAACAGAUGGGUCUUGUCCAUCACAUCAUUCUCUAAUAAUGUGAUCCCGUUCAUCAAAUGACAACACAUGUUAUGGUUAGGAAACUUAACCAUCUUUGAUUAACGAGCUAGUCAAGUAAAGGCAUACUAGGGUCACUCUGUUUUGUCUAUGUAUUCACACAUGUACUAAGUUUCUGGUUAAUAUAAUUAUAGCAUGAAUAAUAAACAUUUAUCAUGAUAUAAGGAAAUAUAAAUAACAACUUUAUUAUUGCCUCUAGGGCAUAUUUCCUUCAAAAACUAGACGAGCUUGAGGUAGAGGAGGCAUCAUAAACAUAAAACUAUACUCACCCCGUCUCGGUUUAUACGACAUGCACGUAGUUCUAAGUCAUCCAUUUGACAAAUUAAAUAUGAGUCAUAUGUCACAAGAAGUAUAUCAUUGGAUUCUUAAGCAGAUAUANNNNNNNNNNNNNNNNNNNNNNNNNNNNNNNNNNNNNNNNNNNNNNNNNNNNNNNNNNNNNNNNNNNNNNNNNNNNNNNNNNNNNNNNNNNNNNNNNNNNNNNNNNNNNNNNNNNNNNNNNNNNNNNNNNNNNNNNNNNNNNNNNNNNNNNNNNNNNNNNNNNNNNNNNNNNNNNNNNNNNNNNNNNNNNNNNNNNNNNNNNNNNNNNNNNNNNNNNNNNNNNNNNNNNNNCUCAACCUAGAACGAUGUACAUGCCCUGUAAACGGAGACGGAGGAAGUACGGGAGUCAAUGAGUGUCCUCACCAGUAGUAAUGACUAGUUGAACAUUAAACUCGUAGUGUGGGUCUGUGGCCAAGAGGUAACUUAAUUUUUCUUAUCGCAAAAAAGAAGCUAAAUACUUUAAACACACAAACCAGUACGAACCAAAACGAACAAACUUCAUGUUUUUGUUGCAAUUAGUUACCAUUUUCGGUGCUCAGGACAGCUAAACAAAAGGAAAGCUGCACCUCGGCGCGAGUCCCGCAAGCGAAACACACCGGUCGAGAGACCUCGGAAGAAGAAGAAAACCUCCGGCCACCCCGAAACUACUCUCGACGACCUCCUGAUAAACCAUGCCCAAUACAUGCUAUUAUGCUCAAUUCCCACCCGACUCACAUCCUUCGCGACUGCUGGGUUGUGAGGCGGGUGGCUAAAGGAGGACCCGCCCUUCUGGCAGACACCCUCAGCCACGCAGAACAGUCCUCGGACGAAGACGAGGUCAUGAUGAUUUACGAGACCUUCGCAUCCAACAACCAGCGCAAACGAGCCCUGCGGGAAAUCAAUUCUAUCCGACAGGUGCCAACUCGGGCCGCGUGGAUAGACACGCCAAUCACCUUUGAUCACAAAGAUUAGCCGAGGUCGACCCUGAACAAGUGCCCCACCGUGCUGGUCCUCAACCCAAUUAUGGAUAGCUGCUGACUUCGGAAGGUGCUCAUGGACGAAGGCAGCAGCUUAAAUUUGAUAUAUGCUGACACUCUGGACAAAAUGCAUAUCGAUAAAUCAUGUAUAGAACAGAGUGGCACCGUCCGCUGGUCGCCUGUGUUGUUGGUUGAUGUUUGACCUCUAUAGAAGAGACAAAAAAAAGCGAUCAUGCUUCCUUUAAUUCGACGUUUUUUGCAUCGUACUUGAGCUCUUUUCUUUGAUUUUUUUAAUAACGCACACGACCUGGUGACCUGCGAUCUUUUUUUUUAUUUUCGAGCCUGGCCACCGUGUAGUCCUUGUUGAUUUUUGUUUUUGCACGGAUAGUAAAUCACGUGAUGUGCAUCGCGACCAAGACGAAGGAAAAAACGAAAGAACUUAAUGUCUUUUGCUAAUUAGUAGUACUAGCAAAAGUGCCCGUGCGUUGCAACGGGUGAACAACAAAAAAAUCAGAAAAUUUAUAAAUCCAAAAUAAAAUAAUUCGAGUUCAGGGAAAUUGCACCAAUAUGUCAGUUUUACAGAUUGAUAAUUAAGAAUAAAUGAUGCAAUAGAGCAAAGAACACGAGACAUCAAAUUUAUGACAUAAAAGAAAUAGACCAAAGAUUUUUAAUGAUGUCGGUAGUCAAUCCCCCUAGGGGGGUGUGCGUUGCAACGGGAGACACAAAAAAUACAUGCUAGCCAAAUAAGUAUGACUUAAUAUCUAGACAUAUGAGUGUUCUUUAUUUUAACACGGUGGCUCACCAUGUUGCCACAUAUCUUUCUUCCCACUCUCGUUGAUGAUGGACACAAUGUCCACGUGAUCGUAAUGCAUUCGACGUGGUAUCCUAGGCAAUGAGCUUAUCGCUGCACGAAACACUUGCCAUCGUCUCGCGCAAGGGAAUAUUUAAAUCUUUAAAAACAAAUCUCAUCGACCACGAACUAUUCUCAAUGCCUAGACAUAUAAAUACUUUCCAAAAACUAAUCAAAUCCUAGACAUAAAAUACUUCUGAACCGGCGAACAGUUUUUUGAAUCGACAAACAUCUUUUUGAAAUUAGGACAUCUUUAUAAAAUCACGAACAUUUGUUUUGUUUACAGAAACAUUUAUUGAAAUGCAUGAAUAGUUUUUUAAUUCAUGAAUAUUUUUUGACUUAGUUAUUUUUUUUUGAAUUGAUGACUUUUUUAAAUUGGGGGUUGGAUUUUGAAUUUCGCAAAAGACAUAUAAUUUUUUGAAUAUUUUCUAAAAAAAUUCAUUGACAUUUUUUCCAGAUUAACGAAUAUGUUUUGAAUACACAAUAUUUUUUUUCAAAAUCAUGAACAUGAUUGUACUUCCUGACAUGUUUUUCCAGAUUGUGAUUUUUCAUAAUUUGCGAACAGUUUCGUAAGAUCACCAAUAUUUUUUGAAACAGCAAAAAUUUUAUUAUUUCCUGAAGUUCUUUUUUGAAUUCACUCAUAUUUUAUAAUUUCUCUGAAAAAUUAUAACUGAAAACUUUUUAUAAUUUAGAAUUGUCAAAUAAAUUUAAAGAAGAAAAAACUAAAACAGAAAUGAGAGAAGAAAAGAAAAGACAAAAUGAAAAAAGAACAGGAGCGUCACAGCGGGUAGGCCCGGCCCAUGAAGGCGUAAGGUGUGGAGGAGGUGCCUAGGAAAAAAGGAGGCAACAAAAACGGUACUACCAGGAUUCGAACCCUGGUGUGCUGUGUAGAAGCAACAGAUUCUAGCCACCACGAUGGUAGUGCGUCUAUGUCAUUAAUAGGGCAUCGCCCGUAUAAAACCACUGAGCACAGCGGCGCUUUGAAAAUAAAAACCGAAUCGUUUUCUUAACUUACGGGUGGCAUAGCGGGUAAUUUAUAGCUAAUUCGGGGGCAAUUAUUUGGACGGACGACAGAAACACUAUUUGCUUUAUUAUUACUAGCAAAAAUGCCCGUGCGUUGCAACGGGAGAUACAAAAAUAGCUCAGGUCCUUAGUUAAGGUCCCCUCCCUGCAGCAGAUCCAGGUCCUCUAUUUCAACAUGAUAUCUCAUCCAUAUCGCCGCUUAUUUUCCUUCCCUCCAUGCCGUUGGCAUGUGUAGAACACAUAGUUUAUGAUGCGAUAAACAUCUCUAGCAGACAUUUAAGUGUGUAGGUUCCAGAACGUGAGACUUUUACAAUGUCAAGAACAUAGUAAAAAUUGUUGUCUGUAGCUUGCGACACUUGCAAGUAGUAGAGAGGAGGAUGAAGAAGUGGAUGGGACAAUGGUGCGGGUGCGGCCAGCAUCGAUGAUGAUCUGGUGAUACACAAAGGAGGCAAAGGCAGCAUGGGAAGGGCAGAUGACUUAGGAGAAACACAUGGGUGGGGGUGGGAUAGGAGGCAUUUGAUAAAAAUGGCACACAUUUCCUUUCAUAGUACACUUUUCUUUGUCCUAGAUACUUUGCGAGUUGGGACAGGCAUGUUGGGGAUAGGAGGCAUUUAACUGAAGUUUAGGGUUGCAUGAGCAAUAAUAAGAACAAGCCUGACACCUUGAGGAUUCCCAUGUGUCUACAGUAAUACAUAUAAAUGAAGCACUCUAGUGUGAAAACUAAAAAAGAUAAAUUGAAUCUCAAAUUCUUUGUGUCUUGACAUCAGGAAAGGAAACUAAGCAAUGGUGAGGUCUAAUAUAAGAAUUCAAUAUAGAAAGCAUCAUUGUUGUAAGUCCGUUUAUUGUAACAAUUAGGCUAAUGCACAGGAUCAAUCAGCUAAAUCUCGCAGUCGAGGACCUACUUGACCAGCUUUCCAGCAAGCGCCGCAUCUUGGAUGCGCGGCUGGGCGAGGUAGUACUGUCACAGGUUGAGCGGUUAAUUAGAAUUUUAUGAAACAAUAAGAGAUAGAACAGUAUCUGUAUAAUUAUUCAAGGAAACUCUGUUGAGCAGUUAAUACAGACGACACAUCAAACUACAAUGCAUCCGCAGUAUAUGACAACCAAAGACAUUCGCAUAAUCUAGAAGACAGCUAUGCUAUCAUAUAGAUGAAGAAGGGAAGAAAACAGAGGAAAUUUGAACUCACAUCAUUAUACUGUUUAGGCUUUGCUUCCUUGUCUCUACCAGGUCCUUUUUUCAGCUCUUCUACAGGUUCACCUUCUUCCACUUCAACAACUUUCUCUGACAGAUAACACCACCAAUGUCAGCAACCAAGAUGAAAAUAAGCAAAACAUUGUUCAGCACCAGUGAGAGACAUAGCCAAGCUACAUUCGUGACCUGAUCAAUCUUUUCAAGUUGAAAUUCAAAAUAGAGGUGUGUCUUUGUGAGCAGAUCGUCCAACUGUUGCCUUCAGAUCAAAAGCCUCCUACCUUGCAGCUUCUCUUCCCGGCCUCCUCUUCUGCCUCUACCUUGCGCUGGGUUUGACACGAACAUAGAGAUGGGGAGAGAGGCACGAGGCGGAGCUGCAUGGCCGCCUUCGUGGGUCGGCCGCUUGGUGUGGGUGCCCGCCUCAGCCUACCCGCUUUUCCCCUACCGUCGAUGAUAUUUCUCCCGACGACCGCGGCGAAACCAUCGAUCUGCCAAGACAAACAUAAACUGAUAAUCUGAACUUUGUACCAAUUACUCACUGAUAAACUCAACGUACCAGAUGGCAAUGGCAUCCAGAAAAAGCAUUCGCCUUCAUGCACGUGCAAUGCAGUUCAUAACUGCGAUUUGACCCCCAUCAUAUGCUCCAAGGCAUAAUAUUACGAUUAGACUAAAAGGACAUGCAACUUUGUUUUCAUCAAGGAACUGAAUGAUGUCAAUUCCAGACCGCACGUUUCUUCGGUUCAAGAACAACUAACACCAAGGGAGUUCAGCAAAGAUUCUACAUAACAGGAUAGGGGGUGUCGGUGUCAAAACCGGCGGAUCUCGGAUAGGGGGUCCUGAACUGCGCGUCUAAGGCUAAUGAUAACAGGAGACUGGGGACACGAUGUUUACCCAGGUUCGGGCCCUUUUGAUGGAGGUAAUACCCUACUUCCUGCUUGAUUGAUCUUGAUGAUAUGAGUAGUACAAGAGUUGAUCUACCACGAGAUCAUAGAGGCUAAACCCUAGAAGCUAGCCUAUGGUAUGAUUGUUGUUGUCAUACGGACUAAACCCUCCGGUUUAUAUAGACACCGGAGGGGGCUAGGGUUACAUAGAGUCGGUUACAGAGAAGGAGAUCUAUCAUUCGAAUCGCCAAGCUUGCCUUCCAUGCAAAGGAGAGUCCCAUCCGGACACGGGACGAAGUCUUCAAUCUUGUAUCUUCAUAGUCCAACAGUCCGGCCAAAGUAUAUAGUCCGGCUGUCCGGAUACCCCCUAAUCCAGGAAUCCCUCAGUAGCCCCUGAACCAGGCUUCAAUGACGAUGAGUCCGGCGUGUAGAUUGUCUUCGGCAUUGCAAGGCGGGUUCCAUCUCCGAAUACUUCAAGAUAACUUCCGAACACAAGGAUCGUGUCCGGCUCUGCAAGACAAAUUUCACAUACCACCGUAGAGAGAUAAAUAUUUCACAAAUCAAAUCUGCUGACACCACGACAUCACACCAUGGCCGAGUCAUCAUUCGAGCCGUUUUCUCAUAGCCGGCCACCGCACAUAUUGCGAGGCGGUUAUCUCGGCACAUCUUGUCGAAGCAGAGAUCGUGUCCCCUUAUCACGAGAUUCUCAUUAAUAAGGGUACGGGUAACCCAUCCAUGUUUAUUUAACGUGAUGCUUGGAAAAUAAGCGAUUUUAACAGGAAAGUGGGGAGGCGCAGAGUUUUCACUGCCUCUAUAAAGGGACAAGGAUUCCCCAUUCUUACCCACACCUUCUUCCUCCUUUGCUCAUCCAUCCUCGCACUCUCGAGCUCUAGCGCCCAAGUUCUCACCUUCUCCGUAGGACCAUUCGCAGCAUGUCCGGAGCGGAAGGCAAGUGGAUGGCCUCCUCCAUCAUGGAGGAGGACAUUACCAAGCUUCGGGCGGCCGCAUACCUGGCUGCAAACAUCGCACACAAGCUACCAGGGGAGGGACAGAUCACCCCCACUCCAAAGUCUCGGGAGAGAGUUGUAUUCCUCCCCCAUUUCAUCCGCGGACUAGGAUUUCCACUCCACCCGUUCAUCCGCGGGCUCAUGUAUUACUAUGGGCUAGAUUUCCAUGAUCUAGCCCCAAAUUUCAUCCUCAACAUCUCGGUGUUCAUCGUCGUGUGCGAGGCCUUCCUCCGCAUCAGGCUCCACUUCGGCCUGUGGCUGAAAAUCUUCUGCAUGAAGCCGAAGAUCGUUAGCGGCCAGCAGGCGGAGUGCGGAGGCGCCAUGGUGGGCAGAAUGCCCAACGUUACAUGGCUUGACGGCUCCUUUGUGGAGACCGUGAAAGGGUGGCAAUCAGGGUGGUUCUACAUCACCGAGCCGCGCGACGCCAAUUGGGUGGCGGCCCCCAAAUUCCGAUCCAGAAUCCCCAUGCAGCUCACCUCUUGGGAAAAGAAGGGUCUGGCCUGGGGAAAACCUGUGGAGCUGAUCGGACUCGAGACCUGCAUCCAAAGUAUGAGGGACAAGAAGAUCAAGCUUGUCAAUGUGGUCCAGGUCAUGCUCGUCCGCCAGAUCCUCCCGUGUCAAAGACGGGCAUUCAAUAUGUGGGAGUUCGAUCUGGCCGAACACCAGAUGCUGCAUGAGCCCUUCGACAUGACGCAUAAGGACGUCUGGAAGGUGUUGUUCAAGGCCGGCGAAGUUCCUCCUCCCACUUUUGAGGACCGCAGACUCAGCGCAAAGCGCCUUGCCAAUCCGCUAAGUCCUCUGAGUAUCACAAGAUGUAUCUUUCCCAACGUGUUCGUGGGAGGACUUGAAGUCAUUAUACUGUCAAAACAGGAUUAUGUGGAGACGGCGGAGCGGAUCGACUGCCCGACUCCGCUACCCGAAGAUCCAGCAACCGCACUCCUGACGGAGAUGCUGGCUCUGGUGCCUUACAAGGUGCCGGGGAAGAAGGCCGAAAAGAAGGCCACAGGGACCAGGAAGGGUCUCCGGUGCGAGAUUGCACCGGACGCCUCACCCAAAUACGAUGAGGCGCACUCCUCCCAUGAAGGGGAGGAGAAGAAGAGGAAGAAGGCCGCCCCGUCCGGGGAGACCGAAGGGUCCAAGAAAGCGGCCGCGGGGACCAAGAAGGGUCUCCGACGCAAGGCCGUAAUAGACUCGUCGUCCGAGGACGGCGAGGCAGAUUCCUCCCAUGGAGACGGGGGGAAAUACGAAGAAAUGCCCCCUCCCCGCACUGGGGAGGAGAAGAAAAGGAAAGCCGCCCCACAGGGGGAGGCUAGGACGCCGAAGAAGGGAAAGGCAUCCCUUCCAGACCACUCCACUACGGCCGCCUACAACAAGGAGGAGUGGCUGCCCAGGGGCAAGCCCCGGGCGAAGUCGUAAGUAUCCGCACUCUAUAAUACCUUUCGUGCGACUUUAACUUCAUAGUUUGUAAUAACACCGAGUACGUGUAUGCAGUCCGGCCGGGUCUAAUCUCGGGGUAUCCUCUUGGGAUGGGUCCUUGAGUGAGUCGGAGAUGGGUUCACUCCCGACGGCCACCUCCCCACGACCUGCAGAUGACAUCGAGGUGUUGUCCCAAAGGAUACCAGAGCAGGGGGCGACGGUUCUGGAGACACCCCAAGGAAAAAUCCCGGAUGCUGUGACACUCCCAUUUUUUUUUGUGAUUUUUGUUUUCACAAAGAGCCUUGCUUGGUUUGAAGAAGGUCAUUUAAACCCUUCUUAAAAACCCUCUUCUAAGUUUGCCCUCUCAAAAAUCCUUUCUUGGAUUUAGUUUCUUUUAAAAAGAAAACCUUUUGUUUUUGAGCUUUCUUUUGAUUUUGAUCCAUUCUGGUUUACCAUGCCUCUUAUGGUAAAACUUCCCCAAAAACCCCUCCUCCCACUUGGGUACAACCCAAACAUUCUGUCCAAACUAAUAAAAUCCAUUUUUGGAUUUUAUUCCAAUUAUUUCUCUUCCCAAAAUAAUUCUGUCUUUUCUUUUGAGCCUAGGUGAUUUGCAAAGCAAGUACCCUAAUGCAUUUGAUUUUUGAACUCAACUCAACACCUCUGGAUAGUCCUUUGUACCCACAACCCAGAACCAUCUUGAUCCACUCUUCUUCUUUUCAAAUAUUUCAAAUUUCACUCUCUGCAAGUUUGGACCACAUUUGCCAAAUUUGGUGAAAUUCAUAUCUACACUUCUCCAAAAAUUCCACCAAAAUUCAGGCAACCUCUAGUUGCAAUGAGAGACCUCUCCACCAAAAAUCAGCUCAAGGAAAAAUCCCUAGAUGCCAGAAUCAUUCUGUCGAACACGUGUCAUGCACUGUUUUUGUUCAUAUUCAGUAAAUUCAGAGUUUCAGUGUCGUUUCCCCGACAGAACUUCAGUCACAUGCCCACUGUGCGUUUGGCUCGAUGCUCACAGCCCCUCCCUCUUGUCCGGAGCUCCACACGCGCGCUUGGCGCCUUCCUGGCGUCGGUGGCACCCUGGCCCGCCUGCGCCGGCGUGCUUUGCGGCGGCUGAACCACUGUAAUGGCCGACAGGGGACAACACCGUGGCAGAACGCCGUUCGGCGCCGCCCAAUCCUCCUGGUAGCUCUGCGUGGCCACCUCCUUGCCAGCGCACGCAUGCAGCACCGUCACCGUGGCCUGGCACGCGCAGAGCGCGUUCUCUGCCGCCAACGGGCCGUGCUGCCGUUCCGUCGUGGGUAGGCCGUAACCCUCCCUCCCGUGCUGAGUUGGAUCCUGAAAUGGCACCACUGCUCCACCUAGGCGAUGCUCAAGCUCCUAAGCCGACUGUCCCGCCACAGCGCCGCCGUAAUCACCCGCCGGACUUAUCCGUUCAUGGAAACCGCCUCGGGCCGGCUAUAAAUAGCACCCCCGAGCUUGCUCUCGCCCCCGCACAACUCCACCACCUCAUUAGACCCCGCCUAGCCACUGGAAGAGCCUCGAGGGGCCCUUCUUCCCCAACUCCGACCGCCUCGUUCCGCUUCGGCCUCCACCUCGAUUCACUCCGGUGAGGCCGUCUCCGGCGCCCUGACCUCGUCAGCAACCCUCUCGAGCAACUCGGAGACUAACCCCCACUCCUAUUUGAUCCCCGCAGCUCCCUCCGGUGAAAUCCACGACUGCCCGAACCGCCGUCCGCCGGAGCAAGGGCCGCCGUCGACACAGUGCUCGCCGGCGACCACCACCACCACCCACAGACGCGGAAAGGUGCACUGAUCACGAAGGUAACCCCCGAUCACCUUGCCUCGCCGUGGAUCGCCGCCGGCGACCACCGCACCUCUCGGGCACCGUCGCGCUCUUUUUCCCUCGUUUGAAAAUUAAAACUUGACAGGUGGAGCCUGCCUGUCAGUCUCUCAGCCGUUUCUUUUAAACGAAACGUUUUUCUGGUUUUUUUCUGCAGAACCCCCUGGAAACUUUCUGUUUCAUUACAGAUGGGUCCUUGGGCCAAAACUCUUAUAACUUUUAAAUAGAAAAUGAUUUUGGAUUGAUUCCUUUUCUGUCACUUUUAUUUUUCUGUCUAGUUUUUUGUCAUAUUUAUUUGAAAAAUAUUUGGAACACUUUUCUGUACACUCACGGUAUUUACAUUACGUACGUAUUUUUCUUAUACCGUAGAUACCGGAGGAGGUGACGGAGCUGCAAACUUCACACAGAUAAACUCCGACUACUCCGAACCAGGCAAGCAUGUUUGAACUCUUGAUAUGAUGAGUGGUUGUUGCAUGUUUGCAUUUUAGUAUAGUCAUGGCAUGUUUAUGAACAUUUCUUGAAUGUUAUAUUUGAUGCACAUUAGUGGAAAGUAAGUUUCGGAAAGCAUUAUGUCGUGGGAUACAUAUUUGCAUGGCCAUGUGAUGGCAUGAGGAAGGGUAAGAUGGAAGUGUUGUGACAUGCCAGUCUUACGCCGGAUUAUUUGACUUCCGUGUCAUCGUGAAUCAAAUCACAUUUCCAUUCAUUUCCUUCCGUACUAUCACAUGCUUUCCAAAAGGAAUAUGGCUUAGUAAGUUGCAAACCGUUUUCCUGGUACACACCAAAUAGAGAGGCCGGGAUGAGGGUUCCAUGGCCCUGGAUUAAAGCCCGUCAUCCGGUCAGGGGGCAUGGGUGUUUCCGAUUGGGACCGAGAGGGGGGCACCCCUUAGAGCGCGCGUAUAGAAAUUUGAUCCCAUGCUAUUCGAGGUUGUGGCCUCCCCGUCUCAAAGUUUUUCUUGGACGUUGUCCAGGGUGAUUCCUGGCAUCGUGAGGUGAAAUGGGUGUGUACUAGUUAAAUGUGUUUCUACUGAAAUACCGUAAACGGAACUAGUCCUUCGUGACUACAGAAAUCCGUUGGCUGUGGUCAGUUCAUCCAAACUCUGCAGAGUCACAAAGCUUUCAAUUAUCUUGUACUUUGUUCAAGUACUAUAUUCAUCUUAUCUUGUCAAGUAUCAACCUCAGUGACAAAUCUCUGGUGGAAUUCAUGUGUGAUAAAUCCGGUUAAAAGAUUAUUCUUAUGGAUGGACUAAUCUUGUUAUUUACUUUUGUUGUAAGCCCUGUCUGUGAUGUCGCUCAGACGUCCGACGGUGGCAUGCUUGUAUUUACAUUUAUUGUAAGCCCUGUCUGCGAUGUCGCUCAGACGUCCGACGGUGGCAUAAUUGUCUUUACUUUUAUUAAAGCCCUUUAUGUGAUGUCGCUCAGACGUCCGACUGUGGCAUUUCUUUUAAAGCCCUUUAUGUGAUGUCACUCAGACGUCUGACUGUGGCAUUUCUUUUAAAGCCCUUUUUGUGAUGUCGCUCAGACGUCUGACUGUGGCAUUUCUUUUAAAGCCCUUUAUGUGAUGUCGCUCAGACGUACGACUGUGGCAUUUCUUUUAAAAGCCCUUUAUGUGGUGUCGCUUAGACGCCUGAGUGCGGCAUGAGGUUUAUUUGUUUACCUUUCGAGGCGUCGCUCCAGACACCCGAUCUGUUUUCAUUUAUUGGUUUUCUUAUCNNNNNNNNNNNNNNNNNNNNNNNNNNNNNNNNNNNNNNNNNNNNNNNNNNNNNNNNNNNNNNNNNNNNNNNNNNNNNNNNNNNNNNNNNNNNNNNNNNNNNNNNNNNNNNNNNNNNNNNNNNNNNNNNNNNNNNNNNNNNNNNNNNNNNNNNNNNNNNNNNNNNNNNNNNNNNNNNNNNNNNNNNNNNNNNNNNNNNNNNNNNNNNNNNNNNNNNNNNNNNNNNNNNNNNNNNNNNNNNNNAUGUGAUGUCACUCAGACGUCUGACUGUGGCAUUUCUUUUAAAGCCCUUUUUGUGAUGUCGCUCAGACGUCUGACUGUGGCAUUUCUUUUAAAGCCCUUUAUGUGAUGUCGCUCAGACGUCCGACUGUGGCAUUUCUUUUAAAGCCCUUUAUGUGAUGUCGCUCAGACGUACGACUGUGGCAUUUCUUUUAAAAGCCCUUUAUGUGGUGUCGCUUAGACGCCUGAGUGCGGCAUGAGGUUUAUUUGUUUACCUUUCGAGGCGUCGCUCCAGACACCCGAUCUGUUUUCAUUUAUUGGUUUUCUUAUCAAGUUGUGCAUAAAUAUUAUUAUUGUUGAGAUGAGCAUCAUUAUUCAUAUUCAUGACGCAUUCAUGCAUUCAUUGAUUAUAUCUUUUGUCCGAACUGUCUUGCGAGUACUUUCAAAGUACUCACCUGGCUUGUUGAUUUGGCCAGAUGUUGAUGAAGGCGAUCUCAUGGAUGAAGAGUUUGAUAGCGAGUCCGACGCCUAGAGGAGUCCCAGUCAGUCCCGUGCGAUCCUGUUUGGUCAUUGUUUUAUCCGCUUCCGCAACCCUAGAAAUAAAUUCAUCGAGCCUCACCUCGAUGCUCGAUGAGCUGCCAGUUAGGAGUCAAGUUAUCCACCACUUUUUACCUCGAGCUAGUAGCAUGCCACCACACCCCUGUGUCAUAACCGCCCUUAUGUAAGAUGUUGGCGAGCUUGUAAUAAACUGUUGAGCAGCCUCAGCUCAACCCUGUAAUAUAUUUAAUGCUACUGGUCCUCUGUUCAUCAAGUAUUUGUCUACCAGUGAGGAUGACUUUUCCUAUACUGGGAUUUAAAGAUGGAUUUUCUCAAUAAUUAUUUAUUGAAAAAGUUGGUUGUGACAGACUUGGUAACCAGAGCCAGGCUGACUAUAGGAAGCCACUAGAUGCGAUCGCUAAUUUAGUUAUUAGCACGACAAAGUUUAUUCAUGUUUUUACAAAUGUAGUCAUUUUUCUGACAGUCAGCAUAAUAAUUUAUGAUCUGAUCACUCAGAAUUUUUGCCUACUUUUGUAGAUGGCCGGCAGCGACUGCGAGUCUCAAAUGUUCGCCAACGUGCCUGAGGGGUUCGUCAAACUCCUCUCCUUCAUCGUUCAGGUCGUGAUGGGGCCAUCCGUACGCCCAGUCUUCACACUUUAUCCGCACAAGAUCAACGACAGUCUGAUCGUGCACCAAGCCGCGGUGCAAUUCAAGGGAGGGCGUGUUGAGAUGCGCCGCUUCCGUUUCUUGGGGGAGAGCCAUGCCUACAGAAAGGCAUGCUAUGCAGAUGGCUGCCCGCGAGGCGAUAGCUCGUCUUCGGGAUGUCCUUCCUGCAAUGAAGACCCCUCGCUACCGCUACCUUCCAUGCCAUGUGCCUUACACCUGUCACUACUCAUUCUCUUGCCCCGGAGGAGAGCGAGACGAGGCCUUUGAGAUGCUUGUCGAGUACCUCCGAGCCCUGGAGGCAGCCUUCGAUAGCAUGGUGGACGACCUCGUAGCUGCCCGCAUGGACUCAGUUCAUGGCUGUGCUGCUAACAGGAGGGAACUCCUACACGCCGCUCCACCGCUGACUUUUAUCUCGUCCUCAGCUUCUCAUUCACCUACCAUUCUGGCUACUGCACAUCAUCUGCCUACCACUGAGGAAUUUAACCAGGCUAUUGCACCCACUCCCGUUCGCGCUGCACCACUUUUUGCACCCACUCCUGUUUGUGCUGCACCACUUUUUGCACCCACUCCCAUACGUGCUACUCCACCUAUUCCGCCCACUCUUAUUCAGGGCACUCCGCCUACGGCACCUGCUCCAUCAGCUCAGCGCAGCGUUCCUCGUCUGGAACCUAUUAGCGAGGAGGAAGUUGAUUCCCCAGCGUCACUGCGUCUCACCCUCGGCAGGCCAAGGGAGAUCCUCACCAUCUCCGACUGAGUACGCGUAGGCGCCAUGCGAUGUACCGACUUGUGUAAUAUGUUUAUAUGUACAUAGGUUGUGAGAAGUAGCCUGUUUGCGCAUCAUGUAGGAUCUGGAGAAGUGCACUAGUUUAAAUAACAUGUCAGGAUUAUGUACGCAUAUCCUGAGUGAUGUAAUGUAUAAUUAUGCUUGCGUGUAAAAUAUGUAAUAGUCCUUCUCCACGUGCAAUCAUGUAUUCUCAAAAUAUCCUGGAGUUUUAAAAUUUUCUUGGGUGUGAUUUUUUUUGACUUUUGCGACUCUCUUCCUUGUCUUACGAGUUUCACAAAAUAUAUCCCCAGAGUGAAAGAUGUCUCAUCCUUGGACGCGCUCCAUGCCAAAUCAGCCAUAAGAAAAUUAUGGCACACCGCAAAACCACAAUUUCACUCAGGGACAGACAAGUCAACAGGACAGUGAAACAGCUUUUACACAAGUGUGUCGUUUGUAUGAACAAAGUCAGCAACAACACCAGGAAAUGAUGAACCAAUUCAUCAAUAUGGGAAGUAACCGUGGUCAGUAUCAACAGCAAUCAAAAUUAUCUGAGUUACAGAAGACGCGUCCUCCAACAUUUUCUCAUACUGACAAGCCUCUUGAGGCCGACGACUGGCUUCGAGACAUGGAGAGAAAAUUAAUUAUUGCACAGUGUUCAGACCGUGAAAAAGUAUUGUAUGCACCACAUUAUCUCACAGGAGCAGCCGCUUCGUGGUGGGAAAACUUCCUGCACAUGCACCCCAACGAAAAUGAAAUAACCUGGGAGGAUUUAGAAGAAGGUUUCCAUGGGGCACACAUUCCUAAGAGUGUGAUGAAAAUCAAGAAGAGAGAAUUUGAUGACCUCAAGCAAAGGACCAUGACAGUGUCAGAAUACAACAGCCAAUUUACUUUGCUGUCUUGCUACGCCAAUGAAGAGCGCAUGACUGAGAGCAAGAAGAUGGAAAAAUUCUUGGAAGGCCUGGCACCCGCCCUUAGAUGCCAGCUGGUUGUGCAUACCUUCCCAGAUUUUAAAACACUGGUGGAUAAGGCCAUUACUCUGAAAAAUGAGCGACGUAGCCUGGAAGAUUUCCGCAAACGCAAAAGGGACCAGACUACUUUUGCUCGCAACCCCAGAAGCAAGACGGAAUCUCAGAAGGGUGGAAUACACAAAACCCCGACGGAUAAUUCACGCCCAAUCAAGAAUUUCCAUGCAAGAGAUAAGGAGUUCACCUAUCGCCCAGGCGUUACCUGUUAUGCUUGUGGAGAAGAAGGGCACUAUGCCAAGUAGUGCCCCAAGCCAAGGAACUCGACCCCGAAGCUCAAUAAUGGUGGCAAUAAUUCAGCGCCAAAGUGAAGCAAUUUCAACCCCAAUAACAACCACCGGAAAGGUCACCUGAACCACGUGACCCGAGAGGAAGCACAGAACGCCCCAGAUAUCGUACUCGGUACGUACCCCGUCAACACAAUACCUGCCAUGGUUUUGUUUGAUUCUGGAGCUUCUCACUCAUUCAUUUCGAAGAGUUUUGCCUUGCAAAAUAAUUUUUCAAUACUUCCCUUGGAAAAAUCAAUGAUCAUCAAGUCCCCUGGAAUUAAGCAAGUGACCCAGAGUUACUGUCAAGGUGUGGUUAUUGAAUUUGAAGGAUUGAAGUUUUACGCCAACCUUAUUGUAUUGGAAAGCAACGGACUGGAUGUCAUCCUAGGGAUGGAUUGGUUAACCACCAACAAAGGUUUUAUUGACUGCUUCAACAGGACCGUGAUUCUCACACACCAUCAUGGGAAGAAAAUAAAAGUUUCAGCCAAAGAGAGAUAAAUACCUCGGCAACCAAGAUUAAACAAGGUGGACGUUUCUGAGCUGAACAAGGUUCCAGUAGUAUGUGAAUUCCCAGACAUAUUUCCAGAAGAACUACCAGGCAUGCCACCGGACCGAGAGAUAGAAUUCAGCAUUGAGCUAGCACCCGGAACCGCUCCCAUUUACAAGAAACCAUACAGAAUGGCACCACCCAAAUUGAUGGAAUUAAAGAAACAAAUAAAAGAAUUAUUGGAGAAAGGAUACAUACGAGCCAGUUCCUCACCUUGGGGUUCUCCAAUUUUAUUUGCCAAGAAAAAGGAUGGAACACUGAGAUUGUGCAUUGAUUAUCGAGCUCUCAACAUGGUCACAAUCAAGAACAAAUACUCAAUGCCCCGAAUAAAUGAUUUAUUUGAUCAGCUCGCACAGGCCAAAGUCUUCUCAAAAAUUGACUUGAGAUCAGGAUACCAUCAAUUAAAGGUGCGAACAGAAGAUAUUCCCAAGACCGCCUUCACUUCCAGAUAUGGGCUGUAUGAGUUCACAGUGAUGCCAUUCGGGCUAACCAACGCCCCCGCAUAUUUUGUUCACCUGAUGAACAAAGUAUUUAUGAAGUAUAUGGACAAGUUGGUUGUGGUAUUCAUCGAUGAUAUUUUGAUAUACUCCAAAACACCAGAAGAGCACGCCGAACAUCUCAGGAUUGUACUCGGAGAACUCAGGAAACAUCAACUGUACGCCAAAUUCAGCAAAUGUGAAUUUUUGCUAAGACAGGUGGGUUUCCUAGGCCACGUGCUAACCCAAGAAGGUAUUGUAGUAGACCCGGAAAAAGUCAAGGCCGUACUUGGCUGGAAACCACCAGCUAACGUAACGGACGUACAGAGUUUCUUGGGAAUGGCAGGCUAUUAUCAGAGAUUUAUUGAAGGAUUCUCCACUAUAGCAAAGCCCAUGACACAAUUGCUCAAGAAAGGCAAGAAUUUUGAAUGGACAGAAGCAUGUGAGAAAAGCUUCCAAGAGCUAAAAAGCAAAUUAACAACGGCACCAGUACUAAUUGUGCCAGAUAUACACAAGAAUUUUGAGGUAUAUUGACACGCAUCCCGGAAAGGCCUCGGAUGCGUGUUGAUGCAAGAAGGCAAGGUAGUUGCAUAUGUCUCCAGACAACUUUGCAAGCAUGAGGAGAAUUAUCCCACUCAUGACUUGGAAUUAGCAGCGGUCAUCCAUGCACUCAAGGAAUGGAGACACUUCCUACUUGGAAAUCGUUGUGAGAUAUACACAGACCAUAAGAGUCUUAAGUAUAUUUUCACACAGCCGGAACUAAAUUUACGGCAACGACGCUGGUUAGAGUUGGUGAAGGAUUAUGAUGUUGGAAUCCAUUAUCAUCCCGGAAAAGCAAAUGUUGUGGCAGAUGCACUUAGUCAGAAUCCCAGCACGGACGACAACAGUAUACCAAAGUUGAGGCCAGAAUUUCAACAGGAAUUUUCCAGACUCAAUUUAAUAAUGGUUACCGAAGGCAGUGUGUCGAAUCUAGAAAUACAGCCUACCCUGAUGGAAAAGAUCAAGGAAGCCCAGCACAGACACCCCAGCAUUGAGGGCAUAAAAAGGAAAGUGAGUUUGGGCAAAGCCUCAUAAUUCAACAUAGAUGAGCAAGGAAUAUUGUGGUACGGAGAGAGACUAUGCGUACCAAAUAUCAAGGACCUCAAACAACAGAUUUUGGCUGAAAGUCACACAGCUCCGUAUUCAAUCCAUCCUGGAGGGACAAAAAUGUACAAAGACCUUCAGGAAAUUUUUUGGUGGCACGGUAUGAAGAGAGAUAUAGUCACGUUCAUUGCAUGCUGUGACUCUUGUCAACGUAUCAAGGCCGAACACCAGAAACCAGCCGGGCUAUUACAACCAAACAAGAUACCCGAGUGGAAGUGGGACGAGAUUGGAAUGGAUUUUAUUGUCGGACUGCCACGGUCACGACACGGAAACGAUGCCAUAUGGGUCAUAACCGACAGAUUAACCAAAGUGGCACAUUUUAUUCCGCUGAAGACAAUCCACACCACUCAGAGGCUGGCCAGACUUUAUCUUGCCCGUAUUGUCUGCCUGCAUGGAGUCCUAAAGACUAUCAUAUCUGACAGAGGCACACAGUUCGUCUCUAGAUUUUGGGAUCACCUACAACAGGCACUGGGAACCUAGCUAGCCUUCAGUACCGCAUACCAUCCCCAGACUAAUGGGCAGACUGAACGCAUAAACCAAAUCCUAGAAGACAUGCUAAGAGCCUGUGUCCUCACCUACGGGAACAGUUGGGAAGAAAGUUUGCCAUAUGCAGAGUUCACAUACAAUAACAGCUAUCAAGCCAGCUUGCAAAUGGCACCCUUUGAAGCUCUAUAUGGGAGAAGAUGUCGUACCCCGUUAAAUUGGUUAGAGACCGGGGACAGCCAUAUCUUCGGCCCAGAUAUGCUCAAGGAGGCCGAGGAGAAGGUUAAAACAAUUAGAGAUCGACUCAAAACAGCUCAGAGUCGACAGAAGAGUUAUUACGAUCGAAAGCAUCGGGAAAUCAGUUUUGAACCCGGAGAAUUGGUAUACCUAAGAGUUUCUCCUAUGAAGGGUCUGCAGCGGUUCAGGAUUAAAGGAAAGCUAGCACCAAGAUUCAUCGGACCAUUUCACAUAGUGGCCCGAAGAGGCACGGUAGCUUACCAGCUAGACCUACCCGGAGAUUUAUCCGGUAUACACAACAUGUUCCACAUCUCGCAGUUGAGAAAGUACGUGAGCAACCCAGAGAAGAAAGUGUCACAUGAAAAUAUUGAUGUACAACCAGACCUCUCCUACCGGGAGUGUCCAAUAAAAAUAUUAGAAGAGUCUGAGAGGAGGACACGACAGAAAACCAUCAAGCUUUUCAGAGUUCAGUGGAGCAAUCACACCGAGAAUGAAGCAACUUGGGAGAGCGAGGAUUUUCUCCGAACAGAACACCCACACCUGUUUAAGGAUCAGCUGAAAUCUCGGGGACGAGAUUUUUCCUAAGGGGGUAGGUGCUGUGACACUCCAAUUUUUUUUGUGAUUUUUGUUUUCAGAAAGAGCCUUGCUUGGUUUGAAGAAGGUCAUUUAAACCCUUCUUAAAAACCCUCUUCUAAGUUUGCCCUCUCAAAAAUCCUUUCUUGGAUUUAGUUUCUUUUAAAAAGAAAACCUUUUGUUUUUGAGCUUUCUUUUGAUUUUGAUCCAUUCUGGUUUACCAUGCCUCUUAUGGUAAAACUUCCCCAAAAACCCCUCCUCCCACUUGGGUACAACCCAAAUAUUCUGUCCAAACUAAUAAAAUCCAUUUUUGGAUUUUAUUCCAAUUAUUUCUCUUCCCAAAAUAAUUCUGUCUUUUCUUUUGAGCCUAGGUGAUUUGCAAAGCAAGUACCCUAAUGCAUUUGAUUUUUGACCUCAACUCAACACCUCUGGAUAGUCCUUUGUACCCACAACCUAGAACCAUCUUGAUCCACUCUUCUUCUUUUCAAAUAUUUCAAAUUUCACUCUCUGCAAGUUUGGACCAGAUUUAGCAAAUUUGGUGAAAUUCAUAUCUACACUUCUCCAAAAAUUCCACCAAAAUUCAGGCAACCUCUAGUUGCAAUGAGAGACCUCUCCACCAAAAAUCAGCUCAAGGAAAAAUCCCUAGAUGCCAGAAUCAUUCUGUCGAACACGUGGCAUGCAGUGUUUUUGUUCAUAUUCAGUAAAUUCAGAGUUUCAGUGUCGUUUCCCCGACAGAACUUCAGUCACAUGCCCACUGUGCAUUUGGCUCGAUGCUCACAGCCACUCCCUCUUGUCCGGAGCUCCACACGCGCGCUUGGCGCCUUCCUGGCGUCGGUGGCACCCUGGCCCGCCUGCGCCGGCGUGCUUUGCGGCGGCUGAACCACUGUAAUGGCCGACAGGGGACAACACCGCGGUAGAACGCCGUUCGGUGCCGCCCAAUCCUUUUGGUAGCUCCGCGUGGCCACCUCCUUGCCAGCGCACGCAUGCAGCACCGUCGCCGUGGCCUGGCACGCGCAGAGCGCGUUCUCUGCCGCCGACGGGCCGUGCUGCCGUUCCGUCGAGGGCAGGCCGUAACCCUCCCUCCCGUGCUGAGUUGGAUCCUGAAAUGGCACCACUGCUCCACCUAGGCGAUGCUCAAGCUCCUAAGCCGACUGUCCCGCCACAGCGCCGCCGUAAUCACCCGCCGGACUUAUCCGUUCACGGCAACCGCCUCGGGCCGACUAUAAAUAGCACCCCCGAGCUUGCUCUCGCCCCCGCACAACUCCACCACCUCAUUAGACCCCGCCUACCCACUGGAAGAGCCUCAAGGGGCCCUUCUUCCCCAACUCCGGCCGCCUUGUUCUGCUUCGGCCUCCACCUCGAUUCACUCCGGUGAGGCCGUCUCCGACGCCCUGACCUCGUCAGCAACCCUCUCGAGCAACUCGGAGACUAACCCCCACUCCUAUUUGAUCCCCGCAGCUCCCUCCGGCGAAAUCCACGACUUCCCGAACCGUCGUCCGCCCGAGCAAGGGCCGCCGUCGACACAGUGCUCGCCGGCGACCACCACCACCACACACAGACGCAGAAAGGUGCACUGAUCACGAAGGUAACCCCCGAUCACCUUGCCUCGCCGUGGAUCGCCGCCGGCGACCACCGCACCUCUCGGGCACCGUCGCGCUCUUUUUCCCUCGUUUGAAAAUUAAAACCUGACAGGCGGAACCCCUGGAAACUUUCUGUUUCAUUACAGAUGGGUCCUUGGGCCAAAACUCUUAUAACUUUUAAAUAGAAAAUGAUUUUGGAUUGAUUCCUUUUCCGUCACUUUUAUUUUUCUGUCUAGUUUUUUGUCAUAUUUAUUUGAAAAAAAAUUUGGAACACUUUUCUGUACACUCAUGGUAUUUACGUUACGUACGUAUUUUUCUUAUACCGUAGAUACCGGAGGAGGUGACGGAGCUGCAAACUUCACACAGAUAAACUCCGACUACUCCGAACUAGGCAAGCAUGUUUGAACUCUUGAUAUGAUGAGUGGUUGUUGCAUGUUUGCAUUUUAGUAUAGUCAUGGCAUGUUUAUGAACAUUUCUUGAAUGUUAUAUUUCAUGCACAUUAGUGGAAAGUAAGUUUCGGAAAGCAUUAUGUUGUGGGAUACAUAUUUGCAUGGCCAUGUGAUGGCAUGAGGAAGGGUAAGAUGGAAGUGUUGUGACAUGCCAGUCUUAUGCCGGAUUAUUUGACUUCCGUGUCAUCGUGAAUCAAAUCACAUUUCCAUUCAUUUCCUUUCGUACUAUCACAUGCUUUCCGAAAGGAAUAUGGCUUAGUAAGUUGCAAACCGUUUUCCUGGUACACACCAAAUAGAGAGGCCGGGAUGAGGGUUCCAUGGCCCUGGAUUAAAGCCCAUCAUCCGGUCAGGGGGCAUGGGUGUUUCCGGUUGGGACCGAGAGGGGGGCACCCCUUAGAGCGCGCGUAUAGAAAUUUGAUCCCAUGCUAUUCGAGGUUGUGGCCUCCCCGUCUCAAAGUUUUUCUUGGACAUUGUCCAGGGUGAUUCCUGGCAUCGUGAGGUGAAAUGGGUGUGUACUAGUUAAAUGUGUUUCUACUGAAAUACCGUAAACGGAACUAGUCCUUCGUGACUAUGGAAAUCCAUUGGCUGUGGUCAGUUCAUCCAAACUCUGCAGAGUCACAAAUCUUUCAAUUAUCUUGUACUUUGUUCAAGUACUAUAUUCAUGUUAUCUUGUCAAGUAUCAACCUCAGUGACAAAUCUCCGGUGGAAUUCAUGUGUGAUAAAUCCGGUUAAAAGAUUAUUCUUGUGGAUGGACUAAUCUUGUUAUUUACUUUUGUUGUAAGCCCUGUCUGUGAUGUCGCUCAGACGUCCGACGGUGGCAUGCUUGUAUUUACAUUUAUUGUAAGCCCUGUCUGCGAUGUCGCUCAGACGUCCGAUGGUGGCAUAAUUGUAUUUACUUUUAUUAAAGCCCUUUAUGUGAUGUCGCUCAGACGUCCGACUGUGNNNNNNNNNNCGAUGUCGCUCAGACGUCCGACUGUGGCAUUUCUUUUAAAGCCCUUUCUGUGAUGUCGCUCAGACGUCCGACGGUGGCAUUUCUUUUAAAGCCCUUUAUGCGAUGUCGCUCAGACGUCUGACUGUGGCAUUUCUUUUAAAGCCCUUUUUGUGAUGUCGCUCAGACGUCCGACUGUGGUAUUUCUUUUAAAGCCCUUUAUGUGGUGUCGCUCAGACGCCCGACUGUGGCAUCAUUUUUCCUUAUUUUUAUUUGUUCACCUUUCGAGGCGUCGCUUCAGACACCCGAUCGGUCUUCAUUUGUGUUAUGUUGGGAUUCCAGGCGGACUACCGCCGUUUCCCCUUUUUCUUACCCCGUUAUGCUAAUUUUAUUUUAAUGUGCAUUGAUGAAUUAAUCAUGUCGCAUCCAUGCAUGCAUUUGUUAUAUCUUACGUCCGAACUGUCUUGCGAGUACUUUCAAAGUACUCACUGGCUUGUUGAUUUGGCCAGAUGCUGACGAAGGCGAUCUCAUGGAUGAAGAGUUUGAUAGCGAGUCCGACACCUAGAGGAGUCCCAGUCAGUCUUGUGCGACCCUGGAUUUGGUCACUGUAUUAUAUCCGCUUCCGCUACCAAAUAAAUUCAUCGAGCCUCUCCUCGACGCUCGAUGAGAUGACAGACGUAGAGUCUUGUAUUUCUCUCCCCGCUGUGUUUUUCCACCACCGUCCUAUCCUCGAGUCAGUAGUAUGCCUCCACACCCCUGUGUCGUGUCCGCCAUUAUGUAUAAUUAUUGGNNNNNNNNNNUGUGAUGUCGCUCAGACGUCCGACUGUGGCAUUUCUUUUAAAGCCCUUUAUGUGAUGUCGCUCAGACGUCCGACUGUGGCAUUUCUUUUAAAAGCCCUUUAUGUGGUGUCGCUUAGACGCCCGACUGCAGCAUGAGUUUUAUUUGUUUACCUUUCGAGGCGUCGCUCCAGACACCCGAUCAGUUUUCAUUUAUUGGUUUUCUUAUCAAGUCGUGCAUAAAUAUUAUUAUUGUUGAGAUGAGCAUCAUUAUUCAUAUUCAUGACGCAUUCAUGCAUUCAUUGAUUAUAUCUUUUGUCCGAACUGUCUUGCGAGUACUUUCAAAGUACUCACCUGGCUUGUUGAUUUGGCCAGAUGUUGAUGAAGGCGAUCUCAUGGAUGAAGAGUUUGAUAGCGAGUCCGACGCCUAGAGGAGUCCCAGUUAGUCCCGUGCGAUCCUGUUUGGUCAUUGUAUUAUCCGCUUCCGCAACCCCAGAAAUAAAUUCAUCGAGCCUCACCUCGACGCUCGAUGAGCUGCCAGUUAGGAGUCAAAUUAUCCACCACUUUUUACCUCGAGCUAGUAGCAUGCCACCACACCCCUGUGUCAUAACCGACCUUAUGUAAGAUGUUGGCGAGCUUGUAAUAAACUGUUGAGCAGCCUCAGCUCAACCCUGUAAUAUAUUUAAUGCUACUGGUCCUCUGUUCAUCAAGUAUUUGUCUACCAGUGAGGAUGACUUUUCCUAUACUGGGAUUUAAAGAUCGAUUUUCUCAAUAAUUAUUUAUUGAAAAAGUUGGUCGUGACAGAUGCCGGGCACAUGGGGGGUAAGAUCCCCAUGGAUUAUGCGGACGGGAGCCACAGCAAGUCUGGCUCCCUGCCGGUUACUGUACCGGAGCCUUCACAGGUUCCGGAUUCAAGUGGGCAGCCCCUCGCUAAGGAGGGCGAGCCGGCCGUGCCGAUGACCUCCGCCCAGCCGGAGGCAUAAGAUAAUUUGCUGGAAGUGCUUCACAGCGCUUCCAUUGACGAAGAGCACCGUACUCUCAUGAGUACGGUGAUUGAGAAGGUCCGGUCCACCAAAAGCGGAUUGACUGAAGCCCGCACCAGCCUCCUAAUAUGCUUUGAGGUAAGUAAUGAAAAAGUGUGAGAAAAUAUCACCCGAUAGCCAGUAGCCCCUGAUACUAUGUUUGUUGUUCAGAAAGAAAAGCCAAAUGGAGGGUCAAUUUUUAGUCCGCAGGAGUGUGACAGUACUUGUCUAUGUUAAUGAGAAGGCGUUGCUGCUGACCGCCGCUGCACGCACAGCUGAGGUCGCCGGACUCAGGCAGGACCUGGGGCUGGCCGAAGAAGAGCUCGGCCUCGUGAAGAGGCAGCUCAAGGAGAACAAAGGUAAGUGAUACCCCGUCCGUGUGUCAUGUAGGGGAGAAAAAUUGAUGAUGCUAACAAAAAUCAUCAUUAUUUUUAAUAGGGGCUACGACCGAAGUGGCGGCCCCGAAGAAAGCGAUGUCCAAGGCCGAAGCCAAGGCGGCCAUAGAGUGCAUCGAGCGUGAAAAACAAGAUGCUCGGGUAGGGGAGGUACAACAAGAGCUCCAGGAGUUCGGCAAGAAGUUUGAGUCCUUGGAGCAUGACUUCAAGACGCAAGCGUCCGAGCUUGCCAAAGCCCUCGAGAGCGGGAAAGAUGCCAAGGCUGAAGCUCAAAAGGCCCUCCAGGAAAUCCAGGCGCCAAGAAGAUAGCGGUGGUUAAGGCAUUCAUUAUGCAAAGCAAGCAUGUGGAGGAGACAUUUCUUUUACUCACCCGCAUUCGAAGCUCUCCAGGGGCAUUCACAGAUCUGCCACGCAGCAUAUCGGAUGCCACGGAGUUCUACCGUGCCUAAGAAGGGAGCUCAACGAAGAAGCUGUUCUGGUCCCAGUAUACUGGAGCCGAACACCCAAUGCCUCUGAGUGACCAACUGAAGCAAUUGGUCGAACUCCACAGGGCGGCCGAACUGGCCAUGAAGGACCUCAUAGUCCGGAUGUGGCCUGGUGAGCCCCUGCCCGACAGCUACUUCGGCCUUAUAAAGCGGAUGGUAAGUGCUUGUCCGUGGCUUGAAGUUAUCAAGCAGUCCGUCUGCAUUGAGGGUGCCCGCCGGGCUUUUGCCCGUGCGAAGAUGCAUUGGGCCAAACUGGAUGCUGAGAAGCUGGUGAAGGAUGGGCCCCCGGAGGUAAGGAGCAUUGCUACCCCGAGAAAUAUUAUGAUGGCGUUAUGAAAGGCGCUCGCCUUGUGGCCGAUGAAUGCACCAAGAACUUAAUCUUUGAGUGAAUGUACUCAUGUCGUCUUUGUAAUAUGAGAACGAGUUUGUUUGCGCCCUAUAACGCGUUGUUGAUUUAAAAUAUUACCUUCUGUGCGGCCGUUUAUAAAUUUCUGAAAGUAGGCCAGUCAUCGACUUCCACCCCCGUGUAGCUAGUACUGGGGUGUUCGUGGAAAACCCAAACAUUCUUUAUCCAAGUUUUUGGUCCUUUAAGGAGGUGUUUGGCGCAGCGAACAAGGCAAUCGGACUAUGCGGCUUUAUAACUCAUUUGGCCAUAGAAGUCUAUAAUUUUAAAUUUCGGCGAAGCCCAUAGUAUUCGGAAGGCCGAACUGGGGCGCUAUACACGCCUAAAUCAAACAAGGCCGAUUCCUCGCUUUAAGUGGAAAAAAUCUUUAAGGUUUUAGUACCUCUCGAACAGCGACCAGCUCUCGCCGCAUCAUCACAGUCAGUUUUCGGCUUUCUGUACCGAGGUGCUCGUCCGGAAGAACCGGGACACAAUCACAGUAGUUCUCCCUGCGCCACCUUAGCCGAUAUAACGGAACGUAAGGUACCAAAACAAGGGAGCCGGCUAACCCAACUAUUGACCCAAGACAUGAUUCGGAGCUGAUGCAUAUAAUGCUAUAAGUUCGGGGUGCCGCACUGUCGAAAGUGUUCGGACUUUUAUUGCCAUGUUAUGGGGCUCAAUAAAAAGCCCCUGGCGAACUGAUCGUACCAAAGUGUACGGAUGCAACAUUAAAUAAAUAUUCAAGGGAAAAUAUGAAGAUAGUAAUAAGAAGCUGACGUUGUAUACUAUUUCCCAUUGUUAUUUUGAUAAUACGGCAAGGCGUAUGUGUACACUUAAUGCGUUAAGCAGAAACAAAUAGGACUAUUUGACAUGUCCUAUCAAAGGGCAGGCUGCAUGCGGGUAUGUAAAACAGGUAUAACGAUCAUUGACAGAGACCACCUGGGUAUUCCCUUGUGUGCGAAGCCUCUUGCCUCCUUGGUGUUCCCUCCUGUGAUGACUCCGAUAGUACGGUUCUCUGAAGGGGCUACCCAAAAGUAGGGUCCUGAAAGAAAGAAAGAAGAAGGGUGUGCGGGCCUCGUGGCCACUGAACCGCACUGUGGCCUGCAUCGUCGACUCGCCUCCACCUAUGCCCAUGGUAUUUUGAGUGCGUAGUUGUGUACGCGUGGCACAAAUGCCUCCUCAAUGGGGCUGCGGUGGAGGUCGGAUUGCUAAUCGAGCUCUUGGCAUGCCUAACCAUCCUGUUGUGGGGUGCUCCGGACUCGCUUGACGGUGUUCGGGGUUGUCAUUGCCGAAUGGGCUGUCUGUCGAAGAAGGCUGUUUUGUACUUCUGCCGCAAGGGCCGCAGUGUGCUCUUCCGUAUGGAGGGAGCGCUCUGUGUUUCCAUUGGCUGUUAUAACCCCGCGAGGUCCUGGCAUUUUGAGCUUAAGGUAUGCAUAGUGCGGUACCACAUUGAAUCGAGCGAACACGGUUUGUCCAAGUAGUGCAUGAUAGCCACUAUGGAAAGGGACGAUAUUGAAGAUUAAUUCCUCGCUUCGGAAGUUAUCCGGAGAUCCGAAGACCACUUCCAGUGUUAUUGAGCCCGUACAGCGAGCCUCUACCCUGGAAUUACACCUUUACAUGUGGUUUUGGUUGGUUUGAUCCGUGAGGGAUCGAUGCCCAUUUUGCGCACUGUGUCCUGAUAAAGCAGGUUCAGCCUACUGCCACCGUCCAUAAGGACUCGUGUUAGAUGGUAUAAGUCGAUGAUUGGGUCAAAGACCGAUGCGGCUGAGCCGCCAUGACGGAUGUUGGUAGGAUGGUCCCUACGAUCGAAAGUGAUCGGACAAGAUGACCAUGGGUUGAACUUUGGGGCGACUUGCUCCAUCACAUAGAAGUCCCUAAGUGCACACUUUCAUUCCCGUUUGGGAAUGUGGGUGUCAUAGAUCAUGUUUACCAUUUUCACCUAGGGGGAAAUUUCUUCUAUCCCCCAGUGUUCGGACGUCGGGGCUCCUCGUCAUCAUUGCUGUGCAGCCCCUUGUCCUUGUUUUCGGCAUUCAACUUGCUGGCCUGUUUGAACACGCAGCAAUCUCUGUUAGUGUGAUUAGCUAGUUUGUCGGUGGUGCCGUGAAUCUGGCACAAGCGGUCGAGUAUGCGGUCUAGACUAGACGAUCCCAGAUUGUUUCUUUUGAACGGCUUUUUCCGCUAACCGGAUUUUGAGUUGCUGAAUCCGGCAUUGACUGCCGUAUCUUCGGCAUUGUCGCCAUUGUUCCAACGCUUAUGUCUAUUGCGCCGCGGCUUUCCGUUACUGUCGCGGACAUCUGAAGUGCCAGAGUUUCUUGGCGUGGUGCUACUGCGAGCCAGCCAGCUGUCCUUGCCCGCACAAAAGUGGGUCAUGAGUGUCGUGAGGGCCACCAUGGACUUCGGUUUUUCUUGGCUGAGGUGUCGGGCGAGCCACUCGUCGCGGAUAUUAUGCUUAAAGGCCGCCAGGGCCUCGACGUCCGGAUAGUCGACAAUUUGGUUCUUUUUAGUUAGGAACCGAGUCCAGAAUUUUCUGGCUGACUCUCCAGGCUAUUGGGUAAUGUGACUUAAGUCAUCAGCAUCCGGUGGUCGAACGUAAGUGCCUUGGAAGUUGUCGAGGAAUGCGUCCUCAAGAUUUUCCCAACUGCCGAUGGAGUUCGCCGGCAGGCUAUUCAGCCAAUGUCUGGCUGGCCCUUUAAGCUUAAGGGGGAGAUACUUGAUGGCAUGUAGAUCAUCAUCGCGAGCCAUGUGAAUGUGGAGAAGGAAAUCUUCAAUCCAUAUCGCAGGGUCUGUUGUGCCAUCGUAUGACUCGAUGUUGACGGGUUUAAACCCUUCUAGGAAUUCAUGAUCCAUUACUUCAUCAGUGAAGCAGAGGGGGUGUGCGGCGUCUCUGUGCCGGGCUAUGUCAUGACGCAGUCUGGUCGGUUAUGUUCGGCCCGCCCGGACUUAUUAUUAGUGUAUCUGGCAUGAUGGUCAUCGUCAUGUGUUGUGGCGCGCCCCCGUGAUCCGUAGAUCGAUCUUGGUGGUCCUGUGUUGUUUUCCAAUAUGUCUGGCAGGUCCUGCGUAUUGCCCCGGGCCAUAGUGAACUGGCGUAGGGGUGCGGGGGCUGGUGUUCGAUCUGAUACGUCGUUUUAUCCCAACCACGAGGUGGCUGGUCAGCCUCAUCUUGUGCUGGUAGUGCAGGCUCUACGGCCUCUUCCUCUAGCUGAGGUAGCAACUUGUGCUUUGGGUAACCCUUGGUUGGGGGCUUGAGUCUGUAUUCCUCGGCUGCCAGGACCUCGGUCCAUUUGUCUACGAGCAGAUCUUGAUCAGCUUGGAGCUGCUGCUGCUUCUUUUUCAGGGUUCUUGCAGUGGCUAUAAGCCGGCGCUUAAAGUGCUCCUGCUCUAUUGGAUCUUCGGGUACGCCGAAUCAUCGUCGCCGAGGCUCACCUCGUCUCCGGAGGGAUGCAUAUAGUUGUCAUCCUCCACGUAUCCGUCCGUCGCCUAUUCCUCGGGGCUGACCUGCCCGUGUUCCUGUUUGGCCUGUUCAAAGGUAGGAUGAUCAGGAUUGUAUUCCUCUUCGGCACGAUCUGGGUUUUCUUUUCCUAUGCCGGUAUUGCUAUGGUGGGGCUUAGAGCGGCGCCGAUGACGCCCAUGCUUUGGUUUCUUCCCUAAGGGGUUAUCUUCUGUUGCCUCAUCGCCAUUGUUUUCUUUGGGGGUGUCCACCAUAUAUAUAUAUAUCAUACGAAGAGGUGGCUGUCCAGCGCCCUGUCGGCGGUGGUUCCUGUUCUUCUCCUGCAUCAUCGUCUAUACCGUUGAUGUCUUUGGAGUCGAAGUCAAGCACAUCAGUCAGAUCAUCGACAAUGGCUAUUAAGUGGGUGGUGGGUGGGUAACAAAUUUCUUCAUCGCCUGCUUCCCACUCGAGCCGAACAUAGUUCGGCCAGGAAUCUCCUGACAGAGAGAUAUGCCUUAAUGAAUUUAGCACUUCGCCAAAGGGGGGGUGCUGAAAGAUAUCCGCGGCGGUGAACUCCAUUACUGCGCCCGGGCGCGCGCGGUUCGGAACCCACAUCCGGACACAGGUCCGCGGGUCCGGUGACGCAGAUUUCUUUAACGGCGGAGUCUGUGUUCGGCUCUACCGCCGAAGAGUAUGCAGCCUCUAUGGCGGGAUCCAUCCACCUGUCCUCGGACGACGCGAUCUGCCCCCGGAUUUAGGUCCGGAGCAGCUGCAGGGGCGACAUCCUGAACACUGUCCGACUGCAGAUUCAAGUCGUGCUCGUCAUGAUUGUUCGACGCUCCUGAUAUGGGCCCGAAUCCGUCAAAGAUCAAGUCUCUGCGGAUAUCGGCCGUGUAAUUCAAGUUUAUGAAUCUGACCUGAUGGCCAGGGGCGUAGCUGUCGAUCUGCUCCAGAUGGCCAAGCGAGUUGGCCCGCAGUGCGAAGCCACCGAACACGAAGAUCUGUCCGGGGAGAAAAGUCUCGCCCUGGACUGUGUUGUUGAAGGUUGAGGGAGCCAUCGAGCCGUACAACGACGACACAGAGGAACUCUCAAUGAAAGCACCAAUGUCGGUGUCAAAACAGGCGGAUCUCGGGUAGGGGGUCCCGAACUGUGCGUCUAAGACUAAUGGUAACUAGAGACUGGGGACAUGAUGUUUACCCAGGUUUGGGCCCUCUCGAUGGAGGUAAUACCCUACUUCCUGCUUGAUUGAUCUUCAUGAUAUGAGUAUUACAAGAGUUGAUCUACCACGAGAUCGUAGAGGCAAAACCCUAGAAGCUAGCCUAUGGUAUGAUUGUUGUUGUCCUACGGACUAAACCCUCUGGUUUAUAUAGACACCGGAGGGGGCUAGGGUUACAUAGAGUCGGUUACAGAGAAGGAGAUCUAUCAUCCGAAUCACCAAGCUUGCCUUCCACGCAAAGGAGAGUCCCAUUCGGACACGGGACGAAGUCUUCAAUCUUGUAUCUUCAUAGUCCAACAGUCUGGCCAAAGUAUAUCGUCCGGCUGUCCGGAUACCCCCUAAUCCAGGAAUACCUCAGCGGGCAGGUCCUCUUCCUCAUCCUCCUCCCGCUCAUACUCCCGCUCCUCCGGGUCGCCGGCGCUCACCAAUGUCAAGGCCGAGCCCGUGGAUAUGCCGCUCGGGCGGCACGCUGAUACGUCCAUUUUGCAUCAUGCUUUUAUAUCAAUAUUUAUUGCAUUACGGGCUGUUAUUUCACAUUAUGUCACAAUACUUAUGGCCAUUCUCUCUUAUUUUACAACGUUUCCAUGAAGAGGGAGAAUGCCGACAGCUGGAAUUCUGGGCUGGAAAAGGAGCAAAUAUUGGAGGCCUAUUCUGCACAACUCCAAAAGUCCUGAAACUCCAUGGAAUAUCUUAAAAUAAAUAAAUAAAAAUCAUCGCCAAAGAUGAAGGCCAGGGGGCCCACACGUUGCUCACGAGGGUGGGGGGCGCGCCCCCCUGGGGCACGCCCCCCUACCUCGUGGGCCCCCUGGUGGCUCUCCGACGCCCAUCUUCUCCUAUAUGAAUUCUUUCGAUGAGGAAAAAAUAGAAGGCAACCUUUCGGGACGAGACUCCGCCGCCACGAGGCGGAACCUUGGCGAAACCAAUCUAGGGCUCUGGCAGAGCUGUUCUGCCGGGGACACUUCCCUCCGGGAGGGGGAAAUCAUCACCAUCGUCAUCACCAACGCUCCUCUCAUCAGGAGAGGGCAAUCUCCAUCAACAUCUUCACCAGCACCAUCUCAUCUCCAAACCCUAGUUCAUCUCUUGUAUCCAAUUCUUGUCUCCAGGUCCGGGAUUGAUGCUAGUAGGUUGCUAGUAGUGUUGAUUACUCCUUGUAGUUGAUGCUAGUUGGUUUAUUUGGUGGAAGAUCAUAUGUUCAGAUCCUUUAUGCACAUUAUUACCCCUCUGAUUAUGAACAUGAAUAUGCUUUGUGAGUAGUUACCUUUGUUCCUGAGGACAAGGGAGAAGUCUUGCUAUUAGUAGUCAUGUGAAUUUGGUAUUCGUUCGAUAUUUUGAUGAGAUGCAUGUUGUCUAGCCUCUAGUGGUGUUAUGUGAACGUCGACUACAUAACACUUCACCAUUAUUUGGGCCUAUAGGAAGGCAUUGGGAAGUAAUAAGUAGAUGAUGGGUUGCUACAGUGACAGAAGCUUAAACCCUAGUUUAUGCGUUGCUUCGUAAGGGGCUGAUUUGGAUCCAUAUGUUUCAUGCUAUUGUUAGGUUUACCUUAAUACUUUUGUUGUAGUUGCGGAUGCUUGCAAUAGAGGUUAAUCAUAAGUGGGAUGCUUGUACAAGUAAGGGCAGUACCCAAGCACCGGUCCACCCACAUAUCAAAUCAUCAAAGUACCGAACGCGAAUCAUAUGAGCAUGAUGAAAACUAGCUUGACGAUAUUCCCAUGUGUCCUCGGGAGCGCUUUUCCUAUUAUAAGAGUUUGUCCAGGCUUGUCCUUUGCUACAAAAAGGAUUGGGCCACCUUUCUGCACUUUAUUUACUUUUGUUACUUGUUGCUCGUUACAAUUUAUCUUAUCACAAAACUAUCUGUUACCACUUAUUUCAGUACUUGCAGAGAAUACCUUGCUAAAAACUGCUUAUCAUUUCCUUCUGCUCCUCGUUGGGUUCGACACUCUUACUUAUCGAAAGGACUACGAUAGAUCACCUAUACUUGUGGGUCAUCAAGACUCUUUUCUGGCGCGGUUGCUGGGUGUGAAGCGCCUUUGGUAGGUGGAAUUUGGUAAGGAAAAAUUUAUUUAGUGUGCUGAAAUUUUCUGUCACUUGUUACUAUGGAAAGUAAUUCUCUGAGGGGCUUGUUCGGGGUAUCUUCACCCCGUCCAGUAGAGCAAAGAGUUGCUCCUGAACCUACUCAACCUACUGAACCUAUUGAAAAUGAAACUCCUUUUGAGAUUCCUUCGGGUAUGAUGGAAAAACUCCUAGCUAACAGUUUUACAGGAGAUGGAACAAGGCAUCCUGAUGAACAUCUAUGCUAUGUGGAUGACGUUUGUGGACUAUUUAAGCUUGCAGGUAUACCCGAUGAUGUUGUUAAGAAGAAGGCCUUCCCUUUAUCUUUGAAGGGAGACUCAUUGACAUGGUACAUGCUAUGUGAUGAUAUGAGAUCAUGGAACUAUAAAAGAUUGAAAUUGGAAUUUCAUCAAAAGUAUUACCCUAUGCAUCUUGUUCAUCGUGAUCGCAAUUAUAUAUAUAAUUUUUGGCCUCAUGAAGGAGAAAGCAUCGCUCAAGCUUGGGGGAGGCUUAAAUCAAUGUUAUAUUCAUGCCCCAAUCAUGAGCUCUCAAGAUAAGUAAUUAUGCAAAGUUUUUAUGCUUGGCUUUCUGAUAACAAUCGCACCAUGCUCGAUACUUCUUGUGCUGGCUCUUUUAUGAUGAAGACUAUCGAAUUUAAAUGGAAUUUAUUGGAUAGAAUUAAACGCAACUCUGAAGAUUGGGACCUCGACGAAGGUAAGGAGUCGGGUAUGACACCCAAGUUUGAUUGUGUUAAAUCUUUUAUGGAUACCGAUAUUUUCUGUAAGUUUAGCACUAAAUAUGGACUUGACUCUGAGAUAGUAGCUUCUUUCUGUGAAUCCUUUGCUACUUAGGUUGAUCUCCCCAAGGAGAAGUGGUUUAAAUAUCAUCCUCCCAUAGAAGUAAAAGUAGCUGCACCUAUUAAAGUUGAAGAAAAGACUGUCACUUAUAAUGAUCCUAUUGUUCCCACUUCUUAUGUUGAGAAACCGCCUUUCCCUAUUAGAAUGAAGGAUCAUGCUAGAGCUUCAACUGUUGUUCGCAAAAGAAAUAUUAGAACUUAUACACCUCCUGAGCAAGUCAAAGUAGAACCCAAUAUUGCUAUUGUUAAAGAUCUCUUGUCUGAUAAUAUCGAUGGGCAUGUUAUUCAAUUCCAGGGUGAAACUGCUAGAAUUGCUAAACCUUGUGAUAGAAAUAAACAUAGACCUGUGGUAGGCGUGCAUGUUAUUUCUGUUAAAAUAGGAGAUCAUUGUUAUCAUGGCUUAUGUGAUAUGGGUGCUAGUGCUAGUGUAAUACCCAUUGACUUAUAUAGAGAAAUUAUGCAUGAUAUUACACCUGCUGAGUUAGAAGAAAUUGAUGUCACAAUUAAACUUGCCAAUAGAGAUACUAUUUCACUAGUGGGAAUUGUUAGAGAUGUUGAAGUCUUGUGUGGAAAAACCAAAUAUCCCGCUGAUUUUCUUGUUCUUGGUUCUCCACAAGAUAGCUUUUGUCCCAUUAUAUUUGGUAGACCCUUCUUGAAUACUGUUAAUGCUAGGAUAGACUGCAAAAAGAAUGUUGUUACUUUUGGCUUGGCUGAUAUGGUUCAUGAGUUUAAUUUCUCUAAAUUUAGUAAACAACAUCGCGAGGAAGAAUCGCCAAGUAAGGAUGAAAUUAUUGGUCUUGCUUCUAUUGCCGUACCUCCUAGUGAUCCUUUAGAACAAUAUUUGCUAGACCAUGAAAAUGAUAUGUUCAUGAAUGAAAGAAGGGAAAUAGAUGAGGUAUUCUUUAAACAGGAACCUAUUCUGCAACACAAUUUGCCUGUUGAAAUUCUAGGGGAUCCUCCUCCACCCAAGGGUGAUCCCGUGUUUGAGCUUAAACCGUUGACUGAUAAUCUUAAAUAUGCUUAUCUUGAUGAAAAGAAAAUAUAUCCUGUUAUUAUUAGUGCUAACCUUUCAGAGCAUGAAGAAGAAAGAUUAUUGGAAACUCUGAAGAAGCACCAUGCCGCUAUUGGAUAUACAGUUGAUGAUCUUAAGGGCAUUAGUCCCACUCUAUGUCAACAUAAAAUAAAUUUGGAAGCGGAUGCCAAACCAGUUUGUGAUCCUCAACGACGUUUGAAUCCUAAAAUGAAAGAAGUGGUAAGAAAAGAAAUACUCAAGCUUCUGGAGGCAGGUAUAAUUUAUCCCGUUGCUGAUAGUCAGUGGGUAAGUCCUGUCCAUUGUGUCCCCAAGAAGGGAGGUAUUACUGUUGUCCCUAAUGAUAAAGAUGAAUUGAUCCCGCAAAGAAUUAUCACAGGUUAUAGGAUGGUAAUUGAUUUCCGCAAAUUAAAUAAAGCUACUAAGAAGGAUCAUUACCCCUUACCUUUCAUUGAUCAAAUGCUAGAACGAUUAUGCAAACAUACACAUUAUUGCUUUCUAGAUGGUUAUUUUGGUUUCUCUCAAAUACCUGUGUCAGCUAAAGAUCAAUCAAAGACUACUUUUACAUGCCCUUUGGUACUUUUGCUUAUAGACGUAUGCCUUUUGGUUUAUGUAAUGCACCUGCUACCUUUCAAAGAUGCAUGAUGGAUAUAUUCUCUGACUUUUGUGAAAAAAUUUGUGAGGUUUUCAUGGACGAUUUUUCCGUCUAUGGUUCCUCUUUUGUUGAUUGGUUGAGCAAUCUUGCUCGAGUUUUACAGAGAUGUGAAAAAACGAAUCUUGUCUUGAAUUGGGAAAAGUGCCACUUUAUGGUUAAUGAAGGUAUUGUCUUGGGACACAAAGUUUCUGAAAGAGGUAUUGAAGUUGAUAAAGCCAAAGUUGAUGCUAUUGAAAAGAUGCUAUGUCCCAAGGACAUCAAAGGUAUAAGAAGUUUCCUUGGUCACACCGGAUUUUAUAGGAGGUUCAUUAAGGAUUUCUCAAAAAUUUCUCGGCCUCUGACUAAUUUAUUACAAAAAGAUGUACCAUUUGUCUUUGAUGAUGAUUGUGUAGAAGCAUUUGAAAUACUUAAGAAAGCAUUAGUCUCUGCACCUGUUGUUCAGCCACCUGAUUGGAAUUUACCCUUUGAAAUUAUGUGUGAUGCUAGUGAUUAUGCUGUAGGUGUUGUUCUAGGGCAAAGAGUUGAUAAGAAAUUAAAUGUUAUCCAUUAUGCUAGUAAGACUCUAGACAAUGCUCAAAGAAAUUAUGCUACUACUGAAAAGGAACUUUUAGAAGUUGUAUUUGCUUGUGAUAAAUUCAGAUCCUAUAUUGUUGAUUCUAAAGUAACUAUUCACACCGAUCAUGCUGCUAUUAAAUAUCUUAUGGAAAAGAAGGAUGCAAAACCUAGAUUCGUUAGAUGGGUUCUCUUGCUACAAGAAUUUGAUUUGCAUAUUGUUGAUAGAAAGGGAGCUGAGAACCCCGUUGCAGACAACUUAUCUAGGUUAGAGAAUGUUCUUGAUGACCCACUACCUAUUGAUGAUAGCUUCCCUGAUGAGCAACUAAAUGUCAUAAGCACUUCUCGUAGCACUCCAUGGUAUGCUGAUUAUGCUAAUUAUAUUGUCGCUAAAUUUAUACCACCUAGCUUCACAUACCAACAAAAUAAAAAGUUUUUCUAUGACUUGCAACAUUACUUUUGGGAUGACCCACAUCUUUAUAAAGAAGGAGUAGAUGGUGUCAUUAGACGUUGUGUACCUGAGCAUGAACAAGAACAGAUCCUACGCAAGUGUCACUCCGAAGCUUAUGGAGGACACCAUGCUGGAGAUAGAACUGCACAUAAGGUAUUGCAAUCUGGUUUUUAUUGGCCUACUCUCUUCAAGGAUGCCCGUAAGUUUGUUUUGUCUUGCGAUGAAUGUCAAAGAAUUGGUAAUAUUAGUAGACAUCAAGAAAUGCCUAUGAAUUAUUCACUUGUUAUUGAACCAUUUGAUGUUUGGGGCUUUGAUUAUAUGGGACCUUUUCCUGCCUCUAAUGGAUACACACAUAUUUUAGUUGCUGUUGAUUAUGUUACUAAGUGGGUAGAAGAUAUUCCAACUAGUAGUGCUGAUCAUAACACUUCUAUUAAAAUGCUUAAGGAAGUUAUUUUUCCGAGGUUUGGAGUCCCUAGAUAUCUUAUGACUGAUGGUGGUUCACAUUUUAUUCAUGGUGCUUUCCGUAAAAUGCUUGCUAAAUAUGAUGUUCAUCAUAGGAUUGCAUCUCCUUAUCACCCGCAGUCUAGUGGUCAAGUAGAAUUGAUCAAUAGAGAGCUCAAAUUAAUUUUGCAAAAGACUGUCAAUAGGUCUAGAAAGAAUUGGUCUAAGAAACUGGACGACGCAUUAUGGGCCUAUAGAACUGCAUAUAAGAAUCCUAUGGGUAUGUCUCCGUAUAAAAUGGUCUAUGGAAAAGCUUGUCACCUACCUGUCGAACUAGAACAUAAGGCAUAUUGGGCUAUUAAAGAGCUCAACUAUGAUUUCAAACUUGCCGGUGAGAAGAGGCUAUUUGAUAUAAGCUCCCUUGAUGAAUGGAGAACCCAAGCUUAUGAAAAUGCCAAGUUGUUUAAAGAAAAAGUUAAAAGAUGGCAUGACAAAAGAAUACAACAGCGUGAGUUUAAUGUAGGUGAUUAUGUAUUGCUAUACAACUCUCCUUUAAGAUUUUUUGUAGGAAAACUUCUCUCCAAAUGGGAAGGUCCCUACGUUAUCGAGGAGGUCCAUCAUUCCAGUGCCAUAAAAAUCAACAACUUCGAAGGCACAAAUCCGAAGGUGGUAAACGGUCAAAGGAUCAAACACUAUAUCUCAGGUAAUCCUAUAAAUGUUGAAACCAAUAUUAUUGAAACCGUAACCCCGGAGGAAUACAUAAGGGACACCUUCCAGGCCGUCCCAAACUCCAAAAAGGAAUAUGUAUGUGGUACGGUAAGUAAACCGACUCCAAAACAAUUUUAAGGCAAUAUUUCCCCGUUUUGGAAUAUUUAGAAAAAUAGAAAAAUAAGUGGCAGUCCGUGAAGGACACGAGGCCUCCAUGAGGGUGGAUGGCGCGCCCUACCCCCCUGGGCGUGCCCCCUACCUCGUGAGCACCUCGUGUGCUCUCCGGACUCUGUUUUCUUGCACGAUACGUAUUUUGGUCGGUAAAAAAUCAUUAUAUAUACUCCCGAAGGUUUUGACUCUUGUAUCACGCAAAUAUCCUCUGUUUUCAUUUCGAACUGUUUUUGUUGCAGACUUAGAGCACCAUGAUUUCUCCCACCUCCAACAAUGAAGAAAAGGAUGCUUGGCUUUUGAAGAUAGAGUUGAAAAGAGAAGAACCAGAAGAGAUCAAGAAGGCCAUUGAUGCUCAAGCUCCAGUGGUGAAAGAAGAAGACACCCCUCAACCUUUACCUAACCUUUUCACUCCAAUAGAGAUUGAAGCUUUCAAGAUGAUUGAGUUAGCCCGCAUACAGAACAAGUAUCUCACAGAGGAGAAUAUUUUGUUGAAGGAUCAUAUUGCUGGGCUCAAGGGCAUUAUCCGAAAGUUGGAGGUACUUUUACGCUCAAUGUGCGAUUAUCCACCGUCAUCAUCACCACCUCCAUCAGCUCCGAGGAUAUAAUCACAUGGGUAUGGGCACUCCCCUUGGCAACUGCCAAGCUUGGGGGAGGUGCCCUGGUAUCAUAUCACCAUCACAACUCCUAUCUUUACCAUUUUUCUUAGUUCGAUCCUAUUAGUAGUAUCUUGAUUUAGUAGAAUAAAGUCAUGGCAUGAUCUAGUUUUGAGUUUUGCUUUAUGAUCCUUCUUUGUAAUCGAGUCCGUGAGCUAUAUAAUAAAGAUUAGUGUUGAGUCAAGGGCUUGAUUAUUUUGCCUUGAUCUUGGGUGAAUAGAAGAAAAGAAUAAAAAGAAUCAAAGAGUCCAUAUUGAUCUUAUUGAAAGUAAUGACUUCACAUAGAGAGAGUAUGAUGAUUAAAAGUUGUUGGGAGUUGGCAAAUAUAGCUUUGGUCAUCGUUGCACUUAAUAGGAAGUAAUAAGGAAAGAGAGGUUUCACAUAUAGAUAUAUUAUCAUUGACAUCUUUUAUGAUUGGGAGCACUCAUUAAAAUAUGACAUGCUAAAGAGUUGAUGUUGGACAAGGAAGACAACAUAAUGAGUUAUGUUUUCUUAUAUCUGAGAUAAAGUAUGUUGUCAUGGAUCCUCUAACGUGUUGGGCUUGCCUUUCCCCCUCAUGCUAGCCAAAUUCUUAGCACCAAGUAGAAAUACUACUCGUGCUUCCAAAUACCCUUAAACCAGUUUUGCCAUGAGAGUCCACCAUAUCUACCUAUGGAUUGAGUAAGAUCCUUCAAGUAAGUUGUCAUCGGUGCAAGCAAUAAAAAUUGCUCUCUAAAUAUGCAUGACUUAUUAGUGCGGAGAAAAUAAGCUUUGUAUGAACUUGUUGUGGACGUAAUAAAAGCGACGGACUGCAUAAUAAAGGUCCACAUACAAGGGGCAAUAUAAAGUGACGUUCUUUUGCAUUAAGAUUUUGUGCAUCAACCCUAAACACGCAUGACAACCUCUGCUUCCCUCUGCGAAGGGCCUAUCUUUUAUUAUUAUCCUCUACCUUAUGCAAGAGUCACGGUGAUCUUCACCUUUCCUUUUUCAUUUUAUCCUUUGGCAAGCUCAGCAUGUUGGAAAGAGUAUGAUAUAUGUAUCUAAUUGGAUGUAGGGGAGCAUGAAUUGUUAUUGUUGACAUUACCCUUGAGGUAAAAGGUUGUGGGGCAAAACUAUAAGCCCCUAUCUUUCUCUGUGUUCGAUUAAAACUCCGUAACCACAGGUAUCACGUGAGUGUUAGCAAUUAUGAAGGACUAAGUGAUAGUUGAGUAUGCGGACUUGCUUUUAAGCUCUGACAUAGACUCUUUCCGAUAUUGUGAUAUAUUGCAAUUGCUUCAAUGACUGAGGUUAUAAUUUGUUGGUGCUCAAUAAGGUUCUGAUUCAUACUUUUUGCUUUGUGAAAAAAUCAUCACUUGAACAUAAGUAAUCAUAUGACAAAAUCUCUACAUGUUGCUGUUAUGGAAAUAAUCAUGAUGCCUUCAUGCCCGUAUUUUAUUUUUAUCGACGCCUCUACCUCUAAACAUGAGGACAUAUUUUUUGUUAUCGGCUUUUUGCUUGAGGACAAGCAAGGUCUAAGCUUGGGGGAGUUGACACGUCCAUUUUGCAUCAUGCUUUUAUAUCAAUAUUUAUUGCAUUACGGGCUGUUAUUUCACGUUAUGUCACAAUACUUAUGGCUAUUCUCUCUUAUUUUACAAGGUUUCCAUGAAGAGGGAGAAUGCCGACAGCUGGAAUUCUAGGCUGGAAAAGGAGCAAAUAUUGGAGGCCUAUUCUGUGCAACUCCAAAAGUCCUGAAACUCCACGGAAUAUCUUAAAAUAAAUAAAGAAAAAUCGUCGCCAAAGAUGAAGGCCAGGGGGCCCACACCCUACUCACGAGGGUGGGGGGCACCCCCCCUGGGGCGCGCCCCCUACCCCGUGGGCCCCUUGGUGGCUCUCCGACGCCCGUCUUUCUCCUAUAUGAAGUCUUUCGAUGAGGAAAAAAUAGAAGGCAACCUUUCAGUACGAGACUCCGCGGCCACGAGGCGGAACCUUGGCGGAACCAAUCUAGGGCUCUGGCAGAGCUGUUCUGCCGGGGAUACUUCCCUCCGGGAGGGGGAAAUCAUCACCAUCAUCAUCACCAACGCUCCUCUCAUCAGGAGAGGGCAAUCUCCAUCAACAUCUUCACCAGCACCAUCUCAUCUCCAAACCCUAGUUCAUCUCUUGUAUCCAAUUCUUGUCUCCAAGUCCGGGAUUGGUGCUAGUAGGUUGCUAGUAGUGUUGAUUACUCCUUGUAGUUGAUGCUAGUUGGUUUAUUUGGUGGAAGAUCAUAUGUUAAGAUCCUUUAUGCACAUUAUUACCCCUCUGAUUAUGAACAUGAAUAUGCUUUGUGAGUAGUUACGUUUGUUCCUGAGGACAAGGGAGAAGUCUUGCUAUUAGUAGUCAUGUGAAUUUGGUAUUCGUUCGAUAUUUUGAUGAGAUGUAUGUUGUCUAGCCUCUAGUGGUGUUAUGUGAACGUCGACUACAUAACACUUCACCAUUAUUUGGGCCUAGAGGAAGGCAUUGGGAAGUAAUAAGUAGAUGAUGGGUUGCUACAGUGACAGAAGCUUAAACCCUAGUUUAUGCGUUGCUUCGUAAGGGGCUGAUUUGGAUCCAUAUGUUUCAUGCUAUUGUUAGGUUUACCUUAAUACUUUUGUUGUAGUUGCGGAUGCUUGCAAUAGAGGUUAAUCAUAAGUGGGAUGCUUGUCCAAGGAAGGGCAGUACCCAAGCACCGGUCCACGCACAUAUCAAAUUAUCAAAGUACCGAACGCGAAUCAUAUGAGCGUGAUGAAAACUAGCUUGACGAUAUUCCCAUGUGUCCUCGGGAGCGCUUUUCCUAUUAUAAGAGUUUGUCCAGGCUUGUCCUUUGCUACAAAAAGGAUUGGGCCACCUUGCUGCACUUUAUUUACUUUUGUUACUUGUUGCUCGUUAUAAUUUAUCUUAUCACAAAACUAUCUGCUACCACUUAUUUCAGUACUUGCAGAGAAUACCUUGCUGAAAACCGCUUAUCAUUUCCUUCUGCUCCUUGUUGGGUUCGACACUCUUACUUAUCGAAAGGACUACGAUAGAUCCCCUAUACUUGUGGGUCAUCACGCACCCGCCGCGACGCCCUUGUCAUCAACGAGGGCGGCCAUGGCCCCUCUGCUCCCUCCUCCCACCUCGUCAAACUGAAGACGGAGACGAGGCUCAUCACCGUAAAGAAGGAACACAAGGACAUGGCCGCCGAUGACGAGACCGCCCUCAAGUGGGUGCGGGAGGACUACAUCCAGCUGGAGAUGGAACGCCAGCGCCUCGCCCUCGAGGAGAUCGCUGACCGGCGCCGCGGUCGUGACGAGAGUGGCGUCAUCGUCCUCGAGGACAGCAACGACGAGGCACCACCGCCAACCAAACCCAUCCGCCAAGGCGACCCAGGGCAGGGAUGUAGCAAGGACCGCGACGACAUGAAGAAGGAGGACGGCGGCGGCGGCAGCGACGGCGGCGACUACAGCGCCUUCUUCAAGCUCUUUGGCGUGUAAGCUCAAGGCAGCGUGACAGGCGGCGGCGGCGUAGUAGUAGUCAAUGUUUUUUUUUCAAAUUAUGUUUUCAAUAUGUACAAAAAUCAAUGGAACGCCUAAAUUUUGCCCAAUUUUGCGUCGUGUUUGGACAAAUUUUGGCCGAGUAUGGUUUUAAAAAACGGCGUCUGGGGCGACCUUAGGUCGGCGGCUGGAAAACCCACCGCCCCACGCCGAAUUUAUCGUCGAUUCGCCCCCAGUCGGUGCUAUUUCAAGCCCCUGGGGGCCGAACGGCUAGAGAUGAUCUUAAACUAGUAACAUGCAUAUGUUAGUAGUCUAUGUUACUACCUUCAUAGUGGGUAGUGUCAUAUGCAUGGUAACAUAGAUGUCUUCAUUUAUUAUUUUAUAGACUUAUUUUGCAUCGGGAAGCGCUAUGUGAUGGUAACAUAUUAUGUUACUCUAUUUUCCUUUCUCAUUAACUACUUGCCACCUCACAAUUUUUGUUUAUGUGACAUCUAUGUUACUCCCACUAUGACCAACCUUAGGCUAGUUAAGGUUGGUCAUAGUGAGAGUAACAUACAUGCCACAUAAGCAAAAAAGAUGAUGCGUCAUGCAAUUAAAGAGGAGAGAGACAAAUGGAGUAACAUAAUAUGUUACCAUCACAUAGUGCUUUCUAAUGCAAAAUGAGUCUACAAAGAAAUAAAUGUAUAUAUGCAUGUUACUACACCUAUGCCACUUCUCACUAUGGAGGUAGUAAUAUAGACUAGUAACAUAUGUAAGGCUGCGUUUGACAGCAAAGUUUUUUUAAAGUUUUUUGACAAUACCAUGGUUUCUGAAAAAAAAACUAUGGUUUUGAAUACUUCGAUGCAUUUGGCUUCAGCAAAAACUAAAGUUUUGUAAACCACAGUAUCCUAAAAACCAUGUUUUUUGGAGUAUCUGGAAAAGAGGCCUCUUUUUCCAAAACAGAACAGAGAGAAAACGGCAGGGCGAUUGCUGUUGACGUUGCCGUCUGCGUCGAGAUAACAAUAUCCAGCUACGAUCCCGUCCUAUUUUUCCUCUUUCUGUUAUAUGGUAAAUAACCUGUAUUAUAUCUUCAGGUUUGAUUCAGUUUGAUUUGUUUACGAGUACUAGGUCUCACGGGUCCUUCCAGCCGGCGUCACGCGCUAGUAUCCAUCUCUUCUUUUCAUGAUGAGCGAAUCAAGCUCGCCACCAAGGAAAAAAGGUAUGAGCUCGUCUACAACAACAACAACAACAACAACAACAACAACAACAACAACAACAACAACAACAACAACAACAACAACAAAGCCUUUAGUCCCAAACAAGUUGGGGUAGGCUAGAGGUGAAACCCAUAAGAUCUCGCAACCAACUCAUGGCUCUGGCACAUGGAUAACAAGCUUCCACGCACCCCUGUCCAUAGCUAGCUCUUUGGUGAUACUCCAAUCCUUCAGGUCUCUCUUAACGGACUCCUGCCAUGUCAAAUUCGGUCUACCCCGCCCUCUCUUGACAUUCUCCGCACGCUUUAGCCGUCCGCUAUGCACUAGAACUUCUAGAGGCCUGCGCUGAAUAUGCCCAAACCAUCUCAGAUGAUGUUGGACAAGCUUCUCUUCAAUUGGUGCUACCCCAACUCUAUCUCGUAUAUCAUCAUUCUAGACUCAAGCCUUCCUCGUGUGGCCACGCAUCCAUCUUAACAUACACAUCUCCGCCACACCUAGCUGUUGAACAUGUUGCCUUUUAGUCGGCCAACACUCAGUGCCAUACAACAUUGUGGGUUGAACCGCCGUCCUGUAGAACUUGCCUUUUAGCUUUUGUGGCACUCUCUUGCCACAGAGAAUGCCAGAAGCUUGGCGCCACUUCAUCCAUCCAGCUUUGAUUCGAUGGUUCACAUCUUCAUCAAUACCGCCACCCCCCUGCAACAUUGACCCCAAAUACCGAAAGGUGUCCUUCUGGGGAACCACCUGGCCAUCAAGGCUAACCUCCUCCUCCUCACACCUAGUAGUACUGAAACCGCACAUCAUGUACUCGAUUUUAUUUCUACUAAGCCUAAACCCUUUCGAUUCCAAGGUUUGUCUCAUAACUCUAACUUCCUAUUUACCCCCGUUCGACUAUCAUCAACUAGCACCACAUCAUCUGCAAAGAGCAUACACCAUGGGAUAUCUCCUUGUAUAUCCCUUGCGACCUCAUCCAUCACCAAUGCAAAAAUAUAAGGGCUCAAAGCUGACCCCUGAUGCAGUCCUAUCUUAAUCGGGAAGUCAUCAGUGUCGACAUCACUUAUUCGAACACUUGUCACAACAUUAUCGUACAUGUCCUUGAUGAGGGUAAUGUACUUUGCUGGGACUUUGUGUUUCUCCAAGGCCCACCACAUGACAUUCCGUGGUAUCUUAUCACAGGCCUUCUCCAAGUCAAUGAACACCGUAUGCAAGUCCUUCUUUUGCUCCCUAUAUCUCUCCAUAAGUUGUCGUGCCAAGAAAAUGGCUUCCAUGGUCGACCUCCUAGGCAUGAAAACAAACAGAUUUUUGGUCACGCUUGUCAUUCUUCUUAAGCGGUGCUCAAUGACUCUCUCCCUUAGCUUCAUUGUAUGGCUCAUCAUCUUAAUUACACGGUAAUUAGUACAACUCAGAACAUCCCCCUUGUUCUUGAAGAUUGGUACUAAUAUACUCCGUCUCCAUUCUUCUGGCAUCUUGUUUACCCAAAAAAUAAGGUUGAAAAGCUUGGUUAGCCAUACUGUCGCUAUGUCCCCGAGACCUUUCGACACCUCAAUGGGGAUACAAACAGGGCCCAUCGCCUUGCCUCCUUUCAUCCUUUUUAAAUCCUCCUUGACCUCAGACUCCUGGAUUCGCCGCACAAAACGCAUGCCGGUCUCAUCAAAGGAGUCGUCCAGUUCAAUGGUAGAACUCUUAUUCUCCCCAUUGAAUAGCUUGUCGAAGUACUCCCUCCAUCUAUGCUUAAUCUCCUCGUCCUUCACCAAGAGUUGGCCUACUCCGUCCUUGAUGAAUUUGACUUGGCCAAUAUCCCUCGUCCUCCUCUCUCGGAUCUUGGCCAUCUUAUAGAUGUCCCUUUCGCCUUCCCUCGUGCCUAACCGUUGGUAGAGGUCCUCAUAUGCUCGACCCCUUGCUUCACCAACAGCUCGCUUUGCAGCCUUCUUCGCCAUCUUGUACUUCUCUAUGUUUCCUGCACUCCUAUCCAGGUAUAGGCGUCUGAAGAAAUCUUUCUUCUCUUUAAUCGCCUUCUGGACAUCAUCAUUCCACCACUAGGUAUCCUUAUCUUUGCUUCUCCUUCCCCUGGACACUCCAAACUCCUCCGAGGCCACCUUACGAAUGCAAGUCGCCAUCUUCAUCCACACAUUGUCUGCAUCCCCUCCUUCCUCCCAAGGCCCUCCUUAAUGACCCUCUCCUUGAACACCUAAGCUACCCCCCCUUGAGCUUCCACCACUUCGUUCUAGCGACUUUGGCAUGCUUAUCCCGCUGGACAUGAAUCCGAAAGCGGAAGUCAGCAACCACCAGCUUAUGCUGGGGUACAACACUCUCUCGAGGUAUCACCUUAUAGUCUAGGAACGCAUGCCUAUUGAGGGAAUCCUGGAUAGGGGGUGUCCGAAUGGCCGGACUAUGACCUUUGGCCGGACUCCCGGACUAUGAAGAUACAAGAUUGAAGACUCCGUCCCGUGUCCGGAUGAAACUUUCCUUGGCGUGGAAGGCAACCUUGGCAAUACGAUAUGAAGAUCUCCUCCCAUUGUAACCGACUCUGUAUAACCCUAGCCCUCUCCAGUGUCUAUAUAAACCGAAGAGUUUUAGUCCGUAGGACGAACAACAAUCAUACCAUAGGCUAGCUUCUAGGGUUUAGCCUCUCUGAUCUCGUGGUAGAUCCACUCUUGUACUACCCAUAUCAUUAAUAUUAAUCAAGCAGGAGUAGGGUUUUACCUCCAUCGAGAGGGCCCGAACCUGGGUAAAAACAUCGUGUCCCUUGUCUCCUGUUACCAUCUGCCUAGACGCACAGUUCGGGACCCCCUACCCGAGAUCCGUCGGUUUUGACACCGACAUUGGUGCUUUCAUUGAGAGUUCCUCUAUGUCGUCACCUUUAGGCCCAAUGGCUUCUUCGAUCAUCAACCACGACGCAGUCCAGGGUGAGACUUUUCUCCCCGGACAGAUCUUCAUAUUCGGUGGCUUCGCACUGCGGGCCAACUCGCUUGGCCAUCUGGAGCAGAUCGAAAGCUACGCCCCUGGCCAUCAGGUCAGGUUUGGAGGCUUAAAUUACACGGCCGACAUCCACGGGGACUUGAUCUUCGAUGGAUUCAAGCCACGGCCGAGUGUGCCGCUCUGUCCCGAUGGGCAUGAUCUAACUCUGCCGCCAGACAGCGCCCAGAGUGCCGCUCAGGUGUCCGCUCCGAUCAUUAGCUCGGAGCCGACUGUGCUAGUCGGGGAUGGACGGUUGGACGCCACCCCGAGAGCCGCAAUCUCUACGGCGAUAGAGCCGAAUACCAGCCUAGUCCUUUGCAGGGCCCGUGACUCCAAGGUACCGGACUCCGCUCCGGACUCUGUAUAUUCCGCACCUCUUCCGAUCGAACCCGAUUGGGCUCCGAUCAUGGAGUUCACUGCCACGGACAUCUUUCAGCACUCGCUCUUGGGCGAUAUCCUGAAUUCACUAAAGUCUCUCUCUUUGUUAGGAGAGCCCUGGCCGGAUUAUGGUCAGCAUGGUUGGGAUGCGGACGACGAAGAAAUUCGAAGCCCACCCACCACCCACUUCGUAGCCACUGUCGACGAUUUAACCGACAUUCUCGACUUUGACUCCGAAGACAUCGACGGUAUGGAUGCCGAUGAAGGAGACGACCAAGAACCAGCACCUAUAGGGAACUAGAAAGCCACCUCGUCAUAUGACAUAUACAUGGUGGACACCCCCAAAGUAGGGGAUGGCGAUGAAAAAACGGAGGACGACCCCUCCAAGAAGCAACCCAAGCACCGACGUCAGCAGCGCCGCCCUAAAUCCCGCCAAAGCAAAAACGGCGAUUCCGGCACCGGAGAUAACAACACGCCGGACAAUGCCGAAGACAACCCCCUCCAGCAGGAUUCAGUGCAGGAGGACGAAGGAGCCAGCCCUCAUGAGAGAGCGGCCGACAAAGAGGUCGAGGACGACAAUUAUAUGCCUCCCUCCGAAGACGAGGCAAGCCUCGACGACGACGAAUUCGUCGUGCCAGAGGAUCUCGUCGAACAAGAGCGUUUCAAACGCAGGCUUAUGGCCACGGCAAGCAGCCUCAAGAAAAAACAGCAGCAACUUAGAGCUGACCAAGACUUGCUAGCCGACAGAUGGACCGAAGUCCUGGCGGCCGAAGAGUAUAAACUCGAACGCCCCUCCAAGAGCUACCCAAAGCGCAGGCUGCUACCCCAACUUGAGGAGGAAGCAACUAAACCUACAUCACUAGUGUACGAUGCGCCCGAUCGGCCACCCCGUGGCCGUGACAGAGAGGCCUUUAGGCCCUCGACCCAAGCCGCACCCCGGCACCGCUCAAAACAUACCAGAGUGCGGGGAGACGCAACAGACCUGCGAGACAUAUUGGAGAAUAAGGCAAGGCAAACAAGAUCGAUCUACAGAUCGCGUGGGUGCCCCGCUUCACGUGACGAUAGCCGUCACGCCGGACAUGAUAAAUACGGCCAGGCCGAAUACAAUAGACCAAGCUCAUCUGAGCUACGUCGUGAUAUAGCCCAGUACAGGGGCGCCGCACACCCACUAUGCUUCACAGACGAAGUAAUGGAUCAUCAAAUCCCCGAGGGCUUUAAACCCAUAAACAUCGAAUCAUACGAUGGCACAACAGAUCCUGCGGUAUGGAUCGAGGAUUAUCUCCUUCAUAUCCACAUGUCCCGUGGUGAUGAUCUACACGCCAUCAAAUACCUCCCUCUCAAGCUUAAAGGACCAGCUCGACAUUGGCUUAACAGCCUGCCAGCAGAGUUAAUUAGUUGCUGGGAGGACCUAGAAUCCGCAUUCCUUGACAACUUCCAGGGCACUUAUGUGCGACCACCAGAUGCCGAUGACCUAAGCCACAUAAUCCAGCAGCCAGAGGAAUCGGCCAGACAAUUCUGGACACGGUUCCUAACCAAGAAAAAUCAAAUAGUCGACUGUUCGGACGCCGAGGCCCUUGCAGCCUUCAGGCACAACAUCCGAGAUGAAUGGCUUGCCCGGCACCUAGGACAGGAAAAGCCGAAAUCUAUGGCAGCCCUCACGACACUCAUGACCCGCUUUUGUGCGGGAGAAGACAACUGGCUAGCUCGUAGCAAUAACAUAACCAAGAGCCCUGGCAAUUCGGAUACCAAGGACAACAAUGGCAAGUCACGUCGCAACAAGCACAAGCGCCACAUUAACAGCGACAAUACUGAAGAUACGGCAGUCAAUGCCGGAUUCAGAGGCUCUAAACCCGGUCAGCGGAAGAAGCCAUUCAAAAGAAACCCUCCGGGCCCAUCCAGCUUAGACCGGAUACUCGAUCGCUCUUGCUAGAUACACGACACCCCCGAACAGCCAGCCAACCACACCAACUGGGAUUGUUGGGUGUUCAAGCAGGCAGGCAAGUUAAGUGCCGAAACCAGAGAUAAGGGGCUGCAUAGCGAUGACGUGGAGGAGCCCCGGCCGCCGAACAAUAGAGGACAGAAGGGAUUCCCCCCGCAAGUGCGGACGGUGAACAUGAUAUACGCAACCCACAUCCCCAAAAGGGAGCGGAAGCAUGCUCUCAAGGACGUCUAUGUGUUGGAGCCAGUCGCCCCAAAGUUCAACCCAUGGUCCUCCUGCCCGAUCACUUUUGAUCGAAGGUACCACCCCACUAGCAUCCAUCACGGCGGAUUUGCCACAUUGGUCCUAGACCCAAUUAUCGACGGAUUUCACCUCACCAGAGUCCUAAUGGACGGCGGCAGCAGCCUGAACCUGCUUUAUCAAGAUACAGUGCGAAAAAUGGGUAUCGAUCCCUCAACGAUUAAACCCACAAAGACAAUCUUUAAAGGCGUCAUACCAGGUGUAGAAGCCAGCUGUACAGGCUCGGUUACACUCGAAGUGGUCUUCGGAUCCCCGGAUAAUUUCCAAAGCGAAGAGUUAAUCUUCGACAUAGUCCCAUUCCGCAGUGGCUAUCACGCCCUGCUCGGACGAACCGCAUUUGCAAAAUUCAAUGCGGUGCCGCACUACGCAUAUCUCAAGCUCAAGAUGCCAGGACCUCGCGGAGUCAUCACGGUAAAUGGAAACACCGAACGCUCUCUCCAAACGGAGGAGCACACGGCGGCCCUGGCAGUGUAAGUACAGAGUAGCCUCUCAAGGCAAUUCUCCAAUCCAGGUGUUAAACGUCCGGACAACGUCAAGCGAGCCCGAAGUAACAUACAACAAAUCCGGCUGGCACGUUCCGAGCAAGCAUAGCAGUCCGACCCCAACCCCAGCCCUCGCCAGAUGGUGAUAUCGGUACCACGCGUACAUAAUUACGCCUUAGAGAUACCAUGGGCAUAAGGGGAGGGGCACAACUACGGCACGCCCAGAAUGCGGCUGAACCGCACUAAGGAGCUCCCUAUUCCGCCGUUUCCUUUUUAUACACUUUCAGGACCCAACUAUUCGGAAGACCUGUCCGACAAUACACUCGCCGAACACACGAUGCAACAGCCAGGGAGAGAACAAGCCGCGUCAAAUGUCCAGGUGGUCUCUAUAACGAGCUUAAUACCUGUUUUACUUAAAGUCCCGCAGCUUGCCUCUGGAGGGGAACAUGUCAAAUAAUCCCAUCUCUUGCUUAUCGCACUACUUGUAUCGUUCUGCUUUCAUAGCAGCCCUUUUUAAUAAACAAUACAGAGCUCUUAUCUAUUAUUGUACUCAUCUAUUUUUUAUACAAAUAUGUUCAGUCAUGACAUUAUGCAACCGUACACUUUAGUACGGCCAAUACACCAGGGGCUUAAGCACCCCAUAACAUGGUGUGAGAAGAUCGAACACUCUCAUGAGUGCGGCACCCCGAACUUAUAACACUAUAUGCAUCGGCUCCGAAUCAUGUCUUUGGUCAAUAGUUGGGUUUGCACGGCUCCCAUGUUUUGGUACCUUACGUUCCGCAAUGUUGGCUAAGGUAGCACUGGGAGAACUACUACGAUUGUGCCCCAGUUGAGCUGGGUUAACACCUCAGUAGAGAAAGCUAAAACUGACCGUCAUGAUAGUGCGAGAGACCGGUCGCUGUUCGUGAGGUUUUUUGAGUCCUUAAAGACUUAUGCUGCUUAGAGCGAGGAGCCGGACUUAUCCGGCCUAGGCGUGGAUAGCGCCCCGAACUCGGCCUUCCGAAUACUAGGGGCUUCCCCAAAUUUAAAAUUAUAGAAUUCUAUGGCUAAGUGAGAGUGAUAAAGCAUUAUAAGUCCGAUGGCCUGGUUCGCUGUGCUGAGCGCCUCCCCAGAUGGACCCAAGAAUGGGAACAAGAGCGCUCAGGUUUAUCCCGAACACCCCAGCACUCGUGGCAUGGGGGUAGAAGCCGACGACUUGCAUCUCUCGGAAUUGAUAAACGGCCGCACAGAAGGUAAUAUUUUAAAUUAACAAAGCGUUGCUUAACGCAUAUGAACAAAGUUUUCAGCGUACAGGAUAACAGAUGUGAGUCUACUCAAAAAUUACAUCUUUGGAGCAUUCGUCCGCUAUAAGGCGGGCACCCUUCAGGACGCCCUUAUAAUACAUCUCGGGCGUGCGAUAUUCCUUGCCCGGCGGUGGCGCGUCCGUCAAAAGCUUCUCAGCGUCCAGCUUGCCCCAGUGCACUUUAGCACGGGCAAGGGCCCGACGGCCACCUUCGAUACAGACGGAGCGCUUGAUGACUUCAAUCCAUGGACACGCGUCCACCAGCCGCCGCACCAGACCGAAGUAACUCCCAGGCAUGGCUUCUCUAGGCCACAGCCGAACUAUGAGGCCCUUCAUGGCCUGUUCGGCCACCUUGUGGAGUUCGACCAGCUGCUUCAGCUGGUCGCUCAGAGGCACCGGAUGUCCGGCCUCAGCAUAUUGAGACCAGAACACCUUUUCCGUCGAGCUCCCCUCUUCGGCUCGGUAGAAUGUGGCAGCAUCAGACACACUACGGGGCAGAUCGGCGAACGCUCCUGGAGAGCUCCGGAUUCGGGUAAGUAACAGAUAAUUUACUUUUAUAUUCUUGCUUUGCAUAAAGAAUGCCUUACCCUCCGCUAUAUUCUUCAUCGCCUCGAUCUCCUGAAGGGCCUUCUGGGCUUCGGCCUUAGCGGUCUUGGCACUCUCAAGAGCCAUGGCGAGCUCGGACUCUCGAGUCUUCGAGUCACGCUCCAAACUCUCGUAUUUUUCCAUGAGAGCCUGGAGCUCUUGCCGCACCUCCGCCACCCGCGCCUCCUGCUUCUCUCGCUCGGUGCACUCCAAGGCCGCACUAUUUUCGGCCUUGGAGACCGCCUCCUUCAGGGUCGCCACCUCGGCCGUGGCCCCUGCAACAUUUACGUUGGUCCUGUCAUUAUUUGCAACCAAGUAUUUCUAUAUACAUUUACAUGCGGUAUUACAUACCCUCCUUGUCCUCGAGCUGCUUCUUGGCACGGCCGAGCUCGUUCUCGGACCGCUCGAGGUUCUCCUUCAAUGCAUUGACCUCCGCAGUCAGUGCGGCAGAGGUCAGCAGCGCAGCCUGCAUUCCCAUAUUGACAUAUUUUUUAGACUCCUGCGUAUAUCUUUUUAGAUCCUCAGCUCGGCUUUUCUUUCCGAACACUGAACUGAGCAUCAGGGGCUACUGUCUAUGCGGUAACAUUUUUAUAUGUUUUUCAACACAUACCUCAAAGCCUGUUAACAGACUUGUACAGGCUUCUGUCAGCCCGCUCUUGGCAGACUGAACCUUUUGAAUCACCGCACUCAUAACAGUGCGGUGUUCCUCGUCGAUGGAGGCGCCAUUAAGCACCUCCAGCAAAUUGUCCGGCGCCUCCGGAUGGACAGAGGUCGCCGGCGUCGUAGGCUUGCCCUUCUUAUGAAGGCGCCGCCUAUUGGACUCUGGAACCAUUGAUGGUUCCGGAGCAGUGUCUGGCCUGGGGCCGGACUUGUAUCCCUCCGGGGCUUUACCCCCUUUGGGCCUGGAGUCCGGGAGGUCGCCUUGCGGCACCUCCAGGACCACCUCCUCCUGGUUUAGUCCCUUUCGGGACUCCACCUCGGCGUCGUCCGUAGGGAGAGGGGAGGAGGCCGUCGAAAGUGAAGCGCUAUUCACAUCCGAUGAAUCCAAGGAGCCGCUCGUCGAAUCGUCGAGCUAAGCCUUGGGCGGACUGCAUGAUCAAAUUCGGCGUCAAAAAAUGCAAAAUAAUGGAGGGGCGUUAUAAGUUAUUCGGAUGACCGGAUGCUUACGAUUUUGCCAAGGGCUUGACCCUGGAUGGCCAUUCCUUCCCGCCGUCUUCGGCGUCGGAGGUGUAGUCCGGAAGGAGGGUUCUCCCCUUCUUGGACCCUCUGGCCUCCCCAGUUGGGGCGGAUUUCCUUUUCUUUCCUUCCCCCGUUGGAGGGGGAGAGGCUUCUUCUUCUUCCUCCUCCUCAUCCUCAUAGGCGGAGGGUGCUUCGGGGUUGUCGGGCGAUGAAUCCGACACCACCAGGCGCCGGGAACUCUUUUGAGUCCCCGUGGCCUUCUUCUUGGCCUUCUUCUCCGGCACCACGUGAGGUGCCGGAACCAGCAGCUUCAUCAAGCGAGCGUCCGCUGGGUCUUCGGGCAAGGGAGCCGGACAGUUGAUCUGUCCGACCUUCUUCUGCUAGUCCUGUUAAAGAGAUGGGGGUUUAGAUCCCGCAUAGAAUCAAAUCUAUGAAAAACAAAUACCCCGUAAAGGGAAAAUUAAGCUCACCGCACUGGCUUGGCGCUUGGCGCAGAAUCCGCGAUCCUCGGUGACGGGAGGGGAGACCUCAGAGCUCUUGAAUAGCACCUUCCAGGCAUCCUCAUGCUUUGUGUCGAAGAGCCGGGACAGAGUCUGGUGCUGGGUCGGGUCAAACUCCCACAAGCUGAAAGCCCGUCGUUGACACGGGAGAAUCCGGCGGAAGAGCAUGACCUGGACUACGUUGACGAGUUUAACCUUCCUACCGAUCAGGUCUUUGAUGCAGGUUUGAAGUCCGGUCACUUCCGCCGAAUUACCCCACAACAGGCCCGUCUCUUUCCAAGAUGUGAGCCGUGUGGGGAUACCAGAUCGGAAUUCGGGGGCCGCUGCCCAUUCAGGGUCACGCGGCUCGGUGAUAUAGAACCACCCCGAUUGCCACCCUUUGAUGGUCUCUACGAAGGCGCCCUCGAGCCAUGUAACGUUGGCUAUCUUGCCCACCAUGCCACCUCCGCACUCCGCUUGGCGGCCACCCACGACCUUCGGCUUGACGCUGAAGAUCUUCAGCCAUAGGCCAAAGUGAGGCUGGAUGCGGAGGAAGGCCUCGCACACGACGAUAAACGCCGAGAUGUUGAGGAUGAAGUUCGAGGCCAGAUCGUGGAAGUCCAGGCCGUAGUAGAACAUGAGCCCCCGGACGAAUGGGUGAAGAGGAAAACCCAGUCCGAGGAGGAAAUGGGGGAGAAAUACAACCCUCUCAUGGGGCCUAGGGGUGGGGUUGAGUUGCCCCUCAUCUAGAAGCCGGUGCGUGAUGUCGUCAGACAAGUAUCCGGCCUUCCUCAGCUUUUUGAUUUGCCCCUCCGUGACGGAGGAGGCCAUCCAUCUACCUCCUGCUCCGGACAUGAUUGGAGAAGGUUGAGGUGGGAAGUGCGGGCUUGGGCGUUGGAGCUCGAGCGCGCAGGGACGAAUAAGCAAAGGAAGAAGAAGGCGUAAAUGGAAAGGGUAGAUUCUUAUCCCCUUAUAUGGGCGGCCGAAACUACGAACCCCCACCGGCCUAAUAAAACUCGCUUAUCUCCCAAGCGCCGCGGUUAAUGGCGCGGUUGGGUUACCCAUGCCCGUAUUGAUGAGAAUCCCGGAAUAAGGGGACACGAUCUCUGCUUUGACAAGACGUGCCAAGGAAACCGCCUCGCUAAACGUGCUGAGGUGGAACAGUAAAAUGAUUCGAAUGAAAGCCUGGUCGUGGCGUGAUGUCACGCUGCGGAAUACGUCAGCAGAUUAGAUUGGUGCAAAUAUUAUUCUCUCUAUGGUGGCAUGUGAAACUUAUUUUGCAGAGCCGGACACUAUCCUUGUGUUCAACAUCUUCUAUGAAGUAUUCGGAGGAGGAACCCGCCUUGCAAUGCCGAAGACAACUUGCGUGCCGGACUCGUCAUCAUUGAAGCCUGGUUCAGGGGCUACUGAGAGAGUCCUGGAUUAGGGGGUGUUCGGAUGGCCGGACUAUGACCUUUGGCCGGACUCCCGGACUAUGAAGAUACAAGAUUGAAGACUCCGUCCCGUGUCCAGAUGAAACUUUCCUUGGCGUGGAAGGCAAGCUUGGCGAUACGAUAUGAAGAUCUUCUCCCAUUGUAACCGACUCUGUGUAACCCUAGCCCUCUCCGGUGUCUAUAUAAACUGGAGAGUUUUAGUCCGUAGGACGAAUAACAAUCAUACCAUAGGCUAGCUUCUAGGGUUUAGCCUCUCUGAUCUCGUGGUAGAUCUACUCUUGUACUACCCAUAUCAUCAAUAUUAAUCAAGCAGGAGUAGGGUUUUACCUCCAUUGAGAGGGCCCGAACCUGGGUAAAAACAUCGUGUCCCUUGUCUCCUGUUACCAUCCACCUAGAUGCACAGUUCGGCACCUCCUACCCGAGAUCCGCUGGUUUUGACACCGACACCUAUCUUCUCUUCUUGAGAGGAUGAAAUCAAUCUGGCUAGAGUGUUGUCCACUACUAAAAGUCACCAGAUGUGAUUCUCUCUUUCUAAAGAGGGUGCCAGCUACAAUCAUGUUGUAGGCUAGAGCAAAGCUUAAGACAUCUUCUCCUCCUUGAUUCCUGAUGCAAUAGCCAAAGCUCCCAUGCGCCUCUUCAAAACCUGUGUUAGAUGUACCCACGUGGCCAUUGAGGUCUCCUCCUAUGAAGAGCUUCUCACCAAUCCGUACACUCCUAACCAUGUCUUCCAGGCCUUCCCAAAACCCCCUCUUGGUGUUCUCAUUGUGGCCUACUUGCGGGGCAUACGCGCUGAUAACAUUGAGAACCAAGUCCUCAAUUACCAGCUUGACCAGGAUAAUCCAGUCCCCAUGUCUCUUGACGUCUAUCACUCCAUACUUGAGGCUCUUGUUGAUCAAGAUGCCUACGCCAUUUCUGUUUGCAGCCGUCCCCGUGUACCACAACUUGAAGCCGGUAUCCUCCACCUCCUUCGCCUUCUGUCCUAUCCAUUUGGUUUCUUGGACGCAAAGGAUAUCAACACCUCUCCUCACUGCUGCAUCAACUAGCUCUCGAAGCUUCCCUGUCAGAGACCCUAUGCUCCAGCUACCUAAGCAAAUCCUCCUAGGCUCGGCUAGUUUCCUUACCCUCCGCACUCGUCGAGUCAAAUGCGAAGACCCUUGCUCAUUUUCCACUACAUUUAGGCGCCGAUGUAGCAUGCCACUAAGGAUGCGACGACCUGAUCCUCACUCAAUUGUCAUCCUAUCCGGAUCAAGAUACGACGCGCCACCUGGGGGGUGACGGCCCGACCCUUGCCCAUUUUCCACCACACCCAGGUUCCGAUGUGGCGCAUCGCUGAGAGGGUUACACCCCAACGAAAAUCUUUUGGGUUUCAUCUCCAUAAGAGUGGCUGAGUUUUUACGUUGGCUCGCCAAGCCUAUCACAACCCUCCUCCUUUACCCAGGCUUGGGACCGACUAUGUUGAGACACCAUAGGUGGAGAUAGGUAUGAGCUCAUCUAUGCCCUACAAUAUUUCGCUCGGUAAUUAUCUAUCCAGUCUGAUUGGAACAAUGCUGCAAAGAGGUCGCAUAUAUAUAGGUGGAUUAGUUGAGGCCUUCAAUGCCAGCAGCCCAUGCAAAGGCCAUGCGUGAACGAAGGAUGGGCAUAUUCUAGAUCAGGUGACGCGUAUGUAGGUGCAUCAGCGAUAGUCAUAUUCUACAGAUCCUAGUAUCUAGCUAGAUCGAGUCGGACGUGUGCAUGGCGGCUGUAUGCAGUCGGUGGCAAAAUUUCGUGUUUUGCCCCUUUUUGCUAAAAAAUUCAGGAUCUGACCCCCGUUUGAAAAUAUUUCAGGAUCUGACCCUUUUGCCUACCGCCAGGGGUGUUGGCGGUUGGUUUGCAUGCCCUACCGCCAUAAGCUCUGGAGGUAGGCCCUUUGAUGGCGACUGAUGGCCGUCGACGCGUGCUGACGUGGAAAAGGUCCUACCGCCAUGGGCUCUGGCGGUAGGGUACCGAAGCCUACUGCCAGCUCCUCUGGCUGUAGGGUCCUCGGUGGUGGAUAAGGUGGGGAGGGGCUGGUUUGUGGGCCCCACCACCACUCUUCUUCCCCACUCACCUUCUUCCCCAUGCUCAGCCACUCUCCCCCUCUCCCCCCUCACAAACCCCCCUAGAUCCCCUCCAUUUGCUUGAGAUUUCACCGGUGGAUCCGGAGCAUUUUCAUCACCCAAGGUACUUCCCCUCAUGUUGAUUGGUUGAGAUCUUUGUUUUGUGUUGAUUUGGUCAAUUUAUUGCAAACCCUAGGUGUUGAUCUUGUUGUGUGCAUUUAUGACACAUUUAUGAUGCAUUUAUGACUAGGGUUAUGGUUAUGUUAGGGGUUAGUGUUAGGGUUAGGGUUAGGGUUAUGGUGGUUAUGUUGGGGGUUAGGGUUAUAGUGGUUAUGUUGGGGGUUAUGGUUAGGGUUAGAGUUAAUGGUUAGGUUAACUUGAGUAUGAAUAGUAGUUACUUGUCCAAUUUGUGCAAAAUUUAGUUUAUUUGUCCAUUUGAGUUGGUUGGAUGACAUAUAUGGAUUGAUUAUAUUAUUUCCAAUUUCUUAGAUGCAUAAGCUCAUAAGUGUUCAUUAUUUGGACAAGACGACAUUUAUGCUUGGAAAUGACGAUGAAGGGGAAGAGCCUAUGUUUUUUGACACAAGUCCAAGCUUUGAUGAUCUUGUAGUUAAAGUGAGAAGUGUGUUACAUUGGAAUGACCCAAAUGCCGAGGUAAAGCUUAUUGGGAGGUAUGAGGUUGGAUUGGGAGUAAAGUCCCGAGUAAAGAGUAUGCCCAUCACCUCCCAAUUGCAUUGGAAUGUGUACAAGGAAAAAGUAGACGCAUCACAAGACAAGUCUCUUGAGAUCAUUGCCACAAAGGUUGAUCCUCCUCCUCCCUUGCAAAUUGAUCUCAACCGCAAUGCAUCCUCCCCAAUACAUGAUAAUAGUGCCGAGGUGUAUAUCCCCAAUUGUUCUAGCCAACCACCAAGUAGCCAACCCAAUGAAGAUCAUAUCAAUGCUAGCGCCAUAGUACUCCGUCAUGAUGCUAUUCCUCAUGUUGAAGAAGCUGCUAGUGGUCAUGUUGAUGAUGAUGCUAUUGUUGCUCAAGAGGAUGCUUACGUGGAGAAUGAAGAGAUCCAUUACAAUCCAAUUGGUAACUUGGAUGUCAUUGUGCGGCAACAAGACAUGGACCAUACCCUGUGGGUAUAACUCGGAUGAUGAGGGUCCGAAGGAAGAAUUGGAUGAGGAUGGGUUGACUGUGCAAGAAAAUGAAAUCUACAAGAAGGUGACCGGAAAGGAGAGAGGCCCGCCAUUGUUUAGGGAUGUGAGUCUUGCGGACAAUGCCAUUGUUGACGGUGGGCUGAGAUUCGGGUUGUCUGAGCCAACACCAUGCCCCAAAUUCAGUGAUCCUCGACCACAAAAUAAGGAUGAGAAUGCACAUUUGAAGAAAGGCAUCAAGUUUGGUUCUUUGGUAGAGUUCAAAAUAUGGUUGUGUGACUAUGACAUUAGGAACCAUAGGCCGUUUGUUGUUGGUCAUUCAAAUCAAAAGGUUCGGUACAUAGUCAAAUAUGACCAAGAAGGUUGCAAAUGGAUGGUUCACGGUAGAAAAAUCAAAGAAAUCGAGCAAUGGGUGUUGAAGAGUCAUGUUGGCACUCACACGUGCGUACCCCCCGGACAAGGCGUACCGAAGCAAAGGACACCAUCAACUCACGUCUGAGUAUCUAGGAUACAAAUUGUUGAAUCAAAUAGCACAUGAUCCAACCAUGAAGGUCAAGUUUCUCAUGUCUUUGAUUGAGGAACUAUUCGGAUACCCGGUCAAGUAUGGUAAGGCAUGGAUGGCGAAGGCAAAUGCUAUUAGGAUGUUGCAUGGUGAUUAUGAGGCCACAUAUAACAUUCUUCCCAAGAUGUUGGCAGCCGUUGCUCAUCGAAACCCGGGAAUGCGCCAUCGGGUGGAGUCAACUGACGCUGUGUUUCGUCGUGCCUUCUGGAGCUUUGGACAAUGCAUUGAGGCAUUCACCUAUUGUCGCCCGGUCUUGUCUAUAGAUGGUACAUUCUUGACUGGCAAAUACAAGGGCACAUUGAUGGUGGCGAUGGCCCACUCUUCAAAUGAUAACGUGUUGUCGGUGGCAUUUGCCUUGGUGCCUUCGGAGCACGAUGAUAAUUGGGAGUGGUUCAUGGGGCAUGUGAGAACCAAGGUUAUAGGCAAGCGAGAGGUAUGCAUUAUAUCGGAUCACCAUCAUGGGAUUCUCAAAGCAAUAGACGUUGAUAUUCUCGGUCUUCCAAAGCUUCAACACCGUUGGUGCAUGAGACACUUUGUUGCAAACUUUUAUCGAGCAUGCAAGAGCAAGGAGUUUUGCAAAUACCUUACCCUUGUUUGCGUUGCAUUCAACACUGUCACAUUCAAAAGCCGAUAUGAUAAACUCCUCAAGGCUUUGGAGAAGAACAAAGGGGGGGGGAGAAUUCUUGCUUAGGCACAAGCCGGAUAAAGAAAAGUGGUCACGCGCUUACGAUGAAGGAGGUAUGCGAUAUGGGGACAUGACAAGCAACAUGGUGGAAUGCUUCAACAAUGUGUUGAAGGGUGUCCAUUCCUUGCCGGUGACCGUAAUACUCAAGUACACUUUCAUCAAUCUCAACGAGUACUUCCUAAAGCAUUCUGAAAGCACGGCCAAGUGGAUUGGCGAAAAGAUGGACUAUCCAUUCAAGGUUCAGGAUUGGUUGUUGCAUCAAGCGCGCAAGUCUUCCAAACAACAAGUGAUCAAAUAUAAUGAAAACGAAAUGAUCUAUCAAAUUGAUGAGCCGGGUGGGACAACAAGGGACGGUAGGUCUUAUGGUGGAGUUGCUUACGAGGUGCACCUCAAAAACCAUUGGUGCUAGUGUGAGAAGCCACACAAGUAUCAUUGGCCUUGCUCGCAUUUGAUGAUCGCAACACGGGCAAGAAACUUGCCCGUGUCCGAUGGCACAACGGUGCGGUUGCACGAGUUCACAUUGGAACGAACAAGGUUGACGUGGGCGCCUCGGUUUAAUCCUUUCCUUGAUGCCUCAUAGUGGCCUGAGUAUGUUGGGCCAAACAUUGUGCCAGAUCCCGCACUCAUGGUGCCUAUGAGGGGAAGAAGAAGAAAGAAGAGAUUCCGGAGUGACAUGGAUGAUCUAGCUGGAUACACCGGAAUGAAGCAAUUUGGUAGUGGUCAUUUCAUGGAGGCACCAGAGAACAACAAUUGUGGAGAAUGCAACGACACAGGACACAAUGUUAAGACAUGCAAGAAACCUAGAACCAACACGGGCACUAGUCAAACACAUGGACGGAGGACUAGCCUUGGAGGUGGCAGUGGACGUGGAGGAAGGACUAGCCUUGGAGGGGGGCGCAGCCGUGGAGGAAGGACUAGCCGUGGAGGAAGGACUAACCUAGAACCAACAAUAUGAAGAUUGUCUUAGGCGCCAGCGGCUGUUCGAAGAAAGGUUUCAAAGAGGCUUGGAGGAAGAGCGUCGUCAGAAAGAGAGGAUGGAGCGGAAGCAAUGCGAGGAGGAGAGGGCACGCCAAGCGAAGCUUGCUCGUGAGGAGGAGAUGGCAAGAAAGCUUGCAAAAGCUCGCAAGGCACAAGAGGAGGAUGAGGCACGUGACAAGAAGGGGAAAUGGCCCCGUAUGACUCAGUAAAGCCUUCGCUUCGGUGGACUCGUCAUGUAACUGGAUGAAGCCAUGCCAAAUUUAUCAUGAACUAUGUAGUACUAAGGCAAGAAGCCAUGUGUCGUGAACUUGUCGUGAAUGAAUUUGCCAUUUGUAUUGAAUUUGGUGUGGAGAUGUUUGCACAGUGUCGUGAGAACUUUAGUUUGUCAGCAUACUGUGUGAUUUGUCAUGAUUUUUAUUUAAAACUGUUGUGCUGAGAAGAUGGAUAGAAAAACUGUUGCGCUGAGAAGAUGGAUAAAAUAGAGGAUCCCUCUGUUUUCAACCCUACCGCCACAGGUCCUGGCGGUAGGUUGCUGGACCCUACCGCCAGAGCCCAUGGCGGUAGGGCGGGCAAAGUUUCUAUGACAAAGAAAAUGGACCACUUGGCGGUAGGAUCAAACCCUACCGCCAGUACCUGUGGCGGUAGGUUGAUGACCCUACCGCCAGAGCCCAUGGCGGUAGGGUGGGGCAAAGUUUCUGUGACGAGAAAAACCGCCACCUUGGCAGUAGGGUCAACCCUACCGCCAGAGCCUAUGGUAGUAGGGUCCAACCCUACCACCAAGGUGGUGGUUUUUCUCAUCACAGAAAACUUUGCCGCCCCCUACCGCCAUGGCCUAUUGCGGUAAGGUCUAGCAACCUACCGCCAGGGCCUGUGGCGGUAGGGUUAAAAAUAGAGGAAUCCUAUGUUCUGCCACUUCUGUCGAAUUUUAGAAUGAUAUGCCCACUUCUAUCCACUUCUAUCAAAUAUUAGAAUGAUCAUCUCGCAAGGACAUACAUAACUCAACUCAACAUAGUUAAUUACAUCCACAAAUAACACAAUGUUCAAACUAAUUAAAACAUGACCUGGUUCGGAUGACAUCGGUUGAAACUAAUAGCUCAAGCUCAACGACACAUUUUCUAAAUAGGUAACAUAUUUCUCAUACUUAUCAGACGUUCAAUUUGUUCAACACGCGCUUGAUUACACUUCAGUUGAAAGUCGGUGGAUCCUGCCCAAUGACCCAACACACCAUUCGUUUCACGGAACCAGGCCCAUGCAGCACGGCGGGCCAGAUUCUCUGACACACCUUGUUUGAUUGCCCAUCCUAUAACCUGGCCGGGUUUCCUCAAGUCCAUCUCACAGAAUUCUUCUUUGCUUGCAGUGAACGCAAUCUCAAUUGCCAAAGCAUGUCUGCAAGCAUAUUCCCGGUCCUGCAGCUCAUCAAGCAUCCUCUCUUUCUUGUUCACAAGCUUUCGGAAAGCUUUUUUCUCCUUAGCAUCAGAAGGUUCCUCGAUAACGUGAUACUUGCUGAAAUCCUUCAUGGCCGCAUUUGCCUCAUCACAACUUUUCAACCAUGCUUCACAUUCCCUCUUCAAGCAACGGUGUCGCUCCGACAUGACGUUCUCACACGCUAUGUUCAUAGUCAUGGAUCGAAUGUCCAUCCUACAUGAAUAUACGGGUUUAAGAUGACAUAGACCAAAACAUAAAAUAAAUUCAGUAGAGUACAACACUUGGUUACUUGAUAUGACAUACAACACCAAGUUCUUAAUGAGUUCAAAUGUUAAGGGUACAAGUCAUAGUAGUUCAAAUGACGACCAAGCAAAGGGUACAUGCCAUUACAGUCCAAAUGACAAAGAUUACAUAGCCUCAUGCAAUUCUAUGUGGCGUACAGUCCCGGGUUGCAACAAAUAACAUCAUUUCUUUCUUUGACCCAUGCCCAAUGAGAAGCCUGCUUCUCGUCCGACGAGAAUGGUUGGCGAACUAACCGAUCAAUGACCUGACCAUGAUUUCCCAUGUCCAUCUCAGCAUAUUCUCCCCUUGUCACACACAAUGCAAUUUGCAUUUCAAGAUCACGCCUACAAUUUUUUCCGCCGUCUUGAGCUUGUUCAUCUGCCUCUCCUUUUUUUGAUAAAAUUUUCGGAACGGUCAUUAUUGAAAUAAUAAUGCGAAAAGGCCCUACACUCCGCAUUCAACACAUCAAUGGCUUCCAUCCACAAGUUCAUCUUUUCCUCAAUCAAUUCGCGUUCAUGGUUCGCUGCCACCUCAACAGAAGCUUCAAAGAAAACGAACGGUGCCAUCCUACAUUUCGAGCAGUUGCUAUUAAAGUAACUUAGGUUAAUUGCUUUAUUAAGCCUAACCCAACCCCAAUUAUGUACACUAAGACUAGCACUAGAUCUAGGUACACAAACUAUUCUACAAGCAGUUCUAAGCACAUCAUACAUAAGGAAAUCACAAACAUAAACCUAAAUGGAUCAUAUGAAUUGAUUUGACCACAUGAGCUAGGGUUUGCAACCAAAUGAGCAAAUGCAAACUAAACAAAGAUAUCAACCAAUCAACAUGAGGGGAAAUGGGAGAGCUACCUUGGGUGAUGAAAAUGCUCUGGAUCCACCGGUGAAAUCUGAAGCAAAUGGAGAGGAUCUAGGAGGGGUUUGUGAGGGGAAGAGAGGGGGGAGAGGGGCUGAGCACGGGGAAGAAGGUGAGUGGGGAAUAAGAGUGGUGGCGGGGCCCACAAACCAGCCCCUCCCCACCUUAUCCACCACCCAGGACCCUACCGCCAGAGGAGCUGGCGGUAGGCUUCGAUACCCCACCGCCAGAGCCCAUGGCGGUAGGACCUUUUCCACGUCAGCACGCGCCGACGACCGUCAGUCGCCGUCAAAGGGCCUACCGACAGAGCUGAUGGCGGUAGGGCAUGCAAACCUACCGCCAACACCCCUGGUGGUAGGCAAAGGGGUCAGAUCCCGAAAUAUUUUCAAACGGGGGUUAGAUCCUGAAUUUGUUAGCAAAAAGGGUCAAAACACAAAAUUUUGCCGCAGUCGACCGCCGUUAACAGCCGCUAAUUACCCAGUCAUCCACUCCAAAUAAUUGGGUCAAAACUUUGAUAAGACAGCACCAACCAAACACAUGUAAAACAGAGAAAAAUAUUGUUUUUGAUAAACUAUGGUAUUCCUCGACCACCCAUGCUAAUACUGUGGUUUUCAAUUACCACAGUUUUCUAAAAACUUCCGUGCCAAACUAAGAAAAGUUACUCCCCACUAUGACUAGCCUUAGUGCGCUGCUUUUUGUGUCUAUGUGGUGGCCUGCGUUGGCCUGAGCCUAGCAAUAAAUCGCCUCAGGACUUGGCUGGUGGCUUCAUCAUCUAAGACUAAAACCACAUCAUGCAAUUCGGAAAAUUUCAAAAAAUACAUUAAACAGAAACAAUUUCCCCCACAGUGAAUUGGUUUAGAUUUGCAAUGUUCAAACAGUGCAGUACUAACUGCAACAAAAUCUACUUACAACAUUGUGUGUGUGUGUGUGUUGGGGGGGGGGGCACAUACAAGACAAGUCAUUCACAAAACUAGAGCAACAAGCAAACAUGAAUCUGAAGCACAAAAAUAUACACCAACCAACUCGCAUGAACUAUCCCUGUAGUGAGCAUCCUAACCCAAAACACUCGUACAUCAUCUCAACACCACAGCAGCUCCAACUGCCUUCAAAUCCUAUAUCCACGACACGAGUAGCCAAUCCCCUGCGCACCGAAUUCCCAAAUGUCGCCAACCAUAACUAGUCGAUUUGAACACGGGGAAAAGCACAAAAUCGAGACCAGAUGUUCCCUUCCGAUGACCACCGCUCCCACCCUACGGGCCACAAGCCGACCAGGUGCCACCUGCACGCGACGCAGAAAGACACCACGGCACCUGAUGUCCACGAUUAACAUCCGAAGGCACAGACGCGUGUGCGCGCGAGGACACAAACGAGCACAGCAAAACUUUUUAGGAUUUGGGAAAAUCUAAAAUGCAAGACCACUAUGAAUGGAAGACAAUAAACUUGAGGCCACAUGGUGAUCAGCGGACAACUAGUAAAAAAAUUUGUGAAAAAGCAAGAAGUUUAGUGAUUAUAACCCUAAAACUCACAACACGUAGUACCAUGUGCAUAAAUCAAUUCAUCACGUCUUCCAAGACAAACGCUCAAGUGACAGCACAGGAUGUACACUAAAUCAUACAAAUACAUUUUUUUGUGUUACAUUUUUUUGCGGGGAAUAAGUUUAUCCAUAACCGGCAUCACCAAGGCCACAAAGGCCACUACAUCAUUUUUCAGACUACUACUACUCGACACUCACAUCUAGGUCACAGUCAGCUACCAGCAUCCGGGCGGUCUCCCUCACUUCCUCAGGCUGCUCAGUGGGAAUAACAUAAGUAUUAACAUACAUUUCACAUAGGCAAAAAAUAUGAUGUGCCAAGUACUUAAUGAGAAGAGAUGCAAAUGGAGUAACAUAAGCAGAUAGGAGCAGCUACCUCUUUAGUUGCUUCUGGCUCAUAAUGUUCCUCUGGAGCCUUGUCUUUCCUUUCCCUUUGGCCUUCACCUUUGGUUUCUUCAUCGGCUUAGCUUCUUCAAACAACUUUUCAUCAAGGAAAUCAUCAGCGCUAUCUUUGUUGCUAUAGUCAUCAUCAUCCUUUGGCCACCUCUUUCUACCUUUCUGCUUCUCCUUCAUUUUUCCUUGGUGCAUUUCCCAUAUAGUCUUCGUCUCAAUACCCUUUCUCUCAAGGAUACAUCUGCUGAAGUCCUUGAGCUCCAUGUUGAAUGUUACCUCCAUGUCUUGGUCAUGUCUUUGUUCCACAUCAGAUUUAUUUCCUUCUAGUAAAAGAGCCAACCUGUCCUUAUUUGUUAACUUCCAUAUCGAUACACCAUUUGGCCGAGACCGGUAACCUGAAUCAUCUACAUCUUCUGAUGCACUCUCAUCACUUUCAAUAUAUUUAUAAAUGUCAUCAAACUGCCACAAAAAAAUACAAGACAUCAAAGAUGGAUAAACAAAGUGCAGGACAAGAAACAAAGACCAACAGGUCAAAAAAAUUCACGAGACAAAGAGUAGAAACAUGCAAUGCAUCAUUUAUCAAGUUUUGUGAUUUUGUAACAACAAGUGACUUUGAUGAUACUGUAUUUAUUCCUUUAUUAUUCACUAGUUCUACCUGAAAGCCUAUCUUGACAUUUGACACUGGGUUUACUCCCUUUGACAGUUAUAAAUUCAAAGAGAUACUCAGUUUUUAGUUUUUAGUUUUACGUUAACAAAUACUCCCUCCGUCCCAAAAUUCUUGUCUUAUAUUUGUCUAAAUACGGAUGUAUCAAGUCAUAUUUUAGUAUUAGAUACAUCCGUAUCAAGACAAAUCUAAGACAAGAAUUUUGGGACGGGGGGAGUAUAAAACAACAUAAUUAAAAUAAUAGAGCUGACCUUAUGUUCGAACGUUUCCCUCAAGAUCUUACAAUCUGGUUCAUCAUCAUCCCAGGUGGGCUUAACUUUGGUAUGCUGCGAAGGACAAGUCUCAAAAUCAGGAUCCUUGUAACUCAAAGGUGCCUGCACAAAAGUUAAACAAGUUACAAACUGAAAAGACCUCUUCUACUAUAACUGAAAGGCAGGUUCUUUCUACAUAGAACCAUAAAUUUGACAAGCAAUUACUCCCUCCGUUCCUAAAUAUAAGUUUUUUUUAGAGAUUUCAAUAUGGACUACAUACGGAUGAAUAUAGACGUAUUUUAUAGUGUAGAUUCACUCAUUUUGCUCCGUAUGGAGUCCAUAUUAUAUAGAAUCUCUAAAAAGACUUAUAUUUAGGAACGGAGGGAGUAGACUCAAAGAGGGGACGGGAUCUGGCAAAUCAAUAAACUCUGUGGAGCUCAGAUCAGGGACGAUUUGGUUUUUUCAAGUCUCUGGUUGUUUUUCAUGGUGCAGACUCAAGGAGACGGGAUCUGGCAAAAGCUUUGUCAAUAAGCUCGGUGGAGCUCAGAUCUGGGGCGAUUUAGCCUUUUUUUGAAGUCAUGGUAGCGGAAGGGUCGUCCGGAUCUGAAGCUUCUCAUGGAAAGGAAGCGAAGCUGCGCAUGCAUUUCAGAGUGCUUAGCCCAGUGCUUCCAGAUCGAGAUGGAGACUGUUCGGCUUCAACACGGCGUCCACCGCCCUGCUCUCUCCCAAGUGGUGAUGUCCCCGGCAAGGGUGCAGGUGUCCAUGCUCCAAACUUCAACAAAAUCUCGGUGGAGAAGGACCAAAUCAUGAUUUUCUGAUUUGUUGUAUGUUCCUUUCUGUAAAACUGGAGCUGAUAGCUCUUUACAAGGUCCUCGGUAUAAUUUAUUAUCGCAACAACCAGUUUGAAUGCAGUUUCUGGGUCCUUUGGGAACCUUCCCUUGUUCAAAAAAAUAUGGAUGCAAAUACAAUAUAUUCAAGUAAUAUACCUCUGUAGCUACAUCAUGAGCAGGGUAUUUGAACUCCAUAGAGUCAUAAAUAAACUGCAAAUCAAACACAUUUGCCGUUUUCAAGAACUCGGUACCAUCAAGAGUUGUGUAUAUGUGAUCCGCAGUUGCACUAGAAUCACACACCACAACUGCAUAGUAGUACCUGCAGCAAGAUCAAUAUAAUCAUCAGAGAACGGAACAACAAACCCUUGAAAGUAGUAACAUUUUCAUAUGGCAAAUAUCAAAUAUGGAUAGACAAGGCCAUGGACAUAUGAACACAAUCCCAAACAUGUGAAGGAGAAGCUGCCAUAGUUACAUUUACACAGGAUCUGAACAUUUUUAUAUAUUUUAAUUAGCAAGAGAAUAUUAUGGAGUAUAUUGUUAAAAUAAUGAUUCAAACUCUUUGCAGUAAGUCCCAGACAAACAGAAAAGUACACAAGGUGAUAAUCAGCAAAAGUAUCUCGAUGCUUUGUUACUAACCUCAGUUUGUUUAGCCCAUAAGUACGGAGCUUGUUGUUCUCAGUCUCAGAGUCAAGUUCAUCUUCUUCGCCAUCACCAUAUCCAUCAUCACUGUCAUCAUCUUUCCCACCAUCAUCACCACCAUAACCAUCAGCACCAAAAAGAGCAGAAGGGCCUUCAGUUGUCUCAAUGUUCAUGCACUUCAGUCCAAAUUCUGUUGGAUAUAUCGAGACUGAUAGAACUCGCCCACCUUCCGGAAUACAAGAUGUCAUGACCAUAUACAAGUCCACCGCCUGUUGAAAGGGCAAAACAAAGGAACAACAUCAUUGAGCCCAAGCAGCCAAAGAGAAGUUUCUAUGAGCAACACAAACUAUAAAUGCAAGGGGUAUGUUCCGUUGUUUUGAUUUUCAGUUUUGCAAAACACAGUAUUUCUUUAAUUAAAUAUUGACUAUUAUCAAAAUAUUUUGUUGGGGUGCUGCAAAAAUCAUAGGAAGUGCUUGAAUACCUCACCAAACAAACAAUAUACACACUUCAAUGCAAAAAACAAACAUUAAGUUUGAUUAAUGGGCAUUUCUUUGGAUACUUUUGGGAUUCAGUUCAAAUUUAGAUUCCUUAUUAUCAAAGCGAGGCCUUAUGGGUAAGGUUGCACAGAUGUUGUGAGAUAUUGGCAAUUAGCACCUAAGACACGGAGACAAUGAUGGCUGACGUAAUUUGGGUAUAGAUAAAUAUGGGCAUCAUUGUGUGAGGAUGUCUGGACCAAAGAACCCAGUAAUUUGACAUCACUUCAGAAUUUUUACUAAUCCUGAAUAUCAACAUUUGGUGCACCUAUAUCUCAACUAAAAACAGGCGAAUUUUAGUGAUAGAGAUUUCACCUGUUCUCAACAACACAAAAAGAUGAGAAAUGAGAACAUCUAAGCCAAACAACAUGAAUCUACGCAUCGUACUUCAACCUAACCAACCUAACAAACUACCAAAACAACAUAGUAUUUUUAGAACUCCUUUUAGUGUUUUAUAGCAUGUAGUUAAUAAAAUACCAUCUAAACAACCCUUAAAGGUUUUAUACAAGUCUGCAAUUAACACACAAAUGCAAGAACAAAGAAAUGCACAUUUACCUCACAGAAAAGAAAUAAGUUGGACUAAAAAGACAUUAAUUCAAGGUAAUUCUCAUGCAACUCACAGAAUAAAACUGCCUUUUGAACAUGGCUGAGAUUGUUCAGGCAGACGGAUUACUUCUCUAGAUAAACAGAAAUUUGAAUUGGCACACACCUUAAUAUGAUCCCAGUCCAUGUUCACAACAGCAAGCCUGUGAGUUUCCUUGUCAAUCACAUGUGUAUCAUCAUGCCUAGACAUCAAGUGAUGAGCAACGUCGCAGCCCACAAAGUACUGCAAAAUAAAUAAAUAAAUAAGUCAAUGAAUUAGAAAUAAUGCAAGGAAAAUGUCUGUCUUUGAAGACAAGAAAAAUACAACUAGCAAUGUCACUCAUGAAGAUAAUUUAGGAAGAUAUGGAGAUCCAACAUAUAAGAACACACAUAACAUAAGAUGCAUAUAAUUGCAAUAAAACUAACUAUGCAGCGAGUUGAAGAAAAUCGUCAGAACGUAAGAUCAAGAGUUAGUUAAAAGUUGUUAUAAUAGUUAAGAUAUGGAAUUGCACAGCUAGCAAGCAUCGCUCAAUAAGGUUCAUGCUCUACAAUAGAAAAUAACACUAACACUAAGCAAGCACAAACAUAAACCAAAAGUUGAAAAUAACCAUAACUGCAGCCUGCAUAAUCUUAAUCUCUUCUAUCCACAUGUAAGAUCAAACUUUUUUUCGAGGAAUGAAAAUGACAGAUUUGGAAGGGAAACAUCACCUGGUCAUGGCCGUCCUCCUCGUCAUCGCUACUAGGACUCUCUUGUUCCAGCGCAUGAUCCUCCUCUUCACAAAUCAGCUCCUCUUGCUCCGUCUUAUCCUUGUCCUUUUCGUCCCCCGCCUCUUCGUUGAGAUAGUAAUGCAGGAUGGGGUUCUCCCCGGCGCUCUUCUUGCGGCGUCUGCCUCGCUUGUCCACUAACGAAGAAUCGAACAUGGGGUCCGUGAGCAUGGGGGUGAACCUCGAGUCGAUGGCCACCUUGGCCUCCUUACGCCGCAUCUGUCGGAACCUCGGGUCUGUCCGCGCCGCCGUGAACCGCUCGUCCUCCAUUGCCCGCUUCAUCUUCGAGCCGAGGGCCACCUUGGCCUCCUUACGCCGCAUCGGUCGGGACGUCGGGUCGGUCCGCGCUGCCGCGCACCGCUCGUCCUCCAUCAACCGCUUGGGGGAACCCUAGCAACGUUGUACGUGAUGUGAUACGGGCUGGCACGACGGCACGUGAUGCAGGAGCUCCUAUUUGGCGCGUUCGGCGCCGUGGAACCGAACGGGCGCCUACAGGCUACAGGCAACACUAGUGGGCCGGCCCAUGGACGAAAUAACGAAAGAGAAACGUCUCGCGACAAAAAACGCAAAAAUACGGGAGAAACACGACUCGAACCUGCGCCCCAAAAUUAAAGGAUUGCUCAGCUAACCACAAACGGGAAGACUACUGAUUUAUUGCAAAUGCGAAUGCAUUAAGUACCAUAUGAGCCACGCUAGUUAUUACACAUUUUUGAACUAUUCGUUUUUAAGUCAAUUUUUAAGGAAAAUAAGUUCAUAAAUUUUGAAAAAAUUCAUCAAAUUUGAAACAAAAGUUCAUCGAUUACAAGAAAAUGUUCAUCAAAUUUGAAAGUAGUUCAUUGAUAUCAAAAAAAAUUCAUCGAUUUUGAAAAAAGUUCAUAGAUUUUGAAAAAGUUUAUCGAUUUACCGAAAUAGUUCAUUGAAUUUGGAAAAAGAGUUCAUUGAAACUGAAAAAAAAUUCACCAAUUUUGGAAAAAAGUUCAUCGAUUUUGAAAAAGUUCAUCAAAACUAAAAGAAGUUCAUCAAAAUUGAAAAAAGUUCAUCGAAUUUACAACAAAAUUCAUUGAAUUUGUAAAACAAAGUUCAUCACUUUUUUUAAAGUAAUCUAAUUAAAAUUUUGCAUCAAUUUAGAAAAAACAGGUUCACGAAAUGUGAGAAAAAAUCACGCAUUAAAGAAAACAAAAAAGAAACUGAAGAGCUAAAUAAAAGAGGGAAGGGAAGAAGAUUUACAUGAGCGGGACAGUGGCCUGCAGCGCCAAAUAGGAUUUGCCCGUGAUGCACACCUGCCCGAUAGGCGCCGGCGCAAUUUGGGUCGGUCGACCGUGCACCGUUCGAUUUAACCAAUUCCAACCGCCUGAUCCCGUGAUAGGCUGUCUUCUUCCUCCCACGUCUUAGAUCUGCGGAUAGCAGGUCGUCUUCCUCUCCCCCGCCUCACACCACACUAGCCGCCGGUCGCCGCCCUCGCCAUAGUCGUCUCGUCUCUUUCUCGUCGGAACCACGCAUGCAACAACUUUUGCAUGCGUUUGCAGCUCCCUCACUGGUGGUGGUAGCUCCGGUAGGACGCUGAGAACUCCGGUAGCGCCGGUCGCAGCACCCCCACGACGAGCUCAUGAAAAAUGCUCUCCUUCGGGUUUGCGGGUGGCAACAAAAAUGUCUGUCGGUAGUAGCAAAAAAUUGUGCUGGUUCCAGCAAAAAUAGCUCGUCAGUGCCGCCAUCCCGUCGUAAUUGAAGCAAAAUCGACCACCGGUUGUAGCUUUUGUGAUUGCCGAUUGCAGCAAAAACAACUUCUUGUCCAGCUCACAGCUUCUCUGGUAGUAGGCAAAAAUCUACAAUAGUUGUAGCGAAAUACAUAAUUACAGGGUCUCGACAACCUCAUCAAAAAGGAUGUAACAAACUACAAUGCUAGCAGUAGCAAAACCCAAAAACGUAUAGCAAAAAGUAGUACAAAAUUUUCCAGCAAAAAAACAUGGCAGCAAAAUUUGGUUAGUUCCAGCAAAAAAUAUGAAGACGUUAGUAACAAAUUAGUAUACUGGUUCCAGCAAAAACAAACAUGGGAGCAGAAUCUGGGUUGGUUCCAACAAAAACCAAAAACACUAGUAGCAAAAUUUAGAGCUGGUUCCAGCAAAAAGAAAAAAGAAACUCGAGUCGUGCCAUGGUUAGAGACCUACGACCCUCCCAUGGUCAGACAUAUGCGGCGGCCACCGUCAGGCCGCGCCUACUACUAGGGAAAACCUUAUAAUCUUACGAGCAGCGUGGUUUAAAAUAAGGCGCUACUGCUAAUUAGCAGUAGCGCGUGACAACAAAGCUCGCUACUGAUAUCCGCAUAGCAGUAGCGCGCCAGGAUGAAAGAGUGCUACUAAUACAAUUGCCACGAUGUUGCCGCCAGACUAGGUAUAGUAGUAGCGCCGUUUUCGUAUACUUAGCAGUAGCGUUUUUCACCAACCCUCGCUGCUGCUAAGUUUAGUCCCCUCCUUGCAACUAAGUUUAGUCACACCUUGCUCCGCGAACAGGGUGUUUACCCCCUUAAACUAGAUCACUGAUGACGCGCGUUGCUGCGCCCAUCUCUUGGUAGUACUUUCCACAAAAUAUAUGAAGGUAAUAUCUUUCUAUUAUUUUAAAAAUAACAAUAAAUAGCUAUUCAUUUUAUUUUAAAGGAAGAAUACACAUAUUUGGGAGACAUAGAUGGUCCGUGUGAAAUUGAUAAACAUGGUACAAAUUUCUUAAUCCAAUACUUGAUGCAUCAUAAUGGUUAGUGUGCUAGCCGGCAUCAGGUGGAACGCACCGAAUCUUCAAAAACAACGAAAUCCGAAGGAAAUCAUUUAAUAAACAAACUAUAAUUGUUUGGUGCAAGCUAUAUCAUAAAACAAAAACACAAAUUAUAAAGCAACUUGACAAUGAAUUAGCAUAGGUCCUCCUAAAACUUUGUGGAUUCAUAAAACUAAGCAGCCUCACGUCAUUCUUCUGCUGGCUACAUGUUCCACUGUAGACACUAUCACCACCUUAAUCGUACAUUAACGUCAAUGCACUCUGAAACAACCAGAAUACACCAUCUCUGUUGUAUGCAUGAAAGGUAGCUUCCAAGCAAGUUGACACCUACCAAGUUAUUGAAGGGUAAGUCUUGUUUCUCUGUUACAAACAUUCUAGUUAUAAAUCUGUAGGGGUGACAUUUUGGCUGGAAACAUUAUUUACUUACAAAUAUGAAGAGACAAUGAAUUGUAGUAGAUCCAAGGCCAUGCUAAAAAUUAAAUAGGCAUUGGUAAUGGGAAUGAGAUCCUCUAGUGGAAACGGAAAAUAUAACACAGGAAGUAAAACCAAAUUCCAACUUGAUCGAGGCCUCAACACCCUUCCAGUAUCGGUGAAGCAAAGACGCAAACAAUAUUUCUAUCGAAGUACCAAGGAGCACUACUAUACAAAACAUGGGGGACAACUGAAAAAGUAGUAUACACACAAGUUAAAUUGAAUAAAGAUUUCCAAAAAUCUCUUCAAUCUAUGGAAAUAAGACUGCUAGGUGUAGAGCCUCCUUUGUGAUGGACUUGUUUCAAAUUACCAUAUAUUUACUCUUUUUAUUUCACGGAAAUAUAUAUCCUUGUAAAGCUUAGAAUGGACAUCAACUAUUCUGAAAAAUGCCAGAAUGGUUGCUUUGUGAUGUCUAUGAUUCUAAGAAGCCAAGUGGUUGUGUUGUGUUAUAUAUAACCGCUGACAAAAAAAAAAUAGUUACCAUUCAUACACACGUCUAGUGGACACCUCAAGAACGAUUACAUUGUAAAUCAACUCCACUACUUCUCAAAUGAACAAAGGAGCUCACGUGUUCAGAUUUUAAAAAAAAUGUACUGAUAUUCUUCUGUCCUUGAAUUUUACAUUUGCUUUUUGGAAUGGAUAUAUACUUCCAAGACAGCUCAAUAUGUAGGCUCCCACGACAGAACCGAAAAAGAGUACCAGAAUAUGUAGUCGUGUCCAUCGUCUCCUGUUACCAUCCGCCUAGACGCACAGUUCGGGACCCCCUACCCGAGAUCCGCCGGUUUUGACACCGACAUUGUUGCUUUCAUUGAGAGAUUCCUCUGUGUCGUCACCGAUAGGCCCGAUGGCAUAUUCAACCAGCAACGCUGUCCAGGGUGAGACUUUUCUCCCCGGACAGAUCUUCGUAUUCGGCGGCUUCACACUGCGGGCUAAUUCGCUUGGUCAUCUGGAGCAGAUCGAAAGCUAUGCCCCUGGCCGUCAGGUCAGAUUCGGAAGCCUAAACUUCACGGUCGACAUCCGCGGAGACUUGAUCUUCGACGGACUCGAGCCACAGCCAAGCGCGCCGCACUGUUACGAUGGGCAUGAUCUAGCUCUGCCGCCGAACAGUGCCUUGGUGGCCGCACACGAAUCCGCUUCGGCCUUUAGUCCGGAGCCGAUCGCUCAGAUCGAGGAUCGGUGGAUGGACACCACCUCGGGGGCUUCAACUUCCACGGCGAUGGAGCCGAACGCUAAUCUUGUCCCCCGCGAAACUCGUGAUUCCGAGGUGUCGGACUCCUUGCCGGACUCCAGACCUCCCACGCCCCUACCAAUCGAAUCGGAUUGGGCGCCGGUUAUGGAAUUCACCGCCGCGGACAUCUUCCAACACUCGCCCUUCGGCGACAUCCUAAAUUCGCUAAAGCAUCUCUCGUUAUCGGGAGAGUCCUGGCCGGACUAUGGCCAGGAUGGUUGGGAUAUGGACGACGAAGAAAUUCAGAGCCCACCCACCACCCACUUUAUAGCAACUGUCGACGAUCUAACCGACAUGCUAGACUACGACUCCGAAGACAUCGACGGUAUAGACGACGAUGCCGGAGACGAACAAGAACCAGCGCCUACAGGGCACGGGAGGACCACCUCGUCAUAUGACAUAUAUAUGGUGGAUACCCCAAAAGAGAGCGAUAACGAGGACCAACGGGCCGCGGCAGAAGAUAACCCCGCCGACAAACAACCAAAACGGCGGCGCAGACGCCGCCCUAAGUCCCGCCUCGACAACAACAACGCUCCUAAGGACCCCGCAAUACAGCAGGGCACACAAGUGGACGACGAACAUGCAGAUAAGCAGCCGUCCGAACAAGACGAGUCAGAUAAUCAGUCCAGGCCCGGCGAAAACGACAAUCCGGACGAUCUCAUGCCGGACACGCCGCCGGAUAGUAAAAACCUUCGGAAAAGACUCGUCAACACUACAAGAAGCCUGAAGAAUGAAAAGCGGAAGCUCAAAACAGCGGAAGACACACUCAGAAUGAGGUGGAGCAAAGUGCUCAAAACCGCGGAUAAAUGCGGCAAUGGCCACCAAUCUAAGAGCUACCCAAAGCGCAAGCUGCUACCAGAAUUCGACGAGGAGGCCAUAGAGCCCCCACCGUCAAAAAAUAAAGAGGCUGCCUGGUUGGAUAGACGGCCAGAUGAUAGGCCAAAUUCUGAAAGCGGCGCCGCACACAAACCAACUAAUGAACCUGGAAAGACAGAUGGCCCAGCCAGGUCCAUCUACGGGCCAAAGAAGAAGGCCCCAGGAAGCAAGGCAACACGUCAAGUGUCCGAAGAUAGUGGCACACCCAAAUACAGGGGCGCCGCACAUCCACUAUGUUUCACCAAUAAGGUGCUGGACCAUGAAUUCCCAGCAGGAUUCAAACCCAUAAACAUAGAGGCCUACGACGGAACAACAGACCCUGGAGUCUGGAUAGAGGACUAUAUACUACAUAAAAUACCUACCCCUCAAGCUCAAAGGGCCAGCCCGACACUGGCUUAAAAGCCUCCCAGAAAACACUGUGGGAAGUUGGGAAGAGCUUGAGGACGCGUUUAGGGCAAAUUUUCAAGGGACUUAUGUCCGCCCUCCGGAUGCAGAUGAUCUAAGUCAUAUAACUCAACAGCCCGGAGAGUCAGCGCACAAAUUUUGGAACAGGUUCCUCACCAAAAAGAACCAAAUAGUCGACUGUCCGGACGCCGAAGCCUUAGCAGCUUUUAAACAUAACGUCCGAGACGAAUGGCUUGCUAGACACCUCGGCCAAGAGAAACCGAGGACAAUGUCCGCGCUAACAAGCCUCAUGACCCGCUUCUGUGCGGGAGAGGAUAGCUGGCUAGCAAGAUGCAGCACCAGUGACCCAAGUACAUCCGAGAUAAGAGAUGGAAACGGAAAAUCACGGCGCAGAAAAGAGCAGCGCCGGAAUAAAGAGAAAAGCCAAAAGAGCACGGCAGUCCAUGCCGGAUUCAAAAGCUCGCGGCCAAAUAACCAAACACCGCCUCUUAAGGAUGACGGUGAUGAGCUGUCCAACUUAAACAAGAUUUUGGGUCGGAUAUGUCAAAUCCACAGUACCCCCGGAAGGCCUGCAAACCACACCCAUCGAGAUUGUUGGGUUUUUAAAUAGUCCGGCCGACUAAACGCCGAACACAAGGGGCUCGACGCGUCAAGCGAAGACGAUAAACCCCACCAGCAGACCACCGGAAAACAAAAGACUUUCCCACAAGAGGUCAAAGCAGUAAACUCACUUCAUGUGAUAAUACGGAAAAAUAGUGCGGCACUUUCUAAAAAGAGCCUCGCACGGUCCAACCCAGCAGACCAUAGAGAUUGGAUAUCAAAACCAAUCACUUUCGACCACCUGGAUUAUUCCAGAAGCGUUCGAAACGCUGGACGGACUGCCCUGAUAUUGGAUCCCAUAAUCGACGGACUACAAUUUACUAAAGUCCUAAUGGACGGAGGCAGUGACUUAAACCUGCUGUAUUCAAACACAAUCCGCAAGAUGGGGAUAGACCCUACUAAAAUUCGACACAGCCGCACUUCCUUCAAAGGAGUGACGCCAGGCCCUUACGCCAAGUGCACAGGCUCCCUAUUACUAGAAGUUGUGUUCGGAUCACCGAACAACUUUCGGCGCGAAAAACUAAUGUUUCAUAUCGUCCCAUUUAAAAGUGAAUAUCAAGCACUCUUGGGACGAAAGGCUUUUGUCCGUUUCAACGCCAUACCGCAUUACGCGUCUCUUACACUCAAGAUGCCCGGUCCACGAGGCAUCAUUUCAGUGCGAGGGUUACUUAAAGACCCCGGACACGGAUAGACGAGUCCGGCACCGGUAGGCUAGGGGCUCCCUAGCCGCACACCCCUUCACAAGGGGCUGCGCGCACAAACAACCACGAGUUCAUACGAACCCCGCUUUACUUAUUUAUAUUUCUUCUUUCACACGUACCUUUUUUGCACGAGUUGUUUUCAAACUAAAGUUCCUCUCUUUUUACAGAUGAACAACGUGCACACCCGUCCAGGAUAACGGCACAACGGAGACACAGGCGCAGACGUGCAGUAGGGACCCGUCGUGAGGAUUCUUUUCAGAUUAAGACCCUGCGUAAACCUUUUUUACUGUCUCUUGUUGUUAUUCUUCCUUGGUUUCUUCCUAUAACCAAAGUGGAGCCUGACGUUUUGGCAUCGGCCGCGUCAGAGGACCAUGCCCGUACCUGGACACUAGGGGCUUAGGGCAUUGUUCUGCCCAUUAUUAUAAAGACCGAACACCUUAGGGAGUGUUCGGCGUCUCGAGUUAGGCAUUAUAUGCAUCAGCUCCGAAUCAUGUCUUUGGUCAAAUGUUGGGUUUGCCCGGCUCCUGUGUUUUGCUGCCUUACGUUCCGUAUCAUCGGCUAACGGGCACCAGGAGAACUACUGUGAUUGUGCCCCAGUUCGGCUAGGCGACCACCUCAGUAGAGAAAGCCGAAAACUGACUGUCAUGAUAUAGCGAGAGACUGGUCAACCACUCGAUCGACUACCGGAAUGUUUAGAAUUCCCCGCUUUGACGAAGGACCGUUUCCCGGUCAGGCACACACGCGCCCCGAACUCGGAGAAGUGCGGUGCCCCAAGGGGCUAUAUCGUAGCCCCACCCUCGAACUCCACUGGCUAAGUGAAAGUGAUAAAGCAUUAUAGUCUGGAUUGCCUCGUUUGCUACGCUACCACCUCCUUAAUAGGACCGAGACGUCGGAUUAAGUGUGAAAAUGCGCUAUUUUUGCGAACACCCCCGCACCUUGUGCGUGGGGGCUGAAGCCGAAGACUGCAAUCUUUCAGGUUAUACAAAUGUAUACGUAAACGUCCGCAUAGGAGAAAUUUUACUACUUGGGACGCACAAGUAUAAAAAGCAGUUAUAGCAUAAUCCUCGUUUUACAAGCUAAAACGUUCAUUUGAACGUGACAUUUUUUGAGCACUGCGACUCUAUUACACGAGCGCCACGCAUAACUUCCCCGAAAUAGUGCUCAGCGGGGAGCCGGCUUUCAUCCGAACCCUGGGCGGCAAUAGCGGUGGCAUCCAUCUCUGUCCAAUGUGUCUUCACACGGACAAGAGCCAUCCGCGCGCCUUCGAUACAGGCCGACCGCUUCAUCUCGUUGAUAUGCGGCACCGCUCCAAGAAAUUGCUGCAGGAAGCCGAAAUAGCUCGUCGCCUUGGGCCUCUCUGGCCAGACAUGAGCCACGAUGUCAGUCAUGGCAAGUCCGGACAAUCUAUUUAGCUCGGCCCAUUCGGCCAACCGAUCGGUCAACGGAAGUGAACGAUCCGGACUAUGGAAUUGAGACCAAAAUAGCUCUUCCGUCUUGUGAUCCUUCUGGCUCCGGAAGUGCUCAAUGGCAUCAGCCGUACUUGCCGCUAAGUCCAUAUACGGAUCCUCCGGACUCCACAGCUGGCCAAGUUGAGCAUACUUUUGAUCCGUAAACCGGCAACGCAGCAGAAAAGGCUUGCCAGCCACGAUAUCUCCGGCCUGGCGCAGCUCCUCCUUCAUGGCCCGCAUUGCAGAACGAGCAUCCUUGGCCUCGGCGGUGGCCUUCCCCAGGUCUUCCCGCUCCGAUAAGCGCUCCUUUUCAAGAGCCUCAUUGCGGUCGGCAGCAUCUUUUAAUUUCACGGCCAAUUCGGCCAUCUCUUCCCUGCUUAGGCAGUGUGCAGCCUUUUCGGCUUUCAACUCCUCGGCCGCCCUCGAGGCAGCCGCGUCACUCCUUCGGGCUUGCUCCUUAGCUUGAGCAAGUUCGGCCCGAAGGCUCUCCACAGCAGCAGCACCGUUUGUAUCACAACAUAUAAUUUAUCAGAGGAGGGCUUUGACCCCCUUAAUAAAGCGACUGCGGAGAACUCAUUUACCUUGCGACUCAUCAAGUCGCCGGUUGACAAGUGCGAUGUCCGCAUCCGCCACGUCAAGUUGCCGCAUUAACUCGGCAACUCCACUAGUCCGGCUAGCCCUCGGACUAUCCGCCACCUGCAUAGGAAUGACAACAUUCAUUACUUGCAAUUUUGAUCCUCGGCACGCUGUCGUUUUCGACAACCUACCGAGUCCCAGGGGCUACUAUCUAUACAGGGAGCACUUUUAUGUGCAAAACUGUCAAAAAAUAAAGGGGUGCGUCAUUCUUGCGUACCUCAAAUCCCGCCAGCAAACUCGUAGCGGCAUUACGCAAUCCGCUCUCGGCGGACGAAACCCUUCCAAUCACCAUACGCAUCAACGCACGAUGAUCUUCUGAGAUGGACGCCCUCUCAAGCAGAUUCUUCAGUUCUCCCGGCCGGAUACUAGCGGGCGCCAAACUCUCCGGCCCCUCCGGACUUGGGGAUACCCUCCGUGACGAUACUUCAGGCUCGUCUGCCCUAUCUAAUGGCGCAGCAGACGGAGGCGUUUCGCUCUCCAUCAUGUCUGGAAGAAGGUCCCCCGAAGAUGAACUCAUCUGAGAAGGCUGCAAAUCUGAACUGCAAGAUAAAAAUUUCGGUUACCCACAGAAGCACAAAUGGAGGUAUUUUCUUACUAAUGAACUCCCCUUUUCAUACUCACGGCUCGCUGGAGGGCUGAUCCUUUGGCGAUGAUUGAACGUCCGGGUUCUCCCCGGACGUCGGACCCCCCAAUGAAGAUCUCUUCCCCCGUUUAGGGGCUUUAGCCUCCGGAUCUUCGGAGGCGGUCCUCUUAUCCCCCUGGAAGGAGGGGUUUUUGAUUCCCCCCUCUUUAGACGCCCCUUUGGGCGAAAUAAUAGCUCCUCUAUUUUCCCCAUCGCUCCCUUCUACGAGCGCGACCUCCAACAUUCUGACCAGCACGGGCUCCAGUGCGGUCUCUGGGAGGGGAGCCGGACACCUUAUCAGCUUCGAUCGCGCUACCCACUCCUGUAAAGAGUAAUGGGUCAGGAGGCGAACUCUAGAAAAGCAGAUAAACAGAACGUCCGAACUCUGAGCUAUUUACCUGAGUAUCCGGGCGAUUGCAGCUUAGGCCUGCGUCCUCGCUCAAUUCUGGACACGCUACCUGUGGUCCGAAGAACAACUUGUACAUCUCCAUGGGUGUCGCACCCAUGAAGUGUUGGAGAAUUCGAGGUCCCUCCGGGUUGAACUCCCAUAGACGGAGAGGACGAUGCUUGCAGGGCAGAAGACGCCUGAUUAGCAUAACCUGCAUCACCACGACCAGAUUGAUCUCCCUCGCCUGGAGGUCUCGAAUUCGGCCCUGCAAUGAGGGCACGUCUUCGGAUGGCCCCCAAUUGAGCCCUUGGUUGACCCACGACAUCAGUCGGCGUGGAGGUCCCGGGCGGAAUGAAGGCUGCGGCUUUUGCUUGCUGCCCUUCGGAGCGGUGAUAUAGAACCACUCCUGCUGCCACAGUCCGAGUUCCUCUUGGAAGGAACCCUCGGGCCACGGGGCAUCGGCCCUUCUGCUUAUGGCCGCCCCGCCGCACUCCGCUUGACGCCCCCCGAUCAUCUUCGGCUCCACAUUAAAGGUCUUCAGUCACAGGCCGAAGUGGGGAGUGACGCAGAGGAAGGCUUCGCAGACGAUAAUGAAUGCGGAGAUAUGGAGGAUGGACUCCGGAGCCAAAUCGUGAAAAUCCAGCCCGUAGUAGAACAUGAGCCCUCUCACGAAGGGGUCCGUCGGGAAGCCUAAACCCCGACGGAGGUGGGAUACGAAGACAACGUACUCACCGGGCUUGGGGGCGGGCACGGCCUGCCCUUGGGCGGGUAACCUGUGCGAAAUCUCGUAGGACAGGUACUUGGCCUCACGCAGCUUUAACACGUCCUCCUCCGUGACGGAGGAGGGCAUCCACCGACCCUGGAGGUCGGAGCCGGACAUGGGUGAGAAUCCGAAGCGCUCGAAUCUGAGGCUCUGGGUGUUGGAACUAGGAGCGAGGAGGAGAUUCGAUGCGAGAUUGAAGAAAAAGAACGAGCCUUGGUCCUCUUAUAAAGGGGAAAAAUACCAAGAGUCGUCUCCGUGACCGUUCGGGAUUCACCUUCGAUAGAGGAGGCGUGGCGACGGGCACGGUUGGGUUACCCACGCACGUAUUGAUGAGAAUCCCAGAAUAAGGGGAACACGAUCUCUGCUUCGACAAGACGUGCCAAGGAAACCGCUUCGCUAAACGUGUUGAGGUGGUAUAGUAAAAAAUGAUUCAAACAGAGGCUUGGUAGCGGUGUGAUGUCACGCCGCAUAAUAAGUCAGCAGAUUGGACUGGUGUACAUUUUAUUCUCUUUAUGGUGGAAUGUGGAAUUUAUUUUGCAGAGCCGGACACUAUCCUGGUGUUCAUGAUCUUCUUUGGAUUAUUCAAGGGAGGAACCCGCCUUGCAAUGCCGGACAUUAUGCGCGCCGGACUUAUCGUCAUUGAAGCCUGGUUCAGGGGCUACUGAGGGAGUCCUGGACUAGGGGGUGUCCGGACAGCUGGACUAUCAUCGUCCGCCGGACUCAAGACUACGAAGAUACAAGAUUGAAGACUCCGUCCCGUGUCCGGAUGGGACUUUCCUUGGCGUGGAAGGCAAGCUUGGCAAUACGGAUAUGUAGAUCUCCUACCAUUGUAACCGACUCGGUGUAACCCUAGCCUCCUCCGGUGUCUAUAUAAACCGGAGGGCUUUAGUCCGUAGGACACAACAUACAUUACAACAAUCAUACCAUAGGCUAGCUUUAGGGUUUAGCCUCCUUGAUCUCGUGGUAGAUCCACUCUUGUACUACCCAUAUCAUCAAUAUUAAUCAAGCAGGACAUAGGGUUUUACCUCCAUCGAGAGGGCCCGAACCUGGGUAAAACAUCGUGUCCCUCGUCUCCUGUUACCAUCCGCCUAGACGCACAGUUCGGGACCCCCUACCCGAGAUCCGCCGGUUUUGACACCGACAACCGCCCAUCCGAGACCGGACAUUCCUUCCUACAGGUGAACGAGAGGGCCUCGAUUGGACUAGGAUCAGGUGACAUGCCUACAGCAUGUCACGCUGCAACAUGCGGCCUCCCAUCUGCCCUCCAAUCUCCAUCCAACAUUCCACAACGAUCCAAGGCAAAAAAAAAUCCCAGGCGAUCAGACUACACAGGCGAAAUGCAUCGGACUACUGUUUUCAUAGUUUGUUCAAUAGAAUCACCAACUUUUCAGUCAUUAUACAGUACAAACAGCAGCUAUAUAUUAUUUUUUACCGAAUUUGCAUAAAUUAAAUUUCAAAUUUAGCUAUACAAAAAAACAAAAAAAUAGUAUGCAAACAGCAGUCAUAUAGCAACAAAAACAACAGUGAUUUAACAAUACAAAUUAAGUACCACUUGCUUGUAAUUCAAAAUCUCGAUACAUUCAAAUUCAGUACCACUUGCUUGUACACUUAGGCUACAAAAUAAUAUAGUUAACCCCAUACUACUAUAGUUAACCAUGUCCAAAAUACUAUCUAACAAGUUCCAUGCUAGAACAGAUAAUCAUCAUCAUCACCACCAUGUACAAAAUAUUAUCUAAGGAGCUUCCAUGCUAGAACAGAUUAUCAUGGUCAGCCGUCAAGAGCUGGGUGAAACUCAUAAUAUUAUUGCACUCUUGAAGCACCAAAUUUACUUCUUUGUUGUUGUCAUACUUCUCCACUUCUAUUUGAGGCUGCACACCAUCUUUUUUAUUUUGUUGCACUCCAUCCUUCUUCCUUUGUGGCUGAGAACAAAAGUCACUGUAAUUAGCUAACAAAUGAGCAAUAACAACAUAUCAUGUACCAAUUGCAACAUACCUUUUCUCCCUGUUUUGUUGGUCCUUUAGUUACUCUGUGCUUCCCCUUGAAUAACUUAUCAAGCCAAUUUUUCUUUCUCCUUAAGUUCUUUGACUGAACCUCUUUUUUCUUUAGCCGUGCAGAUCUAAGCAACUCAUCUAGUUGCUACACAUUUGGGUCAACAUUCUCUUUGUAUUUACAUAGUUCAUUCAUGGCACUAGUAGAUGCAUUGAGUAAAUCAUGUAUAUGUGGAGCGACGGAAUCAAGUGCAUUAUCCAAUAGAAUACAACAUUGUGGAGAGUUGGCUGCUUUUUGUUCAAUUUUGUGAAAUUUAUGAGACAAAUCCUUGUAUCGAAGUUCAGCUUCCAUUUUUGGAUUUUCUACCACAUUCCUUCCUUGUCUAUCUUGUAUACUUCCAUUGCGAGCUUCUCUAGUCCACCUCUCAAGACAUAAUGUGCCGACAAUGUCUUUAUGUUCAUCAAAUCAGGCACUUUUAGACCAUGUGCACACAAGAUUCCUAUCCUAUUAAACAUCCCACAACUACAUGAAACCGUUUUGGUCAAAGGAUCACCUAUCACUAUGCGCUCCUCCUCAAACUGUAAAUCUCCACGCAACCUCGCAAUAGCAACAACAAAUCUAUUAUUUCCAUCCAAUACUCUACAACAUGCAACCGUUGAUCUUUCAUACUCGCCUUGGAAAGCCUAAAAAAUAAUCGGAGUGUAUACUUCGCUUGCUUCCACCAACAUAGGAGUCUUCAUCUUAAUUAUUGGUAUAUUCUUUAUUGCAUCGAAUUCAGAUUAUAAUUCAGCUCUUCUUUUUACUGCCACUGUCCUCUCAAAAUGCAUCAAGAGUCGAAGAAUAUGAAAAUCUAAUUCCAAAUGAUUUUUCAAUGCAUUGUUGAAGCUCUCACUUAAUUGUGUACUUCUCACUCCCAAGCUAAAGACAUCUCUCAUAUAACAUUCAGCCCAUUUUUCUUUCACCUUGUAGAUACUAUCUAACCAAGUUUGCUUAUGCACUUUGAGCCUCAUAUUGGCAAACACUUCUUCAAAUGCUACCUUGUCUUCAUAGCCAUACAUAAAAGCACCAAAAUCUGUGAGAAUAUGAGGCUUUUUUUCUUCAUCCUCCACUUCGUCUCUCUCUUCCACUUCAUCUUUUUCUUCGCCCUUCACAGAAAUUAAGUGUUUGACAGCAUUUUGCAUUAUAUGAAAGGUGCACAAUCCAUGAUAUGAUUUUGUGAAGACCUUUUCUAUGGCUUUUCCCAUUGCAACAUCUUGAUCUGUAUAGAUAGUUCUAGGUUGCCUUCCAUUAUGUGCGGCUAGAAAAGUCUAAAAGAGCCAUAUAAAGGAGUCACGUGUUUCAUCGAACAUCAAUGCAGCACCAAAAAUGGUUGUUUUCUGAACUAGUUCAGGCCAAGAAAAAUACCAAAUGGCCUAUACUCUUUGUUUGUGCCAAAUGUAGUGUCAAAUGUGACAACAUCGCCAAAGUGUGCAUAGUCAAGUAGCAUUUUAGCAUCAACCCAGAAUAUGUUGGCUAUAUGCUCCUCACUAUCCAACUGCAAAUGGUAUCGGAAUGCUGCAUUCUCAGCCUGCUUGUCACGAAAAUAAUUCAACAUACUUCCAGCCUGUCCAUAAGCCAACUCUCAUUGCCUCUUGCUUCGCAAAUGGUUCUUUCGGUCACGGCUAGUGUAACUAAGGUUGUUAGGGCCACUAACUAGACGACAAGCAUACUCAUGUGAAGCUUUUGGCAUAAUUCCAGAAUCAUCGGCUAUUUCUAUCUCGAAAGCUUGCACUUCUGAAAUCUUCCUUUGUGAUGCUAACAAGUGGCGGGUUUGUCGCAUUGAAGGCGGUGAUUGUGCUCCAAAUCAACUUCGUUGACUUCAAAAUUGUUGGCAACUCGAUCGUAUGUAACAAUCACAUGAGCCUUACGAUUGGUUCUUGUUUCAGCUCUAAUACGCUUUGGCUCAUGAUCUGUUUGGUUUUUCCUUCGAUGGCCUUCAUUGGAACAAACAAGCCAGCAUGAAGUAAUCACACCAUCACAUCUACUUUUGAUUGUGGAUCUUUUCCUCACAUCAAAGCCGAUGUGACCCCCAUAAUCAACCCAAAACUCCCAAGCCUCUUCCGAAUCUCUGAACCUCAUACCAACUUUGGGUGUCCUCUUUCCAAUUUCUGCCAUUGCACAACAUUCAAUUCUGCCAAACGAAAACAAAGUAUAUAAAUUAGUGGACUGCAAUCUUUGCCAUUGUUGCAAACUCAUAGAACUACACAUAAUUUAACUUGUUUUGGUGCAGCGGUGAUAUUGAUGCAAAGUCAUAAAACUAAAAAUAUUAGCAGCUAAUUCUGAAACCAAACUAAAACCAAACCAUGCUAACUCUGAACCUACACUGCACAUGCAUCAAACUGAUGUGAAAGAAGAAGAGAGACGACCUGGGAAACCGAACGUGGCGGUCAGGGUGGUGCUCCUCCGUGGACCACGGUGACACGUCGCUGCUUCCCGGUGCACGAGGGGCUCUUCUGGUUUCCCGGGGACUCGACGGAGCUAGUUCUCGCGUUGGCUCGGCGGUGUUCAUUACCGCCGCGGUGAGGCGUGAUACGUCUCCAACAUAUCUGUCAGGACACCGACUCAAUGCUACAUCGAUCUAGCAUGUAACACCUCAUAUCACUUUGCGGCCUCACGCACAGUAUUCCCACGGGUGUCGCCUUACCUUUACCCGGGACCGUUUGCGCAUGUUGGCACACGUAUAUGACAGUGUCGCUAGCAUCCAUAUGAUAAGGAGCCCGGGCUGACAUGGCUAGUCGUAAACCCAAAGUGGCACAAACUUACAGGGACAGGCAUCCGUGACCCAGCAUCGAACGUGUCGGUCAUCAGCGAGUGAAUCCAGGCUGUAGCACUGGGCUAGCAGGACUCCGGUGAACCGGGCUGUAGCGGGCUAACAGGACUCCGGUAUUCAUCGCGUGACAUUUCCCCAAAGGGACAGACACAGGAACGAAGAAGGACACAUGCCGGCCAGCCUAAGUGUUUCGGAGCAGUAGCAAGCUACCAUGGCUCGGUGGAAACACUAGGAGACAUUUCCCGGUAAGAGAGGCUACUAAAGAUAAAACAACUAGAUAGUCAGAUCCCACACAUACCAAGCAUUUCAAUAACAUACACACAAUAUGCUCGAUAUGUGCAAUACAACAUGGCAUCACAAAAUGACUCUACGACUCAAGUAGUUUAUCCAAUAGGCUCCGAGGAGCGAGAUAUUACAAACAUGGGUCUCAUGAUCCAACAUUCAGAGCAUACAAAUCAAAACACAAGCGGAAGCUAUCAUGUCUGAGUACAGACAUCUAUAAAUGAAAAAGGCUGAGAAGCCUGACUAUCUACCAGAUCCUGCCGAGGGCACAAGAUCGUAGCUGAGGUAACAAGCUAAACGUCGAAGUCCACGCGGAACUACUAGCGAGACCGAAGUCUCUCUGCAAAAACAUAAAUUAAGCAACGUGAGUACAAAUGUACCCAGCAAGACUUACAUCAGAACUAACUACAUAUGCAUCAUUAUCAACAAAGGGGAUGGUGGGGUUUAACUGCAGCAAGCCAGCUUUGACUCGGUGGCUAUCCUGAACUUCGACUGCAAGUAACUCUUUUGAGGUGGCGCACACGAGUCCACAUAUUCACCAUAUCAAUACACCACUAUGGAUCCGCUCCCGUCUCCCUGCGAGAACGCCAACCAUAGCACUCACGCUUAUCUUGCGUAUUUUAGAGUAUCCACUUUCACUUGUCUAUGAACUGAUAUAAGCAACCCAGAAGUCCUUUACCGCGGACACGGCUAUUCGAAUAGAUGAUGUUAACCCUGCAGGGGUGUACUUCUUCAUACAUGUUUCCACCACUUAGCGUCUGCACACGACAUGUGCUCGGCAGACUUCAAGCGAAAGCCGACGUGGGUGUAGACCACGACCUACCUAAACACUCAAGUCUCUAGUCCAGGUUUAUCGCCUAUUCGGGUUCCAUCCAUGAGGAGAUCCGGCCGGAGUUUCGCUCACAGCCCCAAACGAUGUGAACAGGGUUCCGUGACACCAAAUGGGCGCCCGGUAUACCCGGCCACGUGCCUACCGCAUCACAGCCCACCCCUACGGUCAGCGCUGUCCACGGCCUCCAGCAUACUACAAGCACCAGAAACUACUUGCAACUCCUGGACAGAGGACAAGGGUGAAUAAGAAGUCGAGCGGGGUCAUAUUUCAGGGCCCAAUGUAUGGUAGUAGCUGAAUCAUGGAUCACAAACACAGAACUCAGUUCCUGAGGACGGAUUCAAUGAGACAACCCACCAUGUACUCCUACAUGGCCUCUCACCGAUACCUUUUACCAAAUCGUGUUCACACACUUAGCUCACACAUAGUAGGACAUGUUCACACACCUCUGAUUCAUCCCCGAUGAAUCAGACCUGACUCAACUCUAAGCAGUAGCAGGCAUGACAAACAAACAUGAAUGAGUAGGCACAACAGGGCUCAAACAACUCCUACUCAUACUAGUGGGUUUCAUCUAUUUACUGUGGAAUGACAGGUCAUGCAAAGGAUAAAGGGGUUCAGCUACCGCAGCAAGUAACUGAUGAAUCGUUGUUGUCCUAAUGCAGUAAAAGAGAGCAGGAGCGAGAGAGUGGGAUUGUAUCGGAAUGAACAAGGGGGUUUUGCUUGCCUGGCACUUCUGAAGAUAGCAUUGAGUCUUCAUCAGUGUCAACGAUCACAUCAUCGGUAUCACGUCUAUCGAGAGGGGACAAAUACCGGCAACACAGAAGGGAACACAAUCAAUGCAAUGCACAAUAUGAUGCAUGAUCAUGACAUGGCAAAAUGAAUGUGUUUUGGGCUAAUGCAUCUAGCAACAAGUUAAAUGGGGUUGGUUUGAAUACAAGAUUCAAAUUCAAACUCCAUAUGUGAUUAUUUAAAUGCCCUUUAUUGGUUUUGUCCAAAACAGAGGACAACCAUUGUUCAAACAUGCAUGAAAAUGGUACAGAUGGAUUCCUUGAAUUUUUCUGAUAAUUUUUCAUAUAUAAUUUAUUUAAUUUGGAGUUACGGUUAAUUUUCUAUGAUUUAUUGAAGUUUUAGCUAUUUUCUGAAAUUCCUGAAAUAAUAAUAAAUCCAGAAAUGAUUUAUGGCGUCAGCACCACGUCACGGUGACGUCAGCAGGGUCAACUGGGCGCCCCAGGUCAAACCUGACGUGUGGGGGCCACACGUCAGUGACACAGGAGCUAAUCCCGGUCAAACCCAGCGCUGACUGGGGUUUGACCAGUGGUGGGGCCUACUAUCAGUGGCUGUAGGUGGUUUAGUUAGUUGGAUUAGCUCCUAAUGACGGAGCCACGUCAGCUAGUGACGCCGGCGACCACGGCGACGGCGAGACCUCGCCGGAGUUGCUCGGGACGGCACUACAGGGCACCGUUUUGCUCGGGGUUUGCGGCUACAGCGAGCUGGAAGACUCGCGCAUCCAGUGGUGGUGGCGGCAGCAGCUGCGGUGGUCGGAAUCGAUGGCGGCGACCAAAUCGGCGGCGGCCGGAGCUCGGGCAUCGCCUAAGACGAUGCUAUGGUGCAGCUACAGACGAACCGAUGGGAGUUUUCGGCUCCUAGGAACAUCUCGAGCCUGAGGGCGUGCUCAGAUGCGAGCUAAGACAUCUGUGGCCACGGCGGUGCCAUGGCCGGCGGCGAGGAGCGCUCGGCAAGGUGGUUAGGGCGGUUAGGGGAGGCAAUCGAGCAUGGGGUUAGAGGGAAAAGGGUCGUGGCCUCACAGCGGUUGCAGGGGCCGUAGAAGCGGGCUCGGGGAAGCGAUGAUGGUGGCGAAUCGACGACGAAGAUCCUCGGCGGCCGGAGAUGGGGAAGACGGCGUGGGCGGCGAUGCAGGGCGUCCAGCGGGGCAUGGGUUGGUGGAGAGGAAGAGGGGGUCGAGGCGGAGCCUCUGGGCGCAAUGAUGAGGCGAGGCAGUGGCUGUGGCCACGGCGACGCUCGUCGGCGGUGGUGGCUCCGUUCGGGUGAGAGGGAGAGAGAGCAGAGGAGAGGAUGGGGACGAGAGAGUGAGCGACGGUUCCAGGAGGGGUGCGUGGCGUCGCUAGAGGGCUCGGGGAGGAAGCAGGAGGUGGCCAGGGAAGCAGGAGGUGGCCGAGGCAGCGUCGGCGCCCGUCGGCCACGCGCGCUGCCUACUGGCGCGGGGAAGACGACAGGAGGGGAGCCCCUGGUGGGCUGGGCCGGCUGGAGGAGCUGGGCCAGGUGGGCUGAGGUGAGCGCCAGGUAGUCCUCUGCUCUUUCUAUUUCUGUUUUUAUUUAUCUAUUUUGUUCUGUGUUGUUUUAGUUUAGUAAAAUACUAAACCAUUUUAUAAAAUCCUGAAAAUAGUUAUGUGGCUAGAGUUAAAAUAUACCAAACCACAUAAAAAUGUUCCAGUAUUAUUGGACAUAUAUUAUUUAUAUAUCAAAUAUAUAUCCAAUGCAAAUAGUUAUUGAAUUAAUUCAAAGGCCCCAAAAUAAUAACUCUGAGACACCAAAAAUAUUGUUUUGAGUUUUACCUCUUUGCAAUAUUUUCAGAGACUAAGAGGAACAUUUUCUUGGACUUCUUUGAGAGGAUUUUAAUGUUGAUCAUUUUUAGAAGGUUUCUGAGGCUUUGAAAAUCCCUCAAUUCAAAUUUCAUUUGAAUUAAAACAUGAUGCUCACAUGAGGUCUGGCCUAGUGCAUAACAGGACCAGGGAUGUGACAACUCACCCCCACUAACAAAAAUCUCGUCCCGAGAUUCAAGCGUAGGGUAAGGUGAAGGGGGAGCGCAAACUAGCACAAUCUUCACGAUCCAGGUUGCACUUCAUAGGAAUGUUGUUUCGAUCACCAUCUUUGUCUCGACGCCUUCCUCUGAGAACUCCAACUAACAUGACAACGAGAGGAAAGGAAAGACCCUAAAAGAAUCGUUCUUCUCGAAGGUCGAACAACUCAGGAUUAACUCUCGGAAUGAGACAUAGCAACAUCUCUCGAGCUGAGAGAUGAAGCACACAUCCAUAGGAAUGGAGUGAAGUAGAUGACAAAGGUUCACUAGGUAGACAACAAUUCCAGACUUAAGAAUGUGGUGACCGGUUGUCAACGUAGCGAGGAGUUGAAUUGCCAUGAUACCAUAACGAUGCACCUUAGGAAAGGUGACUCGUAGAAAUAUCCCCUUAAGUGGCAAAAAGAAUUACCGUUGAUUCAAAGAUCAUUGAAACUCUUUAAACCAGCCUAAGGCAAUUCUCGAGCGAUCGUUUGGAGGGGGUCGGUAGAAUGGCAUACUCGGACUUGGAUGAUGUGGAUUACCUUGUUGAAGACAACGUAAUGGAUGAAUUUGCUUACCACCGGAAAUGGAAGAGACCCAUGGUAGAAUGGCACAUUGGCGGUGCAAGCUGGGAACAAAAUGCAAAUGCUGGGAAUGAUUCUGGUAACUGGGGAAGAACCCAACAAUAGAGAGUGGAUUCACUGUUUGAAAAGGUCAUAGCAUUGCCGAGGAAACUGAGAGGAAUCCCAGUUAGAGCCGAUGGUAACAUGUAGCGCUUGUACGUACUCUCAAGAACUUGAGCAUUUCCACAAUCAUCAAGGUUUUAUCAACAUCCGUGUCAAGGGUGCUGACAACACAACGUACUACCACGAUGAAUACUGACGGACGAUGCAGAUGCAAGGGGGGAAUAACACUUUCUCAGAUUUCACCCUUAGCGAGGCCAAGGAAAUAAAAUCUGGAUGAUCGACCGAGAGACAUUUAGCACUCCGCUUCUAAUGUUCUCCUUGAUGUGCUAGUGUCUCCCAUUCAUAGAUAUGGUUUGAUAACUAGAACAUCAAGUAAAAGGUCGGACUUCGGGAGCAAUAGAAUCCAUAAGGAACAGUUACGGAGGUAAAUCCUACGAAAUCCUUAUGGGGAGGUGGCCAACUUCUUCAAUCAAGAUACUACAAUAAUACGUCUUUCGGCUGGGUGGUGCUGGCCACGACAUCCACUUUACCAGUUAUCGAGGAACCAAUAUUAUAGUUCUUGGGGAAAUGUUCCAACCAUCAUAUCUGCCUGAGAUUCAGAUCUGGUUGGUGUCAGGAUAUUCCAGACUCAUCGAGUCUAGGAAGAAAAAUGAAAGUUUGCAACACAAAUCGACGAGAUGACGUUGCGGGAUUCUCGGGAGAUGAACUACGAUAGCAAGCUCCAAAACAUGAGCUGGUUCUGCUACACACGUGUGAACACGAUGUCCUAGACAAGCAUGACCACAUGGUAGUCUUACAAUACAACACUACCGAGUUCAGGUUGGGAACCAUCAUCGAGGAUAUCGAAGUCCUUACAUAAGUCCGGAUUAGCUCUUAUGAAGGAACUCCUUCUCCUUGAACAAAUCAAUCAGUGGCUUGGUGUGCUACGGAACACAUAUAGAAUGGAGGUUGCAAGUCUCCGAACCACAGGAUACUUUCGCACGUAUGCAUGACUGAUUUGGGACGAUUCCAGAGGAAGCAAAACUAACUUUAUCAAAUUCACGGCGGCAACUUUCACCAAAUGCACGUGUAUAAGAGGAAGUCACUCCUUUCACCAAACAAGUACUUCAUGAGCUAGCAUGAAGAAAAUGCUUUCAAAAGUUUCCAACACUAGCUUAAUGCUCAGCAAAAUUAUGGAGAAGACAAGGAUGUUGUCAAUGGGCUCAACAACAAUUCAUCUGGGUUUCCUUUCAAAAGGAAUUCCAUAGUUAAGUGAACAAGUGAUAGCAUUGGUCAGACCCAAAAGAUAUAAUGGUGUAUGCUCGAGGGAUCAACCACGAGUAAGACAACAUUACGAGCAUCGUUGGUACUGAUUUGAUUUGACGAUAGCCCACACCCAAAUCAAAGGAUUGAUAAGACAAUAGGUCCAGCAACUGAUCACAGGGACCAAUCGAUGAAGAUAUCAUCUUUCUUCAACACACUCUACACAAGAAUAUCCCUUUGGAACGAACUAAGUUAGGCAAGCUUUUAUCUUCCAACUCUCCAAGUUGUUGUCUAGCUUAACCAACUAGCUCAGGGAUAUCUAGCACCGAUUCUUGGAGAGAAGGUGGUUCACAAGAAACCAACUUGAUCACGAGCUCAACAUAACAGUCAAGGAACAACCUGGUAAUACUUCCGAGAAGAUAUUCGGAAAAUCACGAACCACCGGUAUGUUACUAAGCUCGAGAACAAUCUCGCUUUUGAGGGCAAGACGAUAUGAUCAAAUGAGUGAGGACUUGAAAAGAUCCUAACUCAUCAAUCGAAGGGUGCACCGAAAUAAGGACUAGGUAGCACGAUCAGUCUUAGAAGGAUGAUUCAAAAACCAACACACUAAGAAUGAAAUUAUUGUCCUUUAACUACCAAGCAACGAGGUUGCUAGGAGUAUUGAUUCACACAUCACGAUUCACUUGUCGACAUUCCGGUUAUAACCACACGGAACCGAGGAAUGAGUAAUGAUGGCGAGAAGUAUCACUGUACCAAGAGUUCAUAGGAUGGUGUGCAAUUCCUAUAACAAUCCCGAUAUAAAAGAUGGUAAUACUCCAAGGUAGAACAGAGCAAAAGCUGGAUUAGCAAUUUGUUCUGCGGAGCACAACUUCUUUGACCCAAUCCUGGAUAUGGAAGAGGUACUGGAGUUUGUUUCUCCUAGUCAUUCCGGAAUAGAAUGGCUUGACGAACCACAAGAGUAAUAGGCAUCGAUAAACGAACGCACGCGUACUCUUGACUAUCAAUUGAUAGACGAGGGUCAGAAUGCAACUAAAGAGAACAACUCAAAGGAACAUAUAAUUUUCUGAGUUGUGGAUGCAUAGAUUAGUAUGUCGAGCAAGAUCAACAUUUCUUCCAGAUAACCCAUGCAGAGAGAUAGGACUGGCAGAGUCACAAUAUAGCAUGGAGAACUCAUCGAGAGCACUCUUGUUGUCAUCUUUUGGUUCAGAAGAACUCCUGCCAAGAAUGGUUCAUGGUAAUUGGAAGAAGGAUGUACCAUGAACCUCGAGGACUAUCGCAAAGGUUACUAAUAACCUAAAGGAACUAGCAAACACUAUCAACAUGAAGUAAGUAGAGUGAAUCUCGGGUUCAAGAACCCAGGAAUAGAAUACCUACUAUCUAAAUGGCAUCACGGGAUGCUUUCGAUAAUGACGGCCAGAAUCAUCACACUGGAAACACAGAUCAUGGCUAGACCACUAGAUGAUCCCCUAAGCACUUAAGGUCAUAACAAUAACUCCAACUUAAAUGUCAAGGCAAUAGAAUACCUCAACUCAACAAUUAGUGUGAUUGAGCUGGCAUAAAGGAACAUCGGAACGGGAGGAAGGGAUUUUGCAAAUGCUUCAGACUAUUUAGAAACCUGGGAUGACUCGGACAGCAUAACGGCUGUAAAUGCUCAAAAAGAUUUGAGACAAUCACAAAAAUGGUGGCAUAACCACUCAGAAGCACAACAUCAAGGUUUCGAGAUCAUCAGUUAACAUACAGAAGUAGUAGGAACUGAAACUUGGCUUAAGUCCAACAAUUCUAUAAGUCUACGGAUUAGUAACACGUGAUCCUGAUAGAAAGAAGAGAAAGCCUAGUUCCUUAACCCCGUAGAAAAGAUAAGAUGACUCAGAUCAGAAGGGCAUAAGGUAUAAGGAGUAAAAAGAGACUUACGUUCCAUCCCACAAUCAAUUCCCUUAUAUAAUUAAAGAAUUUCUAGACUCAACUUCGACCAGUUUGGCUUGGUAAUCCUACAGGCAGUCAAGCUCUGAUACCAACACUGUCAGGACCCCGACUCAAUGCCACAUCGAUCUAGCAUGUAACACCUCAUAUCACUUUGCGGCCUCACGCACGGUAUUCCCACGGGUGUCGCCUUACCUUUACCCGGGACCGUUUGCGCCUGUUGGCACACGUAUAUGACAGUGUCGCUAGCAUCCAUAUGAUAAGGAGCCCGGGCUGACAUGGCUAGUCGUAAACCCAAAGUGGCACAAACUUACAGGGACAGGCAUCCGUGACCCAGCAUCGAACGUGUCGGUCAUCAGCAAGUGAAUCCAGGCUGUAGCACUGGGCUAGCAGGACUCCGGUGAACCGGGCUGUAGCGGGCUAACAGGACUCCGGUAUUCAUCGCGUGACAUUUCCCCAAAGGGACAGACACAGGAACGAAGAAGGACACAUGCCGGCCAGCCUAAGUGUUUCGGAGCAGUAGCAAGCUACCAUGGCUCGGUGGAAACACUAGGAGACAUUUCCCGGUAAGAGAGGCUACUAAAGAUAAACAACUAGAUAGUCAGAUCCCACACAUACCAAGCAUUUCAAUAACAUACACACAAUAUGCUCGAUAUGUGCAAUACAACAUGGCAUCACAAAAUGACUCUACGACUCAAGUAGUUUAUCCAAUAGGCUCCGAGGAGCGAGAUAUUACAAACAUGGGUCUCAUGAUCCAACAUUCAGAGCAUACAAAUCAAAACACAAGCGGAAGCUAUCAUGUCUGAGUACAGACAUCUAUAAAUGAAAAAGGCUGAGAAGCCUGACUAUCUACCAGAUCCUGCCGAGGGCACAAGAUCGUAGCUGAGGUAACAAGCUAAACGUCGAAGUCCACGCGGAACUACUAGCGAGACCGAAGUCUCUCUGCAAAACAUAAAUUAAGCAACGUGAGUACAAAUGUACCCAGCAAGACUUACAUCAGAACUAACUACAUAUGCAUCAUUAUCAACAAAGGGGAUGGUGGGGUUUAACUGCAGCAAGCCAGCUUUGACUCGGUGGCUAUCCUGAACUUCGACUGCAAGUAACUCUUUUGAGGUGGCGCACACGAGUCCACAUAUUCACCAUAUCAAUACACCACUAUGGAUCCGCUCCCGUCUCCCUGCGAGAAUGCCAACCAUAGCACUCACGCUUAUCUUGCGUAUUUUAGAGUAUCCACUUUCACUUGUCUAUGAACUGAUAUAAGCAACCAAGAAGUCCUUUACCGCGGACACGGCUAUUCGAAUAGAUGAUGUUAACCCUGCAGGGGUGUACUUCUUCAUACAUGUUUCCACCACUUAGCGUCUGCACACGACAUGUGCUCGGCAGACUUCAAGCGAAAGCCGACGUGGGUGUAGACCACGACCUACCUAAACACUCAAGUCUCUAGUCCAGGUUUAUCGCCUAUUCGGGUUCCAUCCAUGAGGAGAUCCGGCAGGAUUUUCGCUCACAGCCCCAAACGAUGUGAACAGGGUUUCGUGACACCAAACGGGAGCCCGGUAUACCCGGCCACGUGCCUACCGCAUCACAGCCCACCCCUACGGUCAGCGCUGUCCACGGCCUCCAGCAUACUACAAGCACCAGAAACUACUUGCAACUCCUGGACAGAGGACAAGGGUGAAUAAGAAGUCGAGCGGGGUCAUAUUUCAGGGCCCAAUGUAUGGUAGUAGCUGAAUCAUGGAUCACAAACACAGAACUCAGUUCCUGAGGACGGCUUCAAUGAGACAACCCACCAUGUACUCCUACAUGGCCUCUCACCGAUACCUUUUACCAAAUCGUGUUCACACACUUAGCUCACACAUAGUAGGACAUGUUCACACACCUCUGAUUCAUCCCCGAUGAAUCAGACCUGACUCAACUCUAAGCAGUAGCAGGCAUGACAAACAAACAUGAAUGAGUAGGCACAACAGGGCUCAAACAACUCCUACUCAUACUAGUGGGUUUCAUCUAUUUACUGUGGAAUGACAGGUCAUGCAAAGGAUAAAGGGGUUCAGCUACCGCAGCAAGUAACAGAUGAAUCGUUGUUGUCCUAAUGCAGUAAAAGAGAGCAGGAGCGAGAGAGUGGGAUUGUAUCGGAAUGAACAAGGGGGUUUUGCUUGCCUGGCACUUCUGAAGAUAGCAUUGAGUCUUCAUCAGUGUCAAUGAUCACAUCAUCGGUAUCACGUCUAUCGAGAGGGGACAAAUACCGACAACACAGAAGGGAACACAAUCAAUGCAAUGCACAAUAUGAUGCAUGAUCAUGACAUGGCAAAAUGAAUGUGUUUUGGGCUAAUGCAUCUAGCAACAAGUUAAAUGGGGUUGGUUUGAAUACAAGAUUCAAAUUCAAACUCCAUAUGUGAUUAUUUAAAUGCCCUUUAUUGGUUUUGUCCAAAACAGAGGACAACCAUUGUUCAAACAUGCAUGAAAAUGGUACAGAUGGAUUCCUUGAAUUUUUCUGAUAAUUUUUCAUAUAUAAUUUAUUUAAUUUGGAGUUACGGUUAAUUUUCUAUGAUUUAUUGAAGUUUUAGCUAUUUUCUGAAAUUCCUGAAAUAAUAAUAAAUCCAGAAAUGAUUUAUGGCGUCAGCACCACGUCACGGUGAUGUCAGCAGGGUCAACUGGGCGCCCCAGGUCAAACCUAACGUGUGGGGGCCACACGUCAGUGACACAGGAGCUAAUCCCGGUCAAACCCAGCGCUGACUGGGGUUUGACCAGGGGUGGGGCCUACUGUCAGUGGCUGUAGGUGGUUUAGUUAGUUGGAUUAGCUCCUAAUGACGGAGCCACGUCAGCUAGUGACUCCGGCGACCACGGCGACGGCGAGACCUCACCGGAGUUGCUCGGGACGGCGCUACAGGGCACCGUUUUGCUCGGGGUUUGCGGCUACAGCGAGCUGGAAGACUCGCGCAUCCAGUGGUGGUGGCGGCAGCAACUGCGGUGGUCGGAAUCGACGGCGGCGACCAAAUCGGCGGCGGCCGGAGCUCGGGCAUCGCCUAAGACGAUGCUAUGGUGCAGCUACGGACGAACCGAUGGGAGUUUUUGGCUCCUGGGAACAUCUCGAGCCCGAGGGCGUGCUCAGACGCGAGCUAAGACAUCUGUGGCCACGGCGGUGCCAUGGCCGGCGGCGAGGAGCGCUCGGCAAGGUGGUUAGGGCGGUUAGGGGAGGCAAUCGAGCAUGGGGUUAGAGGGAAAAGGGUCGUGGCCUCACAGCGGUUGCAGGGGCCGUAGAAGCGGGCUCGGGGAAGCGAUGAUGGUGGCGAAUCGACGGCGAAGAUCCUCGGUGGCCGGAGAUGGGGAAGACGGCGUCGGCGGCGAUGCAGGGCGUCCGGCGGGGCAUGGGUUGGUGGAGAGGAAGAGGGGGUCGAGGCGGAGCCUCUGGGCGCAACGACGAGGCGAGCCAGUGGCUGUGGCCACGGCGACGCUCGUCGGCGGCGGUGGCUCCGUUCGGGUGAGAUGGAGAGAGAGCAGAGGAGAGGAUGGGGACGAGAGAGUGAGAGAUGGUUCCAGGAGGGGUGCGUGGCGUCGCUAGAGGGCUCGGGGAGGAAGCAGGAGGUGGCCAGGGAAGCAGGAGGUGGCCGAGGCAGCGUCGGCGCCCGUCGGCCACGCGCGCUGCCUACUGGCGCGGGGAAGACGACAGGAGGGGAGCCCCUGGUGGGCUGGGCCGGCUGGAGGAGCUAGGCCAGGUGGGCUGAGGUGAGCGCCAGGUAGUCCUCUGCUCUUUCUAUUUCUGUUUUUAUUUAUCUAUUUUGUUCUGUGUUGUUUUAGUUUAGUAAAAUACUAAACCAUUUUAUAAAAUCCUGAAAAUAGUUAUGUGGCUAGAGUUAAAAUAUACCAAACCACAUAAAAAUGUUCCAGUAUUAUUGGACAUAUAUUAUUUAUAUAUCAAAUAUAUAUCCAAUGCAAAUAGUGAUUGAAUUAAUUCAAAGGCCCCAAAAUAAUAACUCUGAGACACCAAAAAUAUUGUUUUGAGUUUUACCUCUUUGCAAUAUUUUCAAAGACUAAGAGGAACAUUUUCUUGGACUUCUUUGAGAGGAUUUUAAUGUUGAUCAUUUUUAGAAGGUUUCCGAGGCUUUGAAAAUCCCUCAAUUCAAAUUUCAUUUGAAUUAAAACAUGAUGCUCACAUGAGGUCUGGCGUAGUGCAUAACAGGACCAGGGAUGUGACAAUAUCUAUAAUUUUUGAUUGUUCCAUGCUAUUAUAUUAUCUGUUUUGGAUGUUUAAUGGGCUUUUUUAUAAACUUUUAUAUUAUUUUUGGGACUAACCUACUAACCUAAGGCCCAGUGCAAAUUGAUGUUUUUAGCCUAUUUCAGUGUUUCACAGAAAAGGAAUAUCAAACGGAAUCCAAACGGAAUGAAACCUUCGCGAGGAUCGUUUUUCAAACAAACGCAAUCCAGGAGACUUGGAAUGGACGUCAAGGAAGCCACGAGGUAGGAGGGCGCGCCCAGGGGAGUAGGCGCCCCCCACCCUUGUGGCCCCCUCAUAGCUCCACCGACCCACUUCCUUCACCUAUAUAUACUCAUAUACCCUGAAAACAUCCAGGAGCAACACGAAACCCUGUUUCCACCGCCGCAACCUUCUUUACCCGUGAGAUCCCAUCUUGGGGCCUUUUUCGGUGCUCCACCGGAGGGGGAAUCGAUCAUGGUGGGCUUCUACAUUAGCACCAUAACCUCUCUGAUGAUGUGUGAGUAGUUUACCACAGACCUCCGGGUCCAUAGUUAUUAGCUAGAUUGCUUCUUCUCUCUCUUUGGAUCUCAAUACAAAGUUCUCCUCGAUCUUCUAGGAGAUCUAUUUGAUGUAGUUCUUUCUGUGGUGUGUUUGUCGAGAUCCGAUGAAUUAUGGGUUUAUGAUCAAGAUUAUCUAUGAACAAUAUUUGAUUCUUCUAUGAGUUCUUAUAUGCAUGAUUUAAUAUCUUUGCAAGUCUCUUCGAAUUAUCAGUUUGGUUUGGCCUACUAGAUUGAUCUUUCUUGCAAUGGGAGAAGUGCUUAGCUUUGGGUUCAAUCUUGCGGUGUCCUUUCCCAGUGACAGUAGGGGCAGCAAGGCACGUAUUGUAUUGUUGCCAACGAGGAUAAAAAGAUGGGGUUUAUAUCAUAUUGCUUGAGUUUAUCCCUCUACAUCAUGUCAUCUUGCCUAAUGUGUUACUCUGUUCUUAUGAACUUAAUACUCUAGAUGCAUGCUGGAUAGCGGCUGAUGUGUGGAGUAAUAGUAGUAGAUGCAGACUCGUUUUGGUCUACUUGUCACGGACGUGAUGCCUAUGUUCAUCAUCAUGCCUAGAUAUUCUCAUAACUAUGUGCUUUUCUAUCAAUUGCUCGACAGUAAUUUGUUCAUCCAUCAUAGAAUCUGCUAUCUUGAGAGAAGCCACUAGUGCAACCUAUGGCCCCGGGUCUAUCUUCUAUCAUAUUAAUCUCCCGUCAACUAGUUAUUUCUAUCGCCGUUUAUUUCGCAAUCUUUACUUUUCAAUCUAUACAACAAAAAUACCAAAAAUAUUUAUCUUAUCAUCUUUAUCAGAUAUCACUUUUGCAAGUGGCCGUGAAGGGUUUGACAACCCCUUUAUCGCGUUGGUUGCAAGGUUCUUAAUUCUUUGUGCAGAUACUAGUGAUUUACGUGUAGUCUCCUACUGGAUUGAUACCUUGGUUCUCAAAAACUGAGGGAAAUACUUACGCUACUUUGUUGCAUCACCCUUUCCUCUUCAAGGGAAAACCAACGCAUGCUCAAGAGUUAGCAAGAAGGAUUUCUGGCGCCAUUGCCGGGAGGCUUACGCCAAGUCAAGUCAAGAUUUGAUCUCCCGCCGAUGUGUGAUUUCUGGCGCCGUUGCCGGGGAGAUCUACGCACAAGUCAAGACAUACCAAGUACGCUUCACAAAAUCUUAUCCCUCGCAUUAUGUUAUUUGCCAUUUGCCUCUUGUUUUCCUCUCCCCCACUUCACCUUUGCCGUUUUAUUCGCCCUUUUUCCAUUCGCGUCUUUUCGCUUGCUUCUUGUGUGCUUGUGUGUUGGAUUGUUUGCCAUGAUGGCACAAUACAUUACUAAAUUAUGUGACUUUUGCAAUACCAACAACAAUGAUUUUAUUAGCACUUUGAUUGCUCCUAUUACCGAUGCUGAAUCUUGUGGAAUUAAUGCUGCUUUGUUGAAUCUUGUCAUGAAAUAUCAAUUUUCUAGCCUUCCUAGUGAAGAUGCCGCUACUCAUCUAAAAAACUUCGUUGAUUUGUGCGAUAUGCAAAAGAAGAAAGAUAUGGAUAAUGAUAUUGUCAAAUUGAAGCUAUUUCCGUUUUCCCUUAGAGAUCGUGCUAAAACUUGGUUCUCUUCUUUGCCUAAAACUAGUAUUGAUUCUUGGAAUAAGUGCAAAGAUGCUUUUAUCUCUAAGUAUUCCUCCUGCUAAGAUCAUCUCUCUUAGAAACGAUAUUAUGAAUUUUAAGCAACUUGAUCAUGAGCAUGUUGCACAAGCUUGGGAGAGGAUGAAAUUAAUGAUACGUAAUUGCCCUACACAUGGUUUGAAUUUAUGGAAGGUUAUACAAAUUUUUUAUGCCGGAUUGAAUUUUGCUUCUAGAAAUAUUUUAGAUUAAGCUGCAGGAGGCACUUCUAUGGAAAUCACUUUAGGAGAAGCUACUAAACUCCUAGAUAAUAUUAUGGUUAAUUAUUCUCAAUGGCACACCAAAAGAUCUACUAGUAAAAAGGUUCAUGCGAUUGAAGAGAUUAAUGUUUUGAGUGGAAAGAUGGAUGAACUUAUGAAAUUGUUUUCUAAUAAGAGUGUUUCUUCUGAUCCUAAUGAUAUGCCUUUGUCCACUUUUAUUGAGAAUAAUAAUGAAUCUAUGGAUGUGAAUUUUGUUGGUCGGAAAUUUUUUGGUAACAACACGUGUAGAGGAAACUUUAAUUCUAGACCGUUCCCUAGUAAUUCCUCUAAUAAUUAUGGUAAUUCCUACAACAACUCUUAUGGAAAUUUUAAUAAGAUGCCCUCUUAUUUUGAGACUAGUGUUAAAGAAUUUCUGAUUUUGCAAAAGAAUUUCAAUGCUUUGCUUGAAGAAAAAUUGCCUAAGAUUGAUGAGUUGGCUAGGAACGUGGAUAGAAUUUCUCUUGAUGUUGAUUCUUUGAAACUUAGAUCUAUUCCAGCUAAGCAUGAUAUCAACGAGUCUCUCAAAGACAUGAGAAUUUCCAUUGAUGAGUGCAAAGAAAGAACCGCUGGGAUGCGUGCUAAAAAAGAUUGCUUUGUGAAAGCGUGUUCUUCUAGUUUUCAUGGUAAUAAUGAUGAAGAUCUAAAAGUGAUUGAUGUGUCUCCUAUUAAAUCUUUGUUUUCCAAUAUGAAUCUUGAUAAAUAUGGGACUGGAGAUGAGUCAACUUUAGUUAAAAGGCGUCCCAAUGAUUUGGAGUUUUUAGAUCUUGAUGCAAAAAUUGGUAAAAGUGGGAUUGAACAGGUCAAAACUUUACAUAGCAAUGAACCCACUAUUUUGGAUUUCAAGGAAUUUAAUUAUGAUAAUUGCUCUUUGAUAGAUUGUAUUUCCUUUUUGCAAUCCGUGCUAAAUUCUCCUCAUGCUUAUAGUCAAAAUAAAGCUUUUACCAAACAUAUCGUUGAUGCUUUAAUGCAAUCCUGUGAAGAAAAACUUGAAUUAGAAGUUUUUAUCCCUAGAAAACUUUAUGAUGAGUGGGAACCUACUAUUAAAAUUAAGAUUAAAGAUCAUGAAUGCUAUGCUUUGUGUGAUUUGGGUGCUAGUGUUUCCACGAUUCCAAAAACUUUGUGUGAUGUGUUAGGUUUCCGUGAAUUUGAUGAUUGCUCUUUAAAUUUGCAUCUUGCGGAUUCCACCAUUAAGAAACCUAUGGAAAGGAUUAAUGAUGUUCUUAUUGUUGCAAAUAGUAAUUAUGUGCCCGUAGAUUUCAUUGUUCUUGAUAUAGAUUGCAAUCCUACAUGUCCUAUUAUUCUUGGUAGACCUUUCCUUAGAACGAUUGGUGCAAUUAUUGAUAUGAAAGAAGGAAAUAUUAGAUUCCAAUUUCCUUUAAGGAAGGGCAUGGAACACUUUACUUGGAAGAAAAUUAAAUUACCUUAUGAAUCUAUUAUGAGAUCCACUCAUUGAUUGCAUACCGAAGAUGACAAUACCUAGAUCUAUUCUUGUUUUUAUGCCUAGCUAGGGGCGUUAAACGAUAGUGCUUGUUGGGAGGCAACCCAAUUUUAUUUUUGUUCCUUGCUUUUUGUUCCUGUUUAGUAAUAAAUAAUUCAUCUAGCCUCUGGUUAGAUUUGGUUUUAUGUUUUAAUUAGUGUUCGGGCCAAGUAAGACCUAUAGUAUCUUCUUGGAUGAUAAUUAUUUGAUCUUGCUGAAAAAGACAGAAACUUUAUGUUAACGAAAACAAUUUUUGUAAACACCAGAAAGUGAUAAAAUAAUGAUUCCAAUUGUAGUAGAUCAAUAAUCAAAUAAUAUAGGUAUUCCUAUGUUUGCAGAUUUUUAUGAGCUAUAUAAGUUUGCGUUUGAUACAGAUUACUACAGACUGUUCUGUUUUUGACAGAUUCUGUUUUUCGUGUGUUGUUUGCUUAUUUUGAUGAAUCUAUGGCUAGUAUUGGGGGGUAUUAACCAUAGAGAAGUUGGAAUACAGUAGGUUUAACACCAAUAGAAAUAAAUAAUGAGUUCAUUACAUUACCUUAAUGUGGUGGUUUGUUUUAUUUUGCUAAUGGAGCUCAUGAGAUUUUCUGUUGAGUUUUGUGUUGUGAAGUUUUCAAGUUUUUGGGUAAAGAUUGAUGGAUUUCGGAAUAAGGAGUGGCAAGAGCCUAGGCUUGGGGAUUCCCAAGGAACCCCAAGGUAAAAUUCAAGGACAACCAAAAGACUAAGUUUGGGGAUGCCCCGGAAGGCAUCCCCUCUUUCGUCUUCGUCAAUCGGUAACUUUACUUGAUGCUAUAUUUUUAUUCACCACAUGAUAUGUGUUUUGCUUGGAGCAUCUUGUAUGAUUUGAGCCUUUGAUUUUUAGUUUACCACAAUCAUCCUUUGCUGUACACACAUUUUAGAGAGACACACAUGAAUCGGAAUUUAUUAGAAUACUCUAUGUGCUUCACUUAUAUCUUUUGAGCUAGAUAAUUUUGCUCUAGUGCUUCACUUAUAUCUUUUAGAGCACGGUGGUGGUUCAUAUUAUAGAAAUUAUUGAUCUCUCAUUCUUCAAUUAUAUUAUUUUGAGAGUCUUUUAGAACAUCAUGGUAAUUUGCUUUGGUAAAUUUUUUUAUUAGUCCUAAUGUGAUGAGCAUCCAAGAUAGGUAUAAUAAAAACUAUCAUAUAAAGUGCAUUGAAUACUAUGAGAAGUUUGAUUCUUUAUGAUUGUUUUGAGAUAUGAACAUGGUGAUAUUUGAGUCAUGAUAGUUUAGUAGUUGUGAAUUUGAGAAAUACUUGUGUUAAAUUUUGUGAUUCCCGUAACAUGCACGUGUCGGCGUUCUAGGAACUGGGGUACCCAGACUUGCCUGCCUGCGGCCUGCGGUGUGGCUCAAGGAGUGGCCCAGUACGGCCCAUCUUCAUCAACACGUGCUCAAGACCCUCGCGAGGGGCCAAGCCUUGUGGGGCGGACGACAGGAGGCUUCCUCAGGCAUGGCCUCGUCAGGCUGGCUCGCGAGGAGGCGGAGAGAUCAAGGCGGGGUACCUCACGAGGUGCCCGUGACGCAAGCCAUGACGACCAGGGAGCAGGCGGGCGCCAGCCUGCGCAGAGUCCUUGUUUCCUCUUUGGUGCAAAGGGGGCAAGCGUAGGCAGGAGUAUCAAGCAAAGGCAACCAUUUCGGUGCAACAAGACCAAGACCAGCAGGACGGCAGAACGGAGGUCAUCGUGGAGCCCAAGCCAGCGUCAUCGUCAGGGUCUUUUGGCAGGCGAGGACCAACUUUAGUCAGGAUAAGUGUACUAGAUGUUCCCCUUCAAAUUGGCCAGUUGUUGGCGCCCUUCCCGCUCAAUAUUUGGGAAGAGGCCCAGGGCCUUCGCCUAUAAAUAGGACUAGCCACCCACAUGGUAGGGGCAUCUGGAUCAGAUUGGAUCCACACACAAGACAGAGGGAGAGAGAGGCGACUGAACUCUUGCUACGUCUCGAGCUUGCGUUGGUUUUCCCCGAAGAGGAGAGGCUGAUGCAACACAGUAGCGUAAGUAUUUCCCUCAGUUUUUGAGAACCAAGGUAUCAAUCCAGUAGGAGGUCACGCGCAAGUCCCUCGUACCUGCACAAAACGAUAGCUACUCGCAACCAACGCGAUUAGGGGUUGUCAAUGUUGGGGAACGUUGCAGAAAAUUAAAUUUUUUCCUACGGUUUCACCAAGAUCCAUCUAUGAGUUCAUCUAAGCAACGAGUCAAGGGAGAGAGUUUGCAUCUACAUACCACUUGUAGAUCACGAGCGGAAGCUUGCCAAGGGGAUGGUGAUGAUGGAGUCGUACUCGAACGUGAUUCGGAUCACCGAUGUCCUAGUGCUGAACGGACAUCACCUCCGCGUUCAACACACGUACGGGACGGGAGACGUCUCCUCCGUCUUGAUCCAGCAAGGAGGAAGGAGAGGUUGAGGAAGGCAGCUCCAACGGCAGCACGACGGCGUGGUGCAGUUGAUGCGGCAGUAUUCCGACAGGGCUUCGCCAAGCACGUACGGAGGAGGAGAGGUGUUGGGGAGGGGAGGGGCUGCGCCUUGACUUAUGGUGUAUUGCAGCCCUCCCCUCACCCCUCUAUAUAUAGGGGAAGGGGCAAGGGGGGCCGGCCCUCUAGGGAAAACCCUAGGGGGGGCGGCGGCCAAGGGGUGGGGGGCUUGCCCCCCAAGCAAGGGGGUGCGCCCCCUUUAGGGUUUCCCCCCCAACCCUAGGCGCAUGGGCCCAAGGGGGGGGCGCCAAGCCCACUAGGGGCUGGCUGCUAUCCCCACGCAGCCCAAGUGCCCCCCCGGGAGGGGUGGCCCCUCCCGGUGGACCCCCGGAACCCUUCCGGUGGUCCCGGUACAAUACCGGUAUGACCCCGAAACUUUCCGGUGCUCGUUUAACAACUUCCCAUAUAUAAAACUUUACCUCCGGACCAUUCCGGAACUCCUCGUGACGUCCGGGAUCUCAUCCAGGACUCCGAACAACAUUCGGUAGUCACAUACUAGUCUUCCUAACAACCCUAGCGUCACCGAACCUUAAGUGUGUAGACCCUACGGGCUCGGGAGACAUGCAGACAUGACCGAGACCACUCUCGGGCAAUAACCAACAGCGGGGUCUGGAUACCCAUGUUGGCUCCCACAUGCUCCUCGAUGAUUUCAUCGGUUGAACCACGAUGUCGAGGAUUCGAUCAAACCCCGUAUACAAUUCCCUUUGUCAAUCGGUACGUUACUUGCCCGAGACUCGAUCGUCGGUAUCCCAAUACCUUGUUCAGUCUCGUUACCGGCAAGUCACUUUACUCGUACUGUAAUGCAUGAUCCUGUGGCCAACACCUUGGUCACCUUGAGCUCAUUAUGAUGAUGCAUUACCGAGUGGGCCCAGAGAUACCUCUCCGUCAUACGGAGUGACAAAUCCCAGUCUCGAUCCACAUAAAACAAUAGAUACUUUCGGAGAUACCUGUAGUGCACCUUUAUAGUCACCCAGUUACGUUGUGACGUUUGAUACACCCAAAGCACUCCUACGGUAUCCAGGAGUUACACGCUCUCAUGGUCAAAGGAAGAGAUACUUGACAUUGGCAAAGCUCUAGCAAACGAACUACACGAUCUUUGUGCUAUGCUUAGGAUUGGGUCUUGUCCAUCACAUCAUUCUCCUAAUGAUGUGAUCCCGUUAUCAACAACAUCUAAUGUCCAUAGCCAGGAAACCAUGACUAUCUGUUGAUCACAACGAGCUAGUCAACUAGAGGCUCACUAGGGACAUAUUGUGGUCUUUGUAUCCACACGUGUAUUACGAUUUCCGGAUAAUACAAUUAUAGCAUGAAUAAAAGACAAUUAUCAUGAACAUUGAAAUAUAAUAAUACUUUUAUUAUUGCCUCUAGGGCAUAUUUCCAACAGUCUCCCACUUGCACUAGAGUCACCAAUCUAGUUACAUUGUGAUGAAUCGAACACCCAUAGAGUUCUGGUGUUGAUCAUGUUUUGCUCGCGAGAGAGGUUUAGUCAAUGGAUCUGCGACAUUCAGAUCCGUAUGUACUUUGCAAAUUUCUAUGUCUCCAUCUUGAACAUUUUCACGGAUGGAGUUGAAACGACGCUUGAUGUGCCUGGUCUUCUUGUGAAACCUGGGCUCCUUGGCAAGGGCAAUGGCUCCAGUGUUGUCACAGAAGAGUUUGAUUGGCCCCGACGCAUUGGGUAUGACUCCUAGGUCGGUGAUGAACUCCUUCACCCAAAUCGCUUCAUGCGCUGCCUCCGAGGCUGCCAUGUACUCCGCUUCACAUGUAGAUCCCGCCACAACGCUCUGCUUGCAGCUGCACCAGCUAACUGUUCCACCAUUCAACAUAUACACGUAUCCGGUUUGUGACUUAGAGUCAUCCGGAUCUGAGUCGAAGCUAGCGUCGACGUAACCCUUUACGAUGAGCUCUUCGUCACCUCCAUAAACGAGAAACAUGUCCUUUGUCCUUUUCAGGUACUUCAGGAUAUUCUUGACCGCUGUCCAGUGUUCCUUGCCGGGAUUACUCUGGUAUCUUGCUACCAAACUUACGGCAAGGUUUACAUCUGGUCUAGUACACAGCAUGGCAUACAUAAUAGAUCCUAUGGCUGAAGCAUAGGGGAUGACACUCAUCUCUUCUUUAUCUUUUGCCGUGGUCGGUGACUGAGCUGAGCUCAAUCUCACACCUUGUAACAUAGGCAAGAACCCUUUCUUGGACUCAUCCAUUUUGAACUUUUUCAAAAUCUUAUCAAGGUAUGUGCUUUGUGAAAGACCUAUGAGGCAUCUCAAUCUAUCUCUAUAGAUCUUGAUGCCUAAUAUAUAAGCAGCUUCUCCAAGGUCCUUCAUUGAAAAACAUUUGUUCAAGUAGGCCUUAAUGCUGUCCAGAAAUUCUAUAUUAUUUCCCAUCAAGAGUAUGUCAUCCACAUAUAAUAUGAGAAAUGCUACAGAGCUCCCACUCACUUUCUUGUAAACGCAGGCUUCUCCAUAAGUCUGCAUAAACCCAAACGCUUUGAUCAUCUCAUCAAAGCGAAUAUUCCAACUCCGAGAUGCUUGCACCAGCCCAUAAAUGGAUCGCUGGAGCUUGCAUACUUUGUUAGCGUUCUUAGGAUCGACAAAACCUUCCGGCUUCAUCAUAUACAGCUCUUCCUUAAGAUGCCCGUUAAGGAAUGCCGUUUUGACGUCCAUCUGCCAUAUCUCAUAAUCAUAGUAUGCGGCAAUUGCUAACAUGAUUCGGACGGACUUAAGCUUCACUAUGGGAGAGAAUGUCUCAUCGUAGUCAAUCCCUUGAACUUGUCGAUAACUCUUAGCGACAAGUCGAGCUUUAUAGAUGGUGACAUUACCAUCCGCGUCCGUCUUCUUCUUAAAGAUCCAUUUGUUUUCUAUCGCUCGCCGAUCAUCGGGCAAGUCAGUCAAAGUCCAUACUUUGUUUUCAUACAUGGAUUCUAUCUCGGAUUUCAUGGCUUCUAGCCAUUUGUUGGAAUCUGGGCCCGCCAUCGCUUCUUCAUAGUUCGAAGGUUCACCGUUGUCUAACAACAUGAUUUCCAGGACAGGGUUGCCGUACCACUCUGGUGCGGAACGUGUCCUUGUGGACCUACGAAGUUCAGUAGCAACUUGAUCCGAAGUACCUUGAUCAUCAUCAUUGGUUUCCUCUUCAGUUGGUGUGGGCAUCACAGGAACAUUUUCCUGAGCUGCACCACUUUCCCGUUCGAGAGGUAGUACUUCAUCGAGUUCUACUUUCCUCCCACUUACUUCUUUCGAGAGAAACUCUUUUUCCAGAAAGCAUCCGUUUUUGGCAACAAAGAUCUUGCCUUCGGAUCUUAAGUAGAAGGUAUACCCUAUAGUUUCCUUAGGGUAUCCUAUGAAGAUGCAUUUUUCCGACUUGGGUUCGAGCUUUUCAGGUUGAAGUUUCUUGACAUAAGCAUCGCAUCCCCAAACUUUUAGAAACGAUAGCUUAGGUUUCUUCCCAAACCAUAAUUCAUACGGUGUCGUCUCAACGGAUUUAGACGGUGCCCUAUUUAAAGUGAAUGUAGUUGUCUCUAGAGCGUAUCCCCAAAAUGAUAGCGGUAAAUCGGUAAGAGACAUCAUAGACCGCACCAUAUCCAAUAGAGUGCGAUUACGACGUUCGGACACAAUGUUUCGCUGAGGUGUUCCAGGCGGCGUGAGUUGUGAAAUGAUUCCACAUUUCCUUAAGUGUGUGCCAAAUUCGUGACUUAAAUAUUCUCCUUCAUGAUCUGAUCGUAGGAACUUUAUCUUUCGGUCACGUUGAUUCUCCACCUCAGUCUGAAAUUCCUUGAACUUUUCAAAGGUCUCAGACUUGUGUUUCAUUAAGUAGACAUACCCAUAUCUACUUAAGUCAUCAGUGAGAGUGAGAACAUAACGAUAUCCUCCGCGAGCCUCAACGCUCAUUGGACCGCACACAUCGGUAUGUAUGAUUUCCAACAAGUUGGUUGCUCGCUCCAUUGUUCUGGAGAACGAAGUCUUGGUCAUUUUUCCCAUGAGGCAUGGUUCGCAUGUGUCAAAUGAUUCAUAAUCAAGAGACUCCAAAAGUCCAUCGGCAUGGAGCUUCUUCAUGCGCUUCACACCAAUGUGACCAAGGCGGCAGUGCCACAAGUAUGUGGGACUAUCGUUAUCAACUUUACAUCUUUUGGCAUCUACACUAUGAACAUGUGUAAUAUUACGCUCGAGAUUCAUUAAGAAUAAACCAUUGACCAUCGGAGCAUGACCAUAAAACAUAUCUCUCAUAUAAAUCGAACAACCAUUAUUCUCAGUCUUAAAUGAGUAGCCAUCUCGUAUUAAACGAGAUCCAGAUACAAUGUUCAUGCUCAAACUUGGCACUAAAUAACAAUUAUUAAGGUUCAAAACUAAUCCCGUAGGUAAAUGUAGAGGCAGCGUGCCGACGGCGAUCACAUCGACUCUGGAACCAUUCCCGACGCGCAUCGUCACCUUGUCCUUCGCCAGUCUCCGUUUAUUCCGCAGCUCCUGCUGUGAGUUACAAAUAUGAGUAACGGCACCGGUAUCAAAUACCCAGGAGUUACUACGAGUACUGGUAAGGUACACAUCAAUUACAUGUAUAUCAAAUAUACCUUUGGUGUUGCCGGCCUUCUUAUCUGCUAAGUAUUUGGGGCAGUUCCGCUUCUAGUGACCCUUCCCCUUGCAAUAAAAGCACUCAGUCUCAGGCUUGGGUCCAUUCUUUGACUUCUUCCCGGUAACUGGCUUACCAGGCGCGGCAACCUCCUUGCCGUCCUUCUUGAAGUUCUUCUUACCCUUGCCCUUCUUGAACUUAGUGGUCUUAUUGACCAUCAACACUUGAUGUUCUUUCUUGAUUUCAGCCUCUGCUGACUUCAGCAUUGAGAACACUUCAGGAAUGGUCUUUUCCAUCCCCUGCAUGUUGUAGUUCAUCACAAAGCUCUUGUAGCUUGGUGGGAGCGACUGGAGGAUUCUGUCAAUGACUGCCUCAUCUGGGAGGUUAAUGUUCAGCUGGGUCAUACAGUUGUGCAACCCAGACAUCUUCAGGAUGUGCUCACUGACACAACUGUUUUCCUCCAUCUUAGAACUGUAGAACUUGUCGGAGACAUCAUAUCUCUCGACCCGGGCAUGAGCUUGGAAAACUAGUUUCAGCUCUUCGAACAUCUCAUAUGCUCCGUGAUGCUCAAAACGCUUUUGGAGCCCUGGUUCUAAGCUGUAAAGCAUGCCGCACUGAACGAGGGAGUAAUCAUCAGCACGAGACUGCCAAGCGUUCAUAACGUCUUGGUUCUCUGGGACGGGAGCAUCACUUAGCGGUCCUUCUAGGACAUAUUGUUUCCUGGCAGCUAUGAGGAUGAUCCUCAGGUUCCGGACCCAGUCCGUAUAGUUGCUGCCAUCAUCUUUCAUCUUGGUUUUCUCUAGGAACGCGUUGAAGUUCAUGUUGACAUGAGCGUUGGCCAUUUGAUCUACAAGACAUAUUUGCAAAGGUUUUAGACUAAGUUCAUGAUAAUUAAGUUCAUCUAAUCAAAUUAUUACAAUGAACUCCCACUCAGAUUAGACAUCCCUCUAGUCAUCUAAGUGUUACACGAUCCGAGUCGACUAGGCCGUGUCCGGUCAUCACGUGAGACGGACUAGUCAUCGUCGGUGAACAUCUUCAUGUUGAUCGUAUCUUCCAUAUGACUCGUGUUCGACCUUUCGGUCUCUGUGUUCCGAGGCCAUGUCUGUACAUGCUAGGCUCGUCAAGUUAACCCUAAGUGUUUUUGCAUGUGUAAAAUUGUCUUACACCCGUUGUAUGUGAACGUAAGGAUCUAUCACACCCGAUCAUCACAUGGUGCUUCGAAACGACGAACUUUAGCAACGGUGCACAGUUAGGGGAGAACACUUCCUGAAAUUGUUGUAAGGGAUCAUCUUAUUUACUACCAUCGUUCUAAGUAAACAAGAUGCAUAAACAUAAUAAACAUCACAUGCAAUUAUAUAGUAGUGACAUGAUAUGGCCAAUAUCAUAUAGCUCCAUUGAUCUUCAUCUUCGGGGCUCCAUGAUCAUCUUGUCACCGGCAUGACACCAUGAUCUCCAUCAUCAUGAUCUCCAUCAUCGUGUCUUCAUGAAGUUGUCACGCCAAUGACUACUUCUACUUCUAUGGCUAACGCGUUUAGCAAUAAAGUAAAGUAAUUUACAUGGCGUUCUUCAAUGACACGCAGGUCAUACAAAAAAUAAAGACAACUCCUAUGGCUCCUGCCGGUUGUCAUACUCAUCGACAUGCAAGUCGUGAAUCCUAUUACAAGAACAUGAUCUCAUACAUCACAAUUCAUCAUUCAUCACAACUUCUGGCCAUAUCACAUCACAUGAUCAAUCGCUGCAAAAACAAGUUAGACGUCCUCUAAUUGUUGUUGCAUCUUUUACGUGGCUGCAAUUGGGUUCUAGCAAGAACGUUUUCUUACCUACGAAUAACCACAACGUGAUUUUGUCAACUUCUAUUUACCCUUCAUAAGGGCCCUUUUCAUCGAAUCCGCUCCAACUAAAGUGGGAGAGACAGACACCCGCUAGCCACCUUAUGCAACUAGUGCAUGUUAAUCGGUGGAACCGGUCUCACGUAAGCGUACGUGUAAGGUUGGUCCGGGCCGCUUCAUCCCACAAUACCGCUGAAGCAAGAAUAGACUAGUAGAGGCAAGCAAGUUGACAAGAUCCACGCCCACAACAAAAUUGUGUUCUCAUCGUGCAAAGAGAACUACGCAUAGACCUAGCUCAUGAUGCCACUGUUGGGGAACGUUGCAGAAAAUUAAAAUUUUUCCUACGGUUUCACCAAGAUCCAUCUAUGAGUUCAUCUAAGCAACGAGUCAAGGGAGAGAGUUUGCAUCUACAUACCACUUGUAGAUCACGAGCGCAAGCUUGCCAAGGGGAUGGUGAUGAUGGAGUCGUACUCGAACGUGAUUCGGAUCACCGAUGUCCUAGUGCUGAACGGACAGCACCUCCGCGUUCAACACACGUACGGGACGGGAGACGUCUCCUCCGUCUUGAUCCAGCACGGAGGAAGGAGAGGUUGAGGAAGGCAGCUCCAACGGCAGCACGACGGUGUGGUGCAGUUGAUGCGGCAGUAUUCCGACAGGGCUUCGCCAAGCACGUACGGAGGAGGAGAGGUGUUGGGGAGGGGAGGGGCUGCGCCUUGACUUAUGGUGUAUUGCAGCCCUCCCCUCACCCCUCUAUAUAUAGGGGAAGGGGCAAGGGGGGCCGGCCCUCUAGGGAAAACCCUAGGGGGGGCGGCGGCCAAGGGGUGGGGGGCUUGCCCCCCAAGCAAGGGGGUGCGCCCCCUUUAGGGUUUCCCCCCCAACCCUAGGCGCAUGGGCCCAAGGGGGGGGGGGCGCCAAGCCCACUAGGGGCUGGCUGCUAUCCCCACGCAGCCCAAGUGGCCCCCCGGGAGGGGUGGCCCCUCCCGUUGGACCCCCGGAACCCUUCCGGUGGUCCCGGUACAAUACCGGUAUGACCCCGAAACUUUCCGGUGCCCGUUUAACAACUUCCCAUAUAUAAAACUUUACCUCCGGACCAUUCCGGAACUCCUCGUGACGUCUGGGAUCUCAUCCGGGACUCCGAACAACAUUCGGUAGUCACAUACUAGUCUUCCUAACAACCCUAGCGUCACCGAACCUUAAGUGUGUAGACCCUACGGGCUCGGGAGACAUGCAGACAGGACCGAGACCACUCUCGGGCAAUAACCAACAGCGGGGUCUGGAUACCCAUGUUGGCUCCCACAUGCUCCUCGAUGAUUUCAUCAGUUGAACCACGAUGUCGAGGAUUCGAUCAAACCCCAUAUACAAUUCCCUUUGUCAAUCGGUACGUUACUUGCCCGAGACUCGAUCAUCGGUAUCCCAAUACCUUGUUCAGUCUCGUUACCGGCAAGUCACUUUACUCGUACCGUAAUGCAUGAUCCCGUGGCCAACACCUUGGUCACCUUGAGCUCAUUCUGAUGAUGCAUUCCCGAGUGGGCCCAGAGAUACCUCUCCAUCAUACGGAGUGACAAAUCCCAGUCUCGAUCCGCAUAAAACAAUAGAUACUUUCGGAGAUACCUGUAGUGCAGCUUUAUAGUCACCCAGUUACGUUGUGACGUUUGAUACACCCAAAGCACUCCUACGGUAUCCAGGAGUUACACGCUCUCAUGGUCAAAGGAAGAGAUACUUGACAUUGGCAAAGCUCUAGCAAAUGAACUACACGAUCUUUGUGCUAUGCUUAGGAUUGGGUCUUGUCCAUCACAUCAUUCUCCUAAUGAUGUGAUCCCGUUAUCAACGACAUCUAAUGUCCAUAGCCAGGAAACCAUGACUAUCUGUUGAUCACAACGAGCUAGUCAACUAGAGGCUCACUAGGGACAUAUUGUGGUCGUUGUAUCCACACGUGUAUUACGAUUUCCGGAUAAUACAGUUAUAGCAUGAAUAAAAGACAAUUAUCAUGAACAUUGAAAUAUAAUAAUACUUUUAUUAUUGCCUCUAGGGCAUAUUUCCAAUAGUCAAUCCCUUCACGGUCACUUACGAGAGUGAGAUCUGAUAGAGAUAAUAUUUUUGGUAUUUUUGGUAUAAAGAUGCAAAGUAGAAAGUAAAGGCAAAGCAAGUAAAUAAAGUGAUGGAGAUUGAUAUGGUGAGAAUAGACCCGGGGGCCAUAGGUUUCACUAGUGGCUUCUCUCAAGAGCAUAAGUAUUCUAUGGUGGGUGAACAAAUUACCGUUGAGAAAUUGUUAGAAUUGAGCAUAGUUAUGAGGUUAUCUAGGUAUGAUCAUGUAUAUAGGCAUCACGUCCGAAACAAGUAGACCUAAACGAUUCUGCAUCUACUACUAUUACUCCACUCAUCGACCGCUAUCUAGCAUGCAUCUAGAGUAUUAAGUUAAAAACAGAGUAACGCCUUAAGCAAGAUGACAUGAUGUAGAGGAAUAAAUUCAUGCAAUAUGAUAAAUACCCCAUCUUGUUAUCCUCGAUGGCAACAAUACAAUAUGUGCCUUGCAACCCUUUCUGUCACUGGGUAAGGACACCACAAGAUUGAACCCAAAGCCAUGCACUUCUCCCAUUGCAAGAACUACCAAUCUAGUUGGCCAAACCAAAUGGAUAAUUCGAAGAGACCUGCAAAGAUAACUCAAUCAUACAUAAAAGAAUUCAGAGAAGAUUCAAAUAUUAUUCAUAGAUAAGUUGGAUCAUAAACCCACAAUUCAUCGGUCUCAACAAACACACCGCAAAAAAGAAGAUUACAUCGAAUAUAUCUCCACAAGAGAGGGGGAGAACAUUGUAUUGAGAUCCAAAAAGAGAGAAGAAGCCAUCUAGCUACUAGCUAUGGACCCGAAGGUCUGAAGUAAACUACUCACACUUCAUCGGAGGGGCUAUGGUGUUGAUGUAGAAGCCCUCCAUGGUAGAUGCCCUCUCCGGCGGAGCUCCGGAACAGGCCCCAAGAUGGGAUCUCGUGGAUACAGGAAGUUGCGAUGGUGGAAUUAGGUUUUUAGCUCCGUCUCUGGUCUGUUGGGGGUACAUAGGUAUAUAUAGGAGGAAGGAGUACGUUGGUGGAGCGUCAGGGGGCCCACGAGGUAGGGGGCGCACCCAGGGGGCGCCCUCCACCGUCGUGACCGCCUUUGGCGCUUCUUGGAGUAGGGUCCAUGUCUCCUGGAUCACGUUCGGUGAGAAGAUCAUGUUCCCGAAGGUUUCAUUCCAUUUGGACUCCGUUUGAUAUUCUGUUUCUUUGAAAUAGGGGGGCGCGCCCAGGGGGGCGCCCUCCACCGUCGUGACCGCCUCUGGCGCUUCUUGGAGUAGGGUCCAAGUCUCCUGGAUCACGUUCGGUGAGAAGAUCAUGUUCCCGAAGGUUUCAUUCCAUUUGGACUCCGUUUGAUAUUCUGUUUCUUUGAAAUACUAAAAAAGGCAAAAAACAACAAUUCUGGGCUGGGCCUCAAGUUAAUAGGUUAGUCCCAAAAAUAAUAUAAAAGUGGAAAAUAAAACCCAUUAUAGUCCAAAAUAAUAGAUAAAGUAGCAUGGAGCAAUCAAAAAUUAUAGAUACGUUGGAGACGUAUCAGGUAUCCCCAAGCUUAAUUCCUGCUCGUCCUCAAGUAGGUAAAUGAUAAAAAGAGAAUUUUUGAUGCGGAGUGAUACUUUGGCAUAAUUUCAAUGUAAAUCUUCUUAAUCAUGGUAUGUAUAUUCAGAUCUGAAAGAUUCAAGACAAAAGUUCAUAUUGACAUAGAAAUAAUAAUACUUCAAGCAUACUAAUCAAAGUAAUCAUGUCUUCUCAAAAUAGCAUGGCAAAAGAAAGUUCAUCCCUACAAAAUCAUAUAGUUAGGCUAUGCUUCAUUUUUUCACACAAAGAUGUUCCCAACUUCUAUACCCCUGAUGACAAGCCAAGCAAUUGUUUCAUACUUAAAUAAUCUCAAACAUUCAACCUUCACGCAAUACAUGAGCGUGAGCCAUGGAUAUAGCACUAUGGGUGGAAUAGAAUAUGAUGAUGGGGAUUGUGUGGAGAAGACAAAAAAGGAGAAAGUCUCACAUCAAUGAGGCUAAUCAAUGAGCUAUGGAGAUGCCCAUCGAUUGAUGUUAAUGCAAGGAGUAGGGAUUGCCAUGCAACAGAUGCACUAGAGCUAUGAAUGCUCAACAAAAGAAAACUAGUGGGUGUGCAUCCAACUUGCUUGCUCAUGAAGACCUAGGGCAUUUUGAGGAAGCCCAUCGUAGGAAUAUACAAGCCAAGUUCUAUAAUGAAAAAUUCCCACAUGUAUGAACAAGAAAACUUAUGAGACUCACUAUAUGAAAAACAUGGUGCUACUUUGAAGCACAAUAUAUGAGACUCACUACAUGAAGAACAAGGUGCUACUUUGAAGCACAAGUGUGGAAAAAGAGAUAGUAGCAUUGCCCUUUUUAUAUUUUUUUUGGGCCUUUCUUUUUUCUUUUUGGCCUUUCUCUUUUUUUGGGCAAUGCUCUAAUAAUGAUGAUCAUCACACUUCUAUUGAUUACAACAUAAGGAUUACAACUCGAUACUAGAACAAGAUAUGACUCUAUAUAAAUGCCUCUGGCGGUGUACCGGGAUGGUGCAAUGAAUCAAGAGUGACAUGUAUGCAAAAUAAUGCAUGGUGGCUUUGCCACAAAUAUGAUGUCAACUACAUGAUGAUGCAAUGGCAAUAUGACAAAAGUAAAGUAUGUCAUGAUGAUGAUGAACGGAACGGUGGAAAGUUGCAUGGCAAUAUAUCUCGGAAUGGCUAUGUAAAUGCCAUAAUAGGUAGGUAUGGUGGCUGUUUUGAGGAAGAUAUAGGGAGGUUUUUGUGUGAAAGAGCGUAUCAUAUCACGGGGUUUGGAUGCACCGUCGAAGUUUGCACCAACUCUCAAAGUGAGAAAGGGCAAUGCACGGUACCAAAGAGGCUAGCAAAGGCGGAAAGGUAAAAGUGCGUAUAAUCCAUGGACUCAACAUUAGUCAAAAGAACUCAUAUACUUAUUGCAAAAAUUUAGAAGUCAUCAAAAAUCAAGUACUACACGCAUGCUCCUAGGGGAAUAGAUUGGUAGGAAAGGACCAUCGCUCGUCCCCGUCCGCCACUCAUAAGGAUGCACAAGCCAGGUACACUUCAUGUUUCAAAUUUGUUACACAACUUUAACCAUACGUGCAUGCUACGGGAUUUGCUAACUUCAACACAAGCAUUUCUCAAAUUCACAACUAUUCAACUAGCACGACUUUGAUAUUAUCACCUCCAUAUCUCAAAACAAUUAUCAAGCAUCAAACUUAUCUUAGUAUUCAACGCACUCAAAAGAAAGUUUCACAUAUCUUGAAUACCAAGUAUAUUAACAUUAAGCAAAUUACCAUGCUAUUAACGACUCUCAAAAUAAUCUAAGUGAAGCAUGAGAGAUCAAGUUUCUUUAAAACAAAUCCACCACCGUGCUCUAAAAGAUCUAAGUGAAGCACUAGAGCAAAAAUUAUCACGCUCAAAAGGACAUAAGUGAAGCACUAUGAGCAAAACUAUCCAACUCAAAAGAUAUAAGUGAAGCACAUAGUGUAUUCUAACAAAUUUCAAUUCAUGUAUGGCUCUCUCAAAAGGUGUGUACAGCAAGGAUGAUUUUGGUAAACUAACAAGCAAAGACACAAAUAAUACAAGACACUCCAAGCAAAACACAUAUCAUGUUGGUGAAUAAAAAUAUAGCUCCAAGUAAAUUACCGAUGGAAGCGGACGAAAGAGGGGAUGCCUUCCGGGGCAUCCCCAAGCUUUGACUUUUUGGUGUCCUUGGAUUAUAUUGGGGGUGCCAUGGGCAUCCCCAAGCUUAGGCUCUUGCCACUCCUUGUUCCAUAAUCCAUCAAAAUAAUUCACCCAAAACUUCAAAACUUCACAACACAAAACUCAAUAGAAAUCUCGUGAGCUCCGUUAGAGAAAGAAAACAAAAGACUACUUUAAAGUACUGUAAUGAACUCAUUAUUUAUUUAUAUUGGUGUUAAACCUACUGUAUUUCAACUUCUCUAUGGAUCAUAAACUAUUUUACUAGCCAUAGAUUCAUCAAAAUAAGCAAACAACACACGCAAAACAGAAUCUGUCAAAAACAGAACAGUCUGUAGUAAUCUGUAACUAACGCAAACUUAUGGAACUCUAAAAAUUCUACCAACAUAGGGAGUCCUGGAAAAUUUGUUUAUUGAUCAGCAGAAAAAAGAAUCAACGCAAAAGCACGUUCCUGUGAUUUAUCAUAACUAAAUUCGUGCACGCAAAGUUUCUGUUUUUCAGCAGAAUCAAAUCAACUAUCAUCAUAGGUUAUCCUAUAGGUUCUACUUGGCACAAACACUAAUUAAAACAUAAAACCACAUCCAAACAGAAGGUAGAUGGAUUAUUUAUUCCUAAACAGAAACAAAAACAAAAAACACAAAAUAAAAUUGGGUUGCCUCCCAACAAGCGCUAUCGUUUAACGCCCCUAGCUAGGCAUAAAAGCAAGGAUAGAUCUAGGUAUUGUCAUCUUUGGUAGGCAAUCCAUAAGUGGCUCUCAUGAUAGAUUCAUAUGGUAAUUUUAUUUUAUUUCUAGGGAAGUGUUCCAUGCCUUUCUUUAAAGGAAAUUGGAAUCUAAUAUUCCCUUCCUUCAUAUCAAUAAUUGCACCAAUCGUUCUAAGGAAAGGUCUACCAAGAAUAAUAGGACAUGAAGGAUUGCAAUCUAUAUCAAGAACGAUAAAAUCUACGGGCACAUAACUCCUAUUUGCAACAAUGAGCACAUCAUUAAUUAUUACCAUAGGUUUUUUAAUAGUGGAAUCCGCAAGAUGCAAGUUUAGAGAGCAAUCAUCAAAAUCACGGAAAUCUAGCAAAUCGCAUAAAGUUUUGGGAAUAGUAGAGACACUAGCACCCAAAUCACACAAAGCAUGAAACUCAUAAUUUUUAAUUUUAAUUUUAAUGGUAGGUUCCCACUCAUCAUUGAGUUUCCUAGGGAUAGAGACUUUCAACUCAAGCCUUUCUUCAUAAGAUUGCAUCAAAGAAUCAACAAUGUGUUCGGUAAAAGCCUUAUUUUGACUAUAAGCAUGAGGAGAAUUUAGCACGGAUUGCAACAAGGAAAUACAAUCAAUCAAAGAGCAAUUUUCAUAAUUAAAUUCCUUGAGAUCCAAAAUAGUGGGUUUAGCAAUAUCUUGAUUUUUAUUUCUUUCAAUCCCACUUUUAUCAAUUUCAUCAUCAAGAUCCAAAACCUCAGAAUUCUUAGAACGCCUUCUAGGUAAAGGAAGAUCAUAUUCAGUUUCAUCAAGAUUCAUAUUGCAAAACAAAGAUUUGAUAGGGGACACAUCAAUAACUUUUAGAUCUUCAUCUUGAUUUUCAUAGGAAUUAGAAGAACACACUUUAAUAAAGGCAUCUUUGGAAGCACGCAUCCUAGCGGUUCUUUCUUUGCACUCAUCAAUGGAAAUUCUCAUGGCUUUAAGAGACUCAUUGAUAUCAUGCUUAAGAGGAAUAGAUCUAAGCUUUAAAGAAUCAAUCUCGAGAGAAAUUCUGUCAAUGUUCCUAGCCAAAUCAUCAACUUUAAGCAAUUUCUCUUCAAGCAAAGCAUUAUAAUUCUUUCAUGAAUUCAUAAACUCUUUAACACUACUCUCAAAUUCAGAGGGCAUCUUAUUAAAAUUUCCAUAAGAGUUGUUGUAGGAAUUUCCAUAAUUAUUAGAAGGAUUACUAGGAUAAGGCCUAGAAUUAAAAAUCCCUCUAUACGCGUUGUUACCAAAACUAUUCCUACCAAUAAAAUGCACAUCCAUAGAUUCAUUAUUCUCAAGCAAAGUAGAUAAAGGCAUAUUAUUGGGAUUAGAAGAAACACUCUUAGCAAAUAAAUUCCUAAGUUCAUCCAUCUUUUCACUCAAAACAUUGAUUUCUUCUAUAGCAUGCACCUUUUUAUUAGUAGAUCUUUUAGUAUGCCAUUGAGAAUAAUUAACCAUAAUAUUAUAUAGGAGUUUAGUAGCAUCUCCUAAAGUGAUUUCCAUAAAAGUGCCUCCCGCGGCCGAAUCUAAAAGAUUUCUAGAAGCAAAAUUCAAUCCAGCAUAAAAAUUUUGUAUAAUCAUCCACAAGUUCAAACCAUGAGUAGGACAAUUACGUAGCAUUAAUUUCAUUCUCUCCCAAGCUUGUGCAACAUGUUCAUGAUCAAGUUGCUUAAAAUUCAUAAUAUCGUUUCUAAGAGAGAUAAUCUUAGCGGGAGGAAAAUACUUACAGAUAAAAGCAUCUUUGCACUUGUUCCAGGAAUCAAUACUAUUUUUAGGCAAAGAUGAAAACCACGCUUUAGCAUGAUCUCUAAGUGAAAAAGGAAAUAGCUUCAAUUUAAUGACAUCAUUAUCGACAUCUUUUUUCUUUUGCAUAUCACAUAAAUCAACGAAGCUAUUCAGAUGAGUAGCGGCAUCUUCACUAGGAAGGCCGGCGAAUUGAUCUUUCAUAACAAGAUUCAACAAAGCAGUAUUGAUUUCACAAGAUUCAGUAUUGGCACGAGGAGCAAUCGGAGUGCUAAGGAAAUCAUUAUUAUUGGUAUUGGUGAAGUCACACAAUUUGGUAGCAUCUUGAGCCCUCACGACAAGCAAGCAAACUAACACACGAGCAAACAAAAGGAUGAGGAAAAGGCAACGGAAAGAGAGGAGGUGAUUGGGAAAGAGAGGGCGAAUAAAACAGCAAGGGUGAAGUGGGGGAGAGGAAAACGAGAGGCAAAUGGCAAAUAAUGUAAUGCGAGAGAUAGGGAUUGCGAUGGGUACUUGGUAUGUUGACUUUUGCGUAAGCCUUCCCGACAACGGUGCCAGAAAUCCUUCUUGCUACGUCUCGAUCUUGCUUUGGUUUUCCCCGAAGAGGAGAGGAUGAUGCAGCACAUUAGCGUAAGUAUUUCCCUCAAUUUUUGAGAACCAAGGUAUCAAUCCAGUAGGAGGUCACGCGCAAGUCCCUCGUACCUGCACAAAACAACAGCUACUCGCAACCAACGCGGUUAGGGGUUGUCAAUCCCUUCACGGUCACUUACGAGAGUGAGAUCUGAUAGAGAUAAUAUUUUUGGUAUUUUUGGUAUAAAGAUGCAAAGUAGAAAGUAAAGUCAAAGCAAGUAAAUAAAGUGAUGGAGAUUGAUAUGAUGAGAAUAGACCGGGGGCCAUAGGUUUCACUAGUGGUUUCUCUCAAGAGCAUAAGUAUUCUACGGUGGGUGAACAAAUUACUGUUGAGCAAUUGAAAGAAUUGAGCAUAGUUAUGAGGUUAUCUAGGUAUGAUCAUGUAUAUAGGCAUCACGUCCGAGACAAGUAGACCGAAACGAUUCUGCAUCUACUACUAUUACUCCACUCAUUGACCGCUAUCCAGCAUGCAUCUAGAGUAUUAAGUUAAAAACAGAGUAAUGCCUUAAGCAAGAUGACAUGAUGUAGAGGAAUAAAUUCAUGCAAUAUGAUAAAUACCCCAUCUUGUUAUCCUCGAUGGCAACAAUACAAUACGUGCCUUGCAACCCUUUCUGUCACUGGGUAAGGACACCGCAAGAUUGAACCCAAAGCCCUGCACUUCUCCCAUUGCAAGAACUACCAAUCUAGUUGGCCAAAACAAAUGGAUAAUUCGAAGAGACUUGCAAAGAUAACUCAAUCAUACAUAAAAGAAUUCAGAGAAGAUUCAAAUAUUAUUCAUAGAUAAGUUGGAUCAUAAACCCACAAUUCAUCGGUCUCAACAAACACACCGCAAAAAGAAGAUUACAUCGAAUAGAUCUCCACGAGAGAGGGGGAGAACAUUGUAUUGAGAUCCAAAAAGAGAGAAGAAGCCAUCUAGCUACUAGCUAUGGACCCGAAGGUCUGAUGUAAACUACUCACACUUCAGCGGAGGGGCUAUGGUGUUGAUGUAGAAGCCCUCCAUGGUAGAUGCCCUCUCCGGCGGAGCUCCGGAACAGGCCCCAAGAUGGGACCUCGUGGAUACAAGAAGUUGCGGCGGUGGAAUUAGGUUUUUGGCUCCGUCUCUGGUCUAUUGGGGGUACGUAGGUAUAUAUAGGAGGAAGGAGUACGUCGGUGGAGCGUCAGGGGGGUCACGAGGUAGGGGGGCUCGCCCAGGGGGCGCCCUCCACCCUCGUGACCGCCUCUGGCGCUUCUUGGAGUAGGGUUCAAGUCUCCUGGAUCAUGUUCAGUGAGAAGAUCACGUUCCCGAAGGUUUCAUUCCGUUUGGACUCCGUUUGAUAUUCCGUUUCUUCGAAAUACUGAAAAAGGUAAAAAACAACAAUUCUGGGCUGGGCCUCCGGUUAAUAGGUUAGUCCCAAAAAUAAUAUAAAAGUGGAAAAUAAAGCCCAUUAUAGUCCAAAACAAUAGAUAAAGUAGUAUGGAGCAAUCAAAAAUUAUAGAUACGUUGGAGACGUAUCAACUCCCCUAGCAGUUCAUCGUCCUAACCAAGAACAGACCCUCGCGAGGCUGUUCUUCCCUUGUACUGUUCCUCAUCAGCCCCAGAGGCAAUCCACACACCACAAACUGCAGUAGGGUAUUACACCACAAUGGUGGCCUGAACCAGUAUAAAUCUUGCGUCCCUUGUGCUGUUCUUCGAGUAGUUUAGAUCCUAGCGAGGCAGUGAAACAUGGGUAGGCUGAGGGUGUGAUUUCCGCGCGCACCCCAGUGUUCGAACCUCAAGGGUCUGCCGGAACCCGAAAUCUGACAUUUGGCGCGCCAGGUAGGGGUGUGCCAGAAUCUGCCUUCAGUCGCCUCGUGUUUUCACUGCUCAUCCCAUCCAUGUCAGACGCGCGUCGCGCCCGUGCCGAGCGCCGGGCCGCUCUCGCCGCUCGUUUCGCCCAGACGGCCCCCGUCGGCGGGUGCCCCCGUCGUUCCCCAUCACCUGCCGUCAACGCCGCCACCGGCCCGGCGGGGAACAAGCAGCAGGCGUCAUCCCUGCAUCCAUCGGUGCGGCGAGAAGGCCGCACCGCCACUCCGUCGCUGACUCCGGCCAGCUCCUCGUCCCACGCCCGUCGCGCUCCUAGGGACGCGCACGCCGCGCUGCUCCUGGCGCGGGAGCUCCUGCACUACCAUCCCAUCAACGACCUCUACGACGAGUGGCUCACCUGCAUCACCGAGCUCGUCAGCGCCGCUGGGGGCUCCCCUGCACCGUCCCUCUCGUUGCACCGCGCACCGCCCUGUGCGGGCGACGAAGCUCAGGGGGCGCCUCAGCCGCCCCCACCUCAAGAAGACGCCUUGGCUCCAAGGCGCAUGGCCCCUGGGCGGAACCCACUCCGUCCGGCGCCAGCGCAGCAAGAGAAGAGUUGCCAGGAGAUCCCUCGUCCUCAAGAAGCCGCCCGUGUGCUCCCCGCACCAGCUCGGCAUGAGCACACGCCCGCUCCAGCGCAUCAAGACCCCGCGUUGCACCUGGCCGCAGCACACAGAGACCUGCAAGCUCAAGCUCUCCGUCACCAAAGGGCUGCCGCGUCCACUGCAGGGUGCCGUGCCUUCUCCGCCGAGCUGUGCAGCGUGGCCUGGCCGGGCAAGUUCAAGCCAGACCUGCCCCCGCGCUACGAUGGCACGGCUGACCCUGCUGAGUUCCUCCAGCUCUACGAGCUGGGCAUCGAAGCCGCCAACGGAGACGAGAAGGUCAUGGCGAACUGGUUCCCCAUGGCGCACAAGGACGGCGCCCGCACCUGGCUUCUGAACCUGGCUCCUGGCACGAUAUCUUCCUGGGACGAGAUGCACACCCGAUUCAUCGCCAACUUCCAAGGCACCCGCGACCGGCCCCCGGCUAUGAGCGACUUGCGCCGCAUCAAGCAGCAGCCGGGGAAGACCCUGUAGAAGUUCAUCCAGUGCUUCAACAACGCUCGCCUUAAGAUCCCCAAGGUGUCUGAGGAGGCCAUCAUCUCAGCCCUCUCCGAUGGCGUGCGUGAUGUCAAGAUGAAGGAGGAUCUCGCGAUCCAUGAACACUUGUGCACCUCCCUGGAGCUGUUCAAUCUGGCGACCAAGUGCGCAAGGGCUGAGGAAGGGCGUCUGUCCCUCCUCGAGCUGCCAGCUGCUGACCCAGAAGAGAAGAAGCCCAAGACCAAGGACGUGAAGCACAAGGGGGCUGCCGUGCUUGCAGCAGAGCCAGACACCAAGCGAGGCAGGGAUCAGCCUGUGUCAUCCAAGGGCAGCCGAUACUGCGUGUACCACGACCUCCACACCCACAACACCAACGAAUGCCAAGAGCUCAGAGCCGUGCGAGACAUGCGUGCCAGCCGACGCCCUGAGCGCAGCGACAGGGGCUAUGGCCGAGGAGGAGGAAGAGGUGGAGGAUGAUGGGAGGACCGUGGCCCUCGCCAAGGGUGGCGUGACCGACCUCACGAGGACCGCUGGCAGGGCCAGCCUCGUGAGGGAGGUUGGAGGGACCCACCUCACGAGGAGGGCUGGAGAGAUCAGCCUCGUGAGGAUCGCCCACAAGGCAAUGCGGGCCUCCCUCCUCUGCCGUCGUAGCCAAGGAGGAAUGAAGACCAUAACUAGGACGAAGGGGCUGGAGGCUUCCAGGAGCCGCGCACAAUCGCUUGCAUCUUGGGCGGCGCACAGGCCCCGGCCUCUCAGUGCAUCUUCAAGUAGUUUGCCCGCGAAGUGAAUGCAGUCCUCCCCAGGCUUGAGGCCACACGCCCCCUCAGGUGCUCAUCGUGCGCUAUCACAUUCAGCUUAGCAGAUCAGCUCGAGUUUGCAGCCACACCAGGAGUCCUCCCAAUGCUUUGUUCCCCGAUCAUCAGCAACGUGCAAGUCACCAGGACCCUCAUCGAUGGCGGAGCAGGGCUCAACGUCCUAUCCGUCGAGACGUUCAACAAUCUCCAAGUCCCAUACAAUCAGCUGCAGCCGACGAAGCCCUUCUUAGGAGUCACCGAUGGUUCCACGGUUCCAAUAGGGCAGGUCCGCCUUCCUGUUACCUUUGGGAAUCGCAACAACUACCGCAGAGAGCUCAUUGACUUCGACGUCGCUCACAUCCGCCUGCCGUACAAUGCCAUCCUCGGGUAUCUAGCCCUGGCCAAGUUCAUGGCCGUAACCCAUCACGGCUACAAUGUCCUCAAGAUGCCAGGAAGCGGCGGAGUCAUCACUGUGCCUUGUGAAGAGAGAGAUGCCGUGUGUUCCCUAGAACGCGCCUUCCAAGCCGCAUCAAUUGAAGACCCAGAUCACAGGAACGGGAGGCUUCCUGAGGCUGCUCCUAAGAAGAAGAAGAAGUCAUCGCUUGGCCCGACCCCUCGGGAGGCAGGCCCCUCAGGGUUCGCGCCCGUUCAGGGGGCACCUCCUUCUGUUGCAUAGGGAGGCGCGCCCGGCGCCCUCCUCAAGCAAGGCUCAGGGGCUCUCUCCUGGAGGGCCAUCGACUUUGCUAAGAUUACGAGGGAGGCGCUCGGGCACCACUUGGAGGCGUGCUUCAACGCAUGUUUCCCUUAGGAGGAAGCAAGGCAAGGAGGGCCAAACCCUCAGGAAUUCAUCAGCGAGAUCAUUCAGGAGUUGCAGGAGUCAAGAGUCAUGAGUGGCAGCCGCCGCUUGCCCGCCGUAGCUCCCCAUCCAGGCAAGGAUGGUGGGCUGCGCGUCUGCAUUGACAUACCAGGACUCAACCGGGCCGCCUCUCAGGAGCGCCUCUAGCCCUCACGCGUGGGGCACUGUGAAGGUCCACCCCACAGCUAUGUUCGCAUGCCUUACGGCCUGCCGAACGCGGCUGUGGUGCAUCAGCGCCUCAUGAGGAGCAUCUUGGAGGCUCAGGCGGUCAGGCAUUUCACAGUCCUGGCGGAGAUGGAGAUGGUCCGCGAGGAUCCGCCAGCGCCUCCGGAGCCUCCCGAGGCCCCUGGGCCUGGGGGCUCGUGAAGAUCGUCUCCCGCAGCGCACGCCAUCCACUACUUCAGCAUCCCUCCAUCUUCAGCAUGAUCAGGUGACAUCCUUCGAGUUUGGUUUUCAGCUGGGAGCGCCCCCCAGGGCUGCAUCAUUCCUAGGCCGCGUGGGUCCGUCCCUGCGGCGUGUGUCCCCUUUAGUUCAUGUUUUCAGCUUACUUUAUCGGGGGCGCCCCUCGGGCUGCAUUAUCCCCAAGCCACCCGGGCCAGACCCGGUGGCAUGUAUCCCUCUCGCGUUUAUUCAGGUCGUGCGUUUGACCUGUCAUGAUCAUUGUUUGGUGCUUGCCUAUGGCACCCUUCUUUCCUCAUGUUGNNNNNNNNNNNNNNNNNNNNNNNNNNNNNNNNNNNNNNNNNNNNNNNNNNNNNNNNNNNNNNNNNNNNNNNNNNNNNNNNNNNNNNNNNNNNNNNNNNNNNNNNNNNNNNNNNNNNNNNNNNNNNNNNNNNNNNNNNNNNNNNNNNNNNNNNNNNNNNNNNNNNNNNNNNNNNNNNNNNNNNNNNNNNNNNNNNNNNNNNNNNNNNNNNNNNNNNNNNNNNNNNNNNNNNNNNNNNNNNNNNNNNNNNNNGCGACUCAUGGGCUCUUACUGGCUCUCCAGCUCUCACCCUCUGGCCUUGUCCACGGCAUCGUGACCUGGCAUACCAGCGACGGCUGAGCCCCGCUCGAGGGCCGGGACCCGAGGACGUAGAGCACCAACAUCUAACCAAAUCUGCAGGGACACAUCACAAGUAAAGGCCCAGAGCCAGGCGCAACCCACCUUGAGGUAGGGCCCUGUGAGUCCCGCGCUAGCUCACGGGUGCCCAGAUACACCUUGCCAGGCCCUACCGUGCCAGCCACGUGUCAGGGCGGGGCUGUACACGCCCCGGGGGCUCCUCCCGGAGGGGAGCCCCCUCCCACGUACCAGUGGAAGCACCAUGCUCCGCGCUGGGUGACGACACUGCCGAGGAGCGGCUAUGCCCGUACACAUACGGAAGCGCUAUGCUCCCCGCUGGUGAUAAACAAUUGAGGGUGGCCCCCGGCUGCAUCAACCUUAGGGAGCCCAGGGCUCAAUGUCCGGCCCCAUCGUAACGCCUCCCCUCGGGAGUGCCGCGCGAGGGGGCUGGGCACGGGGGCUGCGCCCGGGUCACGCCCAGGCGCACACCACCCAGCCAGGCCCCUCGGGCCUGGUUCGUCGCACGCCUCUCCCCGAGCGGAGCCAAGGUACGAAGGCCGUUUGAAUGUCAAGGGGGACUCCUGAGCAUCGCGACUCAGGAGCCUAACUGGUUACGUAGCCCCUCACCCCUUAGUUCCGAAAGGCUAACGGCGGUUGAGGUAUGCGCGGGGCCGGGCUCUGCUGACGUAGAACGGUAAUCUCACCCAUACAUUUCACCUCCCUACUUGUUGUUCGUGCGUCAAGGGGGACUCCUGAGCAUCGCGACUCAGGAGCCUAACUUGUCAUGUAGCCCCUCACUCCUUGGUCCCGUCCUGGUUUCUGGUCGGGGCUAACGGCGGUUGAGUAUGCGCGGGGCCGGGCUCUGCCGACGUAGAACACAAGCAAGUAGGAAGGAAAAAUGCGAAUCUUAAGAAAUUCAAAAGCAAAUAUUACAGUCCAUAGAGUACUUUGAGAACGCCAAACACAAGUUUAAACGCCUUGGCAGAAUGCAUGUUGUAGGAAUUAAAAGCAGGAUGGGAGCCGCGAAGGGAUCACUUUUUGGCGGCGCCAUCGCUGGUGACGGAGCUACGCUGGGCAACUUUGCCUCGUGGAGCCUCAAGACCGACAGCGCCUCGCUUCGGCUUGGUGCUGAAGGCCCGGAACUUCGCCAGCAGAGCCUCCGCACGACCCUUCACGGCCUCAGCAACGACGGCAGCAAGCUCGCCGCUCACAGGCUCCAGCAGACUGUCGAGGUCAACGCUGGGGUCGCGAAGGUAGACGUGGGUGAAGAUGCGCGUUAGCGCCGCAGAAGAAAGGGCGCGCGCCUCAGCCUCAGCCGUAGGGCCAAGGCCGAGGGUGACAUCUUUGAGGGCAUGAACCAGGAAGGGAAGCAGCUUGGCAGGGCCCUCCUCGGCGCCGGCCAGCGGGCUUUCUAAGCCGCUGUCAUAGAGCGUCUUCAGCAGGGUGCGGGCCUUCACCUCCAGCUUUGUGAAGGCCACGCGGUCCUCGGCCAGGACCCGUGCCUUGCCGUCCAGCUAGAUCUUCUUCGCCUCCAACGCCUGCUCCAACGCAAUCAGGCGGCCUUGGCGUUCGUCAAGCUUGGCAUCCCGGUCCUCGGCGGCAGCCUCACGAGCCUUCAUGCCUUCCUCCUUCUCGUGGAGGACACGGGCCUCCUUGGCAAGGUGGUCGCGCUGGCCUUGCAGCUCGCCCUCCAGCACCUUGUAGCGGCCCUGGACAUCCGCAACCUUACCUAAGGCGGCAUCGCGGGCGGCAUUCACCUCGAGGACGACCUGCUUCUCCUCGUCGCAGGCUAUAGCAGCCUGGGCUAGCGCCGCCCGGACUAAAGCAUCAGAGCGGACCCAGCCAGAAACUAGCUCCAGGCGCCCAGCCACCAAGCGAGGGUCGGCGCCUAGAAGAUCUUUUCGCAGCCGGUCCAGCUCAGCAGCAGCACGAUCCAGGAUAGUAGGAGGAGAUGGAGAGACAGCGGUCGGCGGAGUAGGAGGAGAAGACGACAGCGUGAUCACAACACCAGGGGUCAGGACCUUCUGCGCCCCGAUGACUGCGGCAGUGGCGUCAGGCACGGAUGCCUCGGGAGUCGCUUGGGCCAUGGGGGCUGAGCUCACUCCAGCUAGCCCUGUCAGGCCUCACGCAGAUGACCAGGCAGGAGAGGCCCGCAUCUUGUCGACCCCUUCUCCUGCGGAUGGGGGUGCUGCCUCGGACGAAGCCUCAGGAGCCCCCUUCAGCUUCUUCGCCGCAGGCACCGGCCUAGCCGAGGAAUAUGGACGUCAAGCAUCAACAAUAAAGCAGGAAGCAAAAUGAGAAUGGGUACUUGGUAUGUCUUGACUUGAUUUAGAAGUGGGGGAGAGGAAAAUGAGAGGCAAAUGGCAAAUAAUGUAAUGCGAGGGAGAAGAGUUUAUGAUGGGUACUUGGUAUGUCUUGACUUGAGCGUAGAUCUCCCCGUCAAUGGCGCUAGAAAUUGCACAUUUGCGGGAGACCAAAUCUUGACUUGACUUGGCGUAUGCCUCCCCGACAACGGUGCCAGAAAUCCUUCUUGCUACCUCUUGAGCAUGCAUUGUUUUUCCCUUGAAGAGGAAAGGGUGCUGCAGCAAAGUAGCAUAAGUAUUCCCCUCAGUUUUGGAGAACCAAGGUAUCAAUCUAGUAGGAGGCUACACACAAGUCGCCUUGUACCUGCACAAAUAAAUAAGAACCUUGCAACAAACAUGAUAAAGGGGUUGUCAAUCCCUUCACGGCCACUUGCAACAGUGAGAUCUGAUAAAGAUAAUAAGAUAAAUAUUUUUGGUAGUCUUGUUGUAUAGAUUGAAAAGUAGAGAUUCCAAAAAAUAAACGGCGACAGAAUUAGCUAGUUGAUGGGAGAUUAAUAUGAUGGAAAAUUGACCCGGGGGCCAUAGAGGUUUCACUAGUGGCUUCCCUUAAGAUAGCAAAUUCUACGGUGGGGGAACGAAUUACUGUCGAGCAAUUGAUAGAAAAGCGCAUAGUUAUGAGAAUAUCUAUGCAUGAUCAUGUAUAUAGGCAUCACGUCCGUGACAAGUAGACCGAAACGAUUCCGCAUCUGCUACUAUUACUCCACACAUCGACCGCUAUCAGCUAUGCAUCUAGAGUAUUAAGUUCAUAAGAAUAGAGUAAAGCAUUAGGCAAGAUGACAUGAUGUAGAGGGAUAACUCAAGCAAUAUGAUAUAAACCCCAUCUUUUUAAACUCGAUGGCAACAAUACAAUACGUGCCUUGCUGCCCCUGCUGUCACUAGGAAAGGACACCGCAAGAUUGAACCCAAAGCUAAGCACUUCUCCCAUUUCAAGAAAGAUCAAUAGUAGGCCAAACUAAACCGAUAAUUCGAAGAGACUUGCAAAGAUAUCAAAUCAUGCAUAUAAGAAUUCAGAGAAGAAUCAAAUAUUGUUCAUAGAUAAUAUUGAUCAUAAACCCACAAUUCAUCAGAUCUCGACAAACACACGGAAAAAAGAAUUACAUCGAAUAGAUCUCCAAGAAGAUCGAGGAGAACUUUGUAUUGAGAUCCAAAGAGAGAGAAGAAGCCAUCUAGCUAAUAACUAUGGACCCGAAGGUCUGUGGUAAACUACUCACACAUCAUCGGAGAGGCCAUGGUGUUGAUGCAGAGGCCCUCCAUGAUCGAUUCCCCUUCCGGCGGAGCACCGGAAAAGGCCCCAAGAUGGGAUCUCACGGGUACAGAAGGUUGCGGCGGUGGAAAAAGUGUUUCGUGGCUCCCCCCCGAUGUUUUCAGGGUAUAAGAGUAUGUAUAGGCGAAAGAAGUAGGUGAGUGGAGCUACGAGGGGCCCACGAGGGUGGGGGGGGGGGCGCCUCCCUGCCUUGUGGCCGCCUCGUUGCUUCCUUGACGUCCACUCCAAGUCUCAUGGAUUGCGUUUGUUCCAAGAACGAUCCUCACGAAGGUUUCAUUCCGUUUGGAUUCCGUUUGAUAUUCCUUUUCUGCAAAACACUGAAAUAGGCAAAAAAACAGCAAUUUGCACUGGGCCUUCGGUUAAAAGGUUGGUCCCAAAAAUAAUAUAAAAAGGUAUAUUAAAGCCCAUUAAACAGCCAAAACAGAUAAUAUAAUAGCAUGGAACAAUCAAAAUUUAUAGAUACGUUGGAGAUGUAUCAGUGUCCGCUUGUGAAAACUCAUAUUGACAAUUCAGAUUCUACAUAAAAAGAUCAUUGAUGACCAAUUUAUUUUUUAUGUUUAUUUUUACAUGCUUAGCCUUAGCAGUAGGACAUUUUUGCAGAAGGCGCUACUACUGUCGGCAUAGCAGUAACGCGUUUAGAAUAAACGACACUACUACUAUGGAAUUUAGCAGUAGCGCUUUACCAAAACACACGCUACUGCUAAAGCCAUCCUGUCUUCUCCAACCGGCCGCCUCUUAAUCUCCCCUCUCCACUCCACUCUAACUCUCCCCCACACCCCCCCCGUCGUCCACCGCCGCCGACGUUCGCCCCUCCCCGACCACCAUCAUCGCCCGCCGUGGCCGCCGCUUGUCGGGGGGAUGAACCCCGGGCGGGCAACGAAACCCGGAUCCUUUUCAAAAAUAGCAGGGCCCGCAUCGCCCCGCAAACCGGCACGCGCCUGGCCGGGUCGCUCGACCCGGCAGGGCCCGCGACCCGGCCAAGGUACGUCAACUCGGCCGCAAGAUAACUCGACCCGGCGCAACCAAGGCUUCCCCCGCAAGCCAGCCCCACCAGUGGCGUCCACGGCAACCCAGCCACGGGUCAGCUCCCGUCCCAUCCAGGCCGUAUGAUGGGACGAGACCUCAACCACCGAUGACCAAGACAACAGUGUUUCCACCCAUGCCUGUGGUCAGCCGGAGCGUGGCAACAGUGCCCCACACUUACCCGCUGACCAAGGUUGGCAUUGCAACAGUGCUCCUGCCCUCACCGCUGACGACAGCAAGCGGCAACCUGACGGAGAGCACUGUACACGACUCGACUCGGCCAUGCCCUGACGAUCGACAAGACGGUGCAUAGUUCCCCUAGGCACGCGGGGCCCGCACCUAGGGGAACCCGGCGAACCACAAGCCCUCAAGCGGGACCCAACCCGGCGUCCCGGACACCGACAAUACGGACCCACCGACUCGGCAUAUUACCAUUGUAACCCUAGGUGGGUUGGUCUAUAAAACCCCCCAGCAACCCACGCCUACAGGGACAGAUGACAUGUAAUGCAAAGCUGCCUGUGAGAAACAGACAGAGCCAGCAAGCAUAGGGCUAGCCACCCAACAGCAACACCGGGGAGAAGGAGCAGCCCAAGCCUUGGCCAGCUUCCUUCCUCCUCCAUACAGCUCCAGGAGCAACAUUGUACUUUCGAUCAUCCAACUACACUCGGCAGGACUAGGGGUAUUAUCUCUCCGGAGAGCCCCGAACCUGGGUAUGUCCGGCGUCCCGCGCCCGCUCAUGCCAACCUCGCCUCUGGAGCCCACCAGUGCCCUCGAGCCUCCUCCUCUCUUUAGACAUUCCUUGGCAUCUACCAUGCGCCCACCAUGAAAGUUGGCGCCCACCAUGGGGCAGCUCGAGGAGCUAGCCGGGAGCAUGCUUCAGACGGGGCCCGUCUCCUACACCGACGAGUCCGUCGGAUUGGCGGACGACGUUGUCGGCGCGCUUGCCGCCUCCUUCACCGCGCUGCGCAUCUCCGAUGUGUACGCGGCUGACGAGUACCCCAGCGAGGUGCUCAGCUACUCCGACUCUCCGCUCUCCCUCGGCGGUGGCAUUGCUGCCGGGGCGAUGGACAUCCAUGUGGAGGUCUACGUCACCGGCGACGGCGCCUCCUCUUCGUCGAGCAAGACGAGGAUGGCCGCGGAAGCCAGGGCCGCCGCGGAACAGACCGAGCCGUCUGAUCCGCUACACGCCGUGAUGCAGAACCUACGCAUCCCCACCGGCACCGACGUCGAUGCCACCAACGUCGCUGAGGCCCGAUCUUAGCUCAAAGAAAGGCGCCAACAGAUGCUGGACCUAUCCGAGACGCUCGCCGCCACCAAGCGUCGCCUGGAGGCCGCUCAGUUGAAGCACGACACCGCUCACGGAUUCACGCCCGCCGCGGCCGAGCCAAGCCAGGUCGCUGACAUACGCACCUGGGGAGGAGCGAUUGGCCGGGCCCUCGGCACCGUCUGAACCGUCUAUGAGACCCCAGUGAAGAACAUGCGCGCUGCGGAGGCAGCCGCGGUCGGCCUUGACUAGCUCACGGGUGAGGAGCUAAAAGAUCGCAUCGGGCGGAUGCGCGAGCUCCUCCACGUCUCCAACACCCAGCAGGAUCGCCUGCACCAGCUCGCCAAGCCAGCAGGGUCCGGUUCCGCCCGCCUUGGAGGACCCGGCGAACUUCUACACAUAGCUUCCUCGCCGCCUGGCGAGGCGCACUCCGGCCAAAACCGGAUUCGACGCAACCCGGCCACCACAGCCGCCAACGUCCUGGGCAACGAGCCUGCCUCGGAGACCCAGCGCGGACCCGGCCAGCCUGGCCGACGUCCGGCUCCAACCGACCCGGCCCCUCGGGGCCUGGCCGCCCGUCGACUCGGCCCGCGCGCCAUCGAUGAUGAAGACGCGCGCCACCGCCUUGAUCAGCUCGCUCGCUCCCUGGAGGUGGAGGAGAGCGGUGCUAUCGGGCCGGCGUGCUUCGGCCCGCGCAUCCGGGAGGAGCCCUUCCCCAAGGGGUUCAUGCUUCCCCGUGACACCCCCAAGUACAACGGGAUCGUGAAGCCAGAGCACUGGCUCACUGACUACACCACGGCCAUCGGCAUCACCGGUGCCAAUCGCCGUCUCGCCGUGCGCUACACACCGCUCAUGCUCCAGGGGUCGGCCCGCACGUGGUUGAACAGUCUGCCGAUGCGCAGCACCAACAUGUGGGUUGACUUCAAGGAGGCCUUCGCCCGCAACUUCACGGGGACCUACAAGCGACCCGGCCGCCCCAGCCAACUCGCUAUGUGCGUGCAGGGGCCGACGGAGACGGGUCGCGAGUACCUCGCACGCUGGACCGAGCUCCGAAACAGCUGCGAGGGCGUCCAUGAAGUCCAGGCGAUCCAGUAUUUCGUCAGCGGGUGCCGAGACGGCACCCUCCUCUAACACAAGCUAUUGCGCUCUCUGCCGGCCAGCAUGGCGGCGCUCAUGGUGACUGCGGACAAGUACGCCAACGCCAACUCUGCCAUGAAGAUCCAGGUGGCGCCGGAUGAGGCCGGCAAGGCAAAGCCGGUUCCUCCCCCGAAGCCAGCCGGUGAAAGCAGCCAGUAGCAGCAUCACCAGAACAACAAGCGCAAGGCCGAGCAGCCGGCACAGCGUCACGACAACCGCCUCGUCGCGGCCGCCGAGCCAACGGCGGACCCGGCGGCAAAGCGCCGCCAGACCGGCAAGAUGGCGUGGCAACCCGCCAUGAGUUUUGAAGAGAUGCUCGACGCCCCAUGCAAGCACCACAGCGGCGCAAGACCCUCCACGCACACACUUCGACAGUGCGCCAUCACCAAGCGCAUCAUGAGGGGAGACGUCCCGCCUCCGCCGGCUCUGGCUCCAGCUCUAGGCGCAGGGCAGCCGCCUCCUCCUCCGCCUCCCGCUGGCGGCGCGAUCCAGAAUGACGCCUACCCGGACCAGAACGCGUCCUACGUCGUCUUCACCAGCCUCGGCAACGACAAGCGGAAUGAGCGCCUUCUUCGGCAGGAGGUGAACACCGUCGUCCCGGCCAAGCCGGAGUUCAUGCAUUGGUCGGAACGGCCGAUCACGUGGACCCGGGAGGAUCACCUGGCGGUCAUGCCAAGUCCGGGUGGAUACGCUCUCAUCCUCAACCCCACCAUCGUCGCGCGGCGUACAUGCAAGUUCUCCCGAGUCCUCAUCAACGGCGGCAGCAGCAUCAACAUCCUCUACCGCGACAUGAUGACCAAGCUCGGCCUCAAAGCCGAGGACCUGGAGCCAACUCGGACGAUCUUCCACGACAUCGUGCCUGGCCUCUCCUACUCUCCCAUUGGCCGGGUCCGGCUCGAUGUCUUGUUCGGCGACAGCAGCCACUUCCGGCGCGAGCCGAUCUAGUUCGAGGUGGUGGACCUGUCCAGCGCGUAUCACGCGCUGCUGGGCCAGCCCGCGCUCGCCAAGUUCAUGGCGGUUCCCCACUACGCGUACCUGAAGAUGAAGAUGCCAGGUCCCAAUGGCCUGAUCAUGAUCAUCGGCGAUUACCGCAAGUCCCUGGAGUGCGCCCGAGCGGCGCCAAGUUGGCCGAGUUGCUGGUCAUUGCCGAGGAGCGGCGCCAGCUUGACCGGAUCGUCGCCAUGGCGGGUGAGGCUUCCGCCGCAUCAAUCCCGACCACGGACCCGCCGACGAGGCUGCCUUCAAGCCUCCAAGGAGACCAAGAAAGUGAAGGUCAACCCAGAAGACCCCAGCUGCAGCAAGUACGUUGUCGUAGGCGCCCGCCUCGACAUCAAAUAGGAAGGCGAGCUCGUCGACUUCCUCCAUGAGAAUCGGGAUAUCUUCGCAUGGACCCCCAAGGACAUGUCGGGUAUUCAGAGGAAGUACGCCGAGCACAAACUGCACGUCCGUAAGGACGCCAAGCCUGUCCGUCAACCCCUGCGACGAUUUUUCGAAGAGAAGAGAAGAACCAUUGGUGAAGAGGUCGCCAAGGUUUUGGCGGCCGGCUUCAUAAUGGAAGUGUUUCACCCCGAGUGGCUGGCCAACCCAGUCCUCGUCCUGAAGAAGAACAAGACCUGGCGCAUGUGUAUCGACUACACCAGCCUCAACAAGGCCUGUCCCAAGGAUCCGUUUGCUCUCCCGCGGAUCGACCAAGUCAUCGACUCGACCGUCGGGUGCAAGCUCCUGUCCUUCCUGGACGCGUACUCCGGCUACCACCAGAUCAAGCUGGACCCGGCUAAUGCCCUGAAGACGUCCUUCAUCACGCCCUUUGGGGCGUACUGCUACAUCACCAUGUCGUUCGGCUUGAAGAACGCCGGCGCCACCUUCCAACGCUGCAUGCAGAAAUGCCUACUGCUGCAACUCGGCCGCAAUAUCCACGUGUACAUGGACGACAUCAUGGUGAAGACCAAGCAACACCUCAUGCUCCUCGACAAUUUGAAGGAAACAUUCACCAACCUCCGUGAAUACAAGGUCAAGCUCAACCCGGAAAAAUGCAUUUUUAGCGUCCCGGUCGGAAAGCUACUCGGCUUCCUCAUCUCGGAACGCGGCAUUGAGGUGAACCCGGAGAAGAUCAAGGCCAUCGAGCGCAUACACAAGCCGGCUAGGCUAUGCGACGUCCAGAUGUUCACCGAGUGCUUGGCCUCGGUCAGCCGGUUUCUAAGCCGGCUGGGCGAGAGGGCGCUCCCCCUGUAUCAGCUGAUGAAGAAGACGAGUCCGUUCGAAUGGAACGGCAAGGCAGACGUGGCCUUCCAAGACCUCAAGCGCAUGCUCUCCACCGCGCCAGUCCUGGCCGCACCGACCGACAAGGAGCCGCUGUUGCUCUACAUAGCCGCGACCUCGCGGGUGGUCAGCACGGUGCUGGUGGUUGAGCGACCAAAGAAGGGCAAGAUCCAAGCCGUACACCGCCUAGUCUACUACCCGAGCGAGGUGCUCUCCAUCUCCAAGCAGAACUACCCACACUACCAGAAGAUGUGUUACGGCGUGUACCUCACCGCCAAGAAGCUGAAGCAGUACUUCCAAGAGCACGUCAUCACCAUCGUCAGCACGGCGGCUAUCGGAUAAAUCAUUGGGUGCCGGGACGCGUCUGGCCGGGUCGCCAAGUGGGCGAUCCAGCUAGCCGGCCACACUAUCCUCUACAAGCCCCGCACCAUGAUCAAGUCUCAGGCCUUGGCCGAUUUCCUCGUCGACUGGACCGAGACCCAGUACCUGCCACCGCCUCCCGACUCGACGCAUUGGCGCAUGCACUUCGACGGGUCCAAGAUGCGACUCAGCUUAUGGGCCGGCAUCGUACUGUCGUCCCCGAAGGGCGGCCGGCUCCACUACGCGCUCCAAAUCCACUUCGCCGCCUCCAACAACGUCGCCGAGUACGAAGCCCUUGUGCACGGCCUCCGGCUUGCCAAGCAACUCGGCAUCCGGCGCAUCCUGUGCUACGGCGACUCGGACCUGGUGGUGCAGCAGUGCUCCAGUGAGUGGGACGCCCGCGACUCAAACAUGGCAAGCUACGCUUCCUCGUCCAAAGCUGUCCGGAUCCUUCGAGGGCUGUGAGUUCCUCCACGUCCCGCGCACGAAGAAUGAAGCAGCCGACACGCUCGCCAAGAUCGCCUCGUCACGACAAGCCAUCCCGUCCGGCGUCUCCCUCGAGCACCUGCGCAAGCCGUCCGUCAAGCCAUCGCCGGACUCCGAGUCCAUUCAUGUUCCAGACGAUCCGGCCGCUCCUCAACCCGGCCCGGGGGCUGCCGAACCCGGCCCAGGGACUAUAGAACCCGGCCCGGGGGCUGCUCAGCUCAACCCGGCCACCAUCAACCCAGACCCAACCGUCGCGAACUCCGACCCAGGGGCUGCUCAACCCGGCUCGGGGGCUGCCGACUCGGAACCCACCCUGGUGGCCGUCUUCAUUGUGGUAGCAGCUCCAUCCUGGGCCAUCCCAAUAUCAGAAUUUCUGGAGAACGGGUUUCUCCUCAUGGACGAGACCGAAGCUCGGCAAGUUCAGCGCAGGGCAUCCGCCUACAACAUCAUCAACAACGAGCUCGUCAAGCGCAGCUCUACCGACGUGUUCCAGCGCUGCGUCGAGCAGGAUCACGGCAUCGACAUCCUCCUCGACAUUCACCAGGGCGAGUGCGGGUACCAUGCCGCAUCACGAUCCCUGGUGGUCAAGGCGUUCCGCCAUGGUUUCUAUUGGCCCACGACCCUUAAAGACGCCGAGUCGCUCGUUCUCAAAUGUGAAGGGUGCCAACGCUUCAGCAAACGCAGCCACCAGCCAGCGUCAGCACUCCGCACCAUACCGAUGGCUUGGCCCUUCCCGGUCUGGGGAAUCGACAUGGUGGGACCCUUCAAAACCGCUCGAGGCGGCAUGACGCACUUGCUAGUGGCAGUGGACAAGUUCACCAAAUGGAUCGAGGCAAGAGCAAUCAAGAAACUGGACGGGCCAAGAGCCGUCCGGUGCGUCAAGGACAUAGUGGUGCGCUACGGCAUGCUGACCAGCAUCAUCACCGACAACGACACCAAGUUCGCCAAGGGAGCGCUCGAGCAAUACUGCUCCGUCUCUGGCAUCCGCCUCAACCUGGCCUCCGUUGCGCAUCCGCAGUCCAACGGGCAGGUCGAGCAGGCCAACGGACUCAUCCUGCCCGGCAUCAAGCCGCGACUCGUCGAGCCACUCAUCCGCUCACCCGACAGCUGGCUCGACGAGUUGCCGGCCGUCCUCUGGAGUCUCCGCACCAUGCCGAAUCGGUCGACCGGGUUCACCCCGUUCUUCCUCGUCUACGGAGCCAAAUCCAUCAUCCCGACCUAUGUCGAGUUCGACUCGCUGCGCGUCGCGAUGUACACCGAAGCCAAAGGCAGAGAAGCUCGUGAAGACGGCGUCGACCUGCUCGAAGAAGCACGUCUCCUGGCGCUCAGUCGCUCGGCCAUCUACCAGCAAGGUCAGAGGCACUACCACAACAAGAAGAUUAAGCCCCUCGCGUUCCGCGAGGGCGACCUCGUCCUCCGCCUCGUCCAAGAGAAAGCAGGCCAGCACAAGCUGUCCCCUCCAUGGGAGGGCCCAUUCAUCAUGAGCAGGGCCUUGCGCGAUCGCAAUGCCUACUACCUAAUCGACGCACGCAAGUCAAAGAAGCGCAAGAAGGACACCGCCGGUGAAGAAACGACACAACAAUGGAACGCGGAACUCCUCCGCCCGUUUUACAGUUAGCCGCACGAGUGUAUGUAUCGUCGACUUUUGAAAAUGCAUGACACUAUGGGGUCCCCGAACGAGACUCGGGGGCUACCUUUUGUCGACCAAUUUAUUGUAUCCUUAUUUUUUCUGCAUCACUAUACCACUGAACCCGGCCACCGGUCCGAUUCGCUCGACCCGGGGGCUCGGGGGUCGGCCGGCUAUGUAGCCACCCCGCCGCCUUACUUUGUGAUUUCUGAUAAAAGUCAGGAUGCCGCGGUCCCUCACUUUGCCCUAAAAGCCACAGAUCCAGCUUUGGCUGUCGGCUAGCAAGCACAACGGGCCAAAGCUCCUGUACGUUUCANNNNNNNNNNNNNNNNNNNNNNNNNNNNNNNNNNNNNNNNNNNNNNNNNNNNNNNNNNNNNNNNNNNNNNNNNNNNNNNNNNNNNNNNNNNNNNNNNNNNNNNNNNNNNNNNNNNNNNNNNNNNNNNNNNNNNNNNNNNNNNNNNNNNNNNNNNNNNNNNNNNNNNNNNNNNNNNNNNNNNNNNNNNNNNNNNNNNNNNNNNNNNNNNNNNNNNNNNNNNNNNNNNNNNNNNNNNNNNNNNNNNNNNNNNNNNNNNNNNNNNNNNNNNNNNNNNNNNNNNNNNNNNNNNNNNNNNNNNNNNNNNNNNNNNNNNNNNNNNNNNNNNNNNNNNNNNNNNNNNNNNNNNNNNNNNNNNNNNNNNNNNNNNNNNNNNNNNNNNNNNGGAAGGCAAAAAAGCAAAUACACUCACGACAUUUACACAUAGAUAAUUAAACAAAAGGCCCACGGCCGGAGUUCAUUACACCCCAAAAAACCCAGUAGGUGGGUGGACCUGCUAGUUAACAAAUUCUGCAUAAAGUGUCUCAGGCAUCUCCAGCGCCGCGUCGCGACGCCGACGGCUCUCCCCUGGCGGCCUCCGGGUCCAGCGAGACACCGGUGUCCUCCUCGGCAUCCGUGUCGCCGUAGACACCCGUCUCCUCCGAGCUCCCCUCCGUGUCAUGGAGAAGCAAGCCGUAGUCAUCGCCAUCCACGGCGUUGCCGUCUUCCGUCCGCUCCGGGUGGAACUCGUCGUGGAAGGCGAACUCAGCGAUGUAGCUGGCCCGGGAGGCGAUCCGGCCGGCCUGCUCCCGCAGCAACUGCUCCGAGCCGGCCCGCUGGCCCAUCAACACGUCCAACUGAAGAUCCGGAUGCCAAGACAAUGCAAACCGAAGCGCCAUCUCGGCACCAACACGAGCGGCGGAGACACGCCACUCGCCAAGAUGAUCCGGACCCACCUCCAGCCAGCGCGCCAGGCGCAUGAAGCUGCUCGGCACGGCGGCACCCGGCCAAAGGGCCGUCGCAUCAUCACAGUACCGGCCUGGGACAGCCGCUCCAUCUACGUCCCUAGGACCCACAAGCGGGCCUCAGCAGCGGUGAUGAUCUCCGGGAAGGUCCAGGCUGUCCGCGGACCUGUCCCAAACGCAACAACACCGGUCGGGUCGCGCUGAUAGGGGACGGCUUCCUCCGCCAGCAGCUGCGUCUCCGGGAAGGCCCCUACCACAAAGAAAGAAGCAUGUUAGAAGAACAACAAGGAAGAAAAAACCGGGUCCCAACCCGGCAAGCUACAAGAAGCAACACUUACUGGAAAAGGACUCUUCCAGGUGCUAUGCCUCAAGCAACAUACCACGCCACUCCCGCUCCAUGGCGCGGUCGCGCUCCUCGAGCGCCUUCUCCAGAGUGGCUGCCUUGGCAAGGGCCGCCUUCAGCUCGGCGUCCUUGUCUUCGUCCGCCUUCUCUGCUGCCUCGCGGCGGCGGGCUUCGUCCUCACGGGCCCCCUCGUCCGUGGUGACCUGCCCCCGCAGGCGCUCCACCUCGGCCUGGAGCUGGCCCUUGUCGUGGGCGAGCUGGCCGCGCUGCUGGUCCGCCUCCACCAGGGCCCGCUGCACCUCCGCGACCUUGGCGGCUUCCGCCUUGAGAAGCUCCACCUCGGCCUCAAGACGGCUCUUGUGACCCGCUAGCUGCUCAUGCAGCCGGUUGGCCUCGUCAAGAGACCGCCGGGCCGUGGACGCCUCCACCCUCGCCUGCGCCGCCUCCAUGCCAAGAUGGCCGGAGUCGGCAACAAGCCGGUCGCAAUGAUGGCCGGCCCGAAGCAGCCGAGUCCGCCAGGACAGCACCUCGACUGUGAAAAAGAAGGAGUCAGAAGAAGAAAAGAGCAAGACAUAAGAUUUGGCCCAAUUGUUACACAAUUGGCCCGAAUCUCGGGGGCUACACCCAGUGGGUGCGCUAGCGCGCCCCCACUAAAAAAGAGCACAAGAGUACGUGCGGCGACGCGGAGCUCCUCCUCCUUGGCGGCAAGCUGCUCCACGAGCUCCCGGUGCUUGCACAGGAGACGGUUGUAGGCGGCAACCCGGAAGGCGUCAAGUUGCUAAAGAAAUCAGAAGUCAAAUACAAGGCCAACGCUCUAGAAGAUCUGACCCACCUACUACAUAGUUGGCCCGGAUCUCGGGGGCUACACCCAGUGGGUGCGCUAGCGCGCCCCCACAAAGAAGAAAUUGCGAAGAAGCAAAAAGACUUACCAGCAUGGCGUGCUCCAGGUCGCGCGUCCGCUCCACCUCGGCCUGGGCGAAGGCCUCAAGCCGCUCCGUCCGACCUUGCAGGCGGCGGCUGACGGCGUACAGCGCCGCCUCCUCCUGGGUCAGGGGCCCGAAGGCAGUGGCGCCCCCGCUCCGCGCCGGCUGUGGCACGGUGGCUCGGCGCCCUCCCUGCCGGGGCACCAAGGCGUGCCCCCCACUGGCCGCUUGCGACGCGGCCAGCACCUCCUCCGACGUCCCUCCCGGCACCGAUGACGACCCGGAAGCCGGGAUGCCCUGCGCCACCACCACCGACCCAGUGGCUGGGGUGGCUUCCGCCACCGCCACCUGCGGUACCUCCUCCAUGGCCGGCGGCACCUCCGGUGCCGCCGCCCGCAAUGCCUCUUCUGAGACGACGCCGCUCACACCACCAUCAGCCCCCGCGCGCUCGAUCACGUCGGCCCACGGCGGGGUAUCACUCCCCACCUCCACGACCUCCUGGUCGAGGAUCACCACCUCAGCCCGGCCUCCAUGGCCGCGCUCCCUCAACGACAAUGUCUCAAAGACCAUCGCCGCGACCAUCGUACCCUCUGGCAUCUCGCGCCAGGCCGGCUCCACGCUGAAUCGCGCCCAUGCCACCGCCGCGUCGGUCCAAGCCUGGGCCGACAUCGCCUCCAGCUCCGCCUCGGCCCGGUUCCUAUCCCGCCAGGCCAAGGCCUCGACGUCGUUAGGAUCCAGGCCGAGGUCUGAGUCGGCUCGCCUCUCCACCUCGCCCUGCUCGGCGAGGUCGGACCGGCUCGUGUGGAACGUGGCCCCUUCGGCGGCCGCAUCCUCCACCUCCACCCUCGCCAGCACGAUUGGCGACCUAAAGAAGAAGGCAGAAUGAGCAAAAAAGAAGCAAGACUAGCUCAAAAAAACCCAGGCACAAAGCAAGAAAUGAAGCUUACCCCGUCAAGACCGGGGCCGGGACUGGCCUCCCGUGCCCACUUCCGCGCUUCUUCUUGGCCGGCCUCCCAGCCACCACCGGGUCCGCCGUGCGCUUCGGGGCCCGGGGUCGUGGCGUGACGCUGUCUUUGCCGUGCAGGCGGCUCAGGGCCACCCCGUGGGAAGACUCGGCUCUGCCCGCGUCACCGCCUCCCCCGCCCAACGCCACUACACCAACAGCCGACGUCAGCAUCGCCCGCAGCGCGACACGAUCAACAAUUCAAAUGAAGAAAGAAAGAUGCAAGACUUACCCGCGCGACGCCCAGCGCCGGCGUCGGACUCGGCCACCUCCUCCUUGCCGAGAGCCGCGGGCUCCUCUGGCGCCGCCGGCGCCACCUGCGAAGGAGCCCGGGCAUAAGGAUGCCGAAUCGCGUUUAGAAGAAUCUCCCGCGUCGCGUCAGGGCGGAUGAGAAGAUGCGCGGCAGCAAAAUAAGAAGACCAAACACUAACCUGCGGCGCCAGGUUCACCUGGCUGUACGGCGCCUUGCCGAACCGCCAGUCCUCUCCAAGGUUGGCCUUGGAGAUGUCGUUCACACCACGCGACCUGCUCCGCGGAUAGUCGCGUCGACCCCAUGUGGUUGGGGUCUUGCAGGCCGAUCAUGUCACCGAUGAGGCAGGAGCGCCUCUGAAGCGGAAGGACCCAGCAAGUGAUGAACGUGGCAAGGUGGUCGGUGACGGUGAGCCCCUCCUGCGAUCUCAUCACUGUCACCCGCUCGCAGAGAUUGACGAUCUCCUGCGACGGGCGCCAGAGCGAGUAGCCCCAGUUCGUCUUCGCCCGCGGCGGCGCGAUGGUGAAGGGUGGAAGGUUGAUGUGGUCCGCGCCCUAGUUCCGGACGUAGAAGAAAGAGUUCUGCCACUUCUUGGCAGAAUCCUGCAGCGGGAUCUUGGGGAAAUCAGCCCCGACCGCUUCGAGAUGACGGCGGCGCUGCUGUCGGCGAACUCCCCGGCCGACGGACCCUGCUACUUCAAGGAGAAGAAGCGCGCCCAGAGGUUGAUCGUGGGCUCGAUCCCCAGGUAUCCCUCGAAGAGCGUGACGAAGUCGGAAAGCUGCAUGAUGGCACCGACGCCGAGAUGGUGCGGCUAGAGCCGGAAGAACUCCAAGAACGCGCGGAAGAAGUUGCUCGCCGGCAGCCCAAAUCCGCGCUCGAAGUGCGUGAGGAAGACCACGCACUCCUGAUCCUCAGGCCGAGGCCUCUUCUUGCCGCGCGGCAAGCGAACACCAACGUCCGUCUCCCGCGACAGUCGCCGCGACGCCCGGAGCCGGGUGAUGUCGUCGGCGGUGACAUUUGAGCCCAUCCAGGAUCCCGACGGCAGUGACAUGAUCAGAAGAAGAGGAAGACGAAGAUGGACAACGAAGGAAGCUCUGCCUGGAGCAGCGGGCGCUGCAGUGCGUCGGUUGCAAAGGGCAAGGCGAAAGCAGAAGGACAGGAGGGCGCGAGCGAGAAUAAUGUUCGCCGUCCCCCUGCCCCCCGAUUUAUAGCCCCCGGUUCAAAUGUGGGGGAGUGGGAUCGUCCGCACGCACCCGUUCCACUACCCCGCAAUAAGUGCGCAUGUACAUGUGCAGUAACUGAUCGGGGAAGUGUAACCGGCCCCCAGACGCCGCAAUAAAUCCGCGCGCGUGGGGCAAGGGCGCGCGGCUGCGGGCCCCGGCCCGUCGCCCGGUCCCGUCACGGGCGUGGCCUGUCAGGCCCCUCCGACUUCCGAGCCCCACGUGGCGCCUGCGCGAAGCCCAAGGGAUCGUCUCAAAGAUUCGACGGACUCCUUGGUUCUCGCCACGGCCGGGACGCGCGAUCCGGUUUCCGAGAAAACCGGCACACAGUGGUUGUUGCCGGACCCGGCACUCGCAGAAUCCGCCUUGCUAAAGGGGGAAACUGCGAAGGCCCACUCAUCCGAAGAUGGCGGACCUUCACAGCUUCGGGGACUACUGUCGGGGGGAUGAACCCCGGGCAGGCAAUGGAACCCGGAUCCUUUUCAAAAACAGCGGGGCCUGCAUCGCCCCACAAACCGGCACGCGCCUGGCCGGGUCGCUCGACCCGGCAGCGCCCGCGACCUGGCCAAGGUACGUCAACCCGGCCGCAGCAGCUGGCACAAGACAACUCGACCCGGCGCAACCAAGGCUUCCCCAGCAAGCCAGCCCCACCCAUGGCGUCCACGGCAACCCAGCCACGGGUCAGCUCCCGUCCCAUCCAGGCCGUACGAUGGGACGAGACCUCAACCACCGAUGACCAAGACAACAGUGUUUCCACCCAUGCAUGUGGUCAGCCGGAGCGUGGUAACAGUGCCCCACACCUACUCGCUGACCAAGGUUGGCGUGGCAACAGUGCUCCUGCCCUCACCGCUGAUGACAGCAAGCGGCAGCCUGACGGAGAGGACUGUACAUGACUCGAAUCGGCCACAACCUGACAAUUGAAAAGACGGCCGCACAAUCCCCUAGGCACGCGGGGCCUGCACCUAGGGGAACCCGGUGAACCAGAAGCCCUCAAGCGGGACCCAGCCCGGCGUCCUGGACACCGACAAUACGGACCCACCGACUCGGCAUAUUACCAUUAUAACCCUGGGUGGGUUGGUCUAUAAAACCCCCCAGCAACCCGCGCCUACAGGGAGAGAUGACAUGUAAUGCAAAGCUGCCUGUGAGAAAUAGACAGAGCCAGCGAGCAUAGGACUAGCCACCCAACAGCAACACCGGGGAGAAGGAGCAGCCCAAGCCUUGGCCAGCUUCCUUCCUCCUCCAUACAGCUCCAGGAGCAACAUUGUACUAUCGAUCAUCCAACUACACUUGGCAGGACUAGGGGUAUUAUCUCUCCGGAGAGCCCCGAACCUGGGUAUGUCCGGUGUCCCGCGCCCGCUCAUGCCAACCUCGCCUCUGGAUCCCACCAGUGGCCUCGAGCCUCCUCCUCUCGUUAGCCAUCCCUUGGCAUCUGCCGUGCGCCCACCACGACACCGCUCCUGCUCCUCCACCGAGGUAGUUCCUCCAUCCCUCCUCCUUCCACCUCCCUCCCCUCCCCUUCUCGCCCCUCUCUCGAUCCCUCCCUCCCUUCCUCUACCUCCUCCCUCCCGCCUCCUUCCUCCCACCUCCCUCCUUGCCUCGUCUGUCCUCUCCUCCCUGCCUCAUCCAUCCUCCUCCUCCCUGCCUCAUCCGUCUGCCUCCUCCCUUCCACCUUCUCUCACCCCUCCCCUCCUUCCUACUACCUCCACUUCCCUCUAUUUUUGAAAUUUUAAGAAUGUAAAUUUAGGGUAGAACUAGGGUAAUAGAAUUUUUAGCAAGUGUUUAAUAGAAAUAGUUUCUUUAGUAAGUUGUUAAUACAACUAGUUUAUUUAUAGUAAGCGCUUAAUAGAACUAGUUUAUUUAGUAAGUGGUUAAUAGAACUAGUUUAUUUAGUAAGUACUAAAUAGAACUACUUUAUUUAGUAAGUGCUUAAUAGAACUAGUUUAGAGAGAGAGACCUAUAUUGGCAAAUUUAGUUAUGUUAGGAUUAUAUAUAAGAUAUUUUGAAAUGUUUUUGUUCAUAUUUUCAACCAUUGAAAUGCAAUGACGAUCAAGUUUGAAUACUCAUAUGAUGUAGAUAUAAACAUGUAUAUCUAGUGUUGCUCAAAUAGGAUAUGUGCUUACCCAAGUGGCCAUGUUUGCAGGGAACACCUCCGAGUGGCCUAUGUUUUGCCGGAGUGUUGAUAAAUUUCUGUUCCGGCAAAUUUCAGGCGCUUGGUAUGUCCUUUUUUUUAGCAAAGGUCAUGCCGGAUUUUUCCGUGAAUUUUGGCUUGGCUUGUGCUAUAAUAUAGGAAAUAUCGAGUGCGUUGGAAAUGCCAGAAAGAGCAUUUAACGCCAUUUUGGGUUCACUUUAAGUUGACAGAUCGAUAGUCAACCCGUGAUGAAUAAUAAUGAUCUAAUUUAGGUUUUGUAGUACAUAUAUUGAAUUGUACAAGUUUAAUCUUUGAAUUAUGAACAUAGGAAAUGUCUAACGAUGAUAAUAGGCUUCCGGAGUGCGACUGGUGCGGCGAUGAUCGGGGUCUGUGCGACAUGCCUCACCUGGUAGAAGGCCCGCGCUUCAGUAUUAAGCUCGAUGAGACCUUCUAUGUUGAAAUGGUACACAACGACAAUAAGUGUUCUUUCGUAAUUAAGCAUGACUUUUGCUUCUUCGACGUGUAAUUUCCAUAUUUUACAAUUCGACUAGCUUAUCCCAUGCCAUGCAAGACGCUAUGUCUUGGAGAAGCUGGAUUUUGAAGAUUAUGAAAAUAUGGAGACAAAGAUAGUUCACCUAAGGACCCAUCAUGGUUAUGAUUUUGCUAUUAAUCUAUAAAAUUCUGAGAGCGUAUCCCAUUUUGGUUGCCCGAAUUGGGAAGCACUUUGCAAGACGUAUGAUUUUCAGAGGGUAUGCUUGUCACCUUGGAUCUUGGUGAUCCUGACAUCGGCGAAGAGAAUAUGGACAUUUGGGUCCUUGUUGAUACGCUUCCAAUUCUACCGCUAUGUGAGUUUAUCAAACAUAUUUGUUAAGUAAUAUACAUUGUUUAUUUCAAAAUAGUUGUCAACUUAUUUCCAUUGACAGCUUAGUUUUCAUUCUUCAAAAAAUGUACGAAAGAUUGUAGACAAAACCUACUACACCGAUGGCGCGGAACUAACUUAUCAGGAGAAAGAUCAUCUUAUCUCAUUUAUUAAUGAUGUUGAGAAUUACAAUAUCAAUUAUUAAAUUCCUACACAUUAUGGUCAAUACGUGCCACUAGUGCACGUGUUGAACUACGGUAACAUCCAUGGAGAUGACAUGGUAAGAUUUUUUUACUAUUACGACAUUCAUGCAUCUUUUGCAUAUAUUCUUCUAAAGCUAAACUACAUUGCUAACUAUGAUGUUACUAUUAUGUUUUUCAAGAGAAAAUCCCGAAGGAUUAUGUGCCCGAUCUGAUGUUUCCGAAAGGUUGCCUUGAUGUUAUUAGCUUACGGCCAAGUCCGCCUAGGCUUCAUAACUGUUCAUACUAGAUUUCUUAAACCGAUGAAGACUUGACAAUCAAAAAGUGGAAAAAAUGUAUGAAUAAUCAUAGGGAGCUGCUUGGAAGCAACAUUGUGCAAAGCGCAAGAAUUGGAGACAAGAUAGUGUCCAUUCUCCAUAAUGGAGAGUAACCUAUCUUGUUUUAUGCUAUUUUACCUUAGGGAGGGUAGUAGGUCCUAUGAGAGAGGAGUAGGUCCUAGGUACAAUGUGUUAUUAUCUGCUACAAUGUGUUAGCAUUGAUGAUGAUGAUGAGGAGGAGUUGUGAUUAUGACUAGUAACCAAGUUGUUAUGUGAUGUCUCAUGGACGAAAAUGAUGAUCAUGAGGAGUUGUUAUAUGACAAUGAUGUAUUAUGAUGAUAAGUUGUUAAUGAUAUGAUGAUGAUGAUGAUGAGUUAUUAUAUCAUUGGGUGAAAGAACCGUGGAUUAGUUUCAAGUGGACGGGUCCUAAGUGACCAAGUCAUGGAUUAUCACAAUUCGUGAUAAUCCAUGACUUGGUCACUUAGGAUCCAUCCACUUGAAACUAAUCCAUGGUUCUUUCACCCAUACCAAGUGAUGUAAUAACUCAUUAUGAUGUAAAAACAAUCUCUAAACUGCUACUGUAUGAAAACUUGUAUAAUGGUGUAUGAAUACGAUAUAAAAUAAAACAGAAAUAGAAUAUGUAAUAAUAGUAGUAGCACAGACAGAGAGGUGCGCUGCUAGUAAUUACAAGUAGCGCUUUCUGCAAGACGCGCUACUGCUAAGUAGGUAUAGCAGUAGCGCGUGCAAACCAAUGCUACUGCUAACCUUUAGCUGUACCCCGCGCUACUGCUAGGCCAAAAACCAGCGCUACUGCUAGGCUUUUUCCCUAGUAGAACUACAAAAAAACCACUUCCGUGAUGAUACGUGUUUGUCACAGCAGGUCACGUUUUCUGUCAUGCAUGUACAUCCUUGACAAUUUAUGGCAGAAUCAAGAUAGUCAUACCUGUGCUGUCGUAGAAGCGUUCCAUGACAUUACCAAAAUUAUCAUCAUGGAAGUGUCCACUUCCAUGACGACAAAUCGCGCGUCAUAGAAUUGCUUUCGUCAAGGGUAACUGACACGUGGCAUCCACCAUAACGGGUCGCCGCUAAGCUAUUGGGUUCCGGUUUGGAUCUGAUAACCUGUUAACAGCCCGGAGCAAUGGAGAUUUUCCACGUGUAAAAUUCUCAAUGGCCAGAGGAACCACGUGUUGGCUCACCGUUGGGACAGAUGUCAUCCACUCAUCGGACCGAAGGCUCCUAUGAUACAUCGACACGUGGCAUGAACCAACAAAGGCCUAAUCAAGUGAAAAGGCCAACCCAUUUUACUUGGUCAAAAGGUAGCGGGCCGGCCCACGGAAAGCAUGUUAACGGCAUGUUCUCAUAUAGCGCAUUUACAACCCGCUAACUCACGGCCCGUUAUGGCCUACCAGAAUUUGGCUCAGUAGCGUCAUAUGGGCCAUCCAAUAUGAUUCCAGCCUAUUGUAACUUCCGGCCCAUGUAUGGCCCAUGACGUCUUUUGGCCCAUAGGAGGCAUUUGUAACUCUGGGCCCAUUAAAGGCCCGAGAUGAAACUGGUCCAUAAUGAAUAGUGUAUCAAUUUAUACCCAUUAAUGGCCCAUUAUUCCGUUGGCCGUUUCCAUCCCAUGUUAACUUUCGGCCUUCUAAGGGGCCAUUUAUUCUUGGGCUCAUAUCCAGAAUUCGGUUACUUACGGUCCGUUACUAGCCUAUUCCGCUUGUGGGCCAAAUUCAGCCCGUGGUUACAGUCGGCCUGUUUGUGCCCCAUUAACCCAUUGGGCUAUUUUGAUAGCGUCAUCAAAUACGGCCUAUUAACGGCCCCUUAUGGUCGGGCCAUAAAACAAAUGAUUUCCACUCUAGCCCGUUCACGACCCAUUUUGUGGACCGUUAUUGGUCCACAAAUUGUAUGGCCCAUGUUUGGUCAAAUGAUUAUACGGCCCGUAGAAGGUGAUGACCCACAAGUGUAGGGGAUCUAUCGUAGUCCUUUCGAUAAGUAAGAGUGUCGAACCCAACGAGGAGGAGAAGGAAAUGACAAGCGGUUUUCAGUAAGGUAUUCUCUGCAAGCACUGGAAUUGUAGGUAAUAGAUAGUUUUGUGAUAAGAUAAUUUGUAAUGGGUAACAAGCAAUAAAAGUAAAUAAGGUGGAGCAAGGUGGCCCAAUCCUUUUUGUAGCAUAGGACAAGCCUGGACAAUUUCUUAUAUAGAUAAAAGCGCUCCCGAGGACACAUGGGAAUUACCGUCAAGCUAGUUUUCAUCACGUUCAUAUGAUUCACGUUCAUUACUUUGAUAAUUUGAUAUGUGGGUGGACUGGUGCUUGGGUACUGCCCUUUCAUGGACAAGCAUCCCACUUAUGAUUAACCACUAUUGCAAGCAUCCGCAACUACAAAAGAAGUAUUAAGGUAAACCUAACCAUAGCAUGAAACAAGUGGAUCCAAAUCAGCCCCUUACGAAGCAACGCAUAAACUAGGGUUUAAGCUUCUAUCACUCUAGCAACCCAUCAUCUACUUAUUACUUCCCAAUUACUUCCACUAGGCCCAAAUAAUGGUGAAGUGUCAUGUAGUCGACGUUCACAUAACACCACUAGAGGAGAGACAACAUGUGAUGCCCCCGAUUCAAUCGUACACUAAUCAUGCACGCAAACGUGUACAAUCAAGAUCAGGGACUCACGGGAAGAUAUCACAACACAACUCUAAAAGUAAAAUAAGUCAUACAAGCAUCAUAUUACAAGACAAGGGUCUCGAGGGCUCGAAUACAAGUGCUCGACAUAAAUGAGUUAGCGGAAGCAACAAUAUCUGAGUACAGACAUAAGUUAAACAAGUUGCCAUAAGAUGGCUAGCACAAACUGGGAGACAGAUCGAAAGAGGCGCAUGCCUCCUGCUUGGGAUCCUCCUAACUACUCCUGGUCAUCGACAGCGGCCUGCACGUAGUAGUAGGCACCUCCAGUGUAGUAGGAGUCGUCAUCGACGGUGGCGUCUGGCUCCUGGGCUCCAACAUCUGGUUGUAGCAACCAGAAAGAAAGGAAAGGGAAAAAAGGAAGAGCAAAGUGUCACAUCCCUAGCUGCUGGUAGUGCUCUAGGCUAGCUUCAUGUGUGCAUCAUGUUUAAAUUCUGAAAAUUUGAACUGAGGGAAUUUUGGAAGCCUCAAAAACUUAAAUAAAAGAAGGGCAAAAACCCUAAAAUCUCAUUCAUUGUUCCAAAAUGCUCUUCUUAAAUGUUUGAUAAUUUUUGGUAAGGGUUCUGGUCCCAACCAAAAUAUUGAACAUUUUUAAGGAAUUAUUUUUGGGACUUUGGAUUUAAUUCAUUAGCUAUUUGAAUUUGAAUUAUAUUCAUAUAAUUGGAAUAUAAAUUCAAAUACCCCUGAAAUAUUUUAUAAGCUUUUGGAAGAGUCCAUCUAGCAAAUAAAAAAAUAUUCAGAGGAGUUUUUGGCAUUGUUUGAAUUUGUUUAAAUUCAAAACAAUGCCAAAACAAAUUUAAAAAGAUAGAAAAACAGAAUUAAAACAGAAAGAGAGAGAAAGAACCGUACCUGGGCCACUUACCUGUAGCCGGCCCAGCUCCUCCCGCUGGCCCAGCCCACCUCCUCCCCCCUUGUCCUCUUCUUCCUCUGCCAGUAGGCAGAGGCGAGGCGUGGCGCGCGCCCGAAGAGCUCCGGCCACCUCCUGCUUACCUGCUCGCCGCUGGAGGCACCCGAGGGAGCCACGCACUCCCCCCCUCGUUCCCCACGACCUCUCUCACUCUCCCGUAGCUCUCCCUCGCUCCUUCCUCUCCUCUGCUCUCUCUCCCUCACGCGACCGAAUGGAGGCCGUCGCCGCCGACCAGCGCUCGCGCGGCCACAGCCACCGUCUCGUCUCCCCGACGCCUCCCAGAGCUCCGCCGGUCCUCCCUCGUCCUCCUCGUCGUCUCACGCGACCAGAAGAGCCCCGGAACGCCGCCCCCGACGUUUUCCCCCUCGCCGGCCGCCGAGGAUCUUCUCCGUCGAUUCGGCCACUCCGGCGCGCCCCCGAGCCCACUAACCCUCCCUGCAGCUUCGCGGUGAGCCCUCGACCCGAUUCCCCCUCUCCCCGUGCCCCACCUCCCUCUCUAGCUAGCCCUAUCACCUUGCCCGAGAAUCCCUCGCCGCCGGCCAUGGCGCCGUCGCGGCCACAGCCGUCACCGCUUGCUUAUGAGCCCACCAACGCGCUCAGCGCAUCCGAAGGAGCUCAAAUCACCCAACUGCUGCUCCUCCCGUGCUCUGUGGCAUAGUUCCCGUCGAUAGCCGAACUCCGGCGGCCGCAAAAGAGCUCGCCGCCGUUAACUCCGGCCACCCCAGCACCAAACACCGCCACCGUUGGAUGCGCCACAUCGCCAGCUACUCGUAGCACCCACCCGCGCAUCAAACCGUGGCCGGAGCAGCGUUUCCGACGCCCUCCGCCGUUGCUGGCGUCGCCGGCGACAAGCCGCGGGUCAACUCCGGCGGGUUUGACCCGGGGUUUGACCCCCUGACGUGUGGGCCCAGGCGCCUGGUUGAUUAGGGUUAGAUUAGUUAGCGUUAAUUAACCUAGCUAAUUAGAUAGGCCACUGACAUGCGGGCCCCGCCCGGCUAACUAAGUUAGUUAGGGCUAACUAACCUGGUUAGUUGACUGGGUCACUGACCAGUGGACCCCACUGGUCAGGUUUGACCUGGGGCGCCCAGUUGACCCUGCUGACGUCACUGUGACGUGGGGCUGACGCAAUAAGUAUUUUCUGGAUUUAAUUUAAUUCUGAAAUUCCAGAAAAUGCCUAAAACUUCAAUAAAUCAUAGAAAAUUAACCGUAACUCCAAAUUAAGUAAAUUAUAUAUGAAAAAUUAUCAGAAAAAUUCAAGGAAUCCAUCUGUACCAUUUUCAUGCAUGUUAGAACAACUUAUAGCUGCUGUUUAGCACAAAUCAUAUAAAGGGCAUUUAUUUAAUCACAUAUGGAGUUUGAAUUUGAAUCUUGUAUUCAAACCAACUUCAUUUAAUCUGUUGCUAGUUGCAUUAGCCAAAACACAUUCAUUUUGCCAUGUCAUGAUCAUGCAUCAUAUUGUGCAUUGCAUUGAUUGUGUUCCCUUCUGUGUUGCCGGUUUUGUCCCCUCUCGAUAGACGUGAUACCGAUGAUGUGAUCGUUGACACUGAUGAAGACUCAAUGUUAUCUUCAGAAGUGCCAGGCAAGCAAAAAACCCCUUGUUCAUUCUGAUACAAUCCUACUCUCUCUCUCCUGCUCUCUUUUACUGCAUUAGGACAACACCGAUUCAACUGUUACAUGCUGCGGUAGUUGAACCCCUUUAUCCUCUGCAUGACCUGUCAUUGCCACAGUAAAUAGAUGAAACCCACUAGCAUGAGUAGGAGUUGUUUGAGCCCUGUUGUGCCUACUCAUUCAUGUUUGUUUGUCAUGCCUGCUACUGCUUAGAGUUGAGUCAGGUCUGAUUCAUCGGGGAUGAAUCAGAGGCGUGUGAACAUGUCCUACUGUGUGUGAGCUAAGUGUGUGAACACGAUUUGGUAAAGGUAGUGGUGAGAGGCCAUGUAGGAGUGCAUGGUGGGUUGUCUCAUUGCAGCCGUCCUCAGGAACUGAGUUCUGUGUUUGUGAUCCAUGAUUCAGCUACUACCAUACAUUGGGCCCUGAAAUAUGACCCCGCUCGACUUCUUAUUCACCCUUGUCCUCUGUCCAGGAGUUGCAAGUAGUUUCUGGUGUUUGUAGUAUGCUGGAGGCCGUGGACAGCGCUGACCGUAGGGGUGGCCUAUGAUGCGGUAGGCACGUGGCCGGGUAUACCGGGCGCCCGUUUGGUGUCACGGAACCCUGUUCACAUCGUUUGGGGCUGUGAGCGAAACUCCGGCCGGAUCUCCUCAUGGAUGGAACCCGAAUAGGCGAUAAACCUGGACUAGAGACUUGAGUGUUUAGGUAGGUCGUGGUCUACACCCACGUCGGCUUUCGCUUGAAGUCUGCCGAGCACAUGUCGUGUGCAGACGCUAAGUGGUGGAAACAUGUAUGAAGAAGUACACCCCUGCAGGGUUAACAUCAUCUAUUCGAAUAGCCGUGUCCGCGGAAAAGGACUUCUGGGUUGCUUAUAUCAGUUCAUAGACAAGUGAAAGUGGAUACUCUAAAAUACGCAAGAUAAGCGUGAGUGCUAUGGAUGGCGUUCUCGUAGGGAGACGGGAGCGGUUCCAUAGUGGUGUAUUGGUUGGUGAAUAUGUGGACUCGUGUGCGCCACCUCAAAAGAGUUACAUUGCAGUCGUAGUUCAGGAUAGCCACCGAGUCAAAGCUGGCUUGCUGCAGUUAAACCCACCAUCCCCUUUGUUGAUAAUGAUGUAUAUGUAGUUAGUUCUGAUGUAAGUCUUGCUGGGUACAUUUGUACUCACGUUUGCCUAUUUUAUGUUUUUGCAGAGAGACUUCGGUCUCACUAGUAGUUUCGCGUGGACUUCGACGUUUAGCUUGUUACCUCAGCUACGAUCUUGUGCCUCGGCAGGAUCUAGUAGAUAGUCAGGCUUCUCAGCCUUUUUCAUUUAUAGAUGUCUGUACUCAGACAUGAUAGCUUCCGCUUGUGCUUUGAUUUGUAUGCUCUGAAUGUUGGGUCGUGAGACCCCUGUUUGUAAUAUCUCGCUCCUCGGAGCCUAUUGAAUAAAUACUUGAGUCGUAGAGUCAUUUUGUGAUGCCAUGUUGUAUUGCACAUAUCGAGCAUAUUGUGUGUAUGUUAUUGAAAUGCUUGGUAUGUGUGGGAUCUGACUAUCUAGUUGUUUAUCCUUAGUAGCCUCUCUUACCGGGAAAUGUCUCCUAGUGUUUCCACUGAGCCAUGGUAGCUUGCUACUGCUCCGGAACACUUAGGCUGGCCGGCAUGUGUCCUUCUUCGUUCCUGUGUCUGUCCCUUCGGGGAAAUGUCACGCGAUGAAUACCGGAGUCCUGUUAGCCCGCUACAGCCCGGUUCACCGGAGUCCUGCUAGCCCAGUGCUACAGCCUGGAUUCACUCGCUGAUGACCGACACGUUCGAUGCUGGGUCAUGGAUGCCUGUCCCUGUAAGUCUGUGCCACUUUGGGUUUACGACUAGCCAUGUCAGCCCGGGCUCCUUAUCAUAUGGAUGCUAGCAACACUGUCAUAUACGUGUGCCAAAAGGCGCAAACGGUCCCGGGCAAAGGUAAGGCGACACCCGUGGGAAUACCGUGCGUGAGGCCGCAAAGUGAUAUGAGGUGUUACAUGCUAGAUCGAUGUGGCAUUGAGUCGGGGUCCUGACACAAAGCAACCGUGAGUACUCAUCCAAAGUACUCGCAAGCAAGGAUCUACACUACAUAUGCAUGGGUAUAUGUGUAAGGAGGCAAUAUCGAUGGACUGAACUGCAGAAUGCUAGAAUAAGAGGGGGAUAGCUAGUCCUAUCAAAGACUACGCUUCUGGCAGCCUCCGUCUUGCAGCAUGUAGAAGAGAGUAGAUUGAAGUCCUCCAAGUAGCAUCGCAUAGCAUAAUCCUACCCGGCGAUCCUCCCAUCGUCGCCCUGUGGAAAAGCGAUCACCGGGUUGUCUGUGGAACUUGUCUGGGUGUGUUUUAUUAAGUAUCCGGUUCUAGUUGUCAUAAGGUCAAGGUACAACUCCGGGUCGUCCUUUUACCGAGGGACACGGCUAUUCGAAUAGAUAAAUUUCCAUGCAGGGGUGCACCACAUAACCCAACACACUCGAUCCCCUUGCCGGACACACUUUCCUGGGUCAUGCCCGGCCUCGGAAGAUCAACACGUCGCAGCCCCACCUAGACACAACAGAGAGGUCAGCACGCCGGUCUAAAUCCUAUGCGCGCAAGGGUCUAGGCCCAUCGCCCAUUGCACACCUGCACGUUGCAAGGGUGGCCGGAAACAUACCUAGCCUCCCUAAUACAAGAGCAGGCGCUCCAGUACAAUCCGGCGCGCGCCGCUCAGUCGCUGACGUCAAGAAAGCUUCGGCUGAUACCACGAUGUCGAGUGUGCAUAACUGUUCCCGCGUAGUUGGUUAGUGCGUAUAGGCCAAUCACUAGACGCAGAUCAAAUACCAAUAUCUCGUUAAGCGUGUUAUUAUGAAGUAACCGUGAACGCCGACCAAGGCUAGGCCCACCUCUCGCCUAGGUGGUCUCAACCUGCCCUGUCACUCUGCCACAAAGAUCCACACAGAGGAUCGUCGGGACAAAUGUCCUUUCAGCCCCCAAUCCGUGAAUCACUCGCGUGUACUCAACGAGCCGACCCGACUUUAGUCACCAUCUGUAUAGUAGGUAUAUAUGUAUAGUAUAUACCCGUGAUCACCUGCCAAGUGAUCAGGGCCCGAUAGUAUAGCAAGGCAGGCUGACAAGAAUGUAGGGCCAAUGAUAAUAAACUAGCAUCCUAUACUAACCAUUUAGGAUUGCAGGUAAAGGUAUCAACAGAUGUAGCAACAAUGACAGGCUAUGCAACAGAAUAGGAUUAAUCGAAACAGUAACAUGCUACACUACUCUAAUGCAAGCAAUAGAGGGUAGACUAGGCGAUAUCUGGUGAUCAAAGGGGGGGCUUGUCUAGUUGCUCUGGCAAGAAGGAGGGGUCAUCAACUCCGUAGUCGAACUGGGUAGCAGCAGCAUCGGUCUCGUAGUCUACCACAGAGAAGAGGGGGAAGAAAUAGUAAAUACAAUGCAAACAUAAGCAUAUGACGAUGCAUGACAUGACAAUGAGCGGUUUUAGGUGUGCCCUAACGCGGUAGUAGGUGAUACUGGCGAAAGGGGGAAACAUCCGGGAAAGUAUCCCCGGUGUUUCGCGUUUUCGGACAGAUGAACCAGACGUGCAAUGUUGCAGGUUCACUAUGCUAGGGACGCGUGACGGACGGACGGGUUGCGUAUCUGGAUUCGUCUCAUCGUUCUGAGCAACUUUAAUGUACAAAGCUUUUCAUCCGAGCUAUGGUUUAUUUUAUAUUAAUUUUAAAUGAUUUAAUCAUUUUUAGAAUUUAUGUAAUUAUUUAAUUCUAACAUUAUCCAGAAUAGUGUAUGCUGAUGUCAUCAUGACGUUAGUAGUCAACAGGGCAUUGACUGGGUCAAACUGACGUGAGGGUCCUGCAUGUCCUUGACAAAUUAAUUAACUAACAUUUAAUAAGGUUAAUUAGUGAUUAGAUUAAUCUAAUUAUGAUUAAUUAAGUAAAUUAAUUCUUUAAUUAAUUAAUAUUUUUAUUAUUGUUAGUUUUUUAAUUCUUUUUUUUACAAAAACAUUCUGGGUGUGGGGCCCAUCUGUCAUAGGCCCCAGGGGCCUUAGCGGUUGCGGGCAACGGGCGCAAGGCGUGACUCGAACGGGCACACGCCCAGGUGCAGGCGGACCCGGGAGGGCACCGGAACAGGGGAGGCCGGUGGCCACGGCGUGGCCAUGGUCGGAGCGGGGCGAGGCUGCGGUGGUGCGCGGGCGGUAGCCGGAGGCGGCACUCGGCUGAGGCCCAGCUGGAGCUAUGGCAGUGGCCGCAGGGAGGCUAGGCUGGAGCCGCAGGGGGAGGUGGGUGGUGACUGGAGGUGGCGUAGAGGGGCAAGGUCACCGUGGCGACGGGGCGCUGCAGCCCGACUGGUCCCUGGCGCCGGCUGGAGCGGAGGAGGGCGCCGGCCAGGGCAAGGGACAGAGGAGGCGCGACAGGUGCGAGGAUACGCACGAGCGCGACCAGGGCGUGGCCCGGCCACGGUGUCCGAAUGGGCAGGGGCGUGCGAGGAGAGGGGACAGCCAGGGUCAGGUGCGGGGUGCGCGCGGCCAUCGGCCAGCGGCGAAGCCAGGAGGAGGGCGAGGCCAUGGCCGAGGUGGCCGGAGCAGGGGAGGCAAUGGGAGCCGGACGGCAGGGCGCAGUGAACGCGCGGUCGCGGGCACGGCCAGGGGCGAGCCCGAUCGCGGCCAACGGCGCGGUCAGUGGGUGCGGGGGCCAUGGUGAGCGCGGGGCGUGAGAGGGUACGACCGGUGUCCUCAGCAUGAUUCGUAGGGAUUCGGGCAGCGAGGCUCGGGAAGGAGGUCGGGGACAUCACGGCGGAGGGGAAGCAGGCCGACGGGGAGGAGGAGGCAGUCCGGCAGGGGAGCUCCAGGCGCCAGCGUCGGCGUCGGGGGUGGAGGGGCGAGGGGAUCGGGAUCCUCCCGAUCCAGAUCCAAUUGAGGGGGAGUGGGGGAGCGAGUGGGGCGACGGGGGGUUAUGGAGAGGGAGUGGGCCGGCUGGGCCUAGCCUGGCUAGCAACUGAGCCGGUUGGCCCGAGGGGUGCUUGCUUUUCUUUUAUUUUCAUUUUGUUUUCUCCUCUUGUUCUUUUUCUUUUAUUUAUUUUCCUUUCCGCUUUAAUUCACUUAAAAUGUAAAAGUGUGGUACCUUCACCUUAAAUACAUAGGCAUUAUUUGGCACACUCUGAACAUUUUAGUUUGAUGUUUGAAAACUUUUGUUGUUUGCCAUAUUUUGAAUUUGAUUUUUGGACCGGUUUUUGAACUAACGAAAGAUUAGCAACAGUAAUGGAGGUCACGUGGCAUCAUUAGCAGAGUUUCACUGUAGCAUAAUUAUCCGAGCGUUACAAAUUUCCUCCACUACAAGAAAUCUUGUCCCGAGAUUUAGGAGGUAGAAGGAAACAGUGCGGGGUAUUCUUUGCACAGACGAUCCUCACGUACCCAAGUGGCUUCAUGUUCAGAAUGGUUCGACCACUGGACCUUGAGGAACUUGAUCGCCUUCUGACGUGUGCGGCGUUCAGCUUGGUCGAGAAUGCGAACCGGAUGCUCUUUAUAGGAGAGGUCCUUUUGCAAUUCGAGCACUUCAUGAUCCACUCCUCGGAUUGGGUCCUUGAAGCAACGGCAGAGCUGUGACACAUGGAACACAUCAUGAACCUGAGAAAGGUACGGCAGAAGCUCCAGUUGGUAUGCCACUUUUCCACGCCUUUCCAGAAUAGUGAAAUGAGGAGCUAGCUUGCCCUUGAUCCCGAAGCGGUGAGCACCCUUCAUUGGUGUGACUCGAAGAUAAGCCUUUUCGCCAGGUUGAUAGACCAUGUCCUUAUGAUGACGGUCAUACUGACUCUUCUGACGCGACUGAGUAGUCUUGAUAUUCUCGCGAAUAAUGCGGACUUAUUCUUAGGCAUGUUGGAUAAUAUCUGGACCGAAGAGUGGACGUUCCCCAGUUUCUGACAAGUUCAGAGGGGUUCGGCACUUUCGUCCAUAUAACACUUCAAAGGGGGCCAUGUUCAGACUAGCUUGAUAGCUAUUAUUAUAAGAGAACUCAGCAUACGGGAGAGAUUCCUCCCAUUUCUUGCCGAAGGAAAUAACACAAGCUCAAAGCAUGUCUUUGAGAACUUGGUUGACACGUUCAACUUGCCCUUGCGACUGAGGAUGAAAAGCAGUGCUGAAAGACAGAUGAGUCCCCAUAGCUUCUUGGAAACUUGCCCAGAAUCUUGAAGUGAAUAAACUGUCUCGGUCUGAACUGAUUACCAAUGGAAUACCGUGAAGCGAGACAAUUCUGGACAUGUAGAGGUUUGCCAGCUGACUAGCAGUGAUAGUUUCUUUGAUAGCUAGAAAAUGCGCAACCUUAGAAAGUCGGUCAAUGACGACUAGAAUAGCAUCAUUACCUUUUUGCGAUUUGGGGAAUCUAGUGAUGAAGUAGAUUUCAACAUGGUCCCAUUUCCAUUCAGGAAUAGAGAUAGGUUGCAGAGUUCCAGCAGGCCGUUGAUGCUCUGCUUUGAUACGACGACAAACGUCUCACUCAGCAACAUAACGAGCAAUAUCUUGCUUCAUAUUAGACCACCAGAAUCUCUGACGAAUGUCUUGGUACAUCUUGGUGCUACCAGGAUGAAUAGACAAAGGUGUAUCAUGAGCUUCUUUCAUAACCUCCUAAGUCUUAUCCAGGUUAUCUUUUGAAGGGACCACUAGGCAACCUUUAAAGAACAAAGUGCCAGUACCAUCAAUAGUGAAGAACGAGGUCUUUCCUUCUUCAAGAUAGCGCUUAAUCUUGUGGGCUUGAGAGUCAUACUUCUGCAGCGUCUUGAUGCUUUCCACGAGAUCUGGUAUAGCAACCAGGGUAUUGAGAGAACCAUGGAGGUUCAUUUUUUGGAACCCUAGGGGAGGGGGAGUGAGUGCACCAGGAGGAACAAUAUGGAGGUUCAGCUUUCUGAAUUCUUGAACAAGCAAGGGCUGAACUUUGUGAACCUGGAGGUGGUUGCAGUAAGAUUUGCGACUCAAGGCAUCAGCCAUUACAUUAGCCUUGCCUGGAGUACAGGAGAUACCCAAGUUAAAAUCUGCAACAAUAUCCAUCCAUCUUUGCUGACGGAGGUUCAGGUCUGGCUGAGUAAACAGAUACUUCAGACUUUGGUGGUCGGUGAAGAUCUUGCAACGAUUACCGAGAAGGUAAUGUCGCCACUGUUUUAGUGCAUGUAUAACAGCAGCAAGCUCGAGGUCAUGAAUUGGAUAGUUCUCUUCCUGAGGGCGCAAUUGACGAGAGGCAUAAGCAAUCACUUUACGCUCCUGCAUUAGGACAGCGCCUAGGCCUUGACGUGAAGCAUCACAAUAAAUGACGAAGUCCUUCUUAGUAUGUCGGUGUACUAAAGUAGGGGUACCUUAGUAUCCCGAACUUGUGCACGGGCAGUCGUAGCAUCCCGCGGCAAGGCUUGCCGGGCGUCCGCCAAGAUCCUCCGCUAUUCCUAUUGAUGCCAUUCAAGAACAAAGUGUUUUAACUAAGAAGAUAAGGCCCCGGCAAGAGGAGCUUUCCGGGAAGGGCAAGGCACCGGCAAGAGGAGCUUGCCGGGAGGGCCAGCCAAGAAACUUGCCGCGACGCGCCGCCCGUCUCGGCGAGACCCGGCGAACGACAAGCUUUCGGGUGCGGCAAGACAACAACCGCGGCAAGGCGCUUGCCGCGGCGAAGCCACCACACUCUGCGCCCACACUCCAGCGCAUCCGACGAUGUGUCGCCCCAAGAUCGUUCCUGGCGCACGUGGCGGGCGGCUGUGCAGCCAAGCGGUGCGAGGUGGCAAGUGGAGAUGACGAGAAGGCCAUCGUGGCAAGCAGUGGCGCCCCAAACGGUCGUUUUCGGCAUUGUUUGGGCGAUCCGAUGGGCAUUAAAUGCCCUUGUCCCCUGCCGUCAGAGUUAGGUAGGGUGCACUGUGGAUAGCGGUUGUACCAACCCCUCUUUUUACUUUUUUACCCCUCUCUGCGUUGCCACCUGUCGGUGACCCCUUUAACCUAUAAAAGGAGGCCCAUGCGCAACGUAGAGGGGGUUCGACUCAUUCGAAACUACAACACACUCACGCUCUCAAGAAUGGAAUAUAAACACAAAGCAGCAGUAGGAGUUUUAUCUCUCCGGAGAGCUCCGAAGCUGGGUAAAAUCCCUCGCGUGCUUCGCCUCGAUCUGCUCUUCGUGCGCCCUCCGCUCCCUACCGGACCGAGAAGGGGCCCUGCCCCAUAGGUGCUCGUUUCCCACAACAUCUUUGGUGCGCCAGGUAGGGGGCGUCGAGGUUGUGCGAACCUGAUCCGGUCUUCGCGCGCGCUGCAUCAUCAUCUUCAUCGACAUGCCACCUAAGAAGAAGGCUUCGGAGGUGGUUGGUCCGUCUGCAUCGAUCCCGCCGCCACAGGAGCAAACGGGCGGUGGGGUAGACGCCGGCGGAGGAACGGGCGCCGACGGGGGGACUCACAUUGUCACCAGAUCCAAGGACAAGGCCCCGCAAACUUCGGCGUCCGUACAUGCACCGCGUCCCUCUCAGGAGGCGCGGGAUCGACAACGCCAUGGUGCUCCUAGCACCGUGCUCGCGUUAGAACAAGGCCAAGCUGGCGGAUCGCGGGACGCUCAAGGCCAACAUACACGCCAACACGUUGGCGCGAGCGCGGCACGGUCGCCUGGACGAGAUGUUGCUCCUUCUAACACUGUUAGAAGUUUGAGCAUAUCCCGCUCCUCGCGUCGUUCGCCCCUGCCGCCAAAAACCCCAGAAGAAGCGUUGGCCCGAGCCCAACUGCUACUAGACUACCCUCCAGCGCCGGACAAGAUCGACGACUGGAGGAUCACCAUCCAGAGCCUCAUCGGCUUCGCCAACGGCGACAAGCCCCGGCAACCAAGUACGUCUAAGCAGCGGCAAGACGCCCAGGCGCAACCCGGCGGCGACAAGACCGGUGGGGGUGCCACCACCGUGCACUCCCCGCCCGGAAGGCCAAGAUCGCCGAUUCGCCGGGCUAACCUCGACACCGACUCCACCGCGUCGUCGGACCCGCAAGCUCGUCGCGAUCAACGCCAAGUUCUCCAAGAAUGACGACAAGAAGACGCUCGUACUCGCAUCGAGCGUCGAAGAGAAGCGCGACGUCAGUCAGACCAGCGCGCUGGGCCCACCGUUGAUAUGCAUGCGCCAGGGGAACUAGGCGACUUGCCGUACGCGGUAGGUUGCCCUGCGUUCACUCGUCAGCUGCGGCAGGUCCAGUGGCCCAGUACCAAGAACUUCAAGCCAGACGUACCCGAGAAGUACGAUGGCAGGAUACAUCCGUCGGAGUUCCUCAGCGUCUACACCAUCGCGGUGCAGGCUGCCGGGGGGCGUGACGAGAAGAUCCUCGCCAACUACUUCCCGUUGGUGCUCAAACCCAACGUCAGAUCUUGGCUCAUGCACUUGCCGGAUAACUCCAUAUCCUCAUGGGCAGAUCUGUGCCAUCAGUUUGUCGGCGCCUUCACAGGCGGCCACAAGCCCCAUGGCCAUGAGAGCGAUCUUCAUCUGCUCGCCCAGAAGGAAGGAGAACCCCUGCGCAAGUACAUUCAAAGAUUCAGCCAGGUGCAGCGUAACAUCCCAGACGUCCACCCUGCCACGGUUAUCAGCGCGUUCCAUCAGAACGUGCGAAACCGCAGGAUGAGGGAGGAGAUGGCGAUGUGCAAGAUUAGAGAUGUCAGCGAGCUAUAUGCUCUGGCCGACAAGUGUGCACGUGCUGAAGAGGGGAGGAAACUCCCCGGACAGAAUGCAGGAGCAGAAGGAUCUGACAGUGAAGAUGCCGCACCGGCAAAGAAGAACCGGAGGCGGAAUAACAGAAAGAGGAAAGCUAAGGAUGUGCUAGUUGUCGAGCAGUCCGGCAACGGAGGUGGCGCCGAGAAGGCCAAAGCUGGUGACUCUGGCGAGGCUGUGGUGGCCGCCGACAAGCAGGACGGCUCCGGCAAGCAGUACUGCAAGAUCCACCGCACCAAGGGCCAUGAUCUCCAGGCAUGCAAGAAGGUUGAGAAGCUCGUAGAACUGCAGAAAGCUGAGUACGAGCGCCGUGACAAGGAGAAAGCCCAAGAAGGUGGAGGAGGAUCCGGCAAGAAGCGUCCCACCCGGGGAGGGCGCCACGGCAAGGCCAAGCAGCGGCAAGGAUAUAGGCCUCCCCGCGGUCGCGACAAGGGUGAAGACGAAGACGAAGAUGAUGAGAUGGAUGAGGAUGAGACCGACGAGCAAGAGUUUCAGAAAGCAACAGAGGUUUUGUGCGUCGACGGCGGUGCUUCUCUGCAUACUUCGCACCGCCAGCUCAAAUAGUGGGUGCGGGAAGUUAAUGCAACAGAACCGUCAGUUGAAUCGCGCAAGCCUCUGAAGUGGUCCAGCACGCCCAUCAUCUUUGAUGUUGAGGAUCUCCCUGAUCGCAUAACUGCGGUCGGGUGCUUGCCGAUGUUGGUAUCGCCAACUAUCCGCAACCUCAAGGUCACAAAGAUGCUGGUUGACGGCGGGGCUGGCUUGAAUCUGAUCUCCUCCGCGGUGCUCAAGAAGCUCCAGAUCCCCGACAGCGAGCUCGAAGAGACUGGUACCUUUCAAGGAAUCAACCCGGGAAGGAGCAAGCCAAAGGGGAAGAUCACACUGCCAGUGACAUUUGGCAGCGAGCUGAACUUCAGGACAGAGAAGGUCACCUUUGACGUUGCUGAUUUCCCAUUGCCCUACAAUGGGAUACUCGGCCGCCCAGCGCUCGCCAAGUUCAUGGCAGCCUCUCGCUACACUUACAACGUGCUCAAGAUGCCCGGUCCGAUAAGUGUCAUUUCUGUCCCUGGCGACAAGAAAGAUGCCCUUAUCUGUACCGACAAGAUCUACCGGGAAGCAGCAGGUGCAGCAGAUUGCAAGACACUUGCCGCUGAAGCUCCCGGGGGGAAGAAGAAGACCAAGUCCGGCAAGAGUAGCUCUGAUGCCCACUCCGGCAAGCGCACCUCUUCGGAGUGCUGCGCUACCGUCGAGGACGCACCAUCGAGCUCCACCGGCAAGUGCAAGAAGGCAAAGACAGCUUCACCAGAGACCAAGAAAGUGGCCGCCAAGGAGGACGGCACUGGUGGUACCUUCACCAUCAGUGCCACGCUUGACCCUAAAUAGGAAAGCGCGCUCGUUGCUUUCCUGCGGGCGAAUGUUGAUGUGUUUGCAUGGCAACCAUCUGACAUCCCCGGUGUUCCCAGGAAAGUAAUUGAGCACCACCUUGCCGUUUGUCCUCACGCGCGGCCCGUCAAGCAGAGAGUUAGGAAGCAAGCGGUGGAACGCCAAGAGUUCAUUGCAGAAGAGAUCAAGAAGUUGGAAGCAGCAGGCCUUGUCAGAGGAGUGCUCCAUCCUACGUGGUUGGCCAAUCCUGUAGUCGUGCGCAAGGCGAACGGGAAAUGGAGGCUUUGUAUUGACUUCACUGAUGUUAAUAAAGCUUGCCCCAAAGAUCCAUUUCCCUUGCCGCGCAUUGGCCAGAUUGUCGACUCCACGGCAGGAUGUGAUUUGCUUUCAUUUCUUGAUGCAUACUCAGGAUAUCAUCAGAUCUUCAUGGCAGAAGAAGAUGAAGAGAAGACCGCAUUCAUUACUCCAUGUGGCACGUACUGUUUUGUACGGAUGCCUUUCGGACUAAAGAAUGCUGGUUCAACAUUUGCAAGAGUAGUCAGUCAUGCUUUUGAGCCACAGUUGCAUAGAAAUGUAGAAGCUUACAUGGAUGACAUAGUGGUCAAGAGCAAGGACAAAGAAACUUUGAUCCAAGAUUUGGACGAAACCUUCGCAAAUCUGCGCAAGAUCAAUCUCAAGUUGAACCCCGAGAAGUGCGUGUUUGGAGUUCCUUCCGGCAAGCUUCUCGGGUUCUUCGUAUCCCAGAGGGGGAUUGAAGCCAAUCCCGACAAGUUCACAAAGUGGCCGGAGGUGGAAGCAGUGAGGAAGGUGACAGCACAGUCAGCAGUCAAGUUCUUCAGAUCAAUUGUUUGCCGUUUCGGAGUCCCUAACAGGAUCAUCACCGACAAUGGCACACAAUUCACGAGCCGCACCUUCAUACAGUACGUCCAAGAUCUUGGCGCCAAGAUCUGCUUCGCUUCCGUUGCUCACCCGAGAAGCAACAGUCAAGCGGAGAGGGCGAACACUGAAGUGCUGCGCGGGCUCAAGACCAGAACUUUUGACAGGCUGCACAAGUGCGGAAGAAAUUGGAUUGAGGAGCUGCCAGUGGUUCUUUGUUCGAUCAGGACGACGCCAAAUCGAGCCACUGGCCAGACACCUUUUGCUCUAGUCUACGGAGCAGAGGCAGUUCUCCCCACAGAACUCGUAUACGGAUCGCCUCGAGUGCUCGCUUAUGAUGAGCUUGAGCAAGAGCAGCUACGGCAAGAUAACGCGCUGCUCCUCAAGGAGGAUCGUCUUCAGGCUGCUGUACGAGCUGCUCGCUACCAGCAGGCUUUGCAUCGCUACCAUAGCCGCAAAGUUAAUGCCAGAAGUUUCGAGGAAGGCGACCUUGUUCUUCGGCGCGUUCAAUCCGCCAAGAAUUCCGACAAGUUGACGCCGAAGUGGGAAGGCCCUUAUCGGGUGAAGCGAGUCACUAGGCCCGGCACUGUCCGCCUUGAGACCGAAGAUGGCUUUCCGGUGAGCAACUCCUGGAACAUAGAGCAUCUUCGUAAGUUUUACCCAUAAGGCGCGGUUGCCGGAACCCACUGUUCCGGCAACCACCUUUUGUGCAAGCCUUGCCGCUGUUGCAUGUAACCCUUUGUACAAAGCCGGGCGCAGAUCCCGCGCAUAAAUAAAGAUCAUAUGCUCUGCAAAUGUUGUCAAAAUUCAUGCUUUCUUUUAUUUUGCAUGUAUCAUUUGACACUUUGUGCAGCACUUGCCCCCGGUAAGCAAUAACGAGCCUUAAGGCUCCAUACCUUUAUUUUCUCUUCUUUCUUUUUCGCAAAAAGAAGGUUCCUUCGCCCAUGAGUUCACCGGGGGGGGAGGAAAGGAUAAUGGUGUGGACCAAGCGUCGUUCAAAGAAGUAUAGCCUUGCCGGGACGCAGACGACAAAAAAGCUAAGUGGCCAAAGUUUGAGCACAAUCAGUUUUAAAUUUUUAAGUUAUUUUCCUUAAACGACCGUGCUUUGUAUGGAAAACCUGUGCGCGGAGGAACCGACUCGUGGCUAGUUGCGCCCUUACUUUGUUUCGAGUCUGCUCAACAAUGUAAGUGUGCUGCGACUAGUCCCGACAAGGUUUCUUGCCGGAGGCAACACCGCCAGCAGGCUGCUGAUGUUCCGCACUCAGCGCUCGCGGCAAAGGUGCCUGCGCCGGCAAGUUCCCUAAAAGCGUAGGGUAAAAACAUGCAAAGGAGGGAACCAAGUAAAGGAAAUAACAUAGCAAAUAGUACCCAGAAUAAAGUUAUAUUACAAUAAUGACUUGUCGCCCUCUAAAUAAAUUGUUCUCGUGACAUGUUUGGCAGCGGCAAGAAAAAGGAGGAAAAGGGCGGCCUAAUCUACACGAUCGCCGUCAACCCUUCUGACUUCAUUCAACUUGUCCACGAUGGGUGCGACAAGGGCUUUGAGCUCUGCAAGAUCAGCACCCGCCGGCAGCUUCUUGAGAACGUUGGUGAGGUUGAGGGUCGGAUUGCGGAAAAGCACCUUCACCAACACCUUCUCCAAGACUCUGGCACAGAUGGCGCGCGACUCGUCAGCCAGCUGCUUUGGGAUCCUUUCCCGGAGUUGCUGGAGAGCCGUCACCACGCCCUUGAAGAACAGAGUAAGCUUGGCGCUGGGCUGGAGGUUCUCGUCACUGGAGUACCCGAAGCCCGCCAAGUCCAGUUGCGCCAGCUCCUCGUCGAUGGUUGCAGCAAUGUUGAUGAGGCCCUCCGUCCAGAGCUCCACCGUAGCCCUGAAGGUGUUCUGAGUCUCGGCGGCCCUCGUUAGCAGUUCCUCGUUGCCCUUGAUCUCUUUCUUCAAAUCAUCUUCUCGCCUCUUGGCGCCAUCCAGCGUCUCCAUCAGUGUGGCCAACUUCAGCUCCAGAUCAGCAUUUGAGUCAUUGGCGGCGUUCAGUUCCUUGACCUUAUCGGCGAGUUGAACUUGCAGAUCGCCAUGAGCAAGGGCAUCCUUCUCGCGUUCGCGCUGGAGCGCGGCAAGCUCCUCAUUCUUCCCUUUCAGAUCAGCCUCCAGCUGUGUCACCUUCACCUCCAAUUCCUUCUUGGCGGCCUCGGCAGCUGCGGCAGCAUCCUUCGCCUCCUUGAGCGCCCCGCCAAGUGAUUGCUCCCGUGCGGUGAGCUCCUCCUUGUAGCUGUCCAGAUUGACUUUCCGCUGCGUCAGUUCACCUUCCCGGGUGGACACCUCCUCAGCGGCAAGCCUCUGUUGCUCCUCAGCUUCUGCCUUCUCAAGGAUGAAGGCCUUCCGCGCUUCGACAAGCUGCGCCCUCUCCUCCGCAAUGGACCGGAGGGCCUCUUGGUUGCGACUCUGGAGCUCCUCCGCAUGCUUUUCUAUGUCAACUCCCGCCUGCGCGACAAGCGCUUCCCGGGACUCCAGCUUCGCUUGCCGGGCGCGAUAGAGCGACACCAACUUCCGGAGCAGUUGCUCCUCCUCGGACUCGCUGCUGCUGCUGCUUGGUGUGUCAACCACUGUCAGCCCAGCGGAGGCGAGCACCUCUCCGUCAAAAGACUCUCCCUCGAUCGGCGCCCUGAAGCUCGACGCCCAGGGAAGAUGGAUGAAGACGCCCUCACCGGCCUUCAAGUAGGCGUCGGGCUGGGGCUCCUUGGGGCCCGGUGCUGCAUCAGCGGCGGAGGGGUCGGCGGUCGGUGUAGCGCCCUGCGCUCCUGCACCCUCGGGGUCAUCAGUACGAUCGCCGGACCCCUCGCCAGCUGCUGCGCCAGCAGCCUUGGCAGCCUCUUCGCCGGCGGGAUCGUCAGCACCGGCCUCUUCCUCGGUGGCGGCAGCAUCAUCAGUGUUGCCGCGUGCGUCUCCUCGCCGGUGGCCUCAGUCUCCAUCGGAUCUGUGGCAGGGGGAUCUGAAGCCAGGAAGAGGAAGGAAAAGUCAAGCAAGUAUCCAAAAAAGAAGACCAGAAGAAGCAGAACCCAAGGAAAAAUUUCCGCCAAGGAGGGUUACCUGUGCUAGGCUCUGUGACCAUGGGCUCCACCACCGAAGGCUCGCUGGUCCCGUCCCUUGCCGGGGAACUACUCCUUGCCGGGGACCUCUCCCUUGCCGGAGAGCGCUCCCUUGUCGGAGAAUCGCCCCUUGGCGGCGUAGUCGAAGCAGGCAGCACCUCAGGAGCGGCUUCUGGUUGUUCCUGAUGGGCCUGUUCUGCUCCUACACAAAUAAAUCAACGAUCAAGGUGUCAGCAAAGAAAGAGCACCCAUGCGCGCCCCACAAUAGGAAGUGAACAAAUACUUACGCUGGGGGCUGUGCUGGGGGCUGCUUCGAGGAGAGGGGACCGGGUCCGUCAAGGUGGUCUCGGACGUGUCCUCUGCCAUCACAGCAGGGUCGUCCUCGAUGACUACCAAGGGGACCUUGGCUCUCUUCGCCGCUCUCUCGGCCAAUGUCCUGAAAUGGAACGAGGUUCAGAGGGAAGCAGAUCAGAUCCAAGACAAGAAACAGCAAGAAUCAAAGGAAUAUAACCACAACAGGAAGGAAGUCUUACUCCUCCUCCUCUUCUUCCUCCUCGUCGGAGCUGAGCGCGGAAAGGUCAAAGUCUGGUACCCUUUCUACGCGGUGAGGCGGAGGAGUUGGCUCCCUUGGACGCUUGCCGGGAGCUGCGGCAGGAUCUGGCGUGGCGGCCCGAGAAGACCCCGCCCCAGUUGCCGGCGCGGCAUGAGAUGCUCCCGCGGCGACGGUACUUGCCACGGUGGAGCGUGUCCCGCGGCGCUGUGGCUGUUGGCCUGCCUGCCGCCCUGCUGUGUCUCCAGUCCUACGGAGGCGCCUUUUUGGUUGAGCUGGGGGCUGCGCUGGGGGCUCUGCCUGCGGCAAGCUGCUCGAAGACGGCUGGCCGCUUACGCCCUCGGCGGGCUCGCUCGCUUCGGCUUCGGGCUCUCCUUCGCCAACGACCUCCCCGGCAAGGUCCUCUCGGUCGGCAAGGCUUGCCGCCUCGGCCGCCUCUGCCUCCUCCAAAGUAAACCCGAACUCGCCCGCGGCGGCGGCUGCCGCUGCCUCUUCGGCCCUGGUGGCGAUGUACCGCAUCUCGUCUUCGGUGGUUUCGCGGGUGAGGAGCCUCUGCUCGUCGGCACGGACUGCUACCUCCACCAAGCUGUCGAAGAAUUGCCGCACGACGUUGUCGGCGGGCUCCCACCAAGUUGGGAUAAUCCCGUGCGAGUCGCACUCCGGCAUCAUUGCGCGGAUGCGAUCAAGCUGGGAGUUGUUGCACAGUGGGAUGACGCCCUGCGGCAGCCUGAACCACUCCGGAUGGUUGGCGUCGUGCUUGAACAACUCCUUGAGCAUCCCAUCCAACUCCAAGACAGUGAAGUUGAAAUUGAGGCCUGGGCGCAGCCUCAUGAUAUCCGCCGGGCCGCCAAACAGCCAAGCGGGCCUCCCCCUCUCCUGCAGGGGGGCGCUGCGGCGGCGGAGAAAGUCCGCGCCAACAGCCCCUACAGUGAGCCCGGCAAGCCUGAGUCGCAGAAUCCGGAUGGUGGCGAUCUUCAACUUAGCAUCAUCCGCCGCCAGAGCGCUCCAGUCACCACCGCACACCACUCGGGUUUGGCGCAAAUUGGUGAAUGGUUGCGGAUCUGCGUCAACAAUCCAACACCAUUCAGCCCUCCACUCGUCCCAUUUGCUGCGGAGCUCCCCCUCCAGAUACACCUCCUACUUGCCGGUCCUCGAGAUCCAGGAGACCCCGCCAGACAAGGGCUCUCCUUUCUCGACCCGGGGCAUGAAAUAGUGGCGGAAAAGGGCAACGUUGGGGUGGAUUCCGACGAAGUUUUCGCAAAGAUGCGCGAAAACCGCCAUUGUCAGAACGGCGUUGGGGGUGAAGUCAAGGAGAUGGAGUCCGUAUGUGUUCAUGAUAUCGCAGAAGAAAUCGGAAAAGGGCAGGCAGAGCCCGCAAUAGAAGAACAAUGGGAAGAAGGAGUACCCUUUUGGGCACCGCUUGGAAGUAGAAGCUUCGGCGGAGAGCACCGGCGUGCGCGGAUGCGCCCGCGUCUGCGUCGACCAGAAGAGAUAGAACUCCUCCCGCAGCGCCUUCGGGGUGAGCUCGGGGGGAAAAAGUGCUCGCUCCUUGCGUAGCGCCUCAAGCCGCAGUGCCUCGGCCGACUUCGCACUCUUUCUGGUCUUCGGAGCCAUGGCGGAGGCGGUGGGGGAGCGCGGAGGCGGUGGCGGCGACAGCGGCGAUGGGCGGCGGAGCGCUGCUCUCUUUCGGCUUGGGAAGCGGAGGGGAGCGGCGGAGCUUUCUGGGAAGAAACUGCAAGUGGCGAAGGUGGGGGAACGGCCCCUGUUUCCUCUGCUUAUAAAGAGGAGAGACGAACGUUACGCCUUUCUUGAUUUAAGAAUUGCCCAUGAUCUCUCCCACGACGCCGCGUUUGACGCGUGCCGUUACGGGAGGACGCGGUGGAUACGGAGUUAGAUUUGGUGUGGACUCAGGCCGUGUGUGCCCGUGCCCUGUUUUGGGCCUGGCCCAACAGCGCUCGGCACCGUGUGUGGCCCAGGCCCGGGGGCUCCUGUCGGUGUACUAAAGUAGGGGUACCUUAGUAUCCCGAACUUGUGCACGGGCAGUCGCAGCGUCCCGCGGCAAGGCUUCCCGGGCGUCCGCCAAGAUCCUCCGCUAUUCCUAUUGAUGCCAUUCAAGAACAAAGUGUUUUAACUAAGAAGAUAAGGCCCCGGCAAGAGGAGCUUGCCGGGAAGGGCAAGGCACCGGCAAGAGGAGCUUGCCGGGAGGGCCAGCCAAGAAACUUGUCGUGAUGCGCCGCGCGUCCCGGCGAGACCCGGCGAGCGACAAGCUUUCGGGUGCGGCAAGACAACGACCGCGGCAAGGCGCUUGCCGCGGCAAAGCCACCGCACUUUGCGCCCACACUCCAGCGCAUCCGACGAGGUGGCAAGUGGAGAUGACGAGAAGGCCAUCAUGGCAAGCGGUGGCGCCCCAAACGGUCGUUUUCUGCACUGUUUGGGCGAUCCGACGGGCAUUAAAUGCCCUUGUCCCCUGCCGUCAGAGUUAGGUAGGGUGCACUGUGGAUAGCGGUUGUACCAACCCCUCUUUUUACUUUUUUACCCCUCUCUGCGUUGCCACCUGUCGGUGACCCCUUUAACCUAUAAAAGGAGGCCCAUGCGCAACGUAGAGGGGGUUCGACUCAUUCGAAACUACAACACACUCACGCUCUCAAGAAUGGAAUAUAAACACAAAGCAGCAGUAGGAGUUUUAUCUCUCCGGAGAGCUCCGAAGCUGGGUAAAAUCCCUCGCGUGCUUCGCCUCGAUCUGCUCUUCGUGCGCUCUCUGCUCCCUGCCGGACCGAGAAGGGGCCCUGCCCCAUAGGUGCUCGUUUCCCACGACAUAGUAUCUGGAGGAGUAAGCACUGUGGCAGAAUUCAACUUCUCUUUGAACGCCUGGAAACUUUCCUAACACUUUUAUUUCCACUCAAACUUGACGCCCUUAUGAAGCAGGUUAGUCAAAACUCUAGCGAUCUUAGAGAAGUUCUCGACGAAUCGACGGCAAUAGCUGGCGAGUCCGAGAAAACUUCUGACUUGCUUGACAUUCUUCGGAGGAGUCCAUUCAAGAAUAGCCUGGACUCGUUCAGGGUUGACGGCAAUACCAUCCUUUGAGAUGACAUGCCCAAGAUAGGUUACUUCGGGUAGCUAGAUUACACAUUUGGAGAUCUUGGCAUAUAGUUGAUGCUCUCGUAGCUUUUCCAGCACAAGACGAAGAUGUUCAGCAUGUUCUUCUUCGUUCUUGGAAAAUACCAGGAUAUCAUCCAGAUAAACCACGACGAACUUGUCAAGGUAAUCCAUGAAUAUAUAGUUCAUCAGACGAGAGAAGGUGGUUGGAGCAUUGGUUAAGCCGAAAGACAUGACGGUGUACUCGUAUGAACCGUAUCGAGUCACGAAGGCGGUCUUUGGGAUAUCCUCUUCAUGAACACGGAUCUGGUGGUAACCCAACCUCAAGUCGAGUUUAGAGAACACUGAUGAACCAGGCAGUUGGUCAUACAGAUCAGUGAUCCGAGGAAGAGGAUAUUUAUUCUGAAUGGUAGCUUGGUUUAUAGGAUGGUAGUCUUGGACUAAUCGGUUUGUCCCAUCCUUCUUCUUGACAAAGAGAGAAGGUCCCAAGGAGUGCAACUUGGGCGAAUGAAACCUUUGCGAAGAGAUUUGUCGAUUUCCUCCUUAAGCUCAAUGAGUUCAUGCGGCGGCAUCUUGUAAGGUCAUUUGGCUAUAGGAGUAGUGUCUGGUUUCAAGUCGAUGAUGAAUUCGACAGCUCUAGCAUGGGGAAUCCCUGGAAGUUCUUCAGGAAAGAUGUCUUGAAAUUCGUGAACGACAGGAAUGUUUUCAAUGCCCUCGAGGGGUGCAGCGUUCAAUGCGUUCAACGCAUAAAGCCUUGCCUCGGCAUUCUGAACUAGACGAGCAUUGUAGCUUAUUAUUUCAUCGGAAGGGUGUAGCAGAUGGACGGUCUUAGUGGCGCAAACUAUGGAAGCAUUAUGCGCUUUCAACCAAUCCAUUCCCAGAAUGAGAUCAAUGCUACAGGACUUCAGUAUGAUGGGAGAGACAAGGAAUUCCAGUCCUUCAAUUUCAACCGGGACGUCGAUGCAAACCAUGGAGGUUCGACAUUGGCCCGCAGGGGUGUGUACUAAUAGUGAAGCGUUCAUGUCUUCGCUUCUAAUGCCAGGCAUGAAUGCAAAAUCCUCUGACAUGAAUGAAUGCGAUGCUCCUGUAUCAAAUAAAACAGAUGCUGGUACUGAAUUUACGAGGAGUGUACCCAUCACAGUAGCAAGCUGGUCUUGAGCUUCGUUCAGAUCAGCGUGGUUGGCAUGAACACGACCAUAAGACUUGGCUUUGUUGUUGCAGGGCUGGUUGUUACCAGGGCCAGCUGCUGGAAGGGCCAGUUGAUUCUGGUUCUGGUUGCAUUCCCUAGCCCGGUGUCCUGGCUGACCACACCUGAAGCACAGACCAUUAUUGGGAGUGGGAGCAGGAGCUCAGGGUGGUGGAGCUGGAGGCCUUGGCUGCUUAGAUGGUGGAGGUGGCAGACGAGAUGAGCAAGGGAUUGCCUUGGAGCAGGUGCAGUUGGAUGGUACAUGCUAUUGGGAAUCCAGAUCCUACGCUUCUACGAGGGCGGGCCCGAAGAUGAGCCCGUGUCACGGUUGCGCCUGUGAGAGCUCUGGUGUUCCUGCAGACCAGUUUCGAUGUUGAUGGCCUUAUUCACCAAGGUGGCGAAAUCGGCAAAGUCAUGCACUAGCAGUGCGAGCUUGAUGUCAGCUUGUAGUCAUCGUGAAACUUCUCUUGUCUGCGAGCAUCAGUCGCAAUGUCUUCUUCAGCAUAGCGGGAUAAGUACAGAAACUCCCACUGAUAAGCUUCCAUAGUUUUGUUGCCCUGGGUGAGGUUGUGGAACUCACGCUUCUUCCUGUCCAUGAUUCCCUGAGGAAUGAAACGGGCACGGAAAGCAGCUUGGAAGUCUGGCCAGGUGAUGAUUGUUCCAACUGGCAGAGUACGCCUGUGGCUAUCCCACCAUUGAGUUGCGGGUCCCUUCAGGAAGAAGGAAGCAAAGGUGACAUAGCUGGCAGGGGCUACACCAGCAGACUCCAGCUCAUAGGUGAUGUCACGGAGCCAGUCAUCAGCAUUAAGAGGCUGAGUGGAGCUGCGGUAGAUGGUUGUAUUGAGACGCAUGAAAUCCUGCAGAGUUACUGGGGUUGGCUGCUGCUUCACAUUGGGGCAGGGAAACUGGGCCAGCAUAUUCUCCAUGAACAUACGGUUCAGCUCGAACUGUUGGAUCAUACCGGCCAUGUACUCAGGCGGUGGUGGGGCGUUGCCGCCACGACCACGACCACCUGGUGUAACCAUCCUGCUAAUAUAUAACAGGGGGUAGUUCAGCAUUGAGAAAUUUGCAUAGACAAGAAUCAUUCAUGAUUAAACAUGCAUAAUGAAAGGAGCAUGACAGAUACUACAUAGUAGUCGGCAUAACUUACAAAAGGGGUCGGACAUAAAGUUCAGUACACAGAGUUUAGCACAUAGGCUAAGUCAUCAUAGGCGGCACGCAGGCUCGUGGCGAAUGCAUCUAAUACUAAUAAGCAAGACUACAUCAGUCCCAGGAGGAAUUGUGGAGGUAGUCGUAGCCUCACAGCUGGUACUGAGGCAACGGAUAGUCCUCCAUGUCAGCGGCCUGGGGGCCGCGGAUACUCUGUUGUAGAACCCGACGCUCAGGUGGCAGAAGAGGACCAAGUGCGGGAGCGUAGCCUCCCACCUCUGGCCAAUCGACACCGUGGGGCAUCACGGUCCUAGCAGGGUAGACCGCAGAACACGACAGCUGUCUAGAUAGAACAAAGGGGUGCAAGAGCGUCAGAGCACUGUAAAGGUGCUGACGUGUGGUGUACAACUCGUGGCGAAGAGCUCGGUUAGCUCGGUCCAGCCCAUCAGCAUGCAGAACCAGGCUCUAAUGGUGGAAGGGCUCUCGGGUGACGGUGGAGUAGGCAGCAGUGUAGUAUCCCUCCACACUAAUGUCAGAUGCGAUGGGAAUGUGCCUGAAAGGGGAAGUAUCCAACGCCCGAUACUCUCCAUGAAGACGUGCCAGAACAGCAUGAGCAACAUCGUGGACUGCCAUCUCGAUGGUCACUCCAACACCAUGAGCGGUGUGCAGCAGAGUAGUGGAGUCAUACUCCCGAGAGUAGAGGUGGACGAUGGCACGAUACUGCUCCUGGUUAAAGUCCUGGUACUCCUCGUAGACGGUGUACUCAGGGUGCCAGAGAUAACCCAGACAGGUCAUCAUCUCAGCUAGCACAACAGGUGAUCCUGAGGCACCAAUGGCCGCCGUGUGGCGCACGACCUACCUCGUGGGUUCCAUCUGAAAACAAAGAUGUUUCAAUGGAGUCAAAUGACGAUGUGGGUAUUAUUCAAAACACUAUCCUACAUAAUAACUAUGACUUAUCCAACUUUGGGGUGAACGUGGUAACGGAAUCCUAAUGUUAGAGUUAGUAAAUUAGUUUAACCCGGGUAGGAGAGAGUUCAGAGCCCCAGAGUAAAGGUCGACGAGUAAAAGAUCCUAAUACCACCCAAUGGCGACAUGGGCCCGUAAGGUACACAGUCAAGUUAGUAAAAGUUUUGUGAUGACUAGAGUCGACUUAGGCCAAGGAGUGUGGAAGGGGGAUUCCUACAGGUAGUCGGCUCUGAUACCAACUUGUGACGCCCCCGAUUCAAUCGUACACUAAUCAUGCACGCAAACCUGUACAAUCAAGAUUAGGGACUCACGGGAAGAUUCACAACACAACUCUAAAAGUAAAAUAAGUCAUACAAGCAUCAUAUUACAAGCCAGGGGCCUCGAGGGCUCGAAUACAAGUGCUCGACAGAAACGAGUUAGCGGAAGCAACAAUAUCUGAGUACAUACAUAAGUUAAACAAGUUGCCAUAAGAUGGCUCGCACAAACUGGGAUACAGAUCGAAAGAGGCACAGGCCUCCUGCCUGGGAUCCUCCUAACUACUCCUGGCCAUCGACAGCAGCCUGCACGUAGUAGUAGGCACGUCCAGUGUAGUAGGUGUCGUCGUCGACGGUGGCGUCUGGCUCCUGGUCUCCAAUGUCUGGUUGCGGCAACCAAAAAGAAAGGAAAGGGGGAAAGGGAGAGCAAAGCAACCGUGAGUACUCAUCCAAAGUACUCGCAAGCAAGGAUCUACACUACAUAUGCAUGGGUAUAUGUGUAAGGAGGCAAUAUCGGUGGACUUAACUGUAGAAUGCCAGAAUAAGAGGGGAAUAGCUAGUCCUAUCGAAGAAUACGCUUCUGGCAGCCUCCGUCUUGCAGCAUGUAGAAGAGAGUAGAUUGAAGUCCUCCAAGUAGCAUCGCAUAGCAUAAUCCUACCCGGCGAUCCUUCCCUCGUCGCCCUGUGGAAAAGCGAUCAUCGGGUUGUCUGUGGAACUUGUUUGGGUGUGUUUUAUUAAGUAUCCAGUUCUAGUUGUCAUAAGGUCAAGGUACAACUCCGGGUCGUCCUUUUACCGAGGGACACGACUAUUCGAAUAGAUAAACUUCCCUGCAGGGGUGCACCACAUAACCCAACACGCUCGAUCCCCUUUGGCCAAACACACUUUCCUGGGUCAUGCCCAGCCUAGGAAGAUCAACACAUCACAGCCCCACCUAGGCACAACAGAGAGGUCAGCACGCCGGUCCAAAUCCUAUGCGCGCAGGGGUCUGGGCCCAUCGCCCAUUGCACACCUGCACAUUGUGAGAGCGGCCAGAAGUAGACCUAGCCUCCCUAAUAUAAGAGCAGGCAUUCCAGUCCAAUCCGGCGCGCGCCGCUUAGUCACUGACAUCAAGAAGGCUUCGGCUGAUACCACGACAUUGAGUGCCCAUAGUUGUUCCCGCGUAGUUGGUUAGUGCGUAUAGGCCAAUGGCCAGACUCAGAUCAAAUACCAAGAUCUCCUUAAGCGUGUUAUUAUGAAGUAACCGUGAACGCCGAUUUAGGCCAGGCCCACCUCUUGCCUAGGUGGUAUCAACCUGCCCUGUUGCUCCGCCACAAAGAUCCAUGCAGAGGGCCAUCGGGACAAAUGUCCUUUCAGCCCCCAAUCCGUGAAUCACUCGCGGGUACUCAACGAGCCGACCCGACUUUAGUCACCAUUUGUAUAGUAUGUAUAUAUGUAUAAUAUAUACCCGUUGUCGGUGUCAAAACUGGCGGAUCUCGGGUAGGGGGUCCCAAACUGUGCAUCUAGGCAGAUGGUAACAGGAGACAAGGGACACGAUGUUUUUACCUAGGUUCGGGCCCUCUCGAUGGAGGUAAAACCCUACUCCUGCUUGAUUGAUAUUGAUGAUAUGGGUAGUACAAGAGUGGAUCUACCACGAGAUGAAGGAGGCUAAACCCUAGAAGCUAGCCUAUGGUAUGAUUGUUGUAAUGGUUGUGUGUCCUGCGGACUAAAACCCUCCGGUUUAUAUAGACACCGGAGAGGGCUAGGGUUACACAGAGUCGGUUACAAUGGUAGGAGAUCUACAUAUCCGUAUCGCCAAGCUUGCCUUCCACGCCAAGGAAAGUCCCAUCCGGACACGGGACGAAGUCUUCAAUCUUGUAUCUUCAUAGUCUUGGAGUCCGGCUGACGAUGAUAGUCCGGCUAAGGACACCCCCUAGUCCAGGACUCCCUCAGUAGCCCCUGAACCAGGCUUCAAUGACGAUGAGUCCGGCGCGCAUAUUGUUCGGCAUUGCAAGGCGGGUUCCUCCUCCGAAUAAUUCAUAGAAGAUUGUGAACGCCAGGAUAGUGUCCGGCUCUGCAAAAUAAAUUCCACAUUCCACCGUAGAGAGAAUAAUAUGUACACAAGUUCAAUCUGCUGACGUAUUUUGUGGCAUGACGUCACGCCACUACCAAGCCUUUACUUGAAUCGUUUUUUAUUAUACCACUCAGCGCGUUUAGCGAAGCGGUUUUCUCGGCACGUCUUGUUGAAGCAGAGAUCGUGUUCCCCUUAUUCCGGGAUUCCCAUCAAUACGGACGUGGGUAACCCAACCGUGCCCGUUGCCACGCCCCCUCUACCAGAGGCGAGUCCCAAACGGUCACGGGGACGGCUCUUGGUAUUCUCCCUCUUUAUAAUGGGACCAAGGCUUGUUUCUUUUCUUCAAUCCUCAAUCGAAUCUUCUCCUCGCCUCAAGUUCCAACACCCAGAGCCCCAGAUUCGAGCGCUUCGGACCUUCAACAAUGUCCGGCUCCGACCCACAGGGCCGGUGGAUGCCCUCCUCCGUCUCGGAAGAGGACGUGCUAAAGCUGCGAGAAGCCAAGUACCUGACCUACGAGAUUUCGCAUAGGUUGCCCGCCAAAGGGCAAGUCAUUCCCACCCCCGAGCCCGGCGAGUGUGUCGUGUUUGUAUCCCACCUCCGUCGGGGUUUAGGCUUCCCGAUGGAUCCUUUUGUGAGAGGGCUCAUGUUUUACUAUGGGUUGGAAUUCCACGACUUGGCUCCGGAGUCCAUCCUCCAUAUCUCUUCAUUCAUUGUCGUCUACGAAGCCUUCCUCCGCGUUACCCCUCACUUCGGCUUGUGGCUUAAGACCUUCGACAUGGAGCCGAAGAUGAUCGAGGGGCGUCAAGCAAAGUGCGGUGGGGCAGUUGUAAGCAGAAGGGCCGACGCCCCAUGGCCCGAGGGCUCUUUCCAGGAGGAGCUCGGCUUGUGGCAGCAGGAGUGGUUCUACAUAAACCGCUCCCAGGGGCAGCAGGCAGAAGCCGCCGCCCAUCUUCCGCUCGGGCCCUCCACAACGGCUGAUGUCAUGGGUCAGCCAAGGGCUCAACUGGGGGCCGUCAAAGGAUGUGCCCCUAUUGCAGGGCCGGAUUCGAGACCUCUAAGCGAGGGAGAUCGAUUUGGUCAUGGUGAUGCAGGUCAUGCUGAUUAGGCGUCUCCUGCCCUGCAAACGCCGUCCUCUCCGGCUGUGGGAGUUUAAUCUAGAGGGACCACGAAUUCUCCAACACUUCAUGGGUAUGACACCCGUGGAGAUGUACAAAUUGUUCUUCGGAUCACAAGAGAUGUGUCUGGAAUUGACCAAGGACGCCGGCCUAAGCUGCAAUCGCCCGGAUACACAAGUAAGUAGCUCUGAGUCCGUACAUACCAUUAGUUUGCCUUUCUAUGAUUCACCUUUUAACCAGUUGUCCUCUAAACAAGAGUGGAUAGCUCAAGCAAAGUUGAUACGGUGUCCGGCCCCCCUCCCAGAGACCGCGCCGGAUCCCGUGCUGGUCAGGAUGCUGGAGGUUGCGCCUUCGGAGGAAGGCGAAGGGGAAAACAGAGGAGCUACCGCCUCGACCGAGGAGGCUUUUGAUAAAGGGGGGAUCGAGAAUCCCUCCUUCCAACGGGAGAAGAGGACCGCUUCCGAAAACCCGGAGGCCAAAGCCCCGAAGCGGGGGAAGAGGUCUUCACCAGAGGGUCCUGCGUCCGGGGAGGCCCCGGCCGCACGUCUCCCCUAAAGAAUCAGCCCUCCAGCGAGCCGUAAGUAGAAAAAAAAGGGAGUUUUGUAAUAAGGGACAUCCCUAUUUGUGCUUCUGAGGAUAACUUAAGUUUUUACCUUGUAGUUCGGAUCUCCGUCCUUCUCAGAUGAGCUCGUCUUCGAUGGAACUUCGUCCGGAGAUGAUGGAGAGCGAGACGCCUCCAUCCGCCGCACCAUCGGAUAGGGCGGACGAGCCUGAAGUGUCAUCAUGGAGGGUAUCCCCGAGUCCGGCAGGGCCGAAUAGUUCGGCACCAACUGGUGUGCAGCCGGGGGAGCUGAAGGAUCUGCUUGAGAGGGCGUCUAUCUCAGAAGGUCACCAUACACUGAUGAGUACGGUGAUUGAAAGAAUUUCAUCCGCCGAAGGCGGGUUGCGUGAUGCCGUCAAGAGUUUGCUGGUGGGGUUUGAGGUACGUAAAAAUGACAUACCUUUUGACAGUUUUACACAUAAAGUGCGCCAUGUAUAGAUAGUAGCCCCUGAGACUCGGUAGGGUGUCGAGAACGACAGUGUGCCGAGGAUCAAAAUCGCAGGUAUUGAUUUUCGCCUUUCCUAUGCAGGUGGCGGAUAGUUCGGUGGCUAGCCGGACUAAUGGAGUUGCCGAACUAAAGCAGCAACUCGACGUUGCGGAUGCGGACAUCGCGCUGGUCAAUAAGCGACUUGACGAGUCACAAGGUGGGUUUUUUCUCCAUGGUCACCUAGUAAGGGGACCGAAGCCCACUCCUUACAACAUGUGUGCUCAAUGCAGAUGGUGCCGCUGCUGUGGAGAGCCUGCGGGCAGAACUUGCUCAAGCCAAGGAGCAGGCCAGAAGGAGUGAUGCGGCUGCCUCGAGGGCGGCCGAAGAGCUAGAGGCCGAAAGGGAUGCACACUGCCGGAGCAGGGGGGAGAUGGCCGAAAUGGCUGUGAAGUUGAAAGAUGUUACCGACUGCAAUGAGGUUCUUGAAAAAGAACGCCGAGCGGAGCAAGAAGGCCUGAGGAAGGCCACCGCCGAAGCCAAGGAUGCCCGUUCUGCAAUGAGGGCUAUAAAGGAGGAGCUGCGCCAGGCCGGAGAUAUUGUGGCUGGCAAGCCCUUUCUGCUGCGCAGGCGGUUUACAGAUCCAAAGUAUGCUCAGCUUGGCCAGCUGUGGGGUCCAGAGGAUCCUUAUAUGGAUUUAGCGGCGAGUGCGGCAGAUGCCGUUGUGCACUUCCGAAGUCAGAAGGAUCACGAGACGGAAGGGCUGUUUUGGUCUCAAUUCCAUAGUCCAGAGCGUUCACUUCCGCUGACCGAUCGGUUGGCUGAGUGGGCUGAGCUGAAUAGGCUGUCUGGACUUGCCAUGACAGAUAUCGUGGCUCAUGUCUGGCCGGAUAGGCCCAAGCCGAAGAGUUAUUUUGGCUUAUUGCAGCAAUUUCUUGGGGCGGUGCCGCAUAUCAAGGCGAUGAAGCGGUCGGCCUGCAUAGAGGGUGCACGGAUGGCCCUCGCCCGUGUGAAGACAUACUGGAUGGAGACGGAUACCACCGCUGUUGCGACCCAGGGUUCGGACGAGAGCCGGUUACCCGCCGAGCACUAUUUUGGGGAAGUUAUGCGUGGUGCUCGUGUAAUAGAGUCGCAGUGCUCAAAAAAUGUCGUGUUCAAAUGAACUUUAUGGUUUGUAAAACGGUGUUUAUAAUAUAAGCGCGUUUUGUACUUGUGCGUUCAAGUAUUGAAAUAUCUCCUGUGCGGUCGUUUAAUGUAUACUUGUGUAUAACAUGAAAGAUGGCAGUCUUCGGCUUCAGCCCCCACGCACAUGGUGCGGGGGUGUUUGCAAAAUAGCGCAUUUUCACACUUAAUCCAAUGUCUUGGUCCUGUGAAGGAGGUGAUGGCGUAGCAAACGAGGCAACCGGACUAUAAUGCUUUAUAACUUUCACUUAGCCAUAGGAGUUCGAAGGUGGGGCUACGAUAUAGCCCCUACGGGCACCGCACUCUCCGAAUUCGGGGCGCGUAUGUGCCUGACCGGGAAACGGUCCUUCGUCAAGGCGGAGGAAUUCUAAACAUUCCGAUAGUCGAUCGAGUGGUUGACCAGUCUCUUGCUAUAUCAUGACAGUCAGUUUUUGGCUUUCUCUACUAAGGUGCUCGCCCAGCCGAACCGGGGCACAAUCGCAGUAGUUCUCCUGGUGCCGCGUUAGCCGAUGAUACGGAACGUAAGGCAGCAAAACACAGGAGCCAGGCAAACCCAACAUUUGACCAAAGACAUGACUCGGAGCUGAUGCAUACAAGGCCUAACUCGAGACGCCGAACACUCCCUAAGGUAUUCGGUCUUUAUAAUAACGGGCAGAACAAUGCCCUAAGCCCCUAGUGUCCAGGUACAGGCGAGAAUUUCUGGCGCAGCCGAUGCCAAAACGCCAGCCUCCUCGUUGGUUAUGGUGAAAAACCGUGGGAUGUGAAUCAACAAAAGACAGUAAGGAAGGUUUACGCAGGGACUUAAUCUGAAAAGUAUCCUUGCGACGGGUCCCUGCUGCACGUCUGCGCCUGUGUCUCCGUUGUGCCGUAUCCUGGACGGGUGUGCAUGUUGUUCAUCUGUAAAAAGAUAGGAACUUAGCUUGAAAGGAAAUCGUGCAAAAAAAUGUAUCAAAAAUCGAAAUAUGAAUGAAUGAGUAAAGUUGAGCUUAUAUUAGCUCAUACGCACAGCCCCUUGUAAAGGGGUGUGCGCCUAGGGAGCCCCCAGCUUAUUUAUGCCGGACUCGUCUAGCCGUGUCCGGGGUCUUGAACGACCUUUUAAUGAGAUGAUGCCACGUGGACCGGGCAUUUUAAGUGUAAGAGACGCGUAGUGUGGUAUUGCGUUAAAGCGGACAAAAGCUUCACGUCCCAAUAGUGCUUGAUGGCUACUUUUGAAUGGGGCGACAUGAAAGAUUAGCUUUUCGCGUCGGAAGUUGUCGGGUGACCUGAACACAACUUUUAGUAGUAAGGAGCCCGUGCACUUGGCGUAAGGGCCUGGCGUCACUCCUUUGAAGGAAGUGCGGCUAUGUCGAAUUUUAGUAAGGUCUAUCCCCAACUUGCGGAUUGUGUCCGGAUAUAGCAGGUUUAAAUUGUUGCCGCCAUCCAUCAGGACUUGUGUAAAUUGUAGUCCGUCGAUUAUAGGAUCCAAUAUCAGAGCAGUCCAUCCUGCAUUUCGAAUACUUCUCGAACAGUCCAGGUGGUCAAAGGUAAUUGGUUUUGACAUCCAAUCUCGAGGUUCCGUUGGGGUGGACCAUGCGACACCUACUUUGGCGGGUGCCGCAUUGUUGUUCCGUAUUAUCACAUGAAGUGAUUUUACUGUUUUGACUUCUUGUGGGAAAGUCUUUUGUUUUCCAGCGCUCUGCUGGUGGUGUUCGUAGUCAUCCUCGCUUGGAGCGUCGAGCCCCAUGUGUUCGGCGUUGAGUCGGCCGGACUGUUUGAAGACCCAACAAUCUCGGUGGGUGUGGUUUGCAGGCCUUCCGGAGGUGCUGUGGAUUUGACAUAUCCGAUCCAAAAUUUUGUUUAAGCUGGAUAGCUCGUCACUGUUGUCCUUAAGAGGCAGUGUUUUGUUAUUCGGCCGCGAGCUUUUGAAUCUGGCAUUGACCGCCAUGUUCUUUGGGCUUUUUUCUUUAUUCCGGCGCUGGUCCUUUUUGCGCCGUGAUUUUCCGUUUCCAUCUCUGAUCUCGGAUGUACUCGGGUCGCUGGUGCUGCAUCUUGCUAGCCAGCUGUCUUCCCCCGCGCAAAAGCGGGUCAUGAGGCUUGUUAGCGCGGCCAUUGUUCUCGGCUUCUCUUGGCCGAGGUGUCUGGCGAGCCAUUCGUCUCGGACAUUAUGUUUAAAAGCUUCUAAGGCUUCGGCGUCUGGACAGUUGACUAUUUGGUUCUUUUUGGUAAGAAACCUGUUCCACAAUUUGCGCGCUGACUCUCCGGGCUAUUGAGUUAUGUGACUUAAAUCGCCUGCAUCCGGAGGGCGGACAUAAGUCCCUUGAAAAUUUGCUCUAAACGCGUCCUCGAGCUCCUCCCAACUUCCAAUAGUAUUUUCUGGGUGGAUUUUGAGCCAAUGCCGAGCUGGCCCUUUGAGCUUGAGGGGUAGAUAUUUUAUGGCAUGGAGAUCGCUCCUCUAGCCAUGUGUAUGUGCAGGAUGUAAUCCUCAACCAGACUCCGGGGUCUGUUGUUCCGUCGUAUGCCUCUAUGUUUACGGGCUUGAAUCCAGCUGGAAAUUCAUGAUCCAGCACCUCAUCGGUGAAACAUAGUGGGUGUGCGGCGCCCCUGUAUUUAGGCGUGCCGUUAUCUUCGAACAUGCGGCGUGUUGUGUUGCUUCCUGGGGCCCUCUUUUUUGGCCCAUAAAUGGACCUGACCGGGCCAUCUGUUUUACGAGGAUCAUGUGUCGGCUUGUGUGCGGCGCCGCUUGUCUCUUUUGGCCUGUCAUCUGGCUGUCUAUCCGGCCAGGCGGCCUCUUUGCUUUUUGACUGUGGGGGCUCUAUGGCCUCCUCGUCAAAUUCUGGCAGCAGCUUGCGCUUCGGGUAGCUCUUUGUUUGGUGGCCAUUUCCAUAUUUGUCCGCGGUCUUGAGUACUUUGCUCCACCUCAUUCUGAGUAUGUCUUCUGCUGUUUUGAGCUUUCGUUUUUCCCUCUUCAGACUUCUUGCAGUGGUGACAAGUCCUUUGUGAAGGUUCUUAUGCUCCGAUGGUGUGUCCGGCGUGAGAUCGUCUGGACUGUUGUUUUCGCCGGUCAUGGAUUGAUUAUCCGAUUCGUCCUGUUCGGCUGGUUGCUUGGUUGCAUGUUUGGUGUCCACUGGCUUGCCCUACUCUAUUGAUGGGUCAUUAGGAGUGCUGUUUUUGUCGAGGCGGGACUUAGGGCGGCGUCUGCGUCGCUGUUUUGGUUGUUUGUCGGCGGAAUUAUCCUUUGCCGCAUCCCGUUGUUCCUCGUUAUCGCUUCCUUUUGGGGUGUCCACCACAUAUAUAUCAUGGGUUGGGGUGGCCUUCCAGUGCUCGGUAGGCGCUGGUUCUUGGUAGUUUCCGGCAUCGCCAUCCAUACCGUCGAUGUCUUCGGAGUCGUAGUCUAGCAUGUCGGUUAGAUCAUCGAUAGUGGCUACAAAGUGGGUGGUGGGUGGGAUUUGAAUUUCUUUGUUGUCCGCAUCCCAACCAUCCUGACCGCAGUCCGGCUAGGGCUCUCCUGAUAACGAGAGAUGUUUUAGCGAAUUCAGGAUGUCGCCAAAGGGUGAGUACUGAAAGAUGCCCGCAGCGGUGAAUUCCAUGAUCGACGCCCAAUCGGAUUCGAUUGGUAGGGGCGCAGGAGGUUCGGAGUCCGGUAAGGAGUCCGGCACCUCGGAGUCACGAGCUUUAUAAGGGACAAGGUCAGUAUUCGACUCCAUCGCCGUAGAGGUUGCAACUUCCGAGGCGGUGUCCAGCCACCUGUCCUCAAUCUGCGCGGUCGGCUCCGAACUAUAGGUCGGAGCGGAUUCGUGUGCGGCCUCCAAGGUUCUGUCCGGCAGCAGAGCUAAACCAUGCCCAUCAUGACAGUGCGGCACGCUCGGCUGUGGCUCAAAUCCAUCGAAGAUCAAAUCUCUGCGGAUGUCAGCCGUGAAGUUUAGGCUUCCAAAUCUAACCUGAUGGCCAGGGGCAUAGCUUUCGAUCUGCUCCAGAUGGCCAAGUGAAUUGGCCCGCAGUGCAAAGCCGCCGAACACGAAGAUCUGUCCGGGGAGAAAAUUCUCACCCUGGACUGCGUUGUUGUUGAUUGAAGAAGCCAUCAAGCCUAUCGGUGACGACACAGAGGAACUCUCAAUGAAAGCACCAAUGUCGGUGUCGGCGGAUCUCGGGUAGGGGAUCCCGAACUGUGCGUUUAGGCGGAUGGUAACAGGAGACAAGGGACAUGAUGUUUUUACCCAGGUUCGGGCCCUCUCGAUGGAGGUAAAACCCUACUCCUGCUUGAUUGAUAUUGAUGAUAUGGGUAGUACAAGAGUGGAUCUACCACGAGAUGAAGGAGGCUAAACCCUAGAAGCUAGCCUAUGGUAUGAUUGUUGUAAUGGUUGUGUGUCCUGCGGACUAAAACCCUCCGGUUUAUAUAGACACCGGAGAGGGCUAGGGUUACACAGAGUCGGUUACAAUGUUAGGAGAUCUACAUAUCCGUAUCGCCAAGCUUGCCUUCCACGCCAAGGAAAGUCCCAUCCGGACACGGGACAAAGUCUUCAAUCUUGUAUCUUCAUAGUCUUGGAGUCCGGCUGACGAUGAUUGUCCGGCUAUCCGGACACCCCCUAGUCCAGGACUCCCUCACCCGUGAUCACCUCCCGAGUGAUCAGGGGCCGAUAGUAUAGCAAGGCAGACUGACAAGAAUGUAGGGCCAAUGAUGAUAAACUAGCAUCCUAUACUAAGCAUUUAGGACUGCAGGUAAAGGUAUCAACAGAUGUUGCAACAAUGAUAGGCUAUGCAACAGAAUAGUCUUAAUCGAAACAGUAACAUGCUACACUACUCUAAUGCAAGUCGUAUAGGGUUGAAUAGACAAUAUCUGGGGAUCAAAGGGGGGGCUUUCCUGGUUGCUCUUGCAAGAAGGAGGGGUCGUCAACUCCGUAGUCGAACUGGGCAGCAGCAGCGUCGGUCUCGUAGUCUACCGGAGAGAAGAGGGGGAAGAAACAGUAAAUACAAUGCAAACAUAAGCAUGACGAUGCAUGACAUGAUAAUGAGCAGUGUUAGGUGUGCCCUAACAUGGUAGUAGGUGAUACAGGCGAAAGGGGGAAACAUUCGGGAAAGUAUCCCUGGUGUUUCGCGUUUUCGGACAAAUGAACCAGAGGUGAAAUGUUGCAGGUUCACUAUGCUAGGGAUGCGUGACGGACGAACAGGCUGCGUAUAUGGAUUCGUCUCGUCGUUCUGAGCAACUUUCAUGUACAAAGUUUUUCCAUCCAAGCUAAGGUUUAUUUUAUAUUAAUUUUAAAAGAUUUAAUCAUUUUUAGAAUUUAUUUAAUUAUUUAAUUCUAACAUUAUCCAGAAUAGUGUAUGCUGAUGUCAUCAUGACGUCAGCAGUCAACAGGGAGUUGACUGGGUCAAACUGACGUGAGGGUCCCGCAUGUCAUUGACAAAUUAAUUAACUAACAUUUAAUUAGGUUAAUUAGUGAUUAGAUUAAUCUAAUUGAGAUUAAUUAAGUUAAUUAAUUAAUCAAUUAAUUAAUUAAUUAAUAUUUUUACUAUUGUUAUUUUUUAAUUCUUUUUUUGUACAAAAAUGUUUUGGGCGUGGGGCCCAUCUGUCAUAGGCCACAGGGGCCUUAGCAGUUGCGGGCAACGGGCGCAACGCUCGACCCGAACGGGCGCAUGCCCAGGUGCAGGCGGACCCUGGAAGGCACCGGAACAGGGGAGGCCGGUUCCCAUGGCGUGGCCAUGGCCGGAGCGGGGCAAGGCCGCGGUGGUGCGUGGGCGGCCGGCAGAGGCCAUGCGGGCGGCAGGCGGAGGCGGCGCUCGGCGGCGGCCCAGCAGGAGCUGCGGUAGUGGCCGCGAGGAGGCUAGGCCGGAGCCACAGGGGGAGGCGGGCGGUGACCGGAGGUGGCGCAGAGGGGCGAGGCCACCGUGGCGACAGGGCGCUGUAGCCCGACUGGUCCCUGGCGCCGGCUGGCACGGAGGAGGGCGCCGGCCAGGGCAAGGGACAGAGGAGGCGUAGCCGGUGCAAGGACGCGGCCAGGGCGCGGCCCGGCCGCGGUGUCCGAAUGGGCAGGGGAUGUGCGAGGAGAGGGGACGGCCAGGGUCAGGCGCGGGGUGCGCACGGCCAUCGGCCAGCAGCGACGCCAAGAGGAGGGCGAGGCCAUGGCCGAGGUGGCCGGAGCAGGGAAGGCGACGGGAGCCGGACGGCGGGGCGCAGCGAACGCGCGGUCACGGGCACGGCCAGCGGGCGCAGGGGCCUUGGUGAGCGCGGGGCAAGGGAGAGGGUAGGAGCGGGGUCCUCACCAAGAUUCGUAGGGAUUCGGGCAGCGGGGCUCGGGGAGGAGGUCGAGGACGUCAUGGCGGAGGGGAAGCAGGCGGCGGAGAGGAGGAGGCUGUCCGACGGGGGAGCUCCGGGCGUCGCUGUCCGCAUCGGGGGUGGAAGGGCGAGGGGAUCGGGAUCCUCCUGAUCCAGAUCCAAUCGAGGGGGAGUGGGGGAGCGAGUGGGGCGACGGGGGGUUACGACUAGGGUUUCCGCGGGUUAUGGAGAGGGAGUGGGCCGGCUGGGCCUAGCUUGGCUAGCAAUCGGGCCGGUUGGCCCAGGGGGUGCUUGCUUUUCUUUUCUUUUCAUUUUGUUUUCUCCUCUUGUUCUUUUUAUUUUAUUUAUUUUCCUUUCCGCUUUAAUCCACUUAAAAAAAUAUUUAGGCAUCCUGUAAAAGUGUGGUACCUUCACCUUAAAUACGUAGGCAUUAUUUGGCACGCUCCAAACAUUUUUGUUUGAUGUUUGAAAACUUUUGUUGUUUGCCAUGUUUUGAAUUUGAUUUUUGAACCGGUUUUUGAACUAACGAAAGAUUAGCAAUAGUAACGGAGGUCACGUGGCAACAUUACUAGAGUUUCACUGUAGCAUAAUUAUCCGAGCGUUACACAACAUACAUCUCAUCAAAAUAUCGAACGAAUACCAAAUUCAAAGGACUACUAAUACCAAGACUUAACCCAUGUCCUCAGGAACAAACGUAACUACUCACAAAGCAUAUUCAUGUUCGUAAUCAGAGGGGUAUUAAUAUGCAUUAAGGAUCUGAACAUAUGAUCUUCCACCAAAUAAAUGAACUAGCAUCAACAACAAGGAGUAAUCAACACUACUAGCAACCCACAGGUACCAAUCUGAGGUUUUGGUACAAAGAUUGGAUACAAGAGAUGAACUAGGGUUUAAGAGGAAAUGGUGCUGGUGAAGAAGUUGAUGGAUAUUUGACCCCCUCCCAAUGAGAGGAUCGUUGGUGAUGAUGAUGGUGAUGAUUUCCCCCUCCCGGAGGGAAAUUUCCCCGGCACAAUAGCUCCGCCGGAGCCCAAGAUUGGUUCCGCCAAGGUUCCGCCUCGUGGCGGCGGAGUUUCGUCCCGUAAGCUUGCUUCUGAUUUUUUCCAGGGUAAAAGACUUCAUAUAGCAGAAGAUGGGCACCGGAGGGCCACCAGGGGGGCCACGAGGCAGGGGGCGCGCCCUGUAAGGGUGGGCGCGCCCCCCACCCUCGUGGCUAGGGUGUGGGCCCCCUCUCGUACUUCUUUCGCUCAAUAACAUUAAUUCCAAAAAUGACUUUCAUGGAGUUUCAGGACUUUUGGAGCUGUGCAGAAUAGGUCUCCAAUAUUUGCUCCUUUUACAGCCUAGAAUCCCAGCUGCCGGCAUUCUCCCUCUUCAUGUUAAACAAUAGCCAUAAGUAUUGUGACAUAACGUGUAAUAACAGCCCAUAAUGCAAUAAAUAUCGAUAUAAAAGCAUGAUGCAAAAUGGAUGCAUCAACUCCCCCAAGCUUAGACCUCGCUUGCCCUCAAUCGGAAGCCGAUAUGAAAAAAUAUGCCCACAUAUUUAGAGAUAGAGGUGUCGAUAAAAAUAAAAUACGGACAUGAGGGCAUCAUGAUCAUUCUUAUAACAACAAAAUAUAUAUAAUUUGUCAUAUGAUUUCUUAUGCUCACGUAACAAUCUAUUCACCAUGUCAAGUAUGAAUCAGAAACUUCAUUGAGAACUAAUAAACUAUAAUCUCAGUCAUUGAAGCAAUUGCAAUUUAUCAUAACAUAGGAAAGAGUUAACAAUAGAGCUUUUCAGCAAGUCCACAUACUCAGCUAUCAUUUAGUCUUUCACAAUUGCUGACACUCACGCAAUACCUAUGGUUAUGGAGUUUUAAUCGGACACAGAGAAAGAUAGGGGCUUAUAGUGUUGCCUCCCAACGUUUUACCUCAAGGGUAAUGUCAACAAUAAUAGUUCAUGCUAACUUACAUCCAAUUAUAUAUAUAUAUAUAUAUAUAUAUAUAUAUAUAUAUAUAUAUAUAUAUAUCAGGAUCUUUCCAACAAGAGGUGCUUGCCAAAGGAUAAAAUGAAAAAGGGAAAGGUGAGGAUCACCUUGACUCUUGCAUAAUGUAAAAGACAUAAUGUAAAAGAUAGGCCCUUUGCAGAGGGAAGCAGAGGUUCUCAUGUGCUUUUUGGUUGGAUGCACAACAUCUUAAUGCAAAAGAAUGUUACUUUAUAUUGCCACUUGUGAUAUGAACCUUUAUUAUGCAGUCCGUCGCUUUUAUUACUUCCAUAUCACAUGAUCGUAUAAAGCUUAUUUUCUCCACGUUAAUAAGUCAUACAUAUUUAGAGAGCAAAUUUUAUUGCUUGCAACAUGACAACUUACUUGAAGGAUCUUACUCAAUCCAUAGGUAGGUAUGGUGGACUCUCAUGGCAAAACUGGGUUUAAGGAUAUUUGGAAGCACAAGUAGUAUCUCUACUUGGUGCAAGGAAUUUGGCUAGCAUGAGGGGGAAAGGCAAGCUCAACAUGUUGGACGAUCCAUGACAAUAUACUUUAACUAAGAUGUGAGAAAACAUAACCCAUUAUGUUGUCUUCCUUGUCCAACAUCAACUCUUUAGCAUGUCAUACUUUAAUGAGUUCUCACAAUCAUAAAAGAUGUCCAAGAUAGUAUAUUUAUAUGUGAGAACCUCUCUUUCUUUAUUACUUCCUAUUAAUUGCAACAAUGACCAAAACUAUGUUUGCCAACUCUCAACAAUUUUUAUGUAUCAUACUAUUUAUGUGUGAAGUCAUUACUAUCCAUAAGAUCAAUAUGAACUCUUUUAUUUCUUUUUAUUCUUUCUAUUUUCUCAAGAUCAUAGCAAGAUAGCAAAGCCCUUGACUCAACACUAAUCUUUAUUAUAUAUAGCUCACGGACUCGAUUACAUAGAGGGAUCGCAAAGCAAAACUCAAAACUAAUUCAUACCAAAAUUUUAUUCUAGUAGAUCAAGAUAUUACCAAAAGGAUCGAACUAAGUAAAAUGUAAAUAUAGGAGUGUGAUGGUGAUACGAUACCAGGGCACCUCCCCCAAGCUUGGCAGUUGCCAAGGGGGGUGCCCAUACCCAUGUGAUUAUGUCCUGGGAGGUGGUGAAGAAGGAGUUGUUGAUGAUGUAGGCUUGUCAUCCGUCUUCCAAGGCAUAGGAUCACCAUCAUAGAAGGAUGAUCGAGUCUUCGGGAUCCUCAAAUCUGCAGCCAAACUCAUCCUCUUGAAUAUAUAUUCAUACUCACAGUUUUGGUUUUGCAGGUCAUAGAUUUGGGCUUGGAGGUGCUCGAUUUUCUCAUGAAGCUUGAAGAUGGUCUCCCCAAUGUUCUUGGCGUCCAGCUUGUGGUUGUUGGUGAACUCCGCGAUCAUCAUCUGGUUGGCGUUAAGUACGCGCUCCACCAUACCUUGGCACUUGAAAACUUGUUGUUCCAUCGCUUCGAGCUUUGUCUCCAUGCUUCCGAUACUCCUUGGUCCCUCCACAUCGCGGAUGCGCAGCACCCCCUCAUGUGUCUCGAUGGUUUGAGGGUGGAGCACCUCCGUGAGGUAGGGGUUGAUGACCCUCUCAAAAAAUUUGUCCUUGGGAGCGCUUGAAGAAGUCAUGGUGCUCUAGAUCUAUCAGAAAAAUAGCUCGAAAGAAAGACAGAGGAUAUUUGUGUGAUACGGUGGUCAAAACCUUCGGGAGAUUAUAUAAUGAAUUUUUACCGACCAAAAGAAGUAUCGUGCAAGAAAACGGAGUCCAAAGAGCACACGAGGUGCUCACAAGGCAGGGGCGCGCCCUCCACCCUCGUGGACGCCUCGUGUCCUUCCCGGACUACUUCUUAUUUUCCUCAUUUCUUAAAUAUUCCAAAACGGAGAAACAUUGCUAUUAGAACUGCUUUGGAGUCGGUUUACUUACCAUAACAAAUAUCUAUUCCUUUUGGGAGUCUAAAACGUUCUGGAAAGUGUCCCUUAUGUAUUCCUCUAGGGUUACGGUUUUGAUAAUAUUAGUUUCAACAUUUAUAGGAUUACCUGAGAUAUAAUGUGUGAUUCUUUGACCGUUCACCACCUUUGGAUUUGUGCCUUCGAAGUUGUUGAUUUUUAUGGCACCGGAACGAUAUACCUCCUCGAUGACGUAAGGCCUUCCCAUUUAGAGAGAAGUUUUCCUGCAAAAAAUCUUAAACGAGAGUUGAAUAUCAACACAUAAUCACCUACAUUAAACUCAUGCUUUUGUAUCCUUUUGUCAUGCCAACUUUUAACCUUUUCUUUAAACAGCUUGGCAUUCUCAUAUGCUUGGCUUCUCCAUUCUUCAAGUGAGCUAAUGUCAAAUAACCUCUUCUCUCCAGCAAGUUUGAAAUCAUAAUUGAGCUCUUUAAUAGCCCAAUAUGCCUUAUGUUCUAGUUCGAGAGGUAAGUGACAUGCUUUUCCAUAAACCAUCUUAUAUGGAGACAUACCCAUAAGAUUUUUGUAUGCAGUUCUAUAGGCCCAUAAUGCAUCAUCAAGUUUCUUGGACCAAUUCUUUCUAGAUCUAUUAACAGUCUUUUGCAAAAUUAAUUUGAGCUCUCUAUUACUCAAUUCUAUUUGACCACUAGACUGUGGGUGAUAAGGAGAUGCAAUUCUAUGAUUAACAUCAUACUUAGCAAGCAUUUUAUGAAAAGCACGACAAAUAAAAUGUGAACCAUCAUCAGUCAUUAAAUAUCUAGGGACUCCGAACCUCGGAAAAAUAACUUCUUUAAGCAUCUUAAUAGAGGUGUUAUGAUCAGCACUACUAGUUGGAAUAGCUUCUACCCACUUAGUAACAUAAUCAACAUUAACUAAAAUAUGUGUAUAUCCAUUAGAGGCAGGAAACGGUCCCAUAUAAUCAAAGCCCCAAACAUCAAAUGGUUCAAUAACAAGAGAAUAGUUCAUAGGCAUUUCUUGACGUCUACUAAUAUUACCAAUUCUUUGACAUUCAUCCAAGACAAGACAAACUUACGAGCAUCUUUGAGAGUAGGCCAAUAAAAACCGGAUUGCAAUACCUUAUGUGUAGUUCUAUCUCCAGCAUGGUGUCCUCCAUAUGCUUCGGAGUGACACUUGCGUAGGAUCUGUUCCUGUUCAUGCUCAGGUACACAACUAAUAACACCAUCUACUCCUUUAUAAAGGUGUGGGUCAUCCCAAAAGUAAUGUCUUAAAUCAUAAAAGAACUUUUUCUUUUGCUGGUAUGUGAAACUAGGUGGUAUAAAUUUAGCAACAAUGUAAUCAGCAUAAUCAGCAUACCAUGGAGCAGUACGAGAAGCAUUUAUGACCGCUAAUUGUUCAUCAGGAGAACUAUCAUCAAUAGGUAGUGGGCCAUAAAGAACAUUCUCUAACCUAGACAAGUUGUCUGCAACGGGGUUCUCCGCUCCCUUUCUAUCAAUAAUAUGCAAAUCAAAUUCUUGUACUAGGAGAACCCAUCUAAUAAGUCUAGGUUUAGCAUCUUUAUUUUCCAUAAGAUAUUUAAUAGCAGCAUGAUCAGUGUGAAUAGUUACUUUAGAGUCAACAAUAUAAGGUCUGAACUUAUCACAUGCAAAUACAACUGCUAAGAAUUCUUUUACAGUGGUAGCAUAAUUUCUCUGGGCAGUGUCUAGAGUUUUACUAGCAUAUUGAAUAACAUUUAAUUUCUUAUCAACUCUUUGCCCUAGAACAGCACCUACAGCAUAAUCGCUAGCAUCACACAUAAUUUAAAAGGGUAAAUUCCAAUCAGGUGGCUGAACAAUAGGUGCAGAAAUCAAAGCUUUCUUAAGUAUUUCAAAUGCUUCUACACAAUCAUCAUCGAAGACAAAAGGAAUAUCUUUUUGUAAUAGAUUAGUCAGAGGCCUAGAUAUUUUUGAAAAGUCCUUAAUGAACCUCCUAUAAAAACCGGCAUGACCAAGGAAACUUCGUAUACCUUUAAUGUCCUUGGGAAAGGGCAUCUUUUCAAUAGCAUCAACUUUAGCUUUAUCAACUUCAAUACCUCUCUUAGAAAUUUUAUGCCCUAAGACAAUGCCUUCAUUAACCAUAAAGUGGCACUUCUCCCAAUUCAAAACAAGACUAGUAUCUUCGCAUCUCUGCAAAACACGAUCAAGGUUGCUCAAGCAAUCAUCAAAAGAGGAUCCAUAAACGGAGAAAUCAUCCAUGAAUACCUUACAAAUCUUUUCACAAAAGUCAGAGAAUAUAGCCAUCAUGCAUAUUUGAAAGGUAGCAGGUGCAUUACAUAAACCAAAAGGCAUACGUCUAUAAGGAAAAGUACCGAAAGGGCAAGUAAAAAUAGUCUUUGCUUGAUCGUCCGCUGACACAGGUAUUUGAGAGAAACCAGAAUAACCAUCUAGAAAGCAGAAAUGUGUAUGUUUGGAUAGUCCUUCUAGCAUUUGAUCAAUAAAAGGUAAAGGGUAAUGAUCUUUCUUAGUAGCUUUAUUUAAUUUACGGAAAUCAAUUACCAUCCUAUAACAUGUAAUAAUUCUAUGCGGGAUCAAUUCAUCUUUAUCAUUAGGGACUACAGUAAUACCUCCCUUCUUAGGGACACAAUGGACAGGACUUACCCACUCACUAUCAGCAACGGGAUAAAUUAUACCUGCCUCAAGGAGCUUUAGUAUUUCCUUUCUUACCACUUCUUUCAUCUUAGGAUUUAGCCGUCGUUGAUGAUCUCUAACUGGUUUAGCGUCUUCGUCCAAUUUUAUUUUGUGUUGGCAUAGAGUGGGACUAAUGCCCUUAAGAUCAUCAAGAGUAUAUCCAAUAGCAGCACGGUGCUUCUUCAGAGUUUUCAAUAAUCUUUCCUCUUCUUGCUCUGAAAGGUUGGCACUAAUAAUAACAGGAUAUAUCUUCUUUUCUUCAAGAUAAGCAUAUUUAAGAGUAUCGGGUAAUGGUUUAAGCUCAAAAAGGGAUCGCCAUUGGGUGGUGGAGGAUCCCCUAGGAUUUCAACAGGUAAAUUGUGUUUCAAAAUAGGACCCUAUUUAAAGAAUACUUCAUCUAUUUCCCUUCUUUCAUUCAUAAACAUAUCAUUUUCAUUGUCUAGCAAAUAUUGUUCUAAAGGAUCAGUAGGAGGCGCGGCAAUAGAAGCAAGACCAAUAAUCUCAUCCUUACUAGGCAAUUCUUUAUCAUGGGGUUGUUUACGAAAUUUAGCAAAAUUAAACUCAUGUUUCAUAUCCCCCAAGCCAAUUGUAACAACAUCCUUUUCACAAUCAAUCUUAGCAUUAAUAGUAUACAAGAAGGGUCUACCAAAUAUAAUGGACAAAAGCUAUCUUGUGGGGAACCAAGAACAAGAAAAUCAGUAGGACAUUUAACUUUCCCACACAAGACUUUGACAUCUCUAACAAUCCCAAAUGGUGAAAUAGUAUCACUAUUGGCAAGCUUAAUUGUAACAUUAAUCUCUUCUGACUCAGCAGGUGCAAUAUCAUGUUCUUCAUAUAAGGAAAAAGGUAUUGCACUAGCACUAGCACCCAUAUCACAUAAGCCAUGAUAACAAUGAUCUCCUAUUUUAACAGAAAUAACAGGCAUGCCUACAACAGGUCUAUGUUUCUUAGCAUCGGGUCUAGCAAUAGUAGCAGCUUCAUCACAGAAAUAAAUAACAUGCCCAUCAAUAUUAUCAGCCAAGAGAUCUUUAACCAUAGAAAUACUAGGUUCAACUUUAAUUUGCUCAGGUGGUGUAUAUGUUCUAGUAUUACUCUUACAAACCACAGUUGAAGCUUUAGCAUGAUCCUUUAUCCUAAUAGGGAAAGCUGGUUUCUCAACAUAAGUAGUAGGAACAAUAGGAUCAUUAUAAGUGAUAGUCUUUUCUUCAACUGUAACAGGUGCAACUACUUUUACUUCAGUGGGAGGAUUAUAUUUAAACCACUUCUCCUUAGGGAGAUCAACGUGAGUAGCAAAUGAUUCACAGAAGGAAGCUACUAUCUCAGAGUCAAGUCCAUAUUUAGUGCUAAAUCCACGAAAAGCAUCGGUAUCCAUAAAAGAUUUAACACAAUCAAACUUAAGUGUCAUACCUGACUCCUUACCAUCGUCGGAAUCCCAAUAUUCAGAGUUGCGUUUAAUUCUUUCCAAUAAGUCCCACUUGAAUUCAAUAGUCUUCAUCAUAUAAGAGCCAGCACAAAAAGUAUCGAGCAUGGUGCGAUCAUUGAGAGAGAGCCGAGCACAAAAUUUUUGAAUAAUCAUUUCUCUUGAGAGCUCAUGAUUGGGGCAUGAAUAUAACAUUGACUUAAGCCUUCCCCAAGCUUGAGAGAUGCUUUCUCCUUCGCAAGGCCAAAAAUUAUAUAUAUAAUUAUGAUCACGAUGAACAAGAUGCAUAGGAUAAAACUUCUAGUGAAAUUCCAAUUUCAAUCAUUUAUAGUUCCAAGAUCCCAUUUCAUUACAUAGCCUAUACCAUGUUAAUGCAUCUCCAUUCAAAGAUGAAGGGAAGACCUUCUUCUUAACAACAUCAUCGGGCAUACCUGCAAGCUUAAAUAAUCCACAAACUUCAUCUACAUAGAUAAGGUGUAAACCGGGAUGCAAUGUUCCAUCUCCACAAAGGGAUUAGCUAGCAGUUUCUCUAUCAUACCGGAAGGAAUUUCAAAGUAAACAUUUUCAGUAGGUUCAGUAGGUUGAGGAGCAACUCUUUGCUCUACUGGUCGGGGUGAAGAUACCCCGAACAAGCCCCUCAAAGGAUUAGUUUCCAUAGUAACAAGUGACAGUAAAUUUCAGCACACUAUAUAAAUGUUUCCUUACCAAGUUCCACUCACCAAAGGCGCUUCACUCCCCGGCAACGGCGCCAGAAAAGAGUCUUGAUGACCCAUAGUUUUAGGAGAUCUAUCGUAGUCCUUUCGAUAAGUAAGAGUGACAAGCGGUUUUCAGUAAGGUAUUCUCUGCAAGCACUGAAAUUGUAGGUAAUAGAUAGUUUUAUGAUAAGAUAAUUUGUGACGGGUAACAAACAAUAAAAGUAAAUAAGGUGCAGCAAGGUGGCCCAAUCCUUUUUGUAGCAAAGGACAAGCCUAGACAUAUUCUUAUAUAGAGAAAAGCGAUCCUGAGGACACAUGGGAAUUAUCAUCAAGCUAGUUUUCAUCACGUUCAUAUGAUUCAUGUUCGGUACGUUGAUAAUUUGAUAUGUGGGUGGACCGGUGCUUGGGUACUACCCUUUCUUGGACAAGCAUCCCACUUAUGAUGAACCCCUAUUGCAAGCAUCCACAACUACAAAAUAAGUAUUAAGGUAAACCUAACCAUAGCAUGAAACAAGUGGAUCCAAGUCAGCCCCUUACGAAGCAAUGCAUAAACUAGGGUUUGAGCUUCUGUUACUCUAGCAACCCAUCAUCUACUUAUUACUUCCCAAUGCCUUCCUCUAGGACCAAAUAAUGGUGAAGUGUCAUGUAGUCUACAUUCACAUAACACCACUAAAGGAGAGACAACAUACAUCUCAUCAAAAUAUCGAACGAAUACCAGAUUCACAUGACUACUAAUAGCAAGACUUCACCCAUGUCCUCAGGAACAAACGUAACUACUCACAAAGCAUAUUCAUGUUCGUAAUCAAAGGGGUGUUAAUAUGCAUUAAGGAUCUGAACAUAAGAUCUUCCACCAAAUAAACCAACUAGCAUCAACUACAAGGCGUAAUCAACACUACUAGCAACCCACAGGUACCAAUCUGAGGUUUUGGUACAAAGAUUGGAUACAAGAGAUGAACUAGGGUGUGAGAGGAGAUGGUGCUGGUGAAGAUGUUGAUGGAGAUUGACCCCCUCCCGAUGAGAGAAUCAUUGGUGAUGACGAUGGUGAUGAUUUCCCCCUCCCAGAGGGAAGUUUGCCCGGCAGAACAGCUCCGCCGGAGCCCUAGAUUGGUUCCGCCAAGGUUACGCCUCGUGGCGGCGGAGUUUCGUCCCGUAAGCUUGCUUCUGAUAUUUUUCCAGGGUAAAAGACUUCAUAUAGCAGAAGAUGGGCACCGGAGGGCCACCAGGGGGCCCACGAGGCAGGGGGCGCGCCCUAUAAGUGUGGGCGUGCCCCCCACCCUCAUGGCUAGGGUGUGGGCCCCCUCUAGUACUUCUUUCACUCAAUAAUUAUCAUUAAUUCGAAAAAUGACUUUCGUGGAGUUUCAGGACUUUUGGAGCUGUGCAGAAUAGGUCUUCAAUAUUUGCUCCUUUUCCAGCCUAGAAUCCUAGCUGUCGGCAUUCUCCCUCUUCAUGUUAAACAUUGUAAAAUAAGAGAGAAUAGCCAUAAGUAUUGUGACAUAACGUGUAAUAACAGCCCAUAAUGCAAUAAAUAUCGAUAUAAAAGCAUGAUGCAAAAUGGAUGUAUCAGAAGGCCCAUGGAUCCUACAACCCGUAGAAGGCCCAUGGAUCCUACGGCCUGAUACGUCUACAACGUAUCUAUAAUUUUUGAUUGUUCCAUGAUAUUAUAUUAUCUGUUUUGGAUGUUUAAUGGGAUUUAAUAUGCUCUUUUAUAUUAUUUUUGGAACUAACCUAUUAACCGAAGGCCGAGUGCCAGUUUCUGUUUUUUUGCCUAUUUUAGUGUUUCGCAGAAAAGGAAUAUCAAACGGAAUCCAAAUGGAACGAGACCUUCGUGAGGAUCUUUCUUGGAACAAACGCAACCCAGGAGACUUGGACUCGAAGUCUGGAACUCCGCGAGGCAUCCACGAGGCAGGAGGGCACGCCCAAGGGGGGUAGGCACCCCCCCCCCCCGCCCACCCUCGUGGGCCUCAUGGAGCUCCACUGACGUACUUCUUUCGCCUAUAUAUACUCUUGUACCCUAAAAACAUACAGGAGAGCCACGGAACCACUUUUCCAUCGCCGCAACUUUCCGUACCCGUGAGAUCCCAUCUGGGGCCUUUUCCGGCGAUCUGCCGGAGCGGGAAUCGAUCACGGAGGGCUUCUACAUCAACACCAAAGCCUCUCUGAUGAAGCGUGAGUAGUUUACCAUAGACCUUCGGGUCCAUAGUUAUUAUCUAGAUGGAUUCUUCUCUCUCUUUGAUUCUCAAUACAAAGUUCUCCUUGAUGUUCUUGGAGAUCUAUUCGAUGUAAUACUCUUUUGUGGUGUGUUUGCCAAGAUCCAAUGAAUUGUGGAUUUAUGAUCAAGAUUAUCUAUGAAUAUUAUUUGGUUAUUCUCUGAAUUCUUAUAUGCAUGAUUUGAUAUCUUUGCAAGUCUCUUUGAAUUAUCGGUUUAGUUUGGCCUACUAGAUUGAUCUUUCUUGCAAUGGGAGAAGUUCUUAGCUUUGGGUUCAAUCUUGCGGUGUCCUUUCCCAGUGACAGUAGGGGUAGCAAGGCACGUAUUGUAUUGUUGCCAUCGAGGAUAAAAAGAUGGGUUUUAUAUCAUAUUGCUUGAUUUUAUCCCUCUACAUCAUGUCAUCUUGCCUAAUGCGUUACUCUUUUCUUAUGAACUUAGUACUCUAGAUGCAUGCUGGAUAGCGGUCGAUGUGUCGAGUAAUAGUAGUAGAUGCAGAAUCAUUUCGAUCUACUUGACACGGACGUUGUGCCUAUAUUCAUAAUCAUUGCCUAUAUAUUCUCAUAACUAUGCGCUUUUCUAUCAAUUGCUUGGCAGUAAUUUGUUCACCCACUGUAAUACAUGCUAUCUUGAGAGAAGCCACUAGUGAAACCUAUGGCCCCCGGGUCUCUUUCUUAUUAUAUUGCAUCUUUUUUCUUUAGAUCGCAUCUCGUUUUACUAUUUUGCAAUCUUUACUUUCCAAUCUAUACAAGAAAAAUAUCAAAAUAUUUAUCUUAUUAUGUUUAUCAGAUCUCACUUUUGCAAGUGGCCGUGACGGGAUUGACAACCCCUUUAUCGCGUUGGUUGCAAGGGUCUUGAUUGCUUGUGCAGGUACUAGGUGACUUGAGCGUUGUCUCCUACUGGAUUGGUACCUUGGUUCUCAAAACUGAGGGAAAUGCUUAUGCUACUUUGCAGCAUCACCCUUUCCUCUUCAAGGGAAAACCAACGCAUGCUCAAGAGGUAGCAAGCAGGAUUUCUGGCGCCGUUGUCGGGGAUAUCUAUGCCCAAGUCAAGACAUACCAAGUACCCAUCGAAAACUCUUCUCCCUCGCAUUUCAUUAUUUGGCAUUUGCCUCUCGUUUUCCUCUCCCCCACUUCUAAAACGAUUUUCAAAAACCUUUCCUUUUCUUCGCCCUUUUCCGUUCAUCUCUUUUCGCUUGCUUCUUGUCUGCUUGUGUGUUGGAUUGAUUGCUUGUCACGAUGGCUCAACAUAAUACUAAAUUCUGUGACUUUUCCAAUACCAACAACAAUGAUUUUAUUAGCACUCCGAUUGCUCCUACUACCGAUGCUGAAUCUUGUGAAAUUAAUACUGCUUUGUUGAAUCUUGUUAUGAAAGAUCAAUUUUCCAGCCUUCCUAGUGAAGAUGGCACUACCCAUCUAAACAACUUUGUCGAUUUGUGUGAUAUGCAAAAGAAGAAAGAUGUGGACAAUGAUAUUGUUAAAUUGAAGCUAUUUCUGUUUUCGCUUCGAGAUCGUGCUAAAACUUGGUUCUCUUCUUUGCGUAAAAAUAUUAUUGAUUCAUGGAAUAAGUGCAAAGAUGCUUUUAUCACUAAGUAUUUUCCUCCCGCUAAGAUCAUCUCUCUUAGGAACGAUAUUAUGAAUUUUAAGCAACCAGAUCAUGAGCAUGUUGCACAAGUUUGGGAGAGGAUGAAACUAAUGAUACGUAAUUGCCCUACACAUGGUUUGAAUUUGUGGAUGAUUAUACAAAAUUUUUAUGCCGGAUUGAAUUUUGCUUCUAGAAAUCUUUUAGAUUCGGCCGCGGGAGGCACUUUUAUGGAAAUCAUUUUAGGAGAAGCUACUAAACUCCUAGAAAAUAUUAUGGUUAAUUAUUCUCAAUGGCACACCGAAAGAUCCACUAGUAAAAAGUUCAUGCAAUUGAAGAGAUUAAUGUUUUGAGUGGAAAGAUGGAUGAACUUAUGAAACUGUUUGCUAAUAUAAGUGUUUCUUCUGAUCCUAAUGAUAUGCCUUUGUCCACUUUGAUUGAGAAUAAUAAUGAAUCUAUGGAUGUGAAUUUUGUUGGUAGGAACAAUUUUGGUAACAACGCGUAUAGAGGAAACUUUAAUCCUAGGCCGUUUCCUAAUAAUUCCUCUAAUAAUUAUGGUAAUUCCUACAACAAAUCUUAUGGAAAUUUUAAUAAGAUGCCCACUGAUUUUUAGACUAGUGUUAAAGAAUUUAUGAGUUCACAAAAGAGUUUCAAUGCUUUGGUUGAACAAAAAUUGCUUAAGAUUGAUGAGUUGGCUAGGAACAUGGAUAGAAUUUGUCUUGAUGUUGAUUCUUUGAAACUUAGAUCUAUUUCACCUAAGCAUGAUAUCAAUGAGUCUCUCAAGGCAAUGAGAAUUUCCAUUGAUGAGUGCAAAGAAAGAACUGCUAGGAUGCAUGCUAAAAAGAUUGCUUUGUGAAAGCGUGUUCUUCUAGUUUUCAUGAUAAUAAUGAUGAAGAUCUAAAAGUGAUUGAUGUGACUCCUAUUAAAUCUUUGUUUUCCAAUAAAAAUCUUGAUAAAUAUGGGACUAGAGAGGAGUCAACUUUAGUUAAAAGGCGUCCCAAUGAUUCGGAGUUUUUAGAUCUUGAUGCAAAAAUUAAUAAAAGUGGGAUUGAAUAGGUCAAAACUUUACAUGGCAAUGAACCCACUAUUUUGGAUUUCAAGGAAUUUAAUUAUGAUAAUUGCUCUUUGAUAGAUUGUAUUUCCUUGUUGCAAUCCGUGUGAAAUUCUCGUCAUGCUUAUAAUCAAAAUAAAGCUUUUACUAAACAUAUCGUUGAUGCUUUGAUACAAUCUUAUGAAGAAAAGCUUGAACGAGAAGUUUCUAUCCCUAGAAAACUUUAUGAUGAGUGGGAAGCUACUAUUAAAAUUAAGAUUAAAGAUUAUGAAUGCUAUGCGUUGUGUGAUUUGGGUGCUAGUGUUUCCACGAUUCCAAAAACUUUGUGUGAUGUGCUAGGUUUCCGUGAAUUUGAUGAUUGUUCUUUAAAUUUGCACCUUGCGGAUUCCACCAUUAAGAAACCUAUGGGAAGGAUCAAUGAUGUUCUUAUUGUGGCAAAUAGGAAUUAUGUGCCCGUAUAUUUCAUUGUUCUUGAUAUAGAUUGCAAUCCUACAUGUCCUAUUAUUCUUGGAAGACCUUUCCUUAGAAUGAUUGGUGCAAUUAUUGACAUGAAAGAAGAAGCAUUAGAUUCCAAUUUCCGUUAAGGAAAGGCAUGGAACACUUUCCUAGAAAGAAAAUUAAAUUACCUUAUGAAUCUAUUAUGAGAGCCACCUAUGAAUUGCAUACCAAAUAUGUCAAUACCCAGAUCUAUUCUUGCUUUUAUGGGGGCGUUAAACGAUAGCGCUUGUUGGGAGGCAACCCAAUUUUAUUUUUGUUCCUUGCUUUUUGUUACUGUUUAGUAAUAAAUAAUUCAUCUAUACUCUGUUAUGAUUGUGUUUUUUAUGUUUUAAUUAGUGUUUGUGUCAAGUAAAGACUUUAGGAACUUCUUGGGUGAUUGUUGUUUGAUCUUGUUGAAAAAAACAGAAAGUAUGUGCUGACACAAAUAAUUACCAUUUUUUACCAGAGAGUGAUAAAAUAUCAAUUCCAACUUCAGUAGAUCAAUAUACAAAUUAUCCUGAUCAUCCUAAUGUUUCAGAAUUUUUGGAGUUUCCAAAGUGUUCGAACUAUCCAGAUUGCUACAGACUGUUCUGUUUUGACAUAUUUUGUUUUUCGUGUGUUGUUUGUUUAUUUUGAUGAAUCUAUGGCUAGUAUCGGGGGGUAUGAACCAUAGAGAAGUUGGAAUACAGUAGGUUUAACACCAAUAUAAAUUAAAAAUGAGUUCAUUACAGUACCUUAAAGUUGUGAUUUGUUUUCUUAUACUAACAGAGCUCAUAAGAUUUUCUAUUGAAGUUUUGUGUUGUGAAGUUUUCAAGUUUUUGGGUAAAGAUUUGAUGGAUUUUGGAACAAGGAGUGGCAAGAGCCUAAGCUUGGGGAUGCCAAAGGCACCCCAAGGUAAAAUUCAAGGACAACCAAAAGCCUAAGCUUGGGGAUGCCCCGGAAGGCAUCCCCUCUUUCGUCUUCGUCUAUCGGUAACUUUACUUGAGGCUAUAUUUUUAUUCACCACAUGAUAUGUGUUUUGAUUGGAGCGUCUUGUAUGAUUUGAGUCUUUUUUUAGUUUACCACAAUCAUCCUUGCUGUACACACCUUUCGGGAGAGACACGCAUGAAUCGGAAUUUAUUAGAAUACUCUAUGUGCUUCACUUAUAUCUUUUGAGCUAGAUAAUUUUGCUCUAGUGCUUCACUUAUAUCUUUUUAGAGCACGGUGGUGGUUUUAUUUUAUAGAAGUUAUUGAUCUCUCAUGCUUCACGUAUAUUACUUUGAGAGUCUUUUAGAACAGCAUGGUAAUUUUCUCUGGUUAUAAAAUUAGUCCUAAUAUGAUGGGCAUCCAAGAUGGGUAUAAUAAAAACUUUCAUAUAAAGUGCAUUGAAUACUAUGAGAAGUUUGAUGCUUGAUGAUUGUUUUGACAUAUGAAGAUGGUGAUAUUAGAGUCAUGCUAGUUGAGUAGUUGUGAAUUUGAGAAAUACUUGUGUUAAAGUUUGUGAUUCCUGUAGCAUGCACGUAUGGUGAACCGUUAUGUGAUGCAGUCGGAGCAUGAUUUAUUUAUUGAUUGUCUUCCUUAUGAGUGGUGGUCGGGGACGAGCGAUGGUAUUUUCCUACCAAUCUAUCCCCCUAGGAGCAUGCACGUAGUACUUUGUUUUGAUAACUAAUAGAUUUUGCUAUAAGUAUGUGAGUUCUUUAUGACUAAUGUUGAGUCCAUGGAUUAUACGCACUCUCACCCUUCCACCGUUGCUAGCCUCUCUAGUACCGCGCAACUUUCGCCGGUACCAUAAACCCAUCAUUUACCUUCCUAAAAACAGCCAGCAUACCUAUCUAGUAUGGCAUUUCCAUAGCCAUUCCGAGAUAUAUUGCCAUGCAGCUUUCCACCGUUCUGUUUAUUACGACACGCUCCAUCAUUGUCAUAUUGCUUUGCAUGAUCAUGUAGUUGACAUCGUAUUUGUGGCAAAGCCACCCUCAUAAUUCUUUCAUACAUGUCACUCUUGAUUCAUUGCACAUCCCGGUAUACCGCCGGAGGCAUUCACAUAGAGUCAUAUUUUGUUCUAAGUAUCGAGUUGUAAUUCUUGAGUUGUAAGUAAAUAAAAGUGUGAUGAUCUUCAUUAUUAGAGCAUUGUCCCAGUGAGGAAAAGAUGAUGGAGACUAUCAUUUCCCCACAAGUCGGGAUGAGACUCCAGACGAAAAAAUAGGCCAUAAAAAAGAGAAAGGCCCAAAAAAUGAGAUAAAAAGAGGAAGGGGCAAUGCUACUAUCCUUUUACCACACUUGUGCUUAAAAGUAGCACCAUGAUCUUCAUGAUAGAGAGUCUCCUAUUUUGUCACUUUCAUAUACUAGUGGGAAUUUUUCAUUAUAGAACUUGGCUUGUAUAUUACAAUGAUGGGCUUCCUCAAAAUGCCCUAGGUCUUCGUGAGCGAGCAAGUUGGAUGCACACCCAGUUAGUUUCUUGUUGAGCUUUCACACACUUAUAGCUCUAGUGCAUCCGUUGCAUGGCAAUCCGUACUCACUCACAUUGAUAUCUAUUGAUGGGCAUCCCCAUAGCCCGUUGAUACGCCUAGUUGAUGUGAGACUAUCUUCUCCUUUGUGUCUUCUUCACAACCACCAUUCUAUUCCACCUAUAGUGCUAUGUCCAUGGCUCACGCUCAUGUAUUGCGUGAAUAUUGAAAAAGUUUGAGAACACCAAAAGUAUGAAACAAUUGCUUGGCUUGUCAUCAGGGUUGUGCAUGAUUUAAAUAUUUUGUGUGAUGAAGAUAGAGCAUAGCCAGACUAUAUGAUUUUAUAGGGAUAGCUUUCUUUGGCCAUGUUAUUUUGAGAAGACAUGAUUACUUUAUUAGUAUGCUUGAAGUACUAUUAUUUUUAUGUCAAUAUUAAACUUUUGUCUUGAAUCUUUCGGAUCUGAACAUUCAUGCCACAAUAAAGAAAAUUACAUAGAUAAUUAUGCUAGGUAGCACUCCACAUCAAAAAUUCUAUUUUUAUCAUUUACCUACUCGAGGACGAGCAGGAAUUAAGCUUGGGGAUGCUUGAUACGUCUCCAACGUAUCUAUAUUUUUUGAUUGUUCCAUGCUAUUAUAUUAUCUGUUUUGGAUGUUUAAUGGGCUUUCAUAUGCUCAUUUAUAUUAUUUUUGGGACUAACCUAUUAACCGGAGGCCCAGUGCCAGUUUUUGUUUUUUUCUUCCUAUUUUAGUGUUUUGCAGAAAAGGAAUAUCAAACGGGGUCCAAACGGAACGAAACCUUCGCGAGGAUCUUUCUUGGAACAAACGCAACCCAUGAGACUUGGAGUGGAAGUCUGGAGCUCCGCGAGGCGUCCACGAGGCAGGAGGGCACCCCAGGGGGUAGGCACACCCCCCACCCUUGUGGGCCCCAUGGAGCUCCACCGACGUACUUCUUUCGCCUAUAUAUACUCUUGUACCCUAAAAACAUCCAGGAGAGCCACGAAACCACUUUUCCAUUGCCUCAACCUUCCGUACCCGUGAGAUCCCAUCUAGGGCCUUUUCCGGUGAUCUUCCAAAGGGGGAAUCGGUCAUGGAGGGCUUCUACAUCAACACCAUUACCUCUUCGAUGAAGCGUGAGUAGUUUACCACAGACCUUCGGGUCCAUAGUUAUUAGCUAGAUGGCUUCUUCUCUCUCUUUGAUUAUCAAUACAGAGUUCUCCUCGAUGUUCUUGGAGAUCUAUUCGAUGUAAUACUCUUUUGUGGUGUGUUUGCCGAGAUCCGAUGAAUUGUGGAUUUACGAUCUAGAUUAUCUAUGAAUAUUAUUUGGUUAUUCUCUGAAUUCUUAUAUGCCCUCGAUUUGACCGUAUACUAAUCAUGCACGCAAACAUGUACGAUCAAGAUCAGGGACUCACGGGAAGAUAUCACAACACAACUCUAGACACAAAAAGAAAUAAUACAAGCUUCAUAUUACAAGCCAGUGGCCUCGAGGGCUCGAAUACGGAAGCUCGAACACAAGAGUCAGCGGAAGCAUAAUAUCUGAGUACAGACAUAAGUUAAACAAGUUUUGCCUUAAGAAGGCUAGCACAAACGAAGCAACGAUCGAAGAGGCAAGGCCUCCUGCCUGGGACCUCCUAACUACUCCUGGUCGUCAGCGGGCUCCACGUAGUAGUAGGCAUCGGCGGUAACAUCUGGCUCCAAGGAUCCACCAUCUGGUUCCAACAAUCGGAAAGAAGGAAGAAGGGGGGAAAAGGGGUAGCAAAGCAACCAUGAGUACUCAUCCAAAGUACUCGCAAGCAUCAGAUCUAUACUAAGUAUGCAUUGGUAUCAAAUGGAAGGGCUGUAUCUAUGGACUGAACUGCAGAAUGCCAGAAAUAGAGGGAAGGCCUAGCCUAUCGAAGACUAGCAUCUUCAAGCAGCUCCAAGCAUCUUGCAGCAUGUAGAAGAGUAAAGAAUAACAAUUUAAUUAACAAGCAUGUUGUAACAUUAAGGCCUAGAGAUCCUUCCUUGACUCCCUGUGAGAAAGUAAUCCCAAAGCCACAUAUCCAUCACCUGUCUCAAGUAACCAGUUCUAGUUAUAAUAGAUCAGGAUACAAGUCUGAACGUCCAUGUAACAUCCAAAAUUUCCAAUUUGGAAUGUUAUACAUAGGUCAUCUUUGCAUAUCAUAUUUUUAGUGCAUUUUUGGUUUAUCCUGGAAAUUCUAAGCAAUUCAAGGACCCACGGAGAGAGUUGGGGAUUUCGUUAUUUUCAUAUUUGAGUUUUCUCAAAUUUUGCAAAGAGGAUCAUUUGGUCUUAAUCAUUUUUCUCUUCAAAUAUUUUUUAUAUGAAAAUAAAAGAUAGGGGAUAAAAUGACUUCUCAUAAAUAAAGAAAUAUUGGAGGAAAAUAUUAAAAUCAAAUAAGAAUUAUAAUCGGAGUUUUAUUGUUAUUUUAUUUGAAUAAGGAAAAAAAAGUGUUUUCCAAAGUUGCGUUAGAGUCCCAAAUAAAUGUUCACUUUGUCCGAAGUAUUAUUAGAGGACUAUGAAAAUUUAUUUCAGGAUUUUUGGACUCCGUUUAGCAUAUCUUUCGUUAGUUUUUCUGUGUCUGGAUUUAUUUUUAAAAAAAAGUUACCGACCUUACCGGGCCGUGUCCGACCUGGACUCCAGCCCGGUCGGCCUUUAUAAGCCGGGAGGCCCAACCCCUCCGAACCCUAGCUGCCAGCCCCGCCUUGCCCCGCGCCGCCAGGANNNNNNNNNNNNNNNNNNNNNNNNNNNNNNNNNNNNNNNNNNNNNNNNNNNNNNNNNNNNNNNNNNNNNNNNNNNNNNNNNNNNNNNNNNNNNNNNNNNNNNNNNNNNNNNNNNNNNNNNNNNNNNNNNNNNNNNNNNNNNNNNNNNNNNNNNNNNNNNNNNNNNNNNNNNNNNNNNNNNNNNNNNNNNNNNNNNNNNNNNNNNNNNNNNNNNNNNNNNNNNNNNNNNNNNNNNNNNNNNNNNNNNNNNNNNNNNNNNNNNNNNNNNNNNNNNNNNNNNNNNNNNNNNNNNNNNNNNNNNNNNNNNNNNNNNNNNNNNNNNNNNNNNNNNNNNNNNNNNNNNNNNNNNNNNNNNNNNNNNNNNNNNNNNNNNNNNNNNNNNNNNNNNNNNNNNNNNNNNNNNCGUCCCGCCGCCGGAGUGCUGCCGCCGCCGCCAUAUGGUUUUUCAUAGAAAUCCUAUCGGUUUUUUUGAAACCCUAGAUUUGUUUUUUUAGUUUCGGCUUGUUUUUUUGUUUAGAUAAAUAGCAUACAUUCGUCCAAACGUUCGUUUUAACAAAUGCUGUUUUUCCGUUAGCCGCAGAUAGCGAACGUUCGUUCGUUAGCCUGUUCGUAUGUUUUUCUUUUUCCAGGGUUUUUCCGCGGUUAUUUUUUAUCGCGAUUUCUGCCCUGAUCUUCGUUUUAGUUUAUCUUUUCGCUCGUUUAUCCAAAUCAGGUGAUUCAAGCACCUAGAUCUUCAUCUCGAAGCCCUCUUUCUGUUUAACCAACUUGAACAAGAUGUUUGUACUAUAAAAGUUGACUUUAGUCCAGAUUAGUAAACGGAUCUUGUUUCUUUCGUAGUUUGAGUUUCGUUGCUCCGUUUGAUUUGAUUCUUUUUGCAAACCGGAGUUCUUCAGUUGAACUUUCUGGUAGAUCUCUUAUUUGAGUUUUACCUGUGCUUCUAGUUGAGUGCUUAUGUAUGUUAUUGUUUGUUUGCGAUAGAGUACCCAGAGUGGAAGCGUGCUACUAUGAGUCUCUAGGUUUUGCGGAUCAUCAGCAAGGCAAGUAACACUUUGAUCAUACCUCUUUACUAACCAGUUUUUAUGCAUUAGACUCAACCCUCAAACAUUGCAUGGUUAGGAUCUGUUAUAACAUGUGGGUUUUGGGAAGUAGAUGAUGAGGUAGAACCUAUUGCCCUUUUAUUAUCAAACCUUUGGGGGUUACUUCUAAGUUAUGCUCAGAAUUGCUAUGGUAUGUGCGUAGACGUGGAUUGGGUGAGUGUAUCCAUGACAUAUGUGAGUAUUGUUAAUUAAUGGUUAACUUAAGAUGGCUACUUAAAUACACAUAUGGGUGGAUUGGUUGAGGCACCCUAGAGUACCUAGUGGUUGUCAGGGCACCCGGAGAAUCCAGUGUUGUCCUAGGAUAUCCCGGAGUACCCGUGUGAUCAUCCUACGGUUCGCCACCAUGCUCAAAGGGAUCAUAAGAUUUUUCAUGCUGGAAACAUCAGUCUGCAGCCACAAGCCAAUAUGGACUCUGGCAUGGUUGAGUAAGUUGCGUGAAGCUCUUGAAGAGGUAGACUAGCAGAUGUAGUGGGUUGUACGUGGUACUAUCUACCCAGAGUAGAGAGUUAAUGCUUCAGAAAGACUGUGUCUCGAAUCUCCGAUCAUGGAUGUGUUUGAGUCUUGUGGGGAAAACUGCGCAAACCUCUGCAGAGUGUACAAACUAAUCAUGGUUAGCCGUGUCCCCAGUUAUGGACAUCUUGAGUAUCUGGUUCUUGGAUUAUCAUGUUGAUCUCAUCACUCUAAUUUAAUUUGUUGUGUUUAAUGAUGAUGCUUAAUUGGGAUUGAGUUGGAGGAACCUUCUCAAUGUUUAACAACCACCAUGAGAGUUAAAUAAAAUUUAUUCCCUUGUUUUAGGAAAAAAUUGGCUUUAUGCAAAACUAUAACCAUAGAUCUUUCCACCAGCCAUAUAUGCAUGUAGUUAUAGCAUUCAUUCUAUUCGUUACUCCAUGUGUUAAAUUGCCAGCAUAUUCCAUGUGCUGACCCAUUUCGGGCUGCAAUGUUUCAUGUUGCAGACUUUUCAGACGACGAGUAAGGUGCCAUAGGUCGUUGUCGUUCACUCAGCUAUGUCGUUGGUGUUUGAUGGACUCACUUUAUCUUCCAAGCCUUCCGUUGUUAUCGUUUUAGAUUAAGCCAUAUUAUUGUAAUAAGUUAUCUUUUGAGACAUUCGAUGUAAUAAGUGUGUGAUUGAAACUCUGUUAUAAAUCCUCAAGUACUGUGCGUGUUAGCAUUACCGAUCCAUGGAUGACACUGAUGCACAGAGACUAGACUAUUUGAGGUCUGGUCGCUACAAGAUGGUAUCAGAGCACACGCUGACUGUAGGACACGACCACUAAGCUAAAACCAUAGGUCACUCUUCUCUACUCAUUUCUGACUCCUCCCCCUUUUCUACUCUAUAGGAUGGCAGAUGCAAGGAACAAGUUCACACAACCGGAUGAAGACACCCCUUUUGGACGACACUUGAAGGAAGUUACUAGGUACCUGAACAUUGGAAUACCAAGCUUCACCGGGACCGACAUCGCCACUUUACCGGAAGAGGAGCGUUGGAUGAUUCGAGUACAAGUUCUAGGAAGGACGUUCAUGCCAGUCACUGAGGCCAUAGAGUUUUCCUUUGAUGCACCAACCUGGAGUCUAGGAAAGAGCAUCGCAGCUCACAUCGCCAUGGGACGCAUUGGAGAAGUUUACCACAAGGAUCUCAAGGAUACUAUCUACCAGAUUUGUGGGCGCCGAGAUGAGCAAUGGGAGAUGAUCAGCACCAGGAGGGAUAGGUCCAUUGCAGCUUUCAUCCAGGAGUUAAACCAGCACAUUCGUCGCCAAGGCAAUGACCAGGAUAACAGAGCUGGAGGAAGAACACAAGUCUACACGUGAUGGAUAUGAGGAGGAAAUGACGAUACUCGUGGAAAAGAAUGAUGAUCUGACAAGGAAGCUAGGAGUAUUCAUGGGAGACCUCGCGCCAGGAGGAGAUGACAACAAUUCCAAGGGCAUUUGUUCGGAGGACUACAUCAUCAUCGAAGACUCCGACUCAGACCCCAAUGAUAGCGAUGAUGACUAUGUUGAUGAAGCUGGAGCAGAUAUCAUGGAGUCUUCCACUGAACAAAACUUCUAGUCGACCACCAUACCAGUAGUAGUAUUUCCCAUGUAUAUAGUAUAGCCCGAGCACUUUUGUAACGAUAGUUAGACCGAUUGUAUGCCCUUGUUUGAAUUGAUUGAAGUGAUAUGAUUGUGUUUGUCUCAUGUGCAUAUGGUUAGUGUUUUCCCUCUAGACCUCAUUCUAUUUCUAUUUUCUCAUCUUUUCUAAACCCAUCAGAUGCCUCUAAGACGUGACAACGGAUUUGUUUUCCCAUCAGAGCUCACUCAGUUGAUCCAGCAGCAGAAUACCUUGAUGCAGCUACUGGUUCAACAUUACAACCAAGGGAACAACAACAACAACCCACCACCACCACCACCUAUUGAACACUUAGCCAAUUUUCUAAGGCUGAAUCCGCCCGUGUUCUGUAGCACCGAGCCGGUUGUUGCAGAUUAUUUGCUCCACAAGAUUGGAAGGGAGUUGACCACUGCAGGAUGCACAGAUGCGAAGAGAGUGCAUUUUGCCGCACACUAGCUUGAUGGACCCACAACAUCAUGGUGGGAGAAUUUCAUAGCCACUUACCCAUUGACACUGUUACAUGGGACUAGUUUCAGCAGGCUUUCUGCACUGCCCAUGUUUCAGCAGGAGCUAUGGCCAUGAAGAAGCGCGAGUUUCGCAACUUGCACUAAGGAGGACGCACAGUGGGCCAGUAUCACUAGUGCAGAACCGGGCAUUAGCACUGGUUCGUAAGGCUCUAUUGUGCCGGUUACAUAACCGGCACUAAUUUGUGGUCACUAAAGCCCCCCCCCUUUAGUACCGGUUCAGCACGAACCGGUGCUAAAGGGCAACCACGUGGCACGAGCCAGCUCCGGGGACCUGGAGCCCUUUAGUACCGGUUGGUAAGACCAACCGGUACUAUAAGGUUUGGGGGGUUUUUAGUUUUAUGAUUUCUUUUUCAUUUAAUUUUGUGUUUCCAUUUUAAUUCUUUUUCGUUUGCUGGUAUUUUACGAUACUACACAUUGUACAUGUUANNNNNNNNNNNNNNNNNNNNNNNNNNNNNNNNNNNNNNNNNNNNNNNNNNNNNNNNNNNNNNNNNNNNNNNNNNNNNNNNNNNNNNNNNNNNNNNNNNNNNNNNNNNNNNNNNNNNNNNNNNNNNNNNNNNNNNNNNNNNNNNNNNNNNNNNNNNNNNNNNNNNNNNNNNNNNNNNNNNNNNNNNNNNNNNNNNNNNNNNNNNNNNNNNNNNNNNNNNNNNNNNNNNNNNNNNNNNNNNNNNNNNNNNNNNNNNNNNNNNNNNNNNNNNNNNNNNNNNNNNNNNNNNNNNNNNNNNNNNNNNNNNNNNNNNNNNNNNNNNNNNNNNNNNNNNNNNNNNNNNNNNNNNNNNNNNNNNNNNNNNNNNNNNNNNNNNNNNNNNNNNNNNNNNNNNNNNNNNNNNNNNNNNNNNNNNNNNNNNNAUAUAUAUAUAUAUAUAUAUAUAUAUAUAUAUAUAUAUAUAUAUAUAUAUAUAGAAUUUCUAGUAGAACCAAUCAUGCAUAUAUAUAUCACAUCAAUGUCUCACAAAUUAAACCACCAUAUUAAUUAAUUCACACAUACACACAUGUAUAGCUAUAUACAAUUUCUCCUACAUAUGAAUGUUGCCUUCGGAGCCAGUGGCAUUAGCCUAAUUGGUGCCUUCGGAGCACGAUGAGAAUUGAAAGUGGUUUUCAUGGGGGCGGUAGCGGGUAAUAGAAUUCUCCAUUCGGAUUUAUGACCUAGUCGAGCAAAAAUCCCGCUAUAUCCUCUUGAAGUGCUUCUACGCGCUCCGUUUCUAUGAGCUUCUCCCGCACCUCUUUGAACUGUUAAGAAGGAGAUCAAUAUGCAUGUGUAUUAGUUGUGUGACUAGCUAGAUAUCGAUAAUGGUGUAAAAAUUGUGAAUAGUGUUCUGACAAGCGUACCCAUUGCUGUCUUUGAGAUCUGCUCCUUUCGGACGCCAUCAUGCGAAUGUUCUCGCAAACGCAGAAUGCACACAGAUCAGUCCCCUACGCCUGCUUCAGGGCCUUUACGAGAAUGGAAUUUGAUCAGAUAAAAAUUAAUCAAGCAUGAUAAUUAAAGAGAUGGCAGCUAGCUAGCUAGCUAGUACUACUUAAUUACUUACCUUGGGUCGAAACCAUUGAAGCUUUUGUUUCCAUUUGCCGGGCGUGACGCUGAUGAAUCUUGCCCAAGCCCUGCCCGCCGACAAAGAAAAUGAAUAAAGGGGUUAUUAAAUAGUUCAUAUCAUGAAAUGACGAACUAAAUAGGCCGAGAUAUAUAGUUAAUAAUGAUUGAAAUUACCUGUUGACUAUCCCAUACAAGAUGUUAAAGUCAGUUUUUUUUGAGACUAGUGAGUCCAGUACUUCAAUUGUUCCGGCGUCAACUUUAAUGAUACACAAGACCCAGUGAAAUCUGCAUGCACACACGUUUACAUGUCUUAAUUAAGCGGGCAUAUGUAAGCAAAAACAUGUAGCUAGCUAGUAGGCAAAAACAGAGAAUUUGUAGUACAAGACAGUGUGACUCACUGGAAGUGGUAAGGAAGUAGUAUAUCUUCAUUGUAUUUGAGGCGCUUCAAGAACUCUAGCAUGCUAUCCUCUACUUCCUUUGCAAGACGUUCAUUUAUCUUCCAUGUGUAUUCAUUAACGGUGUUUGGGUCAAUGAACCCAAUGCCACAGCGUCCACCUUUUCUCAUUUCAUAUAUCUUCAUCCUGCAUAAUACCACAGAAAAGAAUAUAGAGUGAGGAUAAUUACAGGUAAUGAUUGAUCUCAAAAGGAUCACUACAGCUAGCUUGAGACUUAAAUUAUAGAAAGAAAUCACUUACAGACAAUAGCAACUGACGAUAGAUUUGUCGAGUGCAUCUUGAUUGUAUAACUGAAACAGUUCUGAAUACUCAAUGGACCCAGCUUUCUCAUGGUAGUAAGUCCUGCUUGACAUUCACCAUGAGGGACAAUCAAUCUGAAAUCUUGGUAAUGUUCAUGUACGAUUGAUGCAAUUCAUACAUUCUCGUUGGGAGGUUCUUGACCUUGUCUGGCGCGACCAAAGGUUGUCCCCGGACAUAUUUCCGUUUUACUUCAUCCUCUCUAAGCAAAGGCAUGGGCUCGAUCUCGAGGAGUUGUCCAACAGUGAUGUUGAGAACUUCAGCCUGCAUUAUAUGCUCCUCCGUUAUUACCACAUUGCCCACCUCGGGAACAUGCACUGUUUGCCCACAAUAAUAUUGGGGGCGCGUACUGUCACCUGUUGUUGGCACAACAAGCGAGGGGAUCGAUUGCGCCGCCUGUUCUCCCAGCUGGGGAAUGGUUUUCCCGCAUUUUUUGGCAGCUGCUUCUUGUUUGCUCGAUCCCGAUGUAGACGUGCUCGCCUCCCUUUGUAGACAUGCUCGAUUUAACUUCUUGAUGUGGCGCUCAUAGUCUGUGUUAACAGGCUUGGAAGCUGGUGGUUGAGCCAUACGAAUGAAGUGGUCAAUCAUUUCCUCAGGCACUUUCUCCCUUGGCGGCGGUGGUGGUUUCGGUGCAAAAUGGGCUUCCACCUCGGCCUUCGAUAUGGCUGUGAUUUCCUCCUCGGACCUGUCAUAAGACCUCUGCGAAAGAGGCUUGAGGCUUGGACCAUAUUUAUAUCGCUUGCCUCCGCCUGUACUUCCUGUACUACCUCGACUCGUACCGCUACGCACCAUAGCUGCGGGGUGUCUCUUCUGCGAUUGCUGAGGCGGCGGAGACAGCUGACGGGACUGAGUUGGACAAGGAGGAGUGGCCUGAGGUUGUGCCGGACUUGGAGGAGGAGUGGACGUCUGACGCUGUGGCGGACUUGGAGGAGGAGGAUUGUCCUGACACUUUGCCGGACUUGGAGGAGGAGGAUUGUCCUGACACUUUGCCGGACUUGGAGGAGCGGGAGUCUGCUGACUCGGUGGCGGACUUCGACGAGGACUCGGGUGACGCGGUGUCGGUGGCCUUGGAAAGAUGAUGCAAUCCUUUUUCCAUAGGAUGAUACGAUGUUUGGCCUCUCCGAGAAAGCGCUCGCCGUCACCUCCAGCAAUGUCAAGCUGUAGCCCCGAAUAUGGUGGGUCCACCACCUCAUCAACCACGACACGAGCAUCGCCCACUGGAAUCGGGUUGCAAUGGAAGGUUGCCUCGGGGGGAUUUGUGAAAGCACAGCCGCCCGCCACCUUCAUGGAUAUGUUCUUCAUUUUGACGUGUAGCUCGCAGUUAGUGUUCUCCGUGAUGUCAUCCACGGGGUAUCUACCCAGCAUUGCGUCGUCCGGGACGGAACCCACGCUGCUUCUCGGCAUGGAUGGGCCGGUGCUAUCCAAUGCUGGAUCAUCCGCUAGCUGCUGCAGCUGCUGAGACCCCCUUUGAUGGGUAAGUGAGUCGAUCCACUCCUGCUGCCGCUGGAAUUUGACUGCCAAUUCCGCUUGACUUGCUUCUAGGCCUUGAAGGCGUUCAUAGUCCCGCUUCCUCUGCUCCUCCUCCUCCAUCUUCCUCUUCUUCUCCUCCGCAAUCUUCUUUCUCGCACGGGUUCUGUAGUCGUUGUUCCAGUCUGAAAACCCCUCAUACCACGGCAUAGCGCCCUUGCCUCGUGUUCUUCCCGGGUGUUCAGGAUUUCCCAGGGCACGCGUAAGCUCGUCAUUCUCUCUGUUGGGCUGGAACACCCCCGUUCGUGCCUCUUCUAUUGCAACAAGUAUCGCAUCGUCGGCUCCCUUCAGACUUGCCCUCGUCGAAACAUUGCCUGUCUCCCGGUCCAACUCCCCCCCAUGCGCAUAGAACCAAGUCCUGACCCUGGGGGGCCAGCUCUUAGUAGCCGGAGUGACACCUGCAUCCUCCAUCUCUUUCUCAGACUUAUCCCACUUAGGCAUUGCGACCGCAUAGCCACCUGGCCCCAGCUUAUGGAACUUAUCCUUUUUUUCGGCAUUCUUCUUGUUUAUUCUCGAUCGUUCCUUAGCUAAUUCCGAAUCCUUGAAUUUCACGAAAUCGUCCCAAUGAUCAUGUUGGUUCUCCAGUGUUACCUUGAAUACUGGAGUCCUCCUUCCUCCAUUGACGUACUUGUUCCAUUCACCAUUCUUGUAGUUCUUGAAUGCAGUCGCCAUCAUCCUAAGAGCAGCCUCUUUGACUUUCUGCACAUCUGCUUCUGUGAAAUGAUCUGGUAGGGUGAAAUGUUCCAUGAGAGUAUCCCAAAGCAGAUCUUUUUGAUUCUUGUCGACAUAAGUAACAUCUGGACGUGGCUUUGCUGGCGCUCUCCAUUCUUGAAGUUUGAUCGGGAGUUGGUCCUUCACAAGAACUCCGCACUGACCGAACGAACUUGUCCGCAAUCUUCUUAGGCGCUAAUGGUUUGCCAGUAGGGCCGCAUGCCUCGAUAUUGUACUUUACGCCCGGCUUCAACUUUUUGUUCGGGCCUCGUUUCGUCCUUUUGCCUGAAGAUUUGCUCGAUCCAGAUGGCUGAAAGAACAAAGAUCGAUUCGUUAAUAUAUCUUCAAGUCAUUUAAAACAUUUGAUGAUCACCAGAUGCCUGCUUAUAUAAAUAUAUAUACCUCGUCGGUGUUUGUUGUUUCAGGAUCAACAUGUUCUUCGUCAUCGUCAUAAUCAUAGUUCAUGACUUCGUCGUGAUCGAAUAUCAUAUCACCCUCUCCGGUGUUGUUUAGAAAUUCGGAGCCGUCAUAAUCUUCUUCAUUCUGAUUAUCAUCUGCCCCGCGUAUCAUAUCGAACAUGGUCUGUUCUCCCUCUCUGUCGGUAUUGUCUGCCAUAGCUUUUGUUUAACUAAUCCAAAAGAAAUAUAAAACAAUUUAGUAUACAUCGUCCAGAAUAAUAGAUAUAAUCUCGAAUACAUCGUCCAGAAUAAUAGAUAUAAUCUCAAAUACACCGUCUCGAAUAAUAUAUAAUAUUCAAUAGUACAUCACUGGCUAUUAGCUAAUAAAGAUCGAAUACUACAGAAGAAUCUAGGACACUCGCGGUUCCUCCGGCGCGGGCGGUGGACACCCAAAGAGAAGGAACCCUCACAGGAUCAUAGCUGAAGUGAGAUCCCCGAAGAUACUGCCACGUAUUGGAGAACCUGCCGCCCUCUAACGCAACCAUGUAGCGAUGGACGUGCUCGUCCUCCUCCCUGACACGGCGACGUACCACCUCCGGCGGGGUCGGGUCCCUCCGCACCGAAACCCACCCACGCGAACGCCACCAAACGAGAUCAGGGUUGACGACGGGACCCGCGGCCGGGUUCCUCGUCAAGCGGCGUGCCCUCCAAGCAGCACCUCCCAGUGCCAGCCCGGCGGAGCCCAGUCCCGGACAUGGGUCGGCUGGACGUCGUCGCGGACGGGUCGACGGCGAGGAUGCGGGCCGGGCAUCGUCGAGAACAAAUACUAGCUAUAUGCCCGCAAAAAGUAACAUUUUUUAAUGAUUGGAUUUUGAUAACUAAAAUUUCUAACAUUUCUAUAUAACUAACAUUUCUAUAACAUUUCUAACAAUGCUAUAUAUAACUAACAUUUCUAUAACAUUUCUAAUAUUUCUAUAACUAAAAAACAGAAAAAAAUUAUAACAUUUCUAUAUAUAUAACUAACAUUUUUAUAACUAUUUCUAUAACUAAAAAACAGAAAAAUUUCUAACAAUUCUAACUUUUUUAUAACUAUUUCUAUAACUAAAAAACAGAAAAAUUUCUAACAAUUUCUAACAUUUCUAACANNNNNNNNNNNNNNNNNNNNNNNNNNNNNNNNNNNNNNNNNNNNNNNNNNNNNNNNNNNNNNNNNNNNNNNNNNNNNNNNNNNNNNNNNNNNNNNNNNNNNNNNNNNNNNNNNNNNNNNNNNNNNNNNNNNNNNNNNNNNNNNNNNNNNNNNNNNNNNNNNNNNNNNNNNNNNNNNNNNNNNNNNNNNNNNNNNNNNNNNNNNNNNNNNNNNNNNNNNNNNNNNNNNNNNNNNNNNNNACGACGGGGACGGGACGACGGGGCGGCGACGACGGGGACGGGGCGGCGACGGGGGCGGCGACGGGCCGGGGCGGCGUCGAGGGAUAUGGAGACGGCGGGGGCGGCGGGCGACGGUGCAGAGGAGAAGAAGCAGAGGGAGAGAUGAGAAACUGACGAAAUUUCGAAGUGUUUUCUUAUAUAGAAGGCACCUUUAGUACCGGUUGGAGCCACCAACCGGUACUAAAGGUCUGUUUUGGCCAGGCCAAGCGGCGGGAAGCGCACCCCCUUUAGUACCGGGUGGUGGCACAAACCGGUACUAAAGGCCCCCCCUUUAGUACCGGUUGGAGCCACGACCCGGUACUAAAGGGUAUGCGCUGCCAGGCGAGGGGCGCAGAAGUUUAGUCCCACCUCGCUAGUUUAGGAGCGCCAGGACUAGUUUAUAAGCCCCGGCGCGGGCACUGCAUUGAACUCCUCUCAAUAGCAAGCCUUCUGGGCCUACCUCUCCUACUCUGCCUGUGGGCCUACUGGGCUUGCGGGCCUGCAUCCUGGCCCAACUACAGGUUGGGUUUCUAGUCGUAUGCAGGCCGCUGUGGCGCAGUAGGCGGUCUUUUUUAUUUUCUUAUUUUUUUUGAUUUAUUUAUUUUAGUUUUAUUUAUUUUGGAGUUUUUUUGCUGUAUUUAGAGUUUCUUUGUGAAUAUUUUUGCUUUAGGUACAAAAAAUUACAAACUUUCUGUUAGUGCCGGUAGAUUUCAAAUUUGAAUAGUUUAAAUUUUGAAUUAUUUGAAAUUUGUGUGAAUCACUAGUUUGUGAAUAACUUAACUUUGAAAAAAGUUUUUUCAGUGAUUCUUUUUUCUUAUGUUUAAUAUUAGUGUGUUUUAUAAGUAUAUUCAAUUUAGUAAUGCUUAGGUUAUUUAAAAAAUGAAAUGCCUUUGUAACAGUUCAGUUUUCGUCGGAAACCCUGAUACUUCGAAAGAGAUUGUCCAUUUUGUACACGAAGUGCAUCCAGUUUUUGUCGUAACCCUCUCUACUUUCUUGCACAUGCUAUUUGUAUGAAAUUAUGAUACCAUGCCAACUUUCAACCUUUUCUGAGUUCAUUUGAAUUGCUUUUCAAUUUCAGGGUCAUUUAGCUGGAAAAAAAAUCAGUAAAUGCAUGAAAAGAAUUUGUUUGCACAUAAAAUUUCUUCGCGUUUCAAAUGCCAAAACACAUAACUACCCUAACUAUUACAGACAUUCCCUCCUGGGUGUGAAACACAGAAGAAAGUGAUGAUAGUGAAGCCGAUCACAUCCCAGAUCUUUGGGUGUGAAACUUUUUCUUCGCGUGUGUCCCUUUGCGCCGUACCCAUGGAAAAUCUUCAUCAUUUAACGGGAUGCUCGGGUCAAUAUUCACUGUGAAUGGAGCAAUUUCAUCAAACUUUUCAUAAUCUUCUGACUUGUCUGUCUUGUCAUCCACUCCCACGAUGUUUCUCUUCCCAGAAAGAACUAUGUGCCGCUUUGGCUCAUCGUACGAUGCAUUCGCUUCCUUAUCUUUUCUUUUUCUUGGCUUGGUAGACAUGUCCUUCACAUAGAAAACCUGUGCCACAUCAUUGGCUAGGACGAAUGGUUCGUCUGCAUACGCAAGAUUGUUGAGAUCCACUGUUGUCAUUCCGUACUGUGGGUCUUUCGUUACCCCGCCUCGUGUCAUAUUGACCCAUUUGCACCGAAACAAAGGGACCUUUAAACCACGUCGAUAGUCAAGUUCCCAUAUGUCCUGUAUAUAACCAUAAUAUGUUUCCUUUCCCGUCUUGGUUUCUGCAUCAAAGCGGACACCACUGUUUUGGUUGGUGCUCUUCUUAUCUUGGGCGAUCGUGUAAAAUGUAUUACCAUUUAUCUCGUACCCUUUGAAAGUCAUUAUAUUCGAAGAUGGUAACUGGGACAGCAAGUACAGGUCAUCUUCAAUAGAGGUGUCAUGCAUGGUACGUGUCUGCAACCAGUUAGCAAAACUCCUAGUUUGUUCACGUGUAAUCCACUCAUCAGACAGCUCCAGGUGUUUGGAGCGUAGCAAAUUCUUGUGUUCAUCCAUAUACGGAGCCACCAAGGUGGAAUUCUGUAGAACUGUGUAGUGUGCUUCAGUGAGAGAAUGUCCGUCCAUACAUAUUAUUUGUUCCCCUCCUAGCGUGCCUUUUCCAUCCAGUCUGCCCUUAUGCCGCAAUUUAGGAACACCAAUCGGCUUAAGGUCAGGAAUAAAGUCAAUACAAAACUCAAUGACCUCCUCAUUUUGAUGGCCCUUGGAGAUGCUUCCUUCUGGCCUAGCACGGUUAUGAACAUAUUUCUUUAAGACUCCCAUGAACCUCUCAAAGGGGAACAUAUUGUGUAGAAAUACAGGACCCAAAAUGUUAAUCUCUUCGCAUAGGUGAACUAGGACGUGCGUCAUGAUGUUGAAGAAGGAUGGUGGGAACACCAACUCGAAAUUGACAAGACAUUGCACCAAAUCAUUCUGUAACCUUGGUAUGAUUUCUGGAUCGAUUACCUUCUGAGAGAUUGCAUUGAGAAAUGCACAUCGCUUCACAAUGGCUAAUCGAACGUUUUCCAGUAGAAGCCCCCUCAAUGCAACCGGAAGCAGUUGCGUCAUAAUCACGUGGCAGUCAUGAGACUUUAGGUUCUGGAACUUUUUCUCUGCCAUGUUUAUUAUUCCCUUUAUAUUCGACGAGAAGCCAGACGGUACCUUAAUACUGAGCAUGCAUUCAAAGAAGAUUUCCUUCUCUUCUUUGGUAAGAGCGUAGCUUGCAUGACCCUGAUGUAUGCCAUCUUCUCCGUGCAUACGUUGCUGGUCCUCCCGUGCCUCAGGUGUAUCUUUUGUCUUACCAUACACGCCCAAGAAGCCAAGCAGGGUCACGCAAAGAUUCUUUGUCACGUGCAUCACGUUGAUUCCGGAGCGGACCUCUAGGUCUUUCCAAUAUGGCAGGUCCCAAAAUAUAGAUUUCUUCUUCCACAUGGGUGCGCGUCCGUCCGCGUCCUUCGGAACAGGUUGUCUGCCAGGACCCUUUCCAAAUAUCACCUUCAAAUCCUUGACCAUAUCAUGUACAUCAGCACCAGUACGGUGGCGAGGCUUCGUCCGGUGAUCCGCCUCACCUUUUAAAUGCUUGCCUUUCUUUCUUACGGGAUGCCUGCUCGGAAGAAAUCGACGAUGUCCCAGGUACACAUUCUUCUUACAACUAUUCAAAUAUAUACUGUCGGUAUCAUCCAAACAGUGCGUGCAUCCGCGGUAUCCCUUGUUUGUCUGUCCUGAAAGGUUACUGAGAGCAGGCCAAUCAUUAAUGGUCACGAACAGCAACGCCUUGAGGUCAAAUUCUUCCCCCAUGUGCUCAUCCCACGCACGUACACCUGUUCCAUUCCACAGUUGUAAGAGUUCUUCAACUAAUGGCCUUAGGUACACAUCAAUGUCGUUGUCGGGUUGCUUAGGGCCUUGGAUGAGCACUGGCAUCAUAAUGAACUUCCGCUUCAUGCACAACCAAGGAGGAAGGUUAUACAAACAUAGAGUCACAGGCCAGGUGCUAUGGUUGCUGCUCUGCUCCCCAAAAGGAUUAAUGUCAUCUGCGCUUAGACCAAACCAUACGCUCCUUGCGUCAUCUGCAAACUCCUUCCCAUACUUUAUUUCGAUUUUUCUCCACUGCGACCCGUCAGCGGGUACUCUCAACUUUCCGUCUUUCUUACGGUCUUCUCUGUGCCAUCGCAUCGCCUUGGCAUGCUCUUUGUUUUGGAACAAACGUUUCAACCAUGGUAUUAUAGGAGAAUACCACAUCACCUUGGCAGGAAUCUUCUUCCUGGGGCGCUCGCCCUCGACAUCACCAGGCUCAUCGCGGCUAAUCUUAUAGCGCAAUGCACCACAUACCGGGCAAGCGUUCAAAUCCUCGUACUCACCGUGGUAGAGGAUGCAAUCAUUAGGGCAUGCAUGUAUCUUCUGCACCUCUAACCCUAGAGGGCAGACAACCUUCUUUGCUUCGUACGUACUCUCGGGCAAUUCGUUGUCCUUUGGAAGCAUAUCCUUUAUCAUUACCAGCAACUUUCCAAAUCCCUUGUCAGAUACACCAUUCUCUGCCUUCCAUUGCAGCAAUUCCAGUGUGGUGCCCAGCUUUUUCUUGUCACCUACGCAAUUCGGGUAGAACAAUUUUUUGUGAUCCUCUAACAUGCGCUGCAACUUCUUCUUCUCCAAAUCACUUGCGCAGUUUCUCUUUGCAUCGGCAAUGGCCCGACCUAGAUCAUCAAUGGGCUCAUCUGAUGCCUCUUCUUCAGCUUCUUCCCGCAUUGCCGGCUCAGCUUCUUCCCGCAUUAUCGGCUCAGCUUCUUCCCCCAUUGUUGUGUCAUCGUAUUCAGGGAACCCAUGGCCAGGAUAGAUGUCGUCGUCCUCUUAUUGUUCAUUGUCUUCCAUCAUAACCCCUCUUUCUCCGUGCUUGGUCCAAACAUUAUAGUGGGGCAUGAAACCGGACUCAAACAGGUGGACGUGAAUGGUUCUUGACGUAGAGUAAUUGUGACCAUUCUUACAGCCAGCACAUGGACAAGGCAUAAAACCAUCCGCCACUUGUUUGCCUCAGCCGCAAGCAGAAAAGUAUGCACGCCUUCAACGAACUAGGGAGAGCAUCGGUCAUCGUACAUCCAUUGCCAGCUCAUCUUCAUUACACAACACCGAAUAGACCAAAUUAAUACAAGUUCAUACAUAAAGUUCAUACAACACUUAAAUGCAACAAACAAAUAACUCUCUAGCUAAAGCAUUUAAAUGCAACAACACGAUCAAGAUCACAACUAAGGUAAUAAUUGAUCCAACAGCAUAAUGAUACCAAGCCUCACUAUCAAUGGCAUAUUUUCUAAUCUUUCUAUUCUUCAAGCGCAUUUUCUCCAUCUUGAUCUUGUGAUCAUCGAUGACAUCGGCAACAUGCAACUCCAAUUCCAUCUUCUCCCCCUCAAUUCUUUUCAAUUUUUCUUUCAAGUACUCGUUUUCUCUUUCAUCUAAAUUUAACCUCUCGACAAUAGGGUCGGUUGGAAUUUCCGGUUCACAUACCUCCUAGAUAAAAAUAUCUAUGUCAACUUGAUGGGCAUAAUUUGUCAUAAACACGAAAUGCAACAAAUAGUUUUAAAAGAGAAUAUACCACAUCCGAAUCAUAACAAGGACGAGGGCCGACGGGGACGGAUAUCAAAACCAUGGCACUAUGUAUAACAAACAACAUACGGGUAAGAUAAUUAUUACAUGAUUAACUAUAUAUCCAAAUCACACAAACAUCAAUUUUUUAUAUAAAAUUUCAUGAACAAGAGGCUCACCACAAGGUGGUGCCGGUGACGGGACGAUGCGGGCGAUCGACGGUGGUUACGAUGGAGAUUUAGAAGGCACUAAGUAAACCACACCUACAUAUGCAAACUAAGUGUUAUUUUUGACCUCAAAUUGCAUAUAAAUCAAAUACUAGCACAUAUAUAUAUUUCCUCCCAAAUUACUAAACUCACAAAUUAGUAACUAUACAAAGCAUGGGAAGAGCUAAUCUAGCAGUGAGAGUUGAAAGGACAAAGUUGCUAACCUUUGUGAUCAUUUGAAUGGAUGGGGGCCUUCAAAUCUUGACAAAUUUUGGGAAAAAUUUGUGAGGAGCUUGAGGGGAAAGGGGAAGAACAGAGGAGAAGUGAGGGGAAAGGGGAAGAACAGAGUGGCUCGAGUGGACGAAGGGUUUAUGUACGUCGACCUAUAGUACCGGUUCGUGGCACGAACCGGUACUAAAGGUGCUGGAGGGGGCCCAAACUGACAACAUCCUGCCACCACCCUCAUUAGUACCGGUUCGUGGCACGAACCGGUGCUAAAGGUUAGCCACGAACCGGUACUAAUGAGAGCGGCCCGGCUAGCCGUUGGAACCGGCACUAAUGUAUACAUUAGUGCCGGCUCUAAUACAAACCGGCACUAAUGUGCUGCACGUUUGACCCUUUUUCUACUAGUGUAUGUGGAUGAGUUUAGUAAGUUAGCACGUUAUGCCCUUGAUGACGUUGCUAUAGAUGCCGCUAAGCAGGAGAAGUUUCGGGAAGGACUGAAUGAUGAGCUGAGCAUGCAGUUGAUGGUGGCAACCUUCAACAACUACCAGAGUUGGUAGAUAGAGCUCUUAUGAUUGAAGGGAAGCAGCAACAGAUAGACAACCGCAAGAGGAAGUAUGGACAAGGGAAGUACAAUUCAGGAGCUCAGCAGAGGCCUCGUUUUACCCCAAACUCGGGAGGACACAUUCACCAUAACCAUGGAGGCCAUAAUUCCAAUGGAGGAAGUUCGCAUAAUCAUAGUGUCCCCAAGAAUAGGAAUGGGAAUGGAGGAAGCAACGGCCAGAACCAUUCCAACCCAGCAACGCCCGUCAAGAAGGAUCUAAGUCACAUUACUUGUUUCAAGUGUGGGAAGAAUGGACAUUACGCCAUGGAGUAUUCUGAAGCAAAGAAUGGAAAUGGCAAUGGAAGCUCUGGGAAGAAGCCCGACCCUUUCUACAGGGGACAAAUGAACCAUGAGCGUGGAGGAGGUUGAAGCGCAACCCGAUGUAGUUAUAGGUAAGUUUUUGGUUAAGUCAUUUACUAGAAUCGUUUUUUUAUACUGGUGCAUCACAUUCAUACAUAUCAAGGGGAUUUGUGGAUAAGUAUAACCUGCCAACCCAAGCCCUUAGGUCACCCAUGUUAGUAACCUCACCAGGAGCAGAGUAUACGGCUAGCCUAUGGUGUGAUCGGUUACCGUUAACGAUUGGUAACUACGUGUUCCCCUCAGACCUAAUAGUGUUGGAGUCACAAGGACUGGAUGUAAUAUUAGGCAUGGAUUGGUUAUCAAAGUAUGGAGGGCACAUUGAUUGUGCCAGUAAGUCGAUUUUGCUCACCACCCCAGAAGGAAGAAGGAUUAAGUAUGUAAGCCAGCAUGUGCCGAAGAGGACUCAAGUGAAUUCCUUAUCAGGCAUUGUAUAGGAGGAAGUAUCAGUGGUGAAGGAUUUCCCUGAUGUAUUUCCAGAGGAGUUGCCAGUCAUGCCAACGGAUAGAGACAUUGAGUUUUUGAUUAAGUUAUUGCCAGGCACCGGGCCAAUAUCAAAGAGACCGUACGGGAUGCCAGCAAAGGAUUUGGAGGAGAUUAAGAAGCAGAUUAAGGAGUUACUGGAUAAAGGUUAUAUUCUCCCUAGUUCGUCACCUUGGGGAUCCCCAGUACUUCUAGUGGAGAAGAAGGAUGGAUCGUUGAGGAUGGUUGUUGAUUAUCGUGGGUUGAAUGAAGUGACAAUCAAGAACAAGUACCCACUGCUGAUGAUCAAUGAUUUGUUUGACCAGUUGCAACGAGCUAAAGUAUUUAACAAGAUCAAUCUGCGAUCAGGAUACCACCAACUGAAGAUUUCAGAGCAGGAUAUACCUAAGACAACUUUUACCACAAGGUACGGGCUAUAUGAGUAUACCGUUAUGUCGUUUGGUCUGACUAACGCGCCUACCGAUUUCAUGAACAUGAUGAACAAGGUGUUUAUGGAGUUUUUGGAUAAGUUCAUCGUAGUGUUCAUUGAUGAUACUUUGGUCUACUCGAAGGAUGAAGAGGAGCAUAAGGAGCAUUUGCGUUUGGUUUGGAGAAGCUCAGGGAACAUCAGUUAUAUGCCAAGUUCAACCAGUGUGAGUUUUGGUUGAAGGAAUUUGGAUUCCUCGGACAUGUUAUAUCCGGAGAAGGAAUAGCAGUAGACCCCCCCAAAGUAGUCACUGAGGGAGUCCUGGACUAGGGGGUGUCCGGACAGCCGGACUAUCAUCGUCCGCCGGACUCCAAGACUACGAAGAUACAAGAUUGAAGACUCCGUCCCGUGUCCGGAUGGGACUUUCCUUGGCGUGGAAGGCAAUCUUGGCGAUACGGAUAUGUAGAUCUCCUACCAUUACAACCGACUCUGUGUAACCCUAGCCUCCUCCGGUGUCUAUAUAAACCGGAGGGCUUUAGUCCGUAGGACACAACAUACAUUACAACAAUCAUACCAUAGGCUAGCUUUAGGGUUUAGCCUCCUUGAUCUCGUGGUAGAUCCACUCUUGUACUACCCAUAUCAUCAAUAUUAAUCAAGCAGGACGUAGGGUUUUACCUCCAUCGAGAGGGCCCGAACCUGGGUAAAACAUCGUGUCCCUUGUCUCCUAUUACCAUCCGCCUAGACGCACAGUUCGGGACCCCCUACCCGAGAUCCGCCGGUUUUGACACCGACAUUGGUGCUUUCAUUGAGAGUUCCUCUGUGUCGUCACCGACAGGCUCGAUGGCAUCUUCAACCAACAACGCUGUCCAGGGUGAGACUUUUCUCCCCGAACAGAUCUUCGUAUUCGGCGGCUUCGCACUGCUGGCUAAUUUGCUUGGCCAUCUGGAGCAGAUCGGAAGCUAUGCCCCUGGCCGUCAGGUCAGAUUCGGAAGCCUAAACUUCACGGCCGACAUCCGCGGGGACUUGAUCUUCGACGGACUCAAGCCACAGCCAAGCGUGCCGCACUGUUACGAUGGGACGAUCUAGCUCUGCCACUGAACAGUGCCUUGGUGGCUGCACACGAAUCCGCUUCGGCCCUUAGUCCGGAGCCGAUCGCCCAGAUCGAGGACCGGUGGAUGGACACCACCUCGGGGGCUUCAACUUCCACGGUGAUGGAGCCGAACACUAACCUUGUCCCUCGCAAAACUCAUGAUUCCGAGGUGCCGGACUCCUUACCAGACUCCGGACCUUCCGCGCCCCUACCAAUCGAAUCUGAUUGGGCGCCGGUUAUGGAAUUCACCGCCACGGACAUCUUCCAACACUCGCCCUUUGGCGACAUCCUAAAUUCGCUAAAACAUCUCUCACUAUCCGGAGAAUCCUGGCCGGAUUAUGGCCAGGAUGGUUGGGAUACGGACGACGAAGAAAUUCAGAGCCCGCCCACCACCGACUUUGUAGCCACUGUCGACGACCUAACUGACAUGCUAGACUAUGACUCCGAAGACAUCGACGGUAUGGACGACGAUGCCGGAGAUGAACAAGAACCAGCGCCUAUAGGGCAUGGGAGGACCACCUCGUCAUACGACGUAUACAUGGUGGAUACCCCAAAAGGAAGCGAUAAUGAGGACCAAUGGGCCGCGGCAGAAGAUAACCCCGCCGACAAACAACCAAAACGGCGGCACAGACGCCGCCCUAAGUCCCGCCUCGACAACAACGGCACUCCUAAUGACCCCACAAUACAGCAGGGCACACAAGUGGACGACGAACAUGUAGAUAAGCAACCGUCCGAACAGGACAAGUCAGAUAAGCAGUCCAGGCCCGGCGAAAACAACAGUCUAGACGAUCUCACGCUGGACACACUGCCGGAGAAUAAAAAUCUUCGGAAAAGACUCGUCAACACCGCAAGAAGCUUGAAGAAGGAAAAACGGAAGCUCAAAACAGCGGAAGAUACACUCAAGAUGAGGUGGAGCAAAGUGCUCAAAACCGCAGACAAAUACGGCAAUGGCCGUCAAUCAAAGAGCUACCCGAAGCGCAAACUACUGCCAGAAUUUGAUGAGGAGGCCAUAGAUCCCCCACUGUCAAAAAACAAAGAAGCCGCCUGGCCGGAUAGACGGCCAGAUGAUAGGCCAAAAUCUGAAAGCGGCACCGCAUAUAAACCGACUAACGACCCUGAAAGGACAGAUGGCCCAACCAGGUCCAUUUACGGGCCAAAGAAGAGGGCCCCAGGAGGCAAUACAACACGCCAAGUGUCCGAAGACAUCGGUGCACCCAAAUACAGGGGCGCCGCACACCCACUAUGUUUCACCAACGAGGUGAUGGACCACGAAUUCCCAGCAGGGUUUAAACCCAUAAACAUAGAGGCCUACGACGGAACAACAGACCCUGGAGUCUGGAUAGAAGAUUAUAUACUACACAUACACAUGGCCAGAGGAGAUGAUCUCCACGCCAUAAAAUACCUACCCCUCAAGCUCAAAGGGCCAGCCCGUCAUUGGCUCAAAAGCCUCCCAGAAAACACUGUUGGAAGUUGGGAAGAGCUCGAGGACGCGUUUAGAGAAAAUUUUCAAGGGACUUAUGUCCGCCCUCCGGAUGCAGAUGAUCUAAGUAAUAUAACUCAACAGCCCGGAGAGUCAGCGCGCAAAUUCUGGAAUAGGUUCCUCACCAAAAAGAACCAAAUAGUCGACUGCCCGGACGCCGAAGCCUUAGCAGCUUUUAAACACAACGUCCGAGACGAAUGGCUUGCCAGACACCUCGGCCAAGAGAAGCCGAGGAAAAUGUCCGUGCUAACAAGCCUCAUGACCCGCUUCUGUGCGGGAGAGGAUAGCUGGCUAGCAAGAUGCAGCACCAGCAACCCAAGUACAUCCGAGAUCAGAGAUGGAAACGGAAAAUCACGGCGCAGAAAAGAGCAGCGCCAGAAUAAAGAGAAACACCCAAAGAGCACGGCAGCCAACGCCGGAUUCAAAAGCUCGCGGCCAAACAACAAAACACAGCCUCUUCAGGAUGACAGCGAUGAGCUAUCCAACUUAAACAAGAUUUUGGGUCGGAUAUGUCAAAUCCACAGUACCCCCGGAAGGCCUGCAAACCACACCCAUCGAGAUUGUUCGGUUUUCAAACAGUCCGGCCGACUAAACGCCGAACACAAGGGGCUCGACGCGUCAAGCGAAGAUGACAAACCCCACCAGCAGAGCACCGGAAAACAAAAGAAUUUCCCACAAAAGGUCAAAACAGUAAAUUCACUUCAUGUGAUAAUACGGAAAAACAGUGCGGCACCCGUUACAAUGGGUCUCGCACGGUCCAACCCAGCGGAACAUAGAGAUUGGACAUCAGAACCAAUCACUUUCGAGCACCUGGAUUAUUCCAGAAGCGUUCGAAAUGCAGGACGGACUACAAUUUAAACAAGUCCUGAUGGACGGAGGCAGCGACUUAAACCUGCUGUAUUCAAAUACAAUCCGCAAGUUGGGGAUAGACCUUACUAAAAUUUGACACAGUCGCACUUCCUUUAAAGGAGUGACGCCAGGCCCUUACGCCAAGUGCGCAGGCUCCCUAUUACUAGAAGUUAUGUUCGGAUUGCCGAACAACUUUCGACGCGAAAAACUAAUCUUUCAUAUCGUCCCAUUUAAAAGUAGCUAUCAAGCACUCUUGGGAUGAGAAGCUUUUGUCCGCUUCAACGCCAUACCACAUUACGUGUCUCUUACACUUAAGAUGCCCGGUCCACGUGGCAUCAUUUCAGUGCGAGGGUCAUUUAGAGACCCCAGACACGGUUAGACGAGUCCAGCAUAAAUAAGCUAGGGGCUCCCUAUCCGCACACCCCUUCACAAGGGGCUGCGCGCCAAAGCAACAGCGAGAUCAUACAGACUCCACUUUACUUACUUAUAUUUCUUCCUUCGUAAAUAUUUUUUCGCACAAGUUCCUUUCAAACUAAGUUCCUCUCUUUUUACAGAUGAACAACGUGCACACCCGUCCAGGAUAACGGCACAACGGAGACCCAGGCGCAGACGUGCAGUAGGGACCCGUCGCGAGGAUUCUUUACAGAUUAAGACCCUCGUAAACCUUUCUUACUGUCUCUUGUUGAUUAUUCCCCCUUGGUUUCUUCUUAUAACCAAAGUGGAGCCUGACGUUUUGGCAUCAGCCGCGUCAGAGGACCAUGCCCGUACCUGGACACUAGGGGCUUAGGGCAUUGUUCUGCCCAUUAUUAUAAAGACCGAACACCUUAAGGAGUGUUCGGCGUCUCGAGUUAGGCAUUAUAUGCAUCAGCUCCGAAUCAUGUCUUUGGUCAAAUGUUGGGUUUGCCCGGCUCCUGUGUUUUGCUGCCUUACGUUCCGUAUCAUCGGCUAACGCGGCACCAGGAGAACUACUGCGAUUGUGCCCCAGUUCGGCUGGGCAAGCACCUCGGUAGAGAAAGCCGAAAACUGACUGUCAUGAUACAGCGAGAGACUGGUCAACCACUCGAUCGACUACCGGAAUGUUUAGAAUUCCCCGCUUUGACGAAGGACCGUUUCCCGGUCAGGCACACACGUGCCCCGAAUUCGGAGAAGCGCGGUGCCCCAAGGGGCUAUAUCAUAGCCCCACCCUCGAACUCCACUGGCUAAGUGAAAGUGAUAAAGCAUUAUAGUCUGGAUUGCCUCAUUUGCUACGCUACCACCUCCUUAACAGGACCGAGAUGUCGGAUUAAGUGUGAAAACGCGCUAUUUUUGCGAACACCCCCGCACCUUGUGCGUGGGGGCUGAAGCCGAAGACUGCAAUCUUUCAGGUUAUACAAAUGUAUACAUAAACGGCCGCAUAGGAGAUAUUUUACUACUUGGGACGCACAAGUAUAAAAAGCGGUUACAUUAUAAUCAUUGUCUUACAAGAUAAAAACGUUCAUUUGAACGUAACAUUUUUUGAGCACUGCGACUCUAUUACACGAGCGCCACGCAUAACUUCUCCAAAAUAGUGCUCGGCGGGUAACCGGCUUUCGUCCGAACCCUGGGCGGCAAUAGCGGUGGCAUCCAUCUCUGUCCAAUGUGUCUUCACACGGGCAAGGGCCAUUCGCGCGCCUUUUAUGCAGGCCGACCGCUUCAUCUCCUUGAUAUGCGGCACCGCUCCAAGAAAUUGCUGCAAUAAGCCGAAAUAGCUCGUCGCCUUGGGCCUCUCUGGCCAGACAUGAGCCACGAUAUCAGUCAUGGCAAGUCCGGGCAGUCUAUGCAGCUCAGCCCAUUCGGCCAACCGAUCGGUCAACGGAAGUGAACGAUCCGGACUAUGGAAUUGAGACCAAAAGAGCUCUUCCGUCUUGUGAUCCUUCUGGCUCCGGAAGUGCUCAACGGCAUCAGCUGCACUUACCGCUAAGUCCAUAUAUGGAUCCUCCGUACCCCACAACUGGCCAAGUUCGGCAUAUUUUUGAUCCGUAAACCGGCGACGCAGCAGAAACGUCUUGCCAGCCACAAUAUCUCAGGCCUGGCGCAGCUCCUCCUUCAUAGCCCGCAUUGCAGAAUGGGCAUCCUUGGCCUCGGCGGUGGCCUUCCCCAGGCUUUCCUGCUCCGAUAAGCGCUCCUUUUCAAGAGCCUCGUUGCGAUCGGCAGCAUCUUUUGCCUUCACGGCCAAUUCGGCCAUCUUUUCCCUGCUUAGGCAGUGUGCAGCCUUUUCGGCUUUCAACUCCUCGGCCGCCCUUGAGGCAGCCGCAUCACUCCUUCGGGCUUGCUCCUUAGCUUGAGCAAGCUCGGCCCGAAGGCUGUCCACAGCAGCAGCACCAUCUGCAUUACAUCAUAUAUAUUAUCAGAGGCGGGCUAUGGCUCCCUCAAAUAAGAGACUGCGGAGAAUUCAUUUACCUUGCAACUCGUCAAGUCGCCGGUUGACAAGCGCGAUGUCCGCAUCCGCCACAUCAAGUUGCCGCAUUAACUCGACAACUCCUCCAGUCCGGCUGGGCCCCGGACUAUCCGCCACCUACAUAGGAAGGGCGACAUUCAAUACCUGCGAUUUUGAUCCUCGGCAUGCUGUCGCUUUCGACAACCUGCCGAGUCUCAGGGGCUACUAUCUAUACAGGGCGCACUUCUAUGUGCAAGACUGUCAAAAAAGGUGCAUCAUUCAAGUGUACCUCAAAUCCUGCCAGUAAACUCCUGGCGGCAUUAUGCAAUCCGCUUUCGGCGGAUGAAAUCCUUCUGAUCACCAUACUCAUCAAAGCACGGUGAUCUUCUGAGAUGGACGCCCUCUCAAGCAGACUCUUCAGCUCCCCCGGUCGAACACUAGUCGGCGCCGAACUCUUCGGUUCCAUCGGGCUCUAGGACACCCUCCGUGACGAUACUUCAGGCUCGUCUGCCCUGCCCGGCGACGCAGCAGUCGGAGGCAUUUCGCUCUCCAUCAUCUCCGGACGAAGAUCCCCCGAAGACGAACUCACCUGAGAAGUCCGCAAAUCCGAACUGUAAAGCAAAACUUCGGUUAUCUACAGAAGCACAAAUGGAGGUAUUUUCUUAUUAUUGAACUCCCCUUUUUCUACUCACGGCUCGAUGGAGGGCUGAUCCUUUGGAGAUGAUUGUACGUCUGGGUUCUCCCCGGACGCAGGACCCCCCGGUGAAGAUUUCUUCCCCCGUUUAGGGGCUUUGGCCUCCGGAUCUUCGGAGGCGGUCCUCUUCUCCCCCUGGCAGGAGGGAUUUUCGAUCCCCCCCUCUUCAGACGCCCCCUUGGGUGAAGUAAUAGCUCUUCUAUGAAGAUCCCUACUGCGGGCGCUACCUCCAACAUUCUGACCAGCACGGGCUCCGGUGCGGUCUCUGGGAGGGGGGCCGGACACCUUAUCAGCUUCGAUCGCGCUACCCACUCCUGAUAAAGAGUAAUGGGUCAGGAGGCGAAUUCUAGAAAAGCAAAUAAACAGAACGUCCAGACUCUGAGCUAUUUACCUGAGUAUCCGGGCGAUUGCAGCUUAAGCCUGCGUCCUCGGUCAAUUCCGGACACGCCACCUGCGGUCCGAAGAACAACUUGGACAUCUCCACGGGUGUCGUACCCAUGAAGUGUUGGAGAAAUCAUGGUCCCUCCAGAUUGAACUCCCAUAACCGGAGAGGACGGCGUUUGCAGGGCAGAAGACGCCUGAUUAGCAUAACCUGCAUCACCACAACCAGAUUGAUCUCCCUCGCCUGGAGGUCUCGAAUCUGGCCCUGCAAUGAAGGCACGUCUUCGGAUGGCCCCCAAUUGAGCCCUUGGUUGACCCACGACAUCAGUCGGCGUGGAGGUCCCGGGCGGAAUGAAGGUGGCGGCUUUUGCUUGCUGCCCUUCGGAGUGGUGAUAUAGAACCACUCCUGCUGCCACAAGCCGAGCUCCUCUUGGAAGGAGCCCUCGGGCCACGGGGCAUCGGCCCUUCUGCUUAUGGCCGCCCCGCCGCACUCCGCUUGACGCCCCCCGAUCAUCUUUGGCUCCACAUUGAAGGUCUUUAGCCACAGGCCAAAGUGGGGGGUGACGCGGAGGAAGGCUUCGCAGACGAUAAUGAAUGCGGAGAUAUGGAGGAUGGACUCCGGAGCCAAGUUGUGAAAAUCCAGCCCAUAGUAGAACAUGAGCCCUCUCACGAAGGGGUCCGUCGGGAAUCCUAAACCCCGACGGAGGUGGGAUACGAAGACGACGUACUCGCCGGGCUCGGGAGUGGGCACGGCCUGCCCUUGGGCGGGCAACCUGUGCAAAAUCUCGUAGGAUAGGUACUUGGCCUCACGCAGCUUCAGCACGUCCUCCUCCGUAACAAAGGAGGGCAUCCACCGACCCUGAAGGUUGGAGCCGGACAUAGUUGAAGAUCCAAAGCGCUCGAAUCUGGGGCUCUGGGUGUUGGAACUUGGGGCAAGGAGAAGAUUCGAUGGAAGAUUGAAGAAAAGAAACGAGCCUUGGUCCUCUUAUAAAGGGGGAAAAUACCAAGAGCUGUCUCCGUGACCGUUCAUGAUUUGCCUUUGAUAGAGGAGACGUGGUGACGGGCGCGGUUGGGUUACCCACGUCCAUAUUGAUGAGAAUCCCGGAAUAAGGGGAACACGAUCUCUGCUUCGAUAGGACGUGCCAAGGAAACCGCUUCGCUAAACGUGCUGAGGUGGUAUAAUAAAAAACGAUUCAAGUAAAGGCUUGGUAGCGGUGUGAUGUCAUGCCGCAUAAUACGUCAGCAGAUUGGACUUGUGUACAUUUUAUUCUCUCUACGGUGGAAUGUGGAAUUUAUUUUGCAGAGCCGGACACUAUCCUGGUGUUCUUGAUCUUCUCUGGAUUAUUCAAGGGAGGAACCCGCCUUGCAAUGCCGAGCAUUAUGCACGCCGGACUUAUCGUCAUUAAAGCCUGGUUCAGGGGCUACUGAGGGAGUCCUGGACUAGGGGGUGUCCGGACAGCCGGACUAUCAUCGUCCGCUGGACUCCAAGACUACGAAGAUACAAGAUUGAAGACUCCGUCCCGUGUCCGGAUGGGACUUUCCUUGGCGUGGAAGGCAAGCUUGGCGAUACGGAUAUGUAGAUCUCCUACCAUUGUAACCGACUCUGUGUAACCCUAGCCUCCUCCGGUGUCUAUAUAAACCGGAGGGCUUUAGUCCGUAGGACACAACAUACAUUACAACAAUCAUACCAUAGGCUAGCUUUAGGGUUUAGCCUCCUUGAUCUCGUGGUAGAUCCACUCUUGUACUACCCAUAUCAUCAAUAUUAAUCAAGCAGGACGUAGGGUUUUACCUCCAUCGAGAGGGCCCGAACCUGGGUAAAACAUCAUGUCCCUUGUCUCCUGUUACCAUCCGCCUAGACGCACAGUUCGGGACCCCCUACCCGAGAUCCGCCGGUUUUGACACCGACAGUCACUAUGACUAACUGGGAAUCACCCACAUCAGUUGUUGAGAUCCGGAGUUUUCUGGGACUCGCAGGAUGCUACCGGAGGUUCACUGAGAAUUUCUCUAAGAUUGCAAAACCCAUGACGGAGUUGUUGAAGAAGGACACAAAGUUCAAAUGGACAGAGGAAUGUGAGGCCGGUUUUCAGGAGUUGAAGAAAUGUUUGGUUAUAGCCCCAGUGUUGAUUCUUCUAGAUCAACGUAAGGAUUAUCAAGUGUAUUGCGACGCUUCUCGUCGAGGACUUGGAGCAGUGCUUAUGCAAGAGGGUAGAGUUGUUUCAUAUGCCUCACGAGAGCUUAAACCUCAUGAGCUAAAUUAUGCUACACACGAUCUGGAGUUAGCAGCCGUAGUGCAUGCAUUGAAGACAUGGAGACACUUUCUCAUCGGAAAGCACUGUGAGGUGUACACGGAUCACAAGAGUUUGAAGUAUAUCUUCAUGCAAAAGGAGUUGAACCUCAGGCAAAGGAGAUGGUUGGAGCUCAUCAAGGAUUAUGAUAUGAAAUUGCAUUAUCAUCCCGGAAAGGCUAACGUAGUAGCCGAUGCGUUGAGUCGCAAGAGGUUAUGUUUGGAAAUAGUUACGAGAGGUUAUGUAGAAGAAUUGGAAAUUCAGUCUACCUUGAUGGAUAAGAUCGGAGAAGCACAGAAGACGGAUAAAGAGAUUGUUGAGAUAAAGGAAAGGAUGAGGAAAGGAAAGGCUAAAGGAUUUCUUGAGGAUGAGCACGAUACCUUAUGGUUUGAGGAUCAUGUAUAUGUGCCUAAUGAACUCGGGAUCAGGAAGUUGAUUCUGCAGGAGGCCCAUGAUUCGCCGUAUUCGAUUCACCUAGGAAACACCAAGAUGUAUCUGGAUUUGAAGGAAAGUUUCUGGUGGACCGGAAUGAAGAAGGAUAUUCCGGAAUAUGUAGAAGUAUGUGAUGUAUGUCAGAGAGUGAAGGCAGAGCAUCAGAAGCCAGCAGGAUUGCUACAGCCAUUGUCGAUACCCGCAUGGAAGUGGGACAAGUUAGGCAUGGAUUUUAUCAUAGGAUUGCCCAGGACUCGUUCAGGCUAUGACUCGAUAUGGGUUGUAGUCGAUCAGUUGACGAAGGUAGCUCAUUUCAUCCCAGUGAAGACCACUUAUACUAGUGCUAAGUUGGCAAAGAUCUACAUCACCAGGAUCGCAUGUCUGCAUGGAGUUUCGAGGACUAUUGUAUCAGAUAGAGGAACCCAGUUUACCUCAAAGUUCUGGAAUCAGUGCAUGAGACUUUGGGUACUAGGCUAGAGUUUAGUAUAGCCUUUCAUCCACAGACAGAUGGACAGACCGAGAGAGUCAUUCAGAUUCUAGAGGACAUGUUGAGAGCUUGUGCGCUAGAUUAUGGAUCUAGUUGAGAUGACAAUUUGCCAUAUGCAGAGUUCUCUUAUAACAAUAGUUAUCAAGCCAGUUUGAAGAUAGCUCCUUUUGAAGCCUUGUACGGAAGGAGGUGUAGGACACCGUUAUUGUGGGAUGAAGUUGGAGAUCGUCAGUUGUUUGGACUAGAUUUGAUUCAGGAGCCUGAAGAGAAGGUUAAACUGAUUCGCGACAGACUCAAGGUAGGCCAAUCUAGGCAGAAGAGUUAUGUGGAUUCUAAACGCAAGGAGACAGUUUAGAAGUCGGAGACAGAUUAUAUCUUCGUGUGUCCCCACUUCGAGGAGUUAAACGCUUUGGAGUUAAGGGAAAGCUAGCACCACAUUUUGUGGGACCAUACAAAGUUUUGGACGUAUGGGAGAAGUUGCUUACAAGCUGGAAUUGCCAGAAGGAUUGUCUGGAGUUCACGAUGUGUUCCAUGUUUCCUAGUUGAAGAAGUGCCACACAAAGCUGGCCGACAUUCCUCUGAGAGAUAGAGUGCCACUGGAAGCGAUUCAGCUGGACAGUAAUUUGACCUACGAGGAGAAACCAAUGAAGAUUCUCGAGUUUGCCAGCCGAGUCACAUGCAGUAAGGUUAUCAAGUUUUGCAAAGUACAGUGGAGCCACCAUACCGAGGAUGAAGCCACCUGGGAACGAGAGGAAGACCUACUGAAGGACCACCCACCUAUUUUCUAGCCAACCCGAAUCUCGAGGGUGAGAUUCAUCUUAAGGGGGGUAGGUUUGUAACAUCCCAUAUUUCCAAUUUGGAAUGUUAUAUAUAGGUCAACUUUGCAUAUCAUAUUUUUAGUGCAUUUUUGGUUGAUCCUAGAAAUUCUAAGCAACUCAAGGACCAACGGAGAGAGUUGGGGAUUUUGUUAUUUUCAUAUUUGAGUUUUCUCAAAUUUUGAAAAGAGGAUCAUUUGGUUUUAAUCAUUUUUCUCUUCAAAUAUUUCUUAUAUGAAAAUAAAAGAGAGCGGAUAAAAUGACUUCUCUGAAAUAAAGAAAUAUUGGAGGAAAAUAUUAAAAUCAAAUAAGAAUUAUAUUCGGAGUUUUAUUGCUAUUUUAUUUGAAUUAGGAAAAAAGCAUUUUUCCAAAGUUGCAUUAGAGUCCCAAAUAAAUGUUCACUUUGUCCGCAAUAUUAUUAGAGGACCGUGAAAAUUUAUAUCAGGAUUUUUGGACUCCAUUUAGUAUUUCUUUCUUUACUUUUUUUGCGUCUGGAUUUAUUUAUUUUUAAAAAAAGUUACCGACCUUACCGGGCCGUGUCCGACCUGGACUCCAGCCCGGCCGGCCUUAUAAGCCGGAAGGCCCGACCCCGCCGAACCCUAGCCUCCAACCCCGCCUCGCCCCGCGCCGCCACCGCCACCACCAGCCGUCGCCGCCGCCACUCGCCGUCGUCGCGCGCAGCACCGCUCGUCCCGCCGCCGCCGCCGCACCGCCCACUGCACCGCCCAUCCCGCCGCCGGAGUGUUGCCGCCAUAUGGUUUUUCACGGAAAAUCGAUCGGUUUUUUUCAAAACCCUAGAUUCGUUUUUUUAGUUUCGGUUCGGUUUUUUUGGUUUAGUUAAAUAGCGGACGUUCGUUCGUAUGUUCGUUUUAGCAAAUGUUGUUCGUCCGUUGGCCACAGACUGCGAACGUUCGUUUGUUAGCUUGUUCGUUUGUUUUUCUUUUUUGAGGGUUUUUCCGCGGUUAUUUUCGAUCACGAUUUCUGCCCUGAUCUUCGUUUUAGUUUAUAUUUUCACUCGUUUAUCCGAAUCAGGUGAUUCAAGUGCCUAGAUCUUCGUCUCAAAGCCCCCUUUUUGUUUAACCAACUUGAACAAGAUUUUGGUACUGUAAAAGUUGACUUUAGUCCAGAUUAGUAAACGGAUCUUGUUUCUUUUGUAGUUUGAGUUUCGUUGCUCCGUUUGAUUUGAUUCUUUUUGCAAACCGGAGUUCUCCAGUUGAACUUUCUAGUUAGAUCUCUUAUUUGAGUUUUACCCAUGCUUCUAGUUGAGUGCUUAUGUAUGUUAUUGUUUGUUUGUCAUAGAGUGCCCGGAGUGUGAAGCGUGCUACUACGAGUCUCUAGGUUUUGCGGAUCAUCCACAAGGCAAGUAACCAUUUGAUCAUACCUCUUUACUACCUAGUUUUUAUGCAUUAGACUCAACCCUCAAACAUUGCAUGGUUAGGAUCUAUUAUAACAUGUGGGUUUUGGGAAGUAGAUGAUGAGGUAGAACCUAUUGCCCUUUUAUUAUCAAACCUUUGGGAGUUACUUCUAUGUUAUGCUCAGGAUUGUUAUGCUAUGCUCGUAGACGUGGAUUGGGUGAGUGUAUCCAUGACAGAUGUGAGUAUUGUUAAUUAAUGAUUAACUUAAGGUGGCUACUUAAAUACACAUUUGGGUGGAUUGGUUGAGGCACCCUGGAGUACCCAGUGGUUGUCAGGGCACCUAGAGAAUCCAAUCUUGUCCUAGGAUAUCCCGGAGUACCCGUGUGAUCAUCCUACGGUUCUCCACCCAGGCUCAAAGGGAUCAUAAGAUUAUUCAUGCUGGAAACUUCAGUGAGCAGCCACAAGCCAAUAUGGGCUCUGGCAUAGUUGAGUAAGUUGCGUGAAGCUCUUGAAGAGGUAGACUAGCAGAUGUAGUGGGUUGUAGGUGGUACUGUCUACCCAGAGUAGAGAGUUAAUGCAUCAGCAAGACUGUGUCUCGAAUCUCCGAUCAUGGAUGUGUUCGAGUCUUGUGGGGAAAAGUGCGCAAACCUCUGCAGAGUGUACAAACUAAUCAUGGUUAGCCGUGUCCCCGGUUAUGGACAUCUUGAGUAUCUGGUGCUUGGAUUAUCAUGUUGAUCUCAUCACUCUAAUUUAACUUGUUGGGUUUAAUGAUGAUGCUUAAUUGGGAUUGAGUUGGAGGAACCUUCUCAAUGUUUAACAACCACCAUGAUAGUUAAAUAAAAUUUAUUCCUUUAUUGUAGGGAAAAAUUGGCUUUAUGCAAAACUGUAACCAUAGAGCUUUCCACAAGCCAUAUAUGCAUGUAGUGGUAGCAUUCAUUCUGUUCAUUACUCCAUGUUUUACAUUGCCAGCAUAUUCCAUGUGUUGACCUGUUUCAGGCUGCAACGUUUCAUGUUGCAGACUUUUCAGACGAGAGUAAGGUGCCAUAGGUCGUUGUUGUUCACUCAACUAUGCCGUUGGAGUUUGAUGGACUCACUUUAUCUUCCAAGCCUUCCGCUGCUAUUUUUUAGAUGGCCUUAAGCCAUAUUAUUGUAAUAAGUUCUCUUUUGAGACAUUCGAUGUAAUAAGUGUGUGACUGAAACUCUGUUAUAAAUCCUCAAGUACUGUGCGUGUCAGCAUUAUCGAUCCAGGGAUGACAUUGAUGUACAGAGACUAGACUGUUUGAGGUCUGGUCGCUACAGUCCAUUACCGUGGACACGGUAUUAGAAUAUAUAUCUUCCCUGCAGGGGUGCACCAUGUUUUCCAACACGCUUGAUUACUCUGGUCGGACACACUGUCCUAGGUCAUGCCCGGCCUCAGAAGAUCAACACGUUGUAGCCCUAUCUAGGCUCAGUAGAGAGGUCCCCGCCGGUCUACAUCCUAAGCACUCCGGGGUCUGGGCCCAUCGGCCGUUGCACUCCGGGUCGUUGUGCGCAAGGGGAUACCAGCACCACCCGUGAAGUGGACUGCAUGAUCCAGCCCGGCCACAAUGCUGAACUGGACGUCUGACAAAGCUUCGACUGAUACUGCGACAUCAAGGCCCAUAACUAUUCUUGCAUGGUGGUUAGUGCGUAAAAGCCAGAGGCCAAUUCAGAACAAAUACCCAAACAUGUUAGUGCAUUAACAAUUAAAAGUGGUGGCAGGUGCCUAGAUAUUCUCAUAACUAUGUGCUUUUCUAUCAAUUGCUCGACGGUAAUUUGUUCACCCACCGUAAUACGUGCUAUCUUGAGAGAAUCCACUAGUGAAACCUAUGGCCCCCGUGUCUCUUUCUUAUUAUAUUGCAUCUCUUUUAUUUACAUCGCAUCUCGUUUUACUGUUUUGAAUCUUUACUUUCCAAUCUAUACAACAAAAAUACCAAAAAUAUUUAUCUUAUUAUCUUUAUCCGAUCUCACUUUGGCAAGUGGCCGUGAAGGGAUUGACAACCCCUUUAUCACGUUGGUUGCAAGGUUCUUGAUUGUUUGUGCAAGUACUAGGUGACCUGAGCGUUGUCUCCUACUGGAUUGAUACCUUGGUUCUCAAAACUGAGGGAAAUACUUACGCUACUUUGCUGCAUCACCCUUUCCUCUUAAAGGGAAAACCAACGCAUGCUCAAGAGGUAGCACGGCCCGUAGAAGGCCCAUGGAUCCUACAGCCCGUAGGAGGGCCAUGGUCACUACAGCAGAUAGCAGGACCAUGGUUACAACAGUCUGUGUGUUGCCAUGGUUAUUUUGGCUUAGUUAUAAAAAUAGGUUAUUGUGGCCACUAGAAAAUGCGGAAAAAGAACUUUAGUGACUACAAGCAAACAACUAAACAAGACAAUAAGGAAAUAAAUAAGCAAGCAACUAUCACUAGGCUAUUACGGCUAUUACACAUAUUACAUCCACUGGGCAUCAAAGUUCGCCACCAAUGCAAAUAUAGGGAACAAAGCAGCAUAUUACAUACACUGGCCGUCUAAAUUAGCCACCAGUGCAAAUAAAUGCGGCAAAAAACAAGUCCAUAACUGAAACAACUUCAGAAGAGCUCAAGAAACGUUAUCCUUGGUACCCAUCAUGCUGGCAAUAAGCUUAGCAAGCUUGUUAGCUUUGUCCUGUUUAAAAUCCUCCAUCGCUUGCUGUUGCACCAGAAAGUAUGCAUCUGAAUGCUCCAAGGACUUCCGCAGUCCUUUGGCUUCUUGUCGCACAACACAGCUGAUCGAUGUCUUUCAGCUUGUAGUUGAGACUCAAGAAACAAGCAGAUAUAUGAAACUCAUUUCGGUGAACCCGUUCAUAAGUAAGGUGGACAUGAUUAAACUACCAAGUCUUCUGUUGCCAAGUAGUGCAUAAUAAAAGCAUCAAACAAACAUAUAUCUAUGUCCUAUGGUCACUGCAUUGUCUUGCCAAAUCAAAAUAGAGACACGGUUCAAAUCAUAUUAGUUCAAGAGAAAGCUGCACUGAAAGAAUACAAAGUGUGGGAAACUAGACGGCACAACAAGAUUUCAGAUGGGUACCACGGGUCUACAUGUACAACAACACUAUUGACUCUAUUGUGAUGCUAGUAAUGUGCAUGAUAUGAGAAGUCAACUGUAUACACAAUUGAAAGUGAAAUCAAUAGAGCUAUUUAUAAGAGCAAACCUGUUAAAGAAACAUGCAUAAACAUACCUAUUGUGCCAUGGGAGUUCCGAUUAGAUCCUUCAGUUUAAAAAUAAGUUUGUAUGAGUAAAUACAGUGAUACAAGAGCAAAGCAGUAUGCACAACAGCAAUGGAAUCUUAAAUGAGAAUAGUUGUUCUUCAGGUUUAAGCACUUGUUAUACAUGAACAUAGUACAGUAAGACGCAAGCAUAUAGUACUUUAAAAAAUGAGCUCAUAGACCUUACCACAUUCUUGGUUCGGGACCAGUACAGAACAAGGGGUUCCCAGUCAUCGUCCAGUAAAUGUGUCUCGGGAGAACGUAAGGGAAUUUGAUGAGUUUCUUUGCCAGUGAAGUACGUUUUCUUUAGGUAAUUCCGAUACUGCCACGAAGCAUUCUUGAAGAUAGCAGCUGUAUUAGCACAGGUUACCUCAUCCUGAGUUUCCAAAUCGGUCCUUCUCUAUAGAGAAAAAUGGGAAAAUUUGCUGUAUUAUAACCAUCAUGGAGGUAGAAUGUAUGGGACAAAGCAAAUUAAUUGCAGAAUAACAUUACUUACACAUAACUCCUUGACAAACACCUAUAACUUGCAUUUUCCUUCAUCUUCAGUAUAAUAUUUCCAUGAUGGGAAGAUACACACAUAGGAUUUAACAACAUCAAGUGCGAUAGAUGCUAAAUUACGAAUGGCUGGUUGUGCUUCCUCCAUAGGAAUAGGUGUACUAACAGGUGGAGUUGGGGUUCGUCGUGGUAGUACUGGCGCUUUGGGCACUGGAGCUGCCUUACUAACUGCUCUUGUUUGGGAGCUCUAUGGUGAAGAUGGUGUUGUGUCAACAGGAACCGGGUUACAAUCUGCUAGGGUUGGGGUUAGAUUGGGUGAAGCUCGUUCUUUGUCCAUCGCGGUAGAGUUACAAUCUGUGAGAGUCUGGGUUAUGUGUGGUAGCGCUGGUUCUCGUGCGUGUACAACUGGGGUGCUAUCUCCACCAAGAGGUAGCACUGUUUUAUUUGCAGACCGUGUUUUUACUCCGCUAGAUACUGCCAUCACCCGCUCCAAUUCAAAUGACGGAUAAACAGGAAACAUAGUUGAAUGUACAAACAUUGUAUGAGAGACAGAUGCAACAGAUAGUGUGGAAAAAAGAGGGCAUGAAAUAGUUGACAUGUAUGUUUUUUAACUAAAAAGGAUAGCAUGACAUAAUUUCACAUAUAUGAUGUCUAUCUAAACUGGAUAGCAUAUCAUGACAUAAUUCAAAGAUAUGAUGACUAACUAAAUAGGAUGGCAUGAGAUAAUUAUAUGAUUUCUUUACUAAAUAGGUUCGCAUGACAUAAUUCACAUACAUGUUAUCGAAGUAAUCAUGAUCACAUGAUUUAAUUUACAUAUGUGAUUUAUUUGCUAAGCAUAGGGCAUUCACAUAUAUGAUGUCUGAACUAAGAACAUGGUGUUCAAUAUUGUGUAUAUGAUGUCUAAACUAUGCAAUGCAAGACACCAUAUGCAUUAUAUGAGCAGUAUAACUGUGCCAAGUUAGAGCAUACACCUCGAUGGGGGAAUAGGACUGGUCAUCUGUCUCUGAAUCCAUCUCUGAGGAGCUAUCGGGACCGAGCAAGAGAUCUUCUUCGACAGGUAGCACUGUCUGCUCUAACGACCUUGUUUUCACUCCAGAUUUUUCCAUCACCCACUCAAAUGGCUGAUUCACAAGAAGAGUAGUUUAAUGUACAAACAUUGUGGACAAAUGGAAAUGUAAUGAAGAAAAGGAUGGGAAAGAUAUCAUUCAAAUAUAUGAUGCCUGGUUAAACGGGAUGGCAUUGCAUAUUUCACUUAUAUUAUGGCUGGCUAGAAGAGAUGAGACUGCAUAAUUCCCAUAUAUGAUAUAGAAACUAAAUAGGUGGCAUUACAGAACAUGUCUAAACUAAGCAGAUGACAUAUAUGAUGUUGAAAGUAGGCACUUCAAGGCAACAUAUGCAUGAUAUGACUAACAUCAUUAUGCCAAGUUAGAGAAAACACCUUGGGGGGUAAAUAGGAGUGGUCAACUGCGUCUGAAUCCGCCUCAGAACAUAUAUCUUCCUCUGGAUUACAAUCUGGAGAGGGGCGUCUGUGGGGAUCAGAGGGAGUAUAUUGUACGUUCAUAAUCGAAACGAACGUAUUGUACCCACCCUAGUCCUCUUUCAAUAGAUCUCCGGACCCCGAGAUGAAAUCGAGAGAGAACGAGUGGGUGCAUAUGUGAUACCUAAGACGGAUUCAAAAUUUUGAACCAGUGAUCAUAGCAUCUGCAAAUCAUAUGUAAAGGGUAUUCAAUGUUCGUUUCGCUUUUGAACGUACAAUAUACUCCCUCUGAUCCUUUCUAGUUUACAUAUAAGUUUUAUGUGUAGUCAAAGUAUCUCUACUUUGAUCAAACUUACAGAAAAAAGUAUCAACAUUCAACAACACCCAAUCAAUAUUAAUUGUUAGAUUCAUACGUACUCCUAGAUUUUUAUUCAAACAGAGAUGGUUUCCAAUUUGUUUUCAACCACGUGAAUGUGCUUGUUCUCGCGCAUGCUCUUCCUACUAGGAUUUCGCCAUGUAUAGCUAGUCCAAUAGUAACGUUUUUUGAGCUCCAUGUUCAAUAGUACUAGUGGAGUACUGACAACAUCUGUAGUAGAGUAUGCAAUGCUCAUAGUACUCCCUCCUUCCAUUUAUAUAGGGCCCUAGAGCAAGUACAAUAGUGGGCUUAUAGCCCACUUACAUGGCACUUUUGCCUAUGUGGAGGAGAGAGAUGUGAAGAAGUAAGGGGAGUGAGCUCUCAUGCAAGAGCCUAGCUAUAUACGCAUUCCUAGGUAAAUACAAUAAAUAUGAAGAAAGAGAUAGAAAGGAGAUGGAGAAAGUACUAAUACAAUAGCCAACCUUAUUUAUUUAUUUUUUGCAAGAAAUAGCCAACCUUAUAGCCCACACUAUUGUACGAGUGCAUAUAGAUGAUGGCUAUAGAUGACAUGGCAAUUCCUCAUAGCCAUCGGCUGGCUAUAUUAUUAACCAUGCUCUAAUGCGUUUUUCAAAACUGCCUUUGACUAUUGACAAGAUUAAUAGUACAUAAGAUGUAUAAUGUAAAAAUUAUAUCAUUGGAAGCUCGUUUCACAUACGAAUUUGACUGUAUGCUUUGUGUAAGUUGCAUGUCAUAUAUUAUUACUGUAACAUUUGGUAAAAGUUAGCCUCGAAAAAUGCAUUAGCCCCUGUAUAGUAGAUGGAAGGAGGGAGUAGUAGUGGGAGUGGAUCCUAUGACGUAGGUAUCCCUGCCUUACCCUCCCUUUCGGUCACUUACUGGCGGACCUCAUGCUUGCUAGGCCCCGCAUGUCAGUUACUCAAUGGGUUUGGCCACGUCAUGGGAUCCUCAUCCGUAGUAUACUCCCUCUAUUUUUAUUUACUCCACAUAAAACAGAGGGAGUCGUAGUAUAAAUGAUGCAGGCGGGGGAGGGGGAGGGACGUCGGUUUGCUCUCAAAUGCGAUCCCACAAGCGAGAAAAAACGCAAUACGAAGCACGUUCCACUCGAUGAGUGGCGUGGAGGGACCAGCGUGCCGGGGUGCAACGCGAACGCGACAAGAGCGACAUACAGUCAAAACCAAUUUACCGGUCGUCACUGGAACCACUAUUCACACCAGAACCUUCGCUACUCAGCCUAUGCCAGCCACUGCCCCAAAACCACACCUCCUCUCCAGCCCAUCCCCCACCUUUCGACCACCUAGCCCGUGUCAAGCGUCCCCUAGUUCGCCGAAAAGCCAUGGUGCACCGCAAGAUCAUGUACUGCAAGAUGCUGACGCCGGAGCGCCACGCAGAAAUAGCGGCGGUGGUUGGCACCACAGACCUCCUUUCCCAAGCUCGCUUUGUGGCGGGCCAAUCUCCGAGUUCUCUGGAUCCAAGCUACGAGGAGGAGGAAGCCAAUCCAAUGUUCAUGGUGGAGGUCGCGGCGCAGAAGGCCCCCGAUGGGUAUGAGACGAUGGAUGUCGACUUUGUGCCGGCGUCUGGGUCCCCCAUGGUGCAGCGGACCAGCGGUUCAACCUGGCGAUACAAAAGGAGGACCGAGAGACAGAGGCUCAACUCGAUGCGGAGUGCACGCAUGCCGCUGCCAUUGAGGCUCUCCUGCAGGCAGAAUCGGAUGUCGUGGAUGUCAACCGGGCGGUAGAGACUCAACUUGACACGGAGCGCACGGAUGCUGCUGCCAUCAAGGCCCUCCUACAGGUGGAACCGGAAGUCCUGGACUUGAACUGGGCGGUGGAGGCUCAACUCGACGCGGAGCGCGCGAAUCCCGCUGCCACCGAGGCCCUCCUGCAGGCGGAACCAGAGGUCCUGGACUUGAACCGGGCGGCGGAGGCUCAACUCGAUGCGGAGCGCGCGGAUGCCACUGCCAUUGAGGCCCUCCUGCAGGCGGGACCGGACGUCUUGGACUUGAACCAGGCAGGGGAGGCUCAACUCGAUGUGAAGCGCGUGGAUGUCGCUGCCAUCGAGGCCCUCCUGCAGGCGGGACCGGACGUCCUAGACUUGAACCGGCAGUGCUCUCGUCUGUGCAGAGCACCCGCAGGCUCCACAUGAACGAGUAGCUGGUGGCCAAGGACAACCACGAUGCGGAGACACGCGUUGGCAGCUGCGGCUGGUUCGCGCCGGCAACCAAAGAUGACGAGGCCGUCUUGUUCCGCGAGAGUGAUAGUUUUUUCUUUAUGUUGUUGUUUUAGAGAUCUUUUGCUGUGUAAAAACAUAUAUUGUUACGCAAGUCGCCUGACUUUCAUCAUUUGCGUCAGUCUACCAUUUCAGGCGGUUGGAUGAAUAUCCUACAUCUCCUAACCCUUCUUCCUCACCUAUUCUUCUUCCCCAACAGACCACCGCACGAGCCUUACGGAUCUUCCCCAACAUGCGGUUGGAUAAAUAUACAGUAUGAACAAAAAUUAUGUGUCAGCGGUAGGAUGGCUGAGUUUGGUUUGAUCACAUGCGGUAGCACAUGUCAGUGAGGGUGUGUUCCCUUGGUUGGGUUUGCAGCGUGCAGAAGCGGCUGUGUGAGGGUGCGGUGCGACCGCGACAGCAGUGUGCAAGUAUAUCUCCUUUUCAUUUUGAAAACUUUAGGCAAGCUUGGCAAAAAUGUGUGGCGAAGUAUGGCAAUGCAAGGCCUAGACCCAAACAAGAUACAAGUACGUACGUACUAGGACUACUAGUGUUAAAAAUGAAAGGCGGGGUUUUCCUUCGUGGGAUUAAUCGAUACAAAUCCUCAUUUGACGUGUCAAUUAUUGCGUAUUUUGUUCUCCAAAGCCCAAAGAGCUGACCAUCUCACUCCUCGCCAUUUGAUUAAUGCAGCACCAUGCAAACCAACCAUCUCACUUCCGCAUGCAUGCAAGGGUAUAUUAAUGUCCUUGGUUGCUAGUACGAGGCAAACCCCAUCAAUUUUUCCUCGAUUAGUGUUAGUGGCCUUUUGCAAAUUGUAAUUUUGAUAUACUGGCCUUGUGUACAAAAAAAUGGAGGUAGUAACUAUUUGAGUUCCUUCCCCAUUGCGGUGACGUUGACGAUAUCUCGAACGUUAUGGUUUGGCGAAGUGCGUUCGACGGAGAACACCAUUGAGGGAGACCACGAUAAGUCAUUCGCAAGUGCCGCCUGCAAGCCGAGAGAACCGUCUUAUUUGCAUCCAGGAAGUCUGUUGAACCAAAGGAUGCGUAAAUGUACUAGUACACAAUAGCGUUGUCCAUCCAGCUUAUUGCGGUGAGGUGGUUUCUCGAAGAAGACGUUGGAGAAGCGGAGUCAGCAAAGAGUGUAAAGAUGGUUGCUUCGUCCGUGCUUUGUGAUUUGACGCCUCACUGCUUUGUGAUUUGUGAUAGAAGGGAUAGGGGAGUAGACUCUGUGCUCUAUACUGUACAUGCGUCCAAGCACGAGAGAAAGAGGAGAGACGUUGCAUUUUUCUAUUCCUUCAAUCAAUCAAUCAGGGAGCUUCGGUUCCAUCUUUUUGGCUUUGGCAGCACCGUCCACAAUGGUUCCCAUCGAUGCCAAAAGCUAUUUUCACAUUUGGCUACACAUUGUGGAUGCUCGUAACCGUACCACUUGGUUUUGAAUCUCAAUUAUAUUGAACUAAAGAAUUAUAAAAUCAAGAUUAGUAAAAGGAGGUGAUUUUGCCGCGCGGAUGGCGGGGGAGUUUUCUUAUUUUUAGAGGAUAUUGUCCUGGAGGUUUGCUAACAUGCGGUCCCACAUGUCAGUGCUUUACCAAGCCGAUCCGUGUCCCACAUGAGGCAGAAUAGCGGCAGAAGCAACACAUGGAUAACUUGAAGAAGAUGAGGGAGAAGUAGAUUCAGCAACGAGUGAAAUGAUGGUUGCUUUAUCCCUCCAACUUCUUUUUUAGCAUUAUUACUUUGUACCUCCAACUUAACUACGGGAAAGGUGCAGCUUUGUGAUUUGACACCUCAUUGCUCAUUACUAUGCCAGCGCCAUGACUGGGGUGCUUCAACCGUGCUGCUCUGCAAUGUAUUUCGGUAUGGCACGUGGACCCGGUAGCUUGAUGUCCCACAUGUCGGCGAAAGGGGCUAGAACAUUUAUGAAAGCGAGCGCUCCACUCUUACGACGGAGGAGUACACGACACGGCGGCCCAGUGAACUAUAACUUGUACCGUAUAGUACUAUAGUACUAUAGUUUUACUGUUUCACACGAUCCAUCGAUACAAACCCGAUUAAACAGGAAACGGCGGGAGUUUUCCCGCACGGUAGAUGAUAUUGGCCAUACAUUUCAAAGGCAAUUUUAAUGUAUGCAAACAGAAUAAUUAAGUAACAAUAUGAUAUCUAGUAAAACUAAAAACACAUAUGAUUUAUUGUGUUAGAGUGUAGUAGUAGUAGUAGUAGUGUUGUUGUAUUGCAUAGUUGUUAGAUGUAACAUGCGAGAACGUGUAGAGAUGUAGUCUUGAGGGCCCUACAGAGAGAAAAGCAUAAUACGAUCACCGGACUUCAGAAUACGCUCAUUACGAUCACUAUAUAUGUUUUGCGGUGAUUAUAUGGUCACUUGCUCACCGUUCAGCAUCGGAUUACACUCUGUUGACCGGCCAAAUAGUUUGCAUAUCACCAAGUUGACUACUUAAAUUGACCAUGUUCCUUGUGGUUCCCACCUAUUAGUUCGUAUAGGAAAAAGGUUAGAUAAACACAAAUUUACGCAGGCGCGACAAGACUUCAACCCAUGCACAGGAACCACCUAGUUGUGUAUGUGUCUAUCAGGGCCUGAUGUGUGCGCAUGCACGUGUAGGUUGAGCACUUGAGAGUGAGUGUGUAUUGGUUGUGUGGUGUGUGCAUGCAUGCGUGCGUGUGUGCGUGUGAGUGUUGCGUGCGUGCGUGGCUGCAUGUGUACGCGUGAGUGUUGCGUGCGUGUGUGGCUGCAUGUAUGAGUGUGAGUGUUGCAUGCAUGCAGUUCGUGUGCAUGCGUGCGUGUGUGUAUAAUCACCACACCAGCUCUUGUGUGUUAAAACAGAUGGCUCAGCAUACCAAUACAAGGCUACCUUGUCCGAUGUGCCCGCGGUCAUGACUUCGAACCACCGUCCAAUAUUUUUUUGUCAUUUGUUUUCAUUCUUACUAGCAAGAUGCUCGUGCAUUGCAUGUAACAUCAAGAUGCAUUUGUAUGACUAGUUUAUCUUGUGAGAGAAAAGGAUGAACGAGGGAAGGCCUUAUUUGCAAAUGUGGAGAGGUGUGUGGGUACCUUUUUGCAAAAUUGCCAUAGUUUCCUUCCUAUCCGUCGGAUAUAAAUUGGACAACCUAUAUUGCAGGAUGGCAGGCACACCAUCAUCACCAACUCUAUUUUUUAUAAGAGCGUAGAGUAGAUACAAGCCGACAGGUGGGCCCAAUGGUAUUGAGAUAAUGUGAUGCAACACUAGAGGUGCCAUGUCGAGCGUUUAACUGGUCAACUAGUCGUGUAUUGGGCAAAUACAGAGCUGUAUUGUGAGUCUGUGACUGUAUAAUAACCAGAAAUGUAAAUGGUGACCGUAAUGAGUGGAUUCCAAACUCCAAUGUACAUAUUGUGCUUUCGCUUCAAAUACAAUGAUCAUCACUGUAUAUAUCGCGAGAGAAAGAUGAAACAUGCAUGAAUGUGCUGGGGGCGUACUUUUAGAGGACCUGGAGAUAGUUUGUGUGCGUAUGUGAAAGGGGCGUAGAGGGGUGUAUGCGAUGGACAGAGAGAUGCUCUUCAUUUCUCUUUAUUAUGACUAGCUUUAUAUAUAGUAUAAAAAUAUAAAAAUUCACAGAGCGGAAUAAAUAUCAUUGUGGGCACCAUGCAAUGCAAAUUAACAUUCAUACUCCUCAAUAUAACUUUGUAAUGUUGUAUAUAUGUAGAAAUUAUAAAAUAAUUUUUUGGCCACACUUUAUUCAUAAGGAAUGUUGUAUGCGAAUGUAGCGACCAGACCUCAAAUAGUCUGAUCUCUGUGCAUCAUUGUGAUCCCUGGAUCGGUAAUGCUGACACACACAGUACUCGAGGAUAUAUAAUAGAGUAGCAAUCACACACUUAUUGCAUCGAAUGUCUCAGAAGAGAACUUACUACAAUAAUAUGGCUUAAGGCCAUCUAAAAUGAUAACAACGGAAGGCUUGGAAGAUAAAGCGAGUCCAUCAAUUCUAACAACAUAGCUGAGUGAAAGACAGCACCUAUAGCACCUUACUCGUCGUCUGAAAAGUAUGCAACAUGAAAUGUUGCAGCCUGAAACGGGUCAGCACAUGGAAUAUGCUGGCAAUGUAACACAUAGAGUAAGGAACAAAAUAAUUGCUAUCACUACAUGCAUAUAUGGCUGGUGGAAAGCUCUAUGUUGCAUAAAGCCAAUUUUUCCCUACAACAAAGGAAUAAAUUUUAUUUAACUAUCAUGGUGGUUGUUAAACAUUGAGAAGGUUCCUCCAACUCAAUCCCAAUUAAGCAUCAUCAUUAACCCAAUCAAAUUAGUUCAGAGUGAUGAGAUCAACAUGAUAAUCUAAGAACCAGAUACACAAAACAUCCAUAACUGGGGACACGGCUAACCAUGAUUAGUUUGUACACUCUGCAGAGGUUUGCGCACUUUUCCCCACAAGACUCGAAUACAUCCAUGGUCGGAGAAUCGAGACACAGUCUUUCUGAAGCAUUAACUCUCUACUCUGGGUAGACAGUACCACCUACAACCCACUACAUCUGCUACUCUACCUCUUCGAGAGCUUCACGCAACUUACUCAACUAUGCCAGAGCCCAUAUUGGCUUGUGGAUGCACACGGAAGUUUCUAGCAUGAAUAAUCUUAUGAUCCCUGUGAGCCUGGGUGGCGGACCGUAGGAUGAUCACACAGGUACUCCGGGAUAUCCUAGGACAACACUUGAUUCUCUAGGUGCCCUGACAACCACUGGGUACUCCAGGGUGCCUGAAGCAAUCCACCCAGAUGUGUAUUUAAGUAGCCACCUUAAGUUAACCAUUAAUUAACAAUACUCACAUCUAUCAUGGAUACACUCACCCGAACCACGUCUACGAGCAUAGCAUAGCAAUAUAAGCAUAACGAAGAAGUAACUCCCAAAGGUUUGAUAAUAAACAGGGCAAUAGGUUCUACCUCAUCAUCUACUUCCCAAAACCCACAAGUUAUACAGAUCCUAACCAUGCAAUUGUUUGAGGGUUGAACUAAUGCAUAAAAACAUGGUAGUAAAGAGGUAUGAUCAAAGUGUUACCUGCGUUGCUGAUGAUCCAUGAAACCUAGAGACUUGCAGAAACACGCUUCGCACUCCGGGUACUCUAUCGCAAAAAACAAAGCAUACAAUAAGCACUCAACCUGAAGCACGGGUAAAACUCAAAUAAGAGAUCUAACUAGAAAGUUCAACUUAAGAACUCCGGUUUGCAAAAAGAAUCAAAUCAAACGAAGCAACAAAACUCAAACUGCGAAAGAAACAAGAUCCGCUUACUAAUCUGGACUAAAGUCAAAUUUUACUUUACCAAAAUCUUGUUCAAGUUGAUUAAACAUAAAGAGGGCUUCGAGACGAAUAUAUAGGUGCUUGAAUCGCCUGAUUCCGAUAAACGAGCGAAAAGAUAAACUAAAACGAAGAUCAUGGCAGAAAUCGCGAUCGAAAAUAAUCGCGGAAAAACCCUAGAAAAAGAGAAACUGACGAACAGGCUAACGAACGAACGUUCGUUGUCUGCGGCUAACGCUUGAAAACCGUUUGUUAAAACGAACGUACGAAUGAACGUCCGCUAUUAAACUAAACCGGAAAAAAUAAAACCGAUAUAUAUAUAAAAAACCUAGGGUUUUCGAAAAAAACCAAGCGGUUUUGUAACGAAAACUGGCAGCGGCGGUGGCUACCUCCGGCGGCGGUGGGGUCGUUGGCGGAACAGCGGCGGCUCCGGCGAGGAGACGGCGGCGACGGGUGGCGGGGUCGGCAGCGGGGCGGCGNNNNNNNNNNNNNNNNNNNNNNNNNNNNNNNNNNNNNNNNNNNNNNNNNNNNNNNNNNNNNNNNNNNNNNNNNNNNNNNNNNNNNNNNNNNNNNNNNNNNNNNNNNNNNNNNNNNNNNNNNNNNNNNNNNNNNNNNNNNNNNNNNNNNNNNNNNNNNNNNNNNNNNNNNNNNNNNNNNNNNNNNNNNNNNNNNNNNNNNNNNNNNNNNNNNNNNNNNNNNNNNNNNNNNNNNNNNNNNNNNNNNNNNNNNNNNNNNNNNNNNNNNNNNNNNNNNNNNNNNNNNNNNNNNNNNNNNNNNNNNNNNNNNNNNNNNNNNNNNNNNNNNNNNNNNNNNNNNNNNNNNNNNNNNNNNNNNNNNNNNNNNNNNNNNNNNNNNNNNNNNNNNNNNNNNNNNNNNNNNNNNNGGCGGUGGCGCGGAUCCGGCGGCGGCGGGGCGGAUCGGGUGGGGCUAGGAUUCGGCGGGUGGGGCGGCUCGGCUCGGGCCUUCGGCCUAUAAAGGCUCGGGUCAGUGUCCCAGGCGGACACGGCCCGGUAAGGCGGUUAGUUUUUUUAAAUAACUUCUUCGCACAGAAAAGCAAUUAAAAGAAGUACUAAUCAGACUCCAAAAAUCCUGAAAUAAAUUUUCCCUGUCCUCUAAAAAUAUAGCGGACAAGGUGAACAUUUAUUUGGGCCUCUAAUGCAAUUUUGAACAAUGCACUUUUUUUCCUAAUUCAGAUAAAAUUGCGAUAAAACUCCGAAUAAAAUUCUUAUUUGAUUUUAAUAUUUUUCCUCCAAUAUUUCUUUAUUUUGGAGAAGUCAUUUUAUCCCUCACUUUUAUUUUCAUAUAAGAAAUAUUCAAAGAGAAAAAUAAUUAAAACCAAAUGAUCCUCUUUUCAAAAUUUGAGAAAACUCAAAUAUGAAAACAACGAAAUCCCCAACUCUCUCCGUGGGUCCUUGAGUUGCGUAGAAUUUCUAGGAUCAACCAAAAAUGCACUAAAAAUAUGAUAUGCAAUGAUGAUCUAAUGUAUAACAUUCCAAAUUGAAAAUUUGGGAUGUUACAAACUGUAACGCCCUGGAUUCGAUGCGCCAGGUGUCUUCCGUUUAUUCGUCGUUGUUGCCAUGUCAUUUGCUUGCGUGUUGCAUUUUGUCAUGUCAUCAUGUGCAUCUCAUUUUGCAUACGUGUUCGUCUCAUGUAUCCGAGCAUUUUCCCCGUUGUCCGUUUUGCAAUCAGACACUCCUAUGUCAUCCGGCGUCCCCUUCUUGUCUCUUUUCGUGAGCGGGUGUUAAACAUUCUCGGAAUGGACCGUGAUUUGCCAAGCGGCCUUGGUACACCACCGGUAGACCGCCUGUCAAAUUUCGUGCCAUUUGGAGGUCGUUUGAUACUCCAACGGUUAACCGGGUAACCGCAAAGGCCUCUUUUGUGUGCAGCCCAACAACCCUCCAAAGUGGCCCAAUAACCCAUCCAAACCCCCUCCAUCCUCUCGGCCAUUCGAUCACAAUCGCGUGUUCGAAAACCGUGCCUCAUUAGGACUCUCCUAGCUCCCUCUACCUAUAUAUAUGUCUCUCCCCCCGAAAUUCGCGGAUGAAACCCUAUGCAUCUUCCUCCUCGCGCCGCCGGACAUGUCCAUCCGCGCCGGACAUGUCCGCUGGCCACGUCCCUCCGGCCAAUAGCAUCGUGCCAUGUCACCUUCCCCGCUGCCGCAGCAAACCGCGCCUCGCCACCUGUCGCCUCUCCCGCACCCCGCCGCCGCGGCCCGCCGGGGCCCNNNNNNNNNNNNNNNNNNNNNNNNNNNNNNNNNNNNNNNNNNNNNNNNNNNNNNNNNNNNNNNNNNNNNNNNNNNNNNNNNNNNNNNNNNNNNNNNNNNNNNNNNNNNNNNNNNNNNNNNNNNNNNNNNNNNNNNNNNNNNNNNNNNNNNNNNNNNNNNNNNNNNNNNNNNNNNNNNNNNNNNNNNNNNNNNNNNNNNNNNNNNNNNNNNNNNNNNNNNNNNNNNNNNNNNNNNNNNNNNNNNNNNNNNNNNNNNNNNNNNNNNNNNNNNNNNNNNNNNNNNNNNNNNNNNNNNNNNNNNNNNNNNNNNNNNNNNNNNNNNNNNNNNNNNNNNNNNNNNNNNNNNNNNNNNNNNNNNNNNNNNNNNNNNNNNNNNNNNNNNNNNNNNNNNNNNNNNNNNNNNNNNNNNNNNNNNNNNNNNNNNNNNNNNNNNNNNNNNNNNNNNNNNNNNNNNNNNNNNNNNNNNNNNNNNNNNNNNNNNNNNNNNNNNNNNNNNNNNNNNNNNNNNNNNNNNNNNNNNNNNNNNNNNNNNNNNNNNNNNNNNNNNNNNNNNNNNNNNNNNNNNNNNNNNNNNNNNNNNNNNNNNNNNNNNNNNNNNNNNNNNNNNNNNNNNNNNNNNNNNNNNNNNNNNNNNNNNNNNNNNNNNNNNNNNNNNNNNNNNNNNNNNNNNNNNNNNNNNNNNNNNNNNNNNNNNNNNNNNNNNNNNNNNNNNNNNNNNNNNNNNNNNNNNNNNNNNNNNNNNNNNNNNNNNNNNNNNNNNNNNNNNNNNNNNNNNNNNNNNNNNNNNNNNNNNNNNNNNNNNNNNNNNNNNNCCCCCGGCUGCCGCUCGCCCGACCUCGCCUCCGCCCCCGGCGCCGCCCCACGCGUCUGCGUGCCUCCCCGCACCGGUUGCCGCCGUCCCCGGCCUCUCCGACCACGCCGGCCACCUCCUCCCGCAGCUCCGGCGAAUGCACUCCAGCGAUCCUCGGGAUCCGUGCCGCCCGGAUCCAGAUCCAGAGAAGACCGAAGGUUGACCCCGAGAUUUUCGUCUAAGUUCUAGUUUUCUGACAUUCUGGUGCCUUUUUCGACAUGUCAUAUCUCCUCAUCUGUAGAUCCAUUUUGCAUGUACAAUAUAUCGAAAUGUUCAUCAGGUUAUGCUCUUCAUUUUGUUCCAUUGUGCCAUGUUCAUUAGAGUUCAUAUUGAUGCCCUAACCAUCAUUGCAAAAGUGCUAUGUGAUGUUAACCUGCUGAAACUGUUAUAACUUGAUGAUUUGUCAUUUUUGUUACAUUUUGUGUGUGCAUCUUAUGAGCUUGAGCCCUACAUGUGUUUUGAACUAUGUCAUUCCAUCUUCACAGUGAUGCCAUCCAUGUUUUUUGUGGGUCUUGUAGUGUGUGCAUCGAGCUUGUUAAGUAAGGUACUUGCUGUUUCUGUUUUGCUAGGCUGAUUCUGCUAUAUCUUGAUGCUAUGUAAACCUGCUGCUACAAGUCAUUCUAUGCAUAAUCUGGAGAUGUUCACUAAGGAUGUUUUGUUAUACAUGUCAUGAUCUAUCCAUUCAUGCCCCUUGUUGAAUUUAUAGUCUGCUGUAACUUGUUGUUAUCUUGCUCGAAACUUGCUAAAUAAUGUUGCUGUCAGCCUGUUAACAUUAAGUUCAAUGUUUCCAUGAUUGUUGUUAGUGAUCCAAGAAUGCUAUGAACUUUCUCUUGCCAUGUUUAGCUUAAUAAACAAGUCUUAUUACUGUUGGUCACCUUGACAUGCCAUGUAUUCCUCUGUGGUGAGUGGUACAAGCUCACCAACAUGACUACUUAUCGUUGUUCCUGCCAUGUCUGAAUCUGUCAUAUCAUUUGCCAUGUUUAAAUGGGUGCCAUCAUAUAGUCUGUGCCCUUUUGGCUCAUGGUCAGUAAGGUACUUUUGUUAUAUGAGAUUAGUAGAUUCAUGCCAUGCCUUUGUUUGCCAUGUUAAGUUCCUUUAACAUGUUGUUUGAUAGCUCUAAACAUUGCAACCUGAUGUUAUUUCUGCUAAGCUUGAAACUGUUAUUAUUUGCAAUUUUGCCAUGACCUUUUGAGCAUGUUCUAGUGACUUCUGGAGAUAUCUCAGUGUUCAUGUUUUGUCAUGCUUUACCUUUACUUCAUGUCCAUGCCUUUUGUUCGUAUGUUGGGAUGCUGUAGCAUAUUGUUUUGAUGCUUGCAAGAUGCCUAGUUGCUAUUUUGGACAGCUUGUCCUUCAAACUUGUAUAGAGUAUGUGGUGAACCGUUGCUCCGUUUUGAGUGUGCUCUAUAUGAAACUUGCUUGUUUUUUCAUGUAGUUUCAUAUUAUCAUAUUGCAUCCUUGUUUUGAGGUGUUUGCUUGAUGUUGGUAUGCAUUUUGCAUCAAUGCCAUGUUUAACUUGUUUUGCUCAUAUCUUCUAGGCCGUAGCUCCGAAUUAAAUGAACUUUAUAUGUAACUUGACUUGAAUUUCGUGUAGAUGCUCUUGGUGCUCUUUAACUUGAUGUUUAAUAACUUCAACUUAAUGUUUGUUCAGAUCUGGACCAACUUUGAAACUUGCAUAUGAGGACUUACCGGAAUUGUUAUAUGUUGUUUCCGGCCUCAUUUAACCUUGAUUUGAUGUGUUGCUCCUGUAUGCAUCAUCUCUUGCCAUGAGUAGAUUCAUGUAGCUUGUCAUGCAUCAUGCUUGGUUGUGCAUCAUGUCUUGUCUAUGUGUAGUGUGUUUACCAUGUUGUGUGCUUCUUCUCGAUAGUUCCCAUUUCGUUGCGAUCGUGAGGAUUCGUUCGUCUACGCUUGGUUCGGCUUCAUCCGUUCGUCUUCUUCAUGGACUCGUUCUUCUUCCUUGCGGGAUUUCAGGCAAGAUGCCCGUCAACUUGGAUCUCACUACUAUCAUUGCUAUGCUAGUUGCUUCGUUCUAUCGCUAUGCUGCGCUACCUAUCAUUUGCUCUUCAAUCCUCCCAAAUUGCCAUGUCAGCCUCUAACCUUUUUCACCCUUCCUAGCAAACCGUUGUUUGGCUAUGUUACCGCUUUUGCUCAGCCCCUCUUAUAGCGUUGUUAGUUGCAGGUGAAGUUGAAGAUUGCCCCAUGGUGGACAGGAUUAUGAUGGGAUAUCACAAUAUCUCUUAUUUUUAUUAAUGCAUAUAUAUACUUGGUAAAGGGUGGAAGGCUCGGCCUUAUGCCUGGUGUUUUGUUCCACUCUUGCCGCCCUAGUUUCCGUCAUACCGGUGUUAUGUUCCUGGAUUUUGCGUUCCUUACGCGGUUGGGUGAUUUAUGGGACCCCCUUGACAGUUCGCUUUGAAUAAAACUCCUCCAGCAAGGCCCAACCUUGGUUUUACCAUUUGCCUCACCACCACCUAUACCUUUCCCUUGGGUCGGCCAACCCGAGGGUCAUCUUUAUUUUAGCCCCCCCGGGCCAGUGCUUNNNNNNNNNNNNNNNNNNNNNNNNNNNNNNNNNNNNNNNNNNNNNNNNNNNNNNNNNNNNNNNNNNNNNNNNNNNNNNNNNNNNNNNNNNNNNNNNNNNNNNNNNNNNNNNNNNNNNNNNNNNNNNNNNNNNNNNNNNNNNNNNNNNNNNNNNNNNNNNNNNNNNNNNNNNNNNNNNNNNNNNNNNNNNNNNNNNNNNNNNNNNNNNNNNNNNNNNNNNNNNNNNNNNNGUGCUGGUCCGAACCGAGCAACCUGCAGGGCCACCUCGGGGCAACUUGAGGGUUGGUUUUACUCGUAGCUUGACUUAUCUGGUGUUGCCCUGAGAACGAGAUAUGUGCAACUCCUAUCAGGAUUGUCGGUGCAUCGGGCGGCUUUGCUGGUCUUGUUUUACCAUUGUCGAAAUGUCUUGUAAACCGGGAUUCCGAGACUGAUCGGGUCUUCCUGGGAGAAGGAAUAUCCUUCGUUGACCGUGAGAGCUUAUCAUGGGCUAAGUUGGGACACCCCUGCAGGGUUUGAACUUUCGAGAGCCGUGCCCGCGGUUAUGUGGUAGAUGGGAAUUUGUUGAUGUCCGGUUGUAGAUAACUUGACACCAGAUCCGAAUUAAAACGCAUCAACCGUGUGUGUAGCUGUGAUGGUCUCUUUUCGGUGGAGUCCGGGAAGUGAACACGAUUUUGGGUUAUGUUUGACGUAAUUAGGAGUUCAGGAUCACCUCUUAAUCAUUGCUAGCUUCACGACCAUUCCGUUUGUUCUCUUCUCGCCCUUAUUUGCGUAUGUUAGCCACCAUAUCAUGCUUAGUCGCUGCUGCAACCUCACCACCUUAUCCCUUCCUUACCCAUUUAGCUUUGCUAGUCUUGAUACCCAUGGUAAUGGGAUUGCUGAGUCCUCGUGGCUCACAGAUUACUACAACAACAGUUGCAGGUACAGGUUAUGUGAUGAUCGUGAUGCGAGAGCGAUGUUUGCUCGUUUUGGAGCUCUUAUUCUGCUUCUUCUUCGAUCAGGGGAUAGGUUCCAGGUCGGCAGCCUGGGCUAGCAGGGUGGAUGUCGUUGGAGUUUCUGUUUGUGUUUCGUUCGUAGUCGGAUGGUGCUCUUAUGUAUGAUGAUGUUGUAUUCGUGUGGCAUUGUAUGCCUAUUGUAUGUAUCCCCAUCUAUUAUGUAAUGUUGAUGUAAUGAUAUCCACCUUGCAAAAGUGUAUCAAUAUGCUGUUCUAUCCUUGGUGGGACCUUCGAGUCUCUUUAGGAUAGUAUCGCAUAUUGGGCGUUGUCGGUGUCAAAACCAGCGGAUCUCGGGUAGGGGGUCCCGAACUGUGCGUCUAGGCGGAUGGUAACAGGAGACAAGGGACACGAUGUUUUUACCCAGGUUCGGGCCCUCUCGAUGGAGGUAAAACCCUACUCCUGCUUGAUUAAUAUUGAUGAUAUGGGUAGUACAAGAGUAGAUCUACCACGAGAUCAAGGAGGCUAAACCCUAGAAGCUAGCCUAUGGUAUGAUUGUUGUUCGUCCUACGGACUAAACCCUCCGGUUUAUAUAGACACCGGAGAGGGCUAGGGUUACACAGAAUCGGUUACAAUGGUAGGAGAUCUACAUAUCCGUAUCGCCAAGCUUGCCUUCCACGCCAAGGAAAGUCCCAUCCGGACACGGGACGGAGUCUUCAAUCUUGUAUCUUCAUAGCCUUGGAGUCCGGCCGACGGUGAAAGUUUGGCUAUCCGGACACCCCCUAGUCCAGGACUCCCUCAGUAGCCCCCGAACCAGGUUUCAAUGACGAUGAAUCCGGCGCGUAGAUUGUCUUCGGCAUUGCGAGGUGGGUUCUUUCUCCAAAUUCCAUGUACUUGUCAAAUAGUGUCCGGCUUCUUAUAAAUGCUGCGCUCCUUGGCUUCCACGCCCAAUAAUGGCCAUCUUCCAUGUGUUGAACGAAUGCGAAAGGCCAGGGUAUUUUUACACUUUCCCCCCAGCUGCGCAAAUGAGCCGCCUAUAAAAAGAGACGAGGAUCUAGAUCCGAAUCACACCAUCCUCCUUCCACGAGUAUUCAUCGGAGUGCCUCUGACAAAAAUCCAUUCCAUCAUGGACAAUCGACGUGGCUCCUCUUCUCGUGCUCCCAGCCCUCAGCCGGGAGAUUGGGAGAGAUGCUCAGUCCCGCAUAGUGAGUUAGUGACGCUCCAAACCGAGUGAUUUCUUCCCCCAGCCUUUAUGGUUCAGGUUCGAGCCGGACUCGCCACCUACAAGGGUCGAGAGCAGGCGGAGAGCGUUCCCAAUCCCUCCAAAGGAGAGCGGGUAUGCUUUGUCCCUUAUCUAAUAAGAGGACUCAGAUUUCCCAUACAUCCGUUUCUCCGGGGACUCCUGGAGUUCUAUGGCCUCCAGCUGCACCACCUUACGCCUGCCCCCAUUCUGCACAUCGCAGGCUUUGUGGCCCUUUGUGAGCUGUUCUUGGGCAUCGAAGCCCAUUUUGCGCUGUGGAAGAGAUUAUUCUGCCUCGUACCCCGCUCUCAUGAGGGGUCGAUAUAUCAAGUGGGCGGAGCCGAACUAUGGCGCAUCGCCAGGACCGGAUAUCUAUCCGGAACCCCGAAGAAGGCAUCCGAAGACUGGCCUUCGGAAUGGUUUUACAUAGAAGACGCCCCGCUGCCGGAUCCAGUUCGGCUCGGCCUCCCGGAGUUCAGUAAUGCACCUCUGAAGAAACGCCUAAGUUGGCGUCCGCGGAGCCCUCAACGGGAGAGUGAGAGGGACGUCCUGUACCUGAUGGGCCGAAUAAUAUUAUUGGCUCAUUCUGGAUUGACCAUGAUUGGGGUCAUGCCCACAUGCAUCAUGCGGGGGGUGCAGCCGCUCCAGUACAUGCGUCAUCCCAUGUGGGAUUUGAACGGGGAGGAUGAUGCCACCCGUCAUGGCCGCAAGGGGCCGGGAUCGGUCACCGAUCUGGUGAAGAUCCUGUCUGGCCUGUAUAAAGGGGAGGAGGAGGACUUCCUCCGUGCCAGUCCAUUGAAUGGUUUUUCCAUGAACAACUCUCGAGGCUGGGUAAGCAGACACUUGUCUACCCGAUCCAUAUUCCCAAAGUUAAGUGUCUCAUUUUGUGAUUUCGACGCAGGAACUGCGCCGGGCCGUAGAGGAUAUACACCGCCCGGAUCCACAACCCGAGGAUCCGGAGCGGUCCCUCGAUCCGGCCUCCGAAGAGGAUCCGGACAUAAAGGUGGAGCUGAUUGAUGGGGUGUUCCACCAGCUUAGCAUCGACAAUGCCUUGGUCGCCAUUAUGGCCGACUACCCCGGAAUAUCUUCAGCUUCCCAGGUAACUGCGACCGAAGUCUUGAUACCAUUACCCAUCCGUGCUUAUCUCUGAUCACCGUAUACCAAAGGUGUUCCGACGGAGAUGCAUGCGAGGCAGGAAGCCGAGCCUGCGGCGGCUGGCCAACAAGGGGCAGCUCGGCCCAGCAGGCGGAAAAGAGGUGCAGUGCGAAUCGAGACGUCGCCGCAACGGUAUGGUGCGCCACCGUGUUUUUAAGGAAAGAUUCCUAGAAGGCACACUAAUACUCGUGAUUUUUUCAGGAGAAAGAGCGCUCGCCGGACUAUGUCCGGAGAGGUUGCCAAUCGAGCCUCCGCCAGCCAGGCUCCAACAACAGGUCCGGAGGGGGAGGUGAACACAAGGCGUGCACCGGAUGCUCCUCCAACGGAGGAUGCCGACAAGUUGUCCGCCACCAGAUCUGAGGUGGAGAGUGCCAUGAAUCACAGGCGCCGCCGGACAAUCCUUCGUGACGCAUGUUUCUCCCAAGAGGCGCUGAACGCCUUUAAUUCGGGAGAUGCGCAUCUCCGUGCCGCUCAAGAUGGUCUAGCCAGAGCCACGGAGCAGUAUGUGAAAUACAUACUUGUGAGGAAUUUUGAUAGUUGUAUAUGCCAGUAGCCCCCGACACUUAAAAUAGUUAGAAAACUGAUUUAAGGAUCAUUUGUUAUGCAGGACGUUAUGAAAAAGAAUACCCACCUGUCCCAGGAGCUUCAAGAGUGCAAGGCCCAACUUGAGGCCGCACUAGCCGCCACAGGGGGAGCCACAGAGAUCCCCUCUGGUAAUAUAUACUUCGAAAGAUAAGUAGUUUGUGAAAUGUGACGUGUGUAUAAGUCUGACGAUAAUAUUGCAGAUGGCGCCGGACUAGAUCCGGACAAGCAACAGCUACUACGCCAGCUAAAGACCGGCAAGAUGGUGCUUACAAUGGUGCAGCAAGAGAAAAAUAACCUCCAAGAUGCCAACACCCAGCUGGGUGAGGAACUAAAAGAUGUUCGGGCCCAGCUGUUUGACUCCGUGAAGGAGAAUUGGUGGCUUCGUCGUGGCAUUUAUAGUAAGUGCUUGAGCGAACCUUUUGAAAAGAAGAGUUCGGCGAGGAAGUCGAUUAACAGAAAUAUGUCUGUAGGUAUGCUCACAGGCCGUCCCGCGGAGGAAAUGCCCGGUUCAACGGGUGACCUACUUCCCGAGCUGCUGCAACUGCACGAACGAGUUCGGCAGGUGAUGAGCGGAGUCGCCCAGGCCUUGUGGCCAUCCAUGUCCCUACCCGAAGGUCUUGGAGAGCUUGCGGAGAAGCUUCAGGGAGCGCGGCGGCGCUUCCGGCUAUGGAAGAUAUCGGCCUGCCGUCAAGGCGCCAGGGAGGCCUGGGCCAUGGUGAAGACGCGGUAUGCGAAGGCUGACCCAAACCACAUGGCCGAGGUCAGACCUGUGGGGCCUGAUGGGAAGGAAAUCCCUGUGAGCUUAGUGUACGGCCAAGUAGAGUUGGCUGCAAAGUAUUCCCAGCGGGACUGUAAACUAGACAGUCUAUUAGAUUGUAUCAAAGAGGAAUACAAUCAGUCAGUUUGACUAUGUAAUUUAAAAUGACAUGUAAAAUGCCUUCUAGCCGGAUUGUAGAUCGUUUGUCGUAGCGGACCUUUUCGCUUCAACCUCGGGACCCGACAGUCCGGAGUGUGUCCGAAUACCCUCGCGGUUAUAUAAAAACCGGGGCAUGCGUGGAGACCAGGCGUAGGGGUCAUUAGUGCUUUAUCAGACAAGUUCCCAACUAGUUAUGUUAUAUUACAUGGUUUGUAAGAAACAUCUUCCAGGGAGAAUAGUUCUGUUAGGGGUUCCUUUCCCUGGAAGGCCUGCCCUAAAGUGCAUGUCCGGACUGCGAAAAAAGCAGGAAAGCAUCUAGGGGCAGAUAAAUAAAUAGGUAAGAAAUCAUCUUUUAAUUCACCGACCGAAUAUUCCCUUAAGAACGCUAGCUUUCGGCUUCACCCAGUCUGAGGUACACAUCCGGCUGACCCGGCAGUAACAAUCGCAGAGGUGCUCCCUUUACCUCCUAGCCGAACAAUCAGGAACGUAGGGUAAGCACAGGAGCGAGGCAACCCAGCUUGGCCAAAACUUAAGUCAUAUCGAUGCAUAUAAUGGUGAAUAAAAGGUACAUGCGGAAGUGUGACACAUGUGUUGGGCAUAAAGCCCGUGUAAAUAAGCUUCUGUUAAGGAAGCUGUCGGUGUCAAAACCGGCGGAUCUCGGGUAGGGGAUCCCGAACUGUGCGUCUAGGCGGAUGGUAACAACAGACAAGGGACAUGAUGUUUUUACCUAGGUUCGGGCCAUCUUGAUGGAGGUAAAACCCUACUCCUGCGUGAUUGAUAUUGAUGAUAUGGGUAGUACAAGAGUAGAUCUACCACGAGACCAAGGUGGCUAAACCCUAGAAGCUAGCCUAUGGUAUGAUUGUUGUUCGUCCUAUGGACUAAAACCCUCCGGUUUAUAUAGACAUCGGAGAGGGCUAGGGUUACACAGAGUCGGUUACAAUGGUAGGAGAUCUACAUGUCCGUAUUGCCAAGCUUGCCUUCCACGCCAAGGAAAGUCUCAUCCGAACACGGGACGAAGUCUUCAAUCUUAUAUCUUCAUAGUCUUGGAGUCCGACCAAUGAUGAUAGUUUGGCUAUCCGGACACCCCCUAGUCCAGGACUCCCUCAGUAGCCCCUGAACCAGGCUUCAAUGACGACGAGUCCGGCGUGCAUAUUGUCUUCGGCAUUGCAAGGCGGGUUCCUCCUCCGAAUAAUUCAUAGAAGAUUGUGAACACCAGGAUAGUGUCCGACUCUGCAAAAUAAAUUCCACAUACCUCCGUAGAGAGAAUAAUAUUUACACAAGUUCAAUCUGCUGACGUAUUUCGUGGCGUGACGUCACCCCACGGCCAAGCCUUCACUCGAAUCGUUUUUAUUAUUCCACCUCAGCGUGUUUAGCGAAGCGGUUUCCUUGGCACGUCUUGUCGAAGCAGAGAUCAUGUCCCCUCAUUCCGGGAUUCUCAUCAAUACGUACGUGGGUAACCCAACCGCGCCAUUGAUUGUGGCGCUUGGGAGAUAAGCGAGUUUUACCAGGCUGGUGGGGACGCACAGUUUCGUCCGCCCAUAUAUAAGGGGAUAAGGAUCCACCAUUUUACCUACGCCUUCUUCCUCCUUGGCUUAUCCAUCCCCGCGCACUCGAGCUCCAGCGCCCAAGUCCGCACAUCUCACCUCAACCAUCUCCAACCAUGUACGGAGCGGGAGGCAAGUGGAUGGCCUCCUCCAUUACGGAGGGGCACAUCAAGAAGUUGCGCAGUGCCGGAUAUUUGUCCAGCGAUAUCGCGCACCGGCUCCCCGAUGAGUGGCAGCUCAUCCCCACCCCCAGACCCCAUGAGAGGGUGCUAUUCCUUCACCAUUUCCUCCGCGGACUGGGCUUCCCACUCCACCCCUUUGUCCGGGGGCUCAUGUUCUACUAUGGCCUGGAUUUCCAUGAUCUGGCCCCAAAUUUCAUCCUCAACAUCUCGGCGUUUAUCGUCGUGUGCGAGGCCUUCCUCUGCAUCCAGCCCCACUUUGGCUUGUGGCUAAAGACCUUCAAUGUCAAGCCGAAGGUUGUGAAGGGCAGCCAAGCGGAGUGCGGAGGCGCCAUGGUGGGCAAGAUGCCCAAUGUCACUUGGCUCGAGGGCGCCUUCGUGGAAACCAUCAAAGGGUGGCAAUCGGGGUGGUUCUACAUCACCGAGCCGCGUGACCCUGAAUGGGCAGCGGCCCCCGAAUUCAGAUCUGGCAUCCCCAUGCGGCUCACUUCCUGGAAAGAGAAGGGCCUGCUGUGGGGUAAUUCGGAAGAGCUGACCGGACUCCAAUCCUGUCUCCAAACCCUGGUGAACAAGAAGCUCAAGCUUGUCAACGUAAUCCAGGUCAUGCUCAUCCGCCGGAUUCUCCCCUGCCAACAGCGGGACUUCAACUUGUGGGAGUUCGGUCCGGCACAGCACCAGACCUUGAGCGGGCUCUUCGACACUACGUACGAAGAGGCCUGGAGGGUGUUGUUCAAGGGCGCCGAGGCUCCCGCAUCCGCUACCGAAGAUCGCGGAUUCAGCUCGCAGCGUCCGGCUGGCGAGGUAAGCCAUGUUAUCCUUUAUGGGACACUUGCUUUUCAUAGUUUGACUCUAUGUGGGAUCUAAACUCCCAAUACCUUUAACAGGCCUGGCAGGAGACGUCCGAACAGGUUAACUGUCCGGCUCCCCUUCCAGAAGACCUAGCGGAUGCCCGUCUGACAGGGCUGCUGGUCCCGGCACCUUAUGUAGUGCCAGAGAAGAAGGCCAAGAAGAAGGCCACGGGAACCCAGAGGAGUUCCCGGCGUCAGGUGUUAUCGGAUUCAUCGUCCGAUGACUCCGAGGAUGACUCCUCCCCCGAGGACGAGGAGGAGAAGAAAGAGGCCUCUCCCCCAGCGGGGAGAGAGAAGAAGAGGAAGGCCUCCCCAACGAGGGAGGCCGAAGGGUCCAAGAAGGGAAGGACCCUUCCCCCGGACUGUUCCGCCAACAUCAGCGACGGCGACGAGGAGUGGCCCUCAAGGGCCAAGCCCCUGGCGAGAUCGUAAGUAUCCGGACUCCUGAAUAACUCAUAAUUUUUCUUUUUGUCGCAUAGCAUCUUUUAACGCCGCAUAUAACCCUGUAGUCUGCCCAAGGACGAUCUUCCCGCUUCGUUGAGCGGGUCCUUGGGUACGUCGGAUGUGAAUAGCACUUCACUUCCGACCGCCUCCUCCCCCCGUGACGCCGACGACGCCGAGGUGGGAUCCCGGAAAGGGACCCACCCAGAGGAGGAGGCCCCGGAGGUGCCGCAGCACAACCUCCCGGACUUUGGACCGGAUUCCGCACCGGAACCUGCAGUGGUUCCGGAGUCCGGCGGGCGGCCCCUUCGUAAGAAGGGCAAGACUGUGACGCCAGCGGCCUCCGUCCAACUGGAGGCGCCAGAUAACUUGCUGCAGGCACUCAACGGCGCUUCCAUCGACGAGGAACACCGCACUGUCAUGAGUAAGGUGAUUCAGAAGGUUCAGCUCGCCAAAAGCGGGCUGACCGAAGCCUGCAGCAGCCUUCUAAUAGGCUUUGAGGUAAGAAUUUUAAGAUAUGUAAAAUAGUACCGCAUAGACAGUAGCCCCUGAUGCUUGGUUCGGUGUUCGGAAAGAAAAGCCAGACUGAGGAUCUAAAAACAUAUACGCAGGAGUCUUAACAAAAAUAUGUCAAUAUGGGAAUGCAGGUUGCGCUGCUGACCUCUGCCGCACUGACUGCGGAGGUCAAUGCCUUCAAGCAGAGCCUCAAGCGGUCCGAGGGUGAGCUCGGCCGUGCCAAGAAGCAGCUCGAGGACAAGGAAGGUGAGUAACACCUUAUUAAAGAUGUACCUUACAGAAAAGGAUUUGGUUGCAAGAGGAAUGACAAGGAUAAUGUGGGUACUCCAGGGGCUACGAACGAGGUGGCGACACUGAAGGAGGUGGUGUCCGCGGCCGAACGCAAUGCGGCCGCGGAACGCGCCGAGCGAGAGAAGCAGGAGGCGCGGGUGGCGGAGGUACGGCAAGAGCUCCAGGCUCUCGUGGAAAAACAUGAGAGUUUGGAGCGUGACUCGAAGACUCGAGAGUCCGAGCUUGCGUCAGCUCUUGAGAGUGCCAAAGCCGCUAAGGCCGAAGCCCACAAGGCCCUCCAAGAAAUCGAGGCAUUGAAGAAAAUAGCGGCGGGUAAGGCAUUCUUCAUGCAAAGCAAGCAUGUAAAAGUGAAUUACCUGUUACUUACCCGAAUUCGGAGCUCUCCAGGAGCGUUCGUAGAUCUGCCCCGUAGCGUGUCUGAUGCUGCCGCUUUCUACAGAGCCGAGGAGAGGAGCUUGACGGAGAAGGUGUUCUGGUCUCAGUAUGCUGAGGCCGGACAUCCGGUGCCCCUUAGCGACCAGCUGAAGCAGCUGGUCGAGCUCCACAAGGUGGCCGAACAGGCCAUGAAGGGCCUCAUAGUUCGGUUGUGGCCCAAAGAGGCCAUGCCUGGGAGCUACUUCGGCCUGGUGCGGCGGCUGAUGGAUGCUUGUCCAUGGGUUGAAGUCAUCAAGAACUCCGCCUACAUUGAAGGUACCCGUCGGGCCCUUGCCCGUGCUAAAGUGCACUGGGGCAGGAUGGACGCUGAGAAGCUUGUGACGGACGCGCCACUGCCGGGCAAGGAGUAUCGCACGCCCUAGAUGUAUUAUAAGGGUGUCCUGAAGGGUGCCCGCAUUAUUGCGGGUGAGUGCUCCAAAGAUGUAAUAUUGGAGUAGACUCGCAUUUUGUUAUCCUGUGCGCUAAAAACUUUGUUCAUAUGCGCUAAGCAACGCUUGUUAAUUUAAAAUAUUACCUUCUGUGCGGCCGUUUAUCAAAUCUGAGAGAUGGCAAGUCGUCGGCUUCAGCCCCCAUGCCACGAGUGCUGGGGUGUUCGGGAUAAACUUGAGCGCUCUUGUUCCCAUUUUUUGGUCCAUCUAGGGAGGCGCUCAACACAACGAACGAGGCAAUCGGACUUAUAAUGCUUGAACACUCUCACUUAGCCAUAGAAUUCUAUAAUUUUAAAUUUUGGCGAAGCCCCUAGUGUUCGGAAGGCCGAAUUCGGGGCGCUAUCCACGCCUGGGCCGGACAAAGCCGGUUCCUCGCUCUAAGCGGCAUAAGUCUUUAGGGACUUGAAAAAACUUCUCGAAUAGCGACCGGCUCUCGCCCCAUCAUGACGGUCAGUUUUAGCUUUCUCCACUGAGGUGCUCGCCCAGCUCAACUGGGGCACAAUCACAGUGGUUCUCCCAGCGCUACCUUAGCCGAUAUAACGGAACGUAAGGUACCAAAACAUGGGAGCCGGGCAAACCCAACUAUUGACCGAAGACAUGAUUCGGAGCCGAUGCAUAUAAUGCUAUAAGUUUGGGGUGCCGCACUUGUGAAAGUGUUUGGACUUAUCACACCAUAAUGUGGGGAACUUAAGCCCCUGGUGUAUUUAGCCGUACCAAAGUGUACGGAUGCAACAUGUCAUAAAUGAACAUAUGUAUAAGAAAGGAAUGCAAUUAUAGGCAAAAAGCGAUGCAGUGUUUAUUCAAAAAAUACUGCCAUGAAUACAGAACAAUACAAAUAGUGCGAUAAGCAAGGGGUGGAACUAUUUAGCAUGUCCCCCUCCAGGGGUAGGCUGCAGAAUGGUGUAUAAAACAGGUAUAAUGCUCGGAAUAGAGACCACCUGGAUACUCGUCAUGGCCUUUCUUCUUCCCUGGCUGUUGUAUCGUGAGUCCGGCGGGUCUACUGCUGGACAGGGCCUCUGGUAAACGGAGUCCUGAGGAAACAAGAAAAAAAGGAAAGAAAAAGGAUGACACACUUGGGAGCCCCUGGUGUGGUUGAGCCGCACUCUGGGCCUGCCGUGGUCAUGCCCCUCCCGCUAUGCCCAUGGUAUCUCCAGAGCGUAGUGAUGUACGCGAAGUACUGGUCUUGCAAUUUUGCGAGGGCUGGGGUUGGGGCCGCAUUGCUACGCGUGCUCGGAACGUGCCAGGUGGUCUUGUUGUAGGUUACUCCGGGCGCGCUUGGCGGUGUCCGGUCGCUUAACGGCCGGACUCGAGAAUUGCCUUAAGAGGCUGCUCUGCACUUCUGCCGCGAGAGCCGCUGUAUGCUCCUCCGUUCGGAGAGAGCGUUCAGUGUUUCUGUUGACCGUGAUGACUCCUCGAGGGCCUGGCAUCUUGAGCUUGAGGUAUGCAUAGUGCGGCACCGCAUUGAACUUUUUAAACGCGGUUCAUCCGAGCAGUGCAUGAUAGCCGCUGCGGAACGGAACGAUGUCGAAGAUUAACUCCUCACUUCGGAAGUUAUCCGGGGAUCCGAAGACCACUUCCAGUGUAACCGAGCCUGUACAAUUGGCUUCUACACCUGGUAUGACGCCUUUGAAGGUCGUCUUUGUUGGUUUAAUCCUUGAGGGGUCUAUGCCCAUCUUGCGCACUCUAUCUUGAUAAACCAGGUUCAGGCUGCUGCCGCUGUCCAUCAAGACUCUAGUGAGGUGAAACCCGUCGAUGAUUGGGUCUAGAACCAAUGCGGCAAAUCCGCCAUGGCGGAAGCUGGUGGGGUGGUCCCUUCGAUCAAACGUGAUCGGGCAGGAGGACCAUGGAUUGAACUUUGGGGCGACUGGCUCCAAAGCGUAUACGUCCCUGAGUGCACGCUUCCGCUCCCUUUUGGGUAUGUGGGUUGCAUAUAUCAUGUUCACCGUCCGCACUUGUGGGGGGAAACCCUUCUAUCCUCUAUUGUUCGGCGGCCGGGUCUCCUCCUCGUCAUCGCUAUGCAGCCCCUUGUCAUUGUUUUCGGCAAUUAACUUGCCUGCCUGCUUGAAUACCCAACAAUCCCUGUUGGUGUGAUUAGCUGGCUUUUCGGGGGUGCCGUGUAUCUGGCACGAGCGGUCGAGUAUUCGGUCGAAAUUGGACGGACCCGGAGUAGUUAUUUUGAAUGGCUUUUUCCGCUGACUGGGUUUGGAGCCUCUGAAUCCGGCGUUGACUGCCGUAUCCUCAGUAUUAUCUCCGUUAAUGCGGCGUUUGUGCUUGUUGCGACGCGACCUGCCAUUGCGGUCCUUGGUAUCUGGACUGCCAGGAUUUUUACUGAGGUUGUUACUGCGGGCUAGCCAGCUGUCCUCUCCCGCGCAGAAGCGGGUCAUGAGUGAUGUGAGGGCUAUCAUGGAUUUCGGCUUUUCCUGUCCUAGGUGCCGGGCAAGCCACUCGUCGCGGAUGUUAUGUUUGAAGGCUGCGAGGGCCUCUGCAUCCGGACAGUCGACGAUUUGAUUUUUCUUGGUUAAGAACCGUGUCCAGAAUUAUCUAGCCGAUUCGUCUGGCUGCUGGAUUAUGUGGCUUAGGUCAUCAGCGUCUGGUGGUCGCACAUAUGUGCCCUGGAAGUUAUCAAGGAAUGCGGCUUCCAGGUCCUCCCACCAUCCAAUUGAUUCUGCUGGCAGGCUGUUAAGCCAAUGCCGAGCUGGGCCUUUAAGCUUGAGUGGGAGGUAUUUGAUGGCGUGAAGAUCAUCCCCUCGGGCCAUGUGGAUAUGAAGGAGAUAGUCUUUGAUCCAAACCGCGGGGUCUGUUGUGCCAUCGUAGGAUUCAAUGUUUACGGGUUUGAACCCUUCGGGGAUUUGAUGAUCCAUUACUUCAUUUGUGAAGCAUAGUGGGUGUGCGGCGCCUCUGUAUUGGGCUAUAUCACGACGUAGCUCAAGCAAGCUUUGUCUAUUGUGUUCGGCCCGGCCGGAAUUUCUAUAUACGGCGCGACGGUUGUCGUCGCGUAUCGUGGGGCACCCACGCGAUCCGUAGAUCGAUCUUGAUUGUCUUGCCUUAUCCUCCAAUAUGUCUCGCAAGUCCGGCGCAUUCCCCCGUGGCUUUGUACUUUUCAAGCGAUGCCGGGGUAUGGCUUUAGUGGAAGGCCUAGAGGCCUCUCUAUCACGGCCACGAGGUGGCUGGUCGGCCGUAUUGUGUGCUGGUGAUGUAGGUUUAUAUGCUUCAUCUUCUAACCGAGGCAGCAGCUUGCGUUUGGGGUAGCUUUUGGAGGGGCGUUCGAGUUCGUACUCUUCGGCCGCAAGGACUUCGGUCCAUCUGUUGGCUAGCAAAUCUUGAUCAGCUCUAAGCUGUUGCUACUUUUUCUUGAGGCUACUUGCCGUGGCCAUAAGCCUGCAUUUGAAACGCUCUUGUUCGACGGGAUCCUCAGGCACGACGAAUUCGUCGUCAUCGAGGCUUGCCUCGUCUCCGGAGGGAGGCAUGUAAUUAUCAUCCUCUACCUCUUUGUCUGUCGCUCUCUCAUGAGGGCUGGCUUCUCCAUCCUCCUGUGCUGAAUCUUGCUGGAGGGGGUUGUCUUCGGCACUGUCCGGGGUGUUAUUGUCUCCAGUGCCGGAAUCUCCAUUCUUACUAUGGCGGGAUUUAGAGCAGCGCCGUUGACGCCGGCGCUUAGGCUGUUUCUUGGAGGGGUCUUCCUCCGUUGUUCCAUCGCCAUUCCCAUCCUUUGGGAUGUCCACCAUGUAUAUGUCGUAUGACGAGGUGGCUUUCCAGUGCCCCGUAGGCGCUGGUUCUUGGUUGUCUCUGGCAUCGUCGUCCAUACCGUCGAUGUCUUCGGAGUCGAAGUCUAGCAUGUCGGUUAGGUCAUCGACAGUGGUGGGUGGGCUUUGAAUUUCUUCAUUGUCCGCAUCCCAACCGUCCUGACCGUAGUCCGGCCAGGGCUCUCCUGAUAACAAGAGAUACUUUAGCGAAUUCAGGAUGUCGCCAAAAGGCGAGUGCUGAAAGAUGUCUGCGGCGGUGAACUCCAUGAUCGGCGCCCAAUCGGAUUCGAUUGGUAGGGGCACGGGAGGUUCGGAAUCUGGCGAGGAGUCCAGCACCUCGGAGUCACGAGCUUCACAAGGGACAGGGUCGGUAUUCGGCUCCAUCGCCAUAGAGGUAGCAGCCCUCGAGGCGGUGUCUAGCCACCCAUCCUCGAUCGGCGCAGUCGGCUCCGAGUUAAGGGUUGGAGCAGACUCUUGUGCGGCCUCCAGGGCACUGUCUGGCAGCAGAGCUAGAUCAUGCCCAUCGUGAUAGUGUGGCGUGCUCGGCUGUGGCUCGAAUCCGUCGAAGAUCAAGUCUCCGCGGAUGUCAGCCGUGUAGUUCAAACUUCCAAAUCUCACCUGAUGGCCAGGGGCGUAGCUUUCGAUCUGCUCCAGAUGGCCAAGCGAAUUGGCUCGCAGUGCAAAGCCGUCGAAUACGAAGAUCUGUCCGGGGAGAAAAGUCUCGCCCUGGACCGCGUCAUUGUUGAUGAUCGAAGGAGCCAUCAGGCCUAUGAGCAACGACACAGAGGAACUCUCAAUGAAAGCGCCAAUGUCAGUGUCAAAACCGGCGGAUCUGGGGUAGGGGGUCCCGAACUGUGCGUCUAGGCGGAUGGUAACAGGAUACAAGGGACACGAUGUUUUUACCCAGGUUCGGGCCCUCUCGAUGGAGGUAAAACCCUACUCCUGCUUGAUUGAUAUUGAUGAUAUGGGUAGUACAAGAGUAGAUCUACCACGAGAUCAAGGAGGCUAAACCCUAGAAGCUAGCCUAUGGUAUGAUUGUUGUUCGUCCUAUGGACUAAAACCCUCCGGUUUAUAUAGACACCAGAGAGGGCUAGGGUUACACAGAGUCGGUUACAAUGGUAGGAGAUCUACAUAUCCGUAUUGCCAAGCUUGCCUUCCACGCCAAGGAAAGUCCCAUCCGGACAUGGGACGAAGUCUUCUUAUAUCUUCAUAGUCUUGGAGUCCGGUCAAUGAUGAUAGUUCGGCUAUCCAGACACCCCCUAGUGCAGGACUCCCUCAGAAGCCCCCAGGUAUAAUGAGUGCAAGUAGCACGUCAAGUGUGUGCGAACAAUGUGCAGGCGAGCCUCCAAAGGCUUGUGAGAAAAAAGAAAAAAGGGGGGAGAAGGAGAGAAAUAAAAAACAGUUAAAGUAUAAAAUAUGGACGGGGGAAGGAGACGAACUCAAAGUCCGGCGCUAGGCGUAGAAUCUUUGAAGGCGGGCUGCGUUCCAUGGGUUUGGCUCGAGUCGGUUAUCCGAUGCGUUUCGCAGGCGGUACGCUCCGCCGGUCAGGACUUGGUCGAUGAUGAAGGGACCUUUCCAUUUGGGCUUGAGUUUGUCCUUUUUCUUGUCCGGCAGGCGUAGAACUAGUUCGCCAACAUUGUAAGUUUCGGCCCGUACUUCUCUGCUUUGAUAUCUUCGAGCCUGCUGUUGAUAGAAUGCGGAACGAGCUUUUGCCACGUCGCGCUCCUCCUCUACGGCGUCGAAACUGUCCUGCCGAUCCAGCUCGGCUUCUCUUUCUUCGUACAUGCGCACGCGAGGUGAGUCAUGAAUUAUGUCACAGGGCGAAACUGCCUCUGCGCCGUGUACCAUAAAAAAUGGUGUGAAUCCGGUCGUGCGAUUCGGCGUGGUCCGUAGCCCCCAGAGUACAGAGUCGAGCUCCUCUACCCAGUGCGUGUUAGAUUCCUUAAGGGACCGCACUAGUCUGGGUUUGAUGCCGCUCAUGAUUAGACCAUUUUCUCGCUCCACUUUACCGUUAGUUUGAGGGUGAUAGACUGAAGCGUAGUCGAGCUUGAUGCCCAUGUUUUUGCACUAGAGUUUAACCUCGUCGGCCGUGAAGUUCGUGCCGUUAGCAGUGAUGAUGCUAUGGGGGACGCUGUAAUGGUGUACUACCCCCGAUAUGAAGUCUAUCAUGGGUCCGGAUUCGGCCGUCUUAACUGGCUUGGCCUCUAUCCAUUUGGUGAAUUUAUCCACCAUGACCAACAGGUAUUUUUGCUUGUGGGCUCCCCAUUUAGGGGGUGCAACCAUGUCAAGCCCCCAGACCGCGAAUGGCCAGGUGAUGGGUAUAGUUUUGAGGGCGGUGGGUGGCAUGUGGCUUUGAUUAGCAAAGAGCUGGCAACCGACGCAUCGUUGGACUAAGUCCUGCGCAUCUGCCUGGGUCGUCGGCCAAUAAAAUCCUGUACGGAAGGCCUUGCCUACAAGGGCCCGGGCUGCGGCGUGGUGCCUACCGAGUCUGGCAUGAAUUUCAGCAAGAAGAUUUAGCCCUUCCUCUUCGAAGAUACACCUUUGAAGGACUCCAGUUGUGCUUUUCUUGUAAAGCUCUCCCUCAUGGACCUUAUAGGCUUUAGAUCGCCAUAUUAUGCAGCGGGCCUCGUUUUGGUCCUCAGGAAGUUCCUGCCUAGUUAAGUAGGCUAGGAAUGGCUCGGUCCACGGGGCAAUGACUGCCAUUAUUUUGUGGGUUGAAUGUGUUAUUUCGUUGGCAGAACCACCGAUUGUGUCAGAAUGUUCGGUGUUGGGCGGUGUGGUUGGGUCCGGGUUGUUGUUUCCGGACUCCCCUUCCCAUAGUACGGAUGGCUUGAAAAGCGGCUCCCGGAAGAUGUUGGGAGGGACGGCAUCGCGCUUUGCGCCAAUGCGUGCCAAUACGUCCGCCGCCUGGUUAUUGUCCCGGGCUAUAUGGUGAAAUUCGAGCCCUUCGAACCGAGCUGACAUUUUUAAGACGACGUUGUGGUAAGCUGCCAUUUUCGGAUCCUUGGCGUCAAAGUCUCCAUUUAUUUGGGAUAUUGCAAGGUUUGAAUCCCCGUGGACCUCUAGGCGUUGAAUGCCCAUGGAGACUGCCAUCCGGAGACCAUGUAGAAGGGCCUCGUAUUCGGCUGCAUUGUUGGAGUCCGUGUAUAUUAUCUGUAGUACGUAUUGGACUGUGUCUCCGGUUGGGGACAUCAGGACGACGCCAGCCCCCAGGCCGGCCAGCAUUUUGGAGCCGUCGAAGUGCAUGAUCCAAUUGGAAUAUGCGCCAUACUCUUUAGGGAGUCCGGCUUCAGUCCAUUCAGCGAUGAAGUCAGCCAAAACUUGCGACUUGUAGCUUGCCGUGGCUUAUAGGUUAUGUUGAAUGGGAGGAGCUCGAUGGCCCAUUUUGCAAUCCGGCCAGUCGCGUCGCGGUUGUUUAUGAUGUCAUUAAGGGGUACUUUGGAGGCUACCGUUAUCGAACACUCUUGAAAGUAGUGUCGCAGCUUCCGGGAUGCCAUGAACACCGCGUAUGCUAUCUUUUGAUAAUGUGGGUACCGGGACUUGCAUGGAGUUAAGAUAGUGGACACGUAGUAAACUGGCUUUUGAAGAGGGAACUUGUGUUCGUCCGUUUCUCGUUCAACGACGAGCACCGCGCUUACAACUUGGUGUGUUGCCGCGAUAUAUAAUAACAUUGGUUCGCCCACAUUGGGCGCGGCCAGGACCGGAUUUGUUGCCAGUAUGCCUUUGAUUUCUUCGAGUCCGGCCAUGGCGGCAUCCGUCCACUCGAAGUGUUCGGUGCGCCGAAGGAGCGAUAAAGGGGUAAUGCAUUUUCUCCUAAGCGGGAGAUAAAGCGGCUUAGAGCCGCCACGCAUCCAGUGAAUUUUUGUAUUUGCUUGAGGUCUUUUAGGAUAUCCAAUUGUGACAGAGCUCAGAUCUUGGCUGGGUUUGCUUCUAUUCCUCUACCGGAUACAAUGAAGCCCAAGAGCUUUCCAGCUGGUACGCCAUAAAUGCAUUUUUUCGGGUUGAGCUUAAUGUCGUAUGUUUGGAGAUUGUCGAAUGUGAGUCUCAAGUCGUCUACUAGAGUUUCGACAUGCUUGGAUUUGACGACCACAUCAUCUACGUAUGCCUCCACUGUUUUGCCGAUCUGGUUUGCCAGACAUGUCGGAAUCAUGCGCUCAUAUGUUGCACCGGCGUUUUUGAGCCCAAAGGGCAUUGUGUUGAAGCAGAAUGGUCCGUAUGGAGUGAUGAAUGCCGUUUCGGCUUGGUCUGGCUCCGCCAUCUUGAUUUGGUGGUAGCCGGAGUAUGCGUCGAGGAAGCACAAUGAAUCAUGCCCUGUGGUAGCGUCGAUGAUUUGAUCGAUGCGGGGGAGGGGGAAUGGAUCCUUUGGGCAAGCCUUGUUAAGGUCUUUAAAGUCGACACAUAGGCCCCAGGAUUUAUCCUUCUUUGGUACCAUCACCAGGUUUGCUAGCCAGUCUGGAUGUUUUAUAUCUCGGAUGAAUCCGGCUUCCAAUAGUUUGGCUAGCUCCUCUCCCAUUGCCUGUCUCUUGGGUUCGGAAAAUCGCCGAAGAGCCUGCUUGACUGGCUUGAAUCCUUUUAGGAUAUUUAGGCUGUGCUCGGCCAGCCGUCGUGGGAUUCCUGGCAUGUCUGAAGGGUGCCAGGCAAAAAUGUCCCAAUUUUCCCGUAGGAAUUCUCGUAGUGUGACGUCUACAUCAGGGCUUAAUUGUGCCCCAAUGGAGGCCGUCUUUGUAGGGUCCGUUGGAUGGACUUGGAAUUUGACUAUUUCGUCCGCUGGCUUAAAAGAGGUGGACUUGGAUCUUUUAUCAAGUAUCACAUUGUCCCUGUUCACCGUGGAGCGCAGCGCUGUGAGUUCCUCGGUCGCUAGGGCUUCGGAUAGUGCCUCUAGGGCUAGUGCAUCUGUCUUAUUUUCGGUGUGGAGUGCUACGUCCGGAUCACUGGCAAGGGUGAUGAUUCCGUUGGGCCCGGGCAUUUUGAGGUUCAUGUACCCAUAAUGGGGUAUAGCUUGAAAAAUUGUGAAUACCUCUCGCCCUAAUAAUGCGUGAUAUCCGCUGCUGAACGGGGUCACAUGGAACGUGACCUCCUCGGACCUGUAGUUGUCCGGCAAAUCGAACACCACAUCCAGUGUGAUUUUUCCUGUGCAGCAUGCUUCCCGACUAGGGAUUAUUCCUCUGAAGGUUGUGCUGCUUCGCUCAAUGCGGCUCCAGUCUAUUUCCAUUUUUCGAAGGGUUUCCUCGUAAAUGAGGUUUAAUCCGCUGCCGCCGUCCAUGAGUACCUUAGUAAGGCGAAAGCCGUCCACUAUUGGACUGGGGACCAAUGCGGCUGGUGCUCAGGCUGUUCGAAAUUUAGGUUCAUCACUGGCGUUAAAGGUAAUAGCCGUGUCACUCCAUGGAUUUAUUGUUGCUACUUGGUAGACUUCGGCAAGGCCGCGGAGUGUUCCUUUCCGCAUAUUAUUUGAUGCGAAAGUCUCGAAGACUGUUAAUACCGUACUAGUAUUGCUGGGCUGGUUCUCUGGAGCUAGAAGCUCUUCGCCACUUUUGGCCACCUGCCGUAGUAUCCAACAUGCUCGAAGGCUAUGAGUUGGAGUGGCACCCUCUGUACUAUGAAUUUUGCAGGGUCCGCUGAGCCAUCCCUCCAGUACGGUUCCGUGCCCUUUAGGGGUUUUUUGCUUUUUGGUUUUUAACCCAGGUGCCUGACGAUGAUGCACCCUUUUAUUUCGGACUAGGGUUGUAUUUGGAGCCGGAUUGUCCCAAAAUUUGGUUUCAGUUCUCCAGGCGCUCUCCAUCGCACAGUACUUUCGUACUAUGGACGCCAAGUCGGCAAAGAGUGUAAUUUCACGACGACUUAUGGCAUUUAUGAUUCCCUUCUCCAUGCAAUUAUUGCAGAAAAUUGAAAUUGCGUUUUCCUCACGGCAGUCCUUUAUCCUGUCCAUGACCAGGAGGAAUCUGGCCCAGUAAUGGUGUACUGUUUCAGCGGGCUCUUGCCGGAUUUGGGAUAAAUCGCUUAUGUUUGGGUGGGCGGGGUGGAAUUAAAUUCGGAACCCCGUCCAAUCUAAGGCUUAAGGGCCGAAAAGUUUCCGAACCUGGAAGCUUGGGUUUUUGGGUAUUGUCCAAUGAAUCCCGCCCGCUUCCUGACUUUAGGUUCAGGACUUGAUCGAAGUUUGUCCCUCCGCGGGAAUACGGCAUGGAGGGGUCAGUAAUCUGGACAUAACUAGUCCUUAAUAUAGAAGAAGAGUCGCCGUACUGUUCCUCCACCACAGCGACCUGGUGGGUAGCCUGGGGAGAGUUGAUCUCUCUCAGAUCGGUUUUAGGCCCGAUUUGAUCGUAGUCUGUAGAGACUCCCAGGGCGGCGAUGCGAUCCAACAGCUCGUUUAAGGAUGAGACCUCCAUUGGAUCUAGCUGCUCGGCGAGUUCCGAGUUGACGUGAAGAUUGCUUUUGAUGACCCGAGAAGUCAUCAUCGGCACGGCGGCCGAACAGGCGGUCAUGAUAAAACCGCCUAGCCAGAGAGUUCGACCGAUGGCCAAAGCUCCUUCAGCUACGGUGCCGUCUUUAAAGACGGGACAAGGCAUCCUUCCUGAUGGCGACGGCACAGAGGAACUCUCAAUGAAAGCACCAAUGUCGGUGUCAAAACCGGCGGAUCUCGGGUAGGGGGUCCCGAACUGUGCGUCUAGGCGGAUGGUAACAGGAGACAAGGGACACGAUGUUUUUACCCAGGUUCGGGCCCUCUUGAUGGAGGUAAAACCCUACUCCUGCUUGAUUAAUAUUGAUGAUAUGGGUAGUACAAGAGUAGAUCUACCAUGAGAUCAAGGAGGCUAAACCCUAGAAGCUAGCCUAUGGUAUGAUUGUUCUUCGUCCUACGGACUAAAACCCUCCGGUUUAUAUAGACACCGGAGACGGCUAGGGUUACACAAAGUCAGUUACAAUGGUAGGAGAUCUGCAUAUCCGUAUCGCCAAGCUUGCCUUCCACGCCAAGGAAAGUCCCAUCCGGACACGGGACGGAGUCUUCAAUCUUGUAUCUUCAUAGUCUUGGAGUCCAGCCGACGGUGAUAGUUCGGCUAUCCGGACACCCCCUAGUCCAGGACUCCCUCAGGCGUGACACAAACCUACCCCCCUUAAGAUGAAUCUCGCCCUCGAGAUUUGGGUUGGCUAGAAAAUAGGUGCGGGUGAUCCUUCUGUAGGUCUUCCUCUUGCUCCCAGGUGGCUUCAUCCUCGGUAUGGUGGCUCCACUGAACUUUGCAGAACUUGAUAACCUGCUGCGUGUGACUCGGCUGGCAAACUCGAGAAUCUUCAUUGGUUUCUCCUCAUAAGUCAAAUCGCUAUCCAACUGAAUCGCUUCCAGUGGCACUGUAUCUCUCAGAUGAAUAUCAUCCAUCUCCGUGUGGCACUUCUUCAACUGGGAAACGUGGAACACAUCGUGAACUCCUGACAAUCCUUCUAGCAAUUCCAACUUGUAAGCAACUUCUCCUAUACACUCAAAAACUUUGUAUGGUCCCACAAAACAUGCUGCUAACUUUCCCUUAACUCCAAAACGUUUAACUCCUCGAAGUGGGGACACACGAAGAUACACUCUGUCUCCGACUUCGUAAGCUGUCUCCUUGCGUUUAGAAUCCGCAUAGCUCUUCUGCCUGGACUGGGCUAUCUUGAGUCUAUCACGAAUCAGCUUAACCUUCUCUUCAGACUCCUUAAUCAAAUCUGGUCCAAACAACUGACGGUCUCCAACUUUAUCCCAUAACAACGGUGUCCUGCACCUCCUUCCGUACAAAGCUUCGAAAUGGGCCAUCUUCAAACUGGCUUGAUAACUGUUAUUGUAAGAGAACUCUGCAUAUGGAACAAUUUCGUCCCAGCUAGAUCCAUAAUCUAGUGCACAUGCUCUCAGCAUGUCCUCCAGAAUCUGAUUGACUCUCUCAGUCUGUCCAUCUGUCUGUGGAUGAAAGGUUGUACUGAACUCUAGCCCGGUACCCAAAGUCUCAUGCAACUGAUUCCAAAACUUUGAGGUAAACUGGGUUCCUCUAUCUGAUACAAUGGUCCUUGAUUUCCAUGCAGACAUACGAUCCUGGUCAUGUAUAUCUUCGCCAACUUAGCACUUGUGUAAGUGGUCUUCACUGGGAUGAAAUGAGCUACCUUGGUUAACCGAUCGACUACAACCCAUAUCGAGUCAUAGCUUGAACGAGUCCUGGGCAAUCCCGUGAUAAAAUCCAUGCCUAGUUUAUCCCACUUCCAUUCGGGUAUCGGCAAUGGCUGUAGCAAACCUGCUGGCUUCUGAUGCUUUGGCUUUACUCUCUGACAUACAUCACAAACUGCUACAUACUCCGCAAUAUCCUUCUUCAUUCCGGUCCACCAGAAACUGUCCUUCAAAUCCAGAUACAUCAUGGUAUUUCCUGGGUGAAUCGAAUACGGCGAAUCAUGGGCCUCCUGCAGAAUCAAUUUCCUGAUCUCGGGGUCAUUAGGCACAUAUACGCGAUCCUCAAACCAUAAGGUAUCGUGCUCAUCCUCACGAAAUCCUUUAGCUUUUCCUUUGCUCAUCCUUUCCUUUAUCUCGGCAAUCUCCUUGUCAGUCUUCUAAGCUUCUCUGAACUUAUCCAUCAAGGUAGACUAAAUUUCCAAAGCUGCUACAUAGCCUCUUGGAACUAUUUCCAAACAUACCUCGUGAAGAUCCUCUGCUAACUCCUUGGGUAAUCCUCCGGUCAUGAGGGUAUUGACAUGACUCUUGCGAUUCAACGCAUCAGCUACUAUGUUAGCCUUUCCGGGAUGAUAGUGCAACUUCAUAUCAUAAUCUUUGAUGAGCUCCAACCAUCUCCUCUGCCCGAGAUUCAACUCCUUCUGCGUGAAGAUAUACUUCAAACUCUUGUGAUCCGUGUACACCUCACAAAGGUUUCCGAUGAGAAGGUCUGUCCAUGUCUUCAAUGCAUGCACUACGGCUCCUAACUCCAAAUCGUGUGUAGCAUAAUUCAACUCAUGGGGUUUAAGCUGUCGUGAGGAAUAUGAAACAACUCUUCCCUCCUGCAUAAGCACUGCUCCAAGUCCUCGAUGAGAAGCGCCGCAAUACACUUGAUAAUCCUUGCGUUGAUCUGGAAGAAUCAACACUGGGGCUGUAACCAAGCGUUUCUUCAACUCCUAAAAAUUGGCCUCACAUUCCUCAGUCCAUUUGAACUUGGUGUCCUUCUUCAACAAAUCCGUCAUGGGCUUUGAAAUCUUCGAGAAAUUCUCAAUGAACUUCCUGUAGUAUCCUGCGAGUCCAAGAAAACUCCGGACCUCUCCAACUGACGUGGGUGCUUCCCAAUUUGUCACAAUGACAACCUUGGUGGGGUCUACUGCUAUUCCUUCUCCGGAUAUAACAUGUCCGAGGAAUCCAACUUCCUUCAACCAAAACUCACACUUGCUGAACUUGGCAUACAACUGAUGUUCUCUGAGCUUCCCAAGUACCAAACGCAAAUGCUCCUUAUGCUCGUCUUCAUUCUUCAAGUAAACCAAUAUAUCAUCAAUGAACAGUACGACGAACUUAUCCAAAAACUCCAUAAACAACUUGUUCAUCAUGUUCAUGAAAUAGGCAGGUGCAUUAGUCAGACCAAAGGACAUAAUGGUAUACUUAUAUAGCCCGUACGUUGUGGUAAAAGUUGUCUUGGGUAUAUCCUACUCUCGAAUCUUCAGCUGGUGGUAUCCUGAUCACAGACCGAUCUUGGAAAAUACUUUAGCUCCUUGUAACUGGUCAAACAAAUCAUUGAUCAUCGGCAGUGGGUACUUGUUCUUGAUCGUCACUUCAUUCAAUCCACGAUAAUCAACAACCAUCCUCAACGGUCCAUCCUUCUUCUCCACUAGAAGCACUGGUGAUCCCCAUAGUGAUGAACUUGGGCGAAUAUAGCCUUUAUCCAGUAACUCCUUAAUCUUCUUCUUAAUUUCUUCCAAAUCCUUUGCGGGCAUCAUGUACGAUCUCUUAGAUAUUGGCCCUGUGCCUGUCAAAAGCUCAACCAAAAACUCAAUGUCUCUAUCCGAUGGCAUGCCUGGCAACUUCUCUGGAAAUACAUCAGGGAAAUCCUUCACCACUGGUACUUCCUCCUGUACAACUCCUGAUAAGGAAUUUACUUGAGUCCUCUUCGGCACAUGCCGGGAUACAUACUUGAUCCUUCUUCCUUCUAGGGUGGUGAGAAAAAUCGACUUACAGGCGUAGUCAAUGUUCCCUCCAUACUUUGAUAACCAAUCCAUGCCUGAUAUUACAUCCAGUCCUUGUGACUCUAGUACUAUUAGGUCUGAGGGGAACACGUAGUUACCAAUCCUUAAUGGUAACCGAUCACACCAUAGGCUAGCCAUAUACUCUGCUCCAAGCGAGGUUACUAACAUGGGUGACCUAAGGGCUUGGGUUGGCAAGUUAUACUUAUCCACAAAUCCCCUUGAUAUGUAUGAAUGCGAUGCACCAGUAUCAAAAAGAACGAUUGCACUAGAUGACUUAACCAAAAACUUACCUAUUACUGCAUCGGGUUGCGCUUCAAUCUCCUCCACGCUAAUGUGGUUCAUUUGUCCCCUGUUGAAAGGGUUGGGCUUCUUCCCAGAGCUUCCAUUGCCAUUUCCAUUCUUUGCUUCAGAACACUCUGUGGCGUAAUGUCCAUUCUUCCCGCACUUGCAGCAAGUAAUGUGACUUAGAUCCUUCUUGGCGGGAGUUGCUGGGUUGGAACGGUUCUGGCCAUUGCUUCCUCCAUUCCCAUUUCCAUUCUUGGGGAUACUAUGGUUAUGCGAACUUCCUCCAUUGGAAUUGUGGCCUCCAUGGUUAUGGUGAAGGUGUCCUCCCGAGUUCGGGGUAAAACAGAGCCUCUGCUGAGCUCCUGAAUUGUACUUCCCUUGUCCAUACUUCCUCUUGUGGUUAUCAAUCUGCUGCUGCUUCCCUUCAAUCAUGAGAGCUCUAUCUACCAACUCCUGGUAGUUGUUGAAGGUUGCCACAAUCAACUGCAUGCUCAGCUCAUCAUUCAGUCCUUCCAGAAACUUCCCCUGCUUAGCUGCAUCUGUAGCAACGUCAUCUGGGGCAUAACGUGCUAACUUACUAAAAUCAUCCACAUACUGGCCCACUAUGCAUCCUCCUUGGCGCAAGUUUCGAAACUCGCGCUUCUUCAUGGCCAUAGCUCCUGCUGAAACAUGGGCAGUGCAAAAAGCCUGCUGAAACUGGUCCCAUGUGACAGUGUCGAUGGGUAACUGGUUGUGAAAUUCUCCCACCAUGAUGCUGCGGGUCCAUCAAGCUGAUGUGCGUCAAAACGCACUCUCUCGCAUCUGCGCAUCCUGUUGUGGUCAGCUCCCUUCCAAUCUUGCGGAGCCAAUCAUCUGGAACAAUCGGCUCGGUGCUACUGGAGGACACCGGUGGAUUCAACCUUAAGAAAUGGUCUAAGUGAUCAACAGGUGGUGGUGGUGGUGGGUUGUUGUUGUUGUUGUUCCCAUGGUUCUGAUUCUGGACUAGUAGCUGCAUCAGGGUAUUCUGCUGCUGGAUCAACUGAGUGAGCUUCGACGGGAAAUCAAAUCCAUUGUCGCAUCUCGGAGGCAUCUGAUGGGUUUAGAAAAGAUGAGAAAACAGAAUAGAAUGAGGUCUAGAGGGAAAACACUACCCAUAUGCACAUGAGACAAACACAACAUAUCACUUCAAUCAAAUCACACAAGGGCAUACAAGCGGUCUAACUAUCGUUACAAAAGUUCUCGGACUAUACUAUAUACAUGGGAGAUACUACUAUUGAUAUGGUGGUCGACUAGAAGUUUUAAUUGGUGGAUGAUUCCAUGAUAUCUGCUCCAGCUUCAUCAACAUAGUCAUCAUCGCUGUCGUCGGGGUCUGAGUCGGUGUCGUCGAUGAUGAUGUAGUUCUCCAGACAAGUGGAAUCGUCGGCUUCUCCUCCUGGUGCGGGGUUUCCCAUGAAUACUCCUAGCUUCCUCGUCAGAUCGUCAUUCUUCUCCAUGAGUAUCGUCAUUUCCUCCUCAUAUCCAUCGCGUGUAGACUUGAGUUCUUCCUCCAGCUCCGUGAUCCUGGUCAUUGCCUUCUUCAGAUCUAUCAUGCAUGCGCACAUCUGGUUCUCCUGACGUCGAAUGUGCUGGUUUAAGUCCUGGAUGAAAGCUACAAUGGACCUAUCCCUCCUGGUGUUGAUCAUCUCCCAUUGCUCAUCUCGGCGCCCACAAAUCUAGUAGAUAGUAUCCUUGCCGUCCUUGUGGUAAACUUCUCCAAUGCGUCCAAUGGUGAUGUGGGCUGCCAUGCUCUUUCCUAGACUCCAGGUUGGUGCAUCAAAGGAAAACUUGAUGGGCUCAGUGACUGGCAUGAACGUUCUUCUUGGAACUUGAACUCGAAUCAUCCAACGCUCCUCUUCGGGUAAAGUGGCAAUGUAGAUCCCGGUGAAGUUUGGUAUUCCGAUGUUCAGGUAUCUAGUAACUUCCUUCAGAUGUCGUUCAAAAGGUGUAUCUUCAUCCGGUUGUGUGAACUUGUUCCUUCGAUCCGCCAUCCUAUAGAGUAGAAAAGAGGAGGAGUCAGAAAUGAGAAGAGAGAGUGACCUAUGGUUUUAGCUUAGUGGUCGUGUCCUACAGUCAGCAUGUGCUCUGAUACCAUCUUGUAGUGACCAGACCUCAAAUAGUCUGAUCUCUAUGCAUCAUUGUCAUCCCUGGAUUGGUAAUGCUGACACGCACAAUACUCGAGGAUUUAUAACAAAGUAGCAAUCACACACUUAUUACAUUGAAUGUCUCAGAAGAGAACUUAUUACAAUAAUAUAGCUUAAGGCCGUCUAAAACGAUAACAGUGGAAGGCUUGGAAGAUAAAGCGAGUCCGUCAACUCCACCGGCAUAGCUGAGUGAAAGAUAGCGACCUAUGGCACCUUACUCGUCGUCUGAAAAGUCUGCAACAUGAAAUGUUGUAGCCCGAAAUGGGUCAGCACAUGGAAUAUGCUGGCAAUGUAACACAUAGAGUAAGGAACAGAAUAAUUGCUAUCACUACAUGCAUAUAUGGCUGGUGGAAAGCUCUAUGUUGCAUAAAGCCAAUUUUUUCCUACAACAAAGGAAUAAAUUUUAUUUAACUAUCAUGGUGGUUGUUAAACAUUGAGAAGGUUCCACCAACUCAAUCCCAAUUAAGCAUCAUCAUUAACACAAUCAAAUUAGUUUAAAGUGAUGAGAUCAACAUGAUAAUCCAAGAACCAGAUACUCAAAACGUCCAUAACCGGGGACACGGCUAACCAUGAUUAGUUUGUACACUCUGCAGAGGUUUGUGCACUUUUCCCCACAAGACUCGAACACAUCCAUGAUCGGAGAAUCGAGACACAGUCUUUCUGAAGCAUUAACUCUCUACUCUGGGUAGACAGUACCACCUACAACCCACUACAUCUGCUAGUCUACCUCUUCGAGAGCUUCACGCAACUUACUCAACUAUGCCAGAGCCCAUAUUGGCUUGUGGCUACACAAGAAAGUUUCUAGCAUGAAUAAUCUUAUGAUCCCUUUGAGCCUGGGUGGCGGACCAUAGGAUGGUCACACAGGUACUCCGGGAUAUCCUAGGACAACACUGGAUUCUCCAGGUGCCCUGACAACCACUGGGUACUCCAAGGCGCCUCAAGCAAUCCACCAAAAUGUGUAUUUAAGUAGCCACCUUCAGUUAACCAUUAAUUAACAAUACUCACAUCUGUCAUGGAUACACUCACCCAAACUACGUCUACGAGCAUAGCAUAGCAAUAUAAGCAUAACAAAGAAGUAACUCCCAAAGGUUUGAUAAUAAACAGGGUAAUAGGUUCUACCUCAUCAUCUACUUCCCAAAAACCACAUGUUAUGCAGAUCCUAACCAUGCAAUUGUUUGAGGGUUGAACUAAUGCAUAAAAACUGGGUAAGAGGUAUGAUCAAAGUGUUACUUGCCUUGCUGAUGAUCCGUGAAACCUAGAGACUCGUAGUAGCACGCUUCGCACUCCGGGUACUCUAUCGCAAACAAACAAAGCAUACAAUAAGCACUCAACUAGAAGCACGGGUAAAACUCAAAUAAGAUAUCUAACCAGAAAGUUCAACUUAAGAACUCCGGUUUGCAAAAGGAAUCAAAUCAAACGAAGCAACGAAACUCAAACUGCAAAAGAAACAAGAUCCGCUUACUAAUCUGGACUAAAGUCAAAUUUUACAGUACCAAAAUCUUGUUCAAGUUGAUUAAAUAGAAAGAGGGCUUCGAGACGAAGAUCUAGGUGCUUGAAUCGCCUGAUUCUGAUAACGAGCGAAAAGAUAAACUAAAACGAAGAUCAGGGCAGAAAUCACGAUCGAAAAUAAUCGUGGAAAAACCUUGGAAAAAGAAAAACUGACGAACAGGCUAACAAACGAACGUUCGCUGUCUGUGGCUAACGGUUGAAAACCAUUCGUUAAAACGAACAUAUGGACGAACGUCCGCUAUUUAACUAAACUGGAAAAAAAUAAAACCGAUCUGUAUAAAAAACCUAGGGUUUUCGAAAAAAACCAAGCGGUUUUCUAACGAAAACCGGCGGCAGUGGUGGCUACCUCCGGCGGUGCAGGGUCGGCAGCGGAACAGCGGCGGCUCUGGCGAGGCAACGGCGGCAACGGGCGGCGGGGUCGGCGACGGGGNNNNNNNNNNNNNNNNNNNNNNNNNNNNNNNNNNNNNNNNNNNNNNNNNNNNNNNNNNNNNNNNNNNNNNNNNNNNNNNNNNNNNNNNNNNNNNNNNNNNNNNNNNNNNNNNNNNNNNNNNNNNNNNNNNNNNNNNNNNNNNNNNNNNNNNNNNNNNNNNNNNNNNNNNNNNNNNNNNNNNNNNNNNNNNNNNNNNNNNNNNNNNNNNNNNNNNNNNNNNNNNNNNNNNNNNNNNNNNNNNNNNNNNNNNNNNNNNNNNNNNNNNNNNNNNNNNNNNNNNNNNNNNNNNNNNNNNNNNNNNNNNNNNNNNNNNNNNNNNNNNNNNNNNNNNNNNNNNNNNNNNNNNNNNNNNNNNNNNNNNNNNNNNNNNNNNNNNNNNNNNNNNNNNNNNNNNNNNNNNNNNNNNNNNNNNNNNNNNNNNNNNNNNNNNNNNNNNNNNNNNNNNNNNNNNNNNNNNNNNNNNNNNNNNNNNNNNNNNNNNNNNNNNNNNNNNNNNNNNNNNNNNNNNNNNNNNNNNNNNNNNNNNNNNNNNNNNNNNNNNNNNNNNNNNNNNNNNNNNNNNNNNNNNNNNNNNNNNNNNNNNNNNNNNNNNNNNNNNNNNNNNNNNNNNGGCGACGGGGCGACGGGGCGGCGGGCUCCAGCGGCGGCGGCGGCGUGGAUCUGUUGGCGGCGGGACGGAUCGGGCGGGGCUAUGGUUCGGCGGGUGGGGCGGCUCGGCUCGAGCCUUUGGCCUAUAAAGGGUCGGGUCAGUGUCCCAGGCGGACACGGCCCGGUAAGGCGGUUCGUUUUUUUUAAAUAAUUUCGACGCGCAGAAAAACGAUUAAAAGAAAUACUAAAGGGACUCCAAAAAUCCUGAAAUAAAUUUUCCCUGUCCUCUAAGAAUAUAGCGUACAAGGUGAACAUUUAUUUGGGCCUCUAGUGCAAUUUUGAAAAACGCACUUUUUUCCUAAUUCAAAUAAAAUAGCGAUAAAAUUCUUAUUUGAUUUUAAUAUUUUUGCUCCAAUAUUUAUUUAUUUUUGAGAAGUCAUUUUAUCCCCUCUCUUUUAUUUUCAUAUAAGAAAUAUUUGAAGAGAAAAAUAAUUAUAACCAAAUGAUCCUCUUUUCAAAAUUUGAGAAAACUCAAAUAUGAAAACAACGAAAUCCCCAACUCUCUCCGUGGGUCCUUGAGUUGCGUAGAAUUUCUAGGAUCAACCAAAAAUGUAAUAAAAUAUGAUAUGCAAUGAUGAUCUAAUGUAUAACAUUCCAAAUUGAAAAUUUGGGAUGUUACAACAAAAUAGACGUGAAGAGAGGGCUUUUUAGAUCAAUGGGGUACGUGAUGUAACAUGUGUGAAUGCGUAGUUGAUGUAUUUGGCAGGGCCUAGAGAGGUAUGUGUGUGUAUUACGUAUUCAAGAGAGGCAUGGAUAGAGGGGCCGGCGGGGGGAGAGGGCGAGGGAGAGAUAGCAUGAGAAAUGAGAGAGGUCUAGAGAGAGAGAGAGACGAAUAUGAUGUCAGCGAGAGGCUAUGCACUGGAUGCCAGCGGCGGCUACACAGGUGCGUGCGUGUGUUGUUGUUUUUUAGCAAAAGUUCGCCUACAAAUUUAGGUCGCUCAUGUCUUGCUCCAUGGCUAGCCUUGCUAGCUGUGCCUGCUUCUGGCCGUGCAAGUACCUGACCGUGGCUAGUCGUGCGCUGCUACUGCCGGCCGUGCACGAUGCACUGCAACUGCUUGUUCGAGAGAAGGAACAGCAGGAUAUCAUGCUCUGCCUCCUGAUGCUCUCGCGCGACACCACCGAUGACCCAGGCUGAGGCGCAGCUCGAUGGACUGGAAGGGGUGGAAAGGAGAGCUCGGGUGAGUGGCUGGUGGAGUAGUGGCGACGGUGGGCAGCGCUCGCCGCUCGGAUGGGAGAGGGAGACAUCACAGUCAUCGCUGGGAGCCUCGGUCCAUGCAGUCGGCUCGGUUAAAAACAAGACCAGACCUUACGUGUUAUCGGGCCAAAAUUCAGAGCUCUGACCGCUCAUUUUUACUACCGGGCCUGGACCGUAUGGUCCCGGUCCUUAACGGCCACGAGGGGGAAAAAACCCCGCUCGGCACGUCCAGCCUGACCCAUCACAUCGCCAUCUCUGCCUCCUUGAUUUUUAAACUUGUAGAAUUCAAAUGGAGAGACAGCAGAAUGGAUUUGGCCAACCUCCUCCUCACGUUGGGGAGUUCAACAAAUGGUUCUAAUGGUGGGUUUGUCUGGAAUAAAUCGGUAAUAAAUUCUCAAACCUUGCAUCUCUCUUGGCCAAUUAAUUUCUUCUGUUGGCCAACUGAUUGGGAUUCAUGGGAAAUUACCAAAGCUUGCAUUAUUCAGAGUGCUUUUUAUUUGUUGCUUUAGGAGGAUGUAUUCAGUUGUUUCAUAUUGUCUUGGAUACUCAAAAUGGAACUAAAAUUUUAUUGAUUUGACUUGGAUAGCUCGGAGGUGGAUUAGCUGGUGGAGGAACGAAGAAGAAGCUAUAGGCCGCAAGAACUUCAUGCGGACCAUGAUCUCCUUCAUGUUGCCAAGGUCAGCAGUGGCGCCUUCGAUAGGCCGUGGAACCACAAGCCAUAUCAGGUUAUUUUCCGCUACUUUCUGUUACUCAAAAUUUGUGUUGUCUUUUCUAUCCAUGGUCAACCUAAUGCAAAACUGAUCGAAGAGGCGUUGGAGUACUAGGUUCGAGUAUUGGUUCUGCCACACCUCAUGUUUGACGACUGGUGCACACAUAUAAAAAAAGAAUAAUAGGAAAGUGUUGUUUGAUAUUUAUCAAACAAGGCUGUCAGCCUGUCACUAGCUACAACUAUUUUUAUUGAUUUCGUCAUAUUGCGUUCUAAUAUACUUUUUGUUAAUUGUGUGAAGAUGGAUCACACACUCAGUUGUUAGGAUAGGGUGUUGUGAAUGAUUCCUAAAAAGAGGUGCACAUGAUUGAAUUUUGGUCGCUCCUUCUUAGGCUUUGAAGGCCCAUCUCCUCCUAUUGGUGUUCAUGUGCAAUAGUUCAUAUAUUAUGUCCAAAACCUGUGUGAAUGAGGAUUCACUUUUCUUCGUUUUACUAGUUUGGAUUUAACCAUCAUAUGAUUGCAUAGCCAGGAGAUUAGCUAGUACUAUUAGUGAUAGGUUACUUUUUUUGUUGUUCCAUAUUAUUGGUACAGACAAUGGACUCACUAGAGUAGCCUUAACUGGUUGUACUUUUGAGAGAGGGUAUGUUGUUUAUGAACUACCAGAUGUACUAUGUGGCGUUCGGACUUGCACUAUUUUCCGAGGCCUACUGUUCUGGCUGGGCACAAGGGGCUGUUGUUCAUUCAAUUUGAUAAUCAUGAUUGUUGUUUUGUAAUGUAUUAUGCAAUAAUCCAAUACCUGCCUCCUAACCUAUUCCCGACCUCACACUGGAGCAGCGCAACGUUCUCUCUGGUAGUCUGUCUUCGUUGACGAGAAGCUUGGUCUCACAUGGUAGGUAUGCGUGGAAUGGCUGAGCUCAAGAUUUCUUGUAUUAAGGUAAAAAAAGGUGUUAAAUUUGUAGGGGUUUGAGCUGGGAAGGCAAUCCCAGAUGUUAUGUUGUACCCUUAAACCUAUGAUUACUUUCCUAUCUUAGAAGCCAAUCAUUGUGAUUUAGUGGAGAUGUGCAACACUACAAGGUUCAAUGUAGCUAGCCAUUACAUCCUGUAACUUACAAUCAUUUUGGGGAAAGGAAUUGCAAUAUGGACUAGGAUUUGAAAAUGGAUUGCUCACUCCUGGGUAUCUUUUUCAUGAUCUGAUUUGUUUUCUAUGCAGAUUAUGAUAGCAAGGAUCGUGAUAUACUAAGGUGUGUAAGUUGUGUCAAGUAAAAAAACUUCAUCCGUGGGAUGAGCCAAAAAAGUCAAGAAUUUGACAAAGUCAGAGCACAACAAACAUGGCAGGUUUGGGAAAUAGGAAAUAUUCACUAUCACUUCCAGUUAGAAGGUUCUCCAUGCUUCAUGUGUUACUCCGGGAAUUAUAGAGCGAAAGAUUUGGAUUUAAUUAACAGGCUUCAUGUCUCAAAAUAUGACGACGAAUCAACUAAAAGAGGAACAUGAAUUUAGGGUGUGGAAGAGCUACCGAGAUAUAUUAAAGGUACAGUACAUAUUAGCUUCUGAUGGGCACAUAUUCUUUGGUUGCUUUUCCAUCUCUUCUUCCUGUUGUGUUACUUUACAGUAAAUUUGUUUCUAAAAUCAGGACUUGUUUAUUAAAACUCUCUAUUAUGUUACGUUUUAUAUUGCAUUUUUAGUCUGAAAAGAAAUUGCAUCUGCCAAGUGCAAACACCAUGGUAUAUCGUCAUUGAUUAGCCUACUUUAGUAAUGUUAUCUUGCGAAAGCAAGCUAAGAGCAUGAUGUCAAUGUUUUUUGUCAAUAUACUUUAUAUAGUGCAUCUGUAAUGUUUACUCUCCUUAUCUGAUAGACUCCCAUUAGUUCUUCUCAUUUCUUCCAAUCAACUCUAACAAAAAUAUAGCUUAAUAUUGAUUAUCCAAGUAUCAUCAUAAUUUUUUUAGCUGUUAGGAUCUUGCUUCUUUUACCUUCUUUUACUAACUUCACAAUAUUUGCUCUUACCAUUUCAUUUGUAGUUAUGCAUCAACAAGCAGUAUGCCAUGUCUUUGUUGUUUCCGACUAAAAAAGGCACUAUCAUCAAGUGGCAUCAUUUAUCAUGGGCUUAGAUCGAAAGUAAGAUAUAUUUCUUUCAAGAAAAAAUUGCUCCAAGAGAAAUAGUCAUGAGGACCUAAUGCAAUGAUGAUGUUAAGGCUACCCCUCGAACAAUUUUCUUUGUUUCUUCUACUUGAAUGAAAAUGGUUUUUGAAACAUAAUGAGAUUUUGAAGCCCUUUAAACAGACUGGUUAGUUCUUCUAUUCGUCUUUUAUUUUUCCUAUAUGAUGAUGCAAAAUAAUUUGGUGGCCAAGAAACAUGUUGAUAUACCUUAGUUUCUAGAGUAGCGUGUUAUCUAUGUUGUCCAAGCAUAAAUCUUUUCAUUCCGAACCUAAUAAUAUCUUUGUGCUUUUGCAGGUAAUUUAGCAAAUGGUUUACUUUGAACUGCUUGCUUUGCAUGGAUAUCUUUUUUGUGCUCUUGACACCAUGUAUGAGGAAAUUUGACAAUAAAACAUGGUAGCUAAAACGGCAGUACAUAGUAGUCAUGGAGCGACAAAAUUUGCUACGGCUACCAAUAAUGAGGUUUUCCCCUCCUUGAUUUGAUGAAAAAUGAUGAUUUGUCAUGUACUUGCUCACAUGUCAGAGCUGCAAGUGUUUUUCCUAUGUGAAUUCAGUGUCAGAAGAAUGUAUCAUGGGUGAAGUGAGGAUAAUUAUAUUCAUCUAAUCCGUGUAGCUUGCAGUUUAUAAAGAUGAGCGCAUAUGAUCUACUAUGUUUGAACCGCAACCUCUCUUUUUAACCACUCUUAUGCAUUAUUACUAUUUUCUAUGGUGGAUCAGUAUUUGCAUAUGACUUGUACCACUAUAUAAGGCUGUAUAUAAAUUAGCGCAUUUUUAAUGACGGCGCAGCAAAGCGCGCGUCAUUCUCUAGUCUGUCAUGAAUUCUCUCAAACCAAUCCAUGUCUACGAGCAUAGCAAAGUAGUGCAAGCAUAACGCAAUAAUACCCUGGGUUUGAAUGCAAGACAAUAGGUUCCUACCUCAUCAAUUACUUCCCAAUACCCACAUGUCAGCAAAAUCCUACUCAUGCAAUGUUUGAGGUUGAAACUAAUGCAUAAAAACUAGGUAUGAAGAGUAUGAUCAAAGUGUGAACUUGCCUUGUACUGUUGAUGAAGAUGAUUUGCAUUCAUAACUCCUGAUAGUUCUACUCGUCACACUCUGGUCAAUCUAUCGUAAGCAAGCAAUUGCAUACAUAAGCACUCAUGAAAAAGAAUCAAAGAAAAGAUCUUGGAAAACUUCUAAAAUAAGCAAAUAAAUCUUGCAACAGAAAACAAUUUCUAACAGUACCAAAAUUGGGUGGAUUUGGUCUUAUCAGAAAGUUUAGGUCAAGAGCUUCAAUUAGCAAAAAGAAUCAAUUAAAUCAGAGUUAUAAAACUCAAGUUAUGAACAAAAGAUGUUUGAAUAUGAAUCUGAACAAAUUUCAAAAUUUGAAAGUUGCAAAAAGUUUAUUUAAUUUGGAUGAAAGUAUAGGCGUUGGUUUUAUUUAAUUUGGAUGAACGGGUAAAAGGUUAUGGCUCUUUGAGCCAAGCUGUUUUACGGAACAAAAAAGCUAUUGCUAAAAGAUUUCUACGCCUAAAGUGUAAAUAUAGAGAAUAAUUGAUAAUAUAACUAUUCUAUUGUACUAGUCUAGAAAUAAUAAGCUACGGGAGUUCAUAAAAAAUGAGACACCUUUAUAAGGUAGAGAAAAUACGACUUCCGAGAGAAGAGACAACUUCCAGAAGUCCCGCCGGAGAGGAGAAAUAUAUUUUUUCUUUAGUGAAUCUAGUCAAACCAAAAUAUCAAUUUAACCAGAACCGGAUGAUUUUUGGAGGCUCUAUGGAUCUAUAUUUGUAGGUGAAAAAGAGGUUUAGGGGUCAAAGGCUAGGCAAUGUGGGACUAAACAUAGACAAAAAGGGAGACGAAAGAGAUAGGAAAAUAAAGAAAAGAAAUGUCGCCGCAUGGACCUUCGGCCGGCCUGCGCGUGUGCGCGCAUGUGUGCGUGCGCAGAGCUGCUGGCUAUGUUGCGCACGCUGGCGAGGGAUAGCAGUUGGUCGCUCGUACAAUAUAUUUUUAUGACAACGGAAAAGGGGUAAAUGGAAAAUAAGAAAUAAAAUAAACUAAUAAUUUUCCAUAGGCAUAUUUUAUAUCCGAAUUUUCAGAAAAAGAUUUUCUACAAUAUGAACAUUUUUCUAGCACCAAAUAAAAUCCACAAAAAUUUAAAUAAAGCAAAUAGUGCUACUGUUGCAAUAAAACCUAAUAAGAAUCAUUUUAAAAAUACCAAAAUAAUUUCAAAUUUAUUUCUCUCCACUUUUCUGUUGUAGGGAAUCAUUUUACCCUAAUUCCAUAUAUUUUACUUUUGGAUAAAAAUAACUUGAAUAAAACCAAAUAACUCCAAAUUGAAAAUAAUUUCAAAGUAACUUUAAAUUUGAUUCUUUUAAACUUCUAACUCAUAUUUCAUAUGUUUUGAAGAAGUCAUUUUAUCUCCUCUCAUGAAAAUCAUUGAGUUGCUUGAAGUUUCUGAAUUUGAAAUAUUUCCCAAUGAAAUUCAAAUAUUUUUCGAAAACCCUUUUUCAUUUAGUUAAAUGGAAGAUGUCAUAUCAUCUUCUCUCUAGGGUUUUGUAUUUGAAAAGAAUUUGAAUUCAUGGAGAUCAUAAAAGCAAGAUGAAAGUUUUGGGAAAGUCAUUUUAUUCCCUCUCAUUUAACUUUCAAAAAGAUUCAAAUUUCACUCAAUUUCACACAAUAAUCAAUCAAAACUAUUUAUUUAAUAUAACAUUGCAAAAUUUAGAAUUUUGGGAUGUUACAGGGUGUGCCAACGCGCAAGGUCCGGUGGGCCGAGGUGAGGCCCUUGGUUCGGUUCCGUCUUGCGCCGCAUUGGUCGGCCCGUGACGCAUUUAGAGAGACCCAUGGAUGACUAGUCGUACAAGACAAAGAUAGCAGAAUCGUGAAGGACUCUGUGUCCACUGACAAAGCCGGCUAGGAUUUGUAACCAUAGGUCCUCGGACUAAGGUAACCCCUUAUCUCUGAUAUUACUAUUCAUCCAACCUAACUUUAAGGGCCAUCCUACAGAAUGCUCUGCUAGAAUCAUACUUGUCGAUUAGGAAGAGAGGUGUGAGACAAUGCGUAAGAGACAGGCCUAAAGAUAAUGUGCUUACAGGAGACAUGUAGGCAAGUCUAUGUAUAUAGAAAGGGUCGAUGGGAAUUGUGCGUGUGUAUGCUUGUGAGAGGAAGAGUGCUUGUGAUAAAGGUUAGUGAAAAUAGUCGUAAAUGGUUACGAGAGGAAGGGAGGGUUAUAUCGAGAGCAUGUCUGCGAGAAAGACACCUUGAGAGAGAGUGUGUGAGCAUGUGCGAGAAACCACCGAUGGAGAGUGAAACUACACGUAAAAGACUAAUGUACACAUAGAUUAAAAAUAUAAAUUGUAUCCAAACAUUAGGAUGGGAUCAUGAUAUUUGCAAUUCGCGUAAGGAACGGUCAUUGAUCCAUCAGACAUCUAGAUUCUAUCGAAUUUGAGCAUGUCUAUGUUAUUAUUCGACAUAAUUGAUCCACAUAGUUAGUAUUUUGAACUCCAGACAAUGCAUCGCUUUAGCAAUCGAAUAUAAACGUGAGUAUAGUUCAUGUUGCGUGUGUGUAAAGCACAUUAUACAUACGAAAGUUACACAAUGAACACUAUAAAUAGCUAUCUACGAACUAGCAUACAUUUGAAUUCAAUUUAAGGUGGUUUAAAAAAUUCUAAUUCAACAUGAAGUCCAUUCAAUUAUUUGAAUUCGAUAUCAUGGCAUUUGUAAAUCAUACCUGAAUUAUGGGGGUACCAAUCUUUGCUCUGCUUUUGUACAUAAUAGCAUAUAUAGUCGUGUACAAAAUAGAUUCAAAUUUAGCUCCUCCAUUCCAAAAUAAUCAUAGUUAUAGGAUUUUCAAGUGUCAAAAUUUCAAAAAGAAGCGGAUAAUUUAAUGAGGUUUUCAAACAUACAAGGUAAAAUUUAAUGUUGUCUAUUUAGGUCAAUCCUCAAAGUUAAAGAGUACUCUAAACGUGAAUGCUUCUAUUUCAAAAUUUCGAACGAAGCACCAAAAGAGCCUCUACUCGCCUGAAACCGCAUGAGACCAAUGUUUGGUAGUAGAAAGAAACUACUUUCCUAACUCCGACUCGUGAAACCUAUCGGCCCGACAUGCAAAGGUCUAAACCGGGGUAGGUUUGUAGCUUUAUCUAGACGCCACGCAACUGCCUCCGAAAAGACAUUCAUACACAAUGGCCGCCUAAGCACACAUGCGCGCGGACGAAAUCGCUCCCGCACACUAUUUGGGACACCUGGGAUUACCAUCCUACCCCCGACCCGUAGUAGGUCCGAAAUUUAAGAGGGGGGCAAAGUUUGUACUUUCCCCAAAUUUCAAACAAGCACGUCCCAUCUGUUCAAAAAAGCCAAAAACAAGCGCGUCCCAGACCGAAACAUGGUUNNNNNNNNNNNNNNNNNNNNNNNNNNNNNNNNNNNNNNNNNNNNNNNNNNNNNNNNNNNNNNNNNNNNNNNNNNNNNNNNNNNNNNNNNNNNNNNNNNNNNNNNNNNNNNNNNNNNNNNNNNNNNNNNNNNNNNNNNNNNNNNNNNNNNNNNNNNNNNNNNNNNNNNNNNNNNNNNNNNNNNNNNNNNNNNNNNNNNNNNNNNNNNNNNNNNNNNNNNNNACUCUGUGGGCGCCAAAACUACCUCUCCACUAGACGCACAACCCCGGCGUCCUCCGUCCGCACCCCAUCCCACCCAUCAACCGCCGCCCUCCUCCAUCACGCCGGAGCCGAUACCCCGAUGUCGUUAUCCACCGCAACCUCAACCGCUGUCGGAUUCGGGUUCCGGCAGACCCUUGAGGUUCGAACACUAGGGUGCGCGCGGAGAUUUCGCCCUCUACCUACCUAUUCCUCGCCAGCUCGCUAGGAUCUAAACUACGAAAGGAACAACACAAGGGACACAGGGUUUAUACUAGUUCAGGCCACCAUUGUGGUGUAAUACCCUACUCCAGUGUAUGUGGUGUAUUGCCUCUUGGGCUGAUGAUGAACAAUACAAGGAAGAACAGCCCCGCGAGGCUCUGCUCUAGGCUGGGACAAUGAACUGCUAGGAGGAGUUCAGCCGCCCUUCUCUCUCUCUCUCUCUUGGUUCAGGUACCGAUCCAGAUGCCUAUCUUGAUUCUAGGUCCCUCCACCAUGGGGGUGGCUAGUUCUAUUUUUAGGCAAAGGCCCUGGGCCUCUUCCCAAAUAUUGAGCGGGAAGGGCGCCAACAAUUAGCCAUUUUGAAGGGGAACAGCGGGUACACUUAUCCUGACUAAAGUUGGUCCUCGCCUGUCAAAGGCUCUGGUGGUGACGCCUGCUUGGGCUCCACAAUGACUUCCUCCCUGCCGUUGGACUGGUCUUGGUCUUGUUGCACCGAAAUGGAUGCCUUUGCUUGAUGCUCUCGCCUGCGCUUGUUCCCUUUGCACCAAAGAGGAAAGGAGGACACUGCGCGGGCUGGCGCCCGACUGGCGCCCUUGGUCGUCAUGGCUUGCGUCAUGGGGCACCACGCGAGGUACCCCGCCUUGAUCUCUCCGCCUCCUCAUGAGCUAGCCUGAUGAGGUCGUGCUUGAGGAAGCUCCUUGUCGUCCGCCCCGCGAGGUUCGGCCCCUCGCGAGGGUCUUGAGAUUGUGUUGAUGAAGAUGGGUCGUGCUGGGCCCCCCUUUUGAGCCAUGCUGCAGGCCGCAGGCAGGCAAGUCUGGGGACCCCCGUUCCCAGAACGCCGACAGUAGCCCCCGGGCCCAAGGCGCGCCCGGACUUGGCCGAGCAGAGAGGCGAAGGGGCAAGUGCGAAGCGCCGCGGACCCUAACAGCCUGCGGCCUUGGGCACCACGUGGCGGUUGAUUGGAUGUGGGCGCCUCCACUUCCCCACGACGCCUCGGCAACUGCACGGAUUCGACAAGUCCCUGCAUGCGGAGCGAGUCAUGAUUACCUGCGAUCGUGGAGGUCAGCGGUUGGCCUCCUCUGCCCUUCCAGUUUAUCCCCUCUUGCUUCUCCUUCUUCUUCAUGGCUCCGUCAAGGAAGUUCUCAUCUGCAGAGAAAGGAAAGGCUCGCCAGGUCGAGUCUGCCUCUCCCCCGCCCAAGCGCGGUCGAGGCCGCCCUCGCAAGCACCCUGUGGCCUCCACGGCAGCUCCACGCGGUCGCAGAGGUGACUUCCCGCGCGGUGACGGGCGGCUGGCCAUGGCCGGGGGGCGUGCUUCAGCCGUGCGACCCCCUAGGCCGCGCUUCCACUCUGCGGAGGUGCUGCCGGAGUUUGUUGUGUGGGCGGCGGAGCCGACCAGCGCCCGGCUUCAGCUCCCUCGAUUCCUCCUAGGUGAGCUCCCGGCUGGCGCCUCGGGCGGCCUCUGGCUCCAGCCAGAUGGUUGUUGCAGCCGGUCCUCGUGGGCUUCGUUGGAGGUCUCCGCAGCCGGGAGCCUGGCCUUGACCCGCGGCUGGCAGACGUUUGCCCGCACGCGUGGCCUGAGCCGUUGGUGCACCCUGCACUUCAAGUUCGACGGCGACGCCACCCUCUACGUGAGGGCGUUUGGGGAAGAUGGUCGCCGCGCAGGGUGCUGCCCUAAAGACGACGACCGCGGACGGGGACCCAGCCCCGGCGAGGACGGAGAGGACAGCGCGCGCGUGGUUGGCGGCGCCCAGGGUUCCUCAAGCUUCACUGGUUCUUCUUCGGGCAGGGAUUCUCCUAGCAGCGGCCGCGGUCAGCCUCCACGCUGUCGUGCCUGCUUGGAGGGCGGUAGCGGGUCUGCCCGACGUCGCGCCCCGGUGAAGCGCGAGAGGGAGUCCGCCUGAGCUCCGGAGGCGGCUCGAGUCUUCCCUGAGGGCCGGCGUAGGGCGAGCUUCGCCUGAUUUGUUCUUUCUUUUCUUUUUUCCUGCGCAAAAAGACAGCAGUGUGGGGGCCCGUGGGGGCGUGUUUGGGUUACCGUUGUUAAUCAUUGUACUAUUUCCGUUAUUUUGGUAUUGUUCCUUCCUGCCGCACGCCCGCGCGUAGGUAAUCUCCAGCCUCAGCUGUGGGGGCGACCGACCCAAGUCCUGUAAUCGUGUCGCGGUGCCCGUGAGGCACGGACUGGAGGGGGCGCUCCUGUAGUGGACCCGGGUCGUGAAAACUUCAGCGAUAGGGACAGAAACACUCGCGAGGGCGCUCGGGGCUGCCCCCUCGCGAGCCCUUGCGCAAGAGAAAUUGAGGCAGGAGGGCGAAAAGUUGAAGAACCACGAGUCCAAAGACGGCGAUAGUUUCAAUAAAACUUCAAAUGAGAAUGAACUAGCCAACUGCAGAAAGCAAAUGAAAAAGCCGCGUCCGGCACCUAGUCUAGUCUUCGACGUCUUCUCACCAGCGCGGAGCUAAGUGCUGCCACUGGGCGUGGGAGGGAGCCCCAGGGCCUGAGGCCGGUGCUCCUGAGACUUCGGGGCGUGUACAGCCCCAACUCAUUAUUACGUGAGAGUGUCACGGGUGGCGAGCUUCACAUGCGUUAGCCUUCUUCACAGGCUCCGGGCCUUUCUUCAGGGAAUCAAGCUUCACGGGCAUUGGCCCUCUUCACAGGCUUCGGGCCUUUUCCAAAACGCGAUAGCUUCACAGGUGUAAGUGCAUCUAGUGCCACCCCUAGUUGGUUUUGGAGUAUUGACGACAAAGUUGGUUGAGGGACUAAUGCGUUUGUGAGAAUUGCAGGAUAACGCAGGUAGUGUCCCUCAUUGAUUCGGUUUACCUACCGGAGAUGACCCCUAAAAAUGUGUGAAGACAUUGAAGACAAUGGUGGUAUGUGAAGAUAUUCAUAUUGAAGACUAUGACAUAAGAAGACAUUCUGUGAAGACUAUGGAGCACGAAGACUGUGUGGUUUUGUUGUUUCCUUUUCUUCUUUGUUGAGUCAUAGGAACCACCGAACUAUUAAGUGGGGUCCAAGUGAACUAAGUCAGAAUGACUGAAUGGAUGCUCAACCCAAAUCCUAUGUCUUCGAGCGAAGACAAUGAGAGCAAAUCUUAUCCAGAGCUGGAUGAGUCAGCUUUGCUUGUAGCCCAAGUAAAGUUGUCGUGUGUGUUUGAAAUCUGACCGUCGGAACACGUGUCAGUUCCUUAGUGACCCAGGGUCAUUUUGGACAUAUCAGGUCGGGUUGCCCAGUGGCUAUAAAUAGCCCAUCCCCUACACCAUAAAUUGGUGGCUGCUCGGAGUUAGUGCACGGCUUUUGUCGUUUGAGAGCAACCCACCUCGAAGCUUUUGAGAGAGAGAGAAAUCCUUGCAAGGACAAAGCCCAAACACCCAGAGCCAACGAGUGUUAGGCAUCACUGAAGUCUUUCUGUCUGUGUGACCUGAAGACUUAUUACACUUGAGGACUAUGAAUCCUCCAGCCAGUUAGGCGUCGCGUUCUGAGCAUCCAAGAGUCAUUGUGGAUUGCCGGUGAACGAAGUUUGUGAAGGUUUGGAAGUCUACCUUGAAGACUUACCAGAGUGAUUGGGCGAGGACUGUGUGUCCUUAGCUCAAGGGGAAUAAGGUGAAAACAUGGUCUUCUGAGUUGAAUCUCAGCCUCCCUAACUAUACGUACAGUUGUCAUAGCAACUGGAACUGGUCCAACAAAUCCUAUGUCUUCAACUAGUGACUGGUUCUAUCCUCUCCCUUCCUUUACUUAAGUUUGUCAUCGUGAAGUCAUUGCCUAUCUGUCGUACCUGUUUGAAUUCAUUGCUUGACUACUACUGUUGAUUGGCUUCAUACUAUCUUCCAUCCUGAUCCUUACUACUUAGCUGCUAUUAGUCCUGUACCUUCACAUCAUUGCAUACUUGACUAUGGUUUGCCUACUGUAGUUUAUCUUCCGCUGCAUCAAUUAGGUCAUUUCUACUGUUUGUCUUCGAAACUAUCAUGUUUUGAAGACUUUCAUAAAAAUCGCCUAUUCACCCCCCCCCCUGUAGUCGAUAAUAGCACUUUCAAUUGGUAUCAGAGCAAGGUACUCCCUUGUUUUGUGUGAUUCGGUUUAACCACCUGGAGUUUUAGCUAUGUCGACUGCAGGGAUAAUCAAGUUCUCCGCUGCUUGCCCCGUGUUCGAUGGAACUGAAUAUCCCUACUGGAAGAAUAAGAUGUGUAUGCAUCUUGAAGCCAUUGAUGUCGACCUCUGGUAUGUCGUCAAGAACGGCGUUCCCAAAACUAGUGAAGGUGUCACCCCUACUGAUGUCAAGAAGUUCAUUCAACUGGACUCUACUGCAAAGAACAUCAUCUGUGGUCAUCUGACCAAAGGACAGUAUGGCCAUGUGAGUGCUCUGGAAACGACAAAGCUAAUCUGGGACCGGCUUUCUGAGGUCUAUGAAGGUCAUCGCACUCGUCAUGAUCCGUGGUUUGAGGACUACAAGGAGUCUCUUAAGGAGAUGACCUUUGCACCUAAAUUAUCAUCAUCCUCAUCAUGCCUCAUGGCAAGGGGUGAUAAGGUAACUGAAUGCUCCCUCUCUGAAUCUAGCAAUGAUGAAUCAGGUGAUGAAUUUGGCCCUAGUUAUGUCAAGCUUGCUUCCCUUGCCACUAAACAACAAAGAGUCUUGGAAAAGGUUCAAGACAUGCUUAGUAAGAGCAAUGAUAUGUUGGGUGAAGAAAUGGAUCAGUCAAAAGCUUUGGCUGAGAGUCUUCAGAGACAUCAUUCCAAGUUUGACGCCCUUCAAGAUCAACAUAAUGCUCUCUUGUCUGAUCAUGAGAAGCUUUCUUCUGAAUGUCUUCAAAGAAAGCUAAACCUUGAAAAGAUAAGAGUGGAUUAUGAAGAUCUUCAGAAGGAGCGCGAUUCAUUACUUGCUCAACACAUCAGCAUUACACAGAAAGAAUUUGAACCACCAUGUCUAAAAUGCAUUGAGCGUGAUAACGCUACAUCUGUUGCUGAAUGUUCCACUGCUGCUACUGGUUCACUGUCUUCACCUACUGAUGUGGUUACUAACCCCUUUGCGGAGGAUACCACUACUGUUGCUGAUGAAAAUGCUAUGUUGAAGACAUUGCUUGAAACAGGGAUGUAUAAAAGUCUGAAAGGGCAUCAGACACUUUGCGAUGUCCUCAAAAAGCAUAUUCUGAACUGAAACCCUAGGAAAGAGGGUGUUGGGUUCGAGAGGAAAAUGAAUGUUGAUGGCUUGUACUGGAAGCCUGAGCAGUACCCCAAAACCACAUGGGUUGCUGCAAAGGAACCUUCAGUAGAUCCAUCCACUUUAUCUGGCUUUACCUGUGCUAAUCCUAUUAUCAUUGAUGAAUCCUUUGAUGCAAACUAUAAGUUGUUCAAGAAUCAGAAUGGUGAAGUGUUUGCCAGGUAUAUUGGUACUAACUGCAGGAAUGGACCACCGAUGAAGAAGAUCUGGGUACCUAAGCAGUACAUUGAGAAUCUUCCUGUGAAUGUCGUCAUGACACCACCAAGGAAGAAGACAAACCCCAGACCUAUAGCUUCAUAUUGCCCAAAGGCUUCAUACAGAUAUAGGACUCACCUGAGUCACCCUAACGCCAAUGUUUUGUAGGGAAAUCAUACUCAGACUUAUGAAUAUGAGUGUGUGUCUUCGAACCGCUAUGUUCAUAGAACUAAGAAAUUUUCUGCUUAUUCAUAUGAGUAUCAUUCAUCUCCUGCAAGGCUAUUUGCUAGGGCUCCAAAGCCAAAAUUCUCAGAUGCUGCACUUAGACUCAUUGCUUCUAAGCCACCCUUGAAAAUGUGGGCAGCGAAGAAGAAUUAACUUUCUUUUGCAUAGAAAGGUCUCCAGCCUGCAAUCAAAGGCAUCCGAUGCUAUUGCUGGGGACCUAAAACACAUUAAGGACGCAUGAUAAAAUGUCUUACUAUAUACAUCACAUUUGAAUCGCUUACCAGUCAUACUAUGUGUCCUAACCUUGAUCUAAGCUGUGAUAAUCCCUAUAUGUCAAAUGCUUACGCUUCACAACACUCUUGUGAAGCCUAUCCUCCUAACUGCACUAUAGGGUACAUCACCAAAAGCUUCAGAAUGGAUUAUGGACAGCGGAUGCACAAAUCAUAUGACUGGUGAUCGAAGUCUUCUCAUGGACUCAACCUUACGUCCAUCCGACAAGAGUCACAUCACAUUUUCUGACACUGGUAAAAGCAAGGUAUUGGGUCUAGGUAGACUUGCAAUCGCAAAGGAUCAACACAUGGAUAAAGUGAUGCUUCUUGAGUCCCUUGGGUUCAACUUAAUGUCUGUCUCAAUGCUUUGUGACUUGAACAUGAUUGUGCUAUUCGGAAAAUAUCGCUGCCUUGUACUAAUGGAAUCUGACAAGUCUCUAGUCUUUGAAGGGUAUCGGAAAGAUGAUCUAUACAUGGUAGAUUUCUCAGCAGGUCCACAGCUUGCCGUAUGUCUUAUCACAAAAGCUUCAGAAUGCUGGCUCUGGCAUCAAAGGCUGGGGCAUGCUGGCAUGAGGAACUUACACUCACUCGUCAAGAAGAAGCAUGUCAUAGGCAUCGAGUAUGUCAAGUUCAAGAAGGAUCAUUUGUGUGGUGCCUGCGAAGUUGGAAAGAUGACUAGGGCAAAGCACCCCUCGAAGGCAAUCAUGAUAACAUCUCAACCCUUCGAGCUGUUGCACAUGGACUUAUUUGGACCUACUCACUACUCCACCCUCACAACAACUGCUUGUCUCUAUGGCUUCGUCAUUGUUGAUGACUAUUCAAGAUACACAUGGGUUCAUAUAAUUCUCUACAAGACUGAAGUAAGAUGUCUUCAGACGCUUCGCCAAUCGAGCAAUGAACAAUUACGGUGUGAAGAUCAAGCAUAUCAGAAGUGAUAAUGGCACUGAAUUGAAGAACACCGGACUUGAUCUUUAUCUGGAUACAAUGGGGAUCACUCAUGAGUUCUCUGCUCCAUACACACCUCAGCAAAAUGGCAUCGUAGAACACACGAAUAGAACCCUCAUUGAGAUGGCUUGAACAAUGAUCGAUGAAUACAAGACACCAAGAAAGUUCUGGCCUGAAGCUAUUGAUACAGCAUGUCACAUCAUCAAUCGUGUCUACAUCCAUAAGCUUCUGAACAAAACAUCAUAUGAGCUCCUUACUGGCAAGAAGCCAAAUGUCAGUUACUUCAGGGUAUUUGGAGCUAGGUGCUGGAUCAAGGACCCCCAUCACAAGUCAAAAUUUGCACCUAAAGCUCACGAAGGCUUCAUGCUUGGCUAUGGAAAGGACUCACACUCCUACAGAGUCUUCAACCUCUAUCUCUACAAAAUCGUCGAAACUGUGGAUGUGAGAUUUGAUGAAACCAAUGGUUCACAAAGAGAACUCCUGCCAAGUACACUAGAUGAAGCUCCUCCAAGCAAAUCUAUCAAGCUGAUGGGAACUGGUGAAAUCAUGCCUUCUGAAGCACAGCCUGAAGAGGAACUUAUCAUUUCUGCACCAAACCAACCUGAAGACAAUGCUCAGAACGAAGACAAUCCUCCCAAUGAUGACAAUGAUCAGCAAGAGCAAAGUCUUCGUCUGGUUCAUCCUCGUGUUGCAAAUGAAGUACAAAUUGAGAAGAUAAUUGACAGCAUCAAUGCGCCUGGUCCACUUACUCGCUCAAGAGCAACACAGUUAGCAAACUUCUGUGGGCACUUUUCAUUUGUGUCAAUAUCAGAACCCAAGAAAGUUGCUGAAGCUUUUAUGGAACCUGAAUGGAUUCAAGCUAUGCAAGAAGAACUUCAACAGUUCAAGCUAAACAAUGUUUGGGAACUUGUCAAGCGACCUGACCCUCGCAAGCAUAACAUUAUUGGAACAAAAUGGAUAUAUCGAAACAAGCAAGAUGAGCAUGGUCAAGUCGUCAGAAACAAAGCACGUCUUGUGGCUCAAGGAUAUACUCAAGUGGAAGGAAUUGACUUCGAUGAAACAUUUGCUCCUGUGGCUAGGCUUGAAGCUAUUCGCAUACUGCUAGCCUACACAAAUCAUCACAACAUCUUGCUAUAUCAAAUGGAUGUGAAGAGUGCAUUUCUCAACGGCAAGAUUGAAGAAGAAGUAUAUGUAGCUCAACCACCUGGCUUUGAAGAUCCAAAACAUCCUGAUAUGGUGUACAAGCUAAACAAAGCACUAUAUGGCCUCAAACAAGCUCCUCGCGCUUGGUAUGAUACGAUCAAAGACUUCCUGAAGAGCAAAGGCUUCAAACCAGGAUCCCUCGAUCCCACACUCUUCACGAAGACAUAUGAUGGUGAACUGUUUGUGUGCCAAAUAUAUGUGGAUGACAUAAUCUUCGGCUGCACCAACCAGAAGUAUAGUGAUGAGUUUGGGUACAUGAUGCAAGAGCAAUAUCAGAUGUCCAUGAUGGGUGAGCUAAAGUUCUUCCUUGGUCUUCAAAUUCGUCAGCAAAGGAAUGGCAUCUUCAUAUCUCAAGAACAAUAUCUCAAAGAUUGUCUGAAGAAGUUUGGAAUGGAAGACUGCAAAGGUUACACGACGCCAAUGCCAGCCAAAUACCAUCUUGGUCCCGACGACAAUGGUAAAGAGUUCGAUCAAAAGGUAUACCGCUCCAUGAUUGGUUCUUUACUUUAUCUAUGUGCAUCUAGGCCAGAUAUUAUGCUUAGUGUUUGCAUGUGUGCUCGAUUCCAAGCGGCACCAAAGGAAUCGCAUCACUUAGCUGUGAAGCGAAUUCUUCGAUAUUUGGCUUACACCCCAACACUCGGAUUAUGGUAUCCCAAGGGCUCAAAAUUUGAUUUGAUUGGAUUCUCGGAUGCUGAUUAUGCUGGUGACAAGGUGGAUCGCAAGUCUACAUCAGGCACAUGUCACUUUUUGGGUCGAUCACUUGUUUGUUGGUCUUCAAAGAAGCAGAACUGUGUAUCACUCUCAACUGCUGAAUUUGAAUACAUUGCUGCUGGAUCUUGUUGCGCUCAGCUUCUAUGGAUGAAGCAAACUCUCAAGGACUAUGGCAUCAAUCUGAAACAAGUACCUCUCUUCUGCGACAACGAAAGUGCCAUCAAGAUAGCCAACAAUCCAGUCCAGCACUCAAAGACAAAGCACAUUGAAAUUCGUCAUCACUUGCUCAGAGAUCAUGUCAUGAAGAAAGAUAUCGACAUCAUUCACGUCAACACUGAAGAGCAACUGGCAGAUAUCUUCACAAAGCCCUUGGAUGAGAAAAGGUUUUGCAAGUUACAGUGUGAGCUAAAUAUCUUGGAAUCCUCUAAUGUCCUGUGAUCAGGCACACAUCCUAACACUUAUGCAUGUUGAUGACUUAGAUGUGCAACACACAAAGUACUGUAUAUCUUCAAUCAACAAAGACUUACAUUCUGAGUGUGAAUACAUUAACAUGGAAAUUGACUUCGGAACGCCACGAUAAUUGUGCGCCGUGUCUGGGUCUAAUACUUCCUAUACGGUGGGUAACGCCACCACCAAAUUUCUCUGGUUAAAGUGUUUCACUCAUGGCGUUAUUUUGCAAUGACUUCGCAUUUGGUUUGUCUUCAGUUUCAAUUUAUCUUCAUGAUUCUCUUCACUAUGAUGAUUUGAUUGCUUUCUAAUAUAUAUAUAUAUAUAUAUACUAGUGUUCUGUCCUCUACAGCAUUCACUUGUAGCUAUGUCUUCAAGUUGAAUCUUUUGAACUAAGUGAAUGUGAUCGGACCCUAACCUCUCUAUGCUUUCAACCUCAAACUCUAUCUGUCCAAAUCAUAUGCAUUCUAUUGAAACUAUCGAAUGUCUUCUCUGCGUCCUAGUCAGCAGAAGGCAUAGAGACAAACAUUAAGUCUGUUUUAAAUAACUCAUCUUUAUUGUUGAAAUCCGGCGAAGCCGAAACAACUAUCCGACAUGCCUGGCGGGCGUGGGAACGUGGGACAACUCUAAGUAUGUUGCAUGCUUGCCACGUGCCCCUCAGAUGUGAACCGCCAGGGGCACCAGCGUAAUUGCGUUGUGCUGCACACCUCCUUAUAAAUACUUGUCCCCUGCGGUAAAGAAAUCCUUCUUCCACCUCUCCACCUCGUCAAAACCCUAGCGCCACCGCUAGCUCUCGACGACGCCAGCGACGAAGCGCUUAGCUGUCGCGACUUCUCCGACCCUGUCCUCACGCUGGCCACGGACAUCGUCCUCUCCGCUGUCGCCGUAGGUGUCCUCCGUCGCCAAGUUAGGGCACGGUGGACUGAACUGAUCGGUCUCCUAUUCAUCCCAUCUAGCAGUUCUUUGUGCGGUAAUUAUAACUCUAUUUUUACCACCUUUUUGAUCUUCAAGAUUCAUCCUAUUUACCGAAAGUGGUUUCUGCCUACACAAUGUUAGAUCUAUUCUGUCUGCAUCUCAUACUGCCUAGUCUAUUCACUUAGAUUUCAUAUCUAGUUUGAUUCCUCACUUGUACUUAUUCACGGAUUCGUACAAAUCUAGAACCAACUCACCCAUAUAAGUGAAUGUCUUCGCAUCAUGAGAUCAAUGUCUUCAAACUGAUUUAUCUUCAAAAUCUUCUGAGAAUGCAUAUGACCUCUUCCCCUUCCCUCGCAUCUCUAAUGCUGUCACAGGUACAUGUCCGUGGGAGAAUCCCUUGGUUCUCAUAGUCUGCAUUUGUUUGCAGAAUACUUACAGCAACACAUUAACUCUCCCGAAGCCAGUUCCUGCUUGACCAGCAAGCGUAAGUCUCUGAAGCCUUUGAACGUAUUGAAGCCAUUCAGUUUGAAGUUCAUGGCUGCAGAAAAAUCAGUAAGGAAGGGUGGCAGACAGCGCCGAGAGGGAACAUCCAAAGAUAUACCUGAUGACCUAGCAGAGCUCUACAAGACAGAUCCCGAAGAGAAUUAUCAUCAGCACAAGACACGAAUCCAAUGGAUUCGACGCUAUUGGGCUUAAGAAUGGUUCAAGUACAAGUUCGUGACCAAGGAAUAUGCAGAGAAGAAUGCAAUCAAGAGUCCUUGGGGCAAUAUUCUCUAUAGAGGCCUUCAACCCAAGAACAGAGCUGAAGCUAUUGCACAAGGUUUCUAUCCUUGUAUGGUCCGUGGACCUCAGCCUGAGAACGCCGAUCCCUCAUCAUUACUCUGGUGUCGUGAUGAUACACUCUUCAAGCGCAAUUUCAAGCACGCAAAGGCUUCGUCCAAGGAAAACAAGAAGUCAUUGGGAUUAGACUUCAAAAUUCGGCUCAAGGUAAAUUUGUCUCUCACAAAGUUUUGAAGCUUUUAAAUCCGGUUUAAAGUUCCGGUUCAAAAAGAAUUAAUCUCUCGCAAGUUCGAGUUCUCAGAAAAAUUAAAGGUUGCCAAAAGAACUUGCUACCAUGAUGCGCGGUUCAAACUUGGGUAUCCUGCCUUACGGCUUAUCUUAUUAUGAUCACUUGGGGGCUUCCUGCUCAUCGAGCAUAGCUAUCAGUACCCUCUUGAUCGUCACAAUGCAAAAACUUAUAUGGUCACUUGGGGGCUUCCUGUUCAAACAUAGGUCAUAUUCGAACCAAAGAGAACAUAGCUGUCAAUACCCUUUUGAUGGGCAAACUGCUGAACCUACUUGGGGGCUUCUUGAUCGUAUCUGAAUCAUAGCUCAACCCCUUUGGGAAUCGACGUGGAUCUUAUUCGAAUCAGCGUCGCUAAACAACUCUUAAGGUCAUUUGGAGGCUUCAUAUUCAAACAUAGGUCAUAUUCGAACCAAAGAGAACAUAGCUGUCGAUACCCUCUUGAUCGGCAUCGCCAAAGCCACUGGGGGCUAUAUGAUCGUAUUCGAAUCUUAGCUUAACCCCUUUGGAACGGUUUACUAAUCGUAUUCAUAUCAGAAGACUAAAAUUUUUUAUCUGUUUUUAUACAAUCGCAAGUAUUUGAGUUGUCACAAAUAUCAUAUGUGCCGGCUCUUACAGAGUUGAGUUAUCAAACUUCACUGUCCAGGUCACAUAAACCGGCGGUAUCAUUCAAAGGAUCAUAGGGAUCUUGUGAUCUACUUGUGUGCAGGACAAGACUACAUUUGGGUGGUUACCCGCCCUGGCUUUUGAUGUUAAGUCGCCAGGGCAUAUGUUGUUUAAACUCUCUGCAGGAUUUACAGAGCAAUGACAUAUAUAAAUGAUUAAGUUCAAGCUCAUUAUCAAAAUUGAUGCUUCAAAAUGAUUAUCCGUUCUGAAUUUUCUCAAAGGCUAUAAGCCGCCGGGUUAUAAAAAUUCCGGCUUACAAUGGAGGUGUAUUAAAUCGCCAUCGGCCAAGAGCCGACGGGUAUUUAAACUCCGGAUUUACUUGUCAACUGAUGAGGUAUUCAAAUCUUUAAUAGCCAAAACUGGCUGGAUUUUCAUGGUGAUAUUGAAUGAUUGAGGUUUUCAUAUCGGAUUAUAUUAUUCAAAAUCUUGAAUAGCCAACAUGGCUGGAUUUCUAUUGUGAUUAUCAAUAACCAGUGUUAUGAUUGAGGUUUUCAAAGUCGCUUUAGCGCAACGGCUAUUAUUUUUAUCAAUGGGCAUGAUUUAUUUUACAAUGGAGGAAAUAGUCCCGAGUCGUUGCAGGCUUACGACCCGGCUUGGGGGCUACAUUGUUUAAAUUGAGAUUACAUCGAAUAUACAAGUCCCAUGUCACUGCCAGCAUGCACCAUGGCACUUGGGGGCUAAUGCAAAGUCAGUUUUGUUCACCUCAUUGAAGACCCGACUCAUCACAUCGUAAUGAGUCGGCCCUUGGGGGCUACCAAUUGCUCCUGUCAAAAAUUCAAGGUACACAAGCAUUAAUCCAUUAUAUUGAAUGGUCCACUAUUUAGUUGGUGGAGUACAAAGCUCUUAACCUUGUGGACGUGGGUUCAAGCCCCAUGGUGGAGAUUAUAUUAUAUGAUGCUAUUAUCAAUUAUAUACAAGGUCCCAGCUCAGUAUUAUCUUACUAAGCCGGCCCUUGGGGGCUACACAUAGCUGUUCAAAUUUACAUGGUUAUAUCACAAAGUCCCUGCUCAUUAUUGCAUAAUGACCCGGCCCUUGGGGGCUACACUAGUUGAAGUUUUCAUGAGCAUAAAGCAAUUACAAGUCCUAGGUUUCUGCAAGCAUGACAAUCCAGCACUUGGAGGCUACAUAUGUGGAAUAUUCAGUUUAUGACUAAUGAUUGAGAUGAAUAACCCGGAUUUCUUCAAGGUUGCAACACUUAUAUCGAAGCAAGUCUUAAGUUAUCACUAUGUUCUCCUCUUAAGACUUGAGGGCUACAGGUAUUAUGCAUAUAAAGAAGGAACAUCUUCAAAUUCUCAGCUUUGAGUAAAUCAAGAAGAUCAAUUACAUGACCUGGUUUUAACAACAAUUAUGACUCGACAUCAUCAGUCUUUUAUAACCCAGAGAUUUUGGAAAUUAUAACUCGGCAAGAUCUACAUCUUUAAGCCGGUUGAAAAUCAGAUUGAUUGUGAAGCUGGUCUAUUGACCCGGAUUUUCCAGAAGAAGGAAAUGACAAGGACUUAAGGAUGUUCAGGUGCUGGUUUACAAGAGUUCUUAACCUGGAGCACAACCUGUCAAAUUUGUUCUUGUGUUUAUUUUGCAGCAUAAGUUUACCACGGAUAAAUCCAAGCUAAACUUGGGGGCUAAUGUCGGGGAUAUACCCCGCGGCGUAACCCGGCCGGAAGUAUAACCCGGCCGGACUUGGCGACUCACUAAGGACCCGCCCUGACUAGACGACACGCUAAGUGACCCGCCCGAUCCUGGCGACUUAUGGGUGACCUGGCAAGCGGAUCAGAGGAGCGACAAGACCCGGGGGUCCAGGAGGCUCAAGGCCCAGAAGGCCGGCUUAUGUUAUGGUAGGCCGGCUUAAGAGGAAAGGCGUGAGGAAUAUCUUCCUUGCAAGGAAUCAAGACCCGGACUUGUAUCUGGUUUGUAGUAGAAGAUAGGCUAGUCCUAAUCCUAUUUGGACUCCACAUGUAACCCGCACCUCUAACUUAUAUAAGGAGGGGCAGGGCACCCCAAAACAAGAAAACAAGAUCUAGGGCUAGACACAAAGGGGGAGCCGGCUUAUGCGGCGACUCCCUCAUGAGCAUAAUGAAACCUAGCCUCAAACAACAUGUAGGGCUAUUCCGGAUGAUGUUUCCCGGGGCCCGAAGCUGUCUAAAUCCUCGUCUUGCGUGUUGCGUCUCUCGUCCCGAUCAACCCUCUCAAGCUACCACAUAGAUGCGUUGGCCUCGCGACUAAGUCCUGACACUAAGGACAUCUGACGUGACAAUUCCACGAUAGUUGGCGCCCACCGUGGGGCCUGGCGCACGGUGGUGAUGAGUUCUUGGAGGGAUCUCUCUCAAGGGUUGAGAAGUUCGUAAUCUUCGCGAGGAGGAAAUUCCCGUUUAGAAGGAUCUGCGUCAGUUUCAGAUUAGCCAGUCUGGAUUGGCAAUAUACGAGAUAUGAGAAGCUAGGGUUCGGCGUCCUGUACGCCGCCGCCAACGCGGCUUGGCGAGCCGAAGCCAGAUCGAUAAGGAAACCGAGACCGACAAAAUUAUAUUACUGAUUCAACUCGUACGUGGAGAUUGACCAGAAGCAACCCGCUGAGCCGCUGUUCCCGCACCUACUGUCUUCAAGUCCCGAGGAAGCCAGAGCUGCUAUUAUGCGAUUUUCAAUUGAUCUCUACAGCUACUACUCACGGGAUAUUACAAGGUUGGGCGCUUAUAGGCGCCGGCGCACCGGUCGAAACUUUCGGCCGGUCCAGCCCAGGCCAUCGGAUGUGAGCCAGACGGCCGUUGGAUCCAGGCAAAAAAAACAGAUCGCCCCCAGCUUCUUCUUCCUCGCGCAGGCGGCCUGGAUUCGCAUCUCCCGCUCGGGGAGCACGACGCCGCGCCUCCUGUCCCCUCCGGUGGUCGUCCCCGUUGUCAGUCCCCACCCUCGCCGGCCAUCCUCGUCGCCCACCGGACCCCUCCCUCGCCGGCCGUCCUCGUCAACGGUCCCCCACCCUCCUGGCCUUGUUCUCGCCUCGACCAAUGCACCAGCUCCACCUACGAUUGCAGCUCUUGACGAUGAAGGUUGUAGCUCCGCCGCCCUCGCCAUUGAUGCUCGCUGCAGGAAAAAUACGUCGACGGCGGCCGUGAGUCAAUCAACACCAUUUGAAUGGAUGUAGCAAAAAAUUUCACCGGUAGUAGCAAAAUCAAACUACGGGUGCACCAAAAACGACGUCGCCACCUUUGCGAGGUCGCAGCUCCGCCUUACAUGGAUGUAGCAAAAACCUCCAACGGUAGUAGCAAAAUCCCGCUACGGUUGCAGCAAAAAAAUCAUUGUCGUCCUUGCGAGGUCGCAGCUCUGCCUGAUGGAUGUAGCAAAAAGCUUUGCCGGUAGUAGCAAAAUCCAACAACGGUUGCAGCUUUCCCUUUUUGUGCAGUGCCGUUGAAGCUUUCUAUGUCUAUGGUUGAAGCUUUUCUAGGUGACGGUUGCAACACUUGUAUACGCGGGAGGAUCCGGGCGCUGCGAGCUCCCUCGGUCACCGGCGAGAUGGGAUGGUCGCCGCGAGCUCCGAGCGGGGAGGGGAGCGCGUGGCGCUGCGACCGGGGGGCAGGGGGAGGGGGGUGGGAGGAGGGGGAAGGGAUGGAAAAGGGGUGGGGAGGAGAGGGCAGAAGAAGAGGGCGGCGCGACGCGAGGAAGAGGAAGAGGAAUAAGGGGAUCGGGAGGAGGAAGAAGGGGAUCGGGAGGAGCGCGAGCGUACGAUGCGUUGCGCGUCGCUUCGAUCGAGUGGCCCGUGUGGGACCGGCGGAACGGUUCGACCGAUGCGCCGUUCCUAAACACUUCCCUACAAGGUUUCACUGUUGCUGCUAUGUCACGUCAAACCAUCAAUCAACCGGAUCAAGUACUACAGGACUAGUACUUUCUCACGUGAGGCUAGUAAGUAGUACUGGUUUAGUUUUUUAAUUACCAAAGGGAAGACCACAACCCGAUCCUUUCAACUGGGCCCGACCCGGAAGCGGAUACAACCACGACCCGGAAGCGGUUUCUACCAUCGAGUCGCCGUCACUCCGUCGUUCUCCGCCCCCGUGGCUUCGAGCCGCUGCCCGGCCCUCCGUCACCAAGCUGCCGCAGCCGUGGUCCCGCCACCGACGGCCGGUCGCCUCCGCCGUGAGACGCCGCAGCGCCGCUUCCAUGCUCCUUGCUCAGCCGAGAGCUGUCGGGCUACCUCUCCGGCUGUGGCUAGCUGCGGUUGCGGCCUCGCCGACCUGACCCGCCUCCACCUCUUCUGCCGGGCCUUGAGCAGGCCACGGCCAUCCAGCACCAUCUCUACCGCGGCGGCUUGCCUUCCGCUGUGGCCAGCCUCCGCACCUCGCGCUGCCUCGCGCUGACGCGGCCACAAGCUGCCUUGCCACGGGUUUCCCCGAGCUGCCUUGUGCCGCUGAGAGCCGCCGCCGGUCUGUCAUCAACAAGUCGCCGGUACUUCUCCGCCUCCAUGGCCGACCACCGAGCUGCCGGCCGCUGCCCUACGCAUGCGUCGCCGUGGCUCAACAUGCCUUUGCCUGUUCAGCCGUCUCCACUUCGAGCAAGCUCUUUGUGGUUCUAUACUAUGGCUGAGAAGAGGAUGUGGCUGACCUGGUCAACUGACUGCAAAAAGACAUGAAACAUGGAUCAUUAUUGGCAACAGUUUAGCACCCGUGGUCAUCUACUAGUAGUAGUAGUAUGUGCACGCUUCUCAGAUCAAGUUGUUUUUCUCAAACUCAUCAGAGAUCACGUGGUGGAGAAAUCAACACUACCGACUCAGCAAAUAUCAGACCAGACGGAGUGCUAGAUCCGCAGAUUAGCACGUUCACGCUGCUGCUGGGCCUCCGUAUCCCGGUUAAACUAUGGACGUAUAAAGAUCAUCUGUCAUCCCAAUGCACCAGGUGAUAUCUGUCUAAUCUAUUUUAUAAACAUAUUUAUUCUUUCAAGAACAAUACUCUGGCAUGUAUAUUUUAAUGUGCAGGGCAAGGAUUCACAAUAUUAUUUUAAAUGUGACAUCAUAUCACGGGUACGGAGUAUCCGACAGCACCAUCUUGCGACCAACAUUCGUCCACGUGUCUUACGACCCGGCGACUAAUUCACUAUAUUUCUGUCAUGAACCGUCACACUUCUGUCAUGAGCUGUCUCUACUUCAACAUUCGGGUCUCACCUCGGGGCGUCUGCGGUGUCAUUUUGAGCCGUUUUCAUUGCUAUAAACCGUCGCUUCUGCCGAGGCCUUGAGAGAUUGAUUAAAUCGCCGCUGAAAUUACUGAGGUGAUCCAUGAUGCUGUGUUUGAAUCAUCUGUCAUCAAAGUACAUCAGGUGAUAUUCAUUUAAAGUUUGUUUAUUUAGCACAUGUUGUUUUGGUCAAAGAACAGUUCAUCUUUGCCUUGGUUUACAAUAUUGUUUAUGCAGGGCAAUUAUUUAUGACAAAAAGUGAUAUUAUACUGCGGAGAUGGAAAGCAUGCCAACAUCUUUUGGCACAGGUGGUCGUCGUUACCCAACGAACUCCCGCACCGGCUUAUAACGCCGUGGCCGUCUCUCGCUAUCGCGCCAGCUUACAAUGUUGUGGCCGUCUAUCGCGACCACGCCGGCUUACAACAAGGAGGACAACUUGCCCGUCCGCACCGGCUUACAGCGCCGCGGCCGGUUCAUCUGUCUGUGCCGCCUCAGAUGUUGCGGUCGUCUUUACCGUUCGUCUCUCGUGGCCUGGUCUACAUCAACACAUCGGGCCGCACCUGUCUGCAUGAGUUGUUUAUUGAGUAUGAUCAAGUCACUACUUGGGAAGCCCGGUUUUCUUCCAACAAAAUUGGAGGCAAAUUAUCAUGUAUUAUUAGCCGCCGUCUGCACUGGAUGGCUCAAUGGACAGGUGCACAAGUCGCCGCCACUACGGUUUGGUUAACUUCAAACAGCCAGUUGGAAGGAACCAUUGGCCGAGUUGCUGACAUGGCUCAUACGGGAUCAUUUAUAACCCGCCGCACUCACGCCAACCUUCUGUGGAUUCACAUCGCCCUAUCAACGCCAAUGAUAUACACCUUCUGCUAUAGUCACAUAUGGAGAAUCUCAAGCCAACUCCUCGAGUCGUCUUGAGACUCGGGGGCGACAAUGGUAUGACUCGGCAAAAUUAGCUGGUUUCAAUGAAUUCAAGAACUCUGGGUCAUUGAAGGGAAAAUAACCCGGGCCCGGAGAUUACUGCAAGAUCGAUGAAUAUUUAAAGGCCGUCAGAAGAUUUCCGGCUCAGAAUGAGAAUUCUGGGUUAAAAUUCGGUUCAAAAGACAUCUCUCUACCACAAAGCUUUGAAGCUCUCAAAACCGGUUCAAAAUCCGGUUCAAGGGAAAUUUAUCUACCACAAAGCUAUGAAGCUCUCAAAUCCGGUUCAAAAUCCGGCUCAAGGUAAAUUUGUCUCUCACAAAGUUUUGAAGCUUUUAAAUCCGGUUUAAAGUUCUGGUUCAAAAAGAAUUAAUCUCUCGCAAGUUCGAGUUCUUAGAAAAAUUAAAGGUUGCCAAAAGAACUUGCUGCCAUGAUGCGCGGUUCAAACUUGGGUAUCCUGCCUUACGGCUUAUCUUAUUAUGACCACUUGGGGGCUUCCUGCUCAUCGAGCAUAGCUAUCAGUACCCUCUUGAUCGGCGCAAUGCCAAAACUUAUAUGGUCACUUGGGGGCUUCCUGUUCAAACAUAGGUCAUAUUCGAACCAAAGAGAACAUAGUUGUCGAUACCCUUUUGAUUGGCAAACUGCUAAACCUACUUGGGGGCUUCUUGAUCGUAUCCGAAUCAUAGCUCAACCCCUUUGGGAAUCGACGUGGAUCGUAUUCGAAUUAGCGUCGCUAAACAACUCUUAAGGUCAUUUGGGGGCUUCCUGUUCAAACAUAGGUCGUAUUCGAACCAAAGAGAACAUAGCUAUCGAUACCCUCUUGAUCGGCAUCGCCAAAGCCACUAGGGGCUAUAUGAUCAUAUUCGAAUCUUAGCUUAACCCCUUUGGAACGGUUUACUGAUCGUAUUCGUAUCAGAAGCCUCAAAAUUUGUAUCUGUUUUUAUACAAUCGCAAGUAUUUGAGUUGUCACAAAUAUCAUAUGUGCCGGCUCUUACAAAGUUGAGUUAUCAAACUUCACUGUCCGGGUCACAUAAACCGGCGGUAUCAUUCAAAGGAUCAUAGGGAUCUUGUGAUCUACUUGUGUGCAGGAUAAGACUACAUUUGGGUGGUUACCCGCCCUGGCUUUUGAUGUUAAGUCGCCAGGGCAUAUGUUGUUUAAACUCUCUGCAGGAUUUACAGAGCUAUGACAUAUAUAAAUGAUUAAGUUCAAGCUCAUUAUCAAAAUUGAUGCUUCAAAAUGAUUAUCCGUUCUGGAUUUUCUCAAAGGCUAUAAGCCGCCGGGUUAUAAAAAUUCCGGCUUACAAUGGAGGUGUAUUAAAUCGCCAUCAGCCAAGAGCCGCCGGGUAUUUAAACUCCAGAUUUACUUGUCAACUGAUGAGGUAUUCAAAUCUUUAAUAGCCAAAACUGGCUGGAUUUUCAUGAUGAUAUUGAAUGAUUGAGGUUUUCAUACCUGAUUAUAUUAUUCAAAAUCAUGAAUAGCCAACAUGGCUAGAUUUCUAUUGUGAUUAUCAAUAACCAGUGUUAUGAUUGAGGUUUUCAAAGUCGCUUUAGCGCAACGGCUAUUAUUUUUAUCAAUGGGCAUGAUUUAUUUUACAAUGGAGGAAAUAGUCCCGAGUCAUUGCAGGCUUACGACCCGGCACUUGGGGGCUACAUUGUUCAAAUUGAGAUUACAUCGAAUAUACAAGUCCUAUGUCACUGCCAGCAUGCACCAUGGCACUUGGGGGCUAAUGCAAAGUCAGUUUUACUCACCUCAUUGAAGACCCGACUCAUCACAUCGUAAUGAGCCGGCCCUUGGGGGCUACCAAUUGCUCAUGUCAAAAAUUCAUGGUACACAAGCAUUAAUCCAUUAUAUUGAACGGUCCACUAUUUAGUUGGUGGAGUACAAAGCUCUUAUCCUUGUGGACGUGGGUUCAAGCCCCAUGGUGGAGAUUAUAUUAUAUGAUGCUAUUAUCAAUUAUAUACAAGGUCCCAGCUCAGUAUUAUCUUACUAAGCCGGCCCUUGGGGGCUACACAUAGCUGUUGAAAUUUACAUGGUUAUAUCUACAAAGUCCCUGCUCAUUAUUGCAUAAUGACCCGGCCCUUGGGGGCUACACUGGUUGAAGUUUUCAUGAGCAUAAAGCAAUUACAAGUCCCAGGUUUCUGCAAGCAUGACAACCCGGCACUUGGGGGCUACAUAUGUGGAAUAUUCAGUUUAUGACUAAUAAUUGAGAUGAAUAACCCGGAUUUCUUCAAGGUUGCAACACUUAUAUUGAAGCAAGUCUUAAGUUAUCACUAUGUUCUCCUCUUAAGACUUGAGGGCUACAGGUAUUACGCAUAUAAAGAAGGAACAUCUUCAAAUUCUCAGCUUUGAGUAAAUCAGGAAGAUCAAUUACAUGACCCGUGUCAACAACAAUUAUGACUCGACAUCAUCAGUCUUCUAUAACCCGGAGAUUUUGGAAAUUAUAACUCGGCAAGAUCUACAUCUUUAAGCCGGUUGAAAAUCAAAUUGAUUGUGAAGCUGGUCUAUUGACCCAUAUUUUCCAGAAGAAGGAAAUGACAAGGACUUAAGGAUGUUCAGGUGCUGGUUUACAAGAAUUCUUAACCCGGAGCACAACCUGUCAAAUUUGUUCUUGUGUUUAUUUUGCAGCAUAAGUUUACCAUGGAUAAAUCCAAGCUAAACUUGGGGGCUAAUGUCGGGGAUAUACCCCGCGGUGUAACCCGGCCGGAAGUAUAACCCGGUCGGACUUGGCGACUCACUAAUGACCCGCCCUGACUGGACGACACACUAAGUGACCCGCCCGAUCCUGGCGACUUAUGGGUGACCUGGCAAGCGGAUCAGAGGAGCGACAAGACCCGGGGGUGGAGGCUCAAGGCCUAGAAGGCCGGCUUAUGUUAUGGUAGGCCGGCUUAAGAGGAAAGGCGUGAGGAAUAUCUUCCUUACAAGGAAUCAAGACCCGGACUUGUAUCCGGCUUGUAGUAGAAGAUAGGCUAGUCCUAAUCCUAUUUGGACUCCACAUGUAACCCGCCCCUCUAACUUACAUAAGGAGGGGCAGGGCACCCCAAAACAAGAAAACAAGAUCUAGGGCUAGACACAAAGGGGGAGCCGGCUUAUGCGGCGACUCCUCAUGAGCAUAAUGAGACCUAGCCUCAAACAGCAUGUAGGGCUAUUCCGGAUGAUGUUUCCCGGGGCCCGAAGCUGUCUAAAUCCUCGUCUUGCGUGUUGCGUCUCUCGUCCUGAUCAACCCCUCUCAAGCUACCACAUAGAUGCGUUGGCCUCGCAACUAAGUCCUGACACUAAGGACAUCUGACGUGACAAUUCCACGACAAGAGGCCUUCAACCCAAGAACAGAGCUGAAGCUAUUGCACAAGGUUUCUAUCCUUGUAUGGUUCGUGGACCUCAGCCUGAGAACGCUGAUCCCUCAUCAUUACUCUAGUGUCGUGAUGAUACUCUCUUCAAGCGCAACUUCCAGCACGCAAAGGCUUCAGCCAAGGAAAACAAGAAGUCAUUGGGAUUAGACUUCAACUCUGGUCCCUCUGCUCCCCGUGCUGACGGCUCACGUGAUGCAGAACCUAAUGUCAUCGGCCCCUUCUCCAACCUCGAUGGCCUCAUCACCUACAUCUUGGCCCAAGGUGCCAAGGUAGAUCAUUCUGAUAAUGAUGCUGACACUGAUGAAGCCCCAGCUCCUCCUCCAAAGGCGCAGAAGCAAAAUAAGCCAAAGGCUUCAAGAUCAGCUGCACCUCCAAAAGCUUCACGUGCGAAGCCACUGGCCACUGCACCUCCUGAAGACAGUGUGCAGUGUGAAGAUCAAUCACGUAUCUCCAAGAGGACGGAGAAGAAAAAGCAAAUUGUCAGGCAUACUGAUCAAACCUUGACUCCUACUGCCAUUCUGCGUGAAGAACCCAUUGACCUGUCCAGCGAUGAAGAUCUUGCAGAUUCUGCCCUUGAGCAACUGAUCAAAAGCAAGGAAGAAGCAGAGAUCUUCAACAACCUGCCUCUCUUUGAUGUGGCAAUCAUCCAUAACUUCAUUGAUGAGUGGUUUGACACACCAAAUCUCAGCUUUGAAGAUCUGCAGCUUCCCAUCGGCCUCAGCGUCUCUUUCAAUGGCGCCAUUGCUUCUGAGCUAGCUCUCGCUCAGCGCAUCGUUGAGCUGAAGAACAAAAUUGAUUAUGAGAAGGCUCAGUUCAAGAAGCAUGUGGCGAAGCUCAGUGUGCAAGAUGUUAGAAACUUCAAGGUCAUGCUGCAUGAGCUUAAAGAAGCCUUUCUCAAGAAGUGCCAAGAAGCUCAGGGCUCACGCGAGCGCAUGAAGAGUUUGGCUGACAAAUGCGUGCUUGCAUACAAUGAGGCUGAGAAGCACAAGUCUCUUGGUCGUCCUGGCAUUGACCCUAGGAUGGCUACAAAGAAGAAGAAGCUCUCUACUGCCCAGCCUGCACCUUCAAGUCAAGAAGCCCCUCGCAUUGUCUUCCCAAGCAGCAUGACUGGCUCGAAGCUAAAGGUCCUUUCAACCGCUUCAGAACAGAAGAAGACGAGGACUGCCGAGGCUGAAGCCAGAAAGAGGAAGAAUACUGAAGCCUAUGAUGCCGCUCCUCCAAGAAGAAGCGCAAGACCAAGAAGAAUAGGGCUGCUCCCACAGAGCCCUUGGUUGUUGAACCCAUCUCAGUGGUUCGCCCUGCGUCUGAACAUGAAGAACGAUGAAUGAUAGUUCAUGAGCCUACUACCACAGAGGCCCAUGAAGCUGAAGACAUUCCAGCAGCUGAACCCACCGCUGCUAAAGACAUUGGUCAAGAUGACAAUGUUGAAGAUGAUGAAGUUCUUCCUCAGAUCGAACACAACGUGGUAUCAUCGCCUGUUCUCACGAACAGCGAACUCAUCAGCAUUGGUCGUCCUGUGACGCCAACUGCUCAGGAUGCAUCGUGGGCUGAUCACCCAUAGCAACAAGACUCCCCAAGUACUCCCCAACAACAACAAGUUACACCACCCGUGCAAGUAGAAGAAGAAGACUUUGAGGCCCGGCCAACUCCAUCUCCAAAGGCGUCGCCAGCAUUUCGCAGGCUUCGCAAAGGACAAAGGCCUCAAGUCCCUCUCGCGAGCGUUCCAGAAGGAGAAGUCCAUCACCAACCUGUUGCACGUCAAGUGUUUCCUCAAGCCACUCCAACUGUGAAUGUCUCCGUGUCUGAAGCCCAAGCUGCUGAAGACAAUCCGGCUGCAUCAGCCGAUGAAAGACAAGAAGACGUACGUGUCCCUACUCCCCCAGUUAUUGAAGAAGUUGUUCCUGAUGUGAACGCACCAGUGCCCGACCCUCCAGCUCGUCAAGUGGAUGUUGAAAAUCCUGAAGCUGCCACUACUAACGCAAGUGAAGCCAAUGACGUAGUCAUGGCUGAAGCCAAUGUGGAGCUUGCACCAACCAGUGUGCCUGAAGCUAAUGAGGCAACUACUCCCGAAGCACCUGUUGUGCAGCCUGAAGCCUCAGCUGUUGCCACUGCUCCUGUUCCGCCACCAAGGCCCCAUACAAUUGAGCAAGCAUACAAUCAUGGUCAGCUCACCACUGUUCGAUGGCCCAUUCUGGUACCUCCGCCUACUGCCUAUGGACCUCAAUUUGAUUAUCAUAUUGAGCAUAGGCCCCAGGUGCAGAAAUCAAAGCCAAGACUGCCAAGGUUCCCAGGUACUGCAAACUCUCCAGGGUCCUUCAAUGCAAAUGGCUUCAAAAGCCACAAUACCUUCUUUGACAGUGCCAAGAACCCCUACUCAAAGCCAAGGAUAUCAUCUGAUCGGUUCUGGAGUUAUCAGCAGCGAAGCUAUUACUCCUGCGCUCUGUAUGAUCAAGGGUGCAUUUUCCCUCAUAUGCGCCUCGACACUGAAGCCAUUGCUGGACUGCCGUGCUUAGAAGAAGCACUUGACUGUUUUCGUGAUGCCGGUCUGCUCAGCUUUGUGACAGACAAAGAACACUGGAAUGAAGAACUUUUGCUUCAAUUCUAUGCUACCCUCCACAUUCGCGGCUACAACAGAGACAUCAAGACAUGGGUUCUCGAGUGGAUGACUGGAAAUGUUCAUCAUGAAGCCAAAGCUCUUGAUGUCAUUGAGCUUAUUGGCCUACCCACUCCCGGAGAGAUCUAUGAACCUGACUAUCAACUACAUCGCAAUGCACUGGAGUGCAUCUUCCAUAAGCCUGAACCCAAUAUGAGCCAGAUGUUGAGCAUGAUGAAGCCUUUGCCAUCUGACGUUGAAUAUCCAACGGAGUUCUUUGUUGAUGACCUUGAGUAUCUGCCUCGCACCAUAUAUCAUAUCAUCAGGCGAACUCUAUGGCCUAUCAAAGGACAUUCAUCAGCUGCAAAGCUUGAAGGAGCGAUGAAGACAUUGGUCUUUUACAUCCUCAAUGGCAUCAGCUUCAAUUCCCAAGAAUUCUUCAUCAGGCAACUUGCUGCGUCUGGAUCUGACCUUUUUGGUCUGAAGUUCUAUGCUCCAUGGGUCAUGCACCUCAUCAAGCGACACUCAUCUGUCAACUAUCAGCCCUCUGCUCACAAUCAUCUGAUCUUUUUGCCAGAGGUUGAUAUGUCAGUUGAAGCCAUAUACUCUGACCCUGCCAAGAAGCCUCCUUGUCUUCAGAAUGUCGAGCACCAAAGCUUCACUCGACCCAUCAAAGGCGUCCAAGCAGUAACACGAAUCUAUCCAAUGGCUGGAAAUACUCAUCUGCCUCAUCAUGCGCAAACUAAAGCCACUGAAAGCACCAUUGCCCAAAGGUCUAAGAAGCGCUCUCGUGUUCUCAAUGACCGAGAACUUCUUGUGGCACUUCAUCAGAAACAAGAUAAGCAUCACUAUUGGCUCAAGAGACAGAUGCAAAGCCUCUUGGUGGAUGUCAAUCGCAUUCGAAAUCUUGCCACCAAGAAUGCAUUUGUUGCUCAUGAGACUUGUCGGCGAUCAUGGAAGAGUUUGACGCUGCUUAGUGCUGAAGCAGAUCUUCAAGAUGAUGGCUUCGCUGAAAGAUUCCAGUUUGACUCCACUCCUCCACGGACUGUUGUCCUACGUCGAACUCCAUCCCUUGAAGACUCUGACUAUUCUUCCUCUGCGGCAACUGUGAAUGCCAGAGUGAUCGAUGAUGAAGAUCAUGCUACUUCACCGCCUCCCACUUCUGCAUGCAUCGACACUGCACCAAGUACGUCUGCACCGCCAAGCAACAACGACAACCCUGCCGCUUCACCUACUCACGAGAACGAGUAGGUGCUCUAUGUAUUCAAACCUUUUUGGUCAUUACUGACAAAAGGGGGAGAAGCAUAUGAGUUGAUAGUCUUCAAGCGGGUUCAUAUGGGCGGUUGCUUUAUAUUUUGCCGCGUGCUUACAACUCUUGCUUUUGAAACAUUUGGUUCUUUGAGUUGUAACACUUAAACUCGAUGGUCGUCUGCUACUUAUUUGCUUUACUAUGAUGCGAUGAUAAAUUCCGCAUGUGCGAUGAUAACUUCCGCACUUAGAUCAUUCUGCAGACGUCCAUUUUUCAUUAUGCAUAUCAUUCUACUUGCUAUAUCAUUUCAUGCAUAAUGAAUUGUCUUCAUAAGUUGAAGAGGAUCUCCACAAGUACAACCUGCCAUGUGCAUUUGCAUUCCAAAAGCAAAUUACUUAUAUGCACAUCUUCAGGGGGAGCCCUUGCCUCUUAUGAAGACAAUACCCUAUCCUUUACAAUUUCACAUACUUUAUCCCCGUUGAAAACUUCAACCAGUUUGUCAUCAAUCACCAAAAAGGGGGAGAUUGUAAGUGCAUCUAGUGCCACCCCUAGUUGGUUUUGGAGUAUUGACGACAAAGUUGGUUGAGGGACUAAUGCGUUUGUGAGAAUUGCAGGAUAAUGUAGGUAGUGUCCCUCAUUGAUUCGGUUUACCUACCAGAGAUGACCCCUAAAAAUGUGUGAAGACAUUGAAGACAAUGGUGGUAUCUGAAGAUAUUCAUAUUGAAGACUAUGACAUAAGAAGACAUUCCGUGAAGACUACGGAGCGCGAAGACUGUGUGGUUUCGUUGUUUCCUUUUCUUCUUUGUUGAGUCAUAGGAACCACCGUACUGUUAAGUGGGGUCCAAGUGAACUAAGUCAGAAUGACUGAAGUGAUGCUCAACCCAAAUCCUAUGUCUUCGAGCGAAGACAAUGAGAGCAAAUCUUAUCCAGAGCUGGAUGAGUCAGCUUUGCUUGUAGCCCAAGUAAAGUUGUCGUGUGUGUUUGAAAUCUGACCGUUGGAACACGUGUCAGUUCCUUAGUGACCCAGGGUCAUUUCGGACAUAUCAGGUCGGGUUGCCAAGUGGCAAUAAAUAGCCCACCCCCUACACCAUAAAUUGGUGGCUGCUCAGAGUUAGUGCAUGACUUUUGUCGUUUGAGAGCAACCCACCUCGAAGCCUUUGAGAGAGAGAAAUCCUUGCGAGGACAAAUCCCAAACACCCAGAGCCAAAGAGUGCUAGGCAUCACUGAAGUCUUUCUGUCUGUGUGACCUGAAGACUUAUUACACUUGAGGACUGUGAAUCCUCCAGCCGGUUAGGCAUCGCGUUCUGAGCAUCCAAGAGUCAUUGUGGAUUGCCGGUGAACGAAGUCUGUGAAGGUUUCAAAGUCUACCUUGAAGACUUACCAGAGUGAUUGGGCGAGGACUGUGUGUCCUUAGCUCAAGGGGAAUAAGGUGAAGACAUGGUCUUCUGAGUUGAAUCUCAGCCUCCCUAACCAGACGUACAGUUGUCACAGCAACUGGAACUGGUCCAACAAAUCCUGUGUCUUCAACUAGUGACUGGUUCUAUCCUCUCCCUUCCUUUACUUAAGUUUGUCAUCGUGAAGUCAUUGCCUAUCUGUCGUACCUGUUUGACUUCAUUGCUUGACUACUACUGUUGAUUGGCUUCAUACUAUCUUCCAUCCUGAUCCUUACUACUUAGCUGCUAUUAGUCCUGUACCUUCACAUCAUUACAUACUUGACUAUGGUUUGCCUACUGUAGUUUAUCUUCCGCUGCAUAUCAAUUAGGUCAUUUCUACUGUUUGUCUUUGAAACUAUCAUGUUUUGAAGACUUUCAUAAAAAUCGCCUAUUCACCCCCCCUCUAGUCGAUACUAGCACUUUCAACAGGCACUUGCCUUCUUCACAGGCUCUGGGCCUUUUCCAAAAUGUGACAGCUUCACAGGCACUUGCCUUCUUCACAGGCUCUGGGGCUUUUCCAAAACGCGACAGUUUCAUAGGCACUCACCUUCUUCACAGGCUCUGGGCCUUUUCCAAAAUGCGACAGCUUCACAGGCACUCGCCUUCUUCACAGGCUCUGGGCCUUUUCCAAAACACGACAGCUUCACAGGCACUCGCCUUCUUCACAGGCUCUAGGCCUUUUCCAAAAAGAUAGUCUUCACAGGCACUCGCCUUCUUCACAGGCUCUGGGCCUUUUCCAAAAAGAUAGUCUUCACAGGCAUUCGCCUUCUUCACAGGCUCUGGGCCUUUUAAGGGUAAAACCUCCAGAGGUGCUGGAUGUUCCACGCAUUCUAGACUGGCACCCCCUCCUGAGUCUCCAAGCGCGCGGAGCCGGGCCUGGAAACAUGAACAACCUUGAACGGGCCCUCCCACAUGGGAGAGAGCUAUGCAGUCCCUCCCUGGAGAGAACCCACCUGAGCACGAGGUCCCCUACCUCAAGAGUUCUGGGGCGGAUGUUGCGGCAGUGGUAUCGCCGCAGUGCUUGUUGGUAUCUCGCCGCUCGCAAUGCGGAUUCUCGGUGACGCUCCUCCCCCAGCACGAGGUCCAUCCCCCGCAUGGCAUCCUGCUGCGCCUCGUCGAACGCCAGGACCCGUGCGGAACGACGUCUGACCUCGUGAGGGAGGACCGCUUCGGCUCCAUAGACCAGGAAGACCGGGUCUCCCCAGUCGGCUUGGUUGCGGUCGUGCGGAUGGACCACAACACGGACUAAAGCUCAUCGUACCAACCUCUGCCGCAGGCUUCCAGCUUCUUCUUGAAUUUUCUUGUCUUGAGGCCCCUCAGGACCUCCGCGUUGGCCCGCUCGGCCUGGCCGUUGCUUCGGGGGUGCGCCACUGAAGUGUAGCAUAUCUGCGUUCCAAGGUUAGCACAGUAUGUUUUGAAGAGGUUACUAGUGAACUGCAAACCGUUGUUGGUGAUGAUGCGGUUCGGCACCCCGAACCGGCUCACGAUGCCCUUGACGAACUUGACUGCUGAGCCCGCAGGGAUGGUGCGGACGGCUUCCACUUCGGCCCACUUGGUGAACUUGUCCACGGCGACGUAGAGGUAGCGAUAGCCCCCCGGCGCCCGAGGGAACGGGCCCAGGAUAUCCAGCCCCCAGACUGCGAAUGGCCACGAGAGGGUAUAGUUUGCAGACUUCCUGUCGGCUGAUGGAUCUGCUUGGCAUGGAAUUGGCAGGCUUCACAGGCCUUCACUAGCUCGACAACGUCAUUGAGUGCAGUAGGCCAAUAGAAGCCGCUGCAGAAUGCCUUGCCCACGAGGGUCCGUGAUGAUGAGUGGUGCCCACAGUCUCCACCGUGUAUAUCCGCCAGCAGCUCCUUCCCUUGCUCCCUGGAUAUGCAGUGUAGGGACACACCAUUUGGUCGCUUCCGGUAGAGUUCUCCAUCCUUGAUACAGUACGCUGAGGCUUGCCGCGCCACAUGCUCCACUUCCUCCUCCUUCUUCGGCACGGUCCCUUGCGUUAAGUAACUCCGGAGCUCUGUGAUCCAGCACCCCUCCUGAGGCUCCAUAGUUAGGAGUAGGCGCGCUCCUGAGGCUGGCCCACAGACUGGAGCUCCCGAGGCAGGUGGCUGGGGGACCUCCUCCCGAGGCUGCGCCGUGUUUGAUAGUGAUGGCAUGGCCAAGGGCUUGAAGAGCCGCUCCUCGAAGACGCCAGGCUCCUGAGGUAACCGCCUGGAUGCUCGUUUGGCGAUGUCAUCGGCCUCCUGAUUGGUGCCACGGGGCACAUGCUGCAACUCCAACCCCCAGAACUACUUUUCCAUCCUGCGGACCUCCGCAAGGUAGGCCUCCAUGUGCUCAUCUUCUGGCUCGUACACUUUGUUGGAGAAAUUGACGAGGAGCUGUGAAUCGCCCUUGAUGGUAAGGCGCUUUACCCCUAGGGCAGCCGCGGCCUUCAAGCCUGCUAUCAGGCCUUCAUACUCUGCUAUGUUGUUGGAGACCUUUUUGCCUUGCUGGAAACAGAGCUACACGGCGUAAUGGAGCUUGUCCUGAGUGGGAGAUAUGAGCACCGCCCCAGCCCCAGCGCCAUGCCUGGAGAACGCCCCGUCGAAGUACAUGACCCAGCCUUCUGGCGCCUUGCUUCCUGGGGAGAGGGAUCGAUCCUCGCCGGCCUUGAGGCCCAGUGCCUCUGUCCAUUCGGCCACGAAGUCCACUAGCGCGGCCCCCUUGAUGACUCUGGUCGUGCUGAACUCAAGCUGAAACGCUUGCAGUUCAAUGUUCCACUCGGCGACCCUUUCGGCUGAGUUUGGGCUCCUGAGCACCCUUUCCAAGGGGUAUGCCGAGACAACCUUGAUAGGGUGACCCUGAAAGUAGUGUCGCAGCUUGCGCGAGGCCACUAGUAGCGCGAGGAGGAGUUUCUGGGGCAUGGGGUACCGUGCCCUCGCAUCCCGCAACACUGUGCUGACGAAGUACACUGGGUGCUCGACGAGGCUUGGAGCGUCGGUGCUGGCGGCGUCCUCCGGAGGCCAUGGCACCUCCUGAGGCGGGGGAGCCUCCAGAAGCUGGUUGCCUGGGGGAAGGGCCUCUUCCGUUCCCUGUGCGCUCCCCUGCGGCGGCUGAUCCUCCUCAGCCAUGGUAGUGAUCUCUGCGAGUCCUUCUUGGUCCUACUUUGCCUUGACACGGGUAGCUGUCGUGGCCUUGGUCCGACGCUCCUCCCUAACCACCACCAGUGCCGCGCUGGCAGAGUAGGGAGUGGCGGUGAGGUAGAGCACCAAGGGCUCUUGAGGGCGUGGGGCCACCAUCACCGGAGGCUGGUUAGGUAUCUCUUGAGAUCCUGGAAUGCCUUGUCGGCCUCUUCAGUCCAUUCAAAGGGCCCCUUUUUCUUCAUCAGCUGGAAGAAAGGCAGCGCUCGCUCCCCUAACCUAGAAAUGAAGCGCCCUAGCACAGUCAUGCGCCCAGUGAGCUUCUGCAUCUCUCUGAGGGUCUUCAGUGGGCUCAUGUCCUCGACUGCCUUGACCUUUUCUGGGUUGGCCUCGAUGCCUUGGUGGGACACGAGGAAGCCCAAGAGCUUGCCCGAGGGGACUCCAAACACACACUUCUCCGGGUUGAGCCGCAGACUCACUGCGCUGAGGUUUACGAAGGUUUCCUCCAGGUCUUGUGUCAGGGUCUUGGCCUCGCGAGACUUCACUACAAUGUCAUCAACGUAAGCUUCCACAUUCUUCCCGAGUUGCAGGCCCAAGGUGAUGUGCAUGAGCCGCUGAAAGGUUGCCCCCGUGUUGCGCAGUCUGAACGGCAUGCAUGUAUAGCAGUACACCCCACACGGGGUCAGGAAGGCCAUCUUCUCCAUGUCUUCCACCGCCAUCUUGAUCUGGUGAUACCCGGAGAAGGCAUCCAAGAAGCAUAACAGGUCACACUCAGUGGUGGAAUCGAUGAUCUGAUCGAUGCGAGGGAGCGGGAACGGAUCUUGCGGGCAUGCUUUGUUGAGGUUGGUGAAGUCGACACACAUGCGCUCCUUCCCUCCCUUCUUUGGCACAAACACAGGGUUAGCCAACCAAUCUAGAUAUCGGACCUCACGAAUGACCCCCGCGGCUUCUAGCUUGUGGGUCUCCUGGACGAUGAAGACCUGCUUUCCAGUGGACUGCCGCCUUGCUUUCUGCUUCACGGGGCGCAUGUUGGGGCACACGUUGAGGUGGUGCUCGAUUACGCCCCGUGGGAUCCCCGUCAACUAAUCAGGCUCCCAGGCGAAUACCUUCUUGUUUGCGCGGAGGAACUUGACCAGGGCUUCCUCCUGCUCGGGCCUGAGGUUGGUGCCUAUAGUGAAAGUGGCGCUAGUGGACCCGUCCUCGUCGACGGGUAUCUUCUUGGUCUCCGCCUUGUCUUGGGUGAACAACUGUUUCUUCUUGGUUGGUGCAGCCCCCUUGGGCUCGGGGGUCCCCGCGUUGGCGGGUUGUGCCGAUGCCGCCGGCUUGAAGGCGAGCUUGAGCACUCGCAACGCAUCCCCGGUGUCCCCAGGCACGGUGAGGACACCGCUACUCCCGGGCAUCUUCAUAAGGUUGUACGCCGGGUGAGUCGCGGCCAUGAACUGGGCCAGUGUUGGAUAACCAAGGAUGGCGUUGUAGGGGAGGCGAUGGGGAAGAUAUCGAAAUUGACCUGCUCCGUGCGAAAAUUGUCGUAGGUGCCUAAAGUUACUGGGAGCCGGAUCUAUCCCACGGAGCUGGAUGACCCGCCCUCGACACCCGAGAAGGGCCGGCUGGGUUGCAGCCGCUCCUGGGGUAUGCGGAGGAGGUUGAAGGCCUCAACUGAGAGCACGAUGAGGCCUACGCCGCCAUCAAUGAGAGUCCUGGUGACAGCCACCUGGCAGAUGGUGGGGGUGCACAGCAUGGGGAGUGCACCCGAGCUGGCCGAGUUGGAGGGGUGAUCCUCCGAGCUGAAGGCCAGCCUGGCCUGUGGCUCUGACUGGUCCGGGGGAGCCCCCUGCCGCGUGGAGGCGGCGCCGACCCGGCGGACGAACGGCUUGACGUGGUGACUGGAGGGCGGCGCCUGCGAGCCGCCCAGGAGGGCCGCAAUGACCGGGGAGGCCGGCACGGCGUGGUGGGCGAGGAAGAGGCUGCGCAGCUCUCCCCAAGAGGCCAUGGGGGGAUGCUGGGACGAUGCUUGCUGCUCGUUCCCCGCCGGGCCGGUGGCGGCGUUGACGGCAGGUGACGGGGAACGACGAGGGCGCCCGCCGACGGGAGCCAUCUGAGCGACACGGGAGGCGAGGGCGACUCAGCGCCCGGCGCGGGCCUGACGAGCGUCAAACAUGGAUGCGAUGGUUGGAGAAGAACAGGACGACGGAAGACGAAUUCCAGCGCACCCCUACCUGGUGCGCCAAAUGUCGGAUUCGGGUUCCGGCAGACCCUUGAGGUUCGAACACUGGGGUGCACGCGGAGAUUUCGCCCUCUACCUACCUGUUCCUCGCCGGCUCGCUAGGAUCUAAACUACGAAAGGAACAACACAAGGGACACAGGGUUUAUACUGGUUCAGGCCACCAUUGUGGUGUAAUACCCUACUCCAGUGUGUGUGGUGGAUUGCCUCUUGGGCCGAUGAUGAACAAUACAAGGAAGAACAGCCUCGCGAGGGUCUGUUCUAGGCUGGGACGAUGAACUGCUAGGAGGAGUUCAGCCGCCCUUCUCUCUCUCUCUCUCUCUCUCUCUCUCUCUCUCUUGCUUCAGGUACCGAUCCAGAUGCCUAUCUUGAUUCUAGGUCCCUCCACCAUGGGGGUGGCUAGUCCUAUUUAUAGGCAAAGGCCCUGGGCCUCUUCCCAAAUAUUGAGCGGGAAGGGCACCAACAAUUGGCCAUUUUGAAGGGGAACAGCGGGUACACUUAUCCUGACUAAAGUUGGUCCUCGCCUGUCAAAGUCUUUGGUGGUGACGCCUGCUUGGGCUCCACAAUGACUUCCUCCCUGCCGUUGGACUGGUUUUGGUCUUGUUGCACUGAAAUGGAUGCCUUUGCUUGAUGCUCUCGCCUGCGCUUGUUCCCUUUGCAACAAAGAGGAAAGGAGGACACUGCGCGGGCUGGCGCUUGACUGGCGCCCUUGGUUGUCAUGGCUUGCGUCAUGGGGCACCUCGCGAGGUACCCCGCCUUGAUCUCUCCGCCUCCUCGUGAGCCAGCCUGAUGAGGCCGUGCUUGAGGAAGCUCCUUGUCGUCCGCCCCGCGAGGCUCGGCCCCUCGCGAGGGUCUUGAGAUUGUGUUGAUGAAGAUGGGCCGUGCUGGGCCCCCCUUUUGAGCCAUGCCGCAGGCCGCAGGCAGGCAAGUCUGGGGACCCCCGUUCCUAGAACGCCGACAACCGCAACACCCUCCACGGCUAGUAGUUGAAGCUGAGGUAGAGUUGUCGUACCCGAGCCAGUUCAACCACGCCAUCCUGUGCCUCAGUGCUGCCACUCCAACUCUGCCACUGUCCACCGCACAAGAGUUGUUCCUGCUAUGCCAUCCUUCGCCGUCUCGGAUCUGCUUCCCCUCUGCUGACAUACGGCCACGGCAACACAGUGAAGAAUUUGGCCAUGGGUUUGUCCAAGGCUGCACCCUCCUCCAAAACAUUGCCCCCCCUGGCAAAAAGAAGAAAAUUGCCGCGACAUAUGGAGGACACAACACUCGCAACCAGAAAUGGUACUCCUCUUCCCUUAUUCGUGCAAAUAUUACAUGUCUGCUUGCACGGUAUUCAUCCCACAGAAUACACUAGUUGACCGCUUCUUCUUGAUACUAGAUGUUCCUAGUAACUCGCGAUUCACAAGGUUUCUCCUCAUAUACUAUUUCACCUUAGCUAGAGGUCCGUAGCCCCCCUGGAUUUCAAUUCCUGGUCAGUUGAUUCCCAAUUAACGGAAGCAUUCCCUAGCGUAAUAGGCGCUAGUCCGCCUAUUACGCAGGGGAAGCAACACCUCGGUGUUUAUCUUAGGGGCAUGUGGGGCCUAGAGCUGCUGGCGCCCGAUCUAGAGGUCGGCCGGGAUUAAAGGGAUGGCCUGGGGGCGCUGCCAAGCACGGUGGUGGUGUGAGGUCGAGGGGAGUGCGGGGCAGUAGAGGUAGGGGUCUGGACCAGUGGUCGCUGGCGGUUCGAGAAAGAUCGUCAAAAGUGACUGGCGGGAGGUAGACGGAGGCCAUCUGCCCGUUCCUUAUAGAUCGGACGGUUCAUAAAAAAUCGACUGACCUAUUUAUUUUUAGUCGACUGUUAUUUUGAUAGGACCACAUGUGGUGGUGUGUUGGAGGAGUACCUGCAUUUCCUAGCCAUCCCUAUGCUCAUAUAUUACAAAAUCAUACGGAGUAGAAUCUAAUUUUGUUUGCCAUGCAAUGUUGUAGAGCUAUCAUAUGUCUCCUGUCAUUUAUUUUUCAGCCACCUGCUAUCUGCUACUUUUACAGUGCACUAGUUAUGCACACACUUCACCCAUACUCUCACUAUUGUGUUUUUAUGCAACGGUAUUUCAACUCUGCUGCCUUGACAGAAGCAGAAAAGAAAGGAGAGAAGUCGCUCCAGCUUCGUACGCGGCUAGGCCAGACACAUUUCAACACUUUAAAGGGUGUAGUGUUAGUAGAUGGAGACGGUAAACGUAGCUCUGGAGUUGAUGAUCUUGCUCGCAAUGAACCACCAUCUAAAGUUGGUCUUUAUUAAGAUAAGGAAAUAUAUUUUUUACAUGAUCCACCAUCCCGGGAGCGCCAGAAGACAAAUAGCUAGUCAGGUCACUGCGGAGCCAGUGACAAGCCCAACACAGACAGGCAUCACCUGGAAGCCAACUAAAAGCCACGAUGGUGGCUGAGGGAGUCCCGGAUUAAGGGGUCCUCGGACAGCCGGACUAUAUGCAUAUGCCGGACUAUUGGACUAUGAAGAUACAAGAUAGAAGACUUGGUCCCGUGUGCGGAUGGGACUCUCCUUUGCAUGGAAGGCAAGCUUGGUGGUUAGGAUAUGAAGAUUCCUUUCUCUGUAAUCGACUCUGUGUAACCCUAGCCCCCUCCAAUGUCUAUAUAAACCGGAGGGUUUAGUCCGUAGGACAAGAACGAUCAUAAUCAUAGGCUAGCUUCUAGGGUUUUGCCUCUACAAUCUCGUGGUAGAUCAACUCUUGUAAUACUCAUAUCAUCAAGAUCAAUCAAGCAGGAAGUGGGGUAUUACCUCCAUCGGGAGGGCCCGAACCUGGGUAAACAUUGUGUCCCCCGCCUCCUAUUACCAUUAGCCUUAGACGCACAGUUCGGGCCCCCCUACGCGAGAUCCGCCGGUUUUGACACCAACAUUGGUUCUUUCAAUGAGAGUUCCACUGUGUCAUCACCAUAAGGCUUGAUGGCUCAUUCAAUCAUCUACAACAACGCAGUCCAGGGUGAAGUUUUUCUCCCCGGACAGAUUUUCGUAUUCGGCGGCUUCGCACUGUAGGCCAACUCGCUUGGCCAUCUGGAGCAGAUCGAUAGCUACGCCCCUGGCCAUCGGGUCAGGUUUGGAAGCUUGAACUACACCGCCGACAUCCGUGGAGACUUGAUCUUCAACGGAUUCGAGCCCAUGACAGUCGUGCCCUGCCGCCACGAUGAAUAUGACCUAAAUCUGUCAUCAGACUGUGUGCAGGAGAUAGCGCCUGUAAUCGCUCGGGCCCUAGAUCCAGAACAGAGCGCGCCAUCCAAGGACGAGAAGCUCAACCUCGCCUUGGAGGCCGCAGACUCAGCGGCGCUAGAUCCGAACACAAAUCUGACCUCCAAUGAGGCCUGUGUCAUCGGAACCUCGGACUCGUCUCCGGCCAUAGGCUCCGAACCACGUGUAUCCGCACCCAUCGACCGGGCACCGAUCUUAGAGUUUAGCUCCACGGACAUCUUCCAACACUCACCCCUAGGUGAUGUGUUAAACUCAUAAAAUCUCUCUCCGUGUCAGGAGAUUCUUGGUCGAACUAUGUCCGGCUUGAGUGGGAAGCGGACGACGAAGAGCUUCGUUGCCCACCCACCACCCACUUGAUAGCCACUGUCGACGAUUUGACCGACAUGCUUGAUUUCGACUCGGAAGACAUCGACGGCAUGGACGACGAUCUCGGAGAAGAACAGGAACCACCGCCCGCAGGGCGCUGGACAGCCACCUCUUCAUACGACAUAUACAUGGUGGAUACACCCAAAGAAGACAAUGGCGAUGACAAAAAGUACCCAAUUGAGGAUAAAACUACUAGAAAGCAGCCAAAGCACCGACGUCAGCAGCGCUGCUCGAAACCACGCCAUGGUAAAAAUAGCGAUACCGGCAUGAGAGGGAAUAACACCCCGGACGACGCCGAAGACAAUGAAGAAACCGCGGACCCAGCAAUGGAGCAGGACAAGCAAGGUGAUGGCGAACACAGUCCAGGGCCCCUGUCUGAUCAUAGCGAUGCCGAAGACUCCAUUUAUCAACCUGUCUCCGAAGAGGAGAACAGUCUGGAUGGAAAUGCAUUCAUCGUCCUGGAAAAACAAUUGGAGCAAGAACACCUCCACCAGAGACUUAUCACCACCGCAAGGAGCUUGAAGAAGCAGAAGCAACGGCUUAAAGCCGCACAGGAUAUGCUCAAUGAUAAAUGGAAUGAAGUGCUCGACACUGAGGAAAAAUACAACGGUAAUCACAAAACAAAGAGCUACCCCAAACGCAAACUGCUGCCCGAAUUCGACGACAACGCUAUUGCGCCCAUACCGCCGAAUAACAAUACAUCGGAUCAACGAGGCCGACCACCUCGUGGUCGGGACAGAGCGGCUAACAACGCCGCAGAUAAAACUGCACCCCCUCCUCAUAAAGGAAGGGAGGUCACAACCCAGAACCAAAAACAGGAUUUACGUGAAGACCUGGACAAAAGGGCUGGCAGAACCAGAUCCAUUUAUGGAUUCAGGGAGCGUGUUCCCGCACAGGAUCAGGGCCAUCAAACCAAAUACGCCGGUCACUUACCAGUUCGGAACCAACACGAAACACUACAGCCGUCGGACCCACACCGUGACACAGCUAAAUACAGGGGUGCCACACACCCCCUGUGCUUCACCGAUGAGGUGCUGGAUCAUGAAUUUCCAGACGGGUUUAAACCCGUGAAUAUCGAGGCAUACGACGGAACGAUAGACCCUGCGGUCUGGAUAGAAGACUUUAUUCUUCACAUCCACAUGGCUCGCAGAGAUGAUCUCCAUGCCAUCAAAUACAUGCCCCUCAAGCUAAAAGGACCAGCUCGGCACGGGCUGAAAAGCCUCCCCAAAAAUUCCAUCGAAAGCUGGGAAGAACAUGAGGAUGCUUUCAGGGCCAAUUUCCAAGGGACCUAUGUCCGACCUCCGGAUCCAGACGAUCUAAGUCACAUAACCCAACAACCCGGAGAGUCAGCCCGUAAGCUUUGGAACCGAUUUCUCACUAAGAAGAACCAAAUCGUCGACUGUCCGGACGCCAAAGCCUUAGCAGCUUUCAAACAUAGUGUUUGGGACGAAUGGCUAGCCAAACACCUAGGCAGGGAAAAGCCAAAGACAAUGGCAACCUUAACUACCCUCAUGACCCGCUUUUGCGCGGGAGAGGACAGUGUUGGAAAUAUGCCUAGAGGCAAUAAUAAAAUGGUUAUUAUUAUAUUUCCUCGUUCAUGAUAAUUGUCUAUUAUUCAUGCUAUAAUUGUGUUAUCCGGAAAUCGUAAUACAUGUGUGAAUACAUAGACCACAACAUGUCCCUAGUGAGCCUCUAGUUGACUAUUUAUCAAUAGAUGGUCACGGUUUCCUGACCAUGGACAUUGGAUGUCAUUGAUAACAGGAUCACAUCAUUGGGAGAAUGAUGUGAUGGACAAGACCCAAUCCUAAGCAUAGCACAAGAUCGUGUAGUUCGUUUGCUAGAGCUUUUCCAAUGUCAAGUAUCAUUUCCUUAGACCAUGAGAUCGUGUAACUCCCGGAUGCUGUAGGAGUGCUUUGGGUGUACCAAACGUCACAACGUAACUGGGUGGCUAUAAAGGUAUACUACAGGUAUCUCCGAAACUGUCUGUUGGGUUGACACAGAUCGAGACUGGGAUUUGUCACUCCGUAUGACGGAGAGGUAUCUCUGGGCCCACUCGUUAAUGCAUCAUCAUAAUGAGCUCAAAGUGACUAAGUGGUUGGUCUUGGGAUCAUGCAUUACGGUACGAGUAAAGUGACUUGCCGGUAACGAGAUUGAACGAGGUAUUGGGAUACCGACGAUCGAAUCUCGGGCAAGUAACGUACCGAUUGACAAAGGGAAUUGUAUAUGGGAUUACUUGAAUCCUCGACAUCGUGGUUCAUUCGAUGAGAUCAUCAUGGAACAUGUGGGAGCCAACAUGGGUAUCCAGAUCCCGCUAUUGGCUAUUGGCCGGAGAGUCGUCUCGGUCAUGUCUACAUGUCUCCCGAACCCGCAGGGUCUACACACUUAAGGUUCGGUGACGCUAGGGUUGUAGAGAUACUAGUAUGCGGUAACCCGAAAGUUGUUCAGAGUCCCGGAUGAGAUCCUGGAUGUCACGAGGAGUUCCGGAAUGGUCUGGAGGUGAAGAAUUAUAUAUAGGAAGUCCAGUUUUGGCCACCGGGAAAGUUUUGGGGGUCACCGGUAUUGUACCGGAACCACCGGAAGGGUCCCGGGGGUCCACCGGGUGGGGCCACCUAUCCCGGAGGGCCCCAUGGGCUGAAGUGGGAGGGGAACCAGCCCCUGGUGGGCUGGUGCACCCCCCUUGGGCCUCCCCUACGCCUAGGGUUGGAAACCCUAGGGGUGGGGGCGCCCUACUUGACUUGGGGGGCAAGUCCCCCCCCCCCUUGAGAUGGGAUCUCUAGGGGACGGCGCCCCCCAGGGCCCCUAUAUAAAGAGGGGGGAGGGAGGAAUGCGCACCCUAGCCCCUGGCGCCUCCCUCUCCCCUCGCAACACCUCUCCCUCUCGCUGAGCUUGGCGAAGCCCUGCCGAGAUCACCGCUACUUCCACCACCACGCCGUCGUGCUGCUGGAUCUCCAUCAACCUCUCCCUCCCCCUUGCUGGAUCAAGAAGGAGGAUACGUCUUCCCCAACCGUACGUGUGUUUAACGCGGAGGUGCCGUCCGUUCGGCGCUAGGAUCAUCGGUGAUUUGGAUCACGACGAGUACGACUCCUUCAACCCCGUUCUCUUGAACGCUUCCGCACGUGAUCUACAAGGGUAUGUAGAUGCACUCCUCUCUCUCAUUGCUAGAUGACUCCAUAGAUUGAUCUUGGUGAAGCGUAGAAAAUUUUUAUUUUCUGCAACGUUCCCCAACAGUGGCAUCAUGAGCUAGGUCUAUGCGUAGUUUCUAUGCACGAGUAGAACACAAUCUUGUUGUGGGCGUAGAUGUUGUCAAUUUUCUUGCCACUACUAGUCCUAUCUUGUUUCGGCGGCAUCGUGGGAUGAAGCGGCCUGCACAGACCUUACACGUACGCUUACGUGAGACAGAUUCCAUCGACUGACAUGCACUAGUUGCAUAAGGUGGCUAGCGGGUGUCUGUCUCUCCCACUUUAGUCGGAUCGGAUUCGAUGAAAAGGGUCCUUAUGAAGGGUAAAUAGAAAUUGGCAUAUCACGUUGUGGUUUUGGCGUAGGUAAGAAACGUUCUUGCUAGAAACCUAUAGCAGACACGUAAAAAUAUGCAACAACAAUUAGAGGACGUCUAACUUGUUUUUGCAGCAUAUGGCUUGUGAUGUGAUAUGGCCAAAAGGAUGUGAUGGAUGAAAUAUAUGUGAUGUAUGAGAUUGAUCAUGUUCUUGUAAUAGGAAUCAAGACUUGCAUGUCGAUGAGUAUGACAACUGGCAGGAGCCAUAGGAGUUGUCUUUAUUUUUUGUAUGACCUGCGUGUCAUUUAAUAACGCCAUGUAAAUUACUUUACUUUCUUGCUAAACACGUUAGCCAUAGAAGUAGAAGUAAUCGUUGGCGUGACAACUUCAUGAAGACAUGAUGAUGGAGAUCAUGGUGUCAUGCCGGUGACGAAGAUGAUCAUGGCGCCCCGAAGAUGGAGAUCAAAGGAGCAAUAUGAUAUUGGCCAUAUCAUGUCACUAUUUGAUUGCAUGUGAUGUUUAUCAUGUUUUGCUUCUUAUUUGCUUAGUACGACGGUAGUAAAUAAGAUGAUCCCUUAUAAUAAUUUCAAGAAAGUGUUCCCCCUAACUGUGCGCCGUUGCGAAAGUUCGUUGUUUCGAAGCACCACGUGAUGAUCGGGUGUGAUAGAUUCUAACGUUCAUAUACAACGGGUGUAAGACAGAUUUACACAUGCAAAACACUUAGGUUGACUUGACGAGCCUAGCAUGUACAGAUAUGGCCUCGGAACACAAGAGACCGAAAGGUCGAACAUGAGUCGUAUGGAGGAUACGAUCAACAUGGAGAUGUUCACCGAUGAUGACUAGUCCGUCUCAUGUGAUGAUGGGACACGGUCUAGUUGAGUCGGAUCAUGUAUCACUUAUAUGACUAGAGGGAUGUCUAAUCUGAGUGGGAGUUCAUUAAACAAUUUGAUUAGAUGAACUUAAUUAUCAUGAACUUAGUCUAAAAACCUUUACAAAAUGUCUUGUAGAUCAAAUGGCCAACGCUCAUGUCAACCUCAACUUCAACGCGUUCCUAGAGAAAACCAAGCUGAAAGAUGAUGGCAGCAACUAUACGGACUGGGUCCGGAACCUGAGGAUCAUCCUCAUAGCUGCCAAGAAAGCAUAUGUCCUAGAAGGACCUCUAGGUGAAGCACCCAUCCCAGAGAACCAAGACAUUAUGAACGCAUGGCAGUCACGUGCUGAUGAUUACUCCCUCGUUCAGUGCGGCAUGCUUUACAGCUUAGAACCAGGGCUUCAAAAGCGUUUUGAGCAACACGGAGCAUAUGAGAUGUUCGAAGAGCUGAAAAUGGUUUUCCAAGAUCAUGUCAGGGUCGAGAGAUAUGAAGUCUCCGACAAGUUCUACAGUUGUAAGAUGGAGGAAAAUAGUUCUGUCAGUGAGCACAUACUCAAAAUGUCUGGGUUGCACAACCGCUUGUCCCAGCUGGACAUUAACCUCUCGGACGAGGCAGUCAUUAACAGAAUCCUUCAGUCGCUCCCACCUAGCUACAAGAGCUUUGUGAUGAACUACAAUAUGCAGGGGAUGGUGAAAACUAUUCCUGAAGUAUUUUCAAUGCUGAAAUCAGCAGAGGUGGAAAUCAAAAAGGAACAUCAAGUGUUGAUGGUCAAUAAAACCACUAGUUUCAAGAAAGGCAAGGGUAAGAAGAACUUCAAGAAGGACGGCAAGGGAGUUGCUAGGAAGAAGCCAAAGAAUGGACCCAAACCUGAGACUGAGUGCUUUUAUUGCAAGGGAAACGGACACUGGAAGCGGAACUGCCCUAAAUACUUAGCAGACAAGAAGGCCGACAACACCAAAGGUAUAUGUGAUAUACAUGUAAUUGAUGUGUACCUUACCAGUACUCGUAGUAGCUCCUGGUAUUUGAUACCAGUGCGGUUGCUAAUAUUUGUAACUCAAAACAGGAGCUGCGGAAUAAGCGGAGACUGGCGAAGGACGAGGUGACGAUGCGCGUCGGGAAUGGUUCCAAGGUCGAUGUGAUCGCCGUUGGCAUGCUACCUCUACAUUUACCUACGGGAUUAGUUUUAAACCUCAAUAAUUGUUAUUUAGUGCCAGCUUUGAGCAUGAACAUUGUAUCUGGAUCUCGUUUAAUGCGAGAUGGCUACUCAUUUAAAUCCGAGAAUAAUGGUUGUUCUAUUUAUAUGAGAGAUAUGUUUUAUGGUCAUGCCCCGCUGGUCAAUGGUUUAUUCUUAAUGAAUCUCGAACGUGAUGUUACACAUAUUCAUAGUGUGAAUACCAAAAGAUGUAAAGUUGAUAACGAUAAUCCCACAUACUUGUGGCACUGCUGCCUUGGUCACAUUGGUGUCAAACGCAUGAAGAAACUCCAUGCUGAUGGACUUUUGGAGUCUCUUGAUUACGAAUCAUUUGACACGUGCGAACCAUGCCUUAUGGGCAAAAUGACCAAGACUCCGUUCUUCGGAACAAUGGAGCGAGCAACCAACUUAUUGGAAAUCAUACAUACUGAUGUGUGCGGUCCAAUGAGCAUUGAGGCUCGCGGAGGAUAUCAUUAUGUUCUCACUCUCACUAACGACUUGAGUAGAUAUGGGUAUGUCUACUUGAUGAAACACAAGUCUGAGACCUUUGAAAAGUUCCAGGAAUUUCAGAAUAAGGUAGAGAAUCAAUGUGACCGAAAGAUAAAGUUCUUACGAUCAGAUCAUGGGGGAGAAUAUUUAACUCACGAAUUUGAUACACACUUAAGGAAAUGUGGAAUCGUUUCACAACUCACGCCGCCUGGAACACCUCAGCGUAACGGUGUGUCUGAACGUCGUAAUUGCACUCUAUUGGAUAUGGUGCGAUCUAUGAUGUCACUCACCAAUUUACCGCUAUCAUUUUGGGGAUACGCUCUAGAGACACCUACAUCCACUUUAAAUAGGGCACUGUCUAAAUCUGCUGAGACAACACAGUAUGAUUAUGGUUUGGGAAGAAACCUAAGCUGUCGUUUCUAAGAGUUUGGGGAUGUGAUGCUUAUGUCAAGAAACUUCAACCUGAAAAGCUCGAACCCAGGUCGGAAAAAUGCGUCUUCAUAGGAUACCCUAAGGAAACCAUUGGGUAUACCUUCUACCUCAGAUCCGAAGGCAAGAUCUUUGUUACCAAGAACGGGUCCUUUCUGGAGAAAGAGUUUCUCUCGAAAGAAGUAAUUGGGAGGAAAGUGGAACUUGAUGAAGUACUACCUCUUGAAUCGGAAAGUAGCGCAGCUCAGGAAGAUGUUCCUGUGGUGCCUGCACUGACUAGAGAGGAAACUAAUGAUGAUGAUCAAGGUACUUCGGAUCAAGUUACUACUGAACUUCGUAGGUCCACGAGGACACGUUCCACACUAGAGUCGUAUGGCAGCCCUGUCUUAGAAAUCAUGUUGUUAGACAACGGUGAACCUUCGAACUAUGAAGAAGCAAUGGCGGGCCCAGAUUCCAACAAAUGGCUUGAAGCCAUGUAAUCCGAGAUAGGAUCCAUGUAUGAAAACAAAGUAUGGACUUUGACAGACUUGCCCGAUGAUCGGCGAGCGAUAGAAAACAAAUGGAUCUUUAAGGAGAAGACGGACGCGGAUGGUAAUGUUACCAUCUAUAAAGCUCGACUUGCCGCUAAGGGUUAUCGACAAGUUCAAGGGGUUGACUACGAUGAGACUUUCUCUCCCGUAGCAAAGCUGAAGUCCGCCUGAAUCAUGUUAGCAAUUGCCGCAUACUAUGAUUAUGAGAUAUGGCAAAUGGACGUCAAAACGGCAUUCCUCAACGGCCAUCUUAAGGAAGAACUAUAUAUGAUGCAGCCGGAAGGUUUUGUCGAUCCUAAGAAUGCUAACAAGGUAUGCAAGCUCCAGCGCUCCAUCUAUGGGCUGGUGCAAGCAUCUCGGAGUUGGAACAUUUGCUUUAAUGAAAUGAUCAAAGCGUUUGGGUUUAUGCAAACUUAUGGAGAAGCCUGCGUUUACAAGAAAGUGAGUGGGAGCUCUGUAGCAUUUCUCAUAUUAUAUGUGGAUGACAUACUUUUGAUGGGAAAUGAUAUAGAACUUUUGGACAGCAUUAAGGCCUACUUGAAUAAGUGUUUUUCAAUGAAGGACCUUGGAGAAGCUGCUUACAUAUUAGGCAUCAAGAUCUAUAGGGAUAGAUCGAGACGCCUCAUAGGUCUUUCACAAAGCACAUACCUUGAUAAGAUAUUGAAGAAGUUCAAUAUGGAUCAGUCCAAGAAGGGGUUCUUGCCUGUGUUGCAAGGUGUGAAAUUGAGCUCGGCUCAAUGUCCGACCACGGCAGAAGAUAGAGAAAAGAUGAGUGUCGUCCCCUAUGCCUCGGCCAUAGGGUCUAUCAUGUAUGCCAUGUUGUGUACCAGACCUGAUGUAAACCUUGCCGUAAGUUUGGUAGGAAGGUACCAAAGUAAUCCCGGCAUGGAACACUGGACAGCGGUUAAGAAUAUCCUGAAGUACCUGAAAAGGACUAAGGAUAUGUUUCUCGUUUAUGGAGGUGACGAAGAGCUCGUUGUAAAGGGUUACAUCGACGCUAGCUUCAACACAGAUCUAGAUGACUCUAAGUCACAAAUCGGAUACGUGUAUAUUUUGAAUGGAGGGGCAGUAAGCUGGUGCAGUUGCAAGCAAAGCGUCGUGGCGGGAUCUACAUGUGAAGCGGAGUACAUGGCAGCCUCAGAGGCAGUGCAUGAAGCAAUCUGGGUGAAGGAUUUCAUCAUCGACCUAGGAGUCAUACCCAAUGCGUCGGGGCCAAUCACAAUCUUCUGUGACAACACUAGAGCUAUUGCCCUUGCCAAGGAGCCCAAGUUUCACAAAAAGACCAGGCACAUCAAGCGUCGCUUCAACUCCAUACGUGAAAAUGUUCAAGAUGGAGACAUAGAUAUUUGCAAAGUGCAUACGGAUCUGAAUGUCGCAGAUCCGUUGACUAAACCUCUUCCGCGAGCAAAACAUGAUCAACACCAGAACCCUAUGGGUGUUUGAUUCAUCACAAUGUAACUAGAUUAUUGACUCUAGUGUAAGUGGGAGACUGUUGGAAAUAUGCCCUAGAGGCAAUAAUAAAAUGGUUAUUAUUAUAUUUCCUCGUUCAUGAUAAUUGUCUAUUAUUCAUGCUAUAAUUUUGUUAUCCGGAAAUCGUAAUACAUGUGUGAAUACAUAGACCACAACAUGUCUCUAGUGAGCCUCUAGUUGACUAUUUAUCAAUAGAUGGUCACGGUUUCCUGACCAUGGACAUUGGAUGUCAUUGAUAACGGGAUCACAUCAUUGGGAGAAUGAUGUGAUGGACAAGACCCAAUCCUAAGCAUAGCACAAGAUCGUGUAGUUCGUUUGCUAGAGCUUUUCCAAUGUCAAGUAUCAUUUCCUUAGACCAUGAGAUCGUGUAACUCCCGGAUGCUGUAGGAGUGCUUUGGGUGUACCAAACGUCACAACGUAACUGGGUGGCUAUAAAGGUAUACUAUAGGUAUCUCCGAAACUGUCUGUUGGGUUGACACGGAUCGAGACUGGGAUUUGUCACUCCGUAUGACGGAGAGGUAUCUCUGGGCCCACUCGGUAAUGCAUCAUCAUAAUGAGCUCAAAGUGACUAAGUGGUUGGUCACAGGAUCAUGCAUUACGGUACGAGUAAAGUGACUUGCCGGUAACGAGAUUGAACGAGGUAUUGGGAUACCGACGAUCGAAUCUCGGGAAAGUAACGUACCGAUUGACAAAGGGAAUUGUAUACAUGAUUACUUGGAUCCUCGACAUCGUGGUUCAUUCGAUGAGAUCAUCGUGGAACAUGUGGGAGCCAACAUGGGUAUCCAGAUCCCGCUGUUGGUUAUUGGCCGGAGAGUCGUCUCGGUCAUGUCUACAUGUCUCCCGAACCCGUAGGGUCUACACACUUAAGGUUCGGUGACGCUAGGGUUGUAGAGUACAAGUAUGCAGUAACCCGAAAGUUGUUCAGAGUCCCGGAUGAGAUCCCGGACGUCAUGAGGAGUUCCGGAAUGUCCUGAGGUGAAGAAUUGUAUAUAGGAAGUCCAGUUUCGGCCACCGGGAAAGUUACCGGGACCACCGGAAGGGUCCCUCGGGUCCACCGGGUGGGGCCACCUAUCCCGGAGGGCCCCAUGGGCUGAAGUGGGAGGGGAACCAGCCCCUGGUGGGCUGGUGCGCCCCCCUUGGGCCUCCCCUGCGCCUAGGGUUGGAAACCCUAGGGGUGGGGGGCACCCCACUUGACUUGGGGGGCAAGUCCCCCCCCCUUGGCCGCCCCCCCCCCCCCCCUUGAGUUGGGAUCUCUAGGGGCCAGCGCCCCCAGGGCCCCUAUAUAAAGAGGGGGAGGGAGAGCUGUGUUGGAAAUAUGCCCUAGAGGCAAUAAUAAAAGGAUUAUUAUUAUAUUUCCUUGUUCAUGAUAAUUGUCUUUAUUCAUGCUAUAACUGUAUUAUCCGGAAAUUGUAAUACACGUGUGAAUACAUAGACCAUAAUAUGUCCCUAGUAAGCCUCUAGUUGACUAGCUCAUUGAUCAACAGAUAGUCAUGGUUUCCUGACUAUGGACAUUAGAUGUCGUUGAUAACGGGAUCACAUCAUUAGGAGAAUGAUGUGAUGGACAAGAACCAAUCCUAAGCAUAGCACAAGAUCGUGUAGUUCGUUUGCUAGAGCUUUUCCAAUGUCAAGUAUCUUUUUCUUAGACCAUGAGAUCUUGUAACUCCCGGAUACCGUAGGAGUGCUUUGGGUGUACCAAACGUCACAACGUAACUGGGUGACUAUAAAGGUGCACUACUGGUUUCUCCGAAAGUGUCUGUUGGGUUGACACGGAUCGAGACUGGGAUUUGUCACUCCGUAUGACGGAGAGGUAUCUCUGGGCCCACUCGGUAAUGCAUCAUCAUAAUGAGCUCAAAGUGACCAAGUGUUUGGUCACGGGAUCAUGCAUUACGGUAUGAGUAAAGUGACUUGCCGGUAACGAGACUGAACGAGGUAUUGGGAUACUGACGAUCGAGUCUCGGGCAAGUAACGUACCGAUUGACAAAGGGAAUUGUAUACGGGGUUGUUCGAAUCCUCGACAUCGUGGUUCAUCCGAUGAGAUCAUCGAGGAGCAUGUGGGAGCCAACAUGGGUAUCCAGAUCCCGCUGUUGGUUAUUGCCUGAGAGCCGUCUCGGUCAUGUCCGCGUGUCUCCCGAACCCGUAGGGUCUACACACUUAAGGUUCGGUGACGCUAGGGUUGUAUGAAUAUGAGUAUGCAGCAUACCGAAUGUUGUUCGGAGUCCUGGAUGAGACCCUGGACGUCAUGAGGAGUUCCGGAAUGGUCCGGAGGUAAAGAAUUAUAUAUAGGAAGUGUUGUUUCGUCCAUCGGGAAAGUUUCGGGGUCACCCGGUAUUGUACCGGGACCACCGGAAGUGUCCCGGGGGUCCACCGGGUGGGGCCACCCAUCCCGGAGGGCCCCAAGGGCUGAAGUGGGGAGGGGAACCAGCCCAUAGUGGGCUGGUGCGCCCCCCUAGGCCCAACCCCUGCGCCUAGGGUUGCAACCCUAGGGUGGGGGGGCAACCCACUUGCCUUGGGGGGGUACUCCAACCCCCCUGGCCGCCGCCCCCCCUUGGGAGAUUGGAUCUCCCAGGGCCGGCGGCCCCCCUGGGGGCCUAUAUAAAGGAGGGCAAGGGGGAGGGCAGCCGCACCCUGUGUAUUGGCGCCUCCCUCCCCCUGCUACACCUCGUCCUCCUCCCGCAGCAGCUUGGCGAAGCCCUGCUGGAGUUCUGCUGCAUCCACCACCACGCUGUCAUGCUGCUGGAUCAUCGUCAACCUCUCCUUUCCCCUUGCUGGAUCAAGAAGGAGGAGACUUCAUCCGCUCCGUACGUGUGUUGAACGCGGAGGUGUUGUCCGUUCGGCACUUGGUCAUCGGUGAUUCGAAUCACGGCGAGUACGACUCCAUCAUCACCGUUCUCUUGAACGCUUCCGCACGCGAUCUACAAGUGGUAUGUAGAUGCAAUCUCUCUCCCAUCACUCGUUGCUUAGAUGAACUCAUAGAUGGAUCUUGGUGAAACCGUAGAAAUUUUUUUAAUUUUCUGCAACAUUCCCCAACAGGCUGUGCACCCUAGCCCCUGGCGCCUCCCUCUCCCCUCGCAACACCUCUCCGUCUCGCUGAGCUUGGUGAAGCCCUGCGAGAUCACCGCUGCUUCCACCACCAUGCCGUCGUGCUGCUGGAUCUCCAUCAACUUCUCCCUCCCCCUUGCUGGAUCAAGGAGGAGACAUCUUCCCCAACCGUACGUGUGUUGAACACGAAGGUGUCGUCCGUUCAGCGCUAGGAUCAUCGGUGAUUUGGAUCACGACGAGUACGACUCCUUCAACCCCAUUCUCUUGAACGCUUCUGCGUGUGAUCUACAAGGGUAUGUAGAUGCACUCCUCUCUCUCGUUUCUAGAUGACUCCAUAGAUUGAUCUUGGUGAAGCGUAGAAAUUUUUUAUUUUCUGCAACGUUCCCCAACAGACAGUUGGUUGGUACAUAGCAGCACCAGCGAUACUGGCACAUCCGAAGUCAGGGAUGGCAAUGGAAAGCCACGACGCAAUAAAAGCAGACGUCGAAACAAUGAAGAAAUCCUAGACAAUAUGGCGGUAAACGCCGCAUUCAGUGGCUCUAGACCCGGUCAAUGAAAAAAGUCACUUAAAGGCAGCAGAGAUGGUCCAUCUAGCCUAGAUAAAAUUCUAGAAAGGUCCUGCCAGAUUCAUGGCACCCCCGACAAACUAGCCAAUCAUACCAACAGAGAAUGUUAGGUCUUCAACCAGGCUGGCAAGCUCAAUGCCGAACACAAAGGGAAAGGACCGCAAAGCGAAGACGAGGAUGAAUCUCGCCAGCCAAACAUGGGGGGACAGAAGAAAUUCCCACUAGAGGUCAAAACAGUGAACAUGAUUUAUGCCACUCAUAUCCCAAAGAGGGAGAGCAAACGCGCACUCCGAGACAUAUAUGCUAUAGAGCCUGUCGCCCCCAAAUUCAACCCAUGGCCGGCCUGUCCGAUCACCUCCGAUCGCAGGGAUCAUCCAACUAGUAUCCGUCACGGGGGCUCGGCUGCCUUAGUACUCGACCCAAUAAUUGACGGAUACCACCUCACCCGAGUCCUUAUGGACGGCGGCAGUAGUCUCAAUUUGAUAUAUUAGGACACUGCCUGCAAGAUGGGGAUAGACCCGUCAAGAAUCAAGCAAAGCAGCAUGAUCUUUAAAGGAGUAAUACCAGGCAUAGAGGCCCGCUGCACGGGCACCCUAACAUUGGACGUCGUCUUCGGCUCUCCCGAUAACUUUCAAAGUGAAGAGCUAAUCUUUGACAUUGCCCUGUUCCGAAGUGGCUAUCACACACUACUCGGACGAACGUCCUUUGCCCGUCUCAAUGCAGUCCUGCACUACGCUUAUCUUAAACUCAGAUGCCUGGACCACGUGGCGUUAUCACGGUGAGUGGAAAUACGGAGCAUUCUCUUUGUACAGAAGAAUACGCAGCGGCUCUAGUAGCCGAAGCAUGAAGUGGCCUUUCAAGCCGAGCAACUCAUCGGUCCCCAAGACCGUGGACACAGCCAAACGUGUUCGGCGCACACCUACGUGUAACAGCUCAGAUAAACCUGAGCUUGUUUAGCAGCCCUGCCCCCACAGAUCGCCCCAUAAGAAGACUGUACAUGUUUUCCCAUAUACAUAAAUAUACACUCAAAAUUCCUUGGGUGGCGCUGGGGGCACACUGCACGUUAGAAGUCUAUAGACCGGCUUGACCCUAUUCGGACUCAAGAAGCUACAGUUCACGGUUCAUCAAAACCAACAAACUAUACCAACGGCCAUACUAGAUUCUUUCACCUGGUUCUUUCUUUUUUACAGAUAGGCCAUCAUGAUAUACCCUUCAAGCACACUGCACAACGGAGGUAAAGGCGCAGACAUGCAGCAGGGCCCCGUUUCAAGGUUUCUGUUCGGAUUAAAACCCUGUGUAAACAUUUUUUAUUAUCUCUUGUUGUUUCAUACCCUCCUGGCAUAUAAAGCACCCAAGAUAUCAGCAUUAUUUGCGAACUUACUAUUCGCCAUACUAAACUAGAUAUUCUAGAAGCACCCAGCAGUGUGCUUUGAGAGCUAUGCUCUCACCACAGGCGCUCUUUCCUCACGCCGGAUCAUAGCACAUGCCUUGAACUCAGGGUUCAUUACCGGGGGCUGUAUCCAGCCCGGUAUAUAUUGAAAAGUCUGAAUACCUUCGGGAGUGUUCGGCGUCGCCGGCCUUAUAUGCUUCAGCUCUGAAUCAUGUCUUUGGUCAAUAGUUGGGUUUCCCUGGCUCCUGUGCUUGCUACCUUACGUUCCGCUAUGUCGGCUAAGGUGGUAAAGGGAGAACUACUACGAUUGUGCCCUAGUUCAUCUGGACGAGCACCUCAGUAGAGAAAGCCAAAAAUUGACUGUCAUGAUAAGGUGAGAGUUGGUCAACCACUCGAUGGCUUAGUGGAAUCUUCGCAAUUCCUCCGCAUUAACGAAGGACCGGUUUCCCGGUCACAUAUGUAAAAUGCACCAUAUUCGGAUAAACGCGGACAUACCAAGGGCUAUAUAGUAGCCCCACCGUCAAACUCCUAUGGCUAAGUGAAAGUGUUAAAGCUCUAUAGUCCGAUUGCCUAGUUCGCCGCACUAACACCUCCUUAACGGACCAAGACGUUGGGUCAAGAGUGAUCAAGUGCUUUUCUGAACACCCCCGCAUUAUACGCGAGGGGGCUGAAGCCGACGAUUGCAAACUUUUAGGUUAUAUGCAUAUAUACGUAAACGGCCGCACAAGAGGCACUAAAAUACUUUACGGGCAAAAGUAUAAACACAACCUUCAUUAUCAUAAGCAUUGUUUUUACAAUUCGGAUACAUGUUACUCGAACAUAAUAUUCUUCGAGCACUGACCCUCUAUCAAGCGGGCACCCUCUAAGACUUCUUCAAAAUAGUGAUCUGGUGUGUCCUGACCCUCGGGUGGACCCCCUGUUGCAAUAUCGGUCGCCUUCAUCUUCGCCCAAUACGUGUCCACACGGGCAAGGGCCAUCCGUGCACCUUCUACGCACGUUGACCGCUUGACAGCGUCGAUAUGCGACACUGCACGAACAAGUUGUUGCACUAAACCAAAAUAACUAUUCGCAGUUGGUCCCUCAGACCACAGCCGGUCCACGACAACCUUCAUGGCAAGUCCGGAUAUCCUGUGGAGCUCGGCCCGUUCGGCCCUCUACUCAUUCAACAACAGGGGACGCCUUGGCAUGCUAAACUGCAACCAGAAAAGACGUUCCGCUUCAUGUCCUUCUUGAGCCUGGAAAAACUGCGUCACAUAAGAAGCACUCUUCGACAAGUCCAAAUAUGCGUCCGGAGAACUCCACAUUUGAUCAAGCGGGGCAUACUUCGGAUCGCCGAACUUGGUUCGUAAUAAAAAGGGCUUCCCAGCCGCGAUCUCCCCGGCUUGCGGGAUCUCCUCCCGUGCCGCUCUGGCCUUUGACCGGGUUUCCUUUGCCGCUUGUAAAGCCUUCUCAAGGUCAUCUGUUUUUUCUUUGGUCUCUUUCUCGAGAAGGGCAUGGCUAGCGGCUUCCUUUAGCUCACGCGCCAUGUUGGAUAUUCUCUCCUCACUCACGCGAUGAGCAGCAUGUUCGGCUUUUAAUUCACCAACUGCCUUCUCGGCAGCCGUGUUGCUUAUCUUGGCCUGCUCCUUGGCUCGGGCAAGCUCAGCCCGAAGGGUCUCCACGGCGGCAGCACCAUCUGUAGUCAAGCAUAUAAUAAAUUCCAGCAUCAUGCUCCUAUUUAUACUCACUAACCGCCCAAAGGACAUACCUUGCACCUCGUCAAGCCGCUUGUUCACGAGCAUGAUGUCAUCAUCCGCUACAUCGAGUUGCCGCUUCAGUUCGGCAAAUUCGGCAGCCCGGGCAGUAGCUGGGGCUGCAGCCGCCUGUGUACAAAUUAGCAAAAUUAUUACCUGAGCUUAUUUAUCUUUCGAUCCUCUGAUCGCCCCGUUCGGAGGGCAACCACAGUAUUAGGGGCUACUAUCUAUACACAGUACACAUUGCGUACCUCAAAGCCUCUUAGCAGGCUCGUAAAGGCUUCAUUCAAUCCACUUUUUGUGGGCGAAAUUCUCUCAAACACUGUACCCACUAAGGUACGAUGUUCCUCCGAGAUAGGCGCUUGCCGCAGAAGAUCCGUCCAUGUGUCCGGUUGUAUAUCGGACAGUCUGAGGCUUUUGUUGUCGGUCUCUCUAGGAGCCGAACACCCCGGACUUCGGGCGGCCGAAGAGUCAUCUUCUGGCCUUGUCCUCCUUCGCGGAUCGGGAGAGAUCCUCCGGGACGACACCUCGGGGUUGUCCGCCUUAUGGGGCGGGGAGGUAUGAGGCGGCGUUUGGCUCUCCAUCAUCUCCGAAAGAAGAUCCCCCAAGGACGAAGAUUGUCGAGGGAGGCUAUAGGUCGAACUGCAAAACAUACGUUUCAGAUAAUACCCUCACAAACAAGAAAAGAACGGGGUAUGCUUAUUAAAGCACCUUUGUUCGCUUACGGUUUGGCUAAAGGCUGGCCCCCUUGUGGGCACUCUGCGGCAAUAUCGCCUCCUGAAUCCGCGCCCCCUGAUAGGGAUUUCUUCCCUCGCUUGGAGGCCUCUGCCUUCAGGUCUUCAAGGGCGGCUGUCUUCUUCCCAUGGGGGGAGGGAGUGUCAGAUUCUCCUCCCCGUUCAUCCUCUAACACGGGAGUUCCGAUUUCCCUGGAUACGGUGCAUGACGCGCCUCCGGUAUGAAGGCCACUUUGGGCCUCUCCACUCCUCUCCUUCUCUUCCCUCAACAACACUUGACAAGGUGUCGGAGCCAGCAUCCUGGUUAGCACCGUGUCCGCUGAGUUUUCGGGAAGAGGGGCCAAACACCUUAUCCUCUCCACCUUUUUUACCCAGCCCUGGCAGAGUAUGGUUUUCUCAGUUUUGUUAUGAGAAACUUAAAAUAGAAACGUGUUCGGAAAUUGAGUACUUACCGGGGAAUCCGGAUGGUUGCAGUCGAGGCCUGCGUCCUCCGUGUUGUCCGGACACCUUGUUCGUGACCCGAGGAAUAAUUCAUACAUCCCUUCGAGCGUUGUACCAAAGAAGCGCUAAUGGUUCGCGGUCCUUCCGGAUUGAACUCCCACAUAUGGAGAGGUCGGCGCUAGCAUGGCAAGAUCCGACGGACUAACAUAACUUGGAUUACCUUGAUAAGGUCGAUGUCCUUCUUAAUAAGGUCUCGAAUGCGGCUUUGCAGUAUUUGAACUUCGUUUGGCGAUCCCAAUCCAGCCCCUUUUUAAUCCACGAUGCAAGCUAUGGCGGAGGGCCGGAUCAAAAGGCGGGUGAAGCUACCCACUUGGUACCACGGGGCUUCGUGAUGUAAAACCACUCCCGUUGCCAUAGGCCAGAAGUUGCGGUGAAGGAACCCUUUGGCCAGACUGAGGGAGUCCUGGACUAGGGGGUGUCCGGAUAGCCGGACUAUCAUCAUCGGCCGGACUCCAAGACUAUGAAGAUACAAGAUUGAAGACUUCGUCCCGUGUCCGGAUGGGACUUUCCUUGGCGUGGAAGGCAAGCUUGGCGAUACGGAUAUGUAGAUCUCCUACCAUUGUAACCGGCUCGGUGUAACCCUAGCCCUCUCCGGUGUCUAUAUAAACCCGAGGGUUUUAGUCUGUAGGACGAACAACCAUUACGACAAUCAUACCAUAGGCUAGCUUCUAGGGUUUAGCCUCCUUGAUCUCGUGGUAGAUCCACUCUUGUACUACCCAUAUCAUCAAUAUCAAUCAAGCAGGAGUAGGGUUUUACCUCCAUCGAGAGGGCCCGAACCUGGGUAAAAACAUCGUGUCCCUCGUCUCCUGUUACCAUCUGCCUAGACGCACAGUUCGGGACCCCCUACCCGAGAUCCGCCGGUUUUGACACCGACAUUGGUGCUUUCAUUGAGAGUUCCUCUGUGUCGUCACUGAUAGGCUUGAUGGCUUCUUCAAUCAACAACGCAGUCCAGGGUGAGACUUUUCUCCCCGGACAGAUCUUCGUGUUCGGAGGCUUUGCACUAUGGGCCAAUUCGCUUGGCCAUCUGGAGCAGAUCGAAAGCUACGCCCCUGGCCGUCAGGUCAGGUUUGGAAGCUUAAACUUCACGGCUGACAUCCGCGGAGACUUGAUCUUCGAUGGAUUCGAGCCACAACCGAGCGCGCCGCACUGUCACGGUGGGCAUGAUUUAGCUCUGCCACCGGAUAGUGCCCUGGAGGCUGCACACAAGUCCGCUCUGACCCAUAGUUCGGAGCCGACCACGCAGAUCGAGGACAGGUGGCUGGACACCGCCUCGGGGGCUGCAAUCUCUACGGCGAUGGAGCCGAAUACUGACCUUGUCCCUUGCAAAGCUCGUGACUCCGAGGUGCCGAACUCCCUGCCGGACUCCGAACCUCCUGCGCCCCCGCCAAUCGAAUCCGAUUGGGCGCCGAUCAUGGAGUUCACCGCUGCGGACAUCUUUCAGCACUCACCCUUUGGCGACAUCCUAAAUUCGCUAAAGUAUCUCUCGUUAUCAGGAGAGCCUUGGCUGGACUACGGUCAGGAUGGUUGGGAUGCGGACGACGAAGAAAUUCAAAACCCUCCCACCACCCACUUUAUAGCCACUGUCGAUGACCUAACCGACAUGCUAGACUAUGACUCCGAAGACAUUGACGGUAUGGACGAUGAUGCCGGAGACGAUCAAGAACCAGCGCCUACGGGGCACUGGAAGACCACCUCGUCAUACGACAUAUACAUGGUGGACAUCCCAAAGGACGGGGACAGCGAAGAAGCAGCGGAGGCAGAUUCCUCUAAGAAACAGCCCAAGCGCCGACAUCAGCGGCGCCGCUCUAAAUCCCGCCACAGCAAGAAUGGAGAUUCCAGCACCGGAGAUAAUAACACCCCAGAGAGUGCCGAAGACAACCCCCUCCAGCAAGAUUCAGCACAGGAGGACGGAGAAGCCAGCCCUUAAGAGACGGCAGCAGACGAGGAGAUAGAGGAUGACAAUUGCAUGCCUCCCUCCGAAGACGAGGCAAGCCUCAACGAUGACGAAUUCGUCGUGCCAGACGAUCCCGUCGAACAAGAGCGUUUUAAACGCAGGCUAAUGGCCACGGCGAACAUCCUAAAGAAAAAGCAGCAACAGCUUCGAGCUGAUCAAGACCUGCUGGCCGACAGAUGGACCGAGGUCCUCGCGACCGAAGAGCAUGAACUCGAACGCCCCUCCAAAAGCUACCCAAAACGCAAGUUGCUCCCCCGAUUAGAGGAGGCAUACAAACCUUCAUCACCAGCGCACAAUACGGCUGACCGACCACCUUGUGGCCGCGACAGAGAGGCAUCUAGGCCCUCCACCAGAACCGUACCCCGGCACCGCUCGAAAAGCGCAAAGCCACGGGGGAAUCGCUGGACUUGCGAGACGUAUUGGAGGACAAGGCAAAACAAUCAAGAUCUAUCUACGGAUCACGUGGGCGCCCCACGAUCCACGACGACUACCGUCGCGCCGGAUACAGCAACUCCGGCCGGGCCAAACAUAGCAGACAAAGCUCUCUUGAGCUACGUCGUGAUAUUGCCCAGUAUAGAGGCGCCACACACCCACUAUGCUUCACAGAUGAAGUAAUGGAUCAUCAAAUCCCCGAAGGGUUUAAACCCGUGAACAUUGAAUCCUAUGAUGGCACAACGGACCCCGCGGUUUGGAUCGAAGAUUAUCUCCUUCAUAUCCAUAUGGCCCGCGGUGAUGAUCUCCACGCCAUCAAGUAUCUCCCACUCAAGCUUAAAGGACCAGCUCGGCAUUGGCUUAACAGCUUGCCAGCAGAGUCAAUUGGGUGUUGGGAGGACCUGGAAGCCGCAUUUCUCGACAACUUCCAGGGCACAUAUGUGCGACCACCAGACGCCGAUGACCUAAGCCACAUAAUUCAGCAGCCAGACGAAUCGGCCAGACAGUUCUGGACACGGUUCUUAACAAAGAAAAAUCAAAUCAUCGACUGUCCGGAUGCAGAGGCCCUCGCAGCCUUCAAACAUAACAUCCGCGACGAGUGGCUGGCCCGGCACCUAGGACAGGAAAAGCCGAAAUCCAUGGCAGCCCUCACAUCACUCAUGACCCGCUUCUGUGCGGGGGAGGAUAGCUGGCUAGCCCGCAGUAACAACCUCGGCAAAAACUUUGGCAGUGCGGACUACAAGGACCGCAAUGGCAGGUCGCGUCAUAACAAAAACAAACGCCGUGUUAACGGCGAUAACACUGAGGAUACGACAGUCAACGCCGGAUUCAGAGGCUCAAAACCCGGUCAGCGGAAAAAGCCAUUUAAAAGAACUACCCCGGGUCCGUCCAAUUUGGACCGAAUACUCGACCGCUCUUGCCAGAUACAUGGCACCCCCAAAAAGCCAGCUAAUCACACCAACAGGGAUUGUUGGGUAUUCAAGCAGGCAGGCAAGUUAAUUGCCAAAAACAAUGACAAGGGGCCGCAUAGCGAUGACGAGGAGGAGACCCGGCCGCCGAACAGUAGAGGACAGAAGGGGUUCCCCCCACAAGUGCGGACGGUAAACAUGAUAUACGCAACCCACAUACCCAAGAGGGAGCGGAAGCGUGCACUUAGGGACGUAUAUGCGAUGGAGCCAGUCGCCCUGAAGUUCAAUCCAUGGUCCUUUUGCCCGAUCACUUUCGAUCGAAGGGACCACCCCACCAGUAUCCGCCAUGGCGGGUUCGCCGCACUGGUCUUAGAUCCAAUCGUUGAUGGAUUUCACCUCACUCGAGUCCUGAUGGACGGCGGCAGCAGCCUGAACCUGCUUUAUUAGGAUACAGUGCGCAAGAUGGGCAUAGACCCCUCAAGGAUUAAACCUACAAAGACGACCUUCAAAGACGUCAUACCAGGUGUUGAGGCCAAUUGUACAGGCUCAGUCACACUAGAAGUGGUCUUCGGAUCCCCGGAUAAUUUCCGAAGCGAGGAGUUAAUCUUUGACAUAGUCCCGUUCCGCAGUGGCUAUCACGCUUUGCUCGGACGAACCGUGUUUGCAAAGUUCAACGCGGUGCCGCAUUACGCAUACCUUAAGCUCAAGAUGCCAGGCCCUCGUGGAGUCAUCACGGUCAACAGAAACACUGAACGCUCCCUCUGAACGGAGGAACACACAGUGGCUCUCGCGGUAGAAGUACAAAGCAGCCUCUUAAGGCAAUUUUCAAGUCCGGCCGUUAAACGACCGGACAUGACCAAACGCGCCCGGAGCAACAUACAUCAAGACCACCUGGCACGUCCCGAGCACGCGUAGCAAUGCGGCCCCAACCCCAGCCCUUGCAUGAUUGCAAGACCAGCUCUUCGCGUACAUCAUUAUGCUCUGGAGAUACCAUGGGCAUAGGGGGAGGGGCACGACCACGACAGGCCCAGAGUGUGGCUCAACCACACUAGGGGCUCCCAAGUGUGUCGCUCUUUUUCUUUUCCUUUUUUUCUAUUUAUCCACAGGACUCCGUUCACCAAAGACCCUGUCCGGCGGUGAAUCUGCCGAACUCAUGAUGCAACAGCCAGGGAAGGACUAAGGCUACGACGAACACUCAGGUGGUCUCCAUUAUGAGCAUUAAAUCUGUUAAAUACACCAUUCCGCAGCCUACCCCUGGAGGGGGACAUGUCUAAUAGUCCAAUCCCUUGCUUACCGCACUAUUUGUAUCGUUCUGCACUCAUGGCAGAAUUCCUUGAAUAAACAAUGCAUCACUUUUCGCUUAUAAUUGCAUUCCUUUUUUACAUAUAUGUUCAUUUAUGACAUUUUGCAUCCGUACACUUUGGUACGGUCGAAUACACUAGGGGCUUAUGUUCCCCGCAUCAUGGUGUGAUAAGUCCGAACACUUUCACAAGUGCGGCACCCCGAAUUUAUAGCACUAUAUGCAUCGGCUCUGAAUCAUGUCUUGGGUCAAUAGUUGGGUUUGCCCGGCUCCCAUGUUUUGGUACCUUACGUUCCGUUCUAUCGGCUAAGGUAGCACUGGGAGAACCACUGUGAUUGCGCCCCGGUUGAGCUGGGCGAGCGCCUCAGUGGAGAAAGCUAAAACUGACCAUCAUGAUAAGGCGAGAGCUGGUCGCUGUUCGAGAGGUCUUUUCGAGUCCCUAAAGACUUAUGCCGCUUAGAGCGAGGAACCGGCUUCGUCCGGCCCAGGCGUGGAUAGCGCCCCGAACUCGGUCUUCCAAACACUAGGGGCUUCACCGAAAUUUAAAAUUAUAGAAUUCUAUGGCUAAGUGAGAGUGUUCAAGAAUUAUAAGUCCGGUUGCCUCGUUCGUUGUGUUGAGCGCCUCCCUAGACGGACCCAACAAUGGGAACAAGAGCGCUCAAGUUUAUCCCGAACACCCUAGCACUCGUGGCAUGGGGGCUGAAGCCGACGACUUGCCAUCUCUCAGAUUUGAUAAACGGCCGCACAGAAGGUAAUAUUUUAAAUUAAUAAGCAUUGCUUAGCGCAUAUGAACAAAGUUUUCAGCGCACAGGAUAACACAUUGCGAGUCUACUCAAAUAUUACAUCUUUGGGGCACUCGUCCGCAAUCUUGCGGGCACCCUUCAGGACACUCUUCUAAUACAUUUCAGGCGUACGAUACUCCCUGCCCGCCGGCGGCGCGUCCAUCCGAAGCCUCUCAGCAUCCAGCCUGCCCCAGUGCACCUUUGCGCGGGCAAGGGCCCGACGGGCACCUUCAAUGCAGGCGGAGCGCUUGAUGACUUCCACCCAAGGGCACGCAUCCACUAGCCGCCGCACGAGGCCGAAGUAGCUCCCAGGCAUGGCCUCUUCAGGCCACAGCUGGACUAUGAGGCCCUUCAUGGCCUGCUCGGCUACCUUGUGGAGCUCGACCAGCUGCUUCAACUGGUCGCUAAGGGGCACCGGAUGUCCGGCCUCAGCAUACUGAGACCAGAAGACCUUCUCCGUUGAGCUCCCCUCCUCGGCCCGGUAGAAUGCGGUGGCAUCGGACAUGCUGCGAGGUAGAUCUGCAAACGCCCCUGGAGAGCUCCGAAUUCGGGUAAGUAACAGGUAAUUCGCAUUCACAUGCUUGCUUUGCAUGAAAAAUGCCUUACCCGCCGCUAUUUUCUUCACCGCCUCAAUCUCCUGGAGGGCCCUAUGGGCCUCGCCCUUAGCGGCUUUGGCACUCUCAAGAGCCGAGGCAAGCUCGGACUCUCGAGUCUUCGAAUCGCGCUCCAAACUCUCAUGCUUUUCCAUGAGAGCCUGGAGCUCUUGCCGCACCUCCGCCACCCGCGCCUCCUGCUUCUCUCGCUCCACUCGUUCCGCGGCCGCAUUACGUUCGGCCGCGAACACGGCCUCCUUCAGGGUCGCCACCUCGUUCGUGGCCCCUGCAGUGCCCAUGUUAUCCUUGUUAUUUAUAUUGCAACCAAAAUCCUUUUCUGUAAGGUACAAAUUUAAUACGGUGUUACUCACCUUCUUUGUCCUCGAGCUGCUUCUUAGCAAGGCCGAGCUCGUUCUUGGUCCGCUCGAGGUCCUGCUUCAAAGCACCGACCUCUGCAGUCAAUGCGGCAGAGGUCAGCAGCGCAGCCUGCAAUCCCAUAUUGACAUAAUUUUUAGAACUCCUGCGUAUAUCUUUUUAGAUCCUCAAUCCGGCUUUUCUUUCCGAACACCGAACCGAGCAUCAGGGGCUAUUGUCUAUGCGGUAUUACAUUACAUAUUUUAAAACUUCUUACCUCAAAGCCUGUUAGAAGGCUGCUUCAGGCUUCGGUCAGCCCACUCUUGGCGAGCUGAACCUUCUGAAUCACCGCACUCAUGAUAGUGCGGUGUUCUUCCUCACUGGAAGCGUCGUUGAGCGCCUCCAACAAGUUGUCCGGCGCCUCCGGUUGGACGGAGGCCGCCGGUGCCACGGUCUUGCCCUUCUUACGAAGGGGCCGCCUGCCGGACUCCGGAACCACUGCGGGUUCCGGGGCGGAGUCCAGUGCGAAGUCCGGGAGGUUGCCCUGUGGCACCUCCGGUGCCUCACCCUCCUGGCGGGUCCCCUCCUGGGAUCCCACCUCAGCGUCCUCGGCGUCGCGAGGGGUGGAGGCGGUCGGAAUGGAAUCCACAUCCGACGGAGCCAAGGACCCGCUCGAAGAAGCGGGAAAAUCGUCCUCGGCCGGACUACAGGUUGUAUGCGGCAUUAGAAGGACACUGUGUGGCGAAAAAGAGAAAUUAUAAAUCAUUCAGGAAUCCAGAUACUUACGAUCUUGCCGGGGGCUUGGCCCUUGAGGGCCACCCCUCAUCGCCGUCGUCGGCAUUGGCGGAGCUGUCCGGAGGAAGGGUCCUUCCCCUCUUGGACCCUUCGGCCUCCCCCGUUGGGGAAGCCUUCCUCUUCCUCUCUCUCCCCCUCCUGGGGAGAGUCCUCUCUCUCCUCCUCGUCUUCGGGGGAGGAGUCCGCCUCGGAGCCAUCGGACGAUGAGUCCGAUACCACCUGGCGCCGGGAACUCCUUCGGGUUCCCGUGGCCGCCUUCUUGGCCUUCUUCUCCGGCACCAUGUAAGGGUCCGGAACCAGCAGCCCCGUCAAACGGGUAUCCACUGGGUCUUCGGGAAGGGGAGCCGGACAAUCAACCUGUCCGGACGUCCUCUGUCAGUCCUGUUAAAGGCAUUGGGAGUUUUAGAUCCCACGUAGAGUCAAACUAUGAAAAAAGUAAGCGUCCCAUAAAGGAUAGCAAAGCUUACCUCGCCGGCCGGGCGCUUUGUGCUGAACCCGCGAUCUUCAGUUGCGGAUGCAGGGGCUUCUCCGCCCUUGAACAGCACCUUCCAGGCAGCUUCGUACGUUGUGUUGAAGAGCCCGCUCAGGGUCUGGUGCUGUGCCGGAUCAAAUUCCCACAAAUUGAAGGCCCGUUGCUGGCAGGGGAGAAUCCGGCGGACGAGCAUGACCUGGAUCACGUUGACAAGCUUAAGCUUCUUGCUCACCAGGGUCUGGAGACAGGACUGGAGUCCUGUCAGCUCCUCCGAACUACCCCAUAACAAGCCCUUCUCUUUCCAGGAGGCGAGCUGCAUGGGGAUACCAGAUCUGAACUCGGGGGCCGCUGCCCAUUUAGGGUCACGCGGCUCGGUGAUAUAGAACCACCCCGAUUGCCACCCUUUGAUGGACUCCACAAAGGCACCCUCGAGCUAGAGGACGUUGGGCAUUUUGCCUGCCAUGGCGCCUCCGCACUCCGCUUGGACGCCCUUCACCACCCUCGGCUUGACAUUGAAGGUCUUUAGCCACAAGCCGAAGUGGGGCUGGAUGCAGAGGAAGGCCUCGCACACGACGAUAAACGCCGAGAUGUUGAGGAUGAAGUUUGGCGCCAGAUCGUGGAAGUCCAGGCCGUAGUAGUACAUGAGCCCCCGGACGAAGGGAUGAAGUGGGAAGCCCAGUCCGCGGAGGAAGUCGGGAAGGAAUACGACCCUCUCAUGGGGCCUGGGGGUGGGGAUGAGCUGCCCCUUGUCGGGCAGCCGGUGCGCGAUGUUGCUGGACAAGUAUCCGGCGCCGCAUAGCCUCUCGAUGUGUCCCUCCGUAACGGAGGAGGCCAUCCAUUUGCCUCCCGCUUCGGACAUGGCUGGAGAAUGUUGAGACGAGAUGUGCGGACUUGGGCGCUGGAGCUCGAGUGCGCGGAGAUGGAUAAGCAAAAGGAGGAAGAAGGCGUAGGUAAAGAGGGUGGAUCCUUAUCCCCUUAUAUAUGGGCGGACGAAGACUAUGCGUCCCCCCCCAGCCUGGUAAAACUCGCUUAUCUCCCAAGCGCCACAAUCAAUGGCGCGGUUGGGUUACCCACGUCCGUAUGGAUGGGAAUCCCAGAAUAAAGGGGAACACGAUCUCUGCUUCGACAAGACAUGCCAAGGAAAUCGCUUCGCUAAACGUGCUGAGGUGGUAUAAUAAAAACGAUUCAAGUAAAGGCUUGGUAGUGGCUUGACGUCAUGCCACGAAAUACGUCAGCAGAUUGAACUUGUGUGCAUAUUAUUCUCUCUACGGUGCUAUGUGGAAUUUAUUUUGCAGAGCCGGACACUAUCCUGGUGUUCGCAUCUUCUAUGGAUUAUUCAGAGGAGGAACCCGCCUUGAAAUGCCGAACAAUAUGCGCGCCGGACUCAUCGUCAUUGAAGCCUGGUUCAGGGGCUACUGAGGGAGUCCUGAACUAGGGGGUGUCCGGAUAGCCGGACUAUCAUCAUCGGCCGGACUCCAAGACUAUGAAGAUACAAGAUUGAAGACUUCGUCCCGUGUCCGGAUGGGACUUUCCUUGGCGUGGAAGGCAAGCUUGGCGAUACGGAUAUGUAGAUCUCCUACCAUUGUAACCGACUCUGUGUAACCCUAGCCCUCUCCGGUGUCUAUAUAAAUCGGAGGGUUUUAGUCCGUAGGACGAACAACCAUUACGACAAUCAUACCAUAGGCUAGCUUCUAGGGUUUAGCCUCCUUGAUUUCAUGGUAGAUCCACUCUUGUACUACCCAUAUCAUCAAUAUCAAUCAAGCAGGAGUAGGGUUUUACCUCCAUCGAGAGGGCCUGAACCUGGGUAAAAACAUCGUGUCCCUCGUCUCCUGUUACCAUCCGCCUAGACGCACAGUUCGGGACCCCCUACCCGAGAUCCGCCGGUUUUGACAUCGACACAGACGACGUCGGACGAUUUGCUUAUCAAAGCACCUCCGCACUCUGCGUGUCUCCCGUCUAUUAUCUUCGGCCUUACAUCGAAGGUCUUGAGACAUAAGCCAAAGUGUGGAGAAAUACGGAGGAAAGCCUCACAUACGAUAAUGAAUGAUGAGAUGUGAAGGAGGGAGUCCGGAGCUAGAUCAUGGAAAUCUAGUUCGUAGUAAAAUAUGAGCCCUCGAACGAAGGGAUGAAGGGAGAAACCAAGCCCCUGGAGGAAGUGAGGUAUAAAUAGGACCCUCUCAUUAGGUCUAGGAGUAGGGAUAACCUGCCCUUGUGCAGGAAGCCUGUGAAGGAUCUCCGCGGUCAAAUACCUCGCCUCCUUGAGCUUCAUGAUAUCCUCCUACGUGACAGAGGAAGCCGUCCACCGGCCUUGAAGGCUGGAUCCGGACAUGGCCUGAGGUUCGAAGCGACUAGUUAAACCUUGGGUGUUGGAAUUUGAGGUGGGAGGGGGAGGGAGUAGCCUAGAGGGGAAAGGCGGGUCUCGGCCUCCUUAUAAAGAUGACGAAUAUCAAACGUCCCCUACGUGGGCUUAAAACAUGCCUAUUCCCAAGGAAUCAUACCAACGGGACGGUUGGGUUACCCACGCCCGUGUUGAUGAGAAUCCCGCAAUAAGGGGACACGAUCUUUGCUUCGACAAGACAUGCUAAUAAAACCGCCUCACGAAGCAUGGAGCAGCAGGUUGGAAAAACAAUUUGAAAUAAUGGCCGAACGAUGACGUAAUGUCGUGUUGCAAAAGCUGUCAGCGGAUUGGACUCGUGAAAACAUUAUGCUCUCCACGGUGGUACAUGGAAUUUGUUUUGCAGAGCCGGACAAGAUUCUUAUGUUCAAGAUCUACUUUGGAGUAUUCGGAGAAGGAACCCGUCUUGCAAUGCCGAAGACAAUCUGCACGCCGGACUCAUCCACUACUAGAGAAAACCUUACUAGUGGUGCUGGUUUUUUACAUAGCAGUAGCGCGGGCACCCACGCUACUGCAAAGGCGCUAGAGCUAUUGCUUAACAGUAGCGCGUUUCUAAACAAGCGCUGCAGCUAAGAUACUUAGUAGUAGCGCCUCUUUCUCUACCAACGCUACUACUAUCAUCACGUAGUAGAAGCGCCCUAUUUUCUCCCUACGCCACAACUAGGUAAAUAGAAAUAAAAAAUAAAAAAAGAAGUCAGAUGCAAUAUUCAUGGAAAUCAAGACAGGUCCAGUGCAAAUAAACUAAGUUCACAGAACCAUCUCACAAGCAUUAACGACAAUACCACAUUUAAUAUAACCACACAAUCUCACAAACUAAUACAACGACAAUGCAUGGAUAGAUCAUAGUUGAUAAGUCUACUAGGUAGUUAUACUAGCAUAAAUAUGGUUCAGCAGCCACACACAUGCAUAUGUAGUUCUAGAUGAUAUCGAUGACGACCAUCAUCCUCAAGCCUGGGUGGUGGGUGUUCCUGAUAGUAAUUAGGAUUGCCUGUCCAACAUGAAGAUUCUUGCCGACGAGGAAACUCUUCCACCCAACCGAGUUGAAGUGUGUGCGACCGUCCGUGUCCACGCUGUAUGCACAAGUGGUGACAGAGCCCCUCGCGGUAAGGCGUAUUCCAGCAGAGCCUUCUUCAUCAGGCUUGAUACCACAACUCUCAGAUAGGCUCUUUGGCAAUUUCUGAAUAAGAAAAAACAUAUCAAUUAAUAAGUAGCCUCACACAUUCUACACUAUCAAAAGACAGUACUACAUUUCUGCUAAGCAUGAAUUCUACUACUAAGUAUAUUUGGAUUCUACACUAUUAACAGUUCUUUGGAUUCUACACGAAGCAUAUAUAUCAUCGGAUUCACUAAGCAUAUAGAUCAUCGGAUUCACUAAGCAUAUAAGAUUCACUAAGCAUAUAUAUCAUCGGACUCUACACUAAGUAUAACAAUAAAGCAUAUAUAUCAUCAGAUUCACUAAACAUAUAUAUGAUGUCCCAUAGGUUGCACACCUCCUCCUCGUUCAACCUCAUUCUUUGAACUAUGAUGGCUUCACCAAGUGGGUCGUCAUCAUCCUCAUCAUCCUCAUCAUCUUCUGCUUUGUUGACAUAAAUCACGGCCAACUUGGGUCUUUAUGCUCUGAAGGAGAAGCUGAUCAACUCACCACCGGUGAUACGCAUGUGGGCGAUGAAACAGACCCAUUCAUCUCCUCCCACUCGCGUCAUAUUUCGUCCUCUCUCGACCUCCAUAGUGUAGGGGCCCCCAGGAACCUCAAAGGUCACAGAGUCUCCGGUCAACUUGUUGAAUUCUGACCUCACAUUGCAUGGGACGAUCUGUGUACAAAGAGAAAAAUGAUAUAUACAAAUGCCAAUAACACUAAAAACAAAUAGUGGUUACUGGUUUCAUAUAAUUUAUUACCGCCGCAUGAAGAAAACUAGACUCGUAGUAGAUGCCGAAUAGCGUGCCAGCUGCAAGGCUGCUGGCACACCUUGACUUGCACCGUCGACAUGGUGGUGGUGGUGCUGGUGGCGCCAUUUCCCUAAAGCAAUAUGAUUAGAGGAUUAAUGAUCCAAAAAGUAAAGAUAAAGUUUUCAAUACACAUCAGAUUUUGAAUAAUAUACACAUCAAGUUCACAUCAUAGAGAAUACACAUCAGGUUCACAUGGCAAGCAAAAUAACAACUAAAUUGUAGUUCAGUUCAAACAAUAACCUAAUAGAGAUCAUGUAACCCAAAUAGAGCCUAAUAAUAUAAGAUAAAUGGCAUAUUGCCAUUAUUGCGCAAGCAGACAAGCAAAAGUAGUUCAAUCGAGAGAGAGAACCCAUCUCUAAACCCUAGAACACUAGGCACUGCCUCCAUCGCCACUAAACAAAAGCCAAGGCAGGACGAGAGAGAGAACCCCUCUCUAAACCCUAGAACACUAGGCACCGCCGCCGCGACGACUGCUCUAGGGACAUCAGCCAAGGAAGAAGAAACCAAGCCACCGCUCCCUUCUACUGCCCUCAAUCCCCCCUCCCACCUCUACUCGCUUCCUUUUCUGUCUCCUGGAUUCGACCAAGUUUGGCUGACCAAACUUGUGCAUCUGGAUUAGUUCCUUACCUAACCCCUCUCUCUACUCUCACAUAACCCUUCUCACCUAACCCCUCUCUCACAUCACUGAGGCUCGGCAGCCCUCUUGCUCUUCUGGGCCAUGCUCGGCGGCACCGUCGCCGACUAUACGUGCUCUACAAGGACGCCACCAAACCAUCAACACACGCUGCCUCUCCAGUCCUGUGCUAAAAAUGGACAGAACCUGCAUUAGCUUCACCGAUGAGUAGAGCCGUACUAAUAACUACACCUUCACCGCUUUAAUCUGCAACGACAAGGGUGAGCAUUAGUGAUGAACAGUCACCGUUCGUUCGGCAAGGGCAGCAUAGCGCGCCGCUCUCUCGCUGCUGCUCCUCCCACCGCACGUUAUCCAGCAGCUCCCAUCGCCUCCUAUACCUCUCCUGCAGUGCUCCCGCCGCCCAACAAAAAGCCUAUACUUCUCCCUCACCUAACCCCUCUCUCUAGUCUCUCCCCAAUCACGCAAGGAAACAAGCCUGGAACACGUCGCAUCGAAGCGUGGAGCCACCGUGCAAUCCCUAAAUCCCUUUCCCCCAUGCGAAAUCCCAAAACAUGGCAAGCCUCCGCGGUGAAUCGAUCGGAGCCUAGCUAGCUAGUGGUGGCGCGUGCAGGGAGGAGGAGAUUGAGGGGGACUUACGGGGCUGGAGCGUCGGAGGAGGCGAGAGGUGACCGCGCGUGGUGGCGGUGCAUGACGCCGUCGACAGGGGUGAGGCGGCCUGGGAGGAACCCUAACCAUGGCGGCGUCGUCGGGCAGAGGGGAUCGAUAAUGUGAGAGUGAGGGGCUGGGGGGUCCUCGGGCUGGUUUUCUUUUUCUCUAGUAGUAGCGCUGGGUAGAGGUCGGCGCUACUGCUAAGCCCACCAGUUGUAGCGCCCGUUUGGAACAAACGCUAUAGGUAAGUGGGCUACCAUUUUUCCCAUGUGGCCCAUGUAACAACAGCGUGGCCCAAGCUAACAAACGUUGUUGUUAUUUAGUAGUAGUAGUGUGUUUUAUACCCAGCGCUACUGGUAAAUACCAGUAGUGUGGGGUCAUAAACAUGCGCUAUUGGUAAACUUCUAUCUAUAAGCACUUUCCUAGUAUUGAUCAUCAUUGAAGCCUGGUUCAGGGGCUACUGAGGGAGUCCCGGAUUAAGGGGUCCUCGGACAGCCAGACUAUAUGCAUAUGGUGUAUUGUUGGACUAUGAAGAUACAAGAUAGAAGACUCCGCCCCGUAUCCGGAUGGGACUCUCCUUUGCGUGGAAGGCAAGCUUGGCGGUUAGAAUAUGAAGAUUCCUUUCUCUGUAACCGACUCUGCGUAACCCUAGCCCCCUCCGAUGUCUAUAUAAACCGGAGGGUUUAGUCCGUAGGACAAGAACGAUCAUAAUCAUAGGCUAGCUUCUAGGGUUUAGCCUCUACGAUCUCGUGGUAGAUCAACUCUUGUAAUACUCAUAUCAUCAAGAUCAAUCAAGCAGGAAGUAGGGUAUUACCUCCAUCGAGAGGGCCCAAACCUGGGUAAACAUUGUGUCCCCCGCCUCCUGUUACCAUUAGCCUUAGACACACAGUUCGGGACCCCCUACCCGAGAUCCGCCGGUUUUGACACCGACAGUGGCGAAGCAGCCAGCUUCCCACCAAGCUCUCAGGUCCUCGAUGAUCAUGCUCACCACUCUAGCCAGAUGUCUAGCUUGUAUUGCUUCCAUUUUGGUUAAAUUGCAUCUGCUUAGCUUACACAUUAUACCUUCUAAUAUGACAUGCCUUCUUGUUUUUGGUACAUACUAGUACAUUUGUCUAUUAACCAUGUUCUUACAUCAAACUAAUGUUCUUGUGUAUCCCUCAUCAAUCACUUAUGAUGAGACAGUCACCCUAGUGGAUUACUUUGAGAAAAGAUCAUCUUUCGAAGAAUGCAGUGUCAGCCUCCCCACAUGAUUCUCAAGAAACAACAAGGCUAGAUGAAGAUAGUGAACGUAGUUCUUUCUAAAAAUAAACUAGUUCAACUAGUUAUAUUAAUUUUCUUACUAAAAAUACAUUAGUUCUAUUAAUUCAACUAGUUCUUACUAAAACUAAACUAGUUCAACUAGUUUAUUAAUUUACUUACUAGUUAUUUUAAACACUUACUAAAAACAGUAAAAAAAACUACAUUAUACAAUAGUGAAAAACUACAGUGAAAACAGGAAAAAAAAGAUGGAGGGAGGAGGGGAAGGGAGGAGGAAGGAGAGAGGAGUAGGGGGAGGAGGCCGGUGGGAUCGGAGGAGGAAGGGNNNNNNNNNNNNNNNNNNNNNNNNNNNNNNNNNNNNNNNNNNNNNNNNNNNNNNNNNNNNNNNNNNNNNNNNNNNNNNNNNNNNNNNNNNNNNNNNNNNNNNNNNNNNNNNNNNNNNNNNNNNNNNNNNNNNNNNNNNNNNNNNNNNNNNNNNNNNNNNNNNNNNNNNNNNNNNNNNNNNNNNNNNNNNNNNNNNNNNNNNNNNNNNNNNNNNNNNNNNNNNNNNNNNNNNNNNNNNNNNNNNNNNNNNNNNNNNNNNNNNNNNNNNNNNNNNNNNNNNNNNNNNNNNNNNNNNNNNNNNNNNNNNNNNNNNNNNNNNNNNNNNNNNNNNNNNNNNNNNNNNNNNNNNNNNNNNCGGUGGGAGGAGGGCGGUCGGAGAAUGAGGGGGGAGGAGGGAGGGGAGGAGGAAGGAGGGAGUACCUCAGCGAGGAGAAGCGCGGCGGCGGUGGACGACUUAUGGGUUCGACGCGGGCGAGAACGAGUGAGAGGGAGUGAGUGUGAGAGGGUGAACCGCUCCAGGAUAAGGUAAGUAAGUAGUAGCGUGUUUCAGAGAAACGCACUACUGCUGCGGGCAAGCAGUAGCGCUGGUCAGUGGUACGCGCUACUGCUAAGUGGGGCUAGUACAAAUAUAGCAGGAGCGCGGUUUCGCAGAACAUGCUACUACUAAAGUAGUAGCAGUAGCGCAGUCUAUUUAAAAACGCUACUACUAAGUAGCAGUAGCGCCCUGUUUUGUCCAGCGCUACUGCUAAGAUGUUGUGUAUAAGGUUUUCCCUAGUAGUAUUAUCCCAUUAUCCAAUAUCAGAUUCAGGGGGAGAAAGAGUUCAUAUCUAGGGGAAGAAAAUCUUUGGAAUUCAUUGCAUAUCUUCAAUCUUUGGGGACAUGUCUAUAUCCGAAUUGAGUACUAAGUACUCACUCAUUACAUGUCAUCCCAGUCUUGGUACUCUUGUGGUUUCCUAAACUUGCUUUAUUUAGAGUGUUCUUGUGUUAUCUAACCUUGUUUUCUUAAGCUCAUCUCUUCCAAAGCCAGCUCAAGACCACAAGGUAAGUGUAUGCAUCACACUCAUGUGCAUGAUGAUCUCUUGAUGAUGUACAUAUUGUUUGCAAGAAGGAUUCAUGAACAUGAAGGUACACUUCCUUUUAUCUACAUCAUUUUCUCUAAUGCAUAUAGCCAAGAUACAUGUAACUCAUUUCUUGCUCUGACAUGCCUAUGCAUUCACAUGUUCUUAUAUGAACAUGAAGGUACACUUCCUUUUAUCUACAUCAUUUGCUCUGAUGCAUAUAGCCAAGAUACAUGUAACUCAUUGCUUGCUCUGACAUGCCUAUGCAUUCACAUGUUCUUAUAUUCCAUCUUUACAUGAUUGCAUACAUGUAGGGGGAGCCUAUGCAUGUUACAUGUCUUUCCAAAGCUUCACUUUUUAUCGUGUAUAUCUUUAAUCUAGAGCUUUGAUGUAUGUUUUCAUCAAUUACCAAAAAGGGGGAGAUUGAAAGCACAAGUGCUCCCUAGGUGGUUUUGGUAAUUAAUGUCAACAUAUCUCUUAUUGGACUAAUACUUUUAUCAAGUAUAUUUCAGAUGAGUUCAACAAUAGUGUGGCAAGGACACGAGGAUGAGGAACCCUUCAAAAUGCUAAGGACAAAGAUUGGCAAAGGCUCAAGACUUUCUUUUUCAUUUUAGUGAUCCAAGAUCACAUUGAGUCCAUAGGAAAGCCAAUACUAUUAAAAGGGGAUGAUGUGUUGCUUAAUGGUCUACUUGCUCAAAGUGCUUAGUGAUAUUGCUCCAAAAACCCUCAACCACUUUCUCAUCUCCACAUAUGUCCAAAACCUAAAGUCAAACUCGGCCCCGCCGAUUUGAUCUAUCGGCGCCACAGAGUUCAUUUGACAUAGCCACUGCCAGAAACCCUAGACAAUUUGGUCUCACCGAUACGGAUCUCGGUCCAACCGAGAUGGCCUUGCAAACUCUCUGUUGCCUGUUGUAAUUAUUUCAGUCCCACCGGAAUGUGCAAUCGGUCCCAUCGAGUUUGCUUGACCAACUCUCUGUUUGAUCAUUGUUGAAAUCGGUCUCACCGAGUUCAUGCAAUCGGUCUCACCGAGAUAAGCUUUUGCCCUAGCCCUAGCACAUCGGUAUCACCGAGUUGAUCAUGUCGGUCCAACUAAGAUUCCUAAUGUUCACAUUUUGAACAGAAUCGGUCUCACCGAGUUCUUCUAUUCGGUCUGACCGAGUUGGGUCAAAUAUGUGUAACGGUUGGAUUUUGUGUGGAGGCUAUAUAUAGCCCUCCACCCCCGUCUCCAUUUGAGAGAGAGCCAUCAGAACGUGCCUACACUUCUACUACUCAUUUUCUGAGAGAGAACCACCCACUCAUGUGUUGAGACCAAGACAUUCCAAUCCAACCACUAGAAUCUUGAUCUCUAGCCUUCCCCAAGUUGCUUUCCACUCAAAUCUUCUUUUCACCAUAGCCAAAUCUGUGAGAGAGAGUUGAGUGUUGGGGAGACUAUCAUUUGAAGCACAAGAGCAAGGAGUUUAUCAUCAACACACCAUCUAUUACCUUUUGAAGAGUGGUAUCUCAUAGAUUGGUUAGGUGUCACUUGGGAGCCUCCGACAGGAUUGUGGAGUUGAACCAAGGAGUUUGUAAGGGCAAGGAGAUCGCCUACUUCGUGAAGUUCUACCCGAGUGAGGCAAGUCCUUCAUGGGCGAUGGCUACGGUGGGAUAGACAAUGUUACUUCUUCAUGGACCCUUCGUGGGUGGAGCCCUCCGUGGACUCGCGCAACCAUUACCCUUCGUGGGUUGAAGUCUCCAUCAACAUGGAUGUACGAUAGCACCACCUAUCGGAACCACGCCAAAAAUCUCUGUGUCUUCAUUGCGUUUGCACACUCCAAUCCCAUCCCUUUACUUUCUUGCAAUUAGCAUGCUUUACUCUUUCCGCUGCUUAUACUCUUGCCAUGCUUGCUUGAAAUGUAUUGUGAAUGCUUAAACUUGUGCUAAAACUCCACCUCAACUUGAAGAACUUAAAAACUGCUACUUUUGCUUGGUGAGGGUCUAAUCACCCCCCCCCCCUAGACACCUCUUCUCGAUCCUUUCAGUUUCACGUCUCGCAACUCUAACGAGCUCUGCAUUUAGGUACACCGGUCGAACCAACUCUGCCACUCUGUACUGACAACCUUGUUGUUCCUGUGGAAGUGCUUUAGUCCCGCUGGCGCGCCGUCGGGGCUCCUUCAUCGAGCAAGUUCAAGUAUGCUGGUCGGGCAUUGCAGCUACCGGCAUCACCUGGGAAGGAAAGGAGGCACUUCGCGCUCGUUUUCCCCACGUGUCGGCUUGGUAGCAAGCCGCACGUCAAGAAGAAGGGGAUGUCAGCGCCCCUGACAAGGGGGGAGGGGUCCAUCCACGAGGACUCAAGAGGCCAACGGUGCACCAGCCGAGCGUGCACGCGUUGCCAAACCACGAGUCAGUGGACCGGAUUGGGUGACGGUGGCCCAACUCCUUCCUCCUGCUACUUAACCAGGAUCGCUCCAUGGGGAAGCCAUCCAGAGGAUCAGGCACCCGGCGGCUCGGCUACCUACCACUGUUUCCCAUUUCGCAUGAACCCUAGCCACAAUCCUUGCAAUUGAGUUGUAAUCCCCACCUUUUUUACAGAACUUCUCCUCCUUUAUUCACUUAGCAAAAUAGUGGCAUCGUUUACAAGUAAUGGAAGCAGUACAUCCGGUGCCGAAUCCAUCCAGAUAGAAGGAGGAGAAAACUUAACUAUCCUAGCAAGUUCAUGAGCUACUUUAUUACUCUCUCUAUUACAAUGAUCAUAAAUUACAUGAUUAAAAUCUGACGACAUGAAAUAGCAAUCAUCAAUAAUUGCACUUGCCACCGAAGAGGAGUUGCCUGCUCUCAAAGCUUCCACAACCUCCAUGCUAUCCGAGUUGAUCACGAUCUUGCUACAUCCAAUGGUUCUGGCUAGAUUCAAACCAAAUCUGACUGCCAAUGCCUCUGCAGUGAAUGAAUCAUAGCAUAUGUCCACUCGUUCAUUAGCUGCCGCAAUAAAUUUCCCGUUGUAAUCUCGGAUUACUGCCCCUACUGAUCCCUCAAGAAGAUCACGCUCAAAGCCAGCAUCUACAUUUAAUUUCAUAUACCCCUGUAUCGGCUUCUCUCAUGAACCAACACGUAGCUUUGCCUUAGUGGAGCAAGCAAUAGUAAAGUUAGCUGAGAGUCCUCGGAUAGCGAGAGCAAUUUGUGAGGGUUUUUGGGUGUCCUCUCCAUGGUACUUUUUUCGGUGUUCAUACCAUACUUCUGCGAGAAUUGUUGCCAAGUAAUCGGGAGUCUAGUUCGUCCCUAUCAAAAUAACUGACUUCUCCCGCGAAAAAUGUUUCAAAAAAUAAAGACUUCUUCCGCGAAAAAAAGACUGGUCCAUGGGCCCGCAAGGAACCUUUGUGGGAAUUUGGCCCAACUAAAACAACGAAGCCCUUGGGCCACCACGCAACGGAGCACCAUAUAUAAUAUAACAGCCGCCGCCAGCCUCCUCGGCUCCCACUCCGCUCGCCACUCAGAGAGCCCCACCAAAUCCCCAAACCUCACCGGCUCAUCCGCCGCCGUCGACCAUGGCCGGGCGGGCGCCGUUCACCAACCUCGACCCCGUGACGGCGGCCGACUUGCAGCGCAGGGGCUUCGACCCGCUCGAGCUGGACCGAGCCACGGAGCAGCUGCUCACGUACGUCUACACCAGCCUCAUCCCCGACUUCCCCUUCCUCGCCACCGGCCGGCUCGCCGCCCGCCCCGCCUCCGACGGCGUCGACCGCAUCAGCCGCCUCCCGCGCGCGCUCCUGCGAAACAUCGUCUCCCGCCUCCCCGUCACGGACGCCGCGCGCACGGCCGUGCUCUCCUCCCGCUGGCGCACGGUCUGGCUCUCCGCGCCGCCCGUCCUGGUAGACGCCUACCUCCGGGAGGACGACUACGCCUGGCCCCCCACGCCGGCCAACUCGCCCGCCAUCACCGCCGCCGUCUCCCGCAUCCUCGAGGCGCACCCGGGGCCCUUCCGCCACGUCCACCUCGUCUGCAGCCACAUGAACGCGUACCGGGCCCGGCUCGCGCGCUGGCUCCAGCUCCUCGCCGCCAAGGGCGUCCAGGACCUCGGCCUCGUCAACCGCCCCUGGCCGUGGGACGUGCCCCUCCCCGACGCGCUCUUCGCCAUCAACACCCUCGUCCGCCUCCACAUCGGCCUCUGGAAGUUGCCGGACACGGCCCGCCUUGGAAGCUACCGGACGUUUCCCCACCUCCGCGAGCUUGGCAUCUGCAGCGUCGUAAUGGAGGAGGGGGACGUCGACGCCAUCGUCGCCAGGAGUCCCGUCCUGGAGGCCCUGAGCAUCCAGGGAAGCAGCAAGGGGCUGCGCCUCCGCCUCGUCAGCCAGAGCCUACGGUGCGUGCAGAUCUGCGGUUCUGUUGUGGAAGACAUUGCCGUGGUGAAGGUUCCAUGCCUCGAGCGGCUCAUCCUGCAUGGAUGCCGGGAUGUGGCUGGUGGCAUGUGUACCAGGAUCAGGAUUCUUGAUGCCCCCAAUCUGCGUGUGGUCGGAUUCUUGGAGCCAGCAAAUCAUGUCCUUCAGAUUGGAGACUCCAUCAUAAGGGUAAAUAUCCUCGUCUCCUGUCUAUCCAAUUGUGCACUUAGCAAAUUGCAUGUCCCACUCCCACUGGUGGAGGUCCAUGAGUUCAAAUGUGUCAUCUUUGGUCCUAAAUUGGUUGAAUUCAGGCUGGGAUGAAGGAGAGCAUAGCCACAAUUCUCACAAGCGUGAAGAUCCUCAGCUUAAAUGUGCGUUUCGGAAUCCGGAGUGAGGCAGAGAUGGUGCCCAGGUUCCUCAAAUGCUUUCCAAAUGUGAAGACACUGCAUAUCAUGGUAUUUGCCUUUGCCACCGAUUCAUGUUGUAGUUGCUUACAUUCGUAGCAAUACCUUUCAUGUAGACCGUGUGUUCUGAACUUCUGAUUGACUGCCAGAUCUUUCAAGCCAAUUAUUAUCAGAUUUCUUUAUGGUGAAUGCUGGUAGUUAUGCAAGCUGGUUUAAGUAAUGUUACCACAUGUCGAGGAGAUGAUAUCCUCAGCUGCAAAGAACCUUCUCAAUAAUGUUAUGUAAUGACCAGUUAUUGCUUAAAUGCAAAGAACCUACUCUCAGCUAUCAUGUCUUCUCUACACAUAGACUAGAGUACACAACUAAAUUCUGGACGCUGCGUGCUCAUCUGUUUGUGUUGUGACAUUUGGUAAUAAAAUUUUAUGGUGGCAUGGAGGCACAUUGUUUAUUACGUACGUCAGUAAUUUCAUUUUUAUUGCUCUGCUUAUGCCCAGAUUUUUUUUCUUGAACACGCGCCUAAUGUGUGUCUGCAUUUGCAUUUGAGCUGCAGCAAGCUAAUAGAAUUCCUGCUAUAGCUAUUGUGGGAGGCAUGCGUUACUUAUUUCACGCUGAUGAAAUAUACAAAUUAAUAAUAUUGCACAUUGCAGUCUACAGUAUCUUAGAGGUCUGUGUGAUAUAUCACAUUACCAUAUCUAUGCUACUAUACUACUUGCAUCAUUUCAGGAAAGUAUCUCUGAUAAGUAAUGUUCCAAGAACUUGUCAUGACUUCCAUCUAGCAAUUCGCCUUAAGGAACAUAUCUGGCAAAAUGUGCCCUUAAGAUCCUCCAUUUAGACUGAGUUCUCCAGGCACAUUUUUUUUUCAUGUGUGGAUGAUAAUCAUGGGAGGCCGAAUAACCCACUAAUCAGAUCCAGCCUUUAGUUAUGCAUGAGGAUAUGUAGUGUUUAAUGUUGAGCACUGCCUGUAAUUUAUGAAACCUAUAUGCCGACAAGGGCACCCUUUGUUCAGAAAAGUGUACUUCGAAAUACUGUUAACUUUAUAUUUCUUUCCGAACACAUAGCAACUAUCAAUUUCUCAAACAAAAAAAGAAAAGAAAACACCUAACAACUAUGGACCAAUGUAUCUGAUCUAGUUCAUGGUGCUUACAUUCAUACUUAUGUCUACUAGAUGUUACAUGGUGCUCUUGCUGCAUCUUAGCAGAUUUUGUUAUGUGGAGAUUUUUUGUUCUGAUUGGUUUGCAUAAAUUUGUCAAAUCAAUUAUCACCAGAGGUCUUUAUGAUCUUUCUAUGUUCUACUGUGAAAAAGUGAAGCUUGUAUGUAGUUAUGCAAGAGAUUUAAGUAUCUAGGACAAGAAUAGGGGACUGUAACAUCGCUAAAUCAGUUAUAUGACUUUGCAUACUUGACCAAUUGUAAACGUGACUUGAGCAGUUGCAGCAUAAAUGCCAAGUCUUGCCAUUUAUUCUCAGUAUGCGUAGACUAUAUUGCACAACAAGAAAUCUUGGGGUCGCUUUAUGUUAAUGGUAUUUGGUUAGAAAAUUCUUGUUCCACGUUUUAUCGUUCUGUAUAUUAUGCCAUUUUUUCCACAUAUCAGAUCCAGCAUUUAGGAAUGCCUAGGUAUAUUGCACAGUAUGGGCUUCACGAUACAUGUUGAGGCUUUCUUCACUCUCCAAACGUGCGCACCUUCCUCGGAUGCUUCCCAACUGUUGACCGAUUUAAUCUAUUGUUUGCAGUCUGGAAAAUGCAAUCAGUCCACUGGUACUCUCAACCUCAAGUUCAAGGAGGUUCCCAUCGAAAGUGCCAUGUCGGGCAUCUCAGAGAUGUAUUUCCAUGAGUUCCGAGGGGAUGAAGGCGAGGUUGCCUUCCUCAAGUCGUUUUUCAAGACUGCGGAUGUGCUGGAGAUGGCGGUGAUUAUGAUGACAAAUCCAAGUUUCACGCCGUUUUCACCAGAUGACGCACUUUCCAAGGUGAAGAGUGCUUCUGAGCUCAGUAGAUCCUCCGGCAAAGUGGUGGUGGUUGUGAGUGGAGGUCCUGAAGGAGGAAGACCGUGGAGUUUCCAGAAAGGUACUGAUUUUUCAUGCGAGGACCCUUUUUCAGUAGUUGUGGAGAACCUUGGCAAAGCUUAGUGCCUGUGGAGCGGUGGAAGGUGUUUUUAUUUUGGCUGUGAACUAGUAUGAAGCACGCAUUGUAUCCGAGACUUCGGUGGUCCUUCUUACUUACAUUGCAAACUUUGUUUUAAACUUGUGGCCUGAUUUCUGGUUUUCUCCUUCAAAUGCUUGUUGAUUGAUCUGACAAAUUGAUUAUCAUGAGAGCACUACAUGGUCUUUGACAUGCGAUGUACUGAUCAUGUGCUAUAUCUUUGAACUGCAUGAACAUAUUAUAUAUCUUGACCAACUAUGACUUGAAAGCACCAAACCUUUGCCUAUGUCUAAAUAGGCAAAUUUGAUAAUUUUUGACCCGUGGAUGAAAUCAUUUCACAAAAUGAACUGCCCUUAAAAAAAAUUCACUCGGCUGACUUUUUGAGUGACGCCUAACACGAAGGCGUCACACUACACUGUGCAGCGCCUGACUGACAGGCGCUGCACGCCUAGCCAGCGUCGCACCCGGGUGAUCCGAAAAAUUACUAAGUCAAUGUGCAGCACCUAAGAGCUAGGCGCCACACUAUACAGUGUAGCGCCUAGCUCCUAGGCGUUGCACUAGUGGUUGCACUACAAAAUGAAGCAACCAAUAGUGCAACACCUUGGAGCUAGGCGCUAUAAUGUAUAGUGUGGCGCCUAGCUCUCAGGCGUUGCACACUGACUUAGUAAUUUGCAGCGCCUGUCAGUCAGGCGUUGCACAGUGUAGUGUGGCGCCUACGUGUCGGGCGCCACUCAAAAAGGUCAGCUGAAUGAAAUUCUUUUAGGAACAGUUCAUUUUGUGAAAUGAUUUCAUUCAGAGGUCAAAAUUGUCAAAUUUGCCUCCAAAAUAUAGUUUUGUUAAUUGGUUGACAUUAAAAGGAGGUGCUGAACAGACCACCUCUUUUGCGUGCAAAAUGUGCACUGCUAACUUUGAUGAGUUUAGAUGAUUCAGUGCCGUUGCACUUGUAAUUUUUUGGCAAAAGCUACAAUGAGACUCUAACUGUUAGAGCUGAGAUGAUUCAGUGCUUUUGCACUUGUAAAUUUUUGGCAAAAACUUAAAUGAGGUGAUUCAGUGUUGUUGCACUUGUAAACCAUUGUGUGCUUAUCUCUUCACAAUGAGAUGAAGUCAGCAAUCAAUAUGAAAACUGUUAGAAUGGUUUUGUCUUAACUGAACUUUGUCAGAUAACUAAAUUCAGACAAGUGUUAAAAUUCAGUUAACUGUAGAAUGGUUUUGUACUUACCUCUUCACUGGGUUUUAUACUUAACUGCAUAAAAUAAAAAAUAAAAACAAAAAAAACAAAAAAGGGGUGGCCUGGGUCUCGAACCCAGGACCUAUAGUAACAUUGGGGGCAAUGCCAGUGGAGUAAGUAGUAGUGCUUCGAUCAAGGGCAGAUACUAAACUAUCUAUUUAGUAGUUGCUAGUGGCUAAAUGGCCCACGUCUUUUCGGUUUCCUUCUCUGCUCUUUAAGCCCACCCACACACCGAUCCACUCGCCACUCACAUCCAGUCCGCAGUCCACCCACGUCGCCUCGGUUACCCCGCUUCCAAACCCCCACUCCGCCCUCGCCGCCGACCACCACACCGCCGCCGGCGGCAUGGAGAACAGCCCCGCCUGGCAGAGGGUCAUCGAUGACCUCGCAGGCGGCGACAAGGCGAUCCGUGCGGACCUGACGGAGAUCGGGAAGUGGUUCCCCAGCAUUGCGAUGCUGCGUCACCACGCGUGUGGCCUCCUCAAGAUCAUGACCGACGACGAGCUGGACCACACCUGCACCGACCGCCUCGGUAUCGCUCAUGCGCUCGUCCUCCGCUUUGCCAUGCAGAAGACGCGCUCCGACGACCCGGGCCAGCAAGCCCGGUGGUGGAGGUACCGGUCCGCCACCGCGCCGCGGUAGCCGGAUCCGUCGCGCGCUGGCUAGCGAGCGGAGCGCGUCCACAACGUCGAGGUGGCCGUCCCCGCGCCUGUCAACACGGCCUACUGGGACCACUACUAGCCCGACCUCAUCAGGCCCGACGACGUCUCCGAUUACAUCUCGUCCGAUUCAGAGUACGACUCUGGCUCCGACGACGACUCUGGCUACGCCGCCAACUCGUCCUGGUCGACUGGCUGGGAGGAGCUGGAGGUGAUUGUCCUCUCUGACGACAAGCCAGAGGUCCAGAUGGCGGCGCCAGUCGUCCCCGAGCCGGAGGUCCAGAUGGUGGCGCCUGUCGCCAGGAAGGGUGACAAGCACCACCCCAUUGACGUCGAGCUGCUUCCCGAUGUUCCUGACAUCGUUAAGAAGGAGGUGGAGGUGGUCUUGGCCCUGGAAGCACAGGUGGAGGGUGACAAGCAACCAGAGAGGAGGAAGAAGAGGAAAGUGGCACAGGUGGAGGUUCGCCGCUCGGAGCGCAUCCAGAAGGUAAAGAACUAAAGAAGAUGAAGAAGUUGCGGGCAUGAAGAAGUUGCAGGCAGUAGUUAGGUAUGCUGAAAUAUACAUAUUUUCAGCAUAUAAGUUAAAAAAUAGUGUAUUUCGUCAGGUGUGCUUGUAUAUUAAGCACAUAAGUUAUUUCUAAUUUCUGUUGACAAUGUUGAACUAAGUGCCAGAUGAACUAUGUUGGCAGUUUAACUAUGUUGAUACUAUAUAAGUGGCAGUUGAACUAUGUCAUGCUGUUUUAUGUUAUCUGUUGAUGUUGUUCAUGCAGUCUUGUAGCUAUAUAAGGCAACAACCCAAAACUGUCUUGUUGCUAUAUAAGCCAACAAUCCAAAAGUGUCUUGUUGCUAUAUAAGGCAACAAUCCAAAAGAAAAGGUGUCUUAACUAAACUUUGUCUUCACUGAAUUUUGUCUUAACUGAACUUUGUCAGAUAACUAAAUUCAGACAAGUAGGUUAACUGUUAGAAUUCAGUGUUAUCUUUUCAAAUCAAUUUCAACAGACUGUAAAAAUUCCGUUAUCUCAUUUGUGUGGGUUAUUUCAGACAAGUGUUAAAAUUCAGUUAACUGCAAGCAUUCAGUUAACAGGGAGGGGAGUGGAAGCAGAAUAAGUAGGGUGCCAAGUAACACUUGAGCAAAACACCGUUCUUAUCACACUGGCAUUGCAUGCAAUGCCUCACACCACAGGCCCUGGGUUCAAGACCCAGGCAAAACUUUUUUUGUGUGAUUUUUAAUUUUUUUUGUUUAAUCAAAAUUUGGUACAUAUGUUCAGUUUGCAGCAAAUUCAGCAAUAAAAAUUCAGGCAUACAAAUUCAGUCAUAGAAAUCAGCAAAUCUUUCCAAAAUAAGAAACACUGACAGUUAGCUUCAAUUGACAGAAAGUACAAAUGAGACAAAUCCAGGAGUAGGUUCAUGUUCAUUUGACAAAAAGUACACAUUGUAGGAAAGAUACAAAGUCAUUUUUUUACAAUGACACAAAUUCAAUCCAAUUCAUUUAGCAUGGCCUUCAGCUUCAUUAUCUUCUCCCUGGUGGCCGCUUUGUGUUUGAAUAGGUCACCAAUCAUGUACUCAGGCUUCCUUUUCUCAUGCUUCAAAUCAUCCCUCUCUUGAAUCACUUGGUCCCUGUUCUGCACCGCUUGGUCCCUCUCUUUCUCUGGUUUAACCCUGAAGACCUGAUGAAUGUUGGUCACUGACUUGUCUGUCAUCUUCUUCUUCUCAAGUUCUUCCUUUAGAUCAGUCAGAGCAAGUUGUGUGCUACCUAAUUGGCUCAUUGCCUGCUCCUUCUCAGCCACCAUCUUAGUAAAAUCAAGCUUGAAAUGCCUCAACUCAUUCUCCAUCUUCUUCUUCUCAUCAAGAAGCUUCAAGUUUUCUUCAGCAGUCACAACAUUCUAUCUGAGCCUCUGUUGUUUCUCCUCUUCAUACAUGGUCCAUAUAGUAACUAGGCUCAUCUUCAGAGCAUCAGGCCACUCAAGGUCAACCCACUCAACAUAUCUGCAUUUAGGUACCUCUUAACAAUUUAGUCCAAACAAAAAAAUCAGUUAAUUGCCAGUAUUCAAGUGCCACAAAUGACUUAAAACAUACUACAAAUGACUUCUACGCACAAGCAAAAAAAAUUACUAACCUUCUGUGCACAAGCUAGAAACCUUCUGCCACUAUCAACAGAUUCAAAUGCCACAUGCUUCUCACACAAAGAUUCAUGCCCACAUCUAAAGCUAGGCAGAUCUAUAGCCAAGCCACUCCAUUCCUCACAAAAAAUUGUGGCAGGUGAAAGUGCNNNNNNNNNNNNNNNNNNNNNNNNNNNNNNNNNNNNNNNNNNNNNNNNNNNNNNNNNNNNNNNNNNNNNNNNNNNNNNNNNNNNNNNNNNNNNNNNNNNNNNNNNNNNNNNNNNNNNNNNNNNNNNNNNNNNNNNNNNNNNNNNNNNNNNNNNNNNNNNNNNNNNNNNNNNNNNNNNNNNNNNNNNNNNNNNNNNNNNNNNNNNNNNNNNNNNNNNNNNNNNNNNNNNNNNNNNNNNNNNNNNNNNNNNNNNNNNNNNNNNNNNNNNNNNNNNNNNNNNNNNNNNNNNNNNNNNNNNNNNNNNNNNNNNNNNNNNNNNNNNNNNNNNNNNNNNNNNNGGGGGGGGGGGUGAAUAGGCGAUUUUUAUGAAUUCUUCACUGAGGAAUUUGCUGGUGAGGAAAUUCCUUAGCGAAGAACUACUUGCAGCGGAAUAAGUACUCAGAAGUAAACAUAACAGGAUAGAAACAUAGUCAUCAUGAUGAAAUGAAGACUAGCACAGAGUACAGAAAGCGUAAACACAGGAUAACAAGAUGAAGACUAACAGACUGAAGAAAUUGAACUGAGGAAUUUGUGAAAGUCUUCAGUCAAAGUCUUCAAGCACAGAUAUGAACAACAUUCAACAUAGUAAUGAGGAAAUGAAAGAGUUGAGGAAAUAGAACCAGUUAGUUGGUGAAGACAAUGAUUUGGUAAACCAGUUCCAACUGCUGUCUCAGUUGUACGUCUGGUUGGAGCGGCUGAGUAUUUAAACUCGAGGACACACAGUCCCGGACACCCAGUCUCUGAGCCGCAACUCAGGACACCCAGUCCUCACCGUAUUCUCCUUGAACUAAGACCACGCAGGCCUCGUCCAAUCACUCGUGGUAAGUCUUCAGGUGACUUCCAAACCUUCACAGACUUGGUCACUCGGCGAUCCACAAUUCCUCUUGGAUGCUCUAGACCUUGAUGCCUAACCGUCUGGAAGAAGCACAGUCUUCAAAGGUAACAAGCGUCGGAUCCACGCAGGAUCAAUUUCUUCAGUGAUGCUCAAUCACUUUGGGUUUGUGGGGGUUUGGUUUUGGGAUUUUCCUCACUUGAUGAUUUUCGCUCAAAGUCCUCGGAGGAUGGGUUGCUCUCAAAUGACAAGUGUCAAGUUAUCUCGGAGCAGCCAACCAACUAGUGGUUGUAGGGGGCGGCUAUUUAUAGCCUAGGGAGCAGCCCGACAUGAUAAGACAUAAAUGCCCUUCAAUGAUAUGACCGUUAGGUGGACAGGAUUUUUUGGACAGCUGGCGAGCAACACAGCAACGGUCGGAAAUUUGACUCUCAAAUUCCUCAGGCCUAUCAUGUUCCUCACUGUGUAGGCAAUUCGCACUGGCAAAUUCCUAACUCCUCAGUCAGAGCAAAGUCCUCAGUGACCAGAAGAACUGCGUCUCUGUCACUGAAGAAUUUGACUGAACUGUAUGAGAUUUCCAAUGGCUUCACUCGAAGGGAUUGGUAGGUGUAGGAUUUUGAGUUGAGCAUCACAUGGAAAUUUUUCCUUAGUAUUUCCUCGACCCCCUUUAACAGUACGGUGUCUCCUAUGACUCAAGAAAGAGAAAAUGAAACUACGAAAACAAAAGUCUUCACGCUUCAUGUUCCUCAAGUGAAUACCAAGUCUUCAAGGUCACACCAAUUUCUUCACUUUCAAAGUCUUCAGAAAGUCUUCAGAAUAUCAAAGUCUUCAGUCGAAGAACUUCAUUUUUAGGGGUCGACUUUCUCUGUAAAUAUCAAACUCCUCAUAGACUUAUAGACUUGUGUACACUCACAAACGCAUCAGUUACUUAACCUAUAAGUCUUCAAUACACCAAAAUCACUAAGGGGCACUAGAUGCACUUACAAUCUCCCCCUUGUUGGUGAUUGAUGAUAACAUAGGUUAAGUUUUCAACGGGGAUAAACAUAUGAAGUGUAAAUACUAAUAUUGAGGAAUUUGAUUGCAAGAUAUAGAAGAACUCCCCCUAAAUAUGUGCAUAGUGAGGAAUUUGCUUUUGAGGCAAUGCACAUUUGAAGAAUUGAAUCAUGGAGAUCUCCCCCUAUAUCUUGUAAUUCAUACAUGCAGUUGAUAUAUAAUAUGAAGAAUUUGAAAUGCAUGAUGAAAUAUGGUGCCUGAUGAGAUUCAGCAUGCGUGCAAUGAUAUUAACGAGGAAUAAGCAUGCGGAAUAGCACAUCAAAAGUUUCAGAGCUCAGUGCAUCAAAAGCAUCAGAGCACGACCAAAAGUAUCAAGGCACCAUCGGAUUUAAGAUUACAACUCGAUACAAUAAAAGGUUUCGGAAGAACGAGAGUUGUAACUUAACAAAAUGCCCAUAAUAUAAACCCGCUUGAAGACUAACUCACAUUUCUCCCCCUUUGUCAUCAAAUGACCAAAAGGAUUGAAACUAAGGACUAAUGCCCCUGAAGAAUUUCAAGUUGAUGGAGGAGCGCCAGCGUUGUCGGGGUUGCUUGUUGAAGUAGGGCCUGCCGCAGUGUCGUCCAAAUCUUCAUGCUCAUCAGUUUCACGCGAUGAAGAAUAAGAGCUGGCCACCAGAUCAGGAACUUUGACUCUCUUGAAUUUCUUUGGAGGUGGUGCAGACCAGUCAAAUGCUUCCUGGAGACCCAUAGUCUUUAGUUCUUCCGCGGAAUAUACAUGAGUGAGAACAGCCCAGGUGCGGUUGAGGGAUUCAUGAAGAUGGUACUGAUUUUUCUUCACUGCAUUAUGUGUUGAGGUCAUGUUGUGAAGAAUUGCAGCAAAUUGACGUUUCACCCAUUUGUGAUUGCGAUCAACCUUCUGAUGAAGACUGAGGAGUAACUCACGGUCAGUCAUCACCCUGGGUGCUGUGGCUUGAGGAUUUUGCUUAGCUGAGGUAUUUGCGGCAGUGUCAUGUGUGGCAGAAUCAUCAUUGGUGGAGUAAGAUGUAGCCAGACGAAAUUGACCAUCCAAUGGACGAGUGCCUUCAUCGAUCACAGCAGCUGCCUUGCCCUUAUCAUCAGAUGAUGAAACUAGUCGCUUGAGGACUUCAAUGGGCGGCAAGUAGCUACCAUGGUUCAGAGUGUCAGCCUGGUAAUUCAGUGAAGAUCUUGCCCUUAUGAAUCUCAUAAUCCAAGGCGCAUAGGGCUUCAGCUCAAAAGGUGACAUUGCAACAUUAGCCAGAGUCCUCAUGAAGAAAUCAUGGAAGUUGACGGGAACGCCAUGAAUAAUGUUGAAAAGCAUGUUCUUCAUGAUGCCAAUGACAUCUUCACCAUUUGAGUCGUGGCCUUUGAUAGGACUCAUUGUCUUCGUCAGGAUUCGAUAGACAGUCCGAGGCACAUACAGCAAUUUCUUGACGAGGAAUUUGGUUCGAGGGGCCUGCCCUAGCUUCAAAGGCUUCAUAAGCACUUGCAUAUAAUGAUCUGUCAGUUCGCGGUCAUUGUAGAUGCAACAUGCACUAUCAUGGGGAGGAUCAAGAGGAAGGACACGAAGCAAUUCAGUUGCUGGUGCCUUGUAGUGAGUGUUUUCUGUCAUCCAAUCCAGCACCCAUGAAUUGACAUCUUCAGCAUCUCCGGUGAUAUGCAAAGUGGCAUAGAACUGAAGAAUGAGUUCUUCAUUCCAAUCGCAGAUAUCAGUGCAGAAAUUCAGUAGUCCUGCAUCGUGAAUAACUCGGAGAACUGGCUCGAAGCACGGCAGAGAUUCCAUAUCCACAUGAGGUAUAUGCUCAUGAUCGAAGAUUUUGUCCUUGUCAAAGAGCACUGAGGAAUAGAAGUUGGCUUGAGUAGCAGUCCAGAAACGUCUUUUCCUUAUGCGAGCAGAGUCAUAUGGAUUGUAAUCAGUGAAGAACACAUGCUCAGAAAAGAAGUCUUCAGCCUUGAAUUUUUGCUUGCUCGAGAACGGAUUCUUCGGCUUGGGCAGAGGGGUGUCAGUGAUUUGCAGCACAACCUCAGGAAUCGCGAUCUCAGGUGCUUCAGGCUGAGGAAUUUCUGGUUCCUCUUCUUGUGCAGUUUGAGGAUCAGCAGCAGGUUCUUCAGCACUAGCGGCUAGAAUUUCUUCAUGAACAGACGAUGUGGGAUGAGUUUCUUCAGAGCCCAAUUGAACAGUUGUAGCCGGGGACUGAGGAAUUUGUUGAAUGGGGGUGAAGAGAGGAGUAUUGGGAUGCUGACUUUCCCAAAAGUCAUCAUUCAUCACUGGUGUAGUGCGCCCAAUAUCCACGUCUUCUUCUUCUUUUUCAAUUUCCUCAACACCAGCCUCUUCAGCUGUGAACUGAGGCAUAGGUGAGGAAACGACUGGCGUUGAAGGGAAUGCUUCCACUUCAAUUUCUUCAUCAAACUGUUCUGAGGUAGCAACAAAGUGAUUUUCUUCAUCAGAUCCGCUUGGGAUCUUGUAUUCUUCUCCAUAAGGAACAAUUUCCUUAGACGACAUGGAGGAAAUGGGAACGGCAUCAAUGGGAUUUUCAAGCGAGCUGGUCAUUGGCUUCAUUUUCUUCGCGGCCGAAGAAUUUGACGCAGCUGAUGCCUUCCUUUUCUUCACUACAGCUCGCUCUGCAGCCCUGGUCUUCUUCACUUCAUAAGCAGAAGGAAGAAUUGGAGUUGGUGUUGGCGCAGGAGGAGCUGAGGACUGUGGUUCAGUUUCUUCAGGCGCAACAGGUGUAGUUGCCCUGAUCUCUUCAGUUUCUUCAGGCGCACCACUAGUGGAUGCCCUGGGAAUUUCUUCAGCGGCUGGAAUGGAGUCAUCAGCCCUGGAACUUGUAUUCUCAUCAGCAGGCUGAAAGUCAUCAGCAGUGCUGGCAUGUUCUUCAGCAGGCUGAGCAGAGUCUGUAGCCUGAGGAUUUUCUUGUUGCGAUGGGGCUGCAACAGUUGUCAUUUUCUUCGUCAAAUUGACGAAUCUCACUUUGGCUCCUUGCCAAUCAGCAUUAUAAGCAUCAAAAUCCUUGCUGAGGGCUUGGAUCUCAGAUUGAGCCUUGAGAAGUUCUUCAGGAGUCAGUCUGAUGAUGUUCUUCUUCAGAAGCUUCUCCUUUCUAGCUUGUGCUCUCUUGAUCUCACGAGCCUUUUCAAAUUUCCAUUUCUCUUCAGCGCUGAAAUGGGUCAGCAUAUGAUUUUGACUAGGAGUCAGAGGCAGAUCAGGCAUUGGAGUGUUGGGAUCCUGAUGCCAUAAGUCGAUGAAGUCAAGGAUCUUCUUCGGAUCCAAAAGCAGAGGCACAGGUGUUCCUUUGGCUCUAGCGGCCUUUGCUUGUUUGUCUCUGAUGAUUUCUGCAAGUUCUUCAUCAGAGGCCUCGUCAUCAGAGGGCACGUGGAAAGCAACCUGUUUCUUUCUUGGACUUGGCCGAGGACCGCGUCCAGCUGUUGCUUUUGUCUUCAGCAGAGUGGGGCCUGAUGAGGACAUUGGUGCAGCUGAGGAACUUGCUGAGACACCAGAAGCAAUCGAGAAACCCUGCGUCCUUUGACAUGUAGCCAGAUGCACAGGAGUUGAGGACUUGUAGGGAGCUGCUGAGGACAUUGGUGGAGCAGCAGAACUCUGAGGAAUUUGCCGUGAGGGCGCGGCUGAGGAACUGGGCCGUGAGGGCGCUGAUGGUGAAGCACUUGGCUUGCGAGCAGGCUUCUUCGGCAUUGAUUUCCUCGGCUUGACCGAGGACUCAGCGGCAGCAGCAGCAGCAGAAUCCUCAUUGAAUUUCCUCACUGCCUCCUUGGCUUGUCUUGCCAGUUUUGCUUGACGCCUAGACCAUUCUUCAGGAAAGUCCUCACCACGCUUGAUGCUGGUGGGAUCAGCGACUUGGCCAGGUGCCAAUGGAGCUCUUGGGCAUGGAGGGUUUAAGGCGAAUUUCUUCAUGUACUUUGGAGUAACAUAGCGAUAUUCCCUCCAUUCUCGUGCCCAUCUUCGUUCUAUCCUCUGAAUGCGCACUUUGCGCUGAUUUUUGUUCUCUUUGCCAAACUUGGCUUCAUCAGGUGUGCAAUAAUCCUUGUAUAUUUCAUCAGGGAUCUCAAAAGCAGUCAUGACCUCCGGUUUCUUUCCUCCUUUCUGAGGUCUCUUGCCUUCUGCCAUUUUCUUCAGAUGAGGAAUUUGAAUAAUAGAACACUCUGAAGAAGUAUGCAGUUUUUCUUCGAGGAACGCUGCAAAUGAGUUAAGUUGAUGAGAACCUAGUGAUUCAGCAGCGGACAUGAGUACCUGUGAACAGAGUGUAGGUGCGAGGAAUUUGGAGAGGUCAUAUGCGUUCUCAGAAGAUUUUUCAAAAAAAACAAGUUUUGAGGAAUUUGACCAGUUGAGCCUUGAGGAAUUUCACUAAGCGUUCUUGUCUUAGGUUCCAGAGUUGUACAGAUCAAAAAUCUGCACAAUUUAGGAAUCUUUGAAGAAUUGAGUGCUUAGAGAGAUGGAUCAAGAGCAUACAGUGUGUGAGGUGUUCAUAUGUGAAGAUUUGAAGAGUAAAACACCUUUGAAGAUUUUCAGAAAAGUUUGAGAAUCAAAGCGAGUAAUAAAAGUGACUUUUAAUUACCCGAACUGAAGAACACGACGAACAGAGAUGAACCAUGGUGAAGUUCGUCACGUUAGAUCUCCCACGCCCUAACUUGGCAGAGGGAGAUAGAUACGACGGCGGCGGAGUGAAGAUUUCCGCAGCCGGCGCGAGUACGACGGCGAUGAGGUCGAGGCAGUGAAGCUCUUCCUCAUCGACGGCGAUGGAAUAGCGGCGGCGCUAGGGUUUGAGGAGAGCUCGAACGAGAGACAGCGACCGAGCGGAGUAAAUGAAGUAAGGAAGGGAGAGGGGUAUUUAUAGCCACGGUAAAAACUGUUCGCCCGAAGAUUUUGGGACGACCAUGCCCCUGCCCUUUCUUCUUCACGCGACAUGUGUCACCCACGUACUGUGCAGAUGAGAUCGUGUAAGAUUGUGGGUGAAUAAACUAAUGCAUCGUGGGAUGCGGAACGGUUUGAGCGGUAAAACCGAAAAUCUAGAUAAGAUUUGUUUAUUUUAAAGUUUCGUUCGCAAUUUCUUCAGCUAACAAGGACACAGUGAAGACUUUGAACGAGUUUCAAUCAGAACGCACAUGAAGAAUUUGUGAAUAGAUUGGGUUGAUUAUAGCAUAGAGGGGGAAGGGUCCGAUCACAUUCACUUAGCAGAAAUCACAACUUGAAGAAAUAGCAAUAAGUGAAUGCUGUAGAGGACAUAAACUCAUAUAUAUAUAUAUAGCCAAUGAAGAAAAACGACGGAAACAAUGAAGAUUUUGCAAAGUUGAAGAAUUUGAAAAACUGAAGAAUUUCAAAAAUGAGGAAAAACUCAAAUUGAAGAUUUUCAACUUUUGUGGUGGCGUGACCCACCGUAUAAGAAUGAUGAUUUCAGACACCGCGUACAAUUGUCGUAGGGUUCUGAGAAUCAAAUUCUUCAUUAAUUUCUUCACACUUAGAGUGUUAUUCUUCAUUGAUUGAAGAAAAAACGUUUCUUCAUGUGUUGCACAUCUAAGUCAUCAAUUCUGCAUAAGGGUUAGGAUGUGUGUCCUUUUCAAAGAACAUUUGAAGAUUCUAAGAUAUUUAGCUCACACCGCAACUUGCUAAAUAUCUUCUCAUCCAAGGGCUUAGUGAAGAUAUCAGCUAGCUGUUCUUCAGUCUUCACAUGCUCGAUGGAGAUGUCUCCCUUCAACACAUGAUCACAAAGAAAAUGAUGACGAAUCUGGAUGUGCUUAGUCUUCGAGUGCUGAACUGGGUUGUGAGCAAUCUUGAUGGCACUCUCAUUGUCGCAGAGGAGAGGCACAUUCUUCACGUUGACGCCAUAGUCCUUGAGGGUUUGCUUCAUCCAAAGCAGUUGAGCACAGCAUGAGCCAGCAGCAAUGUAUUCAGCUUCAACAGUAGACAGUGAUACGCAGUUCUGUUUCUUCGAGGACCAACAGACCAAAGAUCGUCCGAGGAAAUGACAAGUACCAGAUGUUGACUUGCGGUCCACACGAUCACCAGCAUAGUCAGAGUCAGAAUAUCCAAUGAGAUCAAAAGCAGAGCCCUUGGGGUACCAUAAUCCUAGUGUUGGUGUGUGAGCUAGAUAUCGAAGAAUAUGCUUCACAGCCUUAUGGUGUGAUUCCUUCGGUGCAGCUUGAAAUCGGGCACACAUGCAAACACUAAGCAUUAUAUCUGGCCUAGAUGCACAUAAGUACAAUAAGGAACCAAUCAUGGAGCGGUAUACCUUGUGAUCGAAGUCAAUACCAUUUUCAUCAGUGCAUAGAUGGCCAUUUGUGGGCAUAGGAAUUUUGACGCCUUUGCAAUCUUGCAUGCCGAAUUUCCUCAGUACAUCUUUGAGGUAUUUCUCCUGAGAUAUGAAUAUGCCAUUUCGCUGCUGACGAAUUUGAAGACCUAAGAAGAAUUUCAACUCUCCCAUCAUAGACAUUUGAUAUUCUUCACUCAUCAUAUAGUCAAAUUCAUCACUAUAACGUUGGUUAGUACAGCCAAAGAUAAUAUCAUCAACACAUAUUUGGCACACAAACAGUUCACCAUCAUAUGAUUUAGUAAAAAGAGUAGGGUCGAGUGAACCGGGUGUGAAGCCAUUCUUCACGAAGAAUUCCUUCAAUGUAUCAUACCACGCCCGAGGGGCUUGCUUGAGGCCAUAGAGGGCCUUAUUGAGUCUGAAGACUUUGUCAGGAUUCUUGGGAUCUUCAAAACCUGGGGGUUGAGCAACAUAUACUUCUUCCUCGAGCUUACCAUUAAGGAAUGCACUUUUCACAUCCAUUUGAUAUAAGAUGAUAUCAUGAUGGUUAGCAUAGGCAAGUAAAAUGCGAAUAGCCUCAAGUCUAGCAACAGGUGCAAAAGUUUCAUCGAAAUCAAUUCCUUCAACCUGUGUGUAGCCUUGAGCUACUAGUCGUGCCUUAUUCCUCACCACAAGGCCAUUUUCAUCUUGCUUGUUGCGGUAGAUUCACUUUGUGCCAAUGAUAUUAUGCUUGCGAGGAUCUGGGCGAUUGACCAAUUCCCAAACAUUGUUCAGCUCGAACUGAUGUAAUUCUUCUUGCAUAGCCUGAAUCCACUCUAGCUCCAGAAAUGCUUCAUCUACCUUAGUGGGCUCUGUGAUAGAGACAAAAGCAUAGUGCCCACAAAAGUUAGAUAAAUGUGAUGCUUUUGAGCGUGUGAGAGGACCUGGUGCGCUAAUGUCAUCGAUGAUCUUCUCCACUUGCACUUCUUUUGCAACGCGUGGAUAAGUUAGUUGUCGCUGAGGAUUUUGAUCAGCAUUUUCUUCAGCACCAUUUUCCUCAUCAUGUUCUUCAGGUGCAUCGGCUCGACGUUCUUCAUGAAUAGGAAUGAAUUCUUCAGCAGAUUCUUCAGUCGGAAUGACAUCCUCAGUUGCCUUGAGCUUGAUAGCAUCCUCAGGUGCUGGUUCAUCUAACACAGAAGGUAGGUGCUCUUGUUGCGAGCCAUUAGUUUCAUCGAACCGCACAUCUACAGUGUCAACAAUCUUGUGAAGAACAAUGUUGAAGACUCUGUAGGUGUGCGAGUCCUUUCCGUAACCAAGCAUAAAACCUUCAUGUGCUUUCGGUGCAAAUUUAGAGUUGUGGUGAGGAUCUCUAAUCCAACAUUUAGCACCGAAGAUUUUGAAAUAACUCACAUUGGGUUUCUUGUCAGUGAGGAGUUCAUAGGCCGUCUUCUUGAAGAAUUUGUGAAGAUAUACUCUAUUGAUGAUGUGGCAAGCAGUAUCAAUUGCAUCAAUCCAAAAACACUGAGGCGUUUUGUAUUCAUCAAGCAUGGUGCGAGCCAUCUCAACAAGAGUUCUGUUCUUGCGCUCCACGAUGCCAUUCUGCUGAGGAGUAUAGGGAGCAGAUAACUCAUGAGUAAUACCAAGUUCAUCAAGAUAUGCAUCAAGACCAGAAUUCUUGAACUCAGUUCCAUUGUCACUUCUGAUAUGCUUGAUCUUCACACCAAAGUUGGUUGAAGCCCUCGAGGAAAAUCGUUUGAAGACUUCCUGCACUUCAUGUUUGUAAGUAACAAUGUGUACCCAUGUAUAUCGAGAAUAAUCAUCAACAAUGACAAAACCAUAUAGAGAUGCAUCAUUAGUGACUGCUGAAUAAUGAUUAGGUCCAAAGAGGUCCAUGUGAAGCAAUUCGAAUGGACGGGUAGUGGUCAUGAUAGUCUUCGCUGGAUGCUUGGCCUUGGUCAUUUUUCCUGCUUCGCAUGCUCCGCAUAAGUGAUCCUUAAGGAAUUUGACAUUCUCAAUGCCAAUGACAUGCUUCUUCUUCGCAAGCGUGUUCAAAUUCCUCAUGCCUGCGUGACCAAGUCGUUGAUGCCAUAGCCAGCCUUCUGAAGCUUUUGCAAGUAGACACACGGCUGGUUGUGGUCCUGUAGAGAAAUCAACAAUAUACAGAUCUCCUCUCCUAAAGCCUUCGAAGACUUUGGAAUUGUCAGCUUCCAUAAUCACAACACAUCGAUAUUUGCCAAAGACAACAACCAUAUCAAGAUCACAAAGCAUUGAGACUGUCAUGAGAUUGUAUCCUAAGGACUCAACAAGCAUGACUUUGUCCAUGUGCUUAUCCUUAGAGAUAGCAACCUUACCAAGACCCAAUACCUGACUUUUGCCUUUGUCAGCAAAGAUGAUAUGCUUCAGAGGUGACGGUGAUAAGGGAGCAUCCAUCAAUAGAUUCUUGUCACCAGUCAUGUGAUUUGUACAUCCACUAUCGAGGACCCAUUCAGUGGUUUUGGGUUGAUCAUCCUGCAGAAGAAUUAGUGUAGCUUACAAUCUCAUAUGCUUCAUCAGUGAAGAAUAUGAUAUCAAGUUCAUCAGAUGAAUUUCAUCAAGCAGUAAACAGAUAUAGCAGUAUCAGGACGUGUGAAAUGAAAGUUCAUUUCAUCAUGAUUCGCCUGCGUCCUUUCAGGCAUUUUUGUCAGGUCCCCAGCAAAUUCUUCAGACGUUAGAGCACGUCUGGAGACCUGACCCUGCAGAAGAGAUUAGUUCUUUUUCUUCACCACCCACAUCUGGAGGGGUGGCAAAGAGUUCCUCAUCCUGCGAGCACCAUGUGAGAAAGGUGGCAAAGAUGCCAAACCAUUUCGCUUCACAUAAGAGGGGUUACGGUAAGCAUAUGAAUAAGCAGAGUAAUUCUUCGAGGACUUAUGAACAUAAUGGUUUGAAGAAUAAUGCACAUAUUCAUAGCCCUUAGCUCUACCCUGCGAGACAGAGUUGUUAGCACGAUGAUAAUCAUAUGAGGACUUUGAUCCAGUUGAGGAAUUUGAUCCAUAUGAAGAAUUUGGUCCAUAUGAGGACUUGGAUCUGGGGUUCCUGCUCUUCACAGGUGGUGUCAUGAGGACAUUCACCUGAAGACUUUCAACACAACUUUUGGGAACCCAGAUUUUCUUCAUAGGAGAACCGUUCCUGCAGUUAGUGCCAACAUAUCUAGCAAAUACUUCACCAUUCUGAUUUUUGAAUAGUUUAUAGUUGGAGUCAAAUGACUCAUCAGAAGAAUGAGGAGAUUCACAUGUAAAGCCAGAUAAGUUAGAUGGAUCAACUGGAGGUCCCUUUGCAGCAACCCAUGAGGUUUUGGGGUACUGCUCAGGCUUCCAAUAUGUUCCAUCAGCAUUGAGUUUCCUCUCAAAGGCAAUACCUCUUUCCUAGGGUUUCUGUUGAGGAUCUGCUUUUUGAGCACAUCACAAAGUGUCUGAUGCCCUUUGAGGCUUUUGUACAUGUCUGUCAUGUACAAUUCCUUCAGCCCUGCAUUGUCAGUGAUACUAGCAAUGUCCUCAGAUGAGGAAUUAGUGACAGCAGAGGCAGAUGAAGAAUUUGUAACAUUUGAAGCAUUUGAACAUUCAGGUGAAGAAUUAGCAGAUUCACGUUCAAUGCACUUUAAGCAUGGAGGAACAAAUUCUUCCUGAGAAGCGCUGAUUUGUUGAGCUAGUAAUGAAUCGCGCUCCUUCUGAAGAUCUUCAUAACACACUCUUAGCUUUUCAAGAUCUUCCUUUCUCUGAAGAGAUUCAAGAGUAAGCUUCUCGUGAUCAAUUAAGAGGGUAUUAUGUUGAUCUUGAAGGACGUCAAGCUUGGAGUGAAUUCUCUGAAGACAUUCACCCAAUGCUUUUGACUGAUCCAUUUCUUUGCGCAACAUAUUAUCACUCUUUUCUAGCAUAUCUUGAGUUUGUUCUAAAACCUUUUGUUGUUUAGUGGCAACGCAAAUAAGUUUGGUAUAGCAGGAUUCAAUAUCAUCAUCAGAUUCAUCAUUGUCAGAUUCAUCAUUAUCAGAUUCAUUAUCACAAGACUCGGAUGAGGAGCAUUCGGUUACCUCAGCACCGUUUGCCAUGAGAUAAGAUGCAGAAGAUGAUGAUUCUGGCUCGAAAGUCAUCAUUUUGAGAGAUUCCUUGAAGUCCUCAAACCAGGGAUCAUGAUGAGUUCGAUGACCUUCAUAGACAUCAGAGAUUCGAUCCCAGAUGAGCUUCGAAUUGCCAAGAUGCAUAAUUCGCCCGAAUUGAUCUCUGGAUAGGCAGGAGCAGAUGAUAUCCUUCGCUAUGAUAUCAAGUCGAGUGUACUUGCGAAUAUCAUCAGCAUUCGCCAUCUUGCAUAGAUCAGUAAGACCAAUCUCAGUGACGGUCCACAGCUUGCUGUUCUUUGCCAUGAGGCGCUUCCUCAUCAUGGCCUUCCACUUGGGAUAGUCAUGACCGUCAAAGAUAGGGCAUGUCACUUUCUUCAUACCUGCGGUCGACAUAACUAAAAACUCCAGGCGGUUAAACCAAAAUCACACAGAACAAGGGAGUACCUUGCUCUGAUACCAAUUGAAAGUGCGUUAUAUCGACUAGAGGGGGGGUGAAUAGGCGAUUUUUAUGAAUUCUUCAUUGAGGAAUUUGCUGGUGAGGAAAUUCCUUAGCGAAGAACUACUUGCAGCAGAAUAAGUACUCAGAAGUAAACAUAACAGGAUACAAACAUAGUCAUCAUGAUGAAAUGAAGACUAGCACAGAGUACAGAAAGCGUAAACACAGGAUAACAAGAUGAAGACUAACAGACUGAAGAAAUUGAACUGAGGAAUUUGUGAAAGUCUUCAGUCAAAGUCUUCAAGCACAGAUAUGAACAACAUUCAACACAGUAAUGAGGAAAUGAAAGAGUUGAGGAAAUAGAACCAGUUAGUUGGUGAAGACAAUGAUUUGGUAAACCAGUUCCAACUGCUGUCUCAGUUGUACGUCUGGUUGGAGCGGCUGAGUAUUUAAACUCGAGGACGCACAGUCCCGGACACCCAGUCUCUGAGCCGCAACUCAGGACACCCAGUCCUCACCGUAUUCUCCUUGAACUAAGACCACGCAGGCCUCGUCCAAUCACUCGUGGUAAGUCUUCAGGUGACUUCCAAACCUUCACAGACUUGGUCACUCGGCGAUCCACAAUUCCUCUUGGAUGCUCUAGACCUUGACGCCUAACCGUCUGGAAGAAGCACAGUCUUCAAAGGUAACAAGCGUCGGAUCCACGCAGGAUCAAUUUCUUCAGUGAUGCUCAAUCACUUUGGGUUUGUGGGGGUUUGGUUUUGGGAUUUUCCUCACUUGAUGAUUUUCGCUCAAAGUCCUCGGAGGAUGGGUUGCUCUCAAAUGACAAGUGUCAAGUUCUCUCGGAGCAGCCAACCAACUAGUGGUUGUAGGGGGCGGCUAUUUAUAGCCUAGGGAGCAGCCCGACAUGAUAAGACAUAAAUGCCCUUCAAUGAUAUGACCGUUAGGUGGACAGGAUUUUUUGGACAGCUGGCGAGCAGCACAGCAACGGUCGGAAAUUUGACUCUCAAAUUCCUCAGGGCUAUCAUGUUCCUCACUGUGUAGGCAAUUCGCACUGGCGAAUUCCUAACUCCUCAGUCAGAGCCAAGUCCUCAGUGACCAGAAGAACUGUGUCUCUGUCACUGAAGAAUUUGACUGAACUGUAUGAGAUUUCCAAUGGCUUCACUCGAAGGGAUUGGUAGGUGUAGGAUUUUGAGUUGAGCAUCACAUGGAAAUUUUUCCUUAGUAUUUCCUCGACCCCCUUUAACAGUACGGUGUCUCCUAUGACUCAAGAAAGAGAAAAUGAAACUACGAAAACAAAAGCUCACGCUUCAUGUUCCUCAAGUGAAUACCAAGUCUUCAAGGUCACACCAAUUUCUUCACUUUCAAAGUCUUCAGAAAGUCUUCAGAAUAUCAAAGUCUUCAGUCGAAGAACUUCAUUUUUAGGGGUCAACUUUCUCUGUAAAUAUCAAACUCCUCAUAGACUUAUAGACCUGUGUACACUCACAAACGCAUCAGUUACUUAACCUAUAAGUCUUCAAUACACCAAAAUCACUAAGGGGCACUAGAUGCACUUACAGCAGGUGGCUAAACAAAAGAGAGACAUUUGGAAUCAAUUGACAGAGAAACCCUAGUUGAGAAACGCUAGACUGGUUGGGGAGCACACUAACCUUGCUGGUCACAGAGUCAUCUUCAGAAGAGCUGGGAAGAUCAUCCCAGGACACCAUGGUUACUGCUGGAUGAAUAUGAGAAGGGGAUCUGUUGGUGCUAUUGGAGAGGAGAGAAGGGAUCGGGUGGUGCACGAAAUUGAAGAUGAUAGAUGAGGAAGAAGAAGGGGAUCUGGUGGUGGUGGUGGACUGGUGGUGGACCAAAGCUGCAUGUAGAGUGCAAGUUGCUGGGUGGGUGUUUGCAGCAGGUGCAAGUACAUGCUUGCUUUUGAGUUCAGUUGUGUUGAGAAAAGGGGGCCUGGGCUGACAUGAGUUACAUUUAUGACAGCAAUUAGUUAACAUAAUUUAGUUCAGUUAUGACAACAAUUAGUUAAGUGCAUUUCUGUCAGCAGUUAGUUAUUAGAGCAUUUCUGACAGUGAGUUGAAAGCAAUGAGGUUAAGUACAAUUCUGACAUAAUUAGAAUUAGGUACAUUUUUGUCAAAAUUAGGUCAAGAAGACUUCAUAUUACUGACAUAUUAUCCAUUACAACAAGCAUUACAACCAAGACUUCAUACUGAUCUCUACACUAGCAUUUAGUAUGCUCCAUUUAGAACAAGAGAUCUCUUAGAACACCUACACCUUCUCAUUUAACAACACAUCACUUCUUCAUAAUUAAGGUGAAACACAUCACAUAAAGCACUAUAACAAAAGCCAUCAGCAGCUUUAGCAGCAGCAAAAUCUCUCUGCCUAAUCCUAAAAGCAUAGCAAUUUGCUGCUUGGUAGCAUACUUAUUCUCACUUGAGCUGGCAUAAUUAGCUCUGCCUAUAGUGCCUCUUCCAGCCAUGCCUCUUCCAGCCAUGCCGCUGCCUACCAUUGAUUCAGUCCUCUGCCUCUCAAGCUCUUCCCUCCUGUCCUCAGCUGCACCAAUUGCAUCUAUAGCAGCAUCACCAACCAGACGCCUUGUUUCAACCAGAUGCUCCACAUAUUCAAGCUCCCAGCGCCGGAAAUCACAAGUGACCUGCACAAAAAUUACAGAGUGACAGUAAAGUUCAGAGUGCAUGUAUCAAUGGCAGACAAGGACAACCUAAACUACAGUAUUAAUCAGAGCAAUGACUAGUUAACCAACUAAUUUUGCAACCAAGGAGAGCACCUAAAGACCAAAUUAAUCAGUGCUCUGCUUCAAAUGUGGCACUUACAGUCAAAACAACAGUGUGGUUGACACGGCAUGAAUCAAUCAAGAAGAAGCGUGGAACUGGCACUUACAGUGUGGUUGCCGCACUUGUAGAAGAUCCAUCCAUCGUGCUCGUCGGUGCUAGACCGGUAGAACCUCACCUGCUCGCCGCAAUCCGGGCACCCGAUCAAUGGUACAACAACGGAGCGGCCACACAAUGUAGAGCGGACGGAGCUGGAAGGCGACAUGACGGCGGGGACGGAGGAGGCGGAGAAGGGCCUCGGCAAUGGCUGCGGCGGCGGCGGAGGGCGUCGAUGUCGGCAAUGGCUGCGGCGGCGGGGAUGGGAGCUGGGCUAGGGUUCGGAGGAGAGGAAGAGGAGAGCGAGGGGAUAAGAGAGCGACCGACCAGGUGGAUCGAGUACGUCCAGGUGCGCGGCGCGGUCGGUCCGACCAGGUGCUGCUGUUUUUGCAACCCCCCCGGAUGGACUACUAUUGACCCUUGCUGGCUGGCGCUCGACGAGGUGGCGGUCAAAGCCUAGCUGGUGGGCGUUGACUCGACCAAGUCAGCGAAUACGUAGACUAAAUCGUAUAUACGGACCAAAGUGAACCCCUAGCGCAAAUAUUUGGACCGUAGUUCGGGUAUUUUGAAGUAGUGGCGCUAAAGUGUCACCCGGCUCAAGUUAUGUGACCUACAGUGAAUUUUUCUCUUCUUGAAAUUGUGUUUUUUGGCUAAGCUUUCGGUCCAUUUGUACUAAGCAAGCCUGCAUUUUAGAGGUGACUGAGUGUUGGAUGGACUCCCCAUGAUUUUAUGGUCACGAGCCUCACGGUGCCGGAGUCGUUUUGUACAAAUAUAAAGCUUUUUAGCUAAAAGAAAACAUGUGAAGAGAAAGGAAGAUCUGACAAAGUCAGCGAGAGGAAAAAACCGCCCAGAGCUUCCACGUGGAACCCCCGGUGGGUCCAGGCGUCACCGCGCGUACGUGGCACGCUCCCGUUGGCUAACAUCCCGUCCAAGCAGCCCCUGAUUGGCCGGAACGACUCACGCCACGUCUCGCGACACAACCUCCCCGUCCAGCACAUCCCGGCCGUCGCAUACUCCGUCCAGACUCAUCCCAGCCGUCCAACCGUUCCCGUCUCUCCUUCAAUUACACCCUUCUCCUCCCCCAUUCUCGGUCGCUUCGAAGAUCGACACCAGUGGAAGUUCCUUCCGGUUCCAGAGAGAUCGCGGUGGAGGAUGACGGGAGGAGGGCGCGCGGUGCUCCUGCUGCCGGUGCUGCUGAUCUCGGCGCUGUUCGCGCAGAUCCGCGCGUCGGAUCCGGUAAUUGAUCUCUCCGGCUUCGUGUCGCUGCAUCCGGUUCUCUUUCCGAUCAAUUUUGGGCGAGAUUUGUGAUGUUUUGCGUGUGGUUUUGCAGUUGUUCCACGAGUCCUUCAACGAGAGCUUCGACGGGAGCUGGAUCGUGUCCGGCAAGGAGGAGUACAAAGGUAAUUCUCUCGCCUUUCCAUUGCGUGUUAUUCGAUCUGUGAGAAGAUCCUCGCGUGGGUUUAGCGGGCGGUUGGGUUUCUGAUCUGUUCCGUGCGAUCCUCUACUCGCUUCUGAGGUUGUGAAUAUGAUCUGCUGAGGCUGUGAGGCGCUCCUGUGUGAAAUUCGAUUCAGUUGUUUAGUUGAGGUAGUGAUGAAUUAUUCGGAGCGAGACGUUUGGCGACCGUGAGAUCCAGAAUAUGUUGUGUGUGUUGUGUCGCCCGUAUCAGGCAGAUGUUGCCUUUUGAGAGGUGAAUUGGCUACUUGUUCUUGCCUUUCUUGUGAUGACAGUUUAAUUUAUGUGGAUGAACUGCAUUUGAAACAUCGAGAAAAAAAUGCAGGAAUUCUCUGCAUUGGGGUAGUUGUCUGUAUAUCAAUAUCCGCAUGAUUCUGCAUCAGGUUAAUUAAAAUUGUUGCUCUAUGUUCCAUUUCCCUGCUAGCACGUCAUAUGGUCGACGGAAAAUGCAGCACCUUUGCUCUUAACCAUGUAACAUUACUAGGUGAUUUUUUUUUAAAAGGAUUAAUAGGUGAUUUAUAGCUUGGUAACGUUAUGACUUAAUUUUUUUGAUCGGGAUUCUGAUGAUACAAAUGGAACGGUGAUUUGUUAUGGUAUAGAUGGCUAGCUGUAGAAUCAUGUUCUUUGCAAGUCUUGUUAUAUAGUUCAUUCAUGAUCUUGCCCUGUUAUCCCCUUACUGGAUUGGGUUUAUGCGUUAAACUAAUGCUUCUUGUUCUUUGAUUGUAUGCGUUGUUUCCCAUGCCUUUCCUAGUUUAGGUUUUGCCAGUCAGCUAGUUGUCCACCCGACUCCAUUUUCUGUCAAAAUUUGCUGUUCCCCAAUAUUUUUUGUAUAGCACUGCCAUGUAUCAAGUAUUGAUAUAAUCUGCCAUGCAGGUGUAUGGAAGCACGCGAAGAGUGAUGGCCAUGAAGACUAUGGUCUCCUUGUUAGCGAGCCAGCCAGGAAAUAUGCCAUAAUCAAAGAACUUGAUUACCCAGUUACUAUGAAGGAUGAGACAGUUGUCCUGCAGUUUGAAGUGAGGCUUCAGAAUGGCCUUGAGUGUGGAGGUGCUUAUAUCAAGUACAUCCGUCCUCAGGCUACCGGAUGGAACGCCAAGGACUUUGACAAUGAUACUCCAUACACAAUUAUGUUUGGUCCCGACAAGUGUGGUUCAACGAACAAGGUUCACUUCAUCCUGAAGCACAAGAACCCUAAGACUGGCAAAUACGUUGAACAUCACCUCAAGUCCCCACCCUCUGUCCCAUAUGACAAGCUCUCUCAUGUCUACACGGCUAUCUUGAAGCCGGAUAAUGAGGUCAGAAUUUUGGUUGAUGGGGUGGAGAAGAGUAAAGCAAACUUCCUGUCUGCUGCUGAUUUUGAGCCGGCACUUAUUCCAUCAAAGACUAUUCCUGACCCUGACGACAAGAAGCCAGAGGACUGGGACGAGAGAGCUAAGAUCCCUGAUCCAGUUGCGGUGAAGCCCGAUGACUGGGAUGAGGAUGCCCCAAUGGAAAUUGUGGAUGAGGAGGCCACCAAGCCAGAAGGAUGGUUGGAUGAUGAGCCUGAGGAAAUUGAUGAUCCAGAAGCUGCUAAGCCUGAGGACUGGGAUGAUGAGGAGGAUGGCGAAUGGGAGGCACCCAAGAUGGACAACCCCAAGUGCGAAGUGGCACCUGGAUGUGGUGAAUGGAAGAAGCCGAUGAAGGAUAACCCUGCCUACAAGGGCAAGUGGCAUGCCCCCCUGAUUGACAACCCCAACUACAAGGGAAUCUGGAAGCCCCAAGAAAUCUCCAACCCUGAGUACUUUGAGCUUGACAAGCCUGACUUUGACCCAAUUGCCGCUAUUGGAAUUGAGAUCUGGACAAUGCAGGAUGGCAUCCUGUUCGACAACAUUCUUAUUGCCGACAAUGAGAAGGUAGCCACCUCUAUCCUGGAGAAGACAUGGAAGCCCAAGUUUGAUGUUGAGAAGGAAAAGCAGAAGGCUGAGGAGGCUGCAGCAGGUGCAUCAGAAGGCCUUUCUGAAUUCCAGGUAAUUCAUUCUUCUGACAUUUUCCAGACAUUUUAUGUUUGACAUUCCUUCAGUGAAGCAGAGAACUUUUGUUGGCAUUGUCAGAUUCAUGUUUUGUUCCAUAUCUCCAACUAUUAUUUUUUAAAUCCUUUAUUGUAUCACUGCUUGCAUGUUAUCACUGACUGAUUUGGUAUGCACACUGCAGAAGAAGAUCUUUGACAUUUUGUACAAAGUUGCAGACAUCCCGUUCUUGGAACCAUACAAGACCAAGAUCAUUGUAGGGCUCAAUAUCCUUAUAUCCUGUGUUCAAACAGUUUGGUGUCAUCUCUGAAAAAUGACAUCUAAUUUCUCUUUGUUUCCCAGGAUGUGAUUGAGAAGGGAGAGACACAGCCAAACAUUACAAUUUCGAUUUUGGCGUCGGUCAUCGUCGUCAUUGUGACUGUACUCUUCAGAGCCCUGUUUGGUGGCAAGAAGCCAGUGGUACGAUAUUCUUUUGACACCUGCCAUUUCUGUAUACUGCUUAAAACCUGAACCAAACGACUGAUCGUAGAUUUUGCUUCUUUCAGGCACCUGUGAAGCCCGCUGCUGAGACCAAGAAGCCCAGUGCUGUCGUACCUGAUGCUGCCGCUGGAAGCAGCGGCGACAAGGAGGAUGACAAGGAUGCGCCGUGCCGAAGGUCGCGAAGAGACGCAUAAACUAACUCUUGGUGCCUUCACAUUUUGAAGGACUCGGUUAUAGCCUUUUUGAGAACGCCUCGAGUGUAUAAUCGAACCCUCUGCUGCUAGUAGCGACCUCUAGUUUUAAGUCGCUUAACAUUACGAGCCGGUGAAGCUCGUGUUGUUCGGUUGUUUGUGUCCUGUCCUGAAUCAGCUAGAAGAGAUGUUUUUUUUUCCUUUCCUUUUGUUUUUUCUUUCUUCUGUUCUAUAUCAGAUGAAACAUGAAGCUUGUGUUCGGUUGUUUGUGUGCUGUGCUAAAUCAGGUACUCCCUCCGUUCCCAUAUUAAUUGUCGCUGAUUUAGUAGAAAAUUAGUUGCUAUUAUUUCAUUCAGUUGAGUUGGUACCUGGUUAUAUCAGAAGCGACCUUUUUGGUUGCCGCUCUACGAGUUGAAGGUGUCGGUUGAUGAGUCUUUGUUAGCUUUACCGGAUUGCAGCUAUCUGCUUCCAUCCGGCAAUUGUCUUAAAUUUUGCCACUAGUGGGACAAUUGUAUUUUCUCAAUAUUUUUUUCUGAUGGUAGCUGACUGGCAUAUAACUGAUGAUGUCUGAGGGAAGUGGAGUCAUUGCCCUUCCAGACGCCUAACGAUAUCCGGACAAAUGUCUGGUUUGGCGUUGUCUGUGUGGUCUUGUGCAAAGAGGUGGUUGAGGCACAAAUUUCAACUCCUUCAUGCCCUUGUUUGAUGUCAUUUAUAUACUCCCAUAAGAGUAUUUAGAUCAGUAUUCUAGUGAUUUAAAUGCUCUUAUAUUUCUUUACGGAGGGAGUAGUUUGCUCCCUCAUGACUCAUGUUCAGAGGAACUGUUUGUAUUCUGCAGGUAAAAGUGAGCCAACCCAGUCUGUUCCUUCUCUGAAUUUACGAGCUGAACCGGUACCUUCUUCGCCUCUAGGGACCGGCGAUCCGUUUGCUUCAAGUUCCUAACGCGGUAGAUGUGUUAGCUUCCUGCUCGGUAAUAACUUGUACGAUGAUGCUUUCUUAGAACUGUCAUAUAAGAUAAACUAGAUAAUACCUUUGUGCAUUGCGGCAGGAAUUUAUAUCACUAUAUAGAAGGAAAAUCUAUGGAAACGGAAAUAGUAAAACCAUGGAAGGAACAUAUAAACAUAUGUUCAUUUGAACCUUCGAUAGACUGAUAUGAAAAGUAAAAAGAAAACAAAGAAGGCAAAAAAGUAUCGCAAACGUUGAUGGGGUAUUUUAACGUUAGUAAUAUUUUUUUUCAGGGAUGUGGCGAUGAAAGUGGGGAAUGAGAAGUAAGCCUUAUGCUCGUAGGCUCUGGUGGGCCUAAAAUCAGACAGAAAUAAUUCUAUUUUAAUAAUCAUAAUAGAAGGAAAAGGUGAAAGGCGACACCAUAUCUAAAACAAUAUCAAUUAAAUUCGAGUGAUCUAAGUUUACCAUGGUUAUCUCAAAAUAUCAAUUCAAUUGAGAACUAAGAUUAUGACCAAUAAACUACUGUCAUGUACUAAAAUAAAGGAAAAUCAAACAAAAAAUAAAAACAAAAGGAGAUAGAGAGAAACCUCCUAAAAUGUUUGUCUCAUCCUUCUUGAACUUGGUUCAUCAACUCAUUCUCCAGUUUCUUUAUGCUAUCGUCUCCCUUAAACCGCCAUGCAGUGGGGCUAGCACUCGCACAUAGAUAAAAAAACUGAUGUGGCAAGGUAGUUAAGAGGAGAGAGAGGAGUUUGGUGACCCAAGAAGAACAAAUGCCAAACGUGCGGACCUAUGCAAAACAAUUAGAUGAAAGAAGUUUGCCCUAUGCAUAGAAGAGUUUAGUUGUUAAACAGUUAAAUGAACGAAGCUUAGCAACAACAAACUAAGCACCUAUGCUUUGGAGACUUUAGUUGCUAAACUUUUUAAUGCACAUAGCACCCCAUCUUAGCACUUGUGCAUUGGAAGAGGCCAAGUGGUGCUUUGGGGAUUGUGAGGUCGUUGAGAGCCCCACAUAUAAGGUUCUUUGAUGUUUAGUUUAUUGCUCCUUCUUUCACAUUUUUAUUCAUGACUACUCAUUAAAUUUGUGAACAUCAAAAUACAAAACAUUUUUAAAAUUCACCUUUUUACAUUCAUUAAUAUUUAUUAAAACUCACUAAUAUUUAAAGUUCACUAUUAUUCUUAAAGUUUGUGAAUAGUUUUCAAAUUUUCAAACAUUUUUUAAUCCACGAAUAUUUUUUAAAUUCAUGAUUUUUAAAAUUCACAAUAUUUAAAUCCUUGAACAUCUUUUACUUAAACUAAAAUUUUCAAAUAAAAAAAUAGCCAAAUUUUUGUGAGCUAGUAGGAGGGCAAGCGAAAAAAACUAAGCGAGCGAGAGGAGCAGGCAGCCAAGCUGAGCAAGCGAAGGCUUCAUGGGAUGGCCAGUUAUUUUUUUUGGGAUUUUAUCUAUGUUGUCUUCUGUUCUAAUUAUGUUAUAGUGGGUGUUUUCUGUCGUUGUUAUAUCGUGUCGGGUUGCUGUUGUAGAGAGUAUUUGCUCUGAGAGGAGAUUGGAGUUGUUUGGUGUGUGGUUGUGGUACCUUACAAGUUUCGGCCUCGGUGUCAGUUGGUGGUGGUUGUUUGAGCCUCUUGCAAGCUUCUAUUCCAUGCUUAAACCAUGUAACUAUUUAGGUAUUAUAGUUGAUGAGGUGGAGGAGAGAGAAACAAUAAGAAAAUGCUUGCCUUCUUUUAAUUAAGAGAUGAUCUCUUAGGUCAUGUACAAUGGUUGAUAAGAUAGUCUUAUAUUAGGUCUGUCACGAGAAGACAAUAAGACUUGAUGUACUAUUGGUCACUUCUUAGCCUUAUCUCCAAUUAGUAGACAUCCCUAAAUAUGUGAUGAAACUUUAGUAUGAUUUUUUCUGGACCAGAAGCAACCGCAGACUUUGAUGGGGAUCAAAUGGCUCUUUCUGGAAUUGACUUUUGAAAGCCAUCAACCAGAGAACGACGAAUCACUGUGUCCGCCGCAAGAGCAAGAGAAGAGAAAGGACACGACCUCUAAGUGAGUGCGAGGCGAGAUCUGCGAAACCAAUUUGAUGCAUCCAACGGACAACAGUAUUGAGGCGAAGGGACCCUCUGUCUGAAGAUUGUAGUCCGGAUUUCUCGGAAUAGAAUAAUUGAAUGAGCAGGUGCAGAUGGUCAAUCUCCAUCUUGAAGCCGAGUCUCUCUGUCUUCUUAUUUUAUAUAAAGAUAUAGGGAAUAACUCGAUUGAUCGUAGAAUGUUUUCGUGAUCUGAUCUUCAUUUGGGCGGCUUUCGCUCAAUCCGUGGCUGUAGUGAUAAGGCAAAUCAAAGGGGUCAAAAAAGAGCUCCCAACUCCAUGGCCAACAAAUCAAACUUCAAUCGAUAUCCUUGCAUCUCCCACUGUACACCAGAACACAUCCCAUACAAUCGGCCCGAAGAGCAUCAAUGAGCAGGCCUACUAAAUAUGCAUAGAGAUACAUCAACCGAGUUUGCUUACAACAACUGCUAUCACUCUAGCAUCGGAAUGGCACCUUUUGAAGCACUCUACGGGAACCUUUGGCGUACCCUGAUUUGUUGGGGUUGGCACAUACCGACCGACGGGGCCACAGAAGAUGAAGGAGAGUGCCGAGAAGAUUCCACUUAUUCUAGAUUAAAAGCAGUUCAGGACUAGGUACGCCGACCACGAUAUUUGGAGUUUGCAGUAGGUGAUCAUGCUUGACUUCGGCUUGAACCUACAAAGGGUGUGAUGCGUGGUGUUUGUUGUACUAUAGGUACUGGGUUCGUUCUCUCGUUGUCAGUAUGUAUUGAACUACCGCAAUACAGGACUAGUGGCCCCCCUUGUCUAUCUAUUAGCCGUCUAUCUAUUAGACCUAUCUAGAAGUAGAAGUUUGUUGCAUUCUCGGAGAUGUAGAAUCGAGUUUUAGCUUACCGGGCAUUGUGCUAAGUUUGCAUCCGAAUCGAAAUCUGGCGCGACUACUCAAACACGAAAGCUAGGGAAGGGAAUAGAAGGGUGGGUAGAUCAAUGUGAUGAUAGCACCAUGCCAGGCACCGAAGACGAAAGCGAAACAUCAUCGGUAACACUAUACAUUGUAGUCUCGCAUUAUCCACUGGAUCCGCAGCUAACCGCUUUGUGUUGGAUCUGAUGGUUGAGCCUUUGUUCUUUGUGAGCCUUGCCUUUCUCUUUUUUGCUCUGCUGUGGAGUUCUUUGGUGGUCUAUCUUUGCACCUGGCGCUUCUGGCGCUUUCUUCCUUCCACCUUCCUCUUGUACUCGACUCUUCCCCGAUCACUCCCCAACAAAGGCUUGCUCGUCUUCGUCAUAGUCCAAACUCUUUCUCGUGUGACUAUGGUGCUUUUUUGAGCGAUGACUUGGGAGGGUUCCGGUCACCCCUACCCGGGCAGACAACCUCCCUCAUUCACAUCAGAAAUGGCAAAGGAUAACAACUUGAAACAAUAGGAGAGAAGUGGUAGCUUCAUGUCGGGGCGAACUGAAACAUCUUAGCCGUAAAAAACCUUCCAUUGACAAGGUUCAAAGAAAGGGUGGGCCAUUCACCAUGAAGGCUAAAAGCGAGAUAGGCUUUACUGGAAUUCGGCAGAUCAUUUUUUCUGUGCCAGGAACCAGAUUUGAACUGGUGACAUGAGGAUCUUUGAUCCUCUGCUCUACCAACUGAGCUAUCCUGACUAUUUAUUGUGCAGAGCCUCUCGCUUCUGAUUAUCAGUCAUAUCGUCGUCGAGCAGAACGCGCAGGGAAGGAAUCGUCGAGUUCACUAGGAAGAAUGAAUCAAAUCUCCCCAAGUAGGAUUCGAACCUACGACCAAUCAGUUAACAGCCGAUCGCUCUACCGAACUGAGCUAUUGAGGACGAACGAAUUGCUUAAUAAGCUGAACACCCACAUAAUCUCGAUUUGACACAGCAACACUUUCCAUACCAUAGUGGUAUGGUUCCAUAGAAAACUACCGGAGGCCAUUACCGCCACCGAAAUGGUUUCCAUGCUCCGUUGGAUGAUUUGACGAUAUCGCAGUAUCAAGCUAGAAUGGUUUCAAUUUGUAGGACGGGAAAGAAACCUCAUCCUUUGGUGCACACUAACCGAUGAAGCUCAACCCUCUCUCGAACUGAGCUAUUUCCGCUUUUUCGCCUCAUCACCAUAGAAAUCCCACCUUCGCUGAAAAAAAGUGGGCUGGAUAGACGUCCGGGCCAGGGCCUUUCAGGGUACAUCUUAAAAAGGUCACACUUCAGAACCAGUAAAGGGCGCGGUCAAUUGCUCAUUCAUUGCCUGAGAUACUUUCUGAGGAACUGUCGACAGAACGAACAUCCUCCAUUCUUUCAGUACCUUCAGCAGUAUAGAGAUGUUUAAAGAACUCAUUCGUCAUCCCACUCAUCUCCUCUGAAGGGACAACAAAGGAUUGUCUGAAGUAGGACCUAUUCGCAGCUCAUUUUACUGCAUGCGAGGAGAGAUACCGGUGGUAACAAUCAGGACAAGUGUCAUAGAGAGCACAUGGACGGGAAUCAGUCAGUGGCAGGUCUUGGCGAUUGAAUUCAUCCUGUUUUACUUUGUUGAGUGCGAUCUGGUAUUGACUUGCCCUUCUUUUCCAUCGAUCGGGUAGUUAGUUAGGUCCCGCGGACAAGAAGUCCUAUAUACUGGAAUAAGAGGGACUCCUUCCAGGCAUCGCCGUUAAGGUGCUCUUUUGAUAGAUUUCUAUACCUUCCCCUCCCUUUCCUCCGUAUCCGGGCCUAUGCGAACAGCUGCUUGCUUAUCGAAGAAGUCUGCUCACAUGAUUGGAAUAUGGCUCCCGUAUGCAUGCUAUUCUAGGACUGAGGGAUGCCUUUCUAUGGUGGACCUUGUACUCCCUUGGAUCUUUUUCGGGAUCUUUACUCGUCGUUGAUCAAGGAAGCUAGAAGGAAGAUGGGUGGUAGGGUGAAUGGACAUUUGUAUCCUCUCCGACUCGUCGGUUAGGAGAGUAGCGACCAAAAAGAAAUCAUGAUAAAGGAUAUCUACUGUAGAGAUAAAAUGUAGGAAGGAGAAAGUUGGUUUCAAUGAGUCAUGUGAAUUGUAGAAGAAAUAGGUAAACAUAGAACCUUUCCGGCUCGGAAGAUCGCUGCUUCGCUUCUGGUGACUAGCUUCUACCCACGUGAAGGGACGGGAGGAAAGAAAGGGCGGUAGAUGAUAAUGCGAAAGGGCACAGCGUCUGCAAAUUCGAAUAUAGAAAUGUUAAUGUUAUGAUUUUGACAUCUAACUUAUUAUAUUCUUUUUUCAUGCAAGCAUGACCUCAGCUGUCCAUUUCUUAUUCAUUCAGGGCGCCCCUAGUGGACUUGGCGGUGCUCCUUUUAGUAAACACAAAGAGCUGAUUCGAUCAAAGAACCUCGUAGCUUUAGUGAUGAGAAUUUCCAUACCCCUACUACUCGUAUGUAUUGGCGUGGGUUCGUAUGUAAACAUUCGUGUUCGGGAGGAGGCCAGAAGCCUUACGGGAGAGCCACGAGCUCACCAGGUGCUCCCUGGGGGUAGGGUGCGCCCCCUGAGCUCGUGACUCCCACGCAACUUCGUUUGACCUAAUUCCACCUUAUAAAUUCCCAAAUACUCCUAAACCAAGAGGGAGCCACCCGAAACUCUUUUUCCGCCGCCGCAAGUUUUUGUUCUUCUGCGAUGUCGUCUAGAGGCCUUUUCCGGUACUCUGCUGGAGGUGGAACCGAUCACUGAGUGCUUCUACAUCAUCCUUGCCGCCUUCCGAUGAUGGGUGAGUAGUUGACCACAGACCUACGGGUCCAUAGCUAGUAUUUAGAUGGCUUCCUCUCUCUCUCUCUCUCUCUCUCUCUCUCUCUCUCUCUUUUUGAUUUUCAAUACAAUGUUCUCCUCGAUCUCCUUGGAGUUCUAGUCGAUAUAAUCUUUUUUGCGGUGUGCUUGUUGGGAUCAGAUGAAUUGUGGGUUUAUGAUUUAUUCAUUGAAACUAAUUGAGUCUUUUCUGAACUUUAUUAUACAUGAUUGUUAUACCUUUGUAUUUCUCUAUGAUCUAUCCGUUUGGUUUGGCCAAUUAGAUCGAUUUAUCUUCAGUAAGAGAGGUGCUUUGUAAUGGGUUCAAUCUUGCGGUGCUCUAUAUCCUAGUGACAGAAGGGGACAAGACACAAAUUUUUAUUGUUGCCAAUUAAAGUAAAACUACGGGGUUUAUUCAUAUUGAUUGGGUUUACUUUGUCUACAUCAUACCAUCUUGGUUAAGGCGUUACUCUGUUUGUCAUGAACUUAAUACCAUAGAUGCAUGCUGAAUAGCGGUCGAUUGGUGGAAUAAUAAUAGCAGAUGCAGUCAAGAGUUGGUCUACUUGUAUCGACGUGAUGCCUAUAUACAUGAUUAUUGCCAUGAAUAUGUCAUAACUAUGCUCUUUUCUAUCAAUUGUCCAAUAGUAAUUUGUUCACCAACCGUAUGCUAUGUGUUCAAGAGACAAACCUCUAGUGAAAACUAUGACCCCCGGGUCUACCUUUAUCAUAUUAUAAAAAUAAAAAAUACCUUGCUGCAAUUUAUUUACUUUGAUUUUAUUUUGCAAUUUAUCUAUCUACCUAUAUAAGAUUUAAUCCUUGCAAAUAACGAGCUCAAGGGGAUUGAAAACUUUCUUGCCCGUGUUGGGUGCAAGUAUUUGCUUUUGUGCGUGCAAGUGUUGUUCAUGAGGCUUUGCAUGAUUCUCCUAUUGGUUCGAUAAACCUUAGUUCUCACUGAGGGAAAUACUUGUCUCUACUAUACAGCAUCUCCCCUCCUCUUUAGGGAAAAUCCCAACGCAGCUCACAAGUAGCACCCAACAAACACACCGCAAAAGAAGAAUACAUCGGAUAGUACUCCGAGGAGAACACUGUAUUGAAGAUCAAAGAGAGAGAAUAAUCCAUCUAUCUAAUCACUAUGAACCCGUAGAUCUGUGGUAAACUACUCAAACAUCAUCGGAUGUGCAACAAGGUUGAUGUAGAAGCCCUCCAUGAUCAAUUCUCCCUCUGGCAGAGUACCGGCGGAGGCCUCCAGAUGAGAUCACAAAAGAACAGAUGCUUGCGGUGGUGAAAUAAUUGUUUUGAGUCUCACUCUAGUGGUUUUGGGAUUUUUGGGAAUUUAUAGAAGUGAAAUUAGGUCAAACGGAGCUACGACGGGCCCACAAGCUCAGGUGGCGCGCCCACCCCUCGUGUGAGCUUGCAGCUCUCGCCUAUAUCUUCUGGCCUCCUCCCGAAGCUUCCAGAGUCCCUUCUGGUACAGAAAAAAUCACCGUAAAGUUUCAUCAUGUUUGGACUUCAUUUCGCACCGUCUUUCUUUGAAACAAUAAAAUAGCAAAAAUAGGAACUGUCACUGGGCACUGAGUUAAUAGGUUAGUUACCAAAAAUGGUAUAAAAUUACAUAUAAAGCAUACAAUAUUGAUAAUAUAGUAGCAUGAAAUAAUUAAAAAUUAUAGAUAUGUUGAAGACGUAUCAUCCAGUUGUUGGUCUCACCUCAGAGAGAGAGAGAGAGAGAGAGAGAGAGAGAGAGAGAGAGAGAGAGAUGGAGAGAGAGAGAGAGAGAGAGAGAGAAAGAGAUGGAGUGGGCUCGCUGUUGCGCAGCUGCUGACGAUGACAUGUACCUAGGGUAGGGCAUAUAGACCUGAUCUAGACACCCCUCCCAAGGACACUGCCGUACAACCAGAGGCAUUCAAAGCAUAGCAAUAUCAUCCGACUGAAAUCACCCCAAGGUGCUUUCAGUCGACCAAUAGUUUCAUUCGACAGACAUACAAUCCACUCGACCAUGUCAGAAACCACUUGAAGUAUGGAAGAUCAAAAGCCACUCUGAAGGGCAACGGUCAGGCAUUCACUCUGUAGUCUUAAAGAGCAUUUAUAUGACUUUACUGCUGGCGUUACCAGUAACGCCUCACCUUGAUGUACAUUGAACCCUUUGUAACGUGGGAUGGCUGGGGUCCUGGCGCACUCUAUAUAAGCCACCCCCCUCCACUAGCACAAGGGUUCGCACCCCCUGUAACUUCACGCAUAUUCCAAUCGACCAAGCCUCUGGGCACCGAGAUGUAGGGUUGUUACUUCUCCAAAAAAGGGCCUGAACUCGUAAAUCUUGCGUGCACAAUCUCACAAUAGCUAGGAUCUUGCCUCCUCAUACCUACCCCCAUUCUACUGUCAGACUUAGAACCACGACAGUUGGCGCCCACCGUGGGGCGGGUGUCCUAGCGACUUUCUGGUGAGAUUGCGAUUUGUUCCGAUUCCCAUCAUCAUGGUUUCCGGCGGUGGUUUGACUGAGGGCCGCGAGAUUCGUCUCGGCGCGCUCAUCUUCGUCGCCGACGACUCCGCUUGGCUCCAGGAGGCCCCCCUCGACAUCAAGACGCUCCCCGUCCGCAGGGCGACGCACUCUCGCGCAUGCGUCCACGGCGUCCUUCUGCGGCAGUCGCCGACUCAGUAUCGGUUGGCUCCUGCAGUGUCUUCGCUUCCCACUGCUCGCCGUCGCAAGCAAUCCGGUCAUUCUCGUCUUCAGCAUUGGGUGAAGCACAUGUUGGCACGUCAGUCGACCACCCCACAAGUCGCGGCAAUCGAGCCCGACGAAACUCUCUACAGCCUGUUUGACCUGUCGACUGGCUCCGUCGAGACCCUAUCUGAGUGUGAUAGCAGCAAUCCUGCGCUGGAAGUCUUGAUGGUGAACACACUGCGCAGCCCGCCUGGCAUGCGCCGUAAUGGCAGCGGCAACGGUGGCGGCGAUGGCGGCAUUGACCCGUCACACGUUCACGAAGUGUACCGUCCCGAAACCCUCUCUUCUCAGCAAAGGGAGGAACUUCACCGCCGUAACGAGGAGGCUCUCCACACGCCUAUCGUUGGGGAGACUUCUGAGGCCCAGGCCUUGGAGGCUACGCGCCUGGCUACUUUGGCUGAGCACACUCGUCUGGAUAACCUUCAACAUGCACUCGACGAACGGGCUCGACAGCAGAUUCCUGAGUCCAGUUGACAGUGACGACAACUGUUCCCACCUGAACCUCAGGUAUACCACACUCCGAUUCAGAAUCUUGCUGCUGCAACUCGUAUAGUGGAGUCCAUUCAGCCAUCCCAGUCGGAGGCUGGAAGGGGUUUGAUGCAGAUCAAAGCACUGCUCCGGGCAGGAGGAGAGCAAAACACAUCAGUGUCUCAGUCUCUUAACAGGAUCCAUAGAACAUCUGUGGUGGCCGACACAGUCCAGUCAGCUCAUAGCCCAAGAUCGCCUCCGAAGCGUGAAGGACGAGGACAUCACCAAGAGUAGUACGAUCACCGAGUCGACCGCGAAGACCGUCGAUGAGUGCCUACGCCUCCUCCGAGAGGUGGAUCAUACGUGCCCCGGCAUUAUGAUGAUAGGCGCCCGUACAACAAAGAGCGGAGGAUGCUAGUCGACCCAAGAGAGCCAGGAUUUGAUGCGAGGUCAAUUUUGGUGCAAGGUUUGGUUGACAGGAACCGAGCACACCGAGAAAGGCAAGAUAGAGAUCAGUCGUCCAGAGGCAGAGUUCAUGUUUCUGUUACCGCAUGUUUUAGCAAGGCCAUCAGAGCCUUGGAGAUCCCUCCCAACUUCAGGUUGGUGUCCGGGGUUAGUAAGUUCACUGGUGAAUCCAAACCCGAUACUUGGCUCGAGGAUUACCGAGUGGCUGUGUUGAUUGGUGGUGGAAAUGAUGAGGUGGCCAUGAAGCACCUUCCUUUGAUGCUCGAAGGGUCAAGUAGAGCUUUAUUGAAUUAGUUGGCCCCUGGCAAUAUUUUUAGCUGGGAGGAAUUGGCCCGAGUGUUUGUUAGAAUGUUUGAAGGCACAUGCAAAUGACCGACAGGGCUGGUAGAAUUGCAGCAUUGUGUUCAGAAGCCGAAUGAAACUUUGAGAGAAUACAUCCAGAGAUGGACCGCCCUACAUCACACGGUGGAGAAUGUGUCUCAGCAUCAAGCAGUGUGUGCCUUCAAGGAGGGUGUACGGUAUCGGGAGCUUAACCUGAAAUUUGGUCGGACGGGGGACAUGACCCUGACCCGAAUGAUGGAAAUAGACACUCGGUAUGCCAAUGGUGAAGAAGAAGACCGGCUCCGGAGUGGUAAGAGCAAACCAGUCGGCCAGGAUGCUGGAGGAGAUAAUUCCAGUCGGAAACAGAAGCGCAAGGAAGAACCUGCAGGUCCCGGAGAAGUUGCAGUUGCAACCCAAGGAAAGUUCAAGGGAAAACCUAAGGGGCCCUGGACCCCCAAGAAGGUGAAAGACCAGCCAGGAAAUGAUGUGUUGGAUUUGCCAUGCCAUAUACACACCAAAAAAGAUGAAGAGGGAAAUCUGAUUUACCCCAAGCAUACCACUCGACAGUGUCGACUCCUUAUGCAGCAGUUCCGAGAGAAAUAGCCCAGUGACAAAGAAAAGGAAUCCGAUAAGGAUGAAGACAAGGAGGAGGAUGAUGGUUUCCCCAAUAUCAGUUCCACUUUGGUCAUUUUUGCUCACAUAGAGAGCAAGAGUCGACUGAAAGUCAUCAACGGAGAGGUGAAUAUGGUUGCUCCUGCAACAAAGACGUAUUUGAAGUGGUCACAAACUGCAAUCACUUUUGACCAGUCUGAUCACCUAGCACACGUUGCCACCCCAGGGCGACAAGCGUUGAUAGUCGACCUAGUUGUUGGCGGCACUUGACUGACCAAAGUCUUGAUGGAUGGCGGUAGUGGUCUGAAUAUUCUUUACGCUGAGGCCCUCAGGGGAAUGGGCAUUCCGAUGUCCAAACUUAGUGAGAGCAGCAUGAGCUUCCAUGGUGUCAUCCCUGGAAACAAAGCUGAUUCACUCGGCCAGAUCACUCUUGACGUAGUUUUUGGUGAUUCAAAGAAUUACCGGAAGGAGAAGUUGACAUUUGAAGUUGUGGAUUUUCAAAGUGCCUAUCAUACUAUGCUGGGCAGACCAGCGUACACUCAUUUCAUGGCUCGACCAUGCUAUGUGUACCUCAAACUGAAGAUGCCUGGCCCCAAAGGCGUGAUCACAAUCAUAGGCAAUCGGCAAACAGCAGAAGAGUGCCUCCAGAAGGGCUCAAAAAUUGCCGAUGAGCAAAUGGCAGCGGUGGAAAUGCAAGAAUAUCAAAAGAAUGCAGGUCCGAGUGAUCUGUUACGAGCCAAGAAGCCUGCUUCAGAAUCUGCAUUUAAGUCGUCUAGUGAAAUGAAACCAUUCCACAUUCAUCCGACUAAUCCCAAUGCUGCUCCGACUCAUAUUUCAACAACACUCGACAGCAAAUAGGAAGAAGCACUCAUCCAGUUCCUCCGUGAUAACUGGGACAUCUUUGCAUGGAAACCUUCUGACAUGCCGGGUGUACCCAAGGAGCUGGCUGAGCACCGUUUGUGAGUCGAUCCAAAAGCAAAACCCGUCAAAGAGUAUCUCCGUCGGUCCACCGUGGAGAAGAGAAAAGCAAUCAGCGAGGAAGUGGCUCGACUUCUGGCAGCCGAGUUCAUCCGAGAAAUUUACCACUCCGAGUGGCUCGCCAAUGUUGUCAUGGUCCCCAAGAAGGACGACUCAGUUCAUAUGUGCAUUGACUUCAAGCAUAUCAAUCGGGCCUGCCCGAAAGAUCAUUUCCCUCGUCCCUGCAUCAAUCAGCUGGUUGACUCGACUGCGGGAUGUGAGCGGUUGUCCUUUCUGGAAUUCCGGGUACCAUCAGAUCUGUCUGUAUGGACCCGAUGAGAUAAAAACAGCUUUCAUCACUCUGUUCGGGUGUUUCUGUUAUAUCACGAUGCCCUUUGGUCUCAAGAAUGCUGGUGCCACAUUCAUGCGCGUGAUACAGAAGUGCCUGCUCACUCAAAUCAGUCAAAAUGUGGAAGCUUACAUGGAUGAUAUCAUGGUCAAGUCACGUAGAGGUUCUGACCUGCUGACUGACCUCGCUGAAACAUUCGCCAAUCUGAGGAGGUAUGAUAUCAAGCUUAAUCCGUCGAAGUGUACAUUUGGAGUCCCAGGUGGAAAGUUGCUCGACUUCCUUGUUUCCGAACGAGGGAUCGACACAAACCCAGAGAAAGUUGGUGCAAUACUCUGAAUGAAACGCCCUAUGCGUGUACUCGACAUCCAGAAGCUUACUGGUUGUCUGGCUGCGUUGAGUCGAUACAUUUCUUGUCUCAGUGAAAAGGCAUUACCUCUUUAUCGAUUGAUGAAGAAAUCUGAUAAGUUCGAGUGGACUCCUGAAGCUGAUGCAGCGUUUGCAGAGCUCAAAACCCUGGUUUCCACCCAGCCGGUGCUCGCUGCUCCAAUCAGCAAAGAGCCUUUACUGCUUUAUAUUGCAGCCACUAGGCAAGUUGUCAGUACAUUACUCACAGUCGAGCAAGAAGAAGAAGGAAAAGCAUACAAAGUUCAGCGCCCGGUGUACUAUAUUUCUAAAGUCUUAACUCCAUCCAAGCAGAGAUAUCCACAUUAUCAGAAGCUUGUCUACGGAAUUUACCUGACCACGAAGAAGGUUGCACAUUAUUUCUCAGAUCACUCGAUCACAGUCGUCAGCGAUGCUCCAUUGUCAGAAAUUCUAAACAAUAGAGAUGCAACUGGUCGAGUGGCAAAGUGGGCGAUUGAACUCCUUCCGUUGGAUAUCAAAUUCGAAGCAAAAAAAGGCAAUCAACUCCCAAGCAAUAGCAAAUUUCCUCGUCGAGUGGAUUGCGCAGUAGCAACUGACUCAAGUUCACUCAAAACAUUGGACUAUGUUCUUUGACGGGUCCAAGAUGCUGAAUAGUUCUGGUGCUGGAGUAGUCCUGGUGUCCCCGCGAGGCGACAAGCUCAGUUACGUUCUCCAGAUUCACUUUGAUUCCUCCAACAAUGAAGCUGAAUAUGAAGCACUAUUGUAUGGGUUGCGUAUGGCCAUUUCACUCAGCGUCCGUCGCCUGAUGGUCUAUGGCGAUUCAGAUUUGGUGGUCAAUCAAGUGAUGAAGGAGUGGGACGUCAGGAGUCCAGCCAUGACUGGUUACUGUAAUGCUGUGAGAAAAUUAGAGAAGAAGUUUGAAGGGCUAGAGCUCCACCACAUUCCCCGACAGAAGAACCAAGCAGCUGAUGACUUGGCAAAGAUAGGUUCCAAGCGGGAGCCUAUACCCAGCAAUGUGUUUUUGGAACAUCUCCACACACCAUCAGUUCAAGAGGAUGUUGGGGAACGUAGUAAUUUCAAAAAAAAAAUCCUAUGCACACUCAAGAUCAUGGUGAUGCAUAGCAACGAGAGGGGAGAGUGUUGUCCACGUACCCUCGUAGACCGAAAGCGAAGCGUUAUGACAACGCAGUUGAUGUAGUCGUAUGUAUUCACGAUCGACCGAUCCUCAGUACCGAACUACGGCACCUCCGUGUUCAGCACACGUUCAGCUUGGCGUCGUCCCGCGAACUCACGAUCCAGUAGAGCUUCGGGGAAGAGCUUCAUCAGCACGAUGGCGUGAUGACGGUGUUGAUGAAGUUACCGAUGCAGGGCUUCGCCUAAGCACCGCUACGAUAUGACCGAGGUGGAUUAUGGUGGAGGGGGGCACCGCACACGGCUAAGAGAGAUCAAUGAUCAACUUGUGUGUCUAUGGGGUGCCUCCUGGCCACGUAUAUAAAGGAGUGGAGGAGGGGGGAGGGCCGACCUAGCUAUGGCGCGCCCUGGAGGAGUCCUACUCCCACCGGGAGUAGGAUUCCCCCCUUCCCUAGUUGGACUAAGAGAGAAGGAAGGGGGAGAGAGGGAGGAAGGAAAGGGGGGGGGGGCGCCGCUCCCCUCCUAGUCCAAUUCGGACCAGAGGGGGAGGGGGCGCGCGGCCUGCCCUGGCCUCCUCUCUCUCUCUCUCCACUAUGGCCCAUUGAGGCCCAUACAAUUACCGAGGGGUUCUGAUACGUCUCCAACAUACCUCUAAUUUUUGAUUGUUCCAUGCUAUUAUAUUACCCGUUUUGGAUGUUUAUGGGCUUUACUUUACACUUCUAUUGUUGGGACUAACCUACUAACUGGAGGCCCAGCCCGAAUUGUUGUUUUUUUGCCUAUUUCAAUGUUUCGAAGAAAAGGAAUAUCAAACGGAGUCCAAACGGGAUGAAACCUUCGGGAGCGAUCUUUUUGGAACAAAUGCAAACCUGGAGACUUGGAGUGGACGUCAAGCAACAACCGAGGCAACCACGAGGGUGCCUGACAUGCCCCCUGGGGGUAGGCGUGCCCCCCACCCUCGUGGGCCCCUCGAGCAUCCACCGACCUACUUCUUCCUCCUAUAUAUACUCCCGUACCCUGAAAACAUUAGAACGGACCAUGAAAACCUAAUUCCACCGCCGCAACCUUCUGUAUCCGCGAGAUCCCAUAUUGGAGCCUUUGCCGGCGCUCCGUCGGAGGGGGAAUCGACCACGGAGGGCCUCUACAUCAUCUCCAAGGCCUCUCCUAUGAGUUGUGAGUAGUUUACCACGGACCUUCGGGUCCAUAGUUAUUAGCUAGAUGGCUUCUUCUCUCUCUUUGAAUCUCAAUACAAAGUUCUCCUCGUUCUUCUUCGAGAUCUAUUCGAUGUAACUCUUUUUGCGGUGUGUUUGUCGAGAUCCGAUGAAUUGUGGGUUUAUGAUCAAGUUUAUCAAAUAUGUGAAUAUCCUCUGAAUUCUUUUAUGUGUGAUUACGUUAUCUUUGCAAGUCUCUUCGAAUUAUCAGUUUGGUUUGGUCUACUAGAUUGAUCUUUCUUCCAAUGGGAGAAGUGCUUAGCUUUGGAUUCAAUCUUGUGGUGUCCUUUCCCAGUGACAGCAGGGGCAGCAAGGCACAUAUUGUAUUGUUGCCAUUGAGGAUAAAAAGAUGGGGUUUAUAUCAUAUUGCAUGAGUUUAUCCCUCUACAUCAUGCCAUCUUUCUUAAUGCGUUACUCUGUUCUUCAUGAACAAAAUACUCUAGAUGUAGCAAGGAGUCGGUCGAUGUGUGGAGUAAUAGUAGUAGAUGCAUAAUCGUUUCGAUCUACUUGUCACGGACGUGAUGCCUAUAUACAUGAUCAUGCCUAGAUAAUCCCAUAACUAUUCGCUUUUCUAUCAAUUGCUCGACAGUAAUUUGUUCACCCACCGUAAUACUUAUGCUAUCUUGAGAGAAGCCACUAGUGAAACCUAUGGCCCCCGGGUCUAUCUUUUAUCAUAUAAGUUUUCCAUCUACUUUUAUUUGCAUCUUUACUUUUCCAUCUAUGUCAUAAAAAUACCAAAAAUAUUUAUCUUAUCAUAUUAUCUCUAUCAGAUCUCACUUUUGCAAGUGUCCAUGAAGGGAUUGACAACCCCUUUAUUGCGUUGGUUGCGAGGUUCUUGUUUGUUUGUGUAGGUGCGUGGAACUUUUGAGGAGCCUCCUACUGGAUUGAUACCUUGGUUCUCAAAAACUGAGGGAAAUACUUAUGCUACUUUGCUGCAUCACCCUUUCCUCUUCAAGGAAAACCAACGCAAGAUCAAGACGUAGCAAGAAGGAUUUCUGGCUCCGUUGUCGGGGAGGUUUUCGCUCAAGUCAAGACCUACCAAGUACCCAUCACAAACUCAUCUCCCUCGCAUUACAUUAUUUGCCAUUUGCCUCUCGUUUUCCUCUCUCCCACUUCACCCUGGCCGUUUUAUUCGCCCUCUCUUUCCCAAUCUCCUCUCUCUUUCACUUGCCUUCUUGUGUGCUCGUCGCUAUGGCUAGUCCUCCUAUUAUUGUUAAUACUCCCGAUCAUGAAGUUCUCAAUUUUAAACAAAGGGAGGGAGAAAAUUUAAAAGAUGCUUGGCAUAGAAUUUGCAAUGCUCAAAAUAGAUCUACUAGGAAGCAAUCUACUUCCAUCCUUCUUCGCAAUUUUUAUGUAGGCAUUACUCCUUGGAAUAGAUGUAUCCUUGAUGCCAUUACCGGAGGGAAUUUCUUGGGUAGCCACACUUUUGAUGCCUAUAAUGCUAUGUUAGAUUUGUUUGGUCCACCACCUCUCUUGGUUAGUGGAACUAUCUUAACUCUAGAACAUGUGAUGCAAAGGCUUGAAAUUAUUGAAAAUAAAGUUGCCACUGUUGAGUUAAUUGAAAAUUUGGACAAAAAGAUCCACAAUCAAAUCACCCAAUUUGGAUCUAAGGUUAGAGCUGCUCUGAAAAGUUUUAAGGAUAAAGAACCUAUAGUUAACAAAAGAAUAGAUCAAAAUGCUUCAAGAAUCGGUAAACUUGAGGAUAUCAUUACCAACUUAGGGGCUGCCUUUUCAUCCAUGAAAAAUACUUCCAAUCCGCCUACUAAAAUUGCCAAAUUAAUCUAUGUUCCUAAAAAUAAGGGUGAAUCUUCUAGAGGAAAAUGCGGAUCUCAAAUCAAUAAGUGUUCACCCCAAUUGUCUCUCUAUCAUAAAGGAACCUUUUGCUUCAAAAGAAUUUCUCGAUUUUUUCCUAGGAGUUUAAUCAUUGCUAAAAAGAAAGAAACUCCUGAAAAUUAUCAGUGCUCUAUUGAAAAUUGAGUUCCAAAGAUGGCACUACUUAGAUCUAUCCUCGCUUUUAUGCCUAGCUAGGGGCGUUAAACGAUAGCGCUUGUUGGGAGGCAACCCAAUUUUAUUUUUGUUUCUUGUUUUUUGCUUAUGUUUAUUAAAAUUCAUCUAGCUUCUGUUUAGGUGCGCUUUCAUGUUUUAAUUAGUGUUUGUGCCAAGUAGAACCUAUAGGAUAACCUACGGUGAUAGUUAAUUUGAUUCUGCUGAAAAACAGAAACUUUUGCACACACAAAAAUAAUUUUAGUAAUUCACAUAAACGUGAUUUUGCGUUGAUUCUUUUUGCUGUAGAUAAAUAGACAAAUUUCCCAGGACUUCCUAUUUUGGUAGGAUUUUUAGACUUCCAUAAGUAUUCGAAAGUUACAUAUUUCUACAGACUGUUCUGUUUUUGACAGAUUCUGUUUUUUGUGUGUUGUUUGCUUAUUUUGAUGCAUCUAUGGCUAGUAUCAAGGGGUAUGAACCAUAGAGAAGUUGGAAUACAGUAGGUUUAAAACCAAUAUAAAUAAACAAUGAGUUCAUUACAGUACCUUAUGUGGUGGUUUUUCUUUCUUGCACUAACGGAGCUUAUGAGAUUUCCUGUUGAGUUUUGUGUUGUGAAGUUUUCAAGUUUUGGGUAAAGAUUUGAUGGACUAUGGAAUAAGGAGUGGCAAGAGCCUAAGCUUGGGGAUGACCAUUGCACCCCAAGAUAUUCAAGGAUAACCAAAAGCCUAAGCUUGGGGAUGCCCCGGAAGGCAUCCCCUCUUUCAUCUUCGUCUAUCGGUAACUUUACUUGGAGCUAUAUUUUUAUUCGCCACAUGAUAUGUGUUUUUCUUGGAGCGUCAUGUAUGAUAUGAGUCUUUGCUUUUUAGAUUUCCACAAUCAUCCUUGCUGUACACACCUUUUGGGAGAAACCCACAUGAUUUAGAAUUUCCUAGAAUACUCUAUGUGCUUCACUUAUAUCUUUUGAGCUAGAUAGUUUUGCUCUAUGUGCUUCACUUAUAUCUUUUAGAGCACGGCGGUGGUUUAAUUUUGAAGAAAUUUUUGAUCUCUCAUGCUUCACUUAUAUUAUUUUGAGAGUCUCUUAUAACAGCAUGGUAUUUGCUAUGGUUAUAAAAUUGGUCCUAGAAUGAUGGGCUUCCAAGUUGGGUAUAAUAAAAACUAUCAUAGGAAGUGAAUUGGAUGCUAUGAUCAAUUUGAUAGUUGAUAAUUGAUUUGAGAUAUGAGGACGGUGAUAUUAGAGUCAUGCUAGUUGGGUAAUCGUGAAUUUAAAGAAUGCUUGUGUCGAGGCAAACCUGGAUACUUGGAGUGGGCGUCAAGCAACAACCGAGGCGGCUACGAGGGUGCCCGGCGCGCCCCCCACCCUCGUGGGCCCCUCGAGCGUCCACCGACCUACCUCUUCCUCCUAUAUAUACUCCCGUACCCUGAAAACAUCAUAACGGACCACGAAAACCUAAUUCCACCGCCGCAACCUUCCGUAUCCGUGAGAUCCCAUCUUGGAGCCUUCGCUGGUGCUCCACCGGAGGGGGAAUCGACCAUGGAGGGCCUCUACAUCAUCUCCAAGUCCUCUCCUAUGAGUUGUGAGUAGUUUACCACAGACCUUCGGGUCCAUAGUUAUUAGCUAGAUGGCUUCUUCUCUCUCUUUGAAUCUCAAUAAAAAGUUCUCCUCGAUCUUCUUGGAGAACUAUUCGAUGUAACUCUUUUUGCGGUGUGUUUGUCGAGAUCCGAUGAAUUGUGGGUUUAUGAUCAAGUUUAUCUAUGAGAAAUAUUUGAAUCUCCUCUGAAUUCUUUUAUGUGUGAUUACUUAUCUUUGCAAGUCUCUUUGAAUUAUCAGUUUGGUUUGGCCUACUAGAUUGAUCUUUCUUGGAAUGGGAGAAGUGCUUAGCUUUGGGUUCAAUCUUGUGGUGUCCUUUCCCAGUGAUAGCAGGGGCAGCAAGGCACAUAUUGUAUUGUUGCCAUCGAGGAUAAAAAGAUGGGAUUUAUAUCAUAUUGCAUGAGUUUAUCCCUCUACAUCAUGUCAUCUUUCUUAAUGCGUUACUCUGUUCUUCAUGAACUUAAUACUCUAGAUGCAGGCAGGAGUCGGUCGAUGUGUGGAGUAAUAGUAGUAGAUGCAUAAUCGUUUCGAUCUACCUGUCAUGGACGUGAUGCCUAUAUACAUGAUCAUGCCUAGAUAAUCUCAUAACUAUUCACUUUUCUAUCAAUUGCUCGACAGUAAUUUGUUCACCCACCAUAAUACUUAUGCUAUCUUGAGAGAAGCCACUAGUGAAACCUAUGGCCCCCGGGUCUAUCUUUUAUCAUAUAAGUUUUCCAUCUACUUUUAUUUGCAUCUUUACUUUUCCAUCUAUGUCAUAAAAAUACCAAAAAUAUUUAUCUUAUCAUAUUAUCUCUAUCAGAUCUCACUUUUGCAAGUGGCCGUGAAGGGAUUGACAACCCCUUUAUUGCGUUGGUUGCGAGGUUCUUGCUUGUUUGUGUAGGUGCAUGGGACUUUUGAGGAGCCUCCUACUGGAUUGAUACACUGGUUCUCAAAAACCGAGGGAAAUACUUAUGCUACUUUGCUGCAUCACCCUUUCCUCUUCAAGGAAAACCAACGCAAGCUCAAGACGUAGCAGGUUUCGGUAACCUCCCGGUACUCUGGUAAAAUCCUGAUUUCACCCGGAACCAUUCCGAUGUCCAUAUAUAGGUUUCCAAUACAUCGAUCUUUACGUCUCGACCAUUUCGAGACUCCUCGUCAUGUACGUGAUCAUAUCCGGGACUCCGAACUACCUUCGGUACAUCAAAACACAAAAACUCAUAAUGUCGAUCAUCACAGAACUUUAAGCGUGCGGACCCUACGGGUUCGAGAACUAUGUAGACAUGACCGAGGCACGUCUCCGGUCAAUAACCAAUAGCGGAACCUAGAUGCUCAUAUUGGUUUCUACAUAUUCUACAAAGAUCUUUAUCGGUCAAACCGCAUAACAACAUAUGUUGUUCCCUUUGUCAUCAGUAUGUUACUUGCCCGACAUUCGAUCGUCGGUAUCUCAAUACCUAGCUCAAUCUCGUUACCGGCAAGUCUAUUUACUCAUUCUGUACUGCAUCAUCCCGCAACUAACUCAUUAGUUUCAUUUCUUGCAAGGCUUAUAGUGAUGUGCAUUACCGAGAGGGACCAGAGAUACCUCUUCGACAAUCGGAGUGACAAAUCCUAAUCUCGAUCUAUGCCAACUCAACAAGUACCAUCGGAUACACCCGUAGAGCACCUUUAUAAUCACCCAGUUAUGUUGUGACGUUUGGUAGCACACAAAGUGUUCCUCCAGUAAUUAGGAGUUGCAUAAUCUCAUAGUCAUAGGGACAUGUAUAAGUUAUGAAGAAAGCAAUAGCAGUAAACUAAAACGAUCAAGUGCUAAGCUAACGGAAUGGGUCAAGUCAAUCACAUCAUUCUCCUAAUGAUGUGAUCCCGUUUAUCAAAUGCCAACUCAUGCCUAUCGUUAGGAAACUUAACCAUCUUUGAUCAACGAGCUAGUCAAGUCGAGGCAUACUAGUGACACUUUGUUUGUCUAUGUAUUCACACAUGUAUUACGUUUCCGGUUAAUACAAUUCUAGCAUGAAUAAUAAACAUUUAUCAUGAAAUAAGGAAAUAAAUAAUAACUUUCUUAUUGCCUCUAGGGCAUAUUUCCUUCAGUCUCCCACUUGCACUAGAGUCAAUAAUCUAGAUUACACGGUAAUAAUUCUAACACCCGUGGAGCCUUGGUGCUGAUCAUGUUUUGCUUGUGAGAGAGGCUUAGUCAACGGGUCUGCAACAUUCAGAUUCGUAUGUAUCUUGCAAAUCUCUAUGUCUCCCACCUGGACUUGAUCGCGGAUGGAAUUGAAGGGUCUCUUGAUGUGUUUGGUUCUCUUGUGAAAUCUGGAUUCCUUUGCCAAGGCAAUUGCACCAGUAUUGUCACAAAAGAUUUUCAUUGGACCCGAUGCACUAGGUAUGACACCUAGAUCGGAUAUGAACUCCUUCAUCCAGACUCCUUCAUUUGCUGCUUCUGAAGCAACCAUGUACUCCACUUCACAUGUAGAUCCCGUCACAACGCUUUGUUUAGAACUGCUCCAACUGACAGCUCCACCGUUCAAUAUAAACACAUAUCCGGUUUGCGAUUUAGAAUCGUCCGGAUCAAUGUCAAAGCUUGCAUCGACGUAACCAUUUACGACGAGCUCUUUGUCACCUCCAUAAAUGAGAAACAUGUCCUUAGUGCUUUUCAGGUAUUUCAGGAUGUUCUUGACCUCUGUCUAGUGAUCCACUCCUGGAUUACUUUGGUACCUCCCUGCUAAACUAAUAGCAAGGAACACAUCAGGUCUGGUACACAACAUUGCAUACAUGAUAGAGCCUAUGGCUGAAGCAUAGGGAACACUUUUCAUUUUCUUUCUAUCUUCUGUAGUGGUCGGGCAUUGAGUUUUACUCAACUUCACACCUUGUAAUACAGGCAAGAACCCUUUCUUUGCUUGAUCCAUUUUGAACUUCUUCAAAACUUUAUCAAGGUAUGUUCUUUGUGAAAGUCCAAUUAAACGUCUUGCUCUAUCUCUAUAGAUCUUGAUGCCCAAUAUAUAAGCAUCUUCACCGAGGUAUUUCAUUGAAAAACUCUUAUUCAAGUAUCCUUUUAUGCUAUCCAGAAAUUCUAUAUCAUUUCCAAUCAAGAAUAUGUCGUCCACAUAUAAUAUUAGAAAUGCUACAGAGCUCCCACUCACUUUCUUGUAAAUACAGGCUUCUCCAAGAGUCUGUAUAAAACCAUAUGCUUUGAUCGCACUAUCAAAACGUUUAUUCCAACUCCGAGAGGCUUGCACCAGUCCAUAAAUGGAUCGCUAGAGCUUGCAUACUUUGUUAGCACCUUUUGGAUCGAAAAAACCUUCUGGUUGCAUCAUAUACAACUCUUCUUCUAGAAAUGAAUUCAGGAAUGCAGUUUUGACAUCCAUUUGCCAAAUUUCAUAAUCAUAAAAUGCGACAAUUGCUAACAUGAUUCAGAUAGACUUAAGCAUCGCUACGGGUGAGAAAGUCUCAUCAUAGUCAACCCCUUGAACUUGUCAAAAACCUUUUGCAACAAGUCAAGCUUUGUAGACAGUAAUAUUACCGUCAGCGUCAGUCUUCUUCUUGAAGAUCCAUUUAUUCUCGAUGGCUUGCCGAUCAUCGGGCAAGUCAACCAAAGUCCACACUUUGUUCUCAUACAUGGAUCCCUGAUACGUCUCCAAUGUAUCUACUUUUCCAAACACUUUUGCCCUUGUUUUGGACUCUAACCUGCAUGAUUUGAAUGAAACUAACCCGGACUGACGCUGUUUUCAGCAGAACUGCCAUGAUGUUUUUUAUGUGUAGAAAACAAACGUUCUCGGAAUGUCCCGAAAAUCCACGGAGACACUUUUUGGAAAAUAUAAAAAAUACUGGCGAAAGAAUCAAGACCAGGGGGCCCACACCCUGUCCACGAGGGUGGGGGGCACGCCCUCCCCCCUGGGCGCGCCCCCUGUUUCGUGGGCCCCCUGAGGCUCUGCCGACCUCAACUCCAACUCCAUAUAUUCCGUCUCGCAGAGAAAAAAAUCAGAGAGAAAGUUUCAUCGCGUUUUACGAUAUGGAGCCACCGCCAAGCCCUAAUCUCUCUUGGGAGGGCUGAUCUGGAGUCCGUUCGGGGCUCCGGAGAGGGGGAUUCGUCGCUGUCGUCAUCAUUAACCCUCCUCCAUCACCAAUUUCAUGAUGCUCACCGCCGUGCGUGAGUAAUUCCAUCAUAGGCUUGCUGGACGGUGAUGGGUUGGAUGAGAUUUACCAUGUAAUCAAGUUAGUUUUGUUAGGGUUUGAUCCCUAGUAUCCUCUGUGUUCUAAGAUUGAUGUUGCUAUGACUUUGCUAUGCUUAAUGCUUGUCACUAGGGCCCGAGUGCCAUGAUUUCAGAUCCGAACCUAUUAUGUUUUCAUGAAUAUAUGUGUGUUCUUGAUCCUAUCUUGCAAGUCUAUAGUCACCUAUUAUGUGUUAUGAUCCGACAACCCCGAAGUGACAAUAAUCGGGAUACUUCUCGGUGAUGACCAUAGUUUGAGGAGUUCAUGUAUUCACUAUGUGUUAAUGCUUUGUUCCGGUUCUCUAUUAAAAGGAGGCCUUAAUAUCCCUUAGUUUCCACUAGGACCCCGCUGCCACGGGAUGGUAGGACAAAAUAUGUCAUGCAAGUUCUUUUCCAUAAGUACGUAUGACUAUUUAAGGAAUACAUGCCUACAUUACAUUGAUGAACUGGAGCUAGUUCUGUGUCACCCUAUGUUAUAGCUAUUACAUGAGGAAUUGCAUCCGACAUAAUUAUCCAUCGCUAAUCCAUUGCCUAUGAGCUUUUCACAUAUUGUGUUUCGCUUAUUUACUUUUCCGUUGCUACUGUUACAAUCACUACAAAACCCAAAAAUAUUACUUUUGCUACUGUUACCUUUAUUGUCAUAUUACUUUGUUACUAAAUUCUUUGUUGUAGAUACUAAGUUAUCCAGGUGUGGUUGAAUUGACAACUCAACUGCUAAUACUCAAGAAUAUUCUUUGGCUCCCCUUGUGUUGAAUCAAUAAAUUUGGGUUGAAUACUUUACCCUCGAAAGCUGUUGCGAUCCCCUACACUUGUGGGUUAUCAAGACUAAUUUCUGGCGCCGUUGCCGGGGAGCAUAGUUCUAUUCUCUGAGUCACUUGGGAUUUAUAUCUGUUGAUCACUAUGAGGAACUUGAAAGAUGAAAGAACCAAGAUUUUGCCCUCAACUAUGAGGGGAGGUAAGGAACUGCCAUCUAGCUCUGUACUAGAUUCUCCUUCCAUUAUUAGUAAGCUUGCGACACCUAAACCUUCUACUCCUAUGAACUCUGAUAUGUCGCAUGUUAUUGAUGAUGUCACUUCUCCUAUGCAUGAUACUUAUGAUCAAACUACUUCUGUGCGUGAUACUACUUUGCCAUUAGGUGAAUUUCUUGAUGAACAACUUGCUAGGGUUAGAGGGAACGAAAUUAUUGAAGAUGCUAUUAUUGAUGAUAGUGAUGAUGAAAAUUCUCCCAAUGAUUAUGAAUUGCAUGUUGUUCCUGAGGGUUAUGUUAUGAAUGAAGAAGUUGCUAGAGCUAUCUUUGCUUGCAAUGAUAGAUAUGAUCUUAAGAAAUUAUUAGCUAAAUGAAAGCAAUAGUCUCUUAAUGCUAAAAUGAAACCUGACCCUGCUUUUGCUACUUCACCUAUUUGUGUUACUGAUAAGGAUUAUGAAUUCUCUGUUGAUCCUGAAAUUAUUACUUUAGUUGAAUCUGAUCCUUUUUAUGGCCUUGAAUCUGAAACUGUUGUGGCACAUCUUACCAAGUUGAAUGAUAUAGCUACCCCAUUUACUCAUGAUGAUAAAUCUCGCUAUUAUUAUAUCCUUAAGAUAUUUCCGUUAUCAUUAAAGGGUGAUGCUAAGACUUGGUAUAAUUCUCUUGCUCCUGGUUGUGUGCGUAGUCCCCAGGAUAUGAUUUAUUACUUCUAUGCUAAAUAUUUCCCUGCUCAUAAGAAACAAGCUGCCUUGCGGGAAAUAUAUAACUUUGUGCAAAUCGAAGAAGAGAGUCUCCCACAAGCUUGGGGGAGGCUUCUCCGAUUACUUAAUGCUUUGCCUAAUCAUCCUCUUAAGAAAAAUGAAAUACUUGAUAUCUUUUAUAAUGGACUAACCGAUGCUUCCAAGGACUACUUGGAUAGUUGUGAUGGUUGUGUUUUCAGGGAAAGAACAGUCGACGAAGCUGAAUUACUAUUGAAUAAUAUGUUGACUAAUGAAAAUAAUUGGACUCUUCCUAAGCCAAUUCCUGAGGCAAUUCCUGAACCAAUUGAGCCAACUCCUGAGCCUAUUCCUAAACCCACUCCGAAGAAGAUAGAUGUUUUAUUUCUCAGUCCUAAAGAUAUGCAAGAGGCAAAGAAAUCAAUGAAAGAAAAAGGUAUUAAAGCUAAAGAUGUUAAGAAUUUACCUCCAAUUGAAGAAAUACAUGGUCUUAAGGUACCGCCCGUCGAAGAACCACAUUGUCUUGAUAACCCGACACAGGUAGUAAAGGUAAAUUCUCUCUAUAAAUAUGAUAAAGUUGAAAUCCCCUCUACUAAAUUUCAUAACCCAUGCUUAGAUGAAUUUUAUGACUUUAUGGCUAGACAAGAAAGUUUUAAUGCUUAUGUUGGUAGAGAGUUAAAGAAUAAUGCUUUCGAGAUAGGAUGUGUGAGCGAUAAUAUGGCUAGAGUUAAAGGUGAACUCAAACUCAUUAGCAAAUAUGCUUCUAUGGUUGCUACUCAAGCUGAGCAAGUACUUAAAGCUCAAAAUGAUUUGCUUGAUGAAUUAAAUAAUAAAAAUGACUUUUCUGUUAGAGUGGCUACUAGAACUAGUAGAAUGACUCAGGAACCUUUGUAUCCUGAAGGCCACCCUAAGAGAAUCGAGCAAGAUUCUCAGAGAAAUAAUUUAGAGGCACCUAGUUAUUCCAAAAAGAAGAAAAAGAAAGACGAUAGGACUUUGCAUGCUUCUAGUGAACCUACUGUAGACACACCUGAGAAUCCCAAUGAUAUUUCUAUCUCUGAUGCUAAAACACAAUCAGGUGAUGAACAUGAACCUAGUGAUAAUGUUAAUAAUAAUGUUCAUGUUGAUGCUCAACCUAGCAAAAAUAAUGAUGUAGAGAUUGAACCUGCUGUUGAUCUUGAU